UAGCAGACCGAAGAGCUAGAGAAGCCAAGAGUGUGUGGACCGAGCGAUGGCCGGGGUUGUCGGCGUUUGGUUCGCCAAGUUGGGCCGGGAGGCGGCGCCGGCGGCAGAGGCCGAGGUCGUCGGCCGGCGAAACCAGGGCGACGGCCUGAUCGAGGCUGAGGCCGCGAAGACGGUGCAGAUCCAGGAGAGGAGGAGGAGGAACAGCAGCGUCCUCUCCAACUCCGAGGACACGGUGUGCAUGCUCAUGGACCGCUUCGCCCCGGCCUGAUAUACGCCGGUGAACCGGUGUUCAUUCCGGCGCAUGGGAGCCUAUACCUUGUGCUGUGAUUCCGCUGGUUCCUCUUGUACAUAAGCUCUUUUUUCAUCGCUAAUCGAGUGAUAGUAGCUCAUGCCUUCCGUUUGAAAAGAAAAGAUGAACAAAUUAUGCGGCUAGAUGAAUCAACUGUAUCAUAUUCAUAUCACAUACUUUUUUGUAAUUCUUGUCGUGGUUUUAGUUAAUUAUACUGAUACGAAACAAAGGAGUAGUAUGUAUAUAUAUAUGACUGUAUAUGCUUUGAAUGGAUUGUCUGGUUAUCUCGCAAAAAAAAGUGGAUUGUUUGGUUUCUAUGCCAUCUCGCUGCCUAUCUUUUUUGUUGGCGCUGCCUUUGUUUAGUUGGUGUUGGUGAUGUUUUUGGCCAAAAAUACUACACCUACGAACUGUUUAUGAAGAGCAACGUAAACCUUUCAUCCAUAAUCAAUUGCCCCUCCUAAUUUUCACUGGGUGGGGUCCCUUCCCUUUUCUUUUCCAAUCGAAAGAUUUCCACCUAAGCCUGUUCGUAAGAUAUGUAAAAGAAUUUACGUAGGUGUAGCAAAACUCAUUUCUGGCGAUCCAUUUACUGUUGUGUCUCUCCUCAAUCCUCUUUCAUUUUAUAAAACGGGAAGUUUACACUUCUUGCAGCAUUGCAGCUUAUUCACAGCUGUCAUAAUCGAGAUGACAUGAAAUUGACACCUCACCCAACCUAUGUUUUUCGUUCUUGAACUACUCAUCAAAAAUUGAGGGAAAAAUGUUAAUUUAGCCAAAUAAUAAAAUCAUUAAUGUUCACCAUUUUCCAACAACAUAGGAAACACCACCGCCUCGUUUGGAUGUUGAUAUUAAGGCCUUUGGAAUUGAAUUGGCCCCAAUAUCAAAUCACUUUUGUAUUGACAUUCACCCAAAUUCUGGUGUUUGGAUGUUCACAGAAUUGAUACUUGGACUUUGCAUGAGAGGCUCAAUUCUCAAGCUUGUUUGGAAGGCCAUUCUCUACAUUGAAAUUGCUCAUGGGAAGGGGGAGGUUGCGAUGCCAUCUGACUCAGCCUGCUUCUUCUCCUCACGCAGCACCGCCAUCGUCGAUGAGGCAGGAUGAGCUGGUGCCGGGGUUCCUGGAGAGAGGGAGGUCGGCGAUGGGCGGCGGGGCGCGGUGGCUGGAGAAAGGAGUGGAUCCGCAGGGGAGAUGGGGGGAGGAGGAGGGCGAUGGAGAGGGCCUGACCUGCGCCGCCCGAGAGAUGGGGGAAGGAGGAGGGCAAUGGAAUGGGGCUGACCUGCGUCGUCGGAGAGAUGUGGGAAGGAGGAGGGCGGUGGAGAGAGCUGACCUGCGCCGCCGGAGAGAUGGGGGAAGGAGGAGGGCGGCGGAGUGGGGCUGACCUGCGUCGCCGGCAGGUCCUCCAUUGCGGCCCCGAAUAUCUCACGAAGUCGAGCUUGUGAGCUCUGAAUUAGGGAAUAGAAGGGCAGGUUGCGAGGUGGGCUAGCCAAUAUUGCGGGCUAAUUGAGCGAGUCAAUGCCAUGAGCAUCUGAACAAUGGCAUUCGGGGCCAAUAUCAAUAUCUAGGCCCCAAUAUCAACAUCCAAACGAGGCACACAAGGUUUUGGCAAACACAUCGCAAUCAUCCCCAUCUCCACCAAGAGCGAAGGUGAAAUGAAAUGGGCACAAAGAGCUAAGGUGACCAAGGUAGUUCAUGGAGAUGAUAAUACUAAAUUCUUUCAUAUGAUUGCAAAUGGCAAACAUAGAAAGAAAAAAUAAUCCAACUUGAGCAAGAUGAAGGAACAAUAGUAGGUCAUGAAAACUUAAAAUUAUACAUAUCUGAAUAUUACAAGAAACUAUUUGGGCCUUCAAAAGAGAAGUUGGUCUCACUGGAUGAAAGUUCCAAUCAUGAUAUACCUCAACUUAAUGCGGAUGAGAACGAGGUCUUAUCUGCUCCCUUUACAGAGAAGGAGGUUUAUGAUUCAAUAGCACAAAUGAAACAUAACAAGGCUCCGGGACCAGAUGGGUUCCCAGCAGAGUUUUAUAAAAAGUGUUGGCAUAUUAUUAAAGGUGAUCUCAUGCCUAUGUUCCAUGAUUUAUUCGAGGGUCAUUUGCAGCUUUUCCACCUUAACUUUGGAACAAUUACGUUGUUGCCAAAAAGGGUGGAAGCUAUACGCAUUGAACAGUUUAGACCAACUUGUCUGCUCAAUGUGAGCUCCAGAAUUUUCACAAAGGUGGGCACAAAUAGACUGACGAAGAUAGCACAUUCAGUAGUCCAACCGACACAGACUGUGUUUAUGCCUGGGAGACAUAUCCUUGAGGGGGUUGUCGUUCUUCAUGAAACGUUACACGAAAUUCAUACAAAGAAAUUAGAUGGAAUUAUCUUUAAAGUGGAUUUCGAAAAGGCUUACGAUAAGGUAAAAUGGUAAUUCCUUCAACACGCCUUACGAAUGUAAGGUUUCAAUGAAAGAUGGAGAGAUCAGAUUGAUGCUUUCGUACAAAAAGGGAGUGUAAGAGUUAAAGUAAACGAUGACAUAGGUCAUUAUUUUCAAACACAUAAGGGAUUAAGAUAGGGGGACUCAAUGUCCCUUGUAUUAUUCAACAUAGUUGCCGAUAUGUUGACAAUACUUAUUGCGCGAGCCAAAGAUAAGGGUCAAGUUGGAGGACUCAUUCCACACCUUGUAGAUGGGGGUGUAUCUAUAUUACAAUAUGCGGAUGAUACAAUUAUAUUUAUGGAACACAAUAUGGCUAAAGCAAGGAACAUGAAAUUAUUAUUGUGCUUAUUUGAACAACUAUCGAGGCUCAAAAUUAAUUUUAACAGAAGCGAAAUCUUAUGCUUUGAAAAGGCAAAAGAGGAGCAACAAGCUUAUAGACAGCUAUUUGGUUGUGAACUGGGAUCACUUCCGUUUAGCUAUCUCGAGAUCCCUAUUCAUCAUAGGCGUCUGACAAAUAAAGAAUGGAAAUGUAUCUAAGAAAGAUUUGAGAAAAAAUUAAGUUGAUGGAAGGGCAAACUUAUGUCAUAUGGAGGGAGGCUUGUAUUAAUUAACUCGGUGUUAACAAGCUUACCUAUGUUCUUAUUGUCUUUCUUUGAAAUACCUGUAGGGGUUCGAAAAAGACUAGACUUCUACAGAUCUCGUUUCUUCUGGCAAAGUGAUGAAGCUAGGAAGAAAUACAGAUUAGCUUGGUGGGAUAUUAUAUGUACUCCCAAAGAUCAGGGGGGUUUGGGCAUCGAGAAUUUAGAAGUGAAAAACAAGUGUUUGUUUAGCAAAUGGUUAUAUAGGUUAUCCACAGAAUUUGAAGGAAUGUGGAUUCAAAUACUCCAAAACAAGUACCUGAACUCUAAAACCUUAGCUCAGGUUACAGCUAGACCAAAUGAUUCCCCCUUUUGGAAAGGGCUAAUGAAGAUAAAGAUGAAUUUUUUCAAUAGGGUAAAAUUUAUAGUUGGUAAUGGUGCCUCAACAAGGUUCUGGGAAGAUACUUGGCUUGGGACACACCACUUGCAAUUCAAUUCCCCAUGUUAUACAAUAUAGUACAACGUAAAGAGGAUUAUGUAUCCACGGUACUACAAUCUAUACCGCUUAAUAUGCAGUUCAGGCGUGCUUUAGUAGGAGCUCGUUGGGAUGCAUGGUUGCAUUUGGUUGAAAGAAUCAUGCAAGUGCAUUUAUCUGAACAAUCACAUAGUAUUACGUGGAUUUUAACUAAGAAUGACGUAUUCUUAGUAAAGUCCAUGUAUGAACAUCUGAUAAAUACCGGAAUCAUAGCUAGAUCAUUACCUAUUUGGAAGAUUAAGGUGCCCCUCAGAAUUAAAAAAUUUAUGUGGUUUAUACACAAAGGGGUCAUACUAACCAAACAUAACUUACUUAAGCGCAGUUGGAGAGGAAGGCCUAACCGUUGCUAUUGUGAGCAAAAUGAAACAAUAAGACACCUUUUCAUAGAAUGCCUUCUUGCAAAAUCAUUAUGGAGAACUAUUCAAAUAGCUUUUAAUAUCAGCCCUCCUACAUGUAUGGGUUCAAUAUUUACAAGGUUGUUUAAUGGAGUUGACGUUGAAAUAUCGAAACUUAUCGGAAUUGGGAUAUGUGCUUUGUUUUGGGCAAUAUGGAAUACCAUGAAUGACAUGAUCUUUAAUGGCAAGAACUUCAACAAUUUUUUGCAGGUUAUCUACAGAGCAACGUCUUGGAUCCGUACGUGGUCGUUACUCAGUCUUGCGGAGUACAAGGGUCUUAUGGAUAUUGGGUGCAACCGAUGGGAGAUGGCCGCACGGGUUAUCUUCAACCGAUUUGGAUGGCCUGCUAAUAAUAGACUAGAUGUAUAGACAUCGUAGUCUAAUUUUAGAUACGUCGGAUGUGGCAACUGUUUACUAUUUUGUUCUUGCUUCCUUUUGCACUUCGGGCUUUUUUAGCUCUAUGAACCUAAGAUACUAUUUUAUUUAUCUUUAAUAAUAUGGUUGCAUGCAUCGAUUGAUGCAGAGGCCGGAGGCUCGUUUCCUCCUUAUCAAAAAAAAUCCCCAUCUCCACCUUCGAUGGUCUAUGGGGUUGUGUAUUGCCCCUGGAGUCGACCACUCUAGCCAGGGACGGAUGCAAGGGGGGACGAGGGGGGGCGAGACCCCCCCCCCCCCCCACCCNNNNNNNNNNNNNNNNNNNNNNNNNNNNNNNNNNNNNNNNNNNNNNNNNNNNNNNNNNNNNNNNNNNNNNGGCCCCCCCCCCCCCUAACGAUGCAGUUUUCUCUUUAUAGCGAUUGGGUUUAGCAUAGGUUUUCGCUAAUCACGCGUACUCGUUAUGUGAUUCGCCCCCUCUAUCGGCCUGCCCCUGUGUAACGAACGGCUUAAUGUGAAGCACCUUUGAGCCCAACCCAUGUCUUCUACUGUAGACUAAGCCCAAAAAGAAAACAAAAACCCAAUACAGAAAACAAAGAUCAAGCCAACUAGAUCAUGGUUUCAGGGAUCCACGCACACAUAUGCCACGACUGCAUUUCGACGGUUUCGCGGCCACUACAGAUAGCCGCCUGCCGCCUGAUCCAUCCACUUGCUGCAUCCAAUCUAACUUGAUAACUGCUCAAGGCAGCGAUCUUGCGCGGCCGCGCGGCCGAUCGGCCGGCCGCAAUGGCAGCAUCAGGGAGCAAGGCAAGAAAAAUCGAUAGAUUACUCUGCUUUGUGAUAAAAAAAAUGUAAGCUGUGUCUCUUCUCUUACUUAGUCCACUGUCCAAGAUUUAUGCUGCAAAAUUAGAUUAAUUUGUGCCUUCAGCUUUAGGAGCAGACGAGCAGUUUUUUCAUUGUUUAUCCCUUCUAUAGGAGAAAUGUUCAGUUCAUACAUUUGCAAUUGCUUUCGCAUUUGAGUUGCAGAAACUUUUGACUAAAACUGAAUUGUUCAUAGAUGAUAUCAAUUUUCUUUUGUUCAUAAGAUUUAGCUCAUUAACCUAGGCUUAUGCUCACUCGCAAAAAAAACCUAGUGGGUGAUUUUAUUUACCAGUUUCCACACGCAAAAUCUCGCCCCCCCCCCCUAUGGUAAAACCCUGCCUCCGUCCCUGACUCUAGCUGGCCUUACAUUUUACUAGAUGUUCCAACAUCAUAAUAACCCCGACAAAUCAAUAGUUAUAUACUUCCUCCGUUCUUAAAUAUAAGUCUUUUAAGAUAUUUCACUAAGAGUCUACAUACGGAGCAAAAUGAGUAAAUCUACACUUCAAAGUAUGUCUAUAUACAUCCGUAUGUGAUUCACUAAUGAAAUCUCUUUAAAGACUUAUAUUUAAGAACGGAGGGAGUAUAUAGUAAUAAAUGAGAUAUUACUUCUGACUGUACGUAUGAAAAUUGUUCUUAAAGUUGUAAAUUUUUCCGUAUUAUCGAUCAUCAUCAUCAUCAUGCAACCAAAGCGUCUUUGUGAUUGUCGUACGUGCUGAAUUACCAAGUUCGGCGCCUUCUGAAUGUCUCCGUUACAAUACAAAUCAACGCCUAUCCCGAGUCAAGUCCGUUUUCAUGAUGGUCCCUCGAGGGAAAAAAAAGUUCGUUUUCGCGGGUACGUACGAUCGAUGGAGACGGUGCAGCCAAGUGGGAGUGGAGUUGUAAUUCAUUACCGCCGCUCGGACAGCUAAAGUAGUACAGAAAUAUCUCCCUUCGUCGAGAUAUUUUGAUUCAGUUGUUACCAGAAACUCAUAAAUGACAUACAGAAGAAGUAUCGUGUGUCAGCUUUAUUUUUUUGCUGGAAUAAAACUUCUAUUACCCAAAUUGUCGCAUGAUUACAAUCAGCCAAAGACAGCUCAAGAGCAAGGGUCCAGAACCUAGCCAAGUAACAGUUCUUCCCUCUAUGGGGCAAAAUUAGCUAGACAUUCACUAACCUUAUUCUGAGAUCUACUCCCUCCGUACCGGAAUAUAAGUCGCUCGAGUAGCCAACUUUAGCUACUCCAACGACUUACAUUCCGGUAUAGAGGAAGUACUUAUAUGAGUAAUUCAAGUUUUACGGGGACGUGGAGUUUCUACAUGUGAGCUCAUAUGCACUUGAUACAAACAAUAAAAUAAAUAAUCAUUUCAAAAAAAUAAAAUAAAAAUGAUGGAAUACUUAAAGAAAUGUUUGUUUUGCAUGCAAAAUUUCAUCAUGAAAUGGCACUGGUGGAAGGCAUGGUAAAAAAAACAAAAUCGGUGCUCUCUAAAUAUUACUUUCAAACGCAUUUUUUUAGCUUUUUUUUCCUACGACUUCCAACAUAUGAUUUCGUGGUGAAAUUUUGCAUGUACAACAAACAUUUUACUGUUCACACCUAAACCUAUGAGCUCAGGUGUAGAGAGGCACUAUCGGUUCUACGGAGACUUUGCAAGUGAUGGAUUUUCCUCACCAAAGGAGCAUAAGUCUAUCUAUCUAUAUCGCUUUUUUAAAUAGACUUUUGUCCCGCUAUAUUAAUAUAGCAACCGUGAGAUACAUUAAUGAGUUUCAUACUGGGGUAAACAACACAAUCUAUACUAUUAAUCUAUCUAUACUAUUAAAGGGGGAUUUGCCGUCGUGAUGGUUCGACCUCCUUCGAUCCCCCUCCUGUCACUAGGUCCUCCCUCCCACGUUCUCCCAUAGUUUUUUUCGAUCCUUCCGAAAACCGCAUGCAAGGAAACAAAAAACCCAGCGGUCCGUCGUGGUUCAACCUUCCGUGUCAUCCCUCGAACGACUCCUUCGUAAAAGAAUCGACCUCGUCGCACAUCAGACGUCCCUUCCACCUCUCUUCCCUUCCCGCACUGUUCAAAAAUCAACGCAGAAAAAAGGAGGAAACCAGCAGAUCAACCCGCCCGGCGCCCCACGACCCCCACCCACAUCCCGUCACCAAACUUUGCCACACCAGCGCAUCUCGUCUGCGCAGCAGCCGUGCCGCCCCCCUUCUCCUCCUCCCCUCGCCGCCUCCCAUUCGCGUCCUCCGGGCAAAGCCCACGCGCGGACCCGACGGCGAUGAGGCCUAUGUCGAGCGGCUCGGCUGCGAGAGGGGGCGCGGUGAGGUGGGCCGGGGAGAGCACAUAGGACAUGAAGUCGCCGAAGGUGGCCUUGGCCGGAACGAGGGCGAGCUUGCGGGCGCGCGUACGCACCGUCCGAGCCCAGGAUGGGGCGAGGCAUCGUGGCAGGCCUUGGCGUUUGCGCCGAAGGAGCCGGGAAUGGCCACGAGGCGUCGUGGUGGAGGACGAUAAGGCGGCCGGCGUGCUUGCUUUGGCCAAGACGUCGGGGCAGAGGACGAUAUGGUGGCAGGCGUGCUCGCUUCCGAGGAUGGAGGCCGCCUCGCCGGGGCUCGGGCGGGGCAGCACGGCGUUCGGCCAUUGCCAGUGGUGCCAGGGCCAGGCGGUGGUUUGAAGGGCGACACAUAGGAGGUGUUGUCCUCGAUCCAGCGACCAGCGCAGGUUUGUUCCUCCUUCAAUUUUCUUUCACAUCAAAGCAAUUAGAGAAUUUAAGGGAGGUUGAGUUGGGGUCGCCGAUGAGUGGAUAAAGGGGUGGUGGCAGCGAUGUGGCUGAAGGUGGGGAUGCACUUGAAGGGAUGAACUUCUGCUUUAGGGAGAGAGCAGAGGGCAUGCUGGGCGCUGCUGCUUGAGAGAUAGAGAUAGAUGAGGAAGAGAGAGAGAGCACAAAGAUGAGAGAUAGAGAGCAGAGAUAGAUGCUAAUUGACACAUAUUUAGAUAAAGGGCUUGCCGGAUCUGCUGCUUGCCGCUGCUGAUAUAUAUGUAGAGAGAACAGAGGAGAGAUAGGGUUCGAUGCUGAUUUGCUCUUGUGGAGAAAAACAAGAGAGAUAGGUGAGCAAGAGAGAGAAAGCAGAUAGAUGAUAGGGAGGGAGGGAGGGACACUGAUUGCUGCACAUUUUGAUAGAUGUAUGGUGCUUCUUGUAUGACGUAUGAUGCUACUAAUUAAUGCACGUUUAGAUAGAGAAUAGAGAUGUAGCUUGCUACUGAUUGUUGUUGUUAUUGCUCGAGUCUCAUCAAUCAAUUUAUAUCUAAUAAUAAAAAGUAACAAUUUAUAUCUAGAUAAUUUGCAUCUGUCAUCAAGAGAAAAGACAUCACUGAAUCCUUUGGAUUCUAAUUGUAAGGUUAAAUAAUUUUGUGUGUGUUCUAACUCUCUAGGAUAAUCUACAGUUAUCUGGCUCGUCGUCAUGCCGCAAGUUUCCGACAUAGCUCUAUACAGUCUCACCGUUCUAUCAACUCUGCAGUAUGCCCGUACUCCAUAUUAUCUAAAUUAACUAUGCUUGUUGUAGAAGCAGGCACAUUUUUAUAGCAGGUUUAGGCUUUAAGCUUAUGUUUGAGGCAGUCUUGGUGCGAAUCUACUUUAUCUACCCCUUUAACUUUAAUUCUCAUUGAUGAUUUAUGUGACCUUUUUUUUCCUGUAUCUCCUUAGGAUGUUCUGAAGUUAAAACAAAAAGCAAUGGCAACUGAUGAACGGCACAUUGAUCCUUCCUUUCCAUGUAUGGUAUGGCUUCAGCACCACUAGGAACAAAGUGGUAAACCGAUUGAUAUAAUUACAAUCUUUGGAGUUCUGUAUAAAAUACUAACAUGGUGUUCUUCUUGUUCAGGUUUGCAAAAACUAUACACGUGCAUACUUGCAUUGUCUUGUCACGAAAGAUCCUAUGGGCUCUCAACUGCUGUCAUAUCACAAUUUAUCAUUUAUGAUGCGGGUACCCUGUCAAUAUUUUUUUUCCGAUUAGUUCAUUUUGAGCACCAUCAGCUAUUGUUUGAUCACUCUCAUUUCUGUUUCAGUUAAGUAGAGAUCUCCACAUAUCGAUUCUUGAAGGACGAUUUCCAGAGUAUGUUGUCUCAUUCGACAUAAAUCUGCCUGAUUUGUCAGUGAAAUAGUGUGUUGGUAAAUAACGAAAUUCUGCUGACAUGUUGCAGAUUCGUGAGAGGAUUCUUGAGGGUGCGGGUUUGUCUUGUUCUCCAAUCUCUAUUCUAUCAUAUAUGCUUGAACCAAAAAUAGCCGAGCAACAAACUACUCCCUUGUUUCAUCUGCUACCCAAUCAUCUACAAAGCCAAAAACCAUACCCUGUUUUGUUAUUAUGUUUCUUAAUAGUUUGAGUUACCCGUAAACACUCAAAUCAUGAUGAUGACAGUUCCCGAAGGGCGACGUGCCAGAGUGGGUUCACAAUGCAAUGGAGGUUGUCGGCAUUGACAUAUCGGAGUGCUGCACCCCGACCAAUUGUCAGCAUGACGCAAUGGAGGCCGCUGGCGUCGACAUAGCGGAGUUUUGCCUGCCGACCAAGUGCCCCUGACGCGGAACGCUCGGGGGCAUUCAUUACAGAAAUGAGACGCGUUUUCACGAGGUUUUGCUUUAGAUUGGGUUUCAGGUAAACACGGAAAAGGUACAACUGUAGGAGUGAACACAAUAUUCUGCCUGAAUAACUUUUGUGGCAUUCGUAUGCUUUUGUUAUGCAAUGUGCAUUGCUUCUAUUGUGGUCAUAGAAGGGGAGGUGGAUGCUUGAGCUAUAGGUGCUUAAGUUAUUUUGAGAACUGAAAAAGUGAGCGUCUGCUUGUAAAAAUGUUGUUGACAUAAGAGGCUUCAUGACUCAUCUUCAUAGGAUGUUCUAAUCUUCUAGCCAUGUGAUGGUGGUAGUAUAGCGAGUGAUGAUUGGCAUGUAUUGUGUGCGUGCUUGGUUCAAUUUAUUUUGGUUCAGUUACUUAUUAUGUUGAUAUUUGAAGUUUCAGGAGUGCUAAACUUAGCAUCUUGAUUAUUGAGUAUGGUGUUGUUGUUGUCAUAAAUUCUAUCAGUCGGCACCUUUCGCGCUUUUAGUGUAAUUGAGGUGUUGGAUCGAACAUACAAUUCCUUACAUCUAAAUCUAUUUACUAGCACCGCUAUGGGUCUCCUCUUACAUUAUCGGAUCACUUUUGACAUCAUAACUGUAUUUUGUUUUUGUAAUGUGAAGACCGCGAAAAGCAGUCGUUACCAUUGUAGUAUUGUUACUAUUUGUGCACCAGGUGCCAAUGAAGUGAAGAAAGCAGUCAAGACCUUUGAUGUGAUGGAGAGGUUUAAAGUGGAAGCGGACCAAACUGUAUUUUAUUCCCUUCUUCGUGCUCUUUGCAGAAGUGAAAACAUAGAAGAUGCUGAGGAGUUGCUUCUUGCAAGAAGAAAAAUUUUCCCACUCACAGCAGAAGGUUUCAAUAUAAUACUUGAUGGUUGGUGUAACAUAUUCACCGAUCUGGCCGAAGUAAAGAGAAUUUGGAGAGAAAUGUCAAAUUGCUGCAUUACUCAUGAUGGUACAUCUUAUGCUCUCAUGGUCUGAUGUUUCUCUAAGGUAGGUAACCUUUUUGAUACUCUGAGGGUUUACGAUGAGAUGAAGAAGAGGGGUUGGAGUCCUCGUAUUGAUGUCUAUAACCAACUUAUUUAUGUUUUGACAAGAGAGAAUUGCGUGAAGGUGUACAACGAGUGCGCGGCGGAGCUUCGGGUGGGCGUGGAGGGGGAGUUCCACGUGGGGCGGGAGAGCGUGGACGAGUACUGCGGCAGGGCCUGCUUUGUCGAGACGGAGAUGGCGCUGCGGUGCGUGAAGGAGGUCACCCACGACAGCUUCACCUUCUCCAACGGCGCCUCGUUGUUCGACGUGAAGCAGGCGCUCGGCAGCGGCUGCAGCUACACGCCCGAAAGAGGAACCUUCGACAUACGUGAGCGCAGGGAGUGCCGCGACGAGUACGGUUACGUCUACGACGGCACGCACGAGCAACUCGGCUAUGACGAAGAGUGUUGGAAAUAUGCCCUAGAGGCAAUAAUAAAAUGGUUAUUAUCAUAUUUCCUUGUUCAUGAUAAUCGUCUAUCGUUCAUGCUAUAAUUGUAUUAACAGGAAACAGUAAUACAUGUGUGAAUGAAUAGAUCACAAUGUGUCCCUAGCAAGCCUCUAGUUGGCUCUCGUUAGUCAAUAGAUGAUCAUGGUUUCCUGAUCAUGGACAUUGGAUGUCAUUGAUAACGGGAUCACAUCAUUGGGAGAAUGAUGUGAUGGACAAGACCCAAUCCUAAGCCUAGCACUAGAUCGUAUUGUUUGUAUGCUAAUGCUUUUAUAAUGUCAAGUAUCUUUUCCUUUGACCGUGAGAUUGUGCAACUCCCGGAUACCGUAGGAGUGCUUUGGGUGUAUCAAACGUCACAACGUAACUGGGUGACUAUAAAGGUGCACUACGGGUACCUCCGAAAGUGUCUGUUGGGUUGGCACGAAUCGAGAUCGGGAUUUGUCACUCCGUGUGACGGAGAGGUAUCUCUGGGCCCACUCGGUAGAACAUCAUCAUGAGCUCAAUGUGACUAAGGAGUUAGUCACACGAUGAUGUGCUACGGAACGAGUAAAGAGACUUACCGGUAACGAGAUUGAACAAGGUAUAGGUAUACCGACGAUCGAAUCUCGGGCAAGUUCUAUACCGACAGACAAAGGGAAUCGUAUACGGGAUUGAUUGAAUCCUUGACAUCGUGGUUCAUCCGAUGAGAUCAUCGUGGAGCUAGUGGGAGCCACCAUGGGUAUCCAGACCCCGCUGAUGGUUAUUGGCCAGAGAGGUGUCUCGGUCAUGUCUGCCUGUCUCCCGAACCCGUAGGGUCUACACACUUAAGGUUCAAUGACGCUAGGGUUAUAGGGAAUUGUUAUACGAGAUUACCGAAAGUUGUUCGGAGUCCCGGAUGAGAUCUCGGACGUCACGAGGAGCUCCGGAAUGGUCCGGAGGUAAAGAUUGAUAUAUAGGACGGAUGGUUUCGGACACCGGAAGUGUUUCGGGCAUCACCGGUAACGUACCGGGACCACCGGGACCACCGGAGGUGGUCCCGGGGGGCCACCGAAAGGGGGUGACGACCCCGGGAGGCUAGAUGGGCUAAGUGGGUAAGGGAACUAGCCCCUAAGUGGGCUGGUGCGCCCCCCACCCAGCCCAUGUGCACGAGAAAAAAGGGGAGAGGGGGGAACCCUAACUUAGGUGGGCCUUAGGCCCACCAGAGGGGUGCGCCACCCCUCCUCCCUCAUCUGGCCGCCACACCCCCCAUCUGGGAGGGCUGCCGCACCCCCUAGGGUGGGAACCCUAGGGGUGGCACCCCCUCUCCCCUUCCCCUAUAUAUAGUGGGCACUUUUGGCCUUUGGAGGACACGGUUUUCCCUCUCCCUCGGCGCAGCCCUGCACUUCUUCCUCCUCCUCUGUGCCGGCGCUUGGCGAAGCCCUGCCGGGAGACCUCGUCUCUCCACCAACACCACGCCGUCGUGUUGCUGGUCUUCUUCCCCAACCUCUCCCUCCUCCUUGCUGGAUCAAGGUGCGGGAGACGUCACCGGGCUGCACGUGUGUUGAACGCGGAGGUGUCGUUGUUCGGCACUAGAUCGGAAUCGCUGCGAGUACGACUCCAUCAACCGCGUUCUAGCAACGCUUCCGCUUAGCGAUCUUCAAAGGUAUGAAGAUGCUCUUACCCCUCUCUCGUUGCUGGUCUCUCCAUAGGAAGAUCUGAACAUGCGUAGGAAAAUUUUGAAUUUAUGCUACGUUACCCAACAGUGGCAUCCGAGCCAGGUUUUCUAUGCGUAGAUUCCAUGCACGAGUAGAACACAAAAGUUGUGGGCGAUGGUUUGUCAAUUUGCUUGCCGUUACUAGUCUUAUUCUUUUCCGGCGUUAUUGUGGGAUGAAGCGGCCCGGACCGACCUUACACGUACGCUUACGUGAGACUAGUUCCACCGACAAACAUGCACAUCGUGCAUAAAGGUGGCUAGCGGGUGUCUGUCUCUCCUACUCUAGUCGGAUUGGAUUUUAUGAAAAGGGUCCUUAUGAAGGGUAAAUAGCUUUGGCAUAUCAUUGUUGUGGCUGUCACGUAGGUAAUAAGGUGUUCUUGCUAGAAACCCAAAUCAGCCACGUAAAACUUGCAACAACAAUUAGAGGACGUCUAACUUGUUUUUGCAGGGUUUGACAUGUGAUGUGAUAUGGCCAAAGUUGUGAUGUUGCAUGUAUGAUGUAUGAGAUGAUCAUGUUAUUGUAAUAGGUUUCACGACUUGCAUGUCGAUGAGUAUGACAACCGGCAGGAGCCAUAGGAGUUGUCUUAAUUUAUUGUAUGAGAUGCAACGCCAUGUGCUUACUACUUUUACUUCAUUGCUAACGGUUAGCCAUAGUAGUAGUGAUAGUAGUAGUUGGCGUGACGACUUCACGGAGACACGAUGAUGGAGAUCAUGGUGUCACGCCGGUGACGAUGAUGAUCAUGCGAUGCCUGAAGAUGGAGAUCGAAAGAGCAAAGAUGAUAAUGGCCAUAUCAUGUCACUGUAUGAUUGCAUUGUGAUGUUUAUCAUGUUUUACAUCUUAUUGCUUAAAACGGCGGUAGCAUAAUAAGAUGAUCCCUCUUAAAAUUUCGAGAACGUAUUCCCCUAAGUGUGCACCGUUGCGAAGGUUCGUUGUCUCGAAGCACCACGUGAUGAUCGGGUGUGAUAGAUUCUAACGUUCGCAUACAACGGGUGUAAGCCAGAUUUACACACGCGAAACACUUAGGUUGACUCGACGAGCUUAGCAUGUACAGACAUGACCUCGAAUACAAGAGACUGAAAGGUCGAACAUGAGUCGUAUGGUUGAAUACGAUCAGCAUGAAGUUGCUCACCAUAGUGACUAGUCCGUCUCACGUGAUGAUCGGACACGGGUUAGUCAACAUGGAUCGUGUAUCACUUAGAUGACUAGAGGGAUGUCGAUUUAAGUGGGAGUUCAUACUUAAUUUGAUUAAAUGAACUUAAUUGUCAUGAACUUAGUCUAAAAGUUGUCUUUAUAAAUAUUGUAGAUGUCCAACGUCAACCUCAACUUCAACGCAUUCCUAGAGAAAAACAAGCUGAAAGAUGAUGGUAGCAACUAUGCGGACUGGGUUCGCAACCUGAAGCUCAUCCUUGAAGCAGCUAAAAAGGCUUAUGUCCUUAAUGCGCCGCUAGGUGACCCUCCCGCUCCCGCAGCAGCGCAGGACGUUCUAAACGUCUGGCAAGCGCGGAGUGAUGACUACUCUCUGGUCAGGUGUGGCAUGUUAUACAGUUUGGAAACGGGGCUCCAAAGACGUUUUGAGCAACACGGGGCAUAUGAGAUGUUCCAAGAGCUGAAGCUAGUUUUUCAAGCUCAUGCCCGUGUCGAGAGAUAUGAAGUCUCCUACAAGUUCUUCAGCUGUAAGAUGGAGGAGAACAGUUCUGUCAGUGAGCACAUACUCAAAAUGUCUGGGUUACACGGUCGUCUGACUUCACUUGGAGUCGAACUUCCGGAUGAUGCUAUCAUUGACAGAAUCCUCCAGUCUCUCCCACCAAGCUACAAAGGCUUUGUGCUUAACUACAACAUGCAAGGGAUGGAGAAAACCAUUCCCGAGUUGUACUUGAUGCUCAAGUCUGCAGAAGUAGAAAUCAAGAAGGAGCAUCAAGUGUUGAUGGUCAACAAGACCACUAGUUUCAAGAAAGGCAGGGGUAAGAAGAACUUCAAGAAAGACGGCAAAGCUGUUGCCGCGCCCGGUAAGCCAGAUGCCGGGAAGAAGAAAAAGAACGGACCCAAGCCUGAGACUGAGUGCUUCUACUGCAAGGGAAAAGGUCACUGGAAGCGGAACUGCCCCAAAUACUUAGCGGACAAGAAGGCCGGCAACGUUAAAGGUAUAUGUGAUAUACAUGCUAUUGAUGUGUACCUUACCAGCGCUCGUAGUAGCUCCUGGGUAUUUGAUACCGGUGCUGUUGCUCACAUUUGCAACUCAAAGCAGGAACUGCGGAAUAAGCGGAGACUGGCCAAGGACGAGGUGACGAUGCGCGUCGGGAAUGGUUCAAAGGUCGAUGUGAUUGCCAUCGGCACGCUACCUCUACAUCUACCGUUGGGAUUAGUUUUAAACCUUAAUAAUUGUUAUUUAGUACCAGUUUUAAGCAUGAACAUUGUAUCAGGGUCUUGCUUAAUGCGAGACGGCUACUCAUUUAAGUCAGAGAAUAAUGGUUGUUCUAUUUAUAUGAGUGAUAUGUUUUAUGGUCAUGCUCCGCUGGUGAAUGGUUUAUUCUUGAUGAAUCUCGAUCGUGAUGUUACACAUAUUCAUAGUGUGAGUACCAAAAGAUGCAAAGUUGAUAAUGAUAGUCCCACAUACUUGUGGCACUGCCGCCUUGGUCAUAUCGGCGUUAAGCGCAUGAAGAAGCUCCAUACUGAUGGACUGCUAGAGUCUCUUGACUUUGAAUCAUUUGACACAUGCGAACCGUGCCUUAUGGGCAAGAUGACUAAGACUCCAUUCUCAGGAAUAAUGGAGAGAGCAACCGACUUAUUGGAAAUAAUACAUACUGAUGUGUGUGGUCCAAUGAACGCUGAAGCUCGCCGGUGGUUAUCGUUAUGUUCUCACUCUCACCGAUGAUUUGAGUAGGUAUGGGUAUAUCUACUUGAUGAAGCACAAAUCUGAGACGUUUGAAAAGUUCAAGGAAUUUCAGAGUGAGGUUGAGAAUCAACGUGACAGAAAGAUUAAAUGUCUACGAUCUGAUCGUGGAGGAGAAUAUUUGAGUCACGAGUUUGGCACACACCUAAGGAAGUGUGGAAUCGUUUCACAACUAACGCCGCCUGGCACACCGCAGCGCAACGGAGUGUCUGAACGUCGUAAUCGCACCUUAUUAGAUAUGGUACGAUCUAUGAUGUAUCUCACCGACUUACCGCUAUCAUUUUGGGGAUACGCAUUAGAAACUGCAGCAUUCACUUUAAAUAGGGCACCGUCUAAAUCCGUUGAGACGACACCGUAUGAACUGUGGUUUGGCAAGAAACCUAAGUUGUCGUUUCUUAAAGUUUGGGGCUGCGAUGCUUAUGUGAAGAAACUUCAACCAGAAAAGCUCGAACCCAAAGCGGAGAAAUGCGUAUUCAUAGGAUACCCUAAGGAAACUAUUGGGUAUACCUUCUAUCUUAGAUCCGAAGGUAAAACCUUUGUUGCCAAGAACGGAUCCUUUCUAGAGAAAGAGUUUCUAUCGAAAGAAGUAAGUGGAAGGAAGGUAGAACUUGAUGAGGUGAUUACACCCCCUCUCGAACAGGAAAGUAGCGCAGCGCAAGAAGUUGUUCCUGUGGUGCCUACACCGACUGAAGAGGAAGUUAAUGAUGAUGAUCAUGAAGCUUCGGAUCAAGUUACUACUGAACCACGAAGGUCCACAAGGGUACGCUCCGCUCCAGAGUGGUACGGCAACCCUGUGAUGGAAAUCAUGUUGUUAGACAACGGUGAACCUUCGAACUAUGAAGAAGCGAUGGCGGGCCCGGAUUCCAACAAAUGGCUUGAGGCCAUGAAAUCCGAGAUAGGAUCCAUGUAUGAGAACAAAGUAUGGACUUUGGUGGACUUGCCCGAUGACCGGCGAGCCAUAGAAAAUAAAUGGAUCUUCAAGAACAAGACUGAUGCAAACGGUAAUGUAAUCGUUUACAAAGCUCGACUUGUCGCAAAGGGUUUUCGACAAAUUCAAGGAGUUGACCACGAAGAGACUUUCUCUCCCGUAGCGAAGCUGAAAUCAGUCCGAAUCAUGUUAGCAAUUGCCGCCUUUUAUGAUUAUGAAAUUUGGCAAAUGGACGUCAAAACAGCGUUCCUUAACGGGAACCUUAAGGAAGAGUUGUAUAUGAUGCAACCAGAAGGUUUUGUCGAUCCUAAAGGUGCUAACAAAGUAUGCAAGCUCCAACGCUCCAUCUAUGGGCUGGUGCAAGCAUCUCGGAGUUGGAACAUUCGCUUUAAUGAGGUGAUUAAAACGUUUGGGUUCAUACAGGUUUACGGAGAAGCCUGUCUGUACAAGAAAGUGAGUGGGAGCUCUGUAGCUUUCCUCGUACUAUAUGUGGAUGACAUAUUAUUGAUGGGGAAUGAUAUAGAGAUGUUUGAGAGCAUAAAGGCCUAUUUGAACAAGAGUUUUUCAAUGAAGGACCUUGGAGAAGCUGCAUACAUAUUAGGCAUCAAGAUCUAUAGAGAUAGAUCGAGACGCCUCAUGGGUCUUUCGCAAAGUACAUACCUUGACAAGAUAUUGAAGAAGUUCAAUAUGGAAAACUCAAAGAAAGGGUUCUUGCCAGUUUUGCAAGGUAUGAGAUUGAGUAAGACUCAGUCGCCGACCACGGCAGCAGAUAGAGAAAAGAUGAGUUCUGUCCCCUACGCUUCAGCCGUGGGCUCUCUGAUGUAUGCCAUGCUGUGUACCAGACCUGAUAUAAACCUUGCGAUAAGCUUGGUAGGGAGGUACCAAAGUAAUCCCGGUGCGGAACACUGGACAGCGGUCAAGAAUAUCCUUAAGUACCUGAAAAGGACUAAGGAAAUGUUUCUCGUUUAUGGAGGUGACGAAGAGCUCGUCGUAAAGGGUUACGUUGAUGCUAGCUUCGACACAGAUCCGGAUGACUCUAAGUCACAAACCGGAUACGUAUAUGUGUUGAAUGGUGGGGCAGUGAGCUGGUGCAGCAGCAAGCAAGAAGUCGUGGCAACAUCUAGAUGUGAAGCGGAGUACAUAGCUGCUUCAGAAGCGGCGCAUGAAGGAAUUUGGAUGAAGGAGCUCAUCACCGACCUUGGAGUGGUUCCAAGCGCGUCGGGUCCUAUGACACUCUUCUGUGAUAACACUGGAGCCAUUGCCAUAGCCAAAGAGCCCAGGUUUCACCGAAAGACGAAGCACAUCAAGCGCCGCUACAACUCCAUCCAGGGCCAUGUCCAGAGUGGAGUGAUAUAUAUUUGUAAAGUACACACGGAUCUGAAUAUUGCAGACCCGUUGACUAAACCUCUUCCACGAGCAAAACAUGAUCAGCACCAUAAUGCUAUGGGUGUUCGAUACAUCACAAUGUAACUAGAUUAUUGACUCUAGUGCAAGUGGGAGACUGUUGGAAAUAUUCCCUAGAGGCAAUAAUAAAAUGGUUAUUAUCAUAUUUCCUUGUUCAUGAUAAUCGUCUAUCGUUCAUGCUAUAAUUGUAUUAACAGGAAACAGUAAUACAUGUGUGAAUGAAUAGAUCACAAUGUGUCCCUAGCAAGCUUCUAGUUGGCUCUCGUUAGUCAAUAGAUGAUCAUGGUUUCCUGAUCAUGGACAUUGGAUGUCAUUGAUAACGGGAUCACAUCAUUGGGAGAAUGAUGUGAUGGACAAGACCCAAUCCUAAGCCUAGCACUAGAUCGUAUUGUUCGUAUGCUAAUGCUUUUCUAAUGUCAAGUAUCUUUUCCUUUGACCGUGAGAUUGUGCAACUCCCGGAUACCGUAGGAGUGCUUUGGGUGUAUCAAACGUCACAACGUAACUGGGUGACUAUAAAGGUGCACUACGGGUACCUCCGAAAGUGUCUGUUGGGUUGGCACGAAUCGAGAUCGGGAUUUGUCACUCCGUGUGACGGAGAGGUAUCUCUGGGCCCACUCGGUAGAACAUCAUCAUGAGCUCAAUGUGACUAAGGAGUUAGUCACACGAUGAUGUGCUACGGAACGAGUAAAGAGACUUACCGGUAACGAGAUUGAACAAGGUAUAGGUAUACCGACGAUCGAAUCUCGGGCAAGUUCUAUACCGACAGACAAAGGGAAUCGUAUACGGGAUUGAUUGAAUCCUUGACAUCGUGGUUCAUCCGAUGAGAUCANNNNNNNNNNNNNNNNNNNNNNNNNNNNNNNNNNNNNNNNNNNNNNNNNNNNNNNNNNNNNNNNNNNNNNNNNNNNNNNNNNNNNNNNNNNNNNNNNNNNGGGAAUGACAUGCAGGAUUAUAUGAAUCCUUGGCACUGAGGUUCAAACGAUAAGAUCUUCNNNNNNNNNNNNNNNNNNNNNNNNNNNNNNNNNNNNNNNNNNNNNNNNNNNNNNNNNNNNNNNNNNNNNNNNNNNNNNNNNNNNNNNNNNNNNNNNNNNNNNNNNNNNNNNNNNNNNNNNNNNNNNNNNNNNNNNNNNNNNNNNNNNNNNNNNNNNNNNNNNNNNNNNNNNNNNNNNNNNNNNNNNNNNNNNNNNNNNNNNNNNNNNNNNNNNNNNNNNNNNNNNNNNNNNNNNNNNNNNNNNNNNNNNNNNNNNNNNNNNNNNNNNNNNNNNNNNNNNNNNNNNNNNNNNNNNNNNNNNNNNNNNNNNNNNNNNNNNNNNNNNNNNNNNNNNNNNNNNNNNNNNNNNNNNNNNNNNNNNNNNNNNNNNNNNNNNNNNNNNNNNNNNNNNNNNNNNNNNNNNNNNNNNNNNNNNNNNNNNNNNNNNNNNNNNNNNNNNNNNNNNNNNNNNNNNNNNNNNNNNNNNNNNNNNNNNNNNNNNNNNNNNNNNNNNNNNNNNNNNNNNNNNNNNNNNNNNNNNNNNNNNNNNNNNNNNNNNNNNNNNNNNNNNNNNNNNNNNNNNNNNNNNNNNNNNNNNNNNNNNNNNNNNNNNNNNNNNNNNNNNNNNNNNNNNNNNNNNNNNNNNNNNNNNNNNNNNNNNNNNNNNNNNNNNNNNNNNNNNNNNNNNNNNNNNNNNNNNNNNNNNNNNNNNNNNNNNNNNNNNNNNNNNNNNNNNNNNNNNNNNNNNNNNNNNNNNNNNNNNNNNNNNNNNNNNNNNNNNNNNNNNNNNNNNNNNNNNNNNNNNNNNNNNNNNNNNNNNNNNNNNNNNNNNNNNNNNNNNNNNNNNNNNNNNNNNNNNNNNNNNNNNNNNNNNNNNNNNNNNNNNNNNNNNNNNNNNNNNNNNNNNNNNNNNNNNNNNNNNNNNNNNNNNNNNNNNNNNNNNNNNNNNNNNNNNNNNNNNNNNNNNNNNNNNNNNNNNNNNNNNNNNNNNNNNNNNNNNNNNNNNNNNNNNNNNNNNNNNNNNNNNNNNNNNNNNNNNNNNNNNNNNNNNNNNNNNNNNNNNNNNNNNNNNNNNNNNNNNNNNNNNNNNNNNNNNNNNNNNNNNNNNNNNNNNNNNNNNNNNNNNNNNNNNNNNNNNNNNNNNNNNNNNNNNNNNNNNNNNNNNNNNNNNNNNNNNNNNNNNNNNNNNNNNNNNNNNNNNNNNNNNNNNNNNNNNNNNNNNNNNNNNNNNNNNNNNNNNNNNNNNNNNNNNNNNNNNNNNNNNNNNNNNNNNNNNNNNNNNNNNNNNNNNNNNNNNNNNNNNNNNNNNNNNNNNNNNNNNNNNNNNNNNNNNNNNNNNNNNNNNNNNNNNNNNNNNNNNNNNNNNNNNNNNNNNNNNNNNNNNNNNNNNNNNNNNNNNNNNNNNNNNNNNNNNNNNNNNNNNNNNNNNNNNNNNNNNNNNNNNNNAGCACGUGAUGAUGGCCAUAUCAUGUCACUUAUGAAUUGCAUGUGAUGUUAAUCCUUUAUGCACCUUAUCUUGCUUAGAACGAUGGUAGCAUUAUGAGGUGAUCUGUCACUAAAAUUUCAAGACGAAAUUGUGUUCUCCCCGACUGUGCACCGUUGCGACAGUUCUUCGUUUCGAGACACCACGUGAUGAUCGGGUGUGAUAGACUCAACGUUCAGAUACAACGGGUGCAAAAUAGUUGCACACACGGAACACUCGGGUUAAGCUUGACGAGCCUAGCAUGUGCAGACAUGGCCUCGGAACACAUGAGACUGAAAGGUCGAGCAUGAAUCGUAUAGUUGAUAUGAUUAGCAUAGAGAUGCUUACCACUAAAACUAUUCUCGACUCACGUGAUGAUCGGACUUGAGAUAGUGGAUUUGGAUCAUGUACCACUCAAAUGACUAGAGAGAUGUACUUUUUGAGUGGGAGUUCUUAAGUAAUAUGAUUAAUUGAACUAAUUGUCAUGAACAUAGUCUAAUGGUCUUUGCCAAUUACGAUGUAGCUUGCGCUAUAGCUCUACUGUUUUUAUAUGUUUCUAGAGAAAAUUUAGUUGAAAGUUGAUAGUAGCAAACUUUGCAGACUGAGUCUAUAAAACCGAGGAUUGUCCUCGUUGCUGCGUAGAAGGCUUAUGUCCUUAAUGCACCACUCGGUGUGCUGCACCUCGAGCGUCGUCUGUAGAUGUUGUGAACAUCCUACAUACACGUUUCUGAUGACUACACGAUAGUUCAGUGCAAAAUACUGAAUGGCUUAGAAGCAAGGCGCCGAAGAUGUUUUGAAACAUCAUGGAACAUAAGAGAUGUUCUAAAGAGAUGAAAUUGUGAUUUCAUGCCUGUGCCCUUGUUAAGAGGUAUGAGACCUCCGACAAGAUUCUUUGUCCACGAAGUAAAGGAGAAAAUCUCAAUCGUUGAGCAUGUGCUCAGAUUAUGUGAGUACGACAAUCGCUUGAAUCAAGUGGGAGUUGAUCUUCCAGAUAAGAUAGUGAUGGUUCUCCAAAGUCACUGCCACCAAGCUGUGAUUGCUUCGUGAUGAACUAUAACAUAUCAAGGAUAGAUACAAUGAUCCUUGAGCAAUUCGCGAUGUUUGACACUGCGAAAGUAGAAAUCAAGAAGGAGCAUCAAUAGUUGAUGGUUAGUAAAACCACUAAGUUUCAAGAAAGGCAAGGGCUAGAAGGGAUACUUCGUGAAACGGCAAAACAAUUGCUGCACUAAUGAAGAUACCCAAGAUUAAACCCAAACCCGAGACUAAAGUGCUUCUGUAAUGAGGGGAACAGUCACUGAGGCGGAGCAACUCUAGAUACUUGGUAGAUAAGAAGGCUGGCAAAAGUCGAAAGAAGUAUAUUUGAUAUACAUGAUGUUGAUGUGUACUUUACUAGUACUCCUAGUAGCACGAGGGUAUUGGAUACCAGUUCGGUUGCUAAGUGAUUAGUAACACGAAAUAAAAGCUAUGGCAUAAACGGAGACUAGCUAAAGGCAUGAUCGGGUGUGAUAGACUCAACGUUCACAUACAACGGGUGCAAAAUAGUUGCACACACGGAACACUCGGGUUAAGCUUGACGAGCCUAGCAUGUGCAGACAUGGCCUCGGAACACAUGAGACUGAAAGGUCGAGCAUGAAUCGUAUAGUUGAUAUGAUUAGCAUAGAGAUGCUUACCACUAAAACUAUUCUCGACUCACGUGAUGAUCGGACUUGAGAUAGUGGAUUUCGAUCAUGUACCACUCAAAUGACNNNNNNNNNNNNNNNNNNNNNNNNNNNNNNNNNNNNNNNNNNNNNNNNNNNNNNNNNNNNNNNNNNNNNNNNNNNNNNNNNNNNNNNNNNNNNNNNNNNNCGAUGAUCUCGGCCUUCUUGAUCCAGCAAGAGAGACGGAGAGGUAGAUGAGUUCUCCGGCAGCGUGACGUCGCUCCGGAGGUUGGUGGUGAUCUUAUCUCAGCAGGGCUCCGCCCGAGCUCCGCAGAAACGCGAUCUAGAGGUAAAACCGUGGAGGUAUGUGGUCGGGCUACCGUGGCAAAGUUGUCUCAAAUCAGCCCUAAAACCUCCGUAUAUAUAGGUGGGAGAGGGGGGCCUUGCCUUGGGGCUCAAGGAGCCCCAAGGGGGUCGGCCGAGCCAAGGGGGGAGUCCUCCCCUUCCAAACCGAAUCCAACUAGGUUUGGAAGGUGGAGUCCUUCCCCUUUUUCCCACCUCCCCUUUUUUUCUCUUUGAUCUUCUUCCUAUGGCGCAUAGGGCCUUCUUGGGCUGUCCCACCAGCCCACCAAGGGCUGGUGCGCCACCCCCAAGGCCUAUGGGCUUCCCCGGGGUGGGUUGCCCCCCCCCCCCGGUGAACACCCGGAACCCAUUCGUCAUUCCCGGUACAUUCCCGGUAACUCCGAAAACCUUCCGGUAAUCAAAUGAGGUCAUCCUAUAUAUCAAUCUUCGUUUCCGGACCAUUCCGGAAACCCUCGUGACGUCCGUGAUCUCAUCCGGGACUCCGAACAACAUUCGGUAACCAACCAUAUAACUCAAAUACGCAUAAAACAGCGUCUAACCUUAAGUGUGCAGACCCUGCGGGUUCGAGAACUAUGCAGACAUGACCCGAGUGACUCCUCGGUCAAUUUCCAAUAGCGGGACCUGGAUGCCCAUAUUGGAUCCCACAUAUUCUAUGAAGAUCUUAUCGUUUUUCCGAACCAUUCCGGAAACCCUCGUGAUGUCCGUGAUAUCAUCCGGGACUCCGAACAACAUUCGGUAACCAACCAUAUAACUCAAAUACGCAUAAAACAAUGUCGAACCUUAAGUGUGCAGACCAUGCGGGUUCGAGAACUAUGUAGACAUGACCCGAGAGACUCCUCGAUCAAUAUCCAAUAGCGGGACCUAGAUGCCCAUAUUGGAUCCUACAUAUUCUACGAAGAUCUUAUCGUUUGAACCUCAGUGCCAAGGAUUCAUAUAAGCGUCUAACCUUAAGUGUGCAGACCCUGCGGGUUCGAGAACUAUGCAGACAUGACCCGAGUGACUCCUCGGUCAAUUUCCAAUAGCGGGACCUGGAUGCCCAUAUUGGAUCCCACAUAUUCUAUGAAGAUCUUAUCGUUUGAACCUCAGUGCCAAGGAUUCAUAUAAUCCCNNNNNNNNNNNNNNNNNNNNNNNNNNNNNNNNNNNNNNNNNNNNNNNNNNNNNNNNNNNNNNNNNNNNNNNNNNNNNNNNNNNNNNNNNNNNNNNNNNNNGGAGAGGAUCAUGAAGCUUCGGAUCAAGUUACUACUGAACUACGAAGGUCCACAAGGGCAUGCUCCGCACCAGAGUGGUACGACAACCCUGUGAUGGAAAUCAUGUUGUUGGACAACGGUGAACCUUCGAACUAUGAAGAAGCGAUGGCGGGCCCGGAUUCCAACAAAUGGCUUGAAGCUAUGAAAUCCGAGAUAGGAUCCAUGUAUGAGAACAAAGUAUGGACUUUGGUGGACUGGUGUGCAAGCUCCAGCGCUCCAUCUAUGGGCUGGUGCAAGCAUCUCGGAGUUGGAACAUUCGCUUUAAUGAGGUGAUUAAAGCGUUUGGGUUCAUACAGGUUUACGGAGAAGCCUGUCUGUACAAGAAAGUGAGUGGGAGCUCUGUAGCUUUCCUCAUACUGUAUGUGGAUGACAUAUUAUUGAUGGGGAAUAAUAUAGAGAUGUUGGAGAGCAUAAAGGCCUAUUUGAACAAAAGUUUUUCAAUGAAGGGCCUUGGAGAAGCUGCAUACAUAUUAGGCAUCAAGAUCUAUAGAGAUAGAUCAAGACGCCUCAUAGGUCUUUCGCAAAGUACAUACCUUGACAAGAUAUUGAAGAAGUUCAAUAUGGAAAACUCAAAGAAAGGGUUCUUGCCAGUUUUGCAAGGUAUGAGAUUGAGUAAGACUCAGUCGCCGACCACGGCAGCAGAUAGAGAAAAGAUGAGUUCUGUCCCCUACGCUUCAGCCGUGGGCUCUCUGAUGUAUGCCAUGCUGUGUACCAGACCUGAUAUAGAAGAUGAGUUAUGUCCCCUACGCAUCAGCCGUGGGAUCUCUAAUAUAUACCAUGCUGUGUACCAGACCUGAUAUAAACCUUGCCAUAAGCUUGGUAGGGAGGUACCAAAGUGAUCCCGGUAUGGAACACUGGACAGCGGUCAAGAAUAUCCUUAAGUACUUGAAAAGGACUAAGGAAAUGUUUCUCGUUUAUGGAGGUGACGAAGAGCUCGUCGUAAAGGGUUACGUUGAUGCUAGCUUCGACACAGAUCCGGAUGACUCUAAGUCACAAACCGGAUACGUAUAUGUGUUGAAUGGUGGGGCAGUGAGCUGGUGCAGCAGCAAGCAAGAAGUCGUGGCAACAUCUAGAUGUGAAGCGGAGUACAUAGCUGCUUCAGAAGCAACUCAUGAAGGAAUUUGGAUGAAGGAGCUCAUCACCGACCUUGGAGUGGUUCCAAGCGCGUCGGGUCCAAUGACACUCUUCUGUGAUAACACUGGGGCCAUUGCCAUAGCCAAGGAGCCCAGGUUUCACCGGAAGACGAAGCACAUCAAACGCCGCUACAACUCCAUCCAGGACCAUGUCCAGAGUGGAGUGAUAGAUAUUUGUAAAGUACACACGGAUCUGAAUAUUGCAGACCCGUUGACUAAACCUCUCCCACAAGCAAAACAUGAUCAACACCAUAAUGCUAUGGGUUUUCGAUACAUCACAAUGUAACUAGAUUGUUGACUCUAGUGCAAGUGGGAGACUGUUGGAAAUAUGCCCUAGACGCAAUAAUAAAAUGGUUAUUAUCAGAUUUCCUUGUUCAUGAUAAUUGUCUAUUGUUCAUGCUAUAAUUGUAUUAACGGGAAACAGUAAUACAUGUGUGAAUGAAUAGAUCACAAUGUGUCCCUAGCAAGCUUCUAAUUGGCUAGCUCGUUAGUCAAUAGAUGAUCAUGGUUUCCUGAUCAUGGGCAUUAGAUGUCAUUGAUAACGGGAUCACAUCAUUGGGAGAAUGAUGUGAUGGACAAGACCCAAUCCUAAGCAUAGCACUAGAUCGUAUUGUUCGUAUGCUAAAACUUUUCUAAUGUCAAGUAUCUUUUCCUUCGACCGUGAGAUUGUGCAACUCCCGGAUACCGUAGGAGUGCUUUGGGUGUAUCAAACGUCACAACGUAACUGGGUGACUAUAAAGGUGCACUACGGGUAUCUCCGAAAGUUUCUGUUGGGUUGGUACGAAUCGAGAUCGGGAUUUGUCACUCCAUGUGACGGAGAGGUAUCUCUGGGCCCACUCGGUAGAACAUAAUCAUGAGCUCAAUGUGACUAAGGAGUUAGUCACACGAUGACGUGCUACGGAACGAGUAAAGAGACUUACCGUAACGAGAUUGAACAAGGUAUAGGUAUACCGACGAUCGAAUCUCGGGCAAGUUCUAUACCGACAGACAAAGGGAAUUGUAUACGGGAUUGAUUGAAUCCUUGACAUCGUGGUUCAUCCGAUGAGAUCAACAUGGAGCAAGUGGGAGCCACCGUGGGUAUCCAGACCCCACUGAUGGUUAUUGGCCGGAGAGGUGUCUCGGCCAUGUUUGUCUGUCUCCCGAACCCGUAGGGUCUACACACUUAAGGUUCGAUUACGCUAGGGUUAUAGGGAAUUGUUAUACAAGGUUAUCGAAAGUUGUUCGGAGUCCCGGAUGAGAUCCUGGACGUCACGAGGAGCUCCGGAAUGGUCUGGAGGUAAAGAUUGAUAUAUAGGACGGAUGGUUUUGGACACCGGAAGUGUUUCGGGCCUCGUCGGUAACGUACCGGGACCACCGGAGGUGGCCCUGGGGGUCCACCGGAAGGGGGCCACGACCCCGAGAGGCUAGAUGGGCCACGUGCGGGAGGGAACCAGCCCCUAGGUGGGCUGGUGCGCCCCCACACUCAGCCCAUGGCGUAAGAAGAGGGGAGAGGGGGAAACCCUAGCGCAGGUGGGCCUAAGGCCCACCAGAAGGGUGCGCCACCCCUCCUCCCCCUCCUGGCCGCCGCACCUCCUCCCAUCUAGGGAUGCCGCCCCUCCCAGGAGAGGGAAACCCUCAAGGGGGCGCAGCCCCUCCCUCCCCCUAUAUAUAGUGGGCACUUUGGGCUGUUGGAGACACCAAUCUUCCUCUCCCUCGGCGCAACCCUGCUCUUCUUUCUCCUCCUCUUUGUCGGUGCUUGGCGAAGCCCUGCCGGGAGACCUCGUCUCUCCAUCGACACCACGCCGUCAUGCUGCCGGAGAUCUUCCCCAACCUCUCUCUCCUCCUUGCUGGAUCAAGGUGCGGGAGACGUCACCGGGCUGCACGUGUGUUGAACGCGGAGGUGCCGUGGUUCGGCACUAGAUCGGAAUCACACCGCGAUCUGAAUUGCCGCGAGUACGACUCCAUCAACCGCGUUCUAGCAACGCUUCCGCUUAGCGAUCUUCAAAGGUAUGAAGAUGCAUUCACCCCUCUCUCGUUGCUGGUCUCUCCAUAGGAAGAUCUGAAUAUGGGUAGAAUUUUUUUUUUUGAAUUUAUGCUACGUUACCCAACAGAUUUUACCUUGCUGAAAACCACUUGUCAGAUCCUUCUGCUCCUCGUUGGGUUCAACACUCUUACUUAUCGAAAGGACUACGAUUGAUCCUCUAUACUUGUGGGUCAUCACCCACCACCCAGGCGGUCUCCUCGCGGCCUAGGGGGGCCGGGCCAGCAGGUCACCUGGGUGACCUGUGGCCCCCAUCCGACCCUUCUUUGGCCUGUCUUUCGGAUCUGUUUGGAAACUUCUUCCCUCAAAAUUUCAGCGCAAUUGGAGAUGUUCUGAUAUUGCAACUCUUCAUGCUAUUUUCUCCGUUGAAUCCCGCAUCUGCUGUUUCGGCACCGGAAAGUUGUAAACUGUGUAAAAUAAGCCAAAACACUAUAAGUACACCAUCAUAAAGUGAAAUAUAUUAAUGAAUAGAGACAAAUUAUGAUGCAAAAUAGUGAUGCAUUUUGGACGUAUCACACAAUUACCACAAUGUAUCUCAAGGAUAGUCAAAGACAAGCACCAAGAGACUCUCAAUCUUCAAUCAGUUCACAAAAGAGGAAAUCACUCAUGAAAAUAUUCUUGUAAUCCAUGUCCAAUAGACCGCUAUCACCAUGGUCUCAGGGAUUAUACUAGAUGAGAUCAAGUGAGUACAUCAAUCCAAUACAUAGAAGAAGGGGAAACAUCAUGGGAUCACCCUAGGUUAACAUAGCCUAUGAGAACAAUCAAGAUCACAUCAUGGGAGAGAGAAUUAACCACAUAGCUACUAUAGAAGACCUCAGCCCCGAGGAGGAACUACUCCCUCUUCAUGGAGGGAGGAAGCAACGUCGAUGGAGAUGAAUCCGGGGGCACUUCCCCAUCCCAGAAGGGUGCCGACACAGGAAUUUUGGUCCCCCAAAACUUGUUGGCGAUGGCGGCGGAGAUCGGAAUUGCUUUUGGAGAAAAGGGUUCCGGAAUCAGGGUUUCCUCCACGAGGGUAAAAAUGGGAGCCAAGGUAGGGCACCAGAGGGGGUGGGCCCCACCCAAGGGGCCUCCUUGCGCGGCCAGGGGCACGUCGCGCCACGAGGGUGCCUGGAGGCCUGGUGGGCCCCCUGUGGCCCUCCUUCGGCCGUCUGGAGUCUUCUGGAACGCUGAUUUUUUUAUAUAUUUUUGUGGAUAUAAACCUGCAAUUCACAUACAUCAGCAGACAGGAACUCGCACUGGGUGCACUGAGUUAGUAGGUUAGUCCAAAUAUGUUGAAAAAGGUAUGAAAGUGUACAAAACACAUAGCAAUAUCACCCAAAACUUGCAUGGAGCAAGCAAAAAUUAUUUAUAUGUUUGGGACAUAUCAAUAGGCUAUCUUCUGGUGGAGUGAAUAAUUGGUUUUACAUGUAUAAGCACAUCGAUAACAUAAUACACCGUCCUUUCAACUAGUAAUACAUGACCCUCCGUGCUUCCUUCGGCCACUAGAACUACGCCCAUGCAUUGAUUUGUUUCCGGGAUGUAUAACAACAUUGGUUUGGCGAGCUGGGGAGCACCAAUAUUGGGUUAUUGCCAAGGAGUGUUUUGAUAUCUUCUAAAGCGGCACUAGCCUCCUUUGUCCAUUCAAACUUGUUUGUUUGUUUGAGUAAUUUGUAUAGCGCAUGGCCUUUUCCCCUAACCGUGUGNNNNNNNNNNNNNNNNNNNNNNNNNNNNNNNNNNNNNNNNNNNNNNNNNNNNNNNNNNNNNNNNNNNNNNGAACCGACUGAGGGAGGCCACGCAUGCUACGAGUCUCUGGACAGGUUAUUGGCACUUCCAACCGUGCCAAUGCUUUGACCUUGUCAGGAUUUGCUUCUAUACCUCUAUGGGAUACGAUGAAGCCAAGCAGUUUGCUAGAUGGCACUCCAAAGAAGCACUUCUCUGGAUUUAACUUGAUGUCAUAUGUUGUUGGGGAACGUUACAUGGGAAACAAAAAAAAUCCUACGCACACGAAGACCUAUCAUGGUGAUCAUCAUCUAUGAGAGGGAGAUCGGAUCCACAUAACCUUGUAGAUCACUAAGCGGGAAGCGUUAAGAAACGUGGUUGAUGUAGUGGAAUGUCUUCGCGAUCCAAAUCGUCGCUGUCCCACGAUCCGUCCCGAUCUAGCACCGAAGGACGGCACCUCCGCGUUCAGCACACGUAUAGCUCGAUGAUGAUAUCUGCCUUCUUAAUCCAGCAAGAGAGACGGGGAAAUAGAUGAGUUCUCUGGCAGCGUGACGGUGCGCCGGUGAUGGUGGUGAUCUAUUCCUGCACGGCUUCGCCUAAGCACCGCAGAAAUCCGAUCUAGAGGAAGAACUACGAACUAGAGGAGAGGGUAGCGCAUGGCUGAAUAUUGUAUCUCAAAAAACCCUCAAACCUCUAGUAUAUAUAGGAGGAAGGAGGGGGUAGGCUUCCGCACCAAGGUAGCCUCCCUUGGGCUCGGCCGAACUAAGAUAGGAGGAGUCCUCCUCCAAUCCUACUUGGAUUAGGACUCCUCCCCAAGUUGUCCACCUAUUUUGGUUUUUCCACCUUUUUUCAUCAUGGGCUUUCUUUGGUUGACUAGUCAACCCAUCAAGGGCUGUUGCGCCACCAUAAAGUUCACGUGCCCCCUUGGGGAGUGGUGGGCCGACCUGGUGGACCCUCAGUGCCCAUUCGUCACUCCCGGUACACUUCCGGCAAUGCCCGAAAUCCUUCCGGAAUCCAAACACCAACUUCUUAUAUAUAAAUCUUCGUUUCCGGACCAUUCCGGAACUCCUCGUGAUGUCCGGGAUCUCAUUUGGGACUCCGAACAAAACUUCUGUCACCAACACCUACAACUCAACUAUACCGAAAUGUCACCGAACAUUAAGUGUGUAGAUCCUGUGGGUUCGAGAACUAUGCAGACAUGACCUGAGACACUCCCCGGUCAAUAUCCAAUAGCGGGACCUGGAUGUCCAUAUUGGAUCCUACAUAUUAUACGAAACUCUUAUCGGUUGAACCUCUAUGUCAAGGAUUCAUAUAAUCCCGUAUACCAUUCUUGUUGUCCUUCGGUAUGUUACUUGCCCGAGAUUUCGUCGGUAUCUCCAUACCUAUUUCAAUCUCGUUACCGGCAAGUCUCUUUACUUGUUCUGUAAUACAAGAUCUCGUGACUAACUCUUCAGUCACAUUACUUGCAAGGCUUGUGUGUGAUGUUGUAUUACCGAGUGGGCCCCGAGAUCCCUCUCCGUCACACAGAGUUACAAAUCCUAGUCUUGAUCCAUGCUAAUUGAACGGACACCUUUGGAGAUGCCUGUAGAGUACCUUUAUAAUCACCCAGUAACGUUGCGAUGUUUGAUACACGCAAGGCAUUCCUCCGGUGUCAGUGACUUGCAUGAUCACAUUGUCAUAGGAAUGAAUACUUGACAUGCAGAAAACAAUAGCAACAAAAUGAAACGAUCAUAUGCUACGUUUAUAGUUUGGUUCUUGUCCAUCACAUCAUUCCCCUAAUGAUGUGAUCCCAUCAUCAAGUGACAACACUUGUCUAUGGCUAGGAAACCUUAACCAUCCUUGAUCAAAAUGCUAGUCAAUUAGAGACUCAUUAGGGACAUAGUUUUGUCUAUAUAUCCACACAUGCAUUUAUGUUUCCAUUCAAUACAGUUAUAGCAUGGAUAAUAAAAGAUUAUCUUGAAACAGGAAAUAUAAUAAUAACUAUUUUCUUAUUGCCUCUAGGGCAUAUUUCCAACAGUCUCCCACUUGCACUAGAGUCAAUAAUCUAGCCUCACAUCUUCAUGUGAUUUACAAUGUAAUGAAUCUAACACCCAUACAGUUCUGGUGUUGUUCAAGCUUUGCUCAUGGAAGAGGUUUAGUGAGCGGAUCUGCAACAUUCAGAUCCGUGUGCACUUUGCAAAUAUUUAUGUCUUCCUCCUUGAUGUAAUCGCGGAUGGCGUUGAAGCGUUGCUUUAUGUGUCUGGUCCUGAUAUGUCCCAAACGUAUCUUUAAUUUCUGCUUGUUCCAUGAUCUUUUGGAUGACAUUGUUAUAUGUUUUGCUACACUUUUAUAUCUUUUUACGCGUAUUUGGACUAACCUACUAACUCAGUGCACCCAGUGCCAAUUUAUGUGUGCUGAUGUCUUUUUUUGCAGGGGCUUUUACCCAAUUUUUCGGAGCCCCAAAAAUCCCGAGAAAUAUAUAUAUAUAACAGCGUACCGUAAGCUUCCAGAUCAUCGAAGAUGGGCCACAGGGGGUCACGGCCUGCCCAGGCGACCUCCUGGCGCGGCCUGGCCCCUGGCCGCGCCCACAGGCCGCCUGGGUGGGUCAAACCCCCUCUGACGUCGUCAUUUGGCCUAUAUUUACUCCUCCGUGAGGAAACCCUUCAAUCACAUCCAGAAUCGUGAAUUCUCCAUCAUUCCGCCGCCGCAGCGCUUCCGAGAUCGGGAGCGUCACGAGACCUCUUCCCGACACCGUGCCAGAGGGAGGAUUGACCUCCGGGAGCUUCUCCACCGCCAUGGUCACUUCCCGGACGUGACGUGAGUAGUCCUCCUUGGACCAUGAGUCCAUGACCAGUAUCUAUGUGAUGUGUUCUCUCCAAUCUUGUGCUUCAAUGAUUAGCCUUUGUGAGCUGCCCUACAUGAUCAAGGCACCUAUGUAAUUUUCCUGCUACUGCUAUGCUCGGUUUGUUGGGAUCCGAUGGAUUAUGAGAUUAUGCUCAUAUUGUUAUGAGUUAUAUAUUUGAUUAUCCUUUUAUAUUAAGUUCUUUAGUGAUUGCUACGGUAACAAAAGUCCUUCCUUGGCGCUAGGAAUUCUUCUUGCUACUUCUCUUGUUUGCGUCGGUUUUUUGCUUGAAGAGGAAAGGGUGAUGCAGCACAGGAGACGUAAGUAUUUCCCUCAGUUUGAGAACCAAGGUAUCGAUCUAGAAGGAGGGUCUCGUCAAGUCCAGAGUACCUGCGCAAACACAAACAAGCUUGCACCCAACGCUUCAAAGGGGUUGUCAAUCCCUUCAAGAUUGUUUGCAAAGUGAGAUCUGAAGGCGGAAAGUGCAACGAAGUAAAAAGUGUAAGGCUGAAAAUAUGGUGUGGAGUAGACCCGGGGGCCAUAGUGUUCACUAGAGGCUUCUCUCAAAAUAGCAAAUAUCACGGUGGGUGAACAAAUUACUGUCGAGCAAUUGAUAGAACCGUGCAAAGUAUUCACUAGAGGCUUCUCUCAAAAUGGCAAAUAUCACGGUGGGUGAACAAAUUACUGUCGAGCAAUUGAUAGAACCGUGCAAAGUCAUGACGAUAUCUAAGGCAAUGAUCAUACAUAUAGGCAUCACGUCCGAGACAAGUAGACCGAUACUCUGUGCAUCUACUACUAUUACUCCACACAUCGACCGCUAUCCAGCAUGCAUCUAGUGUAUUAAGUUUAUGACGAACAGAGUAACGCCUUAAGCAAGAUGACAUGAUGUAGAGCGAUAAUCUCAAACCAAUGAUGAAAACCCCAUCUUUUUACCCUUGAUGGCAACAACACGAUGCGUGCCUCGCUACCCCUUCUGUCACUGGGUGAGGUCAUCGCACGGUAUGAACCCAAAACCAAGCACUUCUCCCAUUGCAGGAAUCAUAGAUCUAGUUGGCCAGACAAAACCCACAACUCGAAGAGAAUUACAAGGAUAUGAAAUCAUGCAUAAGAGAGAUCAGAAGAAACUUAAAUAAGAUUCAUAGAUAAUCUGAUCAUAAAUCCACAAUUCAUUGGAUCUCGACAAACUCACCACAAAAGAAGAUUACAUCGGAUAGACCUCCAUGAAGAUCAUGGAAAACUUUGUAUUGAAGAUCCAAGAGAGAGAAGAAGCCAUCUAGUUACUAGCUAUGGACCCGUAGGUCUAUGGUGAACUACGCACGCAUCAUCGGAGAGGUCAUGGUGUUGAUGAAGAAGCCCUCCGUGUCCGAAUCCCCCCUCCGGCAGGGCACCAAAACGUGCCCCAGUUAGGAUCUUGCGGAGACAGAAGCUUGCGGCGGAGGAAAAGUACUUUCGAUGACUCCUGAUUUUUUUGGGAUUUUUAGGGAAUAUAUAGGCGCAACCCCUAGGGCAGAGGGCGCCCAGGGGGCCCACAAGCCUGUGGGCCGCGGCCUCCCCCCUGGCCGCGGGGUGGGGGCUGGUGGGGCCCCUGAGGCCCCCCUGCCUUGGCUCUCAAGCUUCCCGAUCUUCUUCUGUUACGGAAAAAAUCUUUUCGGGGAUUUUCUUCCUUUUGGACUCUGUUUCAAAAUCUCCUUUGAAAGGGGUCAAAAACAUGGAAAAAAAUACGGACUGGCACUUGGCACUGAGUUAAUAAGUUAGUCCCAAAAAAUAUAAAAGGCAUUUAAAACAUCCAAAGUUUGACAAGAUAAUAGCAUGAACCAUCAAAAAUUAUAUAUACGUUAGAGACGUAUCAAGCAUCCCCAAGCUUAACUCCUGCUCGUCCUCGAGUAGGGAAGUGGUAAAGAAUGAAUUUUUGAUGUGGAAUGCUACCUAGCAUAGUUGUCCUUUGCAACUUCUUUCAGGUGAGAUGAAUGUUAAGAUCCGUAAGAUUCGAAACAAUAGUUUGCUAUUGACAUGAAAACAAUAAUACUCCAAGCAAACUAGCAAGGUAAUCAUGAACUUUCAAAAUAACAAGGCCAAUGAAAGUUAUCCCUACAAAAUCAUAUAGUCUGGCUAUGCUCCAUCAUCCCUAACAUAGCGGUUCACCAUACGUGUAUGCUACGGGAAUCACUAACUUCAACACAAGUAUUUCUAGAUUCACAACACCCUACUAACAUAACUCUUAAUAUUAGCGAAUCCACGUCUCAAAACUAAUUGAUAGGAAUCAAGACUUCUCUUUCUACUCAAUGCACACGAGGAUGGAGGUUUCUGCAUCCUCUUUGGGUACCUAUCACAUUUGGGACUACUUUCAUAGCAUAAGCCAACUACCAAGUCACGCACCGCCGUGCUCUAAAAGAUAUAAGUGAAGCACUAGAGCAAAAGUAUCUAGCUCAAAAGAUAUAAGUGAAGCACUAUGAGCAAAAGUAUCUAGCUCAAAAGGUAUAAGUGAAGCACUAUGAUCAAAAGUAUCUAGCUCAAAAGACAUAAGUGAAGCACUAUGAGCAAAAGUAUCUAGCUCAAAAGAUAUAAGUGAAGCACUAUGAGCAUUCUAGCAAAAUCACGAUGAGUGCAUGUCUCUCUCUCUCUCUCUCAAAAAGGUGUGCAGCAAGGAUGAUUGUGACACAACAAAAAGAAAAGACUCCUAAGAUACAAGACGCUCCAAGAAAAACACAUAUCAUGUGGUGAAUAAAAAUAUAGCUCCAAGUAAUGUUACCGAUGGAUUGAAGACGAAAGAGGGGAUGCCUUCCCGGGGCAUCCCCAAGCUUAGGCUUUUUGGUGUCCUUGAAUUUGGCUUGGGAUGCCUUGGGAAUCCCCAAGCUUGAGCUGUUCCACUCCUUAUCUCUUUGUCCAUGAGUACAUCACCCAAAACUUGAAAACUUCACAGCACAAAACUUAAACAGAAACUCGUGAUAACAUUAGUACAAGAAAACAAACUAUCACUUCUUUUGGUACUAUAGCAAACUUGAAUUCCAUCUAUAUUGGUGUUGGGCUACUGUAUUCUCACUUUUCAAUGGCUAGUACCCCCCGAUACUAACCAUAUUUUCAUCAAAACAAGCAACCAACUCAACAAAAACAGAAUCUGUCAAAAACAGACCAGUCUGUAGCAAUCUGUAUACUUCGUAUACUUCUCGUACCUCAAAAAAUCGGAAAAAUUACCACGGCCUGGGAAAAAGGCAUAUCAACCAGCAACAAAAACAAUCAACUCAAAAGCUCUUUCUGAAUAAAAAUGAAAAAUCAUCUCGUGAGCGAAAAGUUUCUGUCUUUUUUCAGCANNNNNNNNNNNNNNNNNNNNNNNNNNNNNNNNNNNNNNNNNNNNNNNNNNNNNNNNNNNNNNNNNNNNNNNNNNNNNNNNNNNNNNNNNUCAGCAGGAUCAAACAACCAUUACCAAGACUAGUCGUAAAGGUUUUGCUUGGCUCAAACACAAAAAGAAACACAAAAAACACAAUCACAACAGAAUUGUGAUGGCGUGGACGCAACAAAACAUAAAGAAAAAGAUAAAUUCAUUGAGUUGCCUCCCAACAAGCGCUAUUGUUUAACGCCUGUUGGGGAUGUUACCUGUGGAUGACCCGCCUAGUUGGGCCGGGUCAUCCAUUGGGUGAUUCACCCAAACAUUUAGUUAGGCCUCGUUGUGGCCGAAUCAAGGUCGUAUGACAGUUGUGGCUCUUGGAAGGUCUCCAAGCUUCGGAAGAUGGUGACUUAGAAACCACAGGGGUCACGAGUUGUAGGAAGGAAAGAAUCCUUGUAAACCCUAGGGGAUCGACCUUUAUAUAAAGGCGAGUCCCGGGGGACAGAGGGUAGGUUAGAAAUCAUCGAGUGCUAGGUUUAGGCGAGUUACGCCUUCCUUGUAAUCGAAUCCACAUCAAUACACACCAAAGCGGGACGUAGGCUAUUACCUCUUCAAAGGGGCCGAACCUAGGUAAAUCGCCGUGUCUCUCCCACUUAACCCCUUUGAUUCGCCACCAAGGUGUGAUGGCUCCAGUACUAAGUCCUUUCACGAGGACAUCUGCCGUGAAAAAACCACGACAGUUGGCGCCCACCAUGGGGCCUACGCACGGUGGAGUUGACUUUUCAAAGGGAGCCCUACCAGGGUUUGGGAGUUACGCGAUGGCGCUCAUGACUCGGAGCCGCCGCGGGAUAGCCUACAUCGACAACCAGCAAUGGGGACCUGAAGCAAAUUCAAUCGAAUCUGGCUACAGGGUCCCCUUCGGCAAGAUCAACAUCUUCAUCGGCAUGAUCGGAUCAUCCGUUCCUGAGCCGGACAUCUCCACCGACAUCGUCGAGCCGGCCAAGUACGUCCGCCCAGUCAUAACACAGAAUUUAACUCGCCCGGUCUUUGUGGGGUUCACGCAGGGAUCGGAGGAACCAGAACUCUUGGCGACUCAGGAAGUUACCCCGGUCAACUCUGACGACGAGUCAUCCAUGGGCGAUUCAGAUUCCAUCCGGUCUCUCCAUGGGGACGGUCUCGGAGGCUUGUCGCUGGCCAUGGAUCCGGAAAUCCUUGACCGAACCCGCCGCCAUAUCGCCAUCUACAUGGCUGGGGCAACUCAACCCGCACAAAACCCUACCGGAGGCGAUGGGACCGGCGGGACAUCCAGAAGUGCGUCCGCAGUCCUGGUGGACUUAGCGGCGGAAAUCACGAGACUAAUGGCGACUCCCCUCACGCCAGAGAACCAAGAGGAGAUAAAUGCAGAGUUAGCAAAGCUCAGAGAGGUGGUGGCAAAGGCCCACCAGGAUGCUGAGAUGGAGUCCGCUAGGAUCGAGACUCGACAAGCCCAAAUCACAGCCGAAAGGAUGCGAUUAAACACUGACAACUAGUGGCUCGAAAGACAGCAGCGCGCGUCCGACGCCGUCCAUCAGCGGAGACACCAGGGUCGCCUGCCCCAUGACCUCAACCCGACCCGUCUGUUCGACACUCCCCGAACCCCCGGGAUGGGAGCCGCCCCGGCAGGAGGACCGGGCCGCCCACCUAACCCGCCGGUUCAGCCGAUUGAGGGUCAAAUUCCUCGUUUCCGGACCCCUCAAGGCCACUUCUCCAACCCGGUGGAUAACGUGCUUGCCGCAACUCGCCACCUGGAGUCCCUUUCGAUCCACGGCAACACCCCAGCUGAGACUGAAGCGAGGAACGCCAUCGAGAUGUUGAAAACGGCGGUGGUUCAAAACGCCCAGUUCUCGCAUAGCCUCGAGAGGUUGCACUCCACCCCUCAGGCAAGCUACCAGGAGCAGGCCAGAGGACUAGCCUGCCGUAAACAGUGGGCCGCGACACUUCCCGCAGGACAACCCGCCCGAGCGGAACCCGCCGGGCCGAGAUCUCCCGAAUAUCCAAGACGCCCCGGCCCCCCUCGUAGGGGGCGGAGGGCGAGUUGGGGUACCAUGCUUAUCCCCGGCCCAUCGGAAUGAAAGGAUGCCCAAAGACUUUAAGGGACCACGGAAAGUGCCUAAUUAUACACCAGACCUCGAACCAACGUCAUGGAUCGAGGGUUACGAGAUUGCCAUGGACAUGCUCGACGUAAACGAGGCGGUUUGCGCCCGAUACUUCACUAUGAUGCUCGAGGGGUUGGCACGCACCUGGUUGAAAAAUUUGCCUCCCAAUUCCAUCCAGUCCUGGGCCGAGUUAAAAGAGCGUUUCAUCAAAAACUUCCAGGGAACCUGCAAACGUCCAAUGACUAUUGUCGAUCUACAACACUGUGUUCAGCGCCCGGACGAAUCAGCCCACCAUUGGUCGUGGCGGGUGGCAGAAAUUAUUCAUUCGUCAGAUGGUAUUACGGCGGCUCAAGUUGUGCUCAUCCUCGAGCACAAUUGUCAUUACGAGCCCUUAGUACAGAAGUUGGGGCGACUCAAACGAGAGGUCCAAGACAUGGGCGAACUAAUGGACACCCUCACUAGGUAUCCCGAGGCCGAUGAUACCAAGGAUCCCGGCGAGGAUGGCAAGGCUAACUCGCCCAAAAAGGGGGAGUCGUCCAAAAACCAUACCCGUUUCCAGGGACGCAACCGUCACAAUCAGGGGACCAAUGGCAAGCGUAGACCGCAGGAGGAGCCCUCGGACUUGGUCGCCAACACCAAUGCUAAUGAUGGCAAAAAGAAGAACCGAGGCUUCAGUGGGAAAAGGCCGCGUAACUAGGAAGAGUUGCUCAAGGGCCCUUGCCCGCACCACGCCACGGCCGAUGGCCCGGCGAGUCAUUCUUGGGAAAAACUGUUUCGUGAUGCGAGAAUUUCGGGCGGAGGCAAUCAAGAAGAGCCAAAACGAAGAUCCAAACCAGCGCCAAGACCAACUCGCCGCGCCCAACCAAAGGCACAACCCCUUCGGCGGCUUUCCCGAACAGGGGGCUCAGGGAGGCCCGCAACCAGGCGGCGGCCAGUACCCGGUGCACCACCAGCGGCGGUACAACCCGCCGGGAGUUUUCCAGCAGCCGCUCCCGCAGGGGGCUCCACAGGACCAGGAUGACAAUGGGGGCUUCCGCGGCAAUCCCAAACAGCUAAGUAAUGGGCAGUACCACGUUUUCACCACUAAUGCUUGCAGGCGUGAUAAAAAGGUAAGUCACCGGGCGUACAGUGUAACAGAGCCAGCGAUUCCCAGAUAUCUCCACUGGUCCGAGCAGACCAUAACAUGGAGCAGGGAGGAUCACCCGCCAAGAAUAGAUAACCCGGGCGACCUGGCAUUAGUCGUGGCUCCCCAAGUAGGGGGUUACACCCUAUCAAAGGUAUUAAUGGAUGGUGGCAGCAGCAUCAAUAUCCUAUACUUCGACACCAUCUAGAGGAUGAAUCUAUUGGAGAAAGACUUGAUGCCUUCGAACACGGUCUUCCACAGAAUUGUCCCGGGAAAGUCGGCCUACCCCAUAGGCCGGGUCAGGCUCUCAGUAGCAUUUAGAACUGCGCAAAAUUACAGGUCGGAAUCUCUAAUCUUCGAGGUGGUCAAGCUGAAAAGCCCAUACCAUGCACUGUUCGGGCGACCGGCUUACGCCCGCUUCAUGGCCCGCCCGUGCUACGUCUACCUCAAGCUCAAAAUGCAUGGUCCUAAAGGACCCAUCACGGUUGAUGGAGACAGAAGGAUCGCAAAGGAAUGUGAAGAAGGGGAUGCGUCUUAUGCGGAAGUCGCCUGUGCGGCGGAAGAGCUCAAGCACCUUCGGGCCAAUGUUGACCCGGCUGACAUCUCACCACUCAAGAAGCCGACUACAGACUCUGAGUCGCCCCUCAAGUUCAAACCGACGGAUGACACUAAGACAAUCGAUUUCGUGCCUGGCGAUUCAUCCAAGCAGUUCACCAUUGGGACGGGUCUGGACCCCAAAUAGGAAAGCGCGCUCAUCGAGUUCAUCCGUGAGAAUCAGGACAUCUUCGCAUGGAAACCUUCUGACAUGCCUGGUGUACUGAGAGAAUUGGCUGAGCACCAUCUUAACGUUGACCCAAAAUGCAAACCUAUCCAACAGUACCUUCGCAGAUUCAACAAAGAACGACGCAAGGCGAUUGGAGAAGAAGUCGCCCGCCUUUUAGCCGUCGGGUUCAUCGUGGAAGUUUUUCACCCCAAAUGGCUGGCUAACCCGGUGUUGGUACUCAAGAAGAAUGGCACUUUCCGAAUGUGCAUUGACUAUACAGACCUCAACAGGGCUUGUCCCAAAGAUCCUUUCGCUCUUCCCCGCAUCGAUCAAAUCAUUGACUCGGUGGCGGGAUGCGAACGAUUGUGUUUUCUGGACGCCUAUUCAGGAUAUCACCAGAUCAAGAUGGCCGUGGAAGAUCAGGAGAAGACGGCCUUCAUAACCCCCUUCGGGGCCUUUUGCUAUGUGUCCAUGCCUUUCGGACUCAAAAGCGCGGGGGCGACUUAUCAACGCUGUAUCCAGAAUUGUCUUCGUAGCCAAAUUGGUCGCAACGUCCAUGCCUAUGUCGACGAUAUUGUGAUCAAGACCCGCCAGGGGGAGACACUACUUGAAGACCUUAAGGAGACUUUUGAUAAUUUAUGGGUAUAUCAGAUGAAGUUAAAUCCUACCAAGUGCGUUUUUGGUGUACCUGCAGGAAAAUUGCUGGGUUUCUUGGUAUCGGAGCGCGGCAUCGAGGCUAACCCGGACAAGAUCGAAGCGGUUACCUCUCUCGGAAAGCCGGCAAAUGUUAAUCAAGUUCAACGGCUGGCGGGUCGCAUUGCGGCUUUAAGUCGUUUUGUGAGUCGCCUAGGGGAAAAGGCGAUUCCUCUUUAUCAAUUAUUAAGGAAGUCUGGCCGAUUCGUGUGGACAAAUGAAGCAGACCAGGCGCUUGAGGCCCUAAAACGCCAAUUGGUUAACCCGCCGGUCCUGGCAGCCCUGACUGAAAAGGAUCCUAUGCUUCUGUAUAUCGCGGCAAAUUCCAAGGCAGUAAGUGUGGCUGUGGUCUUUGAAAGAAAGGAGGAAGGGAAGGAAUACCCAGUGCAACGCCCAGUAUAUUUUAUCAGCGAGGUGUUAACUCUUUCCAAACAGCGAUACCCGCAUUGGCAAAAACUGGUCUAUGGGGUGUUUAUGGCAAGUCGAAAACUUAAGCAUUACUUCCAGGAGCACCCGAUCACAGUGGUGAGUUCUGCUCCCCUUGGUGAUAUUAUCCAGAAUCGGGAGGCAACAGGGCCAAUCGCCAAAUGGGCGAUAGAGCUUGGGUCUCAUCACAUACAGUAUACUCCCCGCACAGCUAUCAAAUCCCAGGCACUAGUUGAUUUCGUUAACGACUGGACCGAGCUACAGAUUCCGGAAGACCGGCCUGACCUUACCUACUGGACUAUUUACUUUGAUGGAUCUAGGCAGCUGGAAGGCUCGGGGGCUGGUGUGGUGUUAGUAUCCCCUCAAGGAGAUAAGUUCUGUUACGUUCUCCGACUCAUGUUUCCCUGCACUAAUAAUGCGGCGGAAUAUGAAGCUUUGCUUCAUGGCUUACGACUCGCGAAAGAGAUGAACCUAACACGAGUCAGGUGUUUUGGCGAUUCCGAUUUGGUGGCGCAACAAGUUUCGGGUACCUGGGACUCUCGGGAUCCCAUGAUGGUGGCUUACAGACGAGUUGCCUCUGACGUAGCGGGUUAUUUUCAUGGCUAUCAGGUGGACCAUAUUGACCGCCGACUCAACGAGGCAGCUGACGCCCUCUCGCGACUCGGCUCACAGAGAAAACCGGUUCCCCUAAUGUUUUUCUGGAUAUCUUGCAUAAGCCAUCCGUGGUCUUGCCCUCAGAGGAGGAAUUGGCGAUACCAGAUCCCGAGUCUCAGCUCGUGGCAGCUCUCCAUGUCAUUCCGGAUUGGGUGCUCCCUUAUCUGGCUUAUCUCACUCGCGGCGAGUUACCCACCGACAAAGUUUUGGCUCGCCAGAUCGUUCAGCGCAGCAAAUCCAUGGUCAUCAUUAAUGGCUAGUUGUAUAAACGGAGCGCUUCUGGGGUUUUUUAGUGAUGUGUCUCCCCCGAAGAAGGAUGCGCGAUCCUAAAUGACAUUCAUUCCGGAGACUGUGGACAUCACGCCGAGUCACGUUCUUUGGUAUCAAAGGCUUUUCGUCAUGGUUUCUAUUGGCUGACGGCUCACGCAGAUGCAGAAGACAUAGUUCGCCGGUGCGAAGGGUGCCAACGUUAUGGGAGGCAGGCUCACAUACCGGCUCAAGAAUUGAGAAUGAUUCCCAUUACUUGGCCUUUCGCAGUUUGGGGGCUGGACAUGGUUGGUCCCUUUAAAAUGUCCUCCAACAAGAAGACCCACCUAUUGGUGGCGGUUGAUAAAUUCACCAAGUGGGUUGAGGCGGAACCUGUUGGAGCUUGCGAUGCGGAGACAACGGUCAAAUUUUUGAAGAAGCUGAUUUUCCGGUUUGGAUAUCCCCACAGCAUUAUUACUGAUAAUGGUACUAACUUGUCCCAAGGGGCGAUGCAGGAUUUUUGUCAUCGAGAACAUAUCCGACUUGAUAUUUCUGCGGUUGCUCACCCGCAAUCUAACGGGCAAGGAGAACGGGCGAAUCAGGAGGUCUUACGAGGGAUCAAGCCCCGACUCAUGGUUCCCCUAGAAAGGACUCCAGGGUGUUGGGUUGAAGAGUUACCUUCGGUACUGUGGAGUAUUCGGACUACCCCGAACCGGUCCACGAGAUUCACCCCUUUCUUUUUGGUCUAUGGAGCAGAGGCUGUUCUUCCUACGGACAUAAGGCAUGACUCCCUUAGAGUCGUCGCAUAUGUGGAACAAGAUAAUGAGCUGGCGCGUCAAGAUUCUUUGGAUGCCUUGGAGGAGGCAUGUGACCUGGCUGCGGCCCGUUCGGCUGUCUACCAGCAAGAUCUGCGGCGUUAUCAUAGUCGCCGGGUUAAGAGUCGGACCUUUCAGGAAGGCGACUUAGUGCUUCGUCUAAUACAAGCUCGAGCGGGCAUGCACAAGUUGUCACCCCCUUGGGAAGGGUCGUUCGUCGUCAGCAAGAACCUCCGCAAUGGCUCUUACUAUUUGGUGGAUCUUCGGCCUAAUCGACCGACCACAGAGGCUGAGUCAACUCGCCCCUCGAAUAUUGCCCAUUUGCGGCCUUACUACACUUAAGCUCUUAAGCUUUACACUUUGUAAGUUAUUCAGUUUCAUUAUGAAGUAAUAAAAUAUUCCCCGACUUGGGGGCUUCUCUAUCAAAAAGCAAAUUGUGUCAUCAUGUUGCGACCAUAUGAGUCGACAGAAUCUGCAUUUAGGGUGGGUGCACGAGCUUUCUGACUCGCCUCCCCCUAUCGCGACCUUAUGAGCCAACGAAACCUGCAUUUAGGGUGGGUGCACGAGCUUUCUGACUCGCCUCCCCCUGUCGCGACCUUAUGAGCCGACGAAACCUGCAUUUAGGGUGGGUGCACGAGCUUUCUGACUCGCCUCCCCCUGUCGCGACCUUAUGAGCCGACGAAACCUGCAUUUAGGGUGGGUGCACGAGCUUUCUGACUCGCCUCCCCCUGUCGCGACCUUAUGAGCCGACGAAACCUGCAUUUAGGGUGGGUGCACGAGCUUUCUGACUCGCCUCCCCCUGUCGCGACCUUAUGAGCCGACGAAACCUGCAUUUAGGGUGGGUGCACGAGCUUUCUGACUCGCCUCCCCCUGUCGCGACCUUAUGAGCCGACGAAACCUGCAUUUAGGGUGGGUGCACGAGCUUUCUGACUCGCCUCCCCCUGUCGCGACCUUAUGAGCCGACGAAACCUGCAUUUAGGGUGGGUGCACGAGCUUUCUGACUCGCCUCCCCCUGUCGCGACCUUAUGAGCCGACGAAACCUGCAUUUAGGGUGGGUGCACGAGCUUUCUGACUCGCCUCCCCCUCUCGCGACCUUAUGAGCUGACGAAACCUGCAUUUAGGGUGGGUGCACGAGCUUUCUGACUCGCCUCCCCCUGUCGCGACCUUAUGAGCCGACGAAACCUGCAUUUAGGGUGGGUGCACGAGCUUUCUGACUCGCCUCCCCCUGUCGCGACCUUAUGAGCCGACGAAACCUGCAUUUAGGGUGGGUGCACGAGCUUUCUGACUCGCCUCCCCCUGUCGCGACCUUAUGAGCCGACGAAACCUGCAUUUAGGGUGGGUGCACGAGCUUUCUGACUCGCCUCCCCCUGUCGCGACCUUAUGAGCCGACGAAACCUGCAUUUAGGGUGGGUGCACGAGCUUUCUGACUCGCCUCCCCCUGUUGCGACCUUAUGAGCCGACGAAAUUACUAUUGCUAUUUUUUGUUGUGGCAUAGUCCUGAAGGUUUUUAAGCCUUUUCUUUCUGAUGCUUGUUGAAAAUAUCCAUAGUUUGUUUGUUUUCACAUAUGAUGUUUUCCAAGUUUAAAGACAAGAAGGUGAUAAGAAUUGUUCCAUCCUUGGCGAAUUAAGCAUUAAGGCGGGUCAAAUAUUUCAAAUCGCCUUAAAGACGAUAUAAGGGUUCUCGCAGAAGGUAUCAUCAAAAACAGUACUGACUUGCGGAAAAAGGACCUAUUACAUGGCUCGCAGGCCAAAUUCAGUAAAGUUUACUUCGCUAACGCCUCGGGAUCAUCCUGGCGUGAGCUCUGUCCAACUUCGAUUUGCAAGUCGCCCAAUACCCAAUUGCAUCUGGCCAAAGCAGCAAAGUCGUCUUUGUCGGUCAGAAUUGAUGCCAAGUCUGCCUCCAAGUCGAAGGGUUUUUGGGCCGCCGAGGAGUUAGGCUGGUCGUCAUGAAGGUUGGCGGGCUGACUUUCUUAUUUCUGCUAUCGUAAGCCGCCUGGUAUUUUGUUAAAUCAAGGCUUGCGGCGAGUUGAGUUGCAGACAGCCGAGAAUCCUUGACGGCUUUUUGGUAAUCCUCUUCAACAAAUUCUGAUCCAUCGUCCUUGAGCUGAGGGAAGCCAACGGCUACUUCUUUUAAGUUAAUCUCUGGAGCAUACGCUAAGCAGCGACUCAGGGCAGUCAGAACACCUUUCCGGGCGGCUGACCGAGUUAACUCGCCAAUCUGGGGGGGAAGUGUAGACAAGCAUCCAAGUACCUUCUUGAUGGAAGUAAUAGGUUCCUUGGCACCCAUCACAGCUUUGACGGUCAACACACUGCCUGUGUACAGCUGCUCUGUCAGCGUAUAAAUCGCCUUCAGCAUCAACACACAGUCUUCUUGCAGGUUGGCGGCUCUUGGACCUGAAUUAUGAUGAUUAGCGACUUAACAUCAGUAUUAUGAGUAAAAAGAAAAAAAAAGGAAAAGAAGGAAAAAAGGGGGAUGAGGUUGAAUAUUUAAGUAAGGCUUACCAAAGACGGCUUGCGUCAUGUUGGAGAUGUGACGUUUUAAGCCGGACAGUUCCUGUUGAACAGUGGCCAGCCUAACUUCAGCUUUCUCUGCCCUCUUCAAAGCGGCAUUUUGUUCAGCCUGAGCUUCUUUUAACUCGGCCUUGAGUUUUACCAGUUCGGCCAAGGCCAAUUGACAUUUUUCCUCCGACUUAGCUCGGGCGUCUUGUUGUCUAGCUAAGUUUUUUCUUAAAUCACCCAGCGCCGAUUCGGUCUGAGCAAGGUGUUCCUAUUGAAAGUUUAAAAUAAGGGCAAGUCUCAGAAUUACUGCAAAGCAAUAUCCCUGACACUUGGGGGCUAAUGUAUAAUUUUUUCAGGUGAAAUUAUACAAAAAAUCAAGACCCGAAUCAUCUUUUACUGAUGACUCGGCCCUUGGGGGUUACUGGUCGCGAAGCUUUUUUAAAAAAAAUUCAAGACCCGGCUCAUCUUUUUCCUGAUGACCCGGCCCUUGGGGGUUACUGGUCGCGAAGGUUUUUCUAAAUUUUCAAAGACCCGGCUCAUCUUUUUACUGAUGACCCGGCCCUUGGGGGUUAAUGGAAAUAAUAUAAGUAUAAACAAAAUAUACCUCAUGUUUGUUGUUUAACAUCUUCAGCAGGUUCUUCUCCAUAUCAUAGCUCGCCUCCAGGCGAUUCGCAAAGCCAGAACAGAGUUCCUUAAACUCCAAAUUUGCAUAGUCAGAAAGUUUCGCCUUGGAGAGCCCAGACUUGGGAAUGGCCUGAGAGGAGGAUGCUACAUGUUUGGACAAAACUGUCGCCGCCGGUUUAGAAAAGCCAGAGCCAGUAAUAAACACGGCAUUUGGGUCUUCCGUUGUUGUCAAUGGGCUCGGCGGCUUGGGGGCGUCCAUUACUUCUCUCGGCGACUCAGGGAGAUCUACUUGAGUCGCGGGCUCAGCUUGAUCCGGAGUUGGAGUUGUUUCCCUCAUGGGGUCUGGAGCUGCGUCAGGAGUUGGUCCGCUGGUUUUCCUCGUCUUGGCUUGUGCCCUGCAAAAAAGGAGAAUAAGCACGUUAAGGAAUUGGAAAGUUCAUUAUUCUUAAAGGUCACGACAAGAUUAUCAAAAGACUUACCCCGGAACUCGAAUCAUUGGCGGAAGUGUUGACAUCACUGAGUCGCCCGAGGUAGGAGGAGAAUUCUGCAAAAGAGUUAUAUGUCAAUCAUACAGGCGGGUUACAAGCGUGACCCAAAGAGAAGUGGAGAAUGGCUAUUCAUAAUGAAUACCUCGCUUGGUUUUCUUUUGUUUGUUGCCGGUAGGCCGGAUACCAGAUCGCCAGAAUGACUUCGUGUUUUCCGAUUUGAGGUGUGCUGUGCUUUCUUCAGUAGGAAAUUCGGGUCCAGAUAAGCAUUUGGAUGAGAGAAGGGAACUUUCCCACAAAUUCGCCUGGCCGGCUUAAGUGGAGAAGGAGAUGAAUCGGAGGAAACGGAAAUUACCUCAACAGAGUCUUCUUGGCUUUCGUUAUCCUCAUUCUAUUUCAGGGAAAGGGAAAGAUGUAAAUAAAAGGUUAAACAGUGACAGGUGGCGAGUGAAAAGAGGACGGAUUUGUACCUCUGAAAGUGCAUCGCCGACUUGAGAUUCGUCGACUUCGGAUGGCUCAGCCGCAGCAGAUUUUCCUUUACCCUUGGCUUUCUUAGAAGGCGGCUUGACAUUUUUCAUGGCUUGCUUUUUGGGCCUCCUAGACGAGAACUUAUCGCCUUUCUAAAAUGGUAUAUUUACGAAACCACGAUAGUAGUAAAGCAUAAGGGAUAAAUACCGAGGACGAGUCAGGUUUGGUUACCUUGGGCGCCGGGUUAAUUUUGCAAAACGGCUUAAGGCCGAUUUGGCCGCAUUUUCCCGCAGGUUCUGAUGGGGAACGUCCCAUGGGAAACAAAAAAAAUUCUACGCGCACGAAGACCUAUCAUGGUGAUGUCCAUCUACGAGAGGGGAUGAGUGAUCUACGUACCCUUGUAGAUCGUACAGCAGAAGCGUUAGUGAACGCGGUUGAUGUAGUGGAACGUCCUCACGUCCCUCGAUCCGCCCCGCGAACAAUCCCGCGAUCAGUCCCAUGAUCUAGUACCGAACGGACGGCACCUCCGCGUUCAGCACACGUACAGCUCGACGAUGAUCUCGGCCUUCUUGAUCCAGCAAGAGAGACGGAGAGGUAGAAGAGUUCUCCGGCAGCGUGACGGCGCUCCGGAGGUUGGUGAUGACCUUGUCUCAGCAGGGCUCCGCCCGAGCUCCGCAGAAACGCGAUCUAGAGGUAAAACCGUGGAGGUAUGUGGUCGGGCUNNNNNNNNNNNNNNNNNNNNNNNNNNNNNNNNNNNNNNNNNNNNNNNNNNNNNNNNNNNNNNNNNNNNNNNNNNNNNNNNNNNNNNNNNNNNNNNNNNNNNNNNNNNNNNNNNNNNNNNNNNNNNNNNNNNNNNNNNNNNNNNNNNNNNNNNNNNNNNNNNNNNNNNNNNNNNNNNNNNNNNNNNNNNNNNNNNNNNNNNNNNNNNNNNNNNNNNNNNNNNNNNNNNNNNNNNNNNNNNNNNNNNNNNNNNNNNNNNNNNNNNNNNNNNNNNNNNNNNNNNNNNNNNNNNNNNNNNNNNNNNNNNNNNNNNNNNNNNNNNNNNNNNNNNNNNNNNNNNNNNNNNNNNNNNNNNNNNNNNNNNNNNNNNNNNNNNNNNNNNNNNNNNNNNNNNNNNNNNNNNNNNNNNNNNNNNNNNNNNNNNNNNNNNNNNNNNNNNNNNNNNNNNNNNNNNNNNNNNNNNNNNNNNNNNNNNNNNNNNNNNNNNNNNNNNNNNNNNNNNNNNNNNNNNNNNNNNNNNNNNNNNNNNNNNNNNNNNNNNNNNNNNNNNNNNNNNNNNNNNNNNNNNNNNNNNNNNNNNNNNNNNNNNNNNNNNNNNNNNNNNNNNNNNNNNNNNNNNNNNNNNNNNNNNNNNNNNNNNNNNNNNNNNNNNNNNNNNNNNNNNNNNNNNNNNNNNNNNNNNNNNNNNNNNNNNNNNNNNNNNNNNNNNNNNNNNNNNNNNNNNNNNNNNNNNNNNNNNNNNNNNNNNNNNNNNNNNNNNNNNNNNNNNNNNNNNNNNNNNNNNNNNNNNNNNNNNNNNNNNNNNNNNNNNNNNNNNNNNNNNNNNNNNNNNNNNNNNNNNNNNNNNNNNNNNNNNNNNNNNNNNNNNNNNNNNNGUGAGUUAUAUGAUCUCAUGGUCAUAGGAAUAAAUACUUGACACGCAGAAAACAGUAGCAACAAAAUGACACAAUCAACAUGCUACGUCUAUUAGUUUGGGUCUAGUCCAUCACGUGAUUCUCCUAAUGACGUGAUCCAGUUAUCAAGCAACAACACCUUGUUCAUAAUCAGAAGACACUGACUAUCUUUGAUCAACUGGCUAGCCAACUAGAGGCUUGCUAGGGACAGUGUUUUGUCUAUGUAUCCACACAUGUAAAUGAGUCUUCAUUCAAUACAAUUAUAGCAUGGAUAAUAAACGAUUAUCUUGAUACAGGAAUUAUAAUAAUAACUAUAUUUAUUAUUGCCUCUAGGGCAUAAUUCCAACAGUCUCCCACUUGCACUAGAGUCAAUAAUCUAGCCCUCACAUCAUCAUGCGAAUUACAUUGUAAUAAAUCUAACACCCAUACAGUUCUCGUGUUGAUCAUGCUUUGCCCGUGGAAGAGGUUUAGUCAGCGGGUCUGCUACAUUCAGAUCCGUGUGCACUUUGCAUUUAUUCACGUCCUCCCCUUCGACGUAGUCGCGGAUGAGGUUGAAGCAUCGUUUGAUGUGUCUGGACUUCUUGUGAAACUGUGGUUCCUUUGCUAAGGCAAUGGCACCCGUGUUGUCACAGAACAAGGUUAUUGGAUUCAGUGCGCUUGGCACCACUCCAAGAUCCGUCAUGAACUACUUCAUCCAGACACCCUCCUUAGCCGCCUCUGAGGCAGCCAUGUACUCCGCUUCACAUGUAGAAUCUGCUACAACGCUUUUCUUGGAACUGCACCAGCUUACCGCACCCCCAUUAAGAAUAAAUAUGUAUCCGGUUUGCGACUUAGAGUCGUCCGGAUCUGUGUCAAAGCUUGCAUCGACGUAACCCUUUACGGCGAGCUCUUCGUCACCUCCAUACACGAGAAACAUCUCCUUAGUCCUUUUCAGGUACUUCGGGAUAUUCUUGACCGCUGUCCAGUGAUCCACUCCUGGAUUACUCUGGAACCUACCUGCCAUACUUAUGGCCAGGCUAACAUCCGGUCUAGUGCACAGCAUUGCAUACAUGAUAGAACCUAUGGCUGAAGCAUAGGGGACGGAGCGCAUAUGCUCUCUAUCUUCAUCAGUUGCUGGGCACUGAGUCUUACUCAAUCUCGUACCUUGUAAAACUGGCAAGAACCCUUUCUUGGACUGUUCCAUUUUGAACCUCUUCAAAACUUUAUCAAGGUAUGUGCUUUGUGAAAGUCCUAUCAGGCGUUUUGAUCUAUCCCUAUAGAUCUUAAUGCCUAGAAUGUAAGCAACUUCUCCUAGGUCCUUCAUAGAGAAACUUUUAUUCAAGUAAUCCUUUAUGCUCUCCAAAAACUCUACGUUGUUUCCAAUCAGCAAUAUGUCAUCCACAUAUAAUAUUAGAAACGCCACAGAGCUCCCACUCACUUUCUUGUAAAUACAAGAUUCUCCAACCACUUGUAUAAACCCAAAUGCUUUGAUGACCUCAUCAAAGCGCUUGUUCCAACUCCGAGAUGCUUGCACCAGUCCAUAAAAGGAUCGUUGGAGCUUGCACACCUUGUUAGCAUUCUUAGGAUCGACAAAACCUUCGGGUUGCAUCAUAUACAAUUCUUCCUUAAGGAAACCGUUAAGGAACGCCGUUUUGACAUCCAUCUGCCAGAUUUCAUAAUCGAAAAAUGCAGCUAUUGCUAACAUGAUUCUGACGGACUUAAGCAUCGCUACGGGUGAGAAUGUCUCAUCGUAGUCAAUUCCUGGAACUUGUGAAAAACCCUUUGCCACAAGUCGAGCUUUAUAAAUGGUCACAUUGCCGUCAGCGUCCAUCUUCCUCUUAAAGAUCCAUUUGUUCUGAAUAGCCUUGCGGCCCUCAGGCAGUACCUCCAAAGUCCACACUUUGUUCUCAUACAUGGAUCCUAUCUCGGACUUCAUGGCUUCUAGCCAUUUGUUGGAAUCCGGGCCCACCAUUGCUUCUUCAUAAUUUGCAGGUUCAUUGUUGUCCAACAACAUGAUUGACAAGACGGAAUUACCGUACCACUCUGGAGCAGCACGUGGUCUCGUCGACCUGCGUGGUUCGACAGAAACUUGAACCGGAGUUUCAUGAUCAUCAUCAUUAACUUCCUCCUCAACCGGCGUCGCAACGACAGAGGUUUCCCCUUGUCCUGCGCCACCAUCCAGAGGGAUGAGAGGUUCGACAACCUCGUCAAGUUCUAUCUUCCUCCCACUCAAUUCUCUCGAGAGAAACUCCUUCUCGAGAAAAGCUCCGUUUUUAGCAACAAACACUUUGUCCUCGGAUUUGAGAUAGAAGGUGUACCCAACUGUCUCUUUUGGGUAACCUAUGAAGACGCACUUUUCUGCUUUGGGUUCCAGCUUUUCAGGCUGAAGCUUUUUGACAUAAGCAUCACAUCCCCAAACUUUAAGAAACGACAACUUUGGCCUUUUGCCAUACCACAGUUCGUAUGGUGUCGUCUCAACGGAUUUUGAUGGUGCCCUAUUUAAAGUGAAUACAGUUGUUUCUAAUGCAUAACCCCAAAACGAUAACGGCAAAUCGGUAAGAGACNNNNNNNNNNNNNNNNNNNNNNNNNNNNNNNNNNNNNNNNNNNNNNNNNNNNNNNNNNNNNNNNNNNNNNNNNNNNNNNNNNNNNNNNNNNNNNNNNNNNCAUCAGCUUCGGCAGCCUGGCGAGCAAGAGCGGCGCCGACCUGGACUCAUGUUAUGCAACUUUGUGGUGUCGACAAGUGAGUGCUGCCCUCUCAAUUCUUUUGUUGGAUAUAUGUAGUAUUUGUACAAUGUUAUUUCUUUUUCAGUCUGAUUAGUAACUAGAAGUUAUUCUUACUGUAGGUAUGCAGUUGAUGCUUAUGCAAUAUUUUGUGCGGGUAGGGCGAGGGAGGUGGUACCUGAUGAUCACAAAUUAGUUGAUUACUUGAAUUAUGUUUGCUUUAAGUUGCCCAUAGCACAUGUAGUAUUCUCGACACAUAAAUUUUAACAAAUUGCUCUGAGCUUUAUAGUUUCAUGGCUUUGUGAGAUGCUAAUCAUGAACUAAAAAUGCUCAUGAGCUUCUCUGAACUUCUCCAUACACGUACUAGCACAACGACUUCGGGUACUGUAAUUUUUACACCACCUCGAACCCAACUUCCAUUGCAGUGCCACUCAGUAAGUCAUAUUGAUUGGAUUUCUUUUUCUUACCAAGCGUAGCCGGCUCUUCCCGUGAUUCGAACUCUCACACGAAGAGUCUGCCCUCCGCCCCUCCUCAUGAAGGCCCAUUCCCACUCGACGGUAGCUCCCUCCCUCUCAUGCCAUGCUUCGGUUAUGUUUGUUUUGUCUUUAACUUGUUGGGGAACGUCGCAUGGGAAACAAAAAAUUUCCUACACGCACGAAGACCUAUCAUGGUGAUGUCCAUCUACGAGAGGUGAUAUUCGAUCUACGUACCCUUGUAGAUCGCACAGCAGAAGCGUUAAGAAACGCGGUUGAUGUAGUGGAACGUCCUCACGUCCCUCGAUCCGCCCCGCGAACCGUCCCGCGAUCCGUCCCACGAUCUAGUGCCGAACGGACGGCACCUCCGCGUUCAGCACACGUACAGCUCGACGAUGAUCUCGGCCUUCUUGAUCCAGCAAGAGAGGCGGAGAGGUAGAUGAGUUCUCCGGCAGCGUGACGGUGUUGGGGAACGUCACAUGGGAAACAAAAAAUUUCCUACGCGCACGAAGACCUAUCAUGGUGAUGUCCAUCUACGAGAGGUGAUAUUCGAUCUACGUACCCUUGUAGAUCGCACAGCAGAAGCGUUAAGAAACGCGGUUGAUGUAGUGGAACGUCCUCACGUCCCUCGAUCCGCCCCGCGAACCGUCCCGCGAUCCGUCCCACGAUCUAGUGCCGAACGGACGGCACCUCCGCGUUCAGCACACGUACAGCUCGACGAUGAUCUCGGCCUUCUUGAUCCAGCAAGAGAGACGGAGAGGUAGAUGAGUUCUCCGACAGCGUGACGGCGCUCCGGAGGUUGGUGGUGAUCUUAUCUCAGGAGGGCUCCGCCCGAGCUCCGCAGAAACGCGAUCUAGAGGUAAAACCGUGGAGAUAUGUGGUCGGGCUGCCGUGACAAAGUUGUGUCAAAUCAGCCCUAAAACCUCCGUAUAUAUAGGGGGAGGAGGGGGAGCCUUGCCUUGGGGUCCAAGGACUCCCAAGGGGGUCGGCCGAGCCUAAGGGGGGAACCCUCCCCUUCCAAACCGAGUCCAACUAGGUUUGGAAGGAGGAGUCCUUCCCCCUUUUCCCAGCUCCUCUUUUUUUACUCUUUGAUUUUCUUCCUAUGGCGCAUAGGGCCUUCUUGGGCUGUCCNNNNNNNNNNNNNNNNNNNNNNNNNNNNNNNNNNNNNNNNNNNNNNNNNNNNNNNNNNNNNNNNNNNNNNNNNNNNNNNNNNNNNNNNNNNNNNNNNNNNACAGAAUGACAUACGGGAUUAUAUGAAUCCUUGGCACUGAGGUUCAAACGAUAAGAUCUUCAUAGAAUAUGUGGGAUCCAAUAUGGGCAUCCAGGUCCCGCUAUUGGAAAUUGACCGAGGAGUCACUCGGGUCAUGUCUGCAUAGUUCUCGAACCCGCAGGGUCUGCACACUUAAGGUUAGACGCUGUUUUAUGCGUAUUUGAGUUAUAUGGUUGGUUACCGAAUGUUGUUCGGAGUCCCGGAUGAUAUCACGGACAUCACGAGGGUUUCCGGAAUGGUUCGGAAAUAUAGGAUGACCUCAUUUGAUUACCGGAAGGUUUUCGGAGUUACCGGGAAUGUACCGGGAAUGACGAAUGGGUUCCGGGUGUUCACCGGGGGGGGGGGCAACCCACCCCGGGGAAGCCCAUAGGCCUUGGGGGUGGCGCACCAGCCCUUGGUGGGCUGGUGGGACAGCCCAAGAAGGCCCUAUGCGCCAUAGGAAGAAGAUCAAAGAGAAAAAAAGGGGAGGUGGGAAAAAGGGGAAGGACUCCACCUUCCAAACCUAGUUGGAUUCGGUUUGGAAGNNNNNNNNNNNNNNNNNNNNNNNNNNNNNNNNNNNNNNNNNNNNNNNNNNNNNNNNNNNNNNNNNNNNNNNNNNNNNNNNNNNNNNNNNNNNNNNNNNNNUCACGAGGGUUUCCGGAAUGGUCCGGAAACGAAGAUUGAUAUAUAGGAUGACCUCAUUUGAUUACCGGAAGGUUUUCGGAGUUACCGGGAAUGACGAAUGGGUUCCGGGAGUUCACCCGGGGGGGGGGGGGGCAACCCACCCUGGGGAAGCCCAUAGGCCUUGGGGGUGGCGCACCAGCCCUUAGUGGGCUGGUGGGACAGCCCAAGAAGGCCCUAUGCGCCAUAGGAAGAAAAUCAAAGAGAAAAGAAAAAAAGGAGGAGGUGGGAAAGGGAAGAAGGACUCCACCUUCCAAACCAAGUUGGAUUCGGUUUGGAAGGGGAGACCUUCCCCCUUUGGCUCGGCCGACCCCCUUGGGGCCUCUUGAGCCCCAAGGCAAGGCUCCCCCUCUUCCCCCUAUAUAUACGGAGGUUUUAGGGCUGAUUUGCGACAACUUUGCCACGGCAGCCCGACCACAUAUCUCCACGGUUUUACCUCUAGAUCGCGUUUCUGCGGAGCUCGGGCGGAGCCCUGCUGAGAUAAGAUCAUCACCAACCUCCGGAGCGCCGUCACGCUACCGGAGAACUCAUCUACCUCUCCGUCUCUCUUCAUGCGUAGAUGUCUUCUCGAGUAGAACACAAAAGUUUUUGUCUUCUCGANNNNNNNNNNNNNNNNNNNNNNNNNNNNNNNNNNNNNNNNNNNNNNNNNNNNNNNNNNNNNNNNNNNNNNNNNNNNNNNNNNNNNNNNNNNNNNNNNNNNAACAUGCUACGUCUAUUAGUUUGGGUCUAGUCCAUCACAUGAUUCUCCUAAUGAUGUGAUCCCGUUAUCAAGUAACAACACUUGCCUAUGGCCAGGAAACCUUGACCAUCUUUGAUCAACGAGCUAGUCAACUAGAGGCUUACUAGGGACAGUGUUUUGUCUAUGUAUCCACACAAGUAUUGUGUUUCCAAUCAAUACAAUUAUAGCAUGGAUAAUAAACGAUUAUCACGAACAAAGAAAUAUAAUAAUAACUAAUUAUUAUUGCCUCUAGGGCAUAUUUCCAACAAUCGCUACCGCUCAGAUGGCAAGAAGCAGUGACGCCGACGCGGAGGCAAGGAAGGAGGCGAGGAGGAGCAUCCGCACCGGGCCGCCGCCGAUGGCGCCGGAGCAGUAGUUGCCGAACGCGCCGCCCGGGUACUCGUACUGCCGGUCGCCGCCCUCUUUGUUGGGUAACGUAGCAUAAAUUCAAAAUUUUCCUACGCAUGUUCAGAUCUUCCUAUGGAGAGACCAGCAACGAGAGAGGGGUAAGAGCAUCUUCAUACCUUUGAAGAUUGCUAAGCGGAAGCGUUGCUAGAACGCGGUUGAUGGAGUCGUACUCGCAGCGAUUCCGAUCUAGUGCCGAACAACGGCACCUCCGCGUUCAACACACGUGCAGCCCGGUGACGUCUCCCGCACCUUGAUCCAGCAAGGAGGAGGGAGAGGUUGGGGAAGAAUACCAGCAACACGACGGCGUGGUGUUGGUGGAGAGACGAGGUCUCCCGGCAGGGCUUCGCCAAGCGCCGGCACAGAGGAGGAGGAAGAAGUGCAGGGCUGCGCCGAGGGAGAGGGAAAACCGUGUCCUCCAAAGGCCAAAAGUGCCCACUAUAUAUAGGGGAAGGGGAGAGGGGGUGCCACCCCUAGGGUUCCCACCCUAGGGGGUGCGGCAGCCCUCCCAGAUGGGGGGUGUGGCGGCCAGAUGAGGGAGGAGGGGUGGCGCACCCCUCUGGUGGGCCUAAGGCCCACCUAAGUUAGGGUUCCCCCCUCUCCCCUUUUUUCUCGUGCACAUGGGCUGGGUGGGGGGCGCACCAGCCCACUUAGGGGCUAGUUCCCUUACCCACUUAGCCCAUCUAGCCUCCCGGGGUCGUCACCCCCUUUCGGUGGCCCCCCGGGACCACCUCCGGUGGUCCCGGUGGUCCCGGUGCGUUACCGGUGAUGCCCGAAACACUUCCGGUGUCCGAAACCAUCCGUCCUAUAUAUAAAUCUUUACCUCCGGACCAUUCCGGAGCUCCUCAUGACGUCCGGGAUCUCAUCCGGGACUCCGAACAACUUUCGGUAAUCUCGUAUAACAAUUCCCUAUAACCCUAGCGUCAUUGAACCUUAAGUGUGUAGACCCUACGGGUUCGGGAGACAGGCAGACAUGACCGAGACACCUCUCUGGCCAAUAACCAUCAGCGGGGUCUGGAUACCCAUGGUGGCUCCCACUAGCUCCACGANNNNNNNNNNNNNNNNNNNNNNNNNNNNNNNNNNNNNNNNNNNNNNNNNNNNNNNNNNNNNNNNNNNNNNNNNNNNNNNNNNNNNNNNNNNNNNNNNNNNAUGAUCGGGUGUGAUAGACUCAACGUUCACAUACAACGGGUGCAAAACAGUUGCGCACGCGGAACACUCGGGUUAAGCUUGACGAGCCUAGCAUGUGUAGACGUGGCCUCGGAACACAUGAGACCGAAAGGUCGAUCAUGAAUCAUAUAGAUGAUAUGAUUAGCAUGGGGAUGCUUACCGCUGAAACUAUGCUCAACUCACGUGAUGAUCGGACUUGAGCUAGUGUAGGUGGAUCAUGAACCACUCAAAUGACUAGAGAGAUGUACUUUUUGAGUGGGAGUUUAGCGAGUAAUUUGAUUAAGUUAAACUCUAAUUAUCUUGAACAUAGUCUAAGUCCACUUUGAAUAUAUUUGUGUUGUAGAUCAUGGCUCACGCGACAGUCACCCUGAAUUUUAAUACGUUCCUAGAGAAAGCUAAGUUGAAAGAUGAUGGAAGCAACUUUGUAGACUGGGCUCGUAAUCUUAAGCUAAUCUUACAAGCUCGGAAGAAGGAUUAUGUCCUUAAUGCUGCGCUAGGAGAUGAACCACCCGCUACGGCUGAUCAGGAUGUUGAGAACGCUUGGUUAGCACAUAAGGAGGACUACUCAGUAGUUCAAUGUGCAGUCUUGUAUGGCUUAGAACCAGGACUUCAACGUCGCUUUGAGCGUCAUGGAGCAUUUGAGAUGUUCCAGGAGCUGAAGUUUAUCUUUCAGAAGAACGCCCGGAUCAAGAGGUAUGAGACCUCCGAUAAAUUCUAUGCUUGCAAGAUGGAGGAGAACUCGCCUGUCAGUGAACAUGUGCUCAAAAUGUCUGGGGUACUCAAACCGUCUAGCUGAGCUGGGGAUUGAACUCCCACAAGAAGCUAUCACUGACAGAAUCCUUCAAUCACUGCCGCCAAGCUAUAAAGGCUUUGUGUUGAACUACAACAUGCAAGGGAUGAACAAGUCUCUUGGCGAGUUGUUUGCGAUGCUGAAAGUCGCAGAGUCUGAACUCCGUAAAGAACAUCAAGUGUUGAUGGUGAAUAAGACCACUAGUUUCAAGAGAAACGGCAAAGGCAAGAAGGGUAAUUCAAAGAAGAGCGGCAAGCCUUUUUCCAAUCCGACAAAGAAACCCAAAGCUGGACCUAAGCCUGAAACAGAGUGUUACUAUUGCAAGGGUAUGGGUCACUGGAAGCGCAAUUGCCCCAAGUAUUUGGCUGAUAAGAAGGCGGGCAAAGAAAAAUCAGGUAUAUUUGAUAUACAUUUUAUUGAUGUGUACUUAACCGACUCUCGUAGUAGUGCCUGGGUAUUCGAUGCCGGUUCUGUUGCUCAUAUUUGCAACUCGAAACAGGAACUGCGGAAUAGACGAAGGCUGGCGAAAGAUGAAGUGACGAUGCGCGUAGGAAAUGGUUCCAAGGUUGAUGCAAUCGCCGUCGGCACAGUUUCACUUCGGUUACCAUCAGGAUUAGUUAUGAACUUGAAUCAUUGUUAUUUGGUGCUUGCCUUAAGCAUGAACAUGAUUGGAUCGUGUUNNNNNNNNNNNNNNNNNNNNNNNNNNNNNNNNNNNNNNNNNNNNNNNNNNNNNNNNNNNNNNNNNNNNNNNNNNNNNNNNNNNNNNNNNNNNNNNNNNNNGGGGGGGGGGGGCAACCCACCCCGGGGAAGCCCAUAGGCCUUGGGGGUGGCGCACCAGCCCUUGGUGGGCUGGUGGGACAGCCCAAGAAGGCCCUAUGCGCCAUAGGAAGAAGAUCAAAGAGAAAAAAAGGGGAGGUGGGAAAAAGGGGAAGGACUCCACCUUCCAAACCUAGUUGGAUUCGGUUUGGAAGGGGAGGACUCCCCCCUUGGCUCGGCCGACCCCCUUGGGGCUCCUUGAGCCCCAAGGCAAGGCCCCCCUCUCCCACCUAUAUAUACGGAGGUUUUAGGGCUGAUUUGAGACAACUUUGCCACGGUAGCCCGACCACAUACCUCCACGGUUUUACCUCUAGAUCGCGUUUCUGCGGAGCUCGGGCGGAGNNNNNNNNNNNNNNNNNNNNNNNNNNNNNNNNNNNNNNNNNNNNNNNNNNNNNNNNNNNNNNNNNNNNNNNNNNNNNNNNNNNNNNNNNNNNNNNNNNNNNNNNNNNNNNNNNNNNNNNNNNNNCCACCAACCUCCGGAGCGACGUCACGCUGCCGGAGAACUCAUCUACCUCUCCGUCUCUCUUGCUGGAUCAAGAAGGCCGAGAUCAUCGUCGAGCUGUACGUGUGCUGAACGCGGAGGUGCCGUCCGUUCGGCACUAGAUCAUGGGACGGAUCGCGGGACGGUUCGCGGGGCGGAUCGAGGGACGUGAGGACGUUCCNNNNNNNNNNNNNNNNNNNNNNNNNNNNNNNNNNNNNNNNNNNNNNNNNNNNNNNNNNNNNNNNNNNNNNNNNNNNNNNNNNNNNNNNNNNNNNNNNNNNACAGCGUGACGGCGCUCCGGAGGUUGGUGGUGAUCUUAUCUCAGGAGGGCUCCGCCCGAGCUCCGCAGAAACGCGAUCUAGAGGUAAAACCGUGGAGAUAUGUGGUCGGGCUGCCGUGACAAAGUUGUGUCAAAUCAGCCCUAAAACCUCCGUAUAUAUAGGGGGAGGAGGGGGAGCCUUGCCUUGGGGUCCAAGGACUCCCAAGGGGGUCGGCCGAGCCUAAGGGGGGAACCCUCCCCUUCCAAACCGAGUCCAACUAGGUUUGGAAGGAGGAGUCCUUCCCCCUUUUCCCAGCUCCUCUUUUUUUACUCUUUGAUUUUCUUCCUAUGGCGCAUAGGGCCUUCUUGGGCUGUCCCACCAGCCCACUAAGGGCUGGUGCGCCACCCCCAAGGCCUAUGGGCUUCCCCGAGGUGGGUUGCCCCCCCCGGUGAACACCCGGAACCCAUUCGUCAUUCCCGGUACAAUCCCGGUAACUCCGAAAACCUUCCGGUAAUCAAAUGAGGUCAUCCUAUAUAUCAAUCUUCGUUUUUGGACCAUUCCGGAAACCCUCGUGACGUCCGUGAUCUCAUCCGGGACUNNNNNNNNNNUUCCGAACCAUUCCGGAAACCCUCGUGAUGUCCGUGAUAUCAUCCGGGACUCCGAACAACAUUCGGUAACCAACCAUAUAACUCAAAUACGCAUAAAACAGCGUCUAACCUUAAGUGUGCAGACCCUGCGGGUUCGAGAACUAUGCAGACAUGACCCGAGUGACUCCUCGGUCAAUUUCCAAUAGCGGGACCUGGAUGCCCAUAUUGGAUCCCACAUAUUCUAUGAAGAUCUUAUCGUUUGAACCUCAGUGCCAAGGAUUCAUAUAAUCCCGUAUGUCAUUCUGUUUUGUCCUUCGGUAUGUUACUUGCCCGAGAUUCGAUCGUCAGUAUCCGCAUACCUAUUUCAAUCUCGUUUACCGGCAAGUCUCUUUACUCGUUCCGUAAUACACGAUCCCGCAACUUACACUAAGUCACAUUGCUUGCAAGGCUUGUGUGCGAUGUUGUAUUACCGAGUGGGCCCCGAGAUACCUCUCCGUCAUACGGAGUGACAAAUCCCAGUCUUGAUCCAUACUAACUUAACGAACACCUUCGGAGAUACCUGUAGAGCAUCUUUAUAGUCACCCAGUUACGUUGCGACGUUUGAUACACACAAAGCAUUCCGCCGGUCUCAGUGAGUUAUAUGAUCUCAUGUUCAUAGGAACAAAUACUUGACACGCAGAAAACAGUAGCAACAAAAUGANNNNNNNNNNAUCACAUGAUUCUCCUAAUGAUGUGAUCCCGUUAUCAAGUAACAACACUUGCCUAUGGCCAGGAAACCUUGACCAUCUUUGAUCAACGAGCUAGUCAACUAGAGGCUUACUAGGGACAGUGUUUUGUCUAUGUAUCCACACAAGUAUUGUGUUUCCAAUCAAUACAAUUAUAGCAUGGAUAAUAAACGAUUAUCANNNNNNNNNNAGAUCCCGCAACUUACACUAAGUCACAUUGCUUGCAAGGCUUGUGUGUGAUGUUGUAUUACCGAGUGGGCCCCGAGAUACCUCUCCAUCACACGGAGUGACAAAUCCCAGUCUCGAUCCAUACUAACUGAACGAACACCUUCGGAGAUACCUGUAGAGCAUCUUUAUAGUCACCCAGNNNNNNNNNNNNNNNNNNNNNNNNNNNNNNNNNNNNNNNNNNNNNNNNNNNNNNNNNNNNNNNNNNNNNNNNNNNNNNNNNNNNNNNNNNNNNNNNNNNNCCAAGUGCCAGUUCCUGUUUUUUUCCGUGUUUUUGACCCUUUUCAGAGGAGGAUUUUAAACGGAGUCCAAACGGAACGAAACUUCCAAAAAGAUUUUUUCCGAAACAGAAGACGAUCGGGGGACUUGAGAACCAAGGCAGGGGGCCACCAGGGACCCCACAAGCCCCCUAGCCGCGGCCAGGGGGCCCGCACCUCCCAGGCUUGUGGGCUCCUUGGGCCUCCUCUGCCCUAGGUCUUUCGCCUAUAUAUUACCAAAAAUUCCAGAAAAAAUUAGGAGAUCAUCGAAAGUACUUUUCCGCCGCCGCAAGCUUCUGUCUCCGCAAGAUCCCAUCUGGGGCACGUUCUGGUGCCCUGCCGGAGGGGGGAUUCCGAUACGUAGGGCUUAUUCAUCAACACCAUGACCUCUCCGAUGAUGCGUGAGUAGUUCACCAUAGACCUACGGGUCCAUAUCUAGUAGCUAGAUGGCUUGUUCUCUCUCUUGGAUCUUUAAUACAAAGUUCUCCAUGAUCUUCAUGGAGAUCUAUCCGAUGUAAUCUUCUUUUGCGGUGUGUUUGUCGAGAUCCGAUGAAUUGUGGAUUUAUGAUCAGAUUAUCUAUGAAUCUUAUUUGAGUUUCUUCUGAUCUCUUAUAUGCAUGAUUUCAUAUCCUUGUAAUUCUCUUCGAGUUGUGGGUUUCGUUUGGCCAACUUGAUCUAUGAUUCUUGCAAUGGGAGAAGUGCUUGGUUUUGGGUUCAUACCGUGUGGUAACCUCACCCAGUGACAGAAGGGGUAGCGAGGCACGCAUCGUGUUGUUGCCAUCAAGGGUAAAAAGAUGGGGUUUUCCUCAUUGGUUUGAGAUUAUCCCUCUACAUCAUGUCAUCUUGCUUAAGGCGUUACUCUGUUCGUCAUGAACUCAAUACACUAGAUGCAUGCUGGAUAGCGGUCGAUGUGUGGAGUAAUAGUAGUAGAUGAAGAAAGUAUCGGUCUACUUGUCUCGGACGUGAUGCCUAUAUGUAUGAUCAUUGCCUUAGAUAUCGUCAUGACUUUGCGCGGUUCUAUCAAUUGCUCGAUAGUAAUUUGUUCACCCACCGUAAUAUCUGCUAUUUUGAGAGAAGCCUCUAGUGAACACUAUGGCCACCGGGUCUACUUCACACCAUAUUUUCAGCCUUACUCUUUUAGUUCGUUGCACUUUCCGCCUUCAGAUCUCACUUUGCAAUCAAUCUUGAUGGGAUUGACAACCCAUUCAUAGCGUUGGGUGCAAGCUCUUUUGUGUUUGCGCAGGUACUCUGGACUUGACGAGAUUCUCCUACUGGANNNNNNNNNNCUGCUCCUGUGCUGCAUCACCCUUUCCUCUUCAAGGGAAAAACCAACGCAAGCAAGUCUCCGUCAACAUGUCAAUUUCUGGCACUUUUGUUUGAGAAGUAGCAGAAGGAUUUCUAGCGCCGUUGCCGGGGAGGAUCAAGUCAAGAACUCAUCCAAGUAAGUGUCGCAAACUCAUCUCUUGCAUUUACUUUUUUGCCUCUCGAUUUCCUCUCCCCCACUUCUGAAAAACAAAAGUUUACAAAAAAAUAUUUGCCCUUUUCUUCGUUUGCCUUUUUCGUUCGCCGUUUUCUCUCGCUUGUUCUUUGUUCGCUUGUGUGCUUGCUUGCUUGCUGAAGUCACCAUGACUGAAAACACCAAACUUUGUGACUUUUCAAAUACUAAUAAUAAUGAUUUUAUUAGUACUCCGAUUGCUCCCGCCACUAGUGCGGAGUCGUACGAAAUCAAUGCCGCUUUGCUGAAUCUUGUUAUGAAAGAGCAAUUCUCUAGCCUUCCUAGUGAAGAUGUUGCAUCCCAUCUUAAUACCUUCAUUGAGCUUUGCGAUAUGCAAAAGAAGAAAGAUGUGGAUAAUGAUGUGAUUAAAUUGAAGCUUUUUCCUUUCUCGUUGCGAGAUCGAGCAAAAACUUGGUUUUCGUCUUUGCCCAAAAAUAGUAUUGAUUCUUGGAAUAUGUGCAAAGAUGCUUAUAUAUCCAAGUAUUUUCCGCCGGCUAAGAAUAUCUCUCUCCGUAAUGAUAUCAUGAAUUUUAAGCAACUUGAUCAUGAACAUGUUGCACAAUCUUGGGAGAGGAUGAAAUUGAUGAUUAGAAAUUUUCCCGCUCAUGGCUUGAGUCAUUGGAUGAUUAUACAAAUCUUCUACGCUGGCUUGAAUUUCGCUUCUAGAAAUAUCUUGGACUCCGCCUCCGGUGGAACGUUCAUGGAAAUCACGUUAGGAGAAGCCACAAAACUCCUAGCGAAUAUCAUGACGAACUACUCUCAGUGGCACACUGAAAGGUCACCUACUAGUAAGAAGUUACACGCUAUAGAAGAAAUUAACUCGUUAAGUGCUAAGAUGGAUGAGUUAAUGAAUUUGUUUGCUAGUAGAAGUGCUCCUUUAGAUCCUAAUGAUAUGCCAUUGUCUUCCCUGAUUGAGAGUAGCAACGCUAGCUUGGACGUUAAUUUUGUUGGUAGGAAUACUUUUGGCAACAACAAUGCUUUUAGAGGAAACUAUGUUCCUAGGCCUUUUCCUAGUAACUCCUCUAAUAACUUUGGCAACUCCCACAACAAUACUCAUGGAAAUUACAAUAGAUUACCCUUUGAUCUAGAGAGUAAUAUCAAAGAGUUUAUCAAUUCACAAAAGAUUUUCAAUGCGUCCAUAGAGGAAAAACUACUUAAAAUUGAUGAUUUGGCUAGGAGCGUUGAUAGAAUGUCUAGAUUGAUGCUUUGAAAGUUAGAUGUGCUCCUCCCAAGAUCAAUAUGGAUGAAACUUUGAAAGCUAUGCGUGUUUCCAUGAGUGAGAGCAAAGAAAGAACCGCCCAAAUUCGUGCUAGACAUGAAUGGCUUAAAGGCGUGUUCUCGUGAUAAGAAUCACGAAGAUCUUAAAGUGCUUGGUGUGACUCCCAUUGAAUCUUUGUUUUGUUGUGUCAAACCUAAUGAUGAUGGGGCUGGAUAUGAAUCCACUUUGGUUGAAAAAUGCCCCAAUGAUUCGGAGUCCAUCUAUCUUGAUGCUAAAAGCAUUGAAAGUGGAGUAGAAGAUAUUAAAACUUUGAGUAGUAAUGAAAUUACUACUUUUAAUUUCAAGGAAUUCAAUUAUGAUAGUUGCUCCUUGAUUGAAUGCAUUUCCUUGAUGCAAUCCAUGCUAAACUCUCCACACGCUUAUAGCCAAAACAAGGCCUUUACCGAUCAUAUCAUCGAAGCUAUGAUAAAAUCUCUUGAAGAGAAACUUGAAUUGGAAGUUUCUAUCCCUAGAAAGCUUCAUGAUGAGUGGGAACCUAUUAUCAAAAUCAAAAUCAAAAACUAUGAAUGCAAUGCCUUGUGUGAUUUGGGUGCUAGUGUUUCCGCGAUUCCAAAGUCUUUAUGUGAUGUUCAGGGUUUUAAUGAGAUUGAGGAGUGUUCUCUUAAUUUGCAUCUUGUGGAUUCUACUGUCAAGAAACCCAUGGUAAGGAUCAAUUAUGUUCUUAUUAUUUCAAAUAGGAACUAUGUAACCGUGGAUUUCAUUCUGCUUGACAUUGAUUGCAAUCCUACAUGCCCUAUCAUUCUUGGUAGACCUUUCCUAAGGACUAUCGGUGCUAUCACCGAUAUGAAGGAAGGGAAUAUUAGAUUUCAAUUUCAUUUAAGGAAGGGCAUGGAGCACUUUCCUAGAAAGAAAAUAAGAUUGCCUUAUGAAUCCAUGAUGAGGGCUACUUAUGGUUUGAGCACCAAAGACGACGAUACGUGAUUCUAUCGCUCAAUACCUGGCUAAGGACGUUAAACAAUAGCGCUUGUUGGGAGGCAAUCCAAUAAAUUUAUCUUUUUUCUUUAUGUUUUCUUGCGUCCUCACCAUCAUAAUUCUGUUAUCAUUGUGUAUUUUGUGUUUUUUGUGUGUUUGAGCCAAGCAAAACCUUUAUGACUAGUCUUGGUGAUGGUUGUUUGAUCCUGCUGGAAAAAGACAGAAACUUUUUGUUCACGAGAUUAUUUUUCAUUUUUAUUCAGAAAGAGCUUUUGAGUUGAUUCUUUUUGCUGCUUGUUGAUAUGCCUUUUUCCCACGCAGUAGUAAGUUUUCAAAAAAAUUGAGGUACCAGAAGUAUACGAAUUAUACAGAUUGAUAUAGACUGGUUUGUUUUUGACAUAUUCUGUUUUGUUGAGUUGGUUGCUUGUUUUGAUGAAACUAUGUAUAGUAUCGGGGGGUACUAGCCAUGGAAAGGUGAGAAUACAGUAAUCUAACACCAAUACAAAUAUAAAUCAUGAUUGAUAUAUUACCUAAAGAGGUGGUAAGUUGUUUUCUUGUGCUAAUGAUAUCACAAGUUUCUGUUUAAGUUUUGUGUUGUGAAGUUUUCAAGUUUUGGGUGAUGUUCUCAUGGACAAAGGGAUAAAGAGUCGAAAGAGCUCAAGCUUGGUGAUGCCCAAGGCAUCCCAAGCCAAAUUCAAGGACACCAAAAAGCCUAAGCUUGGGGAUGCCCCGGGAAGGCAUCCCCUCUUUCGUCUUCAAAUCCAUCGGUAACAUUACUUGGAGCUAUAUUUUUAUUCACCACAUGAUAUGUGUUUUGCUUGGAGCGUCUUGUAUCGUAGGAGUCUUUUCUUUUUGUUGUGUCACAAUCAUCCUUUCCGCACACCUUUUGAGAGAGACAUGCACUCAUCGUGAAUUGCUAGAAUGCUCAUCGUGCUUCACUUAUAUCUUUUGAGNNNNNNNNNNACUUAGAUCUUUUAGAGCACGGCGGUGCGUGACUUGGUAGUUGGCUUGUGCUAUGAAAGUAGUCCCAAAGGUGAUAGGUACCCAAAGAGGAUACAAAAACCUCCAUCUUCAUGUGCAUUGAGUAGAAAGAGAAGUCUUGAUUCCUCUCAACUAGUUUUGAGACGUGGAUUUGGUAAUAUUAAGAGUUAUGUUAGUAGGGUGUUGUGAAUCUAGAAAUACUUGUGUUGAAGUUAGUGAUUCCCGUAGAAUGCACAUAUGGUGAACCGCUAUGUUAGGAAGUCGUAGCAUAAUUGAUCUAUUGAUUGUCAUCCUUUGUGUUGAGGUCGGGAUCGCGUGAUGGUUAACACCUACAAACCCUUCCCCUAGGAGUAUGCGUUUAACACUUUGUUCCGAUUACUAAUAAAAACUUUCGCAACCAGUAUGUGAGUUCUUCAUGACUAAUGUGAGUCCAUGGUAUAGAUGCACUUUCACCUUCCACCAUUGCUAGCCUCUCUAGUGCCGCGCAACUUUAGCCGGUACACAAACCCACCAUAUGCCUUCCUCAAAACAGCCACCAUACCUACCUACUAUGGCAUUUUCAUAGCCAUUCCCAGAUAUAUUGCCAUGCAACUUCCACCGUUCCAUCUCGUGAUUUGUGCCAUCACUAUCAUAUUGCCUUUGCAUGAUCGUAAGAUAGCUAGCGAGAUGUUUCAACGUCGUACGCCAAGAUAGAUCGUUGUACAUCCCGGUACACUGCCGGAGGCAUUUUCUAUAGAGUCAUCAUCAUUCUGAGCUUUGAGCUGUGAGUAAAUAAAAGUGUGAUGAUCAUCAUUAUUAGAGCAUUGUUCCAUGUGAGGAAAUAAAAAAAAGAGGCCAAAGAGCCCAAAUAAAAAAAGAGAAAAAGAGAGGCCCAAGAGCCCAAAUAAAAAAAGGGAGAGAAAACGAGAGAAGGGACAAUGCUACUAUUUUUUUCCACACUUGUGCUUCAUAAUAGCACCAUGUUCUUCAUGAUUGAGAGCCUCUCGUUUCGUGAGCACCAUAUUCUAGUGGGAAUCUUUAUUAUAUAACUUGGCUUGUAUAUUCCAAUGAUGGGCUUCCUCAAAUUUCCCUAGGUCUUCGUGAGCAAGAAAGUUGGAUGCACACCACUAGUUCUCCUUUUGAGCUUUCACAUACUUAUAGGUCUAGUGCUUCCUUUGUAUGGCAAUCCUUACUCAUUCAUAUUGAUAUCUAUUAAUGGGCAUCUCCAUAGCCCUUUGAUACGCCGAGUCAAUGUGAUCAUCUCCUCCUUUUUGUCGCACAACCACCACCACACUCUAUUCCACCUACAGUGCUAUAUCCAUGGCUCACGCUCAUGUAUUGCAUGAUAGUUAUAAAAAGUUUGAGAAAGUAAGGGUGCGAAAACAAUUACUUGGCCAAUACCGGGGUUGUGAAUGAUUUAAAUUAGUUGUGUGAGGAUGAUGGAGCAUAGCCAGACUAUAUGAUUUUGUAGGGAUAACUUUCCUUGGCCUUGUUAUUUUGAAAGUUCAUGAUUACCUUGUUAUUUUGCUUUAAGUAUUAUUGUUUUCAUGUCAAUAGCAAACUAUUGUUUUGAAUCUUACAGAUCUGAACAUUCAUGUCACACGAAACAAGUUACAAAGGACUACUAUGCUAGGUAGCAUUCCACAUCAAAAGUUCAGUCUUUAUCACUUCCCCACUCGAGGACGAGCGGGAGUUAAGCUUGGGGAUGCUUGAUACGUCUCCAACGUAUCUAUAAUUUUUGAUGGUUUCAUGCUAUUAUCUUGUCAAACUUUGGAUGUUUUGUAUGCCUUUUAUAUCUUUUUUGGGACUAACUUAUUAACUCAGUGUCAAGUGCCAGUUCAUGUUUUUUCGUGUUUUUGACCCUUUUGAGAGGCGGAUUUUAAACGGAGUCCAAACGGAACGAAACUUCCAAAAAUAUUUUUUCCGAAACAGAAGACGAUCAGAAGACUUGAGAACCAAGGCAAGGGGCUGAUACGUCUCCAACGUGUCUAUAAUUUUUUAUGGUUUCAUACUAUUAUCUUGUCAAACUUUGGAAGUUUUGUAUGCCUUUUAUAUCUUUUUUGGGACUAACUUAUUAACUCACUGCCAAGUGCCAGUUCCCGCUUUUUCCGUGUUAUUGACCCUUUUCAGAGGAGGAUUUUAAACGGAGUCCAAACGGAACGAANNNNNNNNNNUGAAACAGAAGAAGAUCGGGGAGCAUGAGAACCAGGGCAGGGGGCCACCAGGGACCCCACAAGCCCCCUAGCCGCGGCCAGGGGCCCGCGCCUCCCAGGCUUGUGGGCUCCUUGGGCCACCUCUGCUCUAAGUCUUCCGCCUAUAUAUUCCCAAAAAUUCCAGAAAAAAUCAAGAGAUCAUCGAAAGUACUUUUCCGCCGCCGCAAGCUUAUGUCUUCGCAAGAUCCCAUCUGGGGCACGUUCUGGUGCCCUGCCGGAGGGGGGAUUCGGAUACGGAGGUCUUCUUCAUCAACACCAUGACCUCUCCUAUGAUGCGUGAGUAGUUCACCAUAGACCUACGGGUCCAUAGCUAGUAGCUAGAUGACUUCUUCUCUCUCUUGGAUCUUCAAUACAAAGUUCUCCAUGAUCUUCAUGGAGAUCUAUCCGAUGUAAUCUUCUUUUGUGGUGUGUUUGUCGACAUCCGAUGAAUUGUGGAUUUAUGAUCAGAUUAUCUAUGACUCUUAUUUGAGUUUCUUCUGAUCUCUUAUUUUCAUGAUUUCAUAUCCUUGUAAUUCUCUUCGAAUUGUGGGUUUUGUUUGGCCAGCUUGAUCUAUGAUUCUCGCAAUGGGAGAAGUGCUUGGUUUUGGGUUCAUACCAUGCGGUGACCUCAUCCAGUGACAGAAGGGUUAGCGAGGCACGCAUCGUGUUGUUGCCAUUAAGGGUAAAAAGAUGGGGUUUCANNNNNNNNNNNNNNNNNNNNNNNNNNNNNNNNNNNNNNNNNNNNNNNNNNNNNNNNNNNNNNNNNNNNNNNNNNNNNNNNNNNNNNNNNNNNNNNNNNNNAAUCACUUAGCAACCGAACUGGUAUCCAAUACCCUCGUGCUACUAGGAGUACUAGUAAAGUACACAUCAACAUCAUGUAUAUCAAAUAUACUUCUUUCGACUUUUGCCAGCCUUCUUAUCUACCAAGUAUCUAGAGUUGCUCCGCCUCAGUGACUGUUCCCCUCAUUACAGAAGCACUUAGUCUCGGGUUUGGGUUUAAUGUUGGGUCUCCUCAUUAGUGGAGCAACUGUUUUGCCGUUUCAUGAAGUAUCCCUUCUAGCCCUUGCCUUUCUUGAAACUUAGUGGUUUUACUAACCAUCAACUAUUGAUGCUUCUUCCUGAUUUCUACUUUCGCAGUGUCAAACAUUGCGAAUCGCUCAAGGAUCAUUAUAUCUAUCCUUGAUAUGUUAUAGUUCAUCACGAAGCUCUCACAGCUUGGUGGCAGUGAUUUUGGAGAACCAUCACUAUCUCAUCUGGAAGAUUAACUCCCACUUGAUUCAAGCGAUUGUCGUACUCAGACAAUCUGAGCACACACUCAACGAUUGAGCUUUUCUCCUUUACUUUGUGGACAAAGAAUCUUGUCGGAGGUCUCGUAUCUCUUAACAAGGGCACAAUCAUGAAAUCACAAUUUCAUCUCUUUAGAACAUCACUUAUGUUCCGUGACGUCUCAAAACGUCUUCGGCGCCUUGCUUCUAAUCCAUUAAGUAUUUUGCACUGAACUAUCGUGUAGUCAUCAGAAACGUGUAUGUCGGAUGUUCACAGCAUCCACAGACGACGCUCGAGGUGCAACACACCGAGUGGUGCAUUAAGGACAUAAGCCUUCUGCGCAACAACGAGGACAAUCAUCUGCAAAGUUUGCUACUAUCAACUUUCAACUAAAUUUUCUCUAGGAACAUAUAAAAACAGUAGAGCUAUAGCGCAAGCUACAUCGUAAUUGGCAAAGACCAUUAGACUAUGUUCAUGACAAUUAGUUCAAUUAAUCAUAUUACUUAAGAACUCCCACUCAAAAAGUACAUCUCUCUAGUCAUUUGAGUGGUACAUGAUCCAAAUCCACUAUCUCAAGUCCGAUCAUCACGUGAGUCGAGAAUAGUUUUAGUGGUAAGCAUCUCUAUGCUAAUCAUAUCAACUAUACGAUUCAUGCUCGACCUUUCAGUCUCAUGUGUUCCGAGGCCAUGUCUGCACAUGCUAGGCUCGUCAAGCUUAACCCGAGUGUUCCGUGUGUGCAACUAUUUUGCACCCGUUGUAUCUGAACGUUGAGUCUAUCACACCCGAUCAUCACGUGGUGUCUCGAAACGAAGAACUGUCGCAACGGUGCACAGUCGGGGAGAACACAAUUUCGUCUUGAAAUUUUAGUGAGAGAUCACCUCAUAAUGCUACCGUCGUUCUAAGCAAGAUAAGGUGCAAAAAAGGAUUAACAUCACAUGCAAUUCAUAAGUGACAUGAUAUGGCCAUCAUCACGUGCUUCUUGAUCUCCAUCACCAAAGCACCGGCACGAUCUUCUUGUCACCGGCGUCACACCAUGAUCUCCAUCAACGUGUUGCCACCGGGGUUGUCGUGCUACUCAUGCUAUUACUACUAAAGCUACAUCCUAGCAAAAUAGUAAACACAUCUGCAAGCACAAACGUUAGUUUAAAGACAACCCUAUGGCUCCUGCNNNNNNNNNNCCUUGAUCUCCAUCACCAAAGCACCGGCACGAUCUUCUUGUCACCGGCGCCACACCAUGAUCUCCAUCAACGUGUCGCCAUCGGGGUUGUCGUGCUACUCAUGCUAUUACUACAAAAGAUACAUCCUAGCAAAAUAGUAAACGCAUCUGCAAGCACAAACGUUAGUUUAAAGACAACCCUAUGGCUCCUGCNNNNNNNNNNNNNNNNNNNNNNNNNNNNNNNNNNNNNNNNNNNNNNNNNNNNNNNNNNNNNNNNNNNNNNNNNNNNNNNNNNNNNNNNNNNNNNNNNNNNCGGUUGCCGUACCAUCGACGUGCAAGUCGAUAUUAUCUAUUACAACAUGAUCAUCUCAUACAUCCAAUAUAUCACGUCACAUCGUCGUCCAUAUCACAUCACAAGCAUACCCUGCAAAAACAAGUUAGACGUCCUCUAAUUUUGGUGUUGCAUGUUUUACGUGGUGACCAUGGGUAUCUAGUAGGAUCGCAUCUUACUUACGCAAACACCACAACGGAGAUAUAUGAAUUGCUAUUUAACCUUAUACAAGGACCUCCUCGGUCAAAUCCGAUUCAACUAAAGUUGGAGAAACUGACACUUGCCAGUCAUCUUUGAGCAACGGGGUUACUCGUAGCGAUGAAACCAGUCUCUCGUAAGCGUACGAGUAAUGUCGGUCCAAGCCGCUUCAAUCCAACAAUACCGCGGAAUCAAGAAAAGACUAAGGAGGGAAGCAAAACGCACAUCACCGCCCACAAAAACUUUUGUGUUCUACUCGAGAAGACAUCUACUCGAGAAGACAAAAACUUUUGUGUUCUACUCGAGAAGACAUCUACGCAUGAAGAGAGACGGAGAGGUAGAUGAGUUCUCCGGUAGCGUGACGGCGCUCCGGAGGUUGGUGAUGAUCUUAUCUCAGCAGGGCNNNNNNNNNNGUUGAUCCGGCAAGAGAGACGGAGAGGUAGAUGAGUUCUCCGGCAGCGUGACGGCGCUCCGGAGGUUGGUGAUGAUCUUAUCUCAGCAGGGCUCCGCCCGAGCUCCGCAGAAACGCGAUCUAGAGGUAAAACCGUGGAGAUAUGUGGUCGGGCUGCCGUGGCAAAGUUGUCGCAAAUCAGCCCUAAAACCUCCGUAUAUAUAGGGGGAAGAGGGGGAGCCUUGCCUUGGGGCUCAAGAGGCCCCAAGGGGGUCGGCCGAGCCAAAGGGGGAAGGUCUCCCCUUCCAAACCGAAUCCAACUUGGUUUGGAAGGUGGAGUCCUUCUUCCCUUUCCCACCUCCUCCUUUUUUUNNNNNNNNNNNNNNNNNNNNNNNNNNNNNNNNNNNNNNNNNNNNNNNNNNNNNNNNNNNNNNNNNNNNNNNNNNNNNNNNNNNNNNNNNNNNNNNNNNNNUCAACGGACACCUUCGGAGAUACCUGUAGAGCAUCUUUAUAGCCACCCAGUUACGUUGUGACGUUUGAUACACACAAAGUAUUCCUCCGGUGUCAGUAAGUUAUAUGAUCUCAUGGUCAUAGGAAUAAAUACUUGACACGCAGAAAACAGUAGCAACAAAAUGACACGAUCAACNNNNNNNNNNUAAAGCAUUCCUCCGGUGUCAGUGAGUUAUAUGAUCUCAUGGUCAUAGGAACAANNNNNNNNNNAUAUUAGUUUGGGUCUUAGUCCAUCACAUGAUUCUCCUAAUGAUGUGAUCCCGUUAUCAAGUGACAACACUUGUCCAUGGUCAGGAAACCUUGACCAUCUUUGAUCAACGAGCUAGUCAACUAGAGGCUUACUAGGGACAGUGUUUUCUCUAUGUAUCCACACAUGCACUGUGUCUCCAAUCAAUACAAUUAUAGCAUGGAUAAUAAACGAUUAUCAUGAACAAAGAAAUAUAAUAAUAACUAAUUUAUUAUUGCCUCUAGGGCAUAUUUCCAACANNNNNNNNNNGUCACAUGAUUCUCCUAAUGAUGUGAUCCCGUAAUCAAGUGACAACACUUGCCUAUGGUCAGGAAACCUUGACCAUCUUUGAUCAACGAGCUAGUCAACUAGNNNNNNNNNNNNNNNNNNNNNNNNNNNNNNNNNNNNNNNNNNNNNNNNNNNNNNNNNNNNNNNNNNNNNNNNNNNNNNNNNNNNNNNNNNNNNNNNNNNNCGCUUCAAUCCAACAAUACCGCGGAAUCAAGAAAAGACUAAGGAGGGCAGCAAAACGCACAUCACUGCCCACAAAAACUUUUGUGUUCUACUCGAGAAGACAUCUACGCAUGAACCUAGCUCAUGAUGCCACUGUUGGGGAACGUCGCAUGGGAAACAAAAAAUUUCCUACGCGCACGAAGACCUAUCAUGGUGAUGUCCAUCUACGAGAGGUGAUAUUCGAUCUACGUACCCUUGUAGAUCGCACAGCAGAAGCGUUAAGAAACGCGGUUGAUGUAGUGGAACGUCCUCACGUCCCUCGAUCCGCCCCGCGGACCGUCCCGCGAUCCGUCCCACGAUCUAGUGCCGAACGGACGGCACCUCCGCGUUCAGCACACGUACAGCUCGACGAUGAUCUCGGCCUUCUUGAUCCAGCAAGAGAGACGGAGAGGUAGAUGAGUUCUCCGGCAGCGUGACGUCGCUCCGGAGGUUGGUGGUGAUCUUAUCUCAGCAGGGCUCCGCCCGAGCUCCGCAGAAACGCGAUCUAGAGGUAAAACCGUGGAGGUAUGUGGUCGGGCUACCGUGGCAAAGUUGUCUCAAAUCAGCCCUAAAACCUCCGUAUAUAUAGGGCGAAGAGGGGGAGNNNNNNNNNNNNNNNNNNNNNNNNNNNNNNNNNNNNNNNNNNNNNNNNNNNNNNNNNNNNNNNNNNNNNCGCCCCAAAGGGGGUCGGCCGAGCCAAGGGGGGAGUCCUCCCCUUCCAAACCGAAUCCAACUAGGUUUGGAAGGUGGAGUCCUUCCCCUUUUUCCCACCUCCCCUUUUUUUCUCUUUGAUCUUCUUCCUAUGGCGCAUAGGGCCUUCUUGGGCUGUCCCACCAGCCCACCAAGGGCUGGUGCGCCACCCCCAAGGCCUAUGGGCUUCCCCGGGGUGGGUUGCCCCCCCCCCCCGCCCGCAAGGCCUAUGGGCUUCCCCGAGGUGGGUUGCCCCCCCCGGUGAACACCCGGAACCCAUUCGUCAUUCCCGGUACAUUCCCGGUAACUCCGAAAACCUUCCGGUAAUCAAAUGAGGUCAUCCUAUAUUUCCGAACCAUUCCGGAAACCCUCGUGAUGUCCGUGAUAUCAUCCGGGACUCCGAACAACAUUCGGUAACCAACCAUAUAACUCAAAUACGCAUAAAACAGCGUCUAACCUUAAGUGUGCAGACCCUGCGGGUUCGAGAACUAUGCAGACAUGACCCGAGUGACUCCUCGGUCAAUUUCCAAUAGCGGGACCUGGAUGCCCAUAUUGGAUCCCACAUAUUCUAUGAAGAUCUUAUCGUUUGAACCUCAGUGCCAAGGAUUCAUAUAAUCCCNNNNNNNNNNNNNNNNNNNNNNNNNNNNNNNNNNNNNNNNNNNNNNNNNNNNNNNNNNNNNNNNNNNNNNNNNNNNNNNNNNNNNNNNNNNNNNNNNNNNGCAAAGUCAUGACGAUAUCUAAGGCAAUGAUCAUACAUAUAGGCAUCCCGUCCGAGACAAGUAGACCGAUACUUUCUGCAUCUACUAUUAUUACUCCACACAUCGAUCGGUAUCCAGCAUGCAUCUAGUGUAUUGAGUUCAUGACGAACAGAGUAACGCCUUAAGCAAGAUGACAUAAUGUACAGGGAUAAUCUCAAACCAAUUAUGAAAACCCCAUCUUUUUACCCUUGAUGGCAACAACACGAUGCGUGCCUCGCUACCCCUUCUGUCACUGGGUGAGGUCACCGCACGGUAUGAACCAAAACCAAGCACUUCUCCCAUUGCAAGAAUCAUAGAUCAAGUUGGCCAAACAAAACCCACAACUCGAAGAUAAUUACAAGGAUAUGAAAUCAUGCAUAUAAGAGAUCAGAAGAAACUCAAAUAAGAUUCAUAGAUAAUCUGAUCAUAAAUCAACAAUUCAUCGGAUCUUGACAAACACACCGCAAAAGAAGAUUACAUCGGAUAGAUGUCCAUGAAGAUCAUGGAGAACUUUGUAUUAAAAAUCCAAGAGAGAGAAGAAGCUAUCUAGCUAAUAGCUAUGGACCCGUAGGUCUAUGGUGAACUACUCACGCAUCAUCGGAGAGGUCAUGGUGUUAAUGAAGAAGCCCUUCGUAUCUGAAUCCCCCCUCUAGCAGGGCACCAGAACGUGCCCCAGAUGGGAACUUGCGGAGACAAAAGCUUGCGGCGGGGGAAAAGUACUUUCGAUGAUCUCCUGAUUUUUUAUGGAAUUUUUGGGAAUAUAUAGGCGAAAGACCUAGGGCAGAGGAGGCCCAGGGAGCCCACAAGCCUGGGAGGCGCGCCCCCUGGCUGCGGCUAGGGGGCUUGUGGGGUCCCUGGUGGCCCCUUCUACUUCUCAAACAACAGCGCCAAAAAUUGACACGUUGACGGAGACUUGCUUGCGUCGGUUUUUCCCUUGAAGAGGAAAGGGUGAUGCAGCACAAGAGCAGUAAGUAUUUCCCUAAUUUUGAGAACCAAGGUAUCAAUCCAGUAGGAGAAUCUCGUCUAGUCCAGAGUACCUGCGCAAAAACAAACGAGCUUGCACCCAACGCUAUAAAGGGGUUGUCAAUCCCUUCAAGAUUGAUUGCAAAGUGAGAUUUGAAGGCAGAAAGUGCAACGAAGUAAAAGAGUAAGGCUGAAAAUAUGGUGUGGAGUAGACGCGGGGGCCAUAGUGUUCACUAGAGGCUUCUCUCAAAAUAACAAAUAUUAUGGUGGGUGAACAAAUUACUGUCGAGCAAUUGAUAGAACCUCGCAACGUCAUGACGAUAUCUAAGGCAAUGAUCAUACAUAUAGGCAUCACGUCCGAGACAAGUAGACCGAUACUUUCUGCAUCUACUACUAUUACUCCACACAUCAACCGCUAUCCAGCAUGCAUCUAGUGUAUUGAGUUCAUGACGAACAGAGUAACGCCUUAAGCAAGAUGACAUGAUGUAGAGGGAUAAUCUCAAACCAAUGAUGAAAGCCCAUCUUUUUACCCUUNNNNNNNNNNNNNNNNNNNNNNNNNNNNNNNNNNNNNNNNNNNNNNGACCCCAUCUUUUUACCCUUGAUGGCAACAACACGAUGCGUGCCUUGCUACCCCUUCUGUCACUGGGUGAGGUCACCGCACGGUAUGAACCCAAAACCAAGCACUUCUCCCAUGCAAGAAUCAUAGAUCAAGCUGGCCAAACAAAACCCACAAUUCGAGGAGAAUUACAAGGAUAUGAAAUCAUGCAAAUAAGAGAUCAGAAUAAAUUUAAAUAAGAUUCAUGGAUAAUCUGAUCAUAAAUCCACAAUUCAUCGGAUCUCGACAAACACACCGCAAAAGAAGAUUACAUCGAAUAGAUCUCCAUGAAGAUCACGGAGAACUUUGUAUUGAAGAUCCAAGAGAGAGAACAAGUCAUGUAGCUACUAGCCAUGGACCCAUAGGUCUAUGGUGAACUACUCACGCAUCAUCGGAGAGGUCAUGGUGUUGAUGAAGAAGCCCUCCGUAUCCGAAUCCCCCCUCCGGCAGGGCACCAGAACGUGCCCCAGAUGGGAUCUUGCGGAGACAGAAGCUUGCGGCGACGGAAAAGUACUUUCGAUGAUCUCUUGAUUUUUUCUGGAAUUUUUGGGAAAUAUAUAGGCGGAAGACCUAGGGCAGAGGUGGCCGAGGGAGCCCACAAGCCUAGGAGGCGCGAGCCCCCCUGGCUGCUGCUAGGGGGCUUGUGGGGUCCCUGGUGGCCCCCUGCCCUGGUUCUCAGGCUCCCCGAUCUUCUUCUGUUUCGGAAAAAAUCUUUUUGGAAGUUUCGUUCCGUUUGGACUCUGUUUAAAAUCCUCCUCUAAAAAGGGUCAAAAACAUGGAUAAAAUAGGAACUGGAACUUGGCACUGAGUUAAUAAGUUAGUCCCAAAAAAGAUAUAAAAGGCAUACAAAACAUCCAAAGUUUGACAGGAUAAUAACUGAGUUAAUAAGUUAGUCCCAAAAAAGAUAUAAAAGGCAUACAAAACUUCCAAAGUUUGACAAGAUAAUAGCAUGAAACCAUCAAAAAUUAUAGAUACGUUGGAGAUGUAUCAAGCUUCCCCAAGCUUAACUCCUGCUCGUCCUCGAGUAGGGAAGUGAUAAAGACUGAAUUUUUGAUGUGGAAUGCUACCUAGCAUAGUUGUCCUUUGUAACUUCAUUCAUGUGACAUGAAUUUUCAGAUCCAAAAGAUUCAAAACAGUAGUUUGCUAUUACCAUGAAAACAAUAAUACUUCUCUAGAGCUAGUUUCAAUGUGAAUGAGUAGGGAUUGCCAUACAAGGGAUGCACUAGAGCUAUAAGUAUGUGAAAGCUCAAAAGGAGAACUAGUGGGUGUGCAUCCAACUUGCUUGCUCAUGAAGACCUAGGGAAAUUUUGAGGAAGCCCAUCAUUGGAAUAUACAAGCCAAAUUAUAUAGUAAAGAUUCCCACUAGUAUAUGGUGGUGACAAAACGAGAGGCUCUCAAUCAUGGAGAACGUGGUGCUAUUAUGAAGCACAAGUGUGGAAAAAGAUAGUAGCAUUGUCCCUUCUCUCUUUUUCUCUCUUCUCUUUUUUUGUUUGGGCACUUGGGCCUCUUUUUAUUUUUUAUUUUUUUAUUUGGGCUCUUUGACCUCUUUUUUUAUUUCCUCACAUGGGACAAUGCUCUAAUAAUGAUUAUCAUCACACUUUUAUUUACUCACAGCUCAAAGCUUAGAACGAUGAUGACUCUAUGGGAAAUGCCUCCGGUAGUGUACCGGGAUGUGCAACGAUCUAGCUUGGCGUAUGACGUUGAAACAUCUCGCUAGCUAUCUUACGAUCAUGCAAUGGCAAUCGGAGCGUGACAGCACAAGUCAUGAGAAGGAACAGUGGGAGUUGCAUGGCAAUAUAUCUCGGAAUGGCUAUGAAAAUGCCAUAGUAGAUAGGUAUGGUGGCUGUUUUGAGGAAGGCAUAUGGUGGGUUUGUGUACCGGUGAAAGUUGCGCGGCACGAGAGAGGCUAGCAAUGGUGGAAGGUGAAAGUGCAUCUAUACCAUGGACUCACCUUAGUCAUGAAGAACUCACAUACUUGUUGCGAAAGUUUUUAUUAGUAAUCGAAACAAAGUGCUAAACGCAUACUCCUAGGGGAAGGGUUGGUAGGUGUUAACCAUCGCGCGAUCCCGACCUCAACACAAAGGAUGACAAUCAAUAGACCAAUUAUGCUCCGACUUCCUAACAUAGCGGUUCAUCAUACGUGCAUGGUGCGGGAAUCACUAACUUCAACACAAGUAUUUUGUCACGCCCAAGAUGCGACCCUAUCCUCAAUUUGGCACGAAGGCCUCGUCAGGGAUAGAAGCGCAUCUCGUCGUGUCGCAAGAAUGGAUAUCGUUACAAGUACAUGUACUGAAAAGAAGUGGUAUAUAAAGAGAGUUGGCUUACACUCGCCACAAGCUACAUCAGAGUCACAACAGUACAUUACAUAAACAUCAUGAAGAAGAGCAGGGUCCGACUACGGACGAAAACAAACGAGAAAAUGAAACGACGUCCAUCCUUGCUAUCCCAGGCUGCCGGCCUAGAACCCAUCCUAGAUCGAUGAAGAAGAAGAAGAAGCAACUCCAAAUGAACAAUCAACGCGCUAGCGUCAAGUAACCUUUACAUGUACCUGCAAUUGGUGUUGUAGUAAUCUGUGAGCCACAGGGGACUCAGCAAUCUCAUUUCCAAAGGUAUCAAGACUAGCAAAGCUUAUGGGUGAGGUAUGGUUAAGUGGUGAGGUUGCAGCAGCGGCUAGCAUAUAUUUGGUGGCUAAACUUACGAGUACAAGAAAUAAGAGGGGGAAGAUCUACGCAUAGCGGACGGAAGCUACGGAUGAUCAAACGAAUGAUCCUGAACACCUACCUACGUCAGACAUAACCCCACCGUGUCCUCGAUCGGAGAAGGAACUCACGAAAGAGACAGUCACGGUUACGCACACAGUUAGCAAGUUUUAAUUAAAUUAACUUCAAGUUAUCUAGAACUAGUGUUAAACAAAGUUUCCACGUUGCCACAUAACCGUGGGCACGGCUUUCCGAAAAGAUUUAACCCUGCAGGGGUGCUCCAACUAGUCCAUCACAAAUUACCACAAGCCGCAUAGAAAUCCUCAAUCACGAAGCUCGCUAUCUCGUCGGAUUCCCUAGUGGAAAACCUCAACUCUGAGAUUACCCAAAGCAUCACCGGAAUCCCGAUGCACAAGAUAUUUCCAAAGGCAAAACUAACCCAGCAAGGCCGCCCGACGUAUCGACGAUCCCGAUAGGAUUCGCGUACCUCGUUCUCAGGACACGACGGAUGGGUCACACUAGGAGAACCAAACCUCGGGUUGCCCUGCGGUGGCCCCGUAGUCUGCCAAUUUGGACCAACACUCAUGAGGAGCACUGGCCCGGGGGUUGAUUAAAUUAUCCUCGGGGUCCGGAAAGUCCCUAUGCAAUUUUAUUAGGUGUUUAGGAAAAUGUAGUACCAAAGUUGGGCCUUGCCAGACUAGUCUUAAUCUAAAACGAAUUAUCAAGGGGGUCCCCAUAACAACCCCGAUCGUGUUAGGAGCGCUCAUUUAUGGAACAUAACACCGGUAGCCGGAAACUAAGGGGGCAAAGGUGGAACAAAACACCAGGCUAGAAAGGCCUAGCCUUCCACCUUUUACCAAGUAUAUAGGUGCAUUAAAUUAAAUAGCAUUUAAUAUGGUGAUAUAACAAGGAACCCAUGCUUUCACAUGGAAGCAUCUGCACCUGCAACUAGCAACGCUAUCAACAGGGUUAAGCAAGCAGUAACAUAGCCAAUCAGUGGUUUUCUAGGUUGAACAGGUGGAAGGUUUCAUGGCAUUGUUGAGAGGCUAAUAUUUAACAUGUGGUAGGCAACGAGACAUAAACGGUAGCAACGGUAAAACUAGCAUGGCAAUGAUAGUAAUGGUAUCUGGGGAAAUGGUCAUCUUGCCUGAGAUCCCGCUUGGAAGAAGAAUGCCUCCGUGAAGCAGACGAACCGACGUAGUCGAACGGGUCCUCACAUCCGACACGCUUGCGGAACUCUAUCGAGACGGGGGAAACCGGAAAUAAGCAUCAACACACGAUAUUCACCACACGAUGCACAACACAUAUGAUGCAUGAGCAGCUGAAUACAUGCAAGUUACGGCAUGACCAAUCACACAAUCAAACACUACACAUUAAGUGAAGUUCAAUAUGCAACGAGUUGCAUAUUGACGAAACUCCACGUUUAUUUAUUUAGUUCUAUCCCGAUUAGGUACACGUCAAUAUUAAAUGAUGUUAAACAUGGCAAGAGGUGAAGCACAAUUAAUCUACCUAUCUAGGCAUUUUAAAUGAGGUCGGAAAUGACAUAUAGCAUCUCCGAAACAACCUCACAUGUUAAUUUACAAUUCUGUCCAGAUCUGAACUAACACAUUUAGUUAGUUGUUAAACAGCAAAACAAAUAGGUUCACGUGAUUCUACGCGUCAAGGCAAGCAAUUUACACAUAGAAAUCAUCUCCAACGGAGCUACGGUUCAAAAGAUACAAGCACCGCAAGAUAUGAUGGCAUGAAUGCAAUAUGUGUGCAACGUCGGUCACGAGCACUUCAAAACAUGCAAACAGCAAGAGAAAAUGAAACUACACGAGAUUAUAAGCAAGAAUUCAUGUACGACACGAUCAAAUCGGAGCUACGGUUCAAAAGCUACGAGCAAAACAAGAAAUCACUACAAUCUACCAAAAUCAGCCACAUAACACUUUCUACGCCCGACAACUACGGCUGCACAACUCCGACAAACUCAACCAAGGCAUGGCACGAAAGAGGGCAAGACACACUACUACAAACAACUAACAACAACUAGCAUGUCAGCAAGGAGCCAGGAAAAGAAGACACAAAAUGGCAUCUCACACACUAUUUCAGACUUAGUGAAAAUUACACCUCCUGAAAGUGCAGUUUUCGAUCUGAAACCAUAUUGAUAGCAGCAAAACCAAUAGCUACAGGACUCCAAAGGGCAUGAAAAUUCACAGCAAGCUAGAGAAACCCAAGGGCUACAACUAACUCCAUUGGACCAACCUCAAAAGAGCUACAGAUCACAAGCUAGAAGAAAAAAAACAGCAACAAAAUAUAACCGAUUUCAGACUUAGAAAUAUUUCAGCACCUCCAAAUCAGCACUAUUUCUAGCAACUUGAGAGCAAGCAAAUCACACCUAAACAUGCAUUUCUGUUGCAACCAAAAAUACCAGGGGCUAGACAAAACAUCCAAGAACAACUCCCUAGUUGACAACUUAAUCAAACGAAGCACGGAAUAAAUCCUACGAAUUAAACAAAAGGGCAUCACGGCAAAAUAUCUCACGAACUAACUUACUCAAAAGCUAAAACUAAUUGCGCAGAAAAAUCACAUGGAUUUUUCUACCCCGGAAACAUAUAAAAUAUGUGGGGUUGCACAACAAUAUAAUGCCACACGAAAAUGCGGGAAAGAUAACCUAUACAUGGGAAAAUAAACUACCGACAAUCCAUACAUGCAAAAAUACCUAUGACCGCUCUAAAAUACAUGGAAUAAUGGUCCCUAAAACAUAGGCAUUUUAUCUAAGGCAUUCGAACAAACCGGACAUGCGCGAAAAUUAAAUUACGGGCAAAUCACAUUAGGACAGCACGCUAAACUAGGCAUUCGGCAUGCUAAACUACAUCAAACAAAAAUGCAAAUUGUAAAUUCGUAAUCUACGCGAAAUUCUACACGAAAACCAUAUACUACACGUUCCGAUCCGACUAACGGCUAAAAAGAUACGGACGUUUUAUUAUACGGCUAUCUCGUGAAAAGGAACUUAAUUCAGAUUAAAUCCUUAAAUACUACUGGGCCGAAUCUAAACUAAUUGGGCCUACAGUGCCAAAACGCGUCAAAACUAUACAUCGCAUGAGUAGGAAAAAGAAAGGAAAGGAAAUAAAAAGGCUCGGGGCGGCCUCACCUUGCUCUUGGGCCUAGCCCAAGCGGAGGAAGCUGGGCGGCCUGGCCGCGGCGCUGGUGGGGAGGCCGAAGGCCUGGGCCGGCUCAGGGCUCUCUGGGCCGCAGCGGGGAAGGCCUGGAGCGCUGGGGCCCACGUGGCCUGGCGAAGGGGCAGCCUCGAGCGGGCGACCACUCGUCGUCCUCCCAUCUCCUCGGGGAAGCGAGACCGAGAAGCCAUGGCGGUUGGAGCCUGGCCUAGGGAACGCGGGGAUCGCGGUGGCCGGCUCUUGGGGCAGCGGAUCCGGCCGGGAUCCGCCGGAUCUGGCUGCCGGUGGGGCUGCGACGAGGGAUCCUUGGCGGCGGCUCAGGUACGGGCGACGGAAGGCGGCAGGUUCGGGCAGCUCGGGCCGACGGCUGGCGGCUGCAGGUCUCGGCCGGCGGGGACGCUGGCCGGCGGCGAAGGCAGCCGGGUCUGGCGGCUGCGGCGAGUUGCUCCGGCCGGGAGACGCUCCGCCGGCUCGAUUCCGGGAGGAGGUCGGCGGGCACUAGAGCUGCUGGGCGUGGGAGGAGCCUCGGGCCCGGGCGGGCUUGCGAUGGGCUCGGUGGGCCCGCGGCGGCUAGGGCUGGUGGGAGAGAGAGGGGGAAUUAGGGUUAGGUGGCGCGGUUUUCGAGGUGGAGAGGGAUGGCAGUCUAAAAAUUAGGAGGGGGUAUUUAUAGAGAAAAGAGGGGCUCGGUUAACCGGAAUCGCGUUCCGGAUCCAACCGUGCGGUCGGAUUCGGACGAUUCCGAACGCAGGUAUGGGUACGUGGCCGUGUAGAGGGGAUAUCCGGAGACGAGAGGGAGAACGGGCGGCGCGGCAACGAUUUAAAAACAUCAACAGACGUCCGACGGUAGACCGAAUACGGUGCCGCUACGGUCGACCGUUCGGGUACCAGACGGACUCCGAUGGCGACGAAAUUUGACAACGGCCUAACUACGUCCAAAUAAGACCGCGCGUCAAAUCUCAACCCAAUCAGAGGAAGUUUUCAACACACUUUUAAAAACAAGGUUUGACGAUGCCGCGGGCGCGUGCGAGUGCGGUUGGGCUCAGAACGGACAACGACGAGAACCGGCAACUAAUAACGGAUGCAAGUUUUGAAAACUGGCGGCAACAGAGUGCCGAUGCAAAGCUGAUGAUGCGCAUGAUGCGAUGAUGAUGCGACAAAUAAAAAUAGACACACGACGGAAACCGAAAGAAAAGGGGAAUCUUCUGGAACGUCGGCAUCGGGCUGUCACAUAUUUCUAGAUUCACAACACCCUACUAACAUAACUCUUAAUAUUACCAAAUCCACGUCUCAAAACUAAUUGAGAGGAAUCAAGACUUCUCUUUCUACUCAAUGCACAUGAAGAUGGAGGUUUUUGUAUCCUCUUUGGGUACCUAUCACCUUUGGGACUACUUUCAUAGCACAAGCUAACUACCAAGUCACGCACCGCCGUGCUCUAAAAGAUCUAAGUGAAGCACAAAGAGCAAAAUUAUCCAGCUCAAAAGAUAUAAGUGAAGCACGAUGAGCAUUCUAGCAAAAUCACGAUGAGUGCAAGUCUCUCUCAAAAGGUGUGCAGCAAGGAUGAUUGUGACACAACAAAAAGAAAAGACUCCAACGAUACAAGACGCUCCAAACAAAACACAUAUCAUGUGGUGAAUAAAAAUAUAGCUCCAAGUAAUGUUACCGAUGGAUUGAAGACGAAAGAGGGGAUGCCUUCCCGGGGCAUCCCCAAGCUUAGGCUUUUUGGUGUCCUUGAAUUUGGCUUGGGAUUCCUUGGGCAUCCCCAAGCUUGAGCUCUUUCCACUCUUUAUCCCUUUGUCCAUGAGAACAUCACCCAAAACUUGAAAACUUCACAACACAAAACUUAAACAGAAACUCGUGAUAUCGUUAGCACAAGAAAACAAACUACCACCUCUUUAGUUACUGUAGUAAUCUUGAUUUCUAUUUAUAUUGGUGUUAGUAUACUGUAUUCUCACUUUUCCAUGGCUAGUACCCCCCGAUACUAUCCAUAGUUUCAUCAAAACAAGCAACCAACUCAACAAAAACAGAAUCUGACAAAAACAUACCAGUCUGUAGCAAUAUGUAUACUUCUGGUACCUCACAAAUUCUAAAAAAUUAUGACUGCCUGGGAAAAAGGUAUAUCAACCAGCAGCAAAAAUAAUCAACUCAAAAGCUCUUUCUGAAUAAAAAUGAAAAAUUAUCUCGUGAGCAAAAAGUUUUUGUCUUUUUCCAGCAGGAUCAAACAACCAUCACCAAGACUAGUCAUAAAGGUUUUGCUUGGCUCAAACACAAAAAAAAACACGAAAGACACAAUCAUAAGAGAAUUAUGACGGUUUGGACGCAACAAAAAAUAAAGAAAAAGAUAAAUUCAUUGGGUUGCCUCCCAACAAGUGCUAUUGUUUAACGCCCUUAGCUAGGCAUAAGGCAAUUCAAUGAUGCUCACACAAAAGACAAGAAUUGAAUCACAACGAGAGCAUCAUAAAGCAUGUGAAAAUCACAUCUAAGUCUAUCAUACUUCCUAUGCAUAGGCAUUUUAUAGGAAAACAAAUUAUCAAGACAACCAAUAGCUGCCAUAUGCAACGAAGAAGAAAGAGACAAGAGCAAUCUCAACAAAACGAGAGGUGAAUUGGUAACAUGAAAGUUUCUACCGCAAUAUUUUCCUCUCUCAUAGCAAUUACAUGCGGGAUCAUAAUCAAACUCAACAAUAUAGCUAUCACAAAGGAUAUUCUUUUCAUGAUCCACAUGCAUGCAAAGUUGGCGCUCUUCAAAAAUAGUGGGAUUAUCAUCAACUAAAGUCAUGACUUAUCCAAACCCACUUUCAAUAUUAUUGCAAAUAUCAAAUUCAUCAUGAGGCUUAAACAAAUUUUCAAGAUCAUAACAAAAAUCGUUACCCCAAUCAUGAUCAUUGCAGCAAGUAGUAGACAUAGCAAAACAAGCAUCCCCAAGCUUAGGGUUUUGCAUAUUUUUAGCAUGAUUGUCACUAAUAGAAUUUAUAGCGAAACCAUUGCAAUCAUGCUUUUCAUUCAAGGAGCCCUCAUGAAUCAUGAUACGUCCAUUUUGCAUCAUGUUUUCAUGUUGAUAUUUAUCGCUUCUUGGGCUGUUAUUUCACUUCACGGCACAAUACUUAUGCCUUUUCUCUCUUAUUUUGCAAGGUUUACAUGAAGAGGGAGAAUGUCGGCAACUGGAAUUCUGGCCUGAAAGUGGAGCAAAGUUGAGAUAUCUAUUCUGCGCAACUCCAAACGCCGUAAAAAUCAACGAGGAUUUUUUUUCCAGAUUUAUAAAAAAUACUGGGCUAAAGAAGCGCCAGAGGGGCGCCAGCAGGCGGCCACAAGCCUACACGGUGCAGCCACCCCCCCCCCCCAGGCCGCGCCACGAGGUCUUGUGGGCAGCCUGCUGGCCCACUGGCCCCCCUCUUCUACUAUAUGAAGGGUUUCAUGUAGAAAAAAUCAGGGAGGAGCUUUUUCAUGAAUUCGCCGCCGCCACGAGGCGGAACUUGAGCAGAACCAAUCUAGAGCUCCGGCAGGACGAUCUUGCUGGGAAACUUCCCUCCUGGAGGGGGAAAUCGUCGCCAUCAUCAUCACCAACACUCCUCUCAUCGGAGGGGACUCAUCACCAUCAACAUCUUCAUCAGCACCAUCUCAUGUCCAAACCCUAGUUCAUCACUUGUAACCAAUCUCCGUCUCGCGACUCCGAUUGGUACUUGUAAGGUUGCUAGUAGUGUUGAUUACUCUUUGUAGUUGAUGCUAGUUGGAUUACUUGGUGGAAGAGUUUAUGUUCAGAUCCUUGAUGCUACUCAUUACCUCUCUGAUCAUGAAUAUGAUUAUUCUUUAUGAGUAGUUACUUUUGUUCCUGAGGACAUGAGAUAAGUCAUGCUGAUAGUAGUCAUGUGAAUUUGGUAUUCGUUCGGUAAUUUGAUAUGUUGUAUGUUGUUUUUCCUCUAGUGGUGUUAUGUGAACGUCGACUACAUAACACUUCACCAUUAUUUGGGCCUAGAGGGAGGCAUUGGGAAGUAGUAAGUAGAUGAUGGGUGUUACUGCAACAAAAGACCUUCCAAUGGCGCCAGAAAUAGGCACGUUGUCGGGAAAUUAUCUUGACGUGCUCCUCCCGUCAACGGCGCCAGAAAUAGGAGUGUUGCUUGAUACUCGUCAGCAAGGGCACCAGGAAUCCUUCAGCUGCGGCUACGCCUUAAGGGACUUCCUAGGCAAGUAUGCAAAGGAUUUCCCCCGUGGCCUUCGAGCCUUGCGUUGGUGUUCCCUCGAAGCGGAAAGGGUGAUGUAGCACAGCGGUGGUAAGUAUUUCCCUCAGUUAGAGAACCAAGGUAUCAAUCCAGUGGAGGAGUAUCUCAAGAUCCUGCACAAACGCAAGCUGAGGGUAAUACUUACCGUCGAUGUGCUACAUCACCCUUUCCGCUUCGAGGGAACACCAAUGCAAGGUUCCAAGGCCACGGGAGAAAUCCUUUCCAUACUUGCCUAGGAAAUCCCUUAAGGCGUAGCAGUAGCUGAAGGAUUCCUGGUGCCGUCGACACAACUAUUUCCUGGUGCCGUUGCAAGGGAUACACAACAAACAUCAGAAGUAUUUCUGGCGCCGUUGCCGGGGAGGAGAAAUCAAGAUCUAUCCAAAUAGGUCUCACAAACUCUUCUAUUGCAUUUCCUUUUGUUGACAGUUGCCUCACGUUUUCCUCUCCCCCACUUCACAUUUGCCAUUUUCAUUCACCUUUCUCCCUUGUCGGUUUCUUGCUUGCUUGUGUGCUUGUUUGUUUGUUGAAGACAUCAUGUCUGAAAACACCAAACUUUGCGACUUCUCGAGCAAUAAUAAUAAUGAUUUUAUUAGUACUCCGAUUGCACCCGCCACUAGUGCGGAAUCGUAUGAAAUCAACGCAGCUUUGCUGAAUCUUAUUAUGACAGAGCAAUUCUCUGGCCUUCCUAGUGAAGAUGCCGCAUCCCAUCUCAAUACCUUCAUUGAGCUUUGAGAUAUGCAAAAGAAAAGAGAUGUCGAUAAUGACGUGAUUAAGUUGAAACUUUUUCCUUUCUCGUUGCGAGAUCGCGCAAAAACUUGGUUUUCUUCUUUGCCUAAAAAUAGUAUCGAUUCUUGGGAUUGGUGCAAAGAUGCUUACAUAUCCAAGUAUUUUCCGCCGGCUAAGAUCAUCUCCUUACGUAACGAUAUCAUGAAUUUCAAGCAACUUGAUCAUGAACACGUUGCACAAUCUUGGGAGAGGAUGAAGCUUAUGAUUAGAAAUUGUCCCACUCGUGGCUUGAGUUUGUGGAUUAUUAUACAAAUCUUUUACGCUGCCUUGAAUUUCGCAUCUCGCAAUAUCUUGGACUCCGCCUCAGGUGGAACAUUCAUGGAAAUCACGUUAGGAAACGCUACAAAACUCCUAGACAAUAUCAUGACCAACAAAUCUCAGUGGCACACUAAAAGGUCGCUCAGUGGCACACUAAAAGGUCGCCUGCUAGCAAAAAGGUGCACGCUAUAGAAGAGAUUAACUCGCUUAGUGCUAAGAUGGACGAGUUGAUGAAUUUGGUUUCUAGUAGAAACGCUACCGUAAUCCUAAUGACAUGCCACUAUCUUCUUUGAUUGAGAGUAGCAACGCUAGUUUGGACGUGAAUUUUGUCGGUAGGAACAAUUUUGGCAACAACAAUGCUUUUAGAGGAAACUAUGUUCCUAGGCCUUUUCCUAGUAACUCCUCUAACAAUUAUGGCAAUUCCUACGGCAACACUUAUGGAAAUCAUAACAAAUUACCCUCUGAUCUAGAGAGUAAUAUCAAAGAGUUCGUCAACUCUCAAAAGAUUUUCAGUGCGUCCAUAGAGGAAAAACUACUCAAAAUAGACGAUUUGGCUAAGAGCGUUGAUAGGAUGUCUUGUGAUAUUGAUGCUUUGAAAGUUAGAUGUGCUCCUCCCAAGAUCAACUUGGAUGAAACUUUGAAAGCUAUGUGUAUCUCCAUGAAUGAGAGCAAAUAAAGAACCGCCCAAAUUCGCGCUGGACAUGAAUGGUUUAAUAGGGUGCAUUCUAGUGAUGCAAAUCACGAAGAUCUUAAAGUGCUUGGUGUGUCUCCUCUUGAAUCUUUCUUUUCGCGUGUCAAACCUACUUAUGGAGGGGCUGGAUAUGAAUCCACUUUGGUUGAAAAACGCCCCAAUGAUUCGGAGUCCACCUAUGAUGAUAAAGGUGUGGAGAGUGGAGUAGAAGAAGUCAAAAUUUUGGGUAGUAAUGAAACUCCCACUUUGGAUUUCAAGGAAUUCAAUUAUGAUAAUUGCUCCUUGUUUUAAUGCAUUUCUUUGAUGCACUCCAGUGCAAACUCUCCACGUGCUUAUAGCCAAAGCAAAGCCUUUACCGCGCAUAUCGUAGAUGCUAUGAUGAAAUCUCUUGAAGAGAAGCUUGAACUAGAAGUCUCUAUACCUAGAAAACUUCUUGAUGAGUGGGAACCUACUAUCAAAAUCAAGAUCAAAAACUAUGAGUGCAAUGCUUUGUGUGAUUUGGGUGCUGGUGUUUCCGCGAUUCCAAAGUCUUUAUGUGAUAUUCUUGGUUUUCAUGAGACUGAAGAGUGUUCUCUUAAUUUGCAUCUUGCGGAUUCUACCGUCAAGAAGCCCAUGGGGAGGAUCGAUGAUGUUCUUAUUGUUGCAAGUAAGAACUAUGUACCCGUGGAUUUCAUUGUACUUGACAUAGAUUGCAAUCCUUCAUGUCCCAUUAUUCUUGGUAGACCUUUCCUAAGGACUAUUGGUGCUAUCAUCGAUAUGAAGGAAGGGAAUAUUAGAUUUCAAUUUCCCUUAAAGAAGGGCAUGGAUCACUUUCCUAGAAAGAAAAUAAGAUUGCCUUAUGAAUCUAUGAUGAGGGCUACCUAUGGUUUGAGCACCAAAGAUGACUAUACGUGAUUCCAUCACUUUCGCCUAGCUAAGGGCGUUAAAAAAAGCGCUUGUUGGGAGGCAACCCAACGAAUCUAUCCUUUUUCUUUCUGUUUUAUGUUUUUCACACUUUCAUAAUUCUGUUAUGAUUGUGUUUUUUGUGUUUCUUUUUGCAUUUGUGCCAAGCAAAACCGCUAUGAUUAGUCUUGGGGAUGAUCGUUUGGUCAUGCUGGAAAAGACAGAAACUUUCUGCUCACGAAAAGAAUUUUCAUGUUUUUUCUGUAAGAGAUUUUGAGUUGAUUCUUUUGCUGCUGAUUGCUACGCAAAUUCAUCAGACUGUCGUAAUGUUUAAGAAUUUUUGAAGUAGUAGAGGUAUACUAAACAUACAGAUUGCUACAGACUGGUCUGGUGUUAACAGAUUCUGUUUUUGUUGUGUUGGUUGCUUAUUUUGAUGAAACUAUGGAUAAUAUCGGGGGUUAUUAGCCAUGGAAGAUUAAAAGUACAGUAACCCAACAUCAGCGCAAGUAGAAUUUAAGUUUGCUACAGUACCUAAGGAAGUGGUGGUUUACUUUCUUGUACUAAUGUUAUCACGAGUUUAUGUUUAAGUUUCGUGUUGUGAAGUUUUCAAGUUUUGGGUGAAGUUCUUAUUGACAAAAAGAUAAAGAGUGGCAAGAUCUCAAGCUUGGGGAUGCCCAAGGCACCCCAAGGGAUUCAAGGAUGUCGUAAAAUCCUAAGCUUGCGGAUGCCCCGGGAGGGCAUCCCCGCUCUCGUCUUCAAUCCAUCGGUAACGUUACUUGGGGCUAUAUUUUUAUUCACCACAUGUUAUGUGUUUUUGCUUAGAGCGUCUUGUAUCGUAGGAGUCUUUUAAUAUAUUUUUUGUGUCACAAUCAUCCUUGAUGCACACCUAGAGAGAGAGACAUGCACUCACCGUGAUUUUGUCGAGCUUCACUUAUAUCUUUUGGUACACAAUUCAGCUCACUUAUGCUUCACUUAUAUCUUUUGGUAGACAAUUCAGCUCACAUAUGCUUCACUUAUAUCUUUUGAGAUAGAUACUUUUGCUCUAUGUGCUUCACUUAUAUCUUUUAGAGCACAGCGGUGCGUGGCUUGGUAGUUGAUCUAUGCUUUGAAAGUAGUCUCAAAAGGGGUAGUUAUCCAAAGGGAUGCGAAAACUUCCACCUUCAUGUGCAUUGAAUAGUUAGAGAAGUUUGAUUCAUCUCAAUUAGUUUUGAGUUGUGGUUAUGGUAAUAUUGAAGUCAUGUUAGUAAGGUGUUGUGGAUCUAGAAAUACUUGUGUUGAAGUUAGUGAUUCCCGUAGCAUGCACGUAUGGUGAACCACUAUGUGAUGAAGCCUGAGCAUGAUUAGUCUUUUGAUUGUCAUCCUUUGCGUGGCGGUCGGGAUCGCGCGGUGGUUUAUACCUACCAACCCUUCCCCUAGGAGUAUGCCUUGAAUGCUUUGUUUCGAUUACUAAUAAAACUUUUGCAACAAGUAUGUGAGUUCUUCAUGACUAAUGUUGAGUCCAUGGUUUAGAUGCACUUUCACCUUCCACCAUCACUAUCUUGUUAGUGCCGCGCAACUUUCGCCGGUGCACAAAACCCACCAUUAGCCUUCCUCAAAACAGCCACCAUACCUACCUACUAUGGCUUUUUCAAAGUCAUUCCAAGAUAUAUUGCCAUGCAACUACCACCAUGAGAUGUGCCACCACGUCUACAUUGCCUUUGCACGAUCGUAAGAUAGCUAGCAUGAUGUUUCCAUUGAUGUCUAUGCCAUGCUAGAUCAUUGCCACGGUACACUACCGAAGGCAUUCCAUAUAGAGUCAUAGUUGCUCUAAGUUUUGAGUUGAAAGUGUGAUGAUCAUCAUUAUUGGAGCAUUGUCCCAUGUGAGGAAAUAAAAGAGGCCAUAGAAACCCAUAAAAAAGAGGCCAAAGAUCCCAGCAAAAUAAAUAAAUAAAUAAAAGUAUGAGAGAAAAAGAGAGAAGGGACAAUGCUACCACUUAUUCCACACUUGUGCAUUUUGAGCACCAUGAUCUUCAUGAUUGAGAGUCUCUCGUUUUGUCACCACCAUAUAGCUAGUGGGAAAUUCUCAUUAUAUAACUUGGCUUGUAUAUUCCAAUGAUAGGCUUCCUCAAAAUUGCCUUAGGUCUUCGUGAGCAAGCAAGUUGGAUGCACACCCACUAGUUUUCUUUAAGAGCUUUCACAUACUUGUAGCUCUAGUGCAUCAUUUGUAUGGCAAUCCCUACUCAUUCAUAUUGAUAUCUAUUGAUGAGCAUCUCCACAGCUCAUUGAUAUGCCUAGUUAAUGUGACUAUCUUCUCCUUUUUGUCUUGCAACCCCCACCACAUUCCACACCAUCUAUAGUGCUAUAACCAUGCCUCACGCUCAUGUAUUGCGUGAGAGUUGAAAAUGUUUGAGAAAGUAAAGGUGUGAAACAAUUACUUGGCCAAUACCGGGGUUGUGCAUGAUUUAAACUCGUUGUACAAUGAUGAUAGAGCAUAGCCAGACUAUAUGCUUUUGUAGGGAUAACUUUCUUUUGGCCUUGUUAUUUUGAAAGUUCAUGAUUACUUUGCUAGUUUGCUUGAAUUAUUAUUGUUUCCACGUCAAUAGCAAACUAUUGUUUUGAAUCUAAUGGAUCUGAACAUUCACGUCACAUAAGGGGAAUUACAAAGGACACCUGUGCUAGGUAGCAUGAAAGCAUCAAAAAUUCAUUCUUAUCACUUCCCUACUCGAGGACGAGCAGGAAUUAAGCUUGGGGAUGCUUGAUACGUCUCAAACAUAUCUAUAAUUUUUUAUGGUUUCACGCUGUUAUCUUCUCUUCUUUGUAUGUUUUAUGUACCUUUUUAUAUCUUUUUGGGACUAACUUAUUAAUUCAGUGCCAAGUGUCAGUUCCUGUUUUUUCCGUGUUUUUGACUCUUUUCAGAUCUGAUUCUGGAAUGGAGUCCAAACGGAAGAAAAACCCCGAUAUGAUUUUUUCCCGAACGGAAGAAGUCCAGGGGGCUUUUGGGCCAAGCCAGGUUGGCUCCAGGGAGCCCACAAGCCCCCACUCCGCCAGCAGGGCGAGGUGGCGGUGGGCAGGAUUGUGGCCUCCCUGGCUGCCCCCUGACCUAGAUCUUUGGCCUAUAAAUUCCCAAAUAUUCCGCAAAAAAUCAGGAGAGCCUCGAAAAUACUUUUCCGCCGCCGCAAGCUUAGGUUUCCACGAGAUCUCAUCUGGAGACCCUUCCCGGCACACAGCCGGAGGGGACUUUGGAGUUGGAGGGCUUCUUCAUCAUCAUCAUCGCCCCUCCAAUGACUCGUGAGUAGUUCACUUCAGACCUACGGGUCCAUAGUUAGUAGCUAGAUGGCUUCUUCUCUCUCUUGGAUCUUCAAUACAAAGUUCUCCAUGAUCUUCAUGGAUAUCUAUCCGAUGUACUCUUCUUUGGCGGUGUGUUUGUCGAGACCCGAUGAAUUGUGGACUUGUGAUCAGAUUAUCUAUGAUAUAUAUUUGAGUCUUUGCUGAUUUCUUAUAUGCAUGAUUUGAUAUCCUUGUAAGUCUCUCCGAGUCUUGGGUUUUGUUUGGCCAACUAGAUCUAUGGUUCUUGCAAUGGGAGAAGUGCUUGGUUUUGGGUUCUGCCAUGUGGUGACCUUUCCCAGUGACAAUAGGGGCAGCAAGGCACACAUCAAGCAGUUGCCAUCAAGGGUAAAAAGAUGGGGUUUUUAUCAUUGGUUUGAGAUUAUCCCUCUACAUCAUGUCAUCUUACUUAAGGCGUUACUCUGUUCUUAUGGACUUAAUACACUAGAUGCAUGCUGGAUAGCGGUCGACGUGUGGAGUAAUAGUAGUACAUGGAGAAAGUAUCUGUCUAUUUGUUUCGAACGUGAUGCCUAUAGAAAUAAUCAUUGCAUAGAUAUCGUCACGAGUCUGCACCAUUCUAUCAAUUGCUCGACAGUAAUUUGUUCACCCACCGUCUACUUUAUUUCAUGAGAGAAGCCACUAGUAAACACUACGGCCCCGGGGUCUAUUUACAUCCAUCGUUUACAUCUCCGCUUUUACUUUGCUUUGUUACUUUGUUGCUUUCAGUUCUCACUUGGCAAACAAUCUAUAAGGGAUUGACAACCCCUUCAUAGUGUUGGGUGCAAGCUGUUGUGUUUGUGCAGGAUCUUGAGAUACUCUUCCGCCGGAUUGAUACCUUGGUUCUCAAACUGAGGGGAAAUACUUACCGUCGUUGUGCUACAUCACCCUUUCCGCUUCGAGGGAACACCAAUGCAAGGUUCCAAGGCCACGGGGGAAAUCCUUUGCAUACUUGCCUAGGAAGUCCCUUAAGGCGUAGCAGUAGCCGAAGGAUUCCUGGUGCCGUCAACACAACUAUUUCCUGGCGCCGUUGCAAGGGAUACACAGCAAACAUCAAUAAUCUAGUGCGCAAAACUCACUAGCAAUUGGAUCAACAUAAUUGGAUCUCUUAAAGAGAUUAGCAAGUGGAUGAGGAUCCAUAUCACUAGAUUUUCAGCAAGCGAAGAUGCAAGCAUAUUGAAGGCACAUAGCACACAAGCAAAGGAAAGGCAAGCGAAAGAAAUGGCGGACGAAAAACGAAAACAGAAAAGGCAAACGAAGAAAAGGGAAAAUAUUUUUUGUAAAUUUUUGUUUUUCAGAAGUGGGGGAGAGGAAAACGAGAGGCAAAAAAGUAAAUGCAAGAGAUGAGUUUGCGACACUUACUUGGAUGAGUUCUUGACUUGAUCCUCCCCGGCAACGGCGCCAGAAAUUCUUCUUGUUACUUCUCAAACAACAGCGCCAAAAAUUGACACGUUGACGGAGACUUGCUUGCGUCGAUUUUUCCCUCAAAGAGGAAAGGGUGAUGCAGCAGAGGAGCAAUAAGUAUUUCCCUCAGUUUGAGAACCAAGGUAUCAAUCCAGUAGGAGAAUCUCGUCAAGUCCAGAGUACCUGCGCAAACACAAACGAACUUGCACCCAACGCUAUAAAGGGGUUGUCAAUCCCUUCAAGAUUGAUUGCAAAGUGAGAUCUGAAGGCAGAAAGUGCAAUGAAGUAAAAGAGUAAGGCUCAAAAUAUGGUGUGGAGUAGACGCGGGGGCCAUAGUGUUCACUAGAGGCUUCUCUCAAAAUAGCAAAUAUUACGGUGGGUGAACAAAUUACUGUCGAACAAUUGAUAGAACCGCGCAAAGUCAUGAUGAUAUCUAAGGCAAUGAUCAUACAUAUAGGCAUCACGUCCGAGAUAAGUAGACCGAUACUUUCUUCAUCUACUACUAUUACUCCAUGCAUCGACCGCUAUCCAGCAUGCAUCUAGUGUAUUGAGUUCAUGAAGAACAGAGUAAGUCCUUAAGCAAGAUGACAUGAUGUAGAGGGAUAAUCUCAAACCAAUGANNNNNNNNNNNNNNNNNNNNNNNNNNNNNNNNNNNNNNNNNNNNNNNNNNNNNNNNNNNNNNNNNNNNNNNNNNNNNNNNNNNNNNNNNNNNNNNNNNNNUGCCUUAGAUAUCGUCAUGACUUUGCGCGGUUCUAUCAAUUGCUCGACAGUAAUUUGUUCAUCCACCGUAAUAUUUGUUAUUUUGAGAGAAGCCACUAGUGAACACUAUGGCCCCCGGGUCUACUUCACACCAUAUUUUCAGCCUUACUCAUUUUCUUCGUUGCACUUUCCGCCUUCAGAUCUCACUUUGCAAUCAAUCUUGAAGGGAUUAACAACCCCUUUAUAGCGUUGGGUGCAAGCUCUUUUCUGUUUGUGCAGGUACUCUAGACUUGACGAGAUUCUUCUACUGGAUUGAUACCUUGGUUCUCAAACUGAGGGAAAUACUCACUGCUCCUGUGCUUCAUCACCCUUUCCUCUUCAAGGUAAAAACCAACGCAAGCUCAAGAGAUGACAGAAGGUUUCUGUCUCCGUAGCAAUAACCCAGAAGGUAUUCCUUCGGUGUCCAAGAGUUGCAUGAUCUCAUGGUCAUAGGAACAUACACAUUGACAUGCAGAAAACAGUAGCAAUAAACUGACACAAUCAUAUGCUACGUUCAUAGUUUUUUGGUCUUGUCCAUCACAUCAUUCUCCCAAUGAUGUGAUCCCGUUAUCAAGUGACAACACUUGUCUAUGGUCAGGAAACCUUGACCAGCUUUGAUCAACGAGCUAGUCACUUAGAGGCUCACUAGGGACAGUGUGUUGUCUAUGUAUCCACACAUGUAUUUGAGUUUCCAAUCAAUACAAUUCCAUCAUGCAUAAUAAACGAUUAUCAUGAAUAAAGAAAUAUAAUAAUAACCAAUUUAUUAUUGACUCUAGAGCAUAUUUCCAACAGUCUCCCACUUGCACUAGAGUCAAUAAUCUAGUUCACAUCACUAUGUGAUUGUAAUGAACCUAACACCCAUACAGUUAUGGGGUUUGAUCAUAUCUUGCUUGUGAGAGAGGUUUUUAGUCAAUGGGUCUGAACCUUUUGAGAUAUGUGUGUGCUUUACAAAUCUCUAUGUCAUCCUAUAGAUGCUGCUACCACGCACCAUUUGGAACUAUUCCAAAUGACUGCUCCACUAUACGAAUCCGGUUUACUACUCAUAGUUAUUCAGAUUAGUGUCAAAGCUUGCAUUGACGUAACUCUUUACGACGAACUAUUUAAUCACCUCCAUAAUUGAGAAAAAUUCCUUAGUCCACUAGUUACUAAGGAUAGCUUUUGACCGCUAUCCAGUAAUCCAUUCCUGGAUCACUUCUGUACCCCUUGACAGAUUCAUGGCAAGGCACACAUCAGGUGCAGUACACAGUAUAGCAUACUAUAGAGCCUACGGCUAAUGCAUAGGGGACGACCUUCGUCUUUUCUCUUUCUUCUGCCAUGGUCGGGCCUUGAGUCUUACUCAAAUUCACACCUUACAACACGACCAAGAACUCCUUCUUUGCUAUUCUAUUUCGAACUCCUUCAAAGACUUGUCAAGGCAUGCAUUUCGUUGAAAGUUCUUUUAAGCGCUUUGAUCUAUCUCCAUAGAUCUUGAUGCUUAAUGUUCAAGUAGCUUAAUCCAGGUUUUCCUUUGAAAAACACCUUUCAAACAACCCUUUAUGCUUUCCAGAAAUUCUACAUUAUUUCCUAUCAACAAUAUGUCUACCACAUAUACUUAUCAGAAAUUCUAUAGUGCUCCCACUCACUUCUUUGGAAAUACAAGUUUCUCAUAAACCUUGUAUAAACCCAAAAGCUUUGAUCAUCUCAUCAAAGCGUAUAUUACAACUCCGAGAUGCUUGCACCAGUCCAUAGAAGGAUCGCUGGAGCUUGCAUACUUGUUAGCAUCCUUAGGAUUGACAAAACCUUCUCGUUGUAUCACAUACAACCUUUCCUCAAGGAAACCGUCGAGGAAACAAUGUUUUGACAUCCUAUGUGCAAUAUUUCAUAAAUAAUGCAGCAACUGCUAACAUAAUUCCAACAGACUUUUGACAUCUUUACGAGUGAGAAAGUCUCAUCAUAGUCAACUCUUUGAACUUGUCGGAAACAUCUUUGCAACAAGUCGAGUUUUUCUUAAUGGUGGCUUUUCACCAUCAUCGUCUGUCUUCCUUUUAAAGAUCCAUCUAUACUUAAUAGUCUUACGACCAUCAAGUAGUUCUUCCAAAGUCUACACUUUGUUUUUAUACUCGGAUCCUCUCUCGGAUUUCAUGGCCUCCAGCCAUUUACCGGAAUCCGGGCCCACCAUCGCUUCUCUAUAGCUCGUAGGUUCAUUCUUGUUCAACAACAUGACCUCCAAGACAGGGUUACCGUACCACUCUAUAGCAGUACGCGACCUUGUCGACCUACGAGGUUUGUAGUAACUUGAUCUGAAGCUUAAUGAUCACUAUCAUCUGUUUCCACUUCAAUUGGCGUAGGCGCCACAUGAACAACUUCCUGCGCCCUGCUACACACUGGUUGAAGUGAUGGUUUAAUAACCUCAUCAAGUUCCACCACCCUCUCACUCAAUUCUUUUGAGAGAAACUUUUCCUCGAGAAGGGACCCGUUUCUAGAAACAAACACUUUGCUUCCGGAUCUGAGAUAGGAGGUAUAGCCAACUGUUUUGGGUCUCCUAUGAAGAUGCAUUUAUCCGCUUUGGGUUCGAGCUUAUCAUGCUGAAACUUUUCCACAUAAGCAUCGCAACCCCAAACUUUUAAGAAACGACAGCUUUGGUUUCUCCAAACCAUAGUUCAUACGGUGUCAUCUCAACGGAAAUACGUGGUGCCCUAUUUAAAGUGAAUGCGGUUGUCUCUAAUGCAUAACCCAUAAACGAUAGUGGUAAUUCGAUAAGAGACAUCAUAGUAUGCACCAUAUCAACUAGGAUGCGGCUAUGACAUCCGGACACACCAUCACACUAUGGUGUUUUAGGUGGCAUGAAUUGCAAAACAAUUUCCACAUUGUCUUAACUGUGUACCAAACUCGCAACUCAGAUAUUCAUCUCUAUGAUCUUAUCGUAGACAUUUUAUCCUCUUGUCACGACGAUCUUCACUCUGAAAUAGCUUUGAACUUUUCAAUAUUUCAGACCUGUGAUUCAUCAAGUAAAUACUCCUGUAUCUACUCAAAUCGUUAGUGAAGUAAGAACAUAACGAUAUCAACUGCGUGCCUCAACAAUCAUUGGACUGCACACAUGAAAAAUGUAUUACUUCCAACAAGUUACUUUCUUGUUCCAUCUUACUGGAAAACAAGGCCUUCAGUCAUCUUGCCCAUGUGGUAUGAUUUGCAUCUCUCAAGUGAUUCAAAAUCAAGUGAGUCCAAACGAUCCAUCUGCAUGGAGUUUCUUCAUGCAUUUAUACCAACAUGACUCAAAAGAUUUGCAUCUCUCAAGUGAUUCAAAAUCAAGUGAGUCCAAACGAUCCAUCUGCAUGGAGUUUCUUCAUGCAUUUAUACCAACAUGACUCAAGCGGCAGUGCCACAAGUAAGUGGUACUAUCAUUACUACUUUCUAUAUUUUGGCAUCAAUAUUAUGAACAUGUGUAGCACUACGAUCAAGAUUCAGUAAACCAUUGAAGGUAUUUAUUCAAGCAAAUAGAAUAACCAUUAUUCUCUUUAAAUGAAUAAUCGUAUUGCAAUAAACACGAUCCAAUCAUGUUCAUGCUCAACGCAAACACCAAAUAACAAUUAUUUAGGUUUAACACCAAUCCCGAUGGUAGAGGAAGCGUGCGAUGUUUGAUCACAUCAACCUUACAAUUACUUCCAACACACAUCGUCAUCUCACCCUUGCUAGUAUCCUUUUAAUCCAUAGCUAUAAUUUCGAGUUACUAACACUUAGCAACUGAACCGGUAUCUAAUACCCUAGUGCUACUAGUAGUACUAGUAAGGUACACAUCAAUAUCAGGUAUAUCCAAUAUACUUUUGUCGACUUUGCGAGUCUUCUCAUCUACCAAGUAUCUAGGGUAGUUCCGCCUCAGUGACCGUUCCCCUCAUAACAGAAUCACUUAGUCUCGGGUUUGGCUUCAACCUUGGGUUUCUUCACUAGAGCAGCAACUGGUUUGUCGUUUCAUGAAGUAUCCCUUCUUGCCCUUGCCCUUCUUGAAACUAGUAGUUUUACUAACCAUCAACAAUUGAUGCUCCUAUUCGAUUUCUACUUUCGCGAUGUCAAACAUCAUGAAUAGCUUAAGGAUCAUCAUAUCUAUCCUUGAUAUGUUAUAGUUCAUCACAAAGCUCUAGUAGCUUGGUGGCAGUGACUUUGGAGAACAAUCACUAUCUCAUCUGGAAGAUUAACUCCCACUCGAUUCAAGCGAUUGUAGCACUCACACAAUCUGAGCACAUGCUCAACGAUUGAGCUUUUCUCCCUUACUUUGUAUACAAAUAAUCUUGUCGAAGGUCUCAUACCUCUCAACAAGGGCAUGAGCAUGAAAUCCCAAUUUCGUCUCUCCGAACAUCUCAUAUGUUCCGUGACGGUCAAAAUGUCUUUGGCGCCUCAAUUCUAAGCCGUUAAGCAUUACACACCGAACUAUCAUGUAGUUAUCAAAAACGUGUAUGUCAGAUGUUCGCAACAUCCACACACGNNNNNNNNNNNNNNNNNNNNNNNNNNNNNNNNNNNNNNNNNNNNNNNNNNNNNNNNNCGAGGUUCAGCACACCGAGCGGUACAUUAAGGACAUAAGCCUUUUGCGCAGCAAUGAGGACAAUCCUCAGUUUACGGACCCAGUCCGCAUAAUUGCUACUACCAUCUUUCAACUAAAUUUUCUCUAGGAACAUAUCAAAAACAGUAGAGCUAUAGCGCAAGCUACAACAUAAUUUGCAAAGACCUUUUGACUAUGUUCAUGAUAAUUGAGUUUAGCUAAUCAUAUAACUAAUAACUCCCACUCAAAUAGACAACCAUUUAGUCAUUCGAGUGGCGCAUGAUCCAAAUCCACUAACUCAAGUCCGAUCAUCACGUGAGUUGAGUAUAGUUUCAGUGGUGAACAUCUCCAUGUUAAUGAUAUCAACUAUAUGAUUCAUGCUCGACCUUUCGGUCUCUUGUGUUUCGAGGCCAUGUCUGUACAUGCUAGGCUCAUCAAGUUUAACCUGAGUGUUCCGCGUGUGCAACUGUUUUGCGCCCGUUGUAUGUGAAUGUUGAGUCUAUCACACCCGAUCAUCACGUGGUGUCUCGAAACGACGAACUGUCGCAACGGUGCAUAGUCGGGGAGAACACAAUUUUAUCUUGAAAUUUUAGUGAGGGAUCACCUUAUAAUGCUACCGUCGUUCUAAGCAAAAUAAGGUGCAUAAAAGGAUUAACAUCACAUGCAAUUCAUAAGUGACAUGAUUUGGCCAUGAUCUUGUGCUUCUUGAUCUCCAUCACCAAAGCACCGACAUGAUCUUCAUCGUCACCGGCGCCACACCAUGAUCUCCAUCAUUGUGCCGCCAUCGAGGUUAUCGUGCUAUCUAUGCUAUUACUACUAAAGCUACCACCUAGCAAUAUAGUAAACGCAUACGCAAGCACAAAUGUUAGUUUAAAGACAACCCUAUGGCUCCUGCCGGUUGCCGUAGCAUCGACGUGCAAGUCGAUAUUUAACUAUUACGACAUGAUCAUCUCAUACAUCCAAAAUAUCAUAUCAUGUCUUUGGCCAUAUCAUAUCACAUGCAUACCCUGCAAAAACAAGUUAGACGUCCUCUAAUUUGUUGUUGCAUGUUUUACGUGGCUGCUACGGGUAUCUAGCAUGAUCGCAUCUUACUUAUGCAAAGCCACAACGGUGAUAUGCAAAUUGCUAUUUAACCUUCUCCAAGGACCGUCUCGGUCAAAACCGAUUCACUAAAGUUGAAGAAACAGACACCCGCCAAUUAUCUUUAUGCAACAAGUUGCAUGUUAGUCGAUGAAACCGGUCUCUCGUAAGCGUACGAGUAACGUUGGUCUGGGCCGCUUCAAUCCAACAAUACCGCCGAAUCAAGAAAAGACUAAGGAGGGCAGAAAAUUGAACAUCAACACCCACAAACUCUUUUGUGUUCUACUCGAGAUAUCAUCUACGCAUGAACCUAGCUCAUGAUUCCACUGUUGGGGAACGUUGCAUGGGAAACAAAAAAAUUCCUACGCACACGCAAUACCUAUCCAUGGUGAUGAUCAUCUACGAGAGGGGAGAGUGAAUCUACAUACCCUUGUACAUUGCUAAGCGGAAGCGUAUAUAACGCGGUUGAUGUAGUGGAACAUCUUCGCGAUCCAAAUCGCAGCCCGUCCCGUGAUCUCAUCACGAUCCUUCCUGAUCUAGUGCCGAACGGACGACACCUCCGCGUUCAACACACAUACAGCUCGAUGACGAUCUCCACCUUCUUGAUCCAGCAAGAGGGGCGGAGAGGUAGAUGAGUUCUCUAGCACGACGGCGUGGUGGUGGUGGUGGUGGUGCUAUUCCAGCAGGGUUCGCCUAAGCACCGCUGAAACUAGAGGAGAAACAGAUCUAGAGAGAGAGGGCAGCACAUGACUGUUUUCUAUUGGCUCUAAAACCCUCAAAACCCUUAGUAUAUAUAGGAGGAUAGUAGGGAUAGGGUUGUGCCCUAGGCCUGCCUUUUUUCCCUUGCGCGAGAAGGAGAGGAGGAGUCCUCCUCCAAUCCUAUUUAGAGUAGGAUUCCUCCUUCCCACUUGGAACUCUUUUCACCUUGUGUUUUUUCCUUCUCAAACCUCAUGGGCCUUAGUGGGAACUUAUUCCAGCCCACUAGGGGAUGGUUUACCUCUUCCCACAGCCCAUGAGGCCCCUUGGGGCGUGACACCCUCCCAAUGGUCCCCGACACCCCUCCCGACACUCCCGGUACACUACCGAUGAGCCCGGAACUUUUUCGGUGACCAAAAUAGGACUUCCUAUAUAUCAAUCUUUACCUCUGGACCAUUCUGGAACUCCUCGUGAUGUCCAGGAUCUCAUCCGGGACUCCAAACAACCUUUGGUCACCAACACCUAUAACUCAACUAUACCGAAACGUCACCGAACCUUAAGUGUGCAGACCCUGCGGGUUCGAGAACUAUGCAGGCAUGACCUGUGACACUCUCCGGUCAAUAACCAAUAAUGGGACCUGGAUGUCCAUAUUGGCUCCCACAUAUUCUACGGAGAUCUCUAUCGGUUGAACCUCUAUGUCAAGGAUUCAGUUAAUCACGUAUGAUGUUCCCUUUGUCCUUCGGUAUGUUACUUGCCCGAGAUUCGAUCGUCGGUAUCCCCAUACCUAGUUCAAUAUCGUUACUGGCAAGUCUCUUUAUUCGUUCCGUAAUACAAGAUCCCGUAACUAACUCCUUAGUCACAUUGCUUGCAAGGCUUGUUGUGAUGUUGUAUUACCGAGUGGGCCCCGAGAUACCUCUCCGUCACAUGGAGUGACAAAUCCCGGUCUUGAUCCAUGCCAACCCAACAGAUACCUUUGGAGAUACCUGUAGAGCACCUUUAUAGUCACCGAGUUACGUUGCGACGUUUGAUAACCCACAAGGUAUUCCUCCGGUGUCCAAGCGUUGCAUGAUCUCAUGGUCAUAGGAACACAUACAUUGACAUGCAGAAAACAGUAGCAAUAAACUGACACGAUCAUAUGCUAUGUUUAUAGUUUUUGGGUCUUGUCCAUCACAUCAUUCUCCCAAUGAUGUGAUCCCGUUAUAGAGUGAUAACACUUGUCUAUGGUCAGGAAACCUUGACCAUCUUUGAUCAACGAGCUAGUCAAUUAGAGUCUCACUAGGGACAGUGUGUUGUGUAUGUAUCCACACAUGUAUUUGAGUUUCCAAAUCAAUACAAUUCCAGCAUGGAUAAUAAACGAUUAUCAUGAAUAAAGAAAUAUAAUAAUAACCAAUUUAUUAUUGCCUCUAGAGCAUAUUUCCAACAACCAACAUGGUGAAAGUGACUAGAUGAAAUUCCUGUGAGCCCUCAAGAACACUUUGCCUAUUAUAAGAACCCAUUUUGGCCUAUCCUUUGCCACAAAAGGAUUGGGAUACCUUGCUACACUUAUUGUUACUAUUGCUACUCGUUACUUGUUACAAUUAUCUUGCUAUCAAACAACUUGUUACCGCUAUUUCAGUGCUUGCAGAAAUUACCUUGCUGAAAACCACUUGUCAUUUCCUUCUGCUCCUCGUUGGGUUUGACAAUUUUACUUAUUGAAAGGACUACGAUUAAUCUCCUAUACUUGUGGGUCAUCAUGUUCGUCUCCCCCUUCAUUUGCUAAUCCUUCAUAGAGGUGGGGGAAUCCUGAUUUUGCAUGUUCACCGCGUAGUUAGGGCUAGGUUUUCAUUUUGUUGUGGUGUGGUUCAUAUGGAGGUGGCUCCGCCACAUCUAACACAUAUCGACGACUCGUCGACAAAGUCAAGGAACCUAUGGAUCAGUGUCAUCGUGCUUCGACAUUCUAUGGUGUUUGUUUGAUCGUGGGCUUGUUGUUGGCGGCCUCGUCUUUUUCUGGAUUUUUCCCCCUAGAGGAAACCGUGGGCUAGGUCACCUGUUCUUGCUCAUGAUGUUAGCUUGAUCGUUGACACGAAUCAGGAUGUGGCACUCACCGAUUUAGCAUCUGCCCCGAACUCCCAACGCACACCGCGGCUGGCUACAAAUAGAGACAUCUACAAGUAGUUUCUUUCUCUAGUUUUGUGUGGGUGACACAACUGUUGUUGUUCUCGUUGCCAUUCUCCCCUUUUAGACUAUUAGGAGGGAAAAAGCCCUCGUAGUUCCAAUUUUAUUGAAGACAAAACAAGAGUAAUUCAGACAAGCACGCGUCAUCCGCAUGUUACAAAAGAAAAGUAAAACAUGAAAGUUUCAAGGCUAGAAAACACCGGCAACUUAUUAUAUCAGCAAGGUAACUAAAAGUUUUAGUCUCUCCUCAACCGAUGCUACGCCGAUAAAAUCGAGCAGCGUUGUUUUCAAUUUCACAAGGAUUUUCUCGAGGGCUUAGAUGUACUUCUAAGUUUUGUCAAUGUCUUUUUUGUCGAAGUGAGGAUAAUUUUCCUAGUUCUAGAUAUUUAUUUUGUACUCGUUCUUCUAGUAAUACUCUAGAAAUUAGUAUAAAAAUACUUAUCUAUAUUUGACCUCACAAGAAAAGAUCCUAAGCUUUCCUCCUCCUAUUGUGGGUGCCGCCGCCGGUUUGCCUCAUCUUAGAUGGCCUUUGGGCCAUUGAGGUGCGAAGGACCUCGGCUCCGCACCGGCAUGAGGGGUCCCGUUCUUGCUUUUAUUAGGUUCAACAUCUUGGUUAAGGUUGUGUGGCGGCGACCAUGUUCCUCAACAGAAAUAAUGUCUCCCGUGUUUACCCCCGUCCCGAUGACGCGUCUAGCUUCAUGGGAGGGCGUAUGAAGUUUUGUCUUCACCAGCUCUCGCGGGAUUCGGUCUGUACUGGUUUUUGGUGGACAUGUUUGGAUCCGGUCUUUGUCCAUCUUCGUGUUGGUGUUUAUAGGCUUGGUCCUUCCAAUCUACGAAUUUCUUCAUCGGUGAUGGUUGUUGCUCUCGUGCACUAGUCCUAUGAUGCCUUAGCACGACCUAAUGUCUAGUACAACAAGGUUUUUCGGCCUCCAACGAGGGAGGGGCGAUAAUGGUGGCACACUUUUGGUUCACUUGAGUGUUUGUAGUCGUCUCUAGGUGGUUCACGGACCUGAUUGUAUAUUUUUUAUUAUCUCUUGUGUUCGUUGUACUGCCAUGGUUAAGAAUGAAUAGAUUGGAAUUUUCUCGCAUAAAAAAAUUGAUAAUUAGAAGCUGUAGUUUUGUCCAAUCUAUUAAGGGGAUACUCCUCCUUAUCCUUCAUAACACUAAACUUCGUAGUUUUUAAGGCCGCAUGGUCAAUUGAGGUCUUCAAUUUAGAACUGGGUUAUCCAAAUUUGACCAAGUCAACAAUUUCACAAGAAGCUCUCUCAUUCAAUUUUUAACACACCAUGCUCCUUAAUUUUAAAGCUUUCUCCUUCAAUUGAGGCAUACAAUUCUAAUGUUUUGAUUUUGACUUGAUCAAUCCUUUGUUGUGGCAAUGAAAUCUCUAAUUUCCUUAAGUUCCCCUGUUUUAAAGCCCCCUCAUCCAAUCCAGAUCUUUAAUUUGGAUUGGAUACACAAUUGAUUGGGUUGUUGUUCCGGGUUUCGUGGUGGGAUUUCCAUGAAUGGGUGGUGUGGUCUUGGUUGAAAAAAAAUGAAAGUGUUGCCCAUGACACGUUUAUCACCAACAUAAAACUUGCGUCUAACAAUGUAAAUAACUUUCUUAUGUAUUUGUAUUGAGUAAAAGAUGUUCUUCAAUCACACGAUCAAAAAGAUCCACCAAACACCACAAAAAGAAAAUGAUGCACUUAUGAAUGAUUCGCCAGGGAUUAGUCAUAGCAAACAUUCUCCUACCAAUAACUUCCUGAUUUUCAUCCUUGGCCCACUCUUCCUGUACUAUCUGAUAAAACACAUACUUCAUUAUAUCCUUUACAUGUCAAACAAAUCAACACUAAAUAAUUUCUAUAACUUUAAAAAAAAUAUCACACACACAUAUAUAUAUAUAAAUAAAAGAUGUACAUCCCAUAACAUAAACGGCGCGACAAAGCAUGCACUGUCCUCCUAGCCUACAAAGAAAAAUCAAAGAAAAACGAGCACGCUCUUUGCAUCGCACGAUUAGGGGCGACGUGGCGCGGCCUGCGCCACCCACAUCAUCAUCUUCUCGUUUGACCCGGCACCCCAGGCGGCUCGUCGUCAGUUCGUCCCUCCCUCCCUCCUUCCCCUGUGCUGUGCCAUCCCGAAGCGUAAACUGAAAAAUGGCGAGUGUGACCUCGAGGUGCUCCGGCCUCCUCCUCCCGGACCUGCGGCCGGGCCUCGCGGGGCUCCGCAGCCGCUCGCCUCCGCCUUCUUCUUCCCGCGUCCAUCUGCGCCGGUGCCGCCGCCGGCCGAGAACCCUGUCCUGCGUCGCGCCGCCCGACUCCGCGGAGCCGAAGACGGUGAGUCCUCGUAGCAUACUCAAACAGAUUCGGGGCAGUGGAUAGACUAAUCUGGUGCUUCUUUAGCUUCAUGCUCAUAAGAAACAGAAGUAAAAAAUUCCAGUCAGAUAGCAGUAUAGCAUGAACCGUGAAGUCAUUCCNNNNNNNNNNNNNNNNNNNNNNNNNNNNNNNNNNNNNNNNNNNNNNNNNNNAUUCCUGCUCCCGUUUGCUUCCACAGGACGAACAGCAGGUGAAAGCUGAGCUGGGUGAAGAGAAGGCUCAGCCAAGCAGCAGCACGCCCCAGGAGGCUGCUGUAGACCCACCUGUUCCAGACAGGGGUCUCAACAGACGGAUAGCUGUGCUCACCACGCUUGCAGCGGUGGGCCUCUUUGGAUCCCAAAGGCUCCAGCUUGGCGGGUUUUCUCUCAAAGAUCUUGCUGCCAAUGCUGUGCCAUAUGAAGAGGUUAGCGCUUCUUGGCCUUUGUCCUUUGACCCCGAGGAGCUUUGUGCACAGUUCUACACUGAACAUGAACAGAUAGAUAGAUAGAUACAAACUCUUCAGCUAAAUGUCAAACAGCAAAAGGAAGUUCGCUGCCAUUUUGUGUAUACUGAAAUCAGUCUAGUGCGACCCUCCAUACGUGUGUCAUUUAGUUACUAGAUUUUGUGCUUAGAAUUGCAGUAAUUGGACAACAAAGCAUCAUCUGGUGCAGUUCAGAUCAUGGUAGAGUUACAACUCACUGCAAGGGAAAUAGUUGCUUUAGAUACAACAAAAGAUGAGAUUCUUGCCGAAUCCGACCCAAUCAGUAUGUCUGUACUAAGGAUGACGGCCUGUAUCCAGAGUUUCCCUGGGGCGACCCUCCAGAUAUGUGUCAUUUAGUCACUAGAUGUUGUGCUUACAAUUGCCUGGCUUAGAGCAUCUCUAGUAGAACCCUCAAACCCUUAAAUCUAAAACCAGUUUUAAGGGUUGAGAAUUGGCCAUUUUUGACACUUUUAAGGGUUGAAAAACAAGGGCAAAGACUAGAACACUCAAACCCAACCCUUAUAACGGAAUAUUCCGUUAUAAGGGUUGGGUUUGAGGGUUCUAGUCUUUGUCCCAACCCCAACCCUUAAAACUGUCAUUUCAUAUAUCACACAUUUCAUCACAUUUCAUCAUAUGACAUAUCACAAAUUCAAUCACAUUUGACAUAAAACAAUAAUCAUUCUAGUUAUUAUUACACCACCGAAUAAAACAAUAAUCAUUCAAAUUAUUACAACAAUGUUUGAGCAAAUCACAACAAUUGUUCGAAUCAAAUAGGACAUAGAAAAGUAAAACAAAGAUACAUCAUAAUUCAUGAGUAAAACAUUUGACAAUGGAGAUAAAAUGUAAAGUGAAAUAAUAGCAACUUUGGAAGAUCAUGACAAUCUGAAGCAAAAUACAAGGUAAGCAUAUCAUGAAAAUUUGAAACCAAAUUAUUACAUGCUAACUUAUUUUUUAGCAGCAAUCUGAAGAAAAAUACAAGGUAAGCAUAUCAUGCAAAAUCUAUUUACUAGCCUCUAUUUGUAACUGAUUUCUUAGCAGCAAAAUCUGCCAUGAAAUCUGUUAUGAAACCUGAAACCUGAAAUCAUGGAACCUGAAGCAAAAUCGGUAUCAAUUGCACAGGGAAAAACCUGAAACAACUAAUUGCACAGGGCAUGUAUCAAUUGCACAGGGCAAAAUCUGUCAUGAAACCUGAAACCUGAAACCAUGAAACCUGAAGCAAAAUCUGUUAUGACUUGCCUGAAAAAAAUUCAGUUGGCUAGAAACUCACAUACACAGGGCAUGUAUCAAUUGCCUCUCUGCCAAUAAUUUUGUUCUACUUAUCUAGCAAAACCAGGAAGAAUAUGUACACUGGAGCUCGCGAGGGCACCAUGGUAGAAGUGUGGAGGUGGAGAAGGAUUGGAACAGGAGCUCAUCGGGGCGUCGGGGAACUGCUGCAGCGGCGAGGUGGGCGGCUCAGGCCGGGGCGGGGCGCCGCGAGGAGGCGGCGGCUGGAGACGGGAGCGGGAUGAAAAUCCCUCCCGCGCUGGAGAGGAAGCGGAGUGCGGGUUGGGAGGAGGAAACUCCUCCCAACCCUCACUUCUACAGGUUCAAAACAAGUUUGAGGGUUGGACCUCUAAAUUAUUUUACGGAUUUGAGGGUUUAGGGGUUCUAGUCUAUCGUUUUUUUCCGACGAAAACUGUAAAAAAGCGGUUAUUUUUAAGGGUUUGAGGAUUUGAGGGCUCUACUAGACUUGCUCUUAGUUGUAGAUGUUGAGGUAUAAAUGCAUAGCCCACCUUUCCUCAUUAGCUUGAGUUUUUUGGUGAACUGGCUGGUGCGUGCAGUCUACAUGGCAUCAGAGCUAGGAGGUAUUGAAGGUCUUGAGUUCAAGACACGGUUGACCCAAUUUAAAAAUUAAAAAUUUGCAGCCCACUUUCGGUCCAUGUUUAGGGCUGAGGGAGCCUCACGUGAGGGGGAGUGUUGACGUAUAGCAGUUCUAUAGUACACAUAUUAAGUCGAAUAUCUAAUGACUGGUCAUAUGCCCAUUUGAAUGUUAAUCCAACGAAGGGUUGCUUUCGAGAAUGCAUUACUCAAGUUGUAAGGAUGUUAGAUAUUUUUGGGGAAGAUGCCAGAAACUGAUGGGUUUGUUUAUUUGCAGUUCAUUGAUUUGGUACUGCUUCAUGUGAAACCUUGCUUCUGUACCUGUAUGGGGUGACCAUUAGUAAACUAGUGUUCAUAGUAUGUACACUAUGAUGAAUCGAUUUCAUGUGAAAUUGACAAGAAAUCCUAUUAUGACUGAGCCUCAUCUUUAUCUGGUUGCGCUGACUACAUUUAUGUCGCAUAGAGAAAUGCAUCUUUGAAUUGCAUGCUUGUUUGCUUUCAAAAUCUAAUUAACAUGAGAAAUGCAUCUGCAGGCUCUCUCAAAUGGCAAGCCCACUGUUGUCGAGUUUUAUGCGGAUUGGUGUGAAGUUUGUCGAGAGUUAGCUCCAGAUAUUUACAAAAUUGAGCAACAGUAUAAGUAAGCUGCCUUCAACAUUUUUAACUUCUAUAUAUCCCAUAGAAAUAGCAACUAUGAUUUGGUUCCUUCAUUGAAGAAUUGAUGGGUAUUUAUGCUUUUUUACUGAUCGUAAUGUGCACCUUCCAUAGAAUACAGCUCUGUAGCUGGACAGCUAUACCAAUACAGUGCAAGUGUAUGCAGUAUAAUACACUUGCCAUACCCAUACUAAAGAAUACUUAAAGUUCAUUAGUGAGUCUAGACAUCAAUAAUUCAACUCUGAGCUACACCCAGGUGCAUAUCCACUUGAUUUUCUAUGUGCAUUUACUCUUUUUGGAAAUAAACAUAAAUGUACAUUAUGUUAGAAGAGUAGUAGCCCUGGUACUAAAAUGCUUGCUGUAAUUGAUUUGCAAAAAAGAAAUGCUUGCUGUAAUCUCCAGAAACCACUAUAUCAACAACUUGGAUACAACUGCUGACUGAAUGCAUUUUCUUCUUCUUUUCUUUAGAUGCUAGUUAAUUUAUCUUAACAAUUCUUUAUAGGGACCGUAUCAACUUUGUCAUGUUGAAUGUCGACAAUACAAAAUGGGAACAAGAGCUUGAUGAAUUUGGAGUAGAAGGCAUUCCUCAUUUUGCCUUUCUGGAUAAGGAAGGAAAUGAGGAAGGAAAUGUUGUUGGGAAGCUUCCAAGACAAUAUUUUCUUGAUAAUGUGGUUUCUCUGGCAUCUGGUGAUCCAACGAUACCUCAUGCACGAGCCGUUGGUCAAUACUCGAGCGCGGAAUUCAGAAAAGUCCAUCAAGUUGCUGAUCCCAGAAGUCAUGGCUAGAAAUAACUCUUCAUUGCUAUCGGUUUUAGCGUAAUGCCAAGACUCAUGGACAAGUAGGCUUUAUUCUCUCUUGAAGAAGUAUAGUCCAAGUACUAGAAUGUAUGUUGUCCUUUUGCAGGAGAAGUGCAUAUAGCAGCUGAUUGUCAGUAUAUGAUGUCACCAGAUUUAGUGAAAUAGUUAUAUCUAUCUUCAGCAAUGUCCUGUUGAGGGCUGUUGAAGUUGAAAUAUAGCUCUUUACAAACAUAGCAAAGUAUGCUAUAGUAGGGCGUUUUGGAGCUCGGGCUCCAUGGCAUCCUUUAUUUUUGAAAAAUUCAAAAUUCAAAUUUUCGGUUUCAAAAUAAUCUGGAAAAAAUAUGCAAGUAUAAAAGGAUGAAAUGUAUAUGUGUGCAAAAAUUCUGGAUGAAAUACCUUAAGAUGCGAUCUGUGUAAAAAGAACAAAUUCAUGGACUUUUGGGGUGAAUAGUACCAUGUGUUAAAAAGCCACAUAUUUGUAUCUUUUGCACAUGUCUCGUUUCAACGUAUUUUGUUCUAAAAAUUUGCACACAUAUGUGUUAUGCCUUCAUGUAUAUCCGUAUUUUCUUCAGAUUUUUUUGAAAUGUAAGAAUAUGAAUUUUAAGGUUUUCAAAUAAAGGGUGCCAUGGAGCCCGAGCUCCAAAAGGCAUUUUCAAGUAUGCUACCACAACCUGUCAAUUUCUAGUAUGUACCUAAAUAAUGUCUUGCUGACAAAACCACUGAAGCUUUUAUUAUGGAGGCUAUACUUUCACCCAAGUCAAUAUAUAGUUAGAACAGAUAGUUUUACGCAUCUGUUGCAUGAUGUUUCAUAACUAUCAGGUCUCUUGUUACCCCUGAGGCCCUGACACUACUGGGUUUUUUUUCGAUCUGAUUCCUGCAGGAGGCCGAUAUAGGUUAGGCAUGUUCAGUCUUGGAGCCAAGAAUUUGGGCGUUGGGCAGAGCUGACCGAAUGCAGAAAUCACAUUAAAAUGGCAGCAGGAUCAGUGUUUCGUGUAUAUGAUUGUGGCAUUGUGCCAGUGGAUUAUCUGAUUCAGGCAUUUGGCUAGAACAUUGAGGAGAGUUGGUUACUACGAGAACCAGUGUAUUGCGUAUAAUUGAACACUGCCCACACCCCGCCAAAAAGAAACAGAUGCAUGCUAAUUGGUACUUUCUCAUCCGGAAUUACUUGUCAGUUGUCGCUCAAACGGUUGUCGCGACAAGUAACUAACUCUACGAUAUUGUGAUUCCGUUGAGCGUUGGCUCCUGCACUUGUUCUGGCUUUAGGGGGUUGCGUGUAGUAGUCGCUUCCAGGCUGUGUUUGGCAGGCUUGUGUUAUCCUAGUACUAACAAGGGCUUGUGUUUGGCAGGCUUGUGUUAUCCUUGUGUUAUCCCUAACUGUUAACUCUUUAGUCUUAUCUGCAACUUCCAUGGCCGUUCGGGCGCCCAGCCUGUUUUGGCACGCGACCACAGCUGGCUUCCCUUCCCCGGUUGCAGAACCUAAAAAACCAAAAUUCCAAUUCUAAUCCUUAUGGGGCAUCAGAAACGAAGCCCACGUGUCGUCCCACACUCGGGCGACGCUCAUACCCUAGCCAUCGAGGCGCGCGAGCUCCCUCAUCCCCUUCCUCCGACACCGCCGGGGGACGCCCGGGCCAACGGUGGCGGCGGAGGAAUCUUCUCUCCCGCGUCAAAGGGGUGUUGCGGAGCUCAAAAUGUGUGGUGACGCGGCCAAUCCAUCCUAAACGGUAGGACGACAAUGGCUGCGGCAGGCGGCGGCUGGCCCUGCCUCGGGCGACGUCUGCAGGCGCGGCGUGCGGCUUAGCCACGGGCGGCGGCGUUAGUUGCGGGUGUGGCGGUCGGCCCUGUUCGGGCAACGACGUCGUGCAAUGUGGCGGCGCACCAUCUGGUUUCAAAUAGACCGUGACGACGUGAGGGCCUGGUUGACAAGUCGGCGACGUACGUGCUAUGACCUUGGUUAGAUCUGAUCUGACCGGUGCGGCCUGUGCAGUACGUGGCGUCAGAGAUCGAUGGCGGUCCGUGCACACGCUGUUAGAUGAAGGUUCGUCAAACAUAUCCGGGUGAAAACCUUGCUCUAUGCUAGUUGCCAAGGCCGGUGAUGGCGACACUCUUCUGUGUCGUCCCCUUCCUGAAGGCAUCAUCAUGGAGAAGCUCCAAACUUCUAUCUGCUACCUCCGGAGGAAACCCUAUAUCAGUUGAUCGGAUGACGACGGCGCCCUUGUGUUGUUCGCCCCUUGGGGGCGUCAUUCUUGGAGGUGCGCACUGGUGCAUGCGAGGGACCAGUGGACGGUUUCUGCGGUGGAUCGGCGUAUCAGGUGACACAUCGACGGUGUAGGGUCUCGGCGGCAACGAAUGUGUGAUGACUGAUGCGCGUAGGGAGGUGGCGUCGUGUGGCAUCGUGGUGGCAUCAACGACAUGAGUGGCAAGAUGGAUGCAUCAAUAACUGCUGUGAAGAUGGAUUAGUGGAAGACGACGGCGGCAACCUCUGAGAGUGCACCGGACCGGUGUGUGUCCUAGACCCGGUAUGUGGCGUGAUUAGGCCCUCCGACUUUCGAUGUUAGGCUUCGGUGCGAGGUCUAUUUGGUAUUCGGUUCGGACUAUCGAUACUCCUUCAUCAACUCAAUAUGAGUAGCAACAUAUGUUGUCAAAAUGAUGAUUUCAAACUCAAUGAUGUAUUACUUUGUAAUGUUUUUAUGAAUAAUUAAUAAUAUAAUAAUAUGUAUCGUUCAGACGCAGAGACCGGGGGUCUUCCCCUUUAAAAAAGAAGUAUCUAACCUUAUAGCGAGCAGGAAUAUUGAAGCAAAAGUAGUGGGCUGCAAUCCCUCAAGAAAAACGAGAGCAAAAAUUCAUGUACCUGCCCCUCGAACCUGCCAGGAAAAAACUCAAGUUUUGACAUCUCUAACAGUGUAGUUUUCAAAAUGUAGUUUUGACCGUUUCUUUCUCUUAUAUAUGAAAAAUGAGAGCAGGCAUUCAUUGACCUGCUCCUUGAACGUUUUAUUACGAAAAGACUCGAGGUUUGGCAUAAACAUAGUCUUCAAAACGUAACUUUGGUCAUUUUCUUAUACGAAGACGAUAGCAGACAUUUCUCUACCUGCCCCUUGAAGGUAUUUUGAAAAGACUCGAGGUUUGACAUAAACAUAGUCUUCAAAGUGUAACUUGGACAGUGUUUCUUAUAUAUGAAAAACCUAUAGGGGCAAGUUGGUUGCCCGCACCAAUUUUGACGUGUUUGUAUAGACUUUUUAGACGAGUCUGACUAAGAAAAAAAAAUAACUUGUAAACCAUCAUUUGCAUAUUGUUUGAUUGUUCAUAUAUAAAUUAGCUGCAUGAGGGAAUUAAUUUUAAUACAAUGUUUGGUUGACCGCAUAACAUUAGUCGUACAUAGGACACUUUGUUUGAUCGCAACAUGCAUUAGGUGUUGUCAUCUACAACCGGACCCCUCAAACCCUCCUCAAAUGCCCGGACAAGUCUCCCGGGUACUGAUCGGUCAUGAAAAAGCAACCCACACAAACCCCUCAAACCGGCCUUAAACGCCUGGGCUGACCGACACCCCUCAUAUCCCGUGAGCCGGCUAGUGUCCCAUGUCCUACUCUACCUCGCCGGCGACCGGACCGACACAAUGAAGGGCGCAGCCAGCCGUCGGACAUGGGCAUGGCGGAGCCAGAUGAGCUCCGCUUAGUAUUAGUUUUUUAUGUUGCAUGUAAUAGUAUGGAUUUUAGGUUUCUAAUUUGAGGCAUCCGGGUGUAGAAUGAUUUAUGUGAGGCAUGACCGGUUAGUGUCCACGGACACGUCGAGCGCGUACGCAGGCAUUUGUGGGGUCUGAUUUGCAAGGUCCGGCUGUAGAUGCUCUUACCACACACGAUCUUAGCAAUUUCCCUCCUAGAUACGAAACAAAUUAUGAUGCAUCCUAGCUACUAUCAAGUGGCAGUUCACAUUAUUAAGAGCAAAAUGGCUGAAUGGGGAAAGUUCAUCAUCCAUCAUCUUCCUCUUCCUCUUACCUCUUAUGCCGUUGCUGUCACUAUUCCCCCUCCUCUUUUGCUGCUACCUCCUCUUCUGUUGUUGCUCUUGCUCUUCUUCUUCUUGUCCAGAUUCUUGUCUGGCCUAUGUUAUCCCACAUUGCAUGUGUCCACUCUAGCCUUUUGUUAUUCCAGACUUCGUUGUCAAAUACCUCAACACCAUGGCCAUCGAGGUAAACAUCGCCAGGCGUCAGAUCUUCCUCCUCACGCACUAGUUCAUGACAACCACAUUACAAGAUCUAGUUAUGCAGAAUGCAACAUGUAAUAACAAGCUUAACCUGGAUAGGGUAGGGAUGGAAUGACUUCUGAUCCAGGAUUUUGAACCUAUUCUUCAGAGCUCUAAAUGCCCUCUCAAUAGUUACUCUAUGGCUGGAGUAUUUGAGAUUGAACAUCUCCUGUGGAGUCCAAGGGUAGUUCCUACGAGAUAACUUGUUCACAUGGUACCCGGUCUUCCUGAAGGGUGGAAGAAAACCUGGACGACAUGCAUAGCCAACAUAUCCUAGGUAGAACUUGUCAUCAGGGAUGUUGAUGCAUGUCAUGAGGACGACUCAUGCUGUCACCGAGUAUAUUAGCAUCAUGUGGUGACCCUUCCCAGCCAUCGAGCACAUAGGUGAACUUUAGAUCAAAGUCAACAACAACAAGCACAUUCUCACUUGUGUAGUGCUCCCCCUAUAUGUCGCAGCUUGUGACCUCGUCACUCUGGGAGUGACAUGAGUAUCAUAUGUUGCCCCAAUGCAAUACUGAAAUGGCAAUACAAGUUUGUGUUAGUGCUCAUCUUAAACAAUCCAAGCAUAUCAAGCAAUGAACAACAUAUUGCAGUACUCACCUUGAAGUAUGGAUACAAUCUUGGGCUAGUGCGAAUCUUGGUAGGAGUCCGUCCAGUUGGUGACUUGAUCAUCUCUCCUAUGAGAUCCCCAACAACAUACAACACUUGCUUGAAGUAUCUUGAGAUGGUCUCCAUUGAUCUUCUGAACGUGUUAUGGAUAAUCCUGAACCUAUGGUUAUGGCCAACAACAUGAAGAAACAUGGCCACAUGCUUUUCCACACUGGUGUCAAUGUUAUCUUCUAGGAGACCCCUACUCCCGAAGGUCUAGACAAGUCUGACAGAUGGUGCUCUUUUCAUUCUAAGCACCCACACAACCUCUGUGUCAUUGCAGUUCUAUAUGUAGUUCAGAUUGGUGAUCCUCUCCCGCUCCCUCAUAGGCAUUAGAGCAUAUCUGAUGACAUGGUUCUCACCACGAUGAACAACUCUCUUGUGAAUGAACAUGACCCAUGUUUGAAUUACAGAUAUCAGUGAUGCGGUCUAAACUACCAGCCGCUUCCGUGCAUCCAUAACCUAGUCCGCAUCGAUGGUGCGUUGAGCAAUGGGAAAAUACAUCCUAGACCUUGCCUAACGACCUAACAACAUACAUAACAUAGAGGAGGGUUGUUGUUUUUACCAGCAUCAUAGAUGAGGAUGACGAAGGGGGGCAUGGUUGAGUCAAGGACCACGAAACGAUGGCCAAAUGGAAGAGCAACAACAACUCCUACUGCCGGAUCUACCGCCUCCGCCGCCGCUUGCACAGAUUCGAGUCGGCACCGUCGGUGGUGGUGAGGCUAGAGGAAGUGGUUGUAGUAGCGGUGACCGAGUAAAUGGGUGUGUGUGGGGGUGAGACUAGAUUUGGCGUCGUACCGCGCCCUCGAUUUCCAUCUCCCGCCAUCCCCACUCGCUUUCGCCCUACCCCCCAAGCGUGCGAGAUUGCGUCGCCCUUUGCCUCACUCAAUAGGAACCGCUGAUUGAUCAAUAGUUUCUAGCGAGCCAGGUUGAUGACUGUUUUAAGUCUCGUGCAGAUGCAAGCCAUCCCACUACAUUCACAAUCAAAUGCACAUUUCGUGGUCCAAGUGGACCUGGUUGCAAUUUUGUGGGCAACCAAACACACCCUAGUAGACUUUCCUCUACGUGCUACUUGAACGUAUUAUGAAAAAGACUCAAGGUUCGACAUAGGCAUGGUUUUUAAAAAAUGUAUUUUUUUUUCUCUUCUUCUAAUAAUAAUAUUUUCAAUGUUAUAUGAAUUAGUAGUUACAAAAUAAUUAUCACAAAUAUGAUGAUAUAUUCAGAAUUCUGACUACAUGUUUUCUGGUAUGGUAUUGCCUCCUUUCCAAAACAGAUGACAAUGUUGUAGUCAAAGUUUCGAAUUUUGACUCGUUAUAAUUAAGAAAAAUCAAGGUUCUAAAUAAACUUAUAGUCUUCAAAAUGUAGCAUUGACAUUUGUAACAAUAACAUUUUUCAAUCUUUUAAGAAUUUAGUAAUUAUAAAAUAAUCACCAGAAGUAAUAUGAUGGUAUUAUGAAGUAAUAUGAUGGUAUUAUCUGUAACACUAAUAAUGUUUGUAUGUAUUGAUGGUAAAAGUUAGAGAAUCCGAACUGCAUGCUUUGUACAUGGCCCGCAGAGGCGAGGCGGGGCAGACCAGAAACCCUCACCGCCGCUGCCAAGAGAACCAAGCUUCCGGUGCCGUUUUUCGGCGGCUCUUCUCUGCCGGCGAUCUCUUGGUCGUCGGUCGUGAGGGGGGUCGCCGGGCCCCACGCAUGCAGACCGUUUUUGGUUUAGGUUUAGGACCCAAGAAGCUUAGGUUUUGGAUCGUUCCACAUCUUUGCUUUGGCGGCGGCGACGACGAUGCUGAAUAAAAAAGCUCCAGAUUCUUCUCCGGCGAGGCGAUCAUCUCUAUGGUCGGUGAUGGAUUUGGGAACCAGUCUGUUCAAGCAGGGAUAUCGUGACGACGACGACAUCCUUGUGUUGGACUUGUAUCCUCGGGCUCCGCUGUUGUGACGGUAUGUGCUCCAGCGUCGACAUAGAGCUUGGGAGGUAGUCUAGGAGUGGAUGCAGAUUAUGGUUUUCAUCGAUGACAUGUGGAAGACGGAACAUGUGCUGGGUUCGUGAUUGAUGGAUGACAGAUAUGGUUUCCUCCAUCAACGUCUUAGUUGUGGUGGGGUGUCAGAUUUGGAGGUCGAUGACGUGUCCAGGGUGUUGACCCGGUCUGAUUCGUUUAAGGACAAUGGCUUCAUAUUUGGUGAGCCACCUUGAAGAUCCAUAAAGCUGCAUAUCAGCGAUGGAGCCGCGUCGAGCUCGGGUGAGGAGGUGAUUCAUCAUUUUUUUUCUUUGGUGGCUGUUGUGGUGGUGCCGAAGGCAGGUGACAGACGUUGGUAUCAAACUCAACGAUGUUCUCCUAUCUUAGUUUUGUCAUGUCGUUUUUACGUGACUUGUAAUUUGAUCUUUAUGAUAUAAAUGAAACACAUAUUGCUGUGCAAAAAAAUACAUGAUUUCUGUUCUUUGUGUAUCAUAAUAUUUGUUGUUAAAGAGAAGUAAUCUAAUUCUCUCCAACAACAAGUAUUUAGGAACAGGGAGUAAUAUGAUACUACCUCGUUUCAAAACAGAUGAUGAUAUCCUUAAAGUAUUUUGGAUAAUAUUUUUUUCCCGAGGACAUCAUAGGAGAUCUGCGUGUCAAUACGUUAUGGGAUAAUAAAUAACAGUCAAAGAUGCUUACUGCAGGCGGGGCCUGUUUUGGAGCGGAGGGAGCAUUCUUAAAUAUUUCUAUUUUGUUUCACUCGCAAAAAUGGUAUAUUUCUACUUUUACCAAUAUAUUUCUCCAUGAUUCAAAAGAAAAAGAAAAAGAGAGGCUGAGAUAUGUAAUCCUGAUAGAGAGUGUUUGUUAAAAGAACAUGACUUUUAUUCAUGUACUACUUCCUUCAUUCUUAAAUAUAUUUUUUCAAAUUCUAUUAAAGACUACAAACAAAAUAAAAUAAAUGAACCUAUAUUUUAAAAUAUAAUAACUACAUACAUGCGUUCCACAGCAGAGAGUACAGAACACGCCAUUGUAUCACGACGCUAUUGCCUACUUUGACCAGUAUGCUAUCCAGUGGAUAGAUUCCCACGCUUAGAUCGCCUAUUAGAUUUUCCUCAGGCCUCGUUUGGUUAAGGGGGAUUGGGGAGAUUUUGAGAGGGAGGGAUUUUAGGGAAUUGGGUGAAUCCCUUUGUUCCAUCCAAUCCUCUCAAAUCUCCGGGGUUUUGCUUCCUCUAGUCUUCCGAGGAGGGUUUUGAAACACAUGGAUAGGAAGGGAUUGAAGGGGAACGGAGGGGAUUGGGCUAAGCAAACCCCUCCUACCAAAUGGGCGUCCAAGGAUGUGUGGGGUUUCUGCCCCCCCCGGGGAUUUUUCUUUCAAACCCUCCCCAAUCCUCGUUAACCAAACGAGGCCUCAAGAAAGAUAGAAGUACAAGUACAACAUUGGAUGAAGACGGCGGUCUUCCCUGAAGAAACAAGUGGAAAGUCCCAUGCCAUACGGGUCCAGCUCAUGCGCGCGGUGCUGCCCCCACGUCCAGCUCCUUCACGCGGUGCCGCACCGACUCCAGCUCCUUCAAGGGCAGCUGCUCAUUCCUCUCAAGAAUCCAUCAUGACAUGAAGACCUUCAAGUGUAAGUGGCUCACGUUUAGAAAUGCGAGGAUAUGAAAACAGCAGAUUGUUCUCCUACCUCACUCCAGGUCUAGGCUAUCAACCUCGUCAAGAAUGAAUGACGUAUAGUAGUUUCUAAUGGCUAUGUCGUAAAUUUGUAAGUACUACCUCCAUUCCAAAAUAAAUAACUCAACUUUAUACUAACUUUGUACUAGAGUUAGUAUAAAGUUAAGUCACUUAUUUUGAAAUGGAGGAAGUACUUGGAUGUUAAAACUGAUGGUAGUAUAUUUUGAUGUGAGACUAGUCAUAUUAUUUUGCGAUGGUUGUAAUGGGCAUAUGGAAACUACUUGAAUGGUAAAAUCUGAUGGGAAUGAUAUCUACCAUGUUUUUUGUGCUGGUCAUCUCAUGCCAAACUUGUUUGAUUUAAUUUUUUGUUCAAAAUUUAACAAUUUCAGAAAACUGUGAAAAUAUUCUAGUAAAUUACACAUAUGUACAGUAUCAUUCUGGGAAAAUAUUACUCCAUUUGGAUUGAUGGUUUCCUAGAUAAUGGAAGUUUUAGUUUGCCGAUUUAUCCAGUUUUAUUGCCAUGUGUGCACUUGCAAGCGGGACCCAUUUAUCUGAAAUUAUGUCAAUAUUUUUAAACACUAGAUUAGACCUAGCUGCAAUGCAUUACACCGAUAUGUGGUGUUUUUCGCAACAAACCUAUAUAGCAGGUGUUUUGUGCAAUACUAGCACCAAUAACUAGUGGUUUGUGCAAUUUCCUCUACGGGUACAGGACGCGCGGUCUUCCUCGUGGAUCGUCGAACCUACGCGCGGUCUGGUCAGAUGUUAGGCCAACUUCAACUCACAAUUUUAAACGGACGUUAAUUGUAUCUGGAUUUUAUUCGUUUAGAUAGAACAAUAAAAUGGCGUCCGACUGUUUUUUAGAUGCGUCCAACAAACUUUAACUCCAACACACCCCGUUCGUACUGCAUGCAAAACAAACAAACAGACAUGUAGCUCCCAUGCCAAUGGCCAUAGUUCACGCGCUGACAACAAAACCAACAGGCGGCGAACAUAUGCUAGCCUACAAAAUUGGACCCAAGUUUCACGCCGGUAACAAAGCCAACGACCGGCACACUAGGCAGCCUUCAAAAUGAACAACUUUUUCCCAGUCUGGCUAACAAAAGCCAGCGACCGCACAGUAGUCAGCCUUCAAAAUGAACAAGUUCUUCCCAGGCCAUCUACCAAAAGUCAGUGUUCGGCACACUAGCCAGCCUUCAGAAAGAACGACCAUAGUCCUCGGUCCCUAGUUCAUGUCGCCUUGGUCGAACAUCUCCUUUUACCGGUUCUCGAACCAAACUUUGAUCAAGUUUACAAUCAUGAUUGCUAGUGCCACCUCUUUUGCUUUGGUGUCGACAAUGAUGGCCUUGAUUGCGAGCUUCUUCUCCUGGGCGGCGUCCUCCAUGUUGUGCUUUCUCCUCUUUGCGGCCUUCUUCAUGUCAAGUUUCUUUGUUUGGAGCUCCAAGUAUAUCUUCAUUUGCUACUUCUCUCCUCCCGCACUUUCUUUUGAGUCAUCAUACCUUCCAAAGUUGAUUGCAAUGUGAAGGAUGUCGUAUCACGCUUCGAGUAUUCUUGCCUAUCGACCCUCCUUAACAAAUAUACAUUCUCCUCCACGACCGUCUUCCCACCUUUCUUCUUUAGAGCGUCAUAUUUAUCUUUGAAAUUAAGGCAAUCUUUGAUGAACAACCAACAGUGUGUGAGAGUGAAUGGCUUGUCCUUCUAUUGGACCUUGAAGGCUUCCAAAGAUUUAAAUACCUACAAAAUUAAGAAGAUGACCACAAAUAAAAUAACAAGGACACAACAUACAUACCAAAAAACAUGAACAAUGCAUGAUAAUGAAAGAGGAAAGGCCAUACUAAGUCGCCGACGCCUAGUCCACUCACCAGACGUGAUUCAACGCUCUCAAGCGCGGCUUGAUACUUGUUGCAUUCUUACUGAACCCCCAUCUCUUUUGGAUUGAGUUGAUGCCACAAGUGAUCGCAAACUUGUAGGGCACGGACUUCCUUCGUUUGUGAAAGGUUUUAUGAACUCUUAUCCGAAAGACGACUCAUUUUUUCUUGGCACCGAUCUUGGGAUCUUGGUCUAUCUCCAUCCAUCUCUUGCAAAUCAAAGUGUACACAUCUUUGUUGUAUCAUCUCGUGCAAAUGCUUCCACCCCCUUCUUUGUGCCUCCGCUCUUUCGGUGAGCUCAUCGAUGAAGAUCAAUGGCUCCUCCGCAAUUUUGACCUAUUCUUCCUCGUUUUCGCAAUAGAUGUCCUCAUCUUCAUGCCAUGAGUUGCCAUGGUGGGCAUGUUCCACUUCAUGGGCAUCGAAGUCAUCGACACCAUAUUUUUCACGACUGUCUUGGCUUUGGGUCUCCCCUGGAUCAAAAGCACUGCCAUGGUCAAAAGUAUUGCUUUGGACGAAAGCAAUGCCUUAGUCUUCGUCAUGGAAUGCAUGGCCAUUGCCCUCGAAGAUGACAUUCUCCAUGAACUGGGUGUACUCAAGGUCGUUAGUCGGCGAUGUCGGGAGUGGCAUUCCAUCAAACUGUUGGAAAUAUGCCCUAGAGGCAAUGAUAAAAUAGUUAUUAUUAUAUUUCCUAUUUCAAGAUAAUCGUUUAUUAUCCAUGCUAUAAUUGUAUUGAAUGAAAACAUAAAUACAUGUGUGGAUAUAUAGACAAAACUAUGUCCCUAGUAAGCCUCUAGUUGACUAGCCAGUUGAUCAAGGAUGGUUAAGGUUUUCUGACCAUAUGCAAGUGUUUUCACUUGAUGACUGGAUCACAUCAUUGGAAGAAUGAUGUGAUGGACAAGACCCAAACUAUAAACAUAGCAUGUGAUCGUGUCAUUUUGUUGCUAUUGUUCUCUGCGUGUCAAGUAUCCAUUCCUAUGACCAUGAGAUCAUGUAAUUCACGGACACCGGAGGAAUAUCUUGUGUGUAUCAAACACCGCAACAUUACUGGGUGACUAUAAGGUUGCACUACAGGUAUCUCCGAAGGUGUCCGUUGAGUUAGCAUGGAUCAAGACUGGGAUUUGUCACUCCGUGUGACGGAGAGGUAUCUCGGGGCCCACUCGGUAAUACAACAUCACAUACAAGCCUUGCAAGCAAUGUGACUAAAGUGUUAGUCACGGGAUCUUGUAUUACGGAACGAAUAAAGAGACUUGACGGUAACGAGAUUGAAAUAGGUAUAGGGAUACCGACGAUCAAAUCUCGGGCAAGUAACAUACCGAAGGACAAAGGGAAUGGUAUACGGGAUUAUAUGAAUCCUUGGCAUAGAGGUUCAACUGAUAAUAUCUUCGUAGAAUAUGUAGGAUCCAAUAUGGACAUCCAGGUCCCGCUGUUCGAUAUUGACCGAGGAGUGUCUCAGGUCAUGUCUGCAUAGUUCUUGAACCCACAGGGUCUGCACACCUAAGGUUUGGUGAGGUUUCGGUAUAGUUGAGUUAUAGGUGUUGGUGACCGAAGGUGUGUUCGGAGUCCCGGAUUAGAUCACAGAUGUCACGAGGGUUUCCGGAAUGGUCCGUAAACGAAGAUUGAUAUAUAGGAUUGUUUCAUUUGGCCUCCGGAAAGAUUCUGGGCAUUGCCGGGAGUAUACCGAGAGUGACGAAUGGGUUCCGGGUUUUUACUGCGAGGGGGCCACCCACCCGGGAGAGAACGUAAUAGCCCAUGGGUGGCGCACCAGCCCUUAGUGGGCUGGUGAGGCCAGCCCAAGUGUACUAUUUCGGCCAAGGAAAGAAAAUCAAGGUGAAAGAAAAGGAGGGAGGUGGAAAGGAAGGAAGGGACUCCUCCUUCCCAAACCGAAUUAGAGUUGGAGUCCCUCCUCCUCCACUUCGGCCGACGUCCUAGGGGCUCCCUUCAGAUCCAAGGCUAGCCCCUCCCCUCCUCCUAUAUAUACUAGAGGUUUUAGCAUUUUUGAGACACAACUUUGCCACGUGCAACCCUAAACCUCUACUUCGUAGUUCUUCCUCUAGAUCGGUUUUCUGCGGAGCACGGGCGGAGCCUGAUACGUCCAUUUUGCAUCAUGUUUUCAUGUUGAUAUUUAUCGCUUCUUUGGCUGUUAUUUCACUUCACGGUACAAUUAUUAUGCCUUUUCUCUCUUAUUUUGCAAGGUUUACAUGAAGAGGGAGAAUACCGGCAACUGGAAUUCUGGCCUGAAAGUGGAGCAAAGUUGAGAUACCUAUUUUGCGCAACUCCAAACGCCGUGAAAAUCAACGGGGAUUUUUUCCCAAUUUAUCAAAAACACUGGGCCGAAGAAGUGCCAGAGGGGCACCAGGGGGUGCCCACAAGUCUGCACAGCACGGCCACCCCCCAGGCCGCGCCAUGGGGGCUUGUGGGCAGCCCACUGGACCACUGCCCCCCCUCUUUUUCUAUAUGGAGGGUUUCGUCCGGGAAAAAAUCAAGGAGGAGCUUUUUCGUGGUUUCGCCGCCGCUACGAGGCAGAACUUGAGUAGAACCAAUCUAGAGCUCCGGCACGACGAUCCUGCCGGGGAAACUUCCCUCCCGGAGGGGGAAAUUGUCGCCAUCGUCAUCACCAACACUCCUCUCAUCGGAGGGGAUUCGUCACCAUCAACAUCUUCAUCAGCACCAUCUCAUGUCCAAACCCUAGUUCAUUUCUUGUAACCAAUCUCUGUCUCGCGACUCCGAUUGGUACUUGUAAGGUUGCUAGUAGUGUUGCUUACUCUUUGUAGUUGAUGCUAGUUGGAUUAUUUGGUGGAAGAGUUUAUGUUCAGAUCCUUGAUGCUACUCAUUACCUCUCUGGUCAUGAAUAUGGUUAUGCUUUGUGAGUAGUUACUUUUGUUCCUGAGGACAUGGGAUAAGUCAUGCUAAUAGUAGUCAUGUGAAUUUGGUAUUCGUUCGGUAAUUUGAUAUGUUGUAUGUUGUUUUUCCUCUAGUGGUGUUAUGUGAACGUCGACUACAUAACACUUCACCAUUAUUUGGGCCUAGAGGAAGGCAUUGGGAAGUAGUAAGUAGAUGAUGGGUUGCUAGAGUGACAGAAGCUUAAACCCUAGUUUACGCAUUGCUUCAUAAGGGGCUUAUUUGGAUCCACUAGUUUAAUGCUAUGGUUAGACUUUGUCUUAAUUUUUCUUUCGUAGUUGCAGAUGCUUGCGAGAGGGGUUAAUCAUAAGUGGGAUGAUUGUCCAAGUAAGGGCAGUACCCAAGCGCGGGUCCACCCACUUAACAAACUAUCAAAGUAACGAAUGCGAAUCAUAUGAACAUGAUGAAACUAGCAUGACAGAAAUUCCCGUGUGUCCUCGGGAGCGUUUUUCCUCCUAUAAGACUUUGUCCAGGCUUGUCCCUUGCUACAAAAGGGAUUGGGCCACUUUUCUGCACCAUUGCUACUUUUGUUACUUGUUGCUUGCUACGAUUCAUCUCACCACACAAUCACUUGUUACCGACAAUUUGAGUGCUUGCAGAUAUUUCCUUGCUGAAAACCACUUGCCAGAUCUUUCUGCUCCUCGUUGGGUUCGACACUCUUACUUAUCAAAAGGACAACGAUUGCCCCUAUAAUUGUGGGUAAUCAAGACUCUUUUCUGGCGCCGUUGCCGGGGAGUGAAGUGCCUUUGGUAAGUGGAACUUGGUAAGGAAACAUUCAUAUAGUGUGCUGAAAUUUAUUGUCACUUGUCACUAUGGAUACUAAUCCUUUGAGGGGCUUGUUCGGGGUAUAUUCACCUCGAACGGAAGCACAAAUAGUUGCUCCUCAACCUGCUGCACCUACUGAAAAUAUUUUCUUUGAAUUUCCUUUGGGUAUGCUUGAGAAACAGCUGGCUAAUCCUUUUAUAGGAGAUGGAACAUCACAUCCAGACUUGCAUCUAAUCUAUGUAGAUGAAGUUUGUGGUUUAUUUAAGCUUGCAGGUGUGCCCGAGGAUAAGUUCAAGAAGAAGGUCUUUCCUUUAUCUUUGAAGGAUAAGGCGUUGACAUGGUAUAGGCUAUGUGAUGAUACUGGAUCAUGGGACUACAAUCGGUUGAAAUUGGAAUUUCAUCAAAAGUUUUAUCCUAUGCAUUUAGUACAUCGUGAUCGGAAUUAUAUUUAUAAUUUUUGGCCUCGUGACAGAGAAAGCAUCGCUCAAGCUUGGGGGAGGCUUAAAUCAAUGCUAUAUUCAUGCCCCAAUCAUGAGCUCUCGAGAGAAAUUAUCAUUCAAAACUUCUAUGCUCGGCUUUCUCAUGAUGAUCGCACCAUGCUUGACACUUCUUGUACCGGUUCUUUUAUGAAGAGAGAUAUUGACUUCAAAUGGAAUUUAUUGGAGAGAAUUAAACGCAACUCCGAAGAUUGGGAGCUUGAAGAAGGUAAGGAUUCGGGUAUGAAUUUCUCGUUUGAUUGCGUUAAAUCCUUUGUUGAGACAAGUACUUUUUGUGAUUUUAGCGCUAAGUAUGGACUUGACUCUGAGAUAGUAGCUUCAUUGUGUGAAUCAUUUGCUUCUCAUAUUGAUCUCCCCAAAGAGAAGUGGUUUAAAUAUCAUCCUCCUUUAGAAGUCAAUGUAGUUAAACCCACUCCAGUUGAAGAGAAAGUCAUUGCCUAUAAUGAUCAUGUGGUUCCUAGUGCUUACAUUGAGAAACCACCUUUCCCUGUUAGGAUAAAGGAUCAUUCUAAAGCUUCAACUGUGAUACGUAGAGGCUAUAUUAGAACACCUACACCCCCUGAGCAAAUUAGAGUUGAACCUAGCAUUGCUAUUAUCAAAGAUCUUCUGUCUGAAGAAGUUGAGGGACAUAAUAUUCACUUCUGUGAAGAUGCUGCUAGAAUUGCUAAACCUCACGCUAGAGACAAACAUAGGCCUCUUGUUGGCAUGCCUGUUGUUUCUGUUAAGAUAGGAGAUCAUUGUUAUCAUGGAUUAUGUGACGUGGGUGCUAGUGUUAGUGCAAUACCUCAAUCCUUAUAUGAUGAAAUCAAAGAUGAGAUUGCACCUGUUGAGAUAGAACCUAUAGAUGUCACUAUUCAGCUUGCCAAUAGAGAUACUAUCUGCCCUGUGGGAAUUGUUAGGGAUGUUGAAGUCUUGUGUGGUAAAACGAAGUAUCCUGCUGAUUUCCUUGUUCUUACUACCGCACAAGAUAGCUUUUGUCCCAUCAUAUUUGGUAGACCCUUUCUCAAUACCGUCAAUGCUCAUAUUGAUUGUGAGAAGCAAACUAUCACUGUUGGCUUUGAAGGUGUGUCACAUGAGUUCAAUUUCUCUAUGUUUGGUAGACAACCUCAUUAAAAGGAGUUGCCUAGUAGGGAUGAAAGUAUUGCCUUAGCCUCUAUUGCCGUGCCUCCUACUGAUCCCUUAGAGCAAUACUUGCUUGAGCAUGAAAAUGAUAUGCAUAUGGAUGAAAGGGAUGAGAUAGAUAGAGUUGUCUUAGAACAAUAUCCUAUCCUUAAGAAUAACUUGCAUGUUGAACUGCUUGGGGAUCCUCCCCCACCAAAGGGUGAUCCUGUGUUCGAGAUUAAACAGUUGCCUGAUACUCUUAAGUAUGCCUAUCUUGAUGAAUAGGAGAUAUAUCCUGUUAUUAUUAGUGCUAGCCUCUCAGAGCAUGAAGAAAAUAAGUUGCUAAAAACUCUGAGGAAGCACCGUGCUGCUAUAGGAUAUACUCUUGAUGAUCUUAAGGGCAUUAGUCCCACUCUAUGCCAGCACAAGAUUAAAACUAAUCCUGAUUUCAAACCAGUUGCUGAUCAUCAAAGGAGACUGAAUCCUAAGAUUAAAGAAGUAGUGAGAAAAGGAAUACUAAAGCUCCUGGAAGCAGGUAUCAUUUAUCCUGUUGCUCACAGCGAUUGGGUGAGUCCGGUGCAUUGCGUCCCUAAGAAGGGAGGCAUUACCGUUGUCCCUAAUGAUAAGGAUGAAUUGAUCCCUCACAGGUUUAUUACUGGCUAUAGGAUGGUGAUUGAUUUUAGGAAGUUGAAUAAGGCCACUAGGAAAGAUCAUUACCCUUUGCCUUUUAUCGACCAAAUGCUAGAAAGGUUGUCUAAACACACACACUUCUGCUUUCUAGAUGGUUAUUCUGGUUUCUCCCAAAUACCAGUUGUACAAUCUGAUGAGGAGAAAACCACUUUCACCUGCCCUUUCGGUACCUUUGCUUAUAGACGUAUGCCUUUUGGCUUGUGUAAUGCACCUGCCACCUUUCAAAGAUGUAUGAUGGCUAUAUUCUCUGACUUUUGUGAAAAGAUUGUCGAGGUUUUCAUGGAUGACUUUUCCGUUUACGGGUCCUCUUUUGAUGAUUGCCUCAGCAACCUUGAUCGAGUCUUAUAGAGAUGUAAAGACACCAAUCUUGUCUUGAAUUGGCAGAAGUGCCACUUUAUGGUUAAUGAAGGCACCGUCUUAGGACAUAAAAUUUCUGAAAGAGGUAUUGAAGUUGAUAAGGCUAAGGUUGAUGCAAUCGAGAAAAUGACAUACCCCACAGAUAUCAAAGGGAUAAGAAGUUUCCUUGGUCAUGCUGGUUUCUAUAGAAGGUUCAUCAAAGACUUCUCUAAGAUUUCUAGGCCUCUUACCAAUCUCUUGCAAAAGGAUAUCCCUUUUAUCUUUGAUGAUGAUUGUGAGGAAGCCUUCGAAAUACUUAAGAGGGCUUUGAUAACUGCACCUAUUGUUCAACCACCUGAUUGGAACUUGCCUUUUGAGAUCAUGUGUGAUGCUAAUGAUUAUGCUGUUGGUGCUGUCCUAGGGAAAAGAGUUGAUAAGAAGUUGAAUGUUAUUCACUAUGCUAGUAAAACUCUAGACAGUGCCCAGAGAAACUAUGCAACUACGGAGAUGGAAUUUUUAGCAGCCGUGUUUGCAUGUGAAAAGUUCAGGUCUUACAUAGUUGAUUCCAAAGUCAUUAUUCACACUGAUCAUGCUGCUAUUAAGUACCUUAUGGAGAAGAAGGACACUAAACCUAGACUUAUCAGAUGGGUUCUCUUGCUACAAGAAUUUGAUUUGCACGUUGUCGACAGAAAGGGUGCUGAUGACCCAGUAGCAGAUAACUUGUCUAGGUUGGAGAACGUUCUUGAUGACCCACAACUUAUUGAUGAUAGAUUUCCCGAUGAGCAAUUGAAUGUCAUCAAUGCUUCAUGUAGUGCACAGUGGUAUGCUGAUUAUGCAAACUAUAUCAUUGCCAAAUAUAUACCACCUAGUUUCACAUACCAGCAAAAGAAGAAAUUCUUCUUUGACUUGAGACAUUACUUCUGGGAUGAUCCUCACCUUUAUAAGGAAGGAGUAGAUGGUGUUAUUAGACGUUGUGUACCUGAACAUGAACAGGGACAGAUCCUACAUAAGUGUCAUUCCGAGGCCUACGGAGGACACCAUGUGGGAUAUAGAACUACACACAAGGUAUUGCAAUCAGGUUUCUAUUGGCCCACUCUCUUCAAGGAUGCCCGUAAGUUUGUCUUGUCUUGUGACGAAUGUCCAAUAAUAGGUAAUAUUAGCAAACGUCAGGAAAUGCCUAUGAACUAUUCACUUGUCAUUGAACCAUUUGAUGUUUGGGGCUUUGAUUAUAUGGGACCUUUUCCAAAAUCUAAUGGGUAUACUCACAUCUUAGUUGCUAUUGAUUACGUCACUAAAUGGGUAGAAGCUAUCCCCACUAGUAGUGCUGAUCACAAAACUUCUAUUAAGAUGUUGAAAGAAGUUAUCUUCCCUAGAUUUGGAGUCCCUAGAUAUCUAAUGACCGACGGUGGCUCACACUUCAUUCAUGGUGCUUUCCGUAAAACGCUUGCUAAGUACGAUGUCAACCAUAGAAUUGCGUCUCCCUAUCACCCUCAUUCCAGUGGUCAAGUAGAGCUAAGCAAUAGAGAGAUUAAACUGAUUCUACAAAAGACUGUCAACAGGUCUAGAAAGAAUUGGUCUAAGAAGCUUGAUGAUGCACUGUGGGCUUAUAGAACUGCCUAUAAGAAUCCCAUGGGCAUGUCUCCGUACAAAAUGGUGUAUGGGAAAGAAUGUCAUUUACCUCUUGAGCUAGAGCAUAAAGCUUAUUGGGCAAUCAAAGAGCUCAACUUUGAUUUCAAACUUGCCAGUGAGAAGAGGUUAUUCGACAUUAGCUCGCUUGAUGAGUGGAGAACUCAGGCAUAUGAGAAUGCCAAGCUGUUCAAAGAGAAGGUUAAGAGGUGGCAUGAUAAGAGGAUGCAAAAGCGUGAGUUCAAUGUAGGUGAUUAUGUCUUGCUAUAUAACUCUCGUUUAAGAUUCUUUGCAGACAAGCUUCUCUCUAAAUGGGAAGGUCCCUAUGUUGUUGAGGAAUUAAUCGUUCCGGUGCUAUCAAGAUCAACAACACGGAAGGUAAUUGUCCGAGAGUGGUAAAUGGGCAGAGAAUCAAGCAUUAUAUCUCAGGUACUCCCAUAAACGUUGAAAGGACUAUCAUUAAUACCAUAACUCCGGAAGAAUACCUAAGGGACAUUUAUCAGCCUGUUUCAGACUCCGGAAACGAAGAUGUAUGUGAUUCGGUAAGAAAACAGAGUACAAAACUUUCCCAAUAGAAAUUUUUCUCCGUUUUGGAAUAUUUAUAAAAUACAAAAAUUGGAAGUAGUCAGGAAAGUGCGCGAGGAGGCGACAAGCCUGCACGGCGCGGGCCCACCCCUGGCCGCGCCGUGAGGGCUUGUGGCCACCUCGUGCGCCUCCUGGACUCCGUUUUCGUGCGGGGUACUCCUUCUGGUCUGGAAAAAAAAUCAUUAUAUAUACUUCCGUUUGGUCUGACACCUGCAUCAUGCAGAUUUCCUCUGUUUUUCGUUUCGAGCCUAUUUCUGUUGCAGAUCUAGAUCGCUAUGACUUCCCCAAAAGCUCCAAAUGACAAGAUCUUCGAGAAGGUCAUCAAUCCCUACCUCACGAAAGUGCUGCAACAUCCUCAAUCUAUCGGGAUGCGUGAGGGGAUGUUGCACAUCCGUGAUGUUGAGGGGCCUAAGAAGACCAGAAGCAUGGAGACGAGGCUCGAAGCAAUGGAGCAACAAGUCUUCAAGUGCCAAGGGAUGGUGGAGCGUGGACUCAACGCCAACCACAUGAUGAUCAUGGAGUUCACCAACAAGCACAGGAUUGAUGCCAAUGACAUUGGGAAGCACCUCUCCAGGCUCUAUGACAUGGUUGAUCAACUCCACGGCCAGAUCUAUGACCUACAGAACCAAAACUGUGAGUAUGAGUAUAGAUUUAAAUCAAUAGGGUUGGAUGCAGAUUUGAGGAUUCCGGAGACUCGUUCAUCUUUCCAUGGUGGAGCACCUAUGCCUUGGAAGACGGAGGAUCAAACUCAUGUUGCAACAACUCUGCCACCAUCACCACCAAAGGAAGACAACUGAGCAUUGGUAUGGGCAAUCCCCUUGGCUUUUGCCAAGCUUGGGGGAGUUGCCCCAGUAUCGUAUCACCAUCACAUCUUUUGCCUUUACCUUUGUUUUAGUUUUCCUUUUCAGUUUUCUUUUUCUCUAGUAGUUUAAAAGUCUUAGUUUUUUAGUCUUGACUUUUGCUUUGUGUCACCCCCGAUGUAUUCUUGCUCGUGAGCCAUAUAAUAAAGAGUGUCCUAGUUGAAGGGCUUUGCCUCUUGCCAUGAUCAAAAGAGUGAGAAUAGAACAAAAGCAUGAAAGAUCAUGUAAUGAUCUUAUGGGAAGUGAUGGCUUCACAUAUAAAAAGAAUGAGGAUUGGAACUUGUUGAGGGUAGGCAAACGUAGACCUUGGUCAUUGUUGCAAUUAAUAGGAAGUGAUAAAGAAGGAGAGGUUCACAUAUAAAUAUAUCAUCUCUGACACCAUCUAUGAUUGUGAACACUCACUAAACUAUUACAUGCGUGGAAGUAGAUGUUGGACAAGGAAGACAACAUAAUGAAUUGUGUUUGCUUGGCUCUGAACAAUGUUAUAUGAUUAGAGAUCCGUUAGCACGUGACGAUUGCUUCCACCUCAUAUUAGCCAAAACUCCCGCACCAAGUAGAGAUACUACUUGUGCAUCUAUAAACCUUCAAACCAGUUUUGCCAUGAGUGUCCACCAUACCUACCUAUGGAUUGAAUAAGAUCCCUCAAGUAAGUUGUCAUCGGUGCAAGCAAUUGCUCUCUAAUAUGUAUGAUCUAUUAGUGUAUGGAAAAUAAGCUUUGUACGAACCUGUGAUGAGGAAGACAUAAAAGCGACAUACUGCAUAAUAAAGUUCUUUAUCACAGGGGGCAAUAUAAAGUGACGUUUCUCCGCACUAAGAGGACACACAUCCAAACCUCAAAAGCGCAUGACAACCUCUGAUUCCCUCUGCGAAGGGCCUAUCUUGUACCUUUACUUUUUACCCUUGAAAGAGUCAUGGUGAUCUUCACCAAUUCCUUAUUUUGCCUUUGUCUUGGCUACCGUCACAUGCUUGGGAAAGAUCUAUAUUCAUAUGUCAACUUGGAGGUAAGUAUUCAUGAAUUAUUAUUGUUGACAUUACCCUUGAGGUAAGCAGUUGGGAGGCAAAACUUUAAGCCCCUAUCUUUCUCUGUGUCCAGAUGAAACUUUGAUCUCAUGAGUACCACGUGAGCUGUAGCAAUUGUAGAGAACGAAAGAAUGAUUGAGGAUGUGGAUUUGCUUUACAAGCUCUUAUUUGACUCUUUCUCAUUUUGUGAUAAAUUGCAAUUGCUUCAAUGACUAAAGGCUAUUGGUUGUUACUUCUCGGUAAGGUUCUUGAUCCAUGCUUUACUUUGUGAAGGAAUUAUCACUUUAGCAUGAGAGAUUAUAUGUUGGUAUUGCUCUUCUGAUCUUGAUCAUGAUGCAUGCAUGUUCGUAUAUUGUUUUGUCGACACCUCUCUCCCUAAACAUGUGGACAUAUUUAUUGAGCUCGGCUUUCGCUUGAGGACAAGCGAGGUCUAAGCUUGGGGGAGUUGAUACGUCCAUUUCGCAUCAUGUUUUCAUGUUGACAUUUAUCGCUUCUUUGGCUGUUAUUUCACUUCACGGUACAAUUCUUAUGCCUUUUCUCUCUUAUUUUGCAAGGUUUACAUGAAGAGGGAGAAUACCGACAACUGGAAUUCUGGUCUGAAAGUGGAGCAAAGUUGACAUACCUAUCCUGCGCAACUCCAACCGCCGUGAAAAACAACGGGGAUUUUUUCCCAAUUUAUCAAAAAUACUGGGCCGAAGAAGUGCCAGAGGGGCACCAGGGGGUGCCUACAAGCCUGCACGGCGCGACCACCCCCAGGCCGCGCCAUGGGGGCUUGUGGGCAGCCCACUGGCCCACUGGCCCCCCUCUUUUGCUAUAUGGAGGGUUUUGUCCAGGAAAAAAUCAAGGAGGAGCUUUUUCGUGGUUUCGCCGCCGCCACGAGGCGGAACUUGAGCAGAACCGAUCUAGAGCUCCGGCACGACGAUCCUGCCGGGGAAACUUCCCUCCCGGAGGGGGAAAUUGUCGCCAUCGUCAUCACCAACACUCCUCUCAUCGGAGGGGAUUCGUCACCAUCAACAUCUUCAUCAGCACCAUCUCAUGUCCAAACCCUAGUUCAUUUCUUGUAACCAAUCUCUGUCUCGCGACUCCGAUUGGUACUUGUAAGGUUGCUAGUAGUGUUGCUUACUCUUUGUAGUUGAUGCUAGUUGGAUUAUUUGGUGGAAGAGUUUAUGUUCAGAUCCUUGAUGCUACUCAUUACCUCUCUGGUCAUGAAUAUGGUUAUGCUUUGUGAGUAGUUACUUUUGUUCCUGAGGACAUGGGAUAAGUCAUGCUAAUAGUAGUCAUGUGAAUUUGGUAUUCGUUCGGUAAUUUGAUAUGUUGUAUGUUGUUUUUCCUCUAGUGGUGUUAUGUGAACGUCGACUACAUAACACUUCACCAUUAUUUGGGCCUAGAGGAAGGCAUUGGGAAGUAGUAAGUAGAUGAUGGGUUGCUAGAGUGACAGAAGCUUAAACCCUAGUUUAUGCAUUGCUUCGUAAGGGGCUGAUUUGGAUCCACUAGUUUAAUGCUAUGGUUAGACUUUGUCUUAAUUCUUCUUUUGUAGUUGCGGAUGCUUACGAGAGGGGUUAAUCAUAAGUGGGAUGCUUGUCCUAGUAAGGGCAGUACCCAAGCGCUGGUCCACCCACAUAUCAAACUAUCAAAGUAACGAACGCGAAUCAUAUGAACAUUAUGAAACUAGCAUGACAGAAAUUCCCGUGUGUCCUCGGGAGCGUUUUUCCUCCUAUAAGACUUUGUCCAGGCUUGUCCCUUGCUACAAAAGGGAUUGGGCCACUUUUCUGCACCAUUGCUACUUUUGUUACUUGUUGCUUGCUACGAUUCAUCUCACCACACAAUCACUUGUUACCGACAAUUUGAGUGCUUGCAGAUAUUUCCUUGCUGAAAACCACGCUCCUAUAAGACUUUGUUGAGGCUUGUCCCUUGCUACAAAAGGGAUUGGGCCACUUUUCUGCAUCGUUGCUACUUUUGUUACUUGUUGCUUGCUACGAUUCAUCUCACCACACAAUCACUUGUUACCGACAAUUUCAGUGCUUGCAGAUAUUUCCUUGCUGAAAACCACUUGCCAGAUCCUUCUGCUCCUCGUUGGGUUCGACACUCUUACUUAUCGAAAGGACUAUGAUUGAUCCCCUGUACUUGUGGGUCAUCAGAGCCCUGCAGGAAUAGAUCAUCACCAUCACCGACGUGUCGUCACGCUGCCGGAGAACUCAUCUACUUCCCCGUCUCUCUUGCUGGAUCAAGAAGGCGGAGAUCGUCAUGGAGUUGUACGUGUGCUGAACGCGGAGGUGCCGUCCAUUUGGUGUUAGAUCGGGAUCGAUCGUGGGACGACGGUGAUUUGAAUCACGAAGUUGUUCCACUACAUCAACCGCGUUUCUUAACGCUUCCCGCUUAGCGGUAUACAAGGGUAUGUGGAUCCGAUUUCCCUCUCGUAGAUGAACAUCACCUUGAUAGGUCUUCGAGUGCGUAGGAAAAAAAUUGUUUCCCAUGCAACGUUCCCCAACACAAACAGCCUGUGUGCGCCUGAUACGUCCCAAAUGUAUCUAUAAUUUCUGUUUGUUCCAUGAUCCUUUGGGUGACAUUGUUAUAUGUUUUGCUUCACUUUUAUAUCAUUUUACACAUAUUUGGACUAACCUACUAACUUAGUGCAACUAGUGCCACUUUCUGUCUGGUGAUGUCUAUUUUGCAGGGGCUUUUACGCAAUUUUCUGAAGCUCGAAAAAAUCCAGAACAAAUAUAUAAAAAAUCAGCAAAACAGAAGCUUCCGGAUCACCGAAGGAGGGCCACAGGGGGGUCAGGGGCCUCCCUGGCGGGCCUGCUGGCGAGGCCAGGCCCUAGGCCGCGCCAGGAGGUCGCCUGGGUGGGUCCCACCUCCUCUGGUGUCCUCCUUUGGCCUAUAUUUAUAGUCCCGAGAGGAAACCCUCGUAGACUUUCUAGAAUCACGAAUUUCUCCAUCAUUCUACCGCCACAACGCUUCCAAGAUCGAGAGCGUCAGGAGACCUCUUCCCGGCACCCUGCCAGAGGGAGGUUUGACCUCCGGUAGCUUCUCCACCACCAUGGACGCUUCCCGGAUGUGCCAUGAGUAGUUCCCCUUGGACCAUGAGUCCAUUACCAGUAGCUAUGUGAUGUCUUCUCUCCAAUCUUGCUUCCAUGAUUGCCCCUUGUGAGCUGCCCUACAUGAUCAAGGCAUCUAUGUAAUUCUCUUGCUAUUGCUAUGCGCGGUUUGUUGGGAUCCACUGGAUAAUGAGAUUAUGUUCAGAUUGUUAUGAGUUAUAUAUUUGAUUAUCCUUUUAUAUUAAGUUACUUAGUGAUUCAUGCAUGUUCUCCGUUGCUUUUUAUUGCUUUGGACAAGUAGUAGAUCGUAACUCCAAGAGGGAGCGUUAUGCAUGAUUAUGGGUUCGGGCCCCUCGAUGUCUAUCUUGAGUUAUAGAAAUAUGGGACUAGGGGAUGUGCUUGCUGCCACCAGGGAUAAAACAACGGUGCUUGUGACCACGGUUGCAAGGAUUGUUUACCUUACGCAUAGUUCGUUAAUGCAUUUGUCCGUUGCUUUGAGUUUACACUUUGGGUGGGGCUCGCAACUUAAUACCGGAGAGAUGUUCUGGAUAGAUAUCUCAAGGUGGAUGAUUAGUAAGUAGAUGCUGAUGAAUAAACGGUCUACUUGUCUUGGUGUACUGCCCAUUACUAUCGAACCUCUAACUAUCAAGGAGCAUAAUUAGCAUUGCGGUGCGAUCAUAAUUCUGUCAAUUGCCCAACUCUGAUUUCUUUACCCUAGCAUAGUUGUUUAUCGUCUUUUGGGAGAGACACAUCACUAGUGAACUUCAUGUGACUCCGGUCCAUAUCACCAUCGUUGUUUACGCCUCCAUCAUUUACCGCUUUAUUUACUUUCCGUUGCAAUCACUGUUACCUUCCCGCUUGUGUUUUGAUCCUUUGCAAACUACAAGGCCGAAGAGAUUGGCAACCUCUUUGUACUUGUUGGGAGCAAAGUUAUUUGUUGUGUGUGCAGGUCCACGUCUUCUGCUAGCGCCAGGGUGGAAGACACCUACUUGUUGAGCCUAGGAGUCCUCCUGGUUCGAUGAACCUUACACUCUCCGUGUAAGGGAAAUUUGCUCCUGACUACAUCUCCACCUUCUACUUGGAUUAACCAACGAGGGGGCGAGAAGUAUAUACAUCAACUCGUCAUCAAGCGAAUUUCUUGCGCCGUUGCCGGGUACUCUGCUACCUCUUGAGCUUGCAUUGUUUUUCCCUUAAAGAGGAAAGGGUGUUGCAGAAAAGUAGCGAUAAGUAUUUCCCUCAGUUUGAGAACCAAGGUAUCAAUCCAGUAGGAGUAUCAAGAUGAGGCACCAAUGUACCUACGCAAAAACAAACAAACUUGCACCCAACGCGAAACAAGGGUUGUCAAUCCCUUCACGAUUAUUUGCAAGGUGAGAUCUAAAGGUGAAAAGUGCAACAAAGUAUUUUUGGUAUUUUUGUAGAUCUGAAUAUAGGAUGUGAAGUAGACCCGGGGGCCAUAGUGUUCACUAGAGGCUUCUCUCAUGAUAGCAAGUAUUAUGGUGGGUGAACGAAUUACUGUCGAGCAAUUGAUAGAAUCGCACAAAGUCAUGACGAUAUCUAAGGCAAUGAUCAUACAUAUAGGCAUCACGUCCGAGACAAGUAGACCGAUACUGUCUGCAUCUACUACUAUUACUCCACACAUGGACCGCUAUCCAGCAUGCAUCUAGUGUAUUAAGUUCAUAACAAACGGGGUAACACCUUAAGCAAGAUGACAUGAUGUAGAGGGAUACAUUCAUGCAAAUUGAUAUAAACCCCAUCUUUUUACCCUUGAUGGCAACAACACGAUGCGUACCUCGCUACCCUUUCUUUCACUCGGUGAGGACACCGCACAGUAUGAACCCAAAACCAAGCACUUCUCAUAUUGCAAGAAUUAUAGAUCAAGUUGGCCAAACGAAACCCAUAACUCAAAGAGAAUUACAAAGAUACGAAAUCAUGCAUAUAAGAGAUCAGAGGAGACUCAAAUAAUAUUCAUAGAUAAUCUGAUCAUAAAUCCACAAUUCAUCGGAUCUCGACAAACACACCGCAAAAGAAAGUUACAUCGGAUAGAUCUCCAUGAAGAUCAUGGAGAACUUUGUAUUGAAGAUCCAAGAGAGAGAAGAAGCCAUCUAGCUACUAGCUAUGGACCCGAGGGUCUGUGGUGAACUACUCACGCAUCAUCGGAGAGGCAAUGGUGUUGAUGAAGAAGCCCUCCGUGUCCGAAUCCCCCUCCGGCAUGGCACCAGAACGGUCCCCAGAUGGGAUCUUGCGUAGACAGAAGCUUGCAGCGGCGGAAAAGUAUUUUUGUGGCUCUCUUCUUUGGUUUUAGGAUUUUAGAGAAUUUAUAGGCGAAAGAGGUAGGGCAAAGGAGCCACGUGGGGCCCACAAACCUGCUAGGCGCGGCCCCCCUAGGGUGCGGCUAGGGGGCUUGUGACCUACCACGAGGUCUCCUGCCUUGGUUCUCAAGUCCCCUGCGUAUCUUCUGUUAUGGAAAAAAUCACCCCACAGGUUUUAUUCCGUUUGGACUCCGUUUAAUAUUCUUUUCUGAAAAAGGUCAAAACACGGAAAAAACAGAAACUGGCAUGAGGCACUAAGUUAAUAGGUUAGUCCCAAAAAAGAUAUAAAAGAGCAUUUUCAUGCAUAUAAAACAUCCAAAGUUGACAAGAUAAUAGCAUGGAACCACCAAAAAUUAUAGAUACGUUGGAGACGUAUCAAGCAUCCCCAAGCUUAACUCCUGCUCGUCCUCGAGUAGGGAAGUGAUAAAGACCGAAUUUUUGAUGUGGAAUGCUACCUAACAUAUUUGUUCUUUGUAACUUCUUUCUUGUGGCAUGAAUGUUCAGAUCCAUAAGAUUCAAAACAAUAGUUUAGUAUUGACAUGAAAACAAUAAUACUUCAAGCAUACUAGCAAAGUAAUCAUGAACUUUUGAAAGAAAUAACAAGGGCAAAGAAAGUUAUCCCUACGAAAUCAUAUAGUCUGGCUAUGCUCCAUCAUCCCCACACAAUGUAUUUAAAUCAUGCACAACCCUGGUAUUGGCCAAGUAAUUGUUUUCGCACUCUUACUUUCUCAAACCUUUUCAACUCUCACGCAAUACAUGAGCAUUAGCCAUGGAUAUAGAACUAUAGGUGGAAUAGAGUGUGGUGGUGGUUGUGAGGCAAAAGGAGGAUAUGGUCACAUUGACUCGGCGUAUCAAUGGGCUAUGGAGAUGCCCAUCAAUAGAUAUCAAUGUGAAUGAGUAGGGAUUGCCAUGCAACGGAUGCACUAGAGCUAAAAGUGUAUGAAAGCUCAAAAAGAAAACUAGUGGGUGUGCACCCAACUUGUUUCCUCACGAAGACCUAGGGCAAUUUUGAGGAAGCCCAUCACUGGAAUAUACAAGCCAAGUCAUAUAAUGAAAAUUCCCACUAGUAUAUGGAAGUGACAAAACAAGAGACUCUCUAUCAUGAAGAACAUGGUGCUAUUUUGAAGCACAAGUGUGGAAAAAGAUAGUAGCAUUGUCCCUUCUCUUUUUUUUCUCUCAUCAUUUUUUUUGUUUGGGCUCUUUGGCCUCUUUUUUUCAUUUUUUUGGUGGGCAUCUUUGACCUCUUUUUUUUAUUUCCUCAUAUGGGACAAUGCUCCAAUAAUGAUGAUCAUCACACUUUUAUUUACUUACAACUCAAUACUUAGAACGAUGAUGACUCUAUAUGAAAUGCCUCCGGCAAUGUCCUGGGACGUGUAACGAUCUAGCUUAGAUAUGACAUUGAAACAUCUCGCCAGCUAUCUUACGAUCAUGCAAUGGCAAUAUGAAAGUGACGGCACAUGUCAUGAGGCGGAACGUUGGGAGUUGCAUGGCAAUAUAUCUCGGAAUGGCUAUGAAAAUGCCAUAAUAGGUAGGUAUGGUGGCUGUUUUGAGGAAGGUAUAUGGUGGGUUUGUGCACCGGCGAAAUUUGCGCGGCACUAGAGAGGCUAUCAAUGGUGGAAGGUGAGAGUGCAUCUAUACCAUGGACUCACAUUAGUCAUGAAGAACUCAUAUACUUAUUGCGAAUGUUUUAUUAGUAAUCAAAACGAAGUGCUAAACGCAUACUCCUAGGGGAAGGGUUGGUAGGUGUUAACCAUCUCGCGAUCCCGACCGCCACACAAAGGAUGACAAUCAAUAAAUCAGUUAUGCUCCGACUUCCUAACAUAGCGGUUCACCAUACAUUCAUGCUACGGAAAUCACUAACCUCAACACAAGUAUUUCUAGAUUCACAACACCCUACUAACAUGACUCUAAUAUUACCGUAUCUAUAUCUCAAAACUAAUUGUGAGGAAUCAAACUUCUCUUACNNNNNNNNNNNNNNNNNNNNNNNNNNNNNNNNNNNNNNNNNNNNNNNNNNNNNNNNNNNNNNNNNNNNNNNNNNNNNNNNNNNNNNNNNNNNNNNNNNNNGGAGAGGAUCGUGUCAUUUUGUUGCUACUGUUUUCUGCGUGUCAAGUAUUUGUUCCUAUGAACAUGAGAUCAUAUAACUCACUGAGACCGGCGGAAUGCUUUGUGUGUAUCAAACGUCGCAACGUAACUGGGUGACUAUAAAGAUGCUCUACAGGUAUCUCCGAAGGUGUUCGUUAAGUUAGUAUGGAUCAAGACUGGGAUUUGUCACUCCGUAUGACGGAGAGGUAUCUCGGGGCCCACUCGGUAAUACAACAUCGCACACAAGCCUUGCAAGCAAUGUGACUUAGUGUAAGUUGCGGGAUCGUGUAUUACGGAACGAGUAAAGAGACUUGCCGGUAAACGAGAUUGAAAUAGGUAUGCGGAUACUGACGAUCGAAUCUCAGGCAAGUAACAUACCGAAGGACAAAGGGAAUGACAUACGGGAUUAAAUGAAUCCUUGGCACUGAGGUUCAAAGGAUAAGAUCUUCGUAAAAUAUGUAGGAUCCAAUAUGGGCAUCCAGGUCCCAUUAUUGGAUAUUGACCGAGGAGUCUCUCGGGUCAUGUCUACAUAGUUCUCGAACCCGCAUGGUCUGCACACUUAAGGUUCGACAUUGUUUUAUGCGUAUUUGAGUUAUAUGGUUGGUUACCGAAUGUUGUUCGGAGUCCCGGAUGAGAUCACGGACGUCACGAGGGUUUCCGGAAUGGUCCGCAACCGAAGAUUGAUAUAUAGGAUGACCUCAUUUGGUUACCGGAAGGUUUUCGUGCAUUAUCGGAAAAGUUUCGGGCUCAUCGGUAGUGUACUGGGAGUGCCGGGAGGGGUGCCGGGGACCAUCAGGAGGGGUGUCACGCCCCAAGGGAUCUCAUGGGCUAUGGGAAGAGAUAAACCAGCCCCUAGUGGGCUGGAAUAAGUUCCCGCUAAGGCCCAUAAGGUUUGAGAAGGAAAAAACACAAGGUGGAAAGAGUUUCCAAGUGGGAAGGUGGAAUCCUACUCCAAGUAGGAUUGGAGUAGGACUCCUCCAUCUCCAAUUUCGGCCAAACCUUUAGGUUUUGAGGCUGCCUCCUCCCCUCCCUCCCUCCUAUAUAUAGUGAGGUUUUAGGGCUGAUUUGAGACAACUUUUGCCACGGCAGCCAGACCACAUACCUCCACGGUUUUACCUCUAGAUCGCGUUCCUGCGGAGCUCGGGCGGAGCCCUGCUGAGAUUAGAUCACCACCAACCUCCAGAGCGCCUUCACGCCGCCGGAGAACUCAUCUACCUCUCCGUCUAUCUUGCUGGAUCAAGAAGGCCGAGAUCAUCGUCGAGCUGUACGUGUGCUGAACGCGGAGGUGCCGUCCGUUCGGCACUAGAUCGGAGCGGAUCGUGGGACGGAUCGCGGGACGGUUCGUGGGACGGUUCGCGGGACGGAUCGAGGGACGUGAGGACGUUCCACUACAUCAACCGCGUUUCUUAACGCUUGUGCUGUGCGAUCUACAAGGGUACGUAGAUCGGAAAUCCCCUCUCGUAGAUGGACAUCACCAUGAUAGGUCUUCGUGCGCGUAGGAAAUUUUUGUUUCCCAUGCGACGCUCCCCAAGAGCGAUUUCACCAUGUACCAUCUGUAAGUAUAGAAAGGACCGGUAUUUGUCCAUCAUGUUUGACAUACACUUAUGAAUAACAAUUAUUUGAUCAAUUUAUUUAUAUAUAUAUUUCUGUUCCGUGGCAACGCACGGGCACUAAACUAGCUUUUUAUUUUGCAUGUUAAAUAUGAAUAUAUGAUACUAUGUCCCGCAGAGGUUGUUAGGGCUAUGGGAGGACGACGAUCCUCUCUUGAGCUAUUGAUGAGGGGGAGCAAGGGUAGAUCAAGCGUUCAAUGAUGGUGGUGAGACAACUAGCGAGGUUGAGUCAACGGCGAAGAUAAAUAAUGAUGAUAAACGACAUGAGUUUGUUGUCCCGUGGCAACGCACGGGCACUAAAAUAGUCAUACAUAAAAUAAAGACAAGAGAAAAUAAGAGAAAAAAAUGCGAGCAACACCGGAUCAACGAAAGUUGUAGCAUCCCGCAACAGUUGCGCCCACUGCAAAAAUUCCACCACACUUCAAUGUCAUCAGAUUGUCGUGUACCAAGCAACACCUUUAAAAAAGACCGUGACGACGACGAUGCCGCUGUCCGAACGAGUCCUAAGAUUUCUCCCGAUACACGGAGGAGAGUGGGGUGAGGUGCACCCGACACCCUUCAAGAAGGGUGGCGACGCCCACAAGCGUCACCACAUCGGUGUCAGCCAGACCCGAUAGAAAUUUCUCCCAACCCCUCACACCCACAGAUCAGGACCAACCGUCGGCUAUACCAUGCCAACCACCCAGCAAAAUGUGCCAUGAGGACACCACCAUCGUCUCACCACAACAAACACAACGAGUCCAGCUAGACCAAAAUGAAGCCACCGUAGGCAGGGAUCGAUAGUACCGCAGACUUGUGGGAGGGAACAACCUCCACCGGCUUAGGCAGUAGCAUACCGGAUGCACGAGCAGGAGCAUGCUGGGCCAACUACGCAGCCGAGCCCAGACCGGACCCUCUAAGCUCCCGCUGCGGCGCUACAGCAGACGCAACACAGUAGCCGCCGCCCUCGAAAAAUGCUAUUCGCCGCCCGUUGCGGCAAAUUACGAGGGCUUCGCACAGAGAAAGGGCGAGCGAGGGAUGAUCUGGGCCAGCCCAUUACGGUUGCGGGGAUCCCGGUUUUGGAAACCUUCUAGACUUACCCAACCGUUUUAUUUUGAUUUUGGGAACUUUCUAGAAGAUUCCCUGAACCAGUUUUCUUUCAUUUUCUUUUUUCUUUUAUGUUUCUUUUUUUCCUGUUUCUGUUUCAAAAAUGUUCCGGAACUCAAAAAAAUGUUCCAGAAUUUGAAUUUUUUUCCAAAAUUUGAAUAAAUGUUCCGGAAUUGGAAAAAAUAUUUCAGAAUUUAAAAACAUAUUCUGUAAUUUUUAUAAAAAUGUUUUGGAUUUUUCAAAAAAAGUUAUGAAAUUUGAAAAAAUGUGCUGGAAUUUGAGAAAAUGUGCCAGAAUUUGAAAGAAUGUUCCGGAAUUUUAAAAAAAUAGAAGAAAAUUACUGGAUUUUUUUGAAACAAAAAAAAAGAAAGCUGGACCGACCCAGUUGGGGGCGAGCCCCUAUGCGUUGCAGCUCGUACCUGCCGAAGAUGGGCUCGCCCAGUCGGGGGCGCCACCCCUAUGCGGAGCGGGACUCCUUGCCGCAACGGCCGCGAAUAGGAGAUCCUGCCGCCCUCAUCCACCUUAGCUCGCCAGACAGGCCCCACUCUCACCAUCUAUCCGUGUCGCUAGAUUCAAUCAUCUUGAGAGCUUCACGAGAAUCAAGGUAUCGUGUGUUAGCGAGUGCAACGUUUUCUCUGAUCUGAACUUCAGCUGGCAAAUGGACCAUUCUCCGACGUCUCGCGCGCCCCGUGAUCGGUCAUAAAACUUGGUUCGAUUCUUCGAUUCCCCGGAUCAAAUACUACGUCCUGGUGAUGCAGCGUGUACCUGGACGGCACAGCCAUGCGUGAGGGCGACGGUCCGCGUCGCCGGCCGUUGCACUUGCCCCUGCCCCCGGGCAGUCAGUAGUCACCGCGCGCGCAGCAUCAUGGCAACGGCAUCCCUCUCCGGAUCCGCCCGCGCGAGGAUAUCCCCUCUCCACCGCGCGCGCGACGGCAGCCUCACGUUCGUUAGCUUGGUCUCCGAUCGCGCGUCGCGCCGCGCCGUGCGUCACACGAGAAAAACACGGCACGGCAUGGGCCUGCGCCGCAACGGACAAAGCCGAUGAGCCGUGGCCGCACUCCUCGUCCGCCACCCGGCGGCACGGCGCCGGAACAAAACACCGGCCCCGGCCUCGACGAGACCAUCCGGCUCGCGCAUCGCCCACGUGGACCAGUCGGCCCCGGGCGCGCGCAGUUUCCUCCACUUUUCCCACUGGCAGCAGCCAGCAGCAGCUCGCGAGCUGUAUAAGUAGAGCGCGGCAGCACCCCCAGUUAAAGGAACAUCCACCCAACACCAGCACCCAAGCAAGCAGUGAAAGAGAGGAAGCCGGAGCUACCUCAAGAGCCUUCUUUUCCAGUCCAGCGAGUGUGUGUACGUAGCAGACCGAAGAGUUAGAGCAAUGGCUGGGGCGGUCGGCGUCUGGUUCGCCAAGUUGGGCAGGGAGGCUGCGCCGGCGGCAGAGGCCGAGGUCGUCGGCCGGCGAAACCAGGGCGACGGCCUGCUCGAGGCGGAGGCCGCGAAGACGGUGCAGAUCCAGGAGAGGAGGAGGAGGAACAGCAGCGUCCUCUCCAACUCCGAGGACACGGUGUGCAUGCUCAUGGACCGCUUUUCCCCGGCCUGAUGCGCCGGUGAACCGGCGGUGUUCGCAGGCACAUGGGAAAUCUAUACCGUGUGCUGUGAUUGCGUUGGUUCCUCUUGUACAUAAGCUCCAAUCCAGUGAUGGUAGUGCUCAUGCCUUCCGUUCGAAAAAAAUUAUAAAUAAAUUAUGCGGCUAGUUGAAUCAACUGUAUUAUAUCAUGUGUACGACUGUAUCCUUUGAAUGGAUUGUUUGGUUUCUAUGGCAUCUCGCUGACUAUGCUGCUGCCUUUCUUUUUCGAAAACGCUAAAAACCUGACAUCAAAUUUUUAAGCAUGGAAAAGCUGACUUUUUUCAUCGCAAUUUAUACUGAUGUAAUGAUAACAAGUUUAAUUUGCAAGUAUAGCAAUUUUUUGGCUAAAAAAUGUACCAAGGCGGAUUUGCCAAGCUCACCAACUAAAUUUGCCAUCCUCAACAAAUAUAAUUUGCCAUAAAAAAGAAUUCGAUUUGCCAUAGUCAAAAAUCUUUUUAAUUUGGUGUUGGUCAUGCUUUUGGUGAUACAUUUGCUAUUGUGGUUUUGCUCAAUCUUCUUUCAUUUCUUAAAAUUGGAAGAUUACAGUUCUUGCAGCAUCUUAUCAAGAGCUUUUUAUUGAGAGGUGAGAUAAUCACUAUGACUCGAAAUUGACACCUCACCCAACCUAUGUUUUCUGUUGUUGACCUACUCAUCAAAAUAGGGGUAAUUAUCCAGAUGAUAAAAUAGGUACUUGCCAAGAUGUUCCAACAACAUAGAAGACGCUAUGAGGAUUUGGCAACGUAUCGAUAUCAUGCUCACCCCCACCUUCGAUGAUCAUCGGACUCCGUAUUUGCCUCUGGAGUCAACCACUCUACUUAGACUUACAUCCUACUGGCUAUUCUUUGGAAGACCCGGGACGCAGGAGACGCCAAGAUUUUAGGGGCGAGGACAUCCAUAGUGCGAUCACUUUCAAAUGCAUCAUCGACAACAUUGAUCUUUGGUUGCACCACCUCUCCAAACAACGCGACAAGGUGGUUGAAUCGUCGUGGCAACUUUAUAUCUCUUGAUGUGUGAAUGUGCCCUUGUAAUUCAACUAUGUAAAUGAUUUUGUAUAGUGUUACCGUUUGAAUAACAUAUUCAGGUGGGGCUCCCCCUCCCGUUAGGAUGUAUUUUUCCUAAAUGGUUUUGGUGAGUGAUGAUAAUAUGUUUUGCGGACUAAUCGUGUGCAUUUAGUUUUAGAGAUUAUCACACGGCACGAGACCGUUUAUUUCCCCUUGGUUUUUAAGAGAGAAGACGGUUAUUUUUCGACGAUUUUCGUUUGGUGGUCUUGAGUCAUAGGUAAUCCGUACAAUCAAAAGGGGAUCCGUUUUUUAAAAUGUUAGGAUGAAAUCAAGACAUACACAGUCACUUUACACCCCAUUUUCCUUUUCCACACUUGGGGUUUCAUCCCCCUAUGUUUGUGUUUUUUAGAGGCAGCUAAGUGGUAGUACCGUGCUGACCAAUGGUAGUACCGCUCGCAGUUCAGUGCUGCUACCAUCUCCGCUUAUAUUGUGCUCUCUCGGCUUACAGCGGAAGUUGGAUGGUAGUAGAGAGCAGUAUUACCGCUCGGGCAGUUCUACAGCUCGAUCUACUAUCCCACUUCCACUUCCCGGUGUAGGCGCAAGUACUAAGCGGAAGUACCGCUCUAACCCUGCGGUAGUACCGCUUGUGUGGUACUACAAGUAUCUUCUUAGCUUGGAGUACCGCUUACAUUUUUCUCUCUCGAUAUCACACUCCUUUGAGUGGUAGUAGAACGGCAGUAGUGAGAGCGGUAGUGCCGCUCUUUGUGGAAGUACCGCGCUGCCUUAUUCUACUAUCAUAGUUUCACCCGCACUUGCAGCACCUGGCGGUAGUAUCGCUCCCGCAACACCGCCGCAUCCUUGGUCCUCUAAGUUGCACGUUGCGGUGGAAUCUAUCGUGCCAGUGGAAGUACCGCUCGCCCGAACAGUACUAUCGUUUAUGCAUGAGCUGAAGGGGCAUAACGGUUGGAUCCACCCCCUUUCUAUAUACGUGAAUCUUCUUCCCCAAGUUGACUUACCUCUUUCCCACAAGCUCCAUUCUUGCUCCUAAGCUCAUUUUCGCCCAAUCUCUCUCCCUAGCCAUCAAAACUUGUUGAUGCUCUAGGGUUUGGAGGAGAAGGCCUUGAUAUACACUUUCACCAAGAUAAAUUUAAUUCCACACACUAAUCCCUUGUGGAUCUUGUUACUCUUGCGUAUUUGAGCACCCUAGACUGGAGAGGACACCUCGAAGUCACACUUCAUUGUGGUGAAGCUUCGUGGUGCGUUGGGAGCCUCCAAUUAAAUUAUGGAGAUUGCCCCAAUCUUGUUUGUAAAUGUUCGAUCGCCGCUUUCAAGAGCACCAUUAGUGGAAUCACGAUACCUCGCAUUGAGUGAGGGCAUGAGGAGAAUACGAUGGACUUAGUGGCUUUUUGGAAAGCAUUGUGUCUCCACACGCUCUAACAAAAACGUACUCCCUUCAAAGGGAAGGAACUUCAGUAAUACAUCCUUGUCUCCAUUGGUUCUUUUUGUGGUUACUUGUUACCUUUACUUUGUGCAAGUUAUUAUCAUGUUGAAUAUUUGGAUUGCUUGCUAGUUGUUGUUGUUAGCAUCAUAUAGGUUGUUCAUCUAGUUGCAUAUCUAGACAACAUAUUUGUUACUUAACCUAAUUUGUUUAAAAGAGCUAAAAAUUAGUACUUGCCUAUUCAUCCCCUCUAGUCAACCAUAUCAAUUUUUUUCAUACAGUCACAUCGAUUGGUUCUAAAAAAAAUCAUGAUUGACACAACUGUUUCAAAGAGGGGCGGUGUGUCUUAUAACGAGUUGGAUUUCACCAAGGUAAAUAGAUAAACCAAUAAGCCAAGCAAAAGUCCACAAGUAAAAUAAUACCACUGGCCCAACAAAACAAACAUGGCCAGAAGUCCCAAAAAAACGAUAGAAGACGCCUUGAGGCCAAGGGGCCAAAGAAGUACUACAGUGGCAUACGUAGAACCUCAGCCUGAGAGUGCCACAAUUCAAAUUUUAUGAAAAUUUACACUACAAAAGUACAAAUAGUAUAAUUUGGUUUAAACAUCAUCAUAACCUCAACAGUCUUAAAAUAGCAUCAAUUUAUUAGAUAUUUAGUGUUAAAUAUAUAGUGUAAGUCUUUUACAAUUUUAAUUAGAGAGGUUAUCAUGGCACCUACGGUAUCCCCACUAGAUCCUCCCCUUGACAAGGAGGUCGCAUAGAAAUAAGGUAGGCCCAUGAAUGCCAUCAAUCAUCGCAUUAAGGAAUCUUUUGUCCCAAUGCUUAGAAAGCGAACAACAUCGCUGCAUAAAAUUCGAAUGAUUUGAACACAAUCAUUACUAUUCGUCCACAAGUUUUAGGUCACGUCGGCAAAAACAGAGCAAGGGCUGUGUUUCGUUCGGCUGUUGUAGUAGAAUUAUGCAUGCUUUUGUUGUAUGGUUACUCCCUCCAGUUUCAAAAUAAUUGUCAUGGUUUUUGUUUAAAUUGUUAGAAGGAUGGAGUAUUUUCUUAAGCAUUAGAAACCAGACAUUAGAUUAUGUGGCCACAUGUGCAGAUGUGCAGGGCAUCAAUGAAAUAUCCGUAAGUGUUAAAGUUACGAUUCUAGUAAUCUCAUGCUAGCCAAUAAAGUUAACAUCUGAUAAUCUAUGGCUCGCAAAAGAAGACGAAAUAUCUAAACUACUAUAUUCACUUCACCUUGCUUCAACGGUCGGCCAUUUUUCAAGGAGAACUCUACACAAUUUUGUCAGGAAAAUGUGUGCCCUAUUUGGCCGUUAAGGUAUCAAAUAGUUUAUUUUUCCCAUACAAGGCACAUUUGACAUCCCCGGUCGCUCCUUCGUCCUAAAUGGGUCAGCCCUUAUAACAAGAGAACAUUAUGGGCUUAUUCUAGUUUUAGAAACUUUCUAGAGUGUCCUCCAUCGUUUUUCCUUUUUUGUUUGUUUUGUUUUCACGCUUUCUAUCAACCGGGUGUUUGGCUGUGUCCCCUUUUUUGCUGUUCGUUUGUCUUUAUUCCUUUAUUUAAUUAUUAUUCAGUACAUGAACAUUUCAAAAUUCAUCAAUAUUUUUAAUUUAAAAACAAAAAUUUGAACAGUUCUCCAAAUUCAUGAUAUUUUAGUUUAUGAAAAUUGUAAAUUCAUGUACAUUUUUUUAGAAAGGCAUGAACUUCUUUUUUUAAUUCCUGGACAUGUUUUUGUAAAUUUAUGACUAUUUCUGAAUAUUUUUUUAUUUUUACUUAAAAACCAAAACUAGUAAAAUCUGGUUCUUUUUCCUGAAAUAUUAGUAUCUUCCACAGAUGGGCAAACAAAAACCAAUCGACCAUGUACGUUCGUGGAUCGAGGCUUUCCAUCUUUUUGGAUGGAUGCCUCAAUGUGCUUUUAAAAAUCAUUAUUGAUAAUGUUCGCGCGGGUAAAAGAGAGACAAUAUUGUUGAGCCAGCCCAAUUACAGCCUCUUUACCGAAGUAUUUUGAGUAUUUAUUUGAGAAGAGAUUGAUACCGCGAAGAAGAUGUUUUCAAAAGAUUCCAUUGUAUUUCUUAGUCAUAGGAGUUACUUCACAUUUUCUUGAAUGUCGGAUCCAAGUCACUGUACUCUCUCUGUAAGUUAAUAUAAAAGCAUUUAUAUCACUAGGUAGUUAUCUAAACGAUUUUAUAAUAGUUUACAGAGGGAGUACAUGUUAUUCUUAUGAGUAUGAAUAAAAUUACAUGUGUUUCUCAAAAAAGAAAAGCUCCUUUUUUGAGUAAAAAAAGAAAAGCUCCUGAAAAUGCGGUACAAUUUUCUCAGUUACGAGGAUCAUGAGCUGGGCUACACUCUCUGUCAGCCUGGCAAGGUACAUGUCCACGACCCACCAGACUCGGCCCAAAACAAGUCAGCGAAGCGAAGGCAGAAGGGCAGCGUUCUGCUCCUCCGCUCUGUUCUCUCGUCUCAGUUCCCCAACUUCCGGCGCAAGCUGAAACCCUCGGGCCCCGACCGCGGCAGCCGCCGAUCCAGCCCCCGCCGCGAUGGAGUUCGCCCUCGUCGACGGCGAGCAGUUCUCGCCCUCCUGCUCCACGCUCGUCAUGGUCUGGAUGCCAGUUUCCUCCGAAAUCUAUCUUUGGUAACGGUGUCUCCUUCUGGUUUCUGACGUUGCUGACCCGCCCCCUCCCUCUCGGCCUCGUGCAGCCCGCGCUUUCGAUCGGCAACGUGGGGCAGCUCGCCGUGGACCUGCUGAUACCGUCGGCGAAGGCGAGGCGGGUGGCGUACCUCGACGAGCCCUCCGUGCUGCCCUGCGUCGGCAACGACGCCUUCGGCCCCGACGCCGUCGGCGACCUCGCGCUCGCGCUCGAAGGUAGGGCCUCUCGAAUCCCGAAAACUUUGUCCUCCUGUGCUGUGCUCGCUGAUUGUUUGAUGGAUUGUGUUAGUGGUGCUGCUAUUUACUACUAGUUGCUUGCAACGUUGGCCUUUGUUUUGUGCAUACCAUCUGUUUGUUGGAAUGCGGUGCUGCGUGUGCUCUUGUCCGCUAUGCACGCUGCUGCUCGAUGAAACGCGUUUACCAUGUUGCGUGUGUACUCUGUCUCCUACGCCUGCCACUGUUUGAUGGAAUGUGUUUCGGCGCCGCAUGUACACACUGUCUGCCACACAUGCCACUGUUUUGUUUUUAUUUUCGAAUUAAGGAGCUCUUUGCUCCCGAUUUUUAUUUCAACAGUUUAGAACUUACAGACCCACGCAACACUAUACCCCUUCGAGCAAACUACGUUAUUGCAGAGCACUAGGUUUUAACUUCUCAAGGAAUAGAUCAGAAGAAACAUCAACACCAGGGCGGCAAAAUAACAACUACCAAAGAUAACUGCUGAUCAUGUGAAACAUAGCAUAGAUCUGCAAUACGAGGCCUGCACGACCACCAUCUUCCGGAUCACCCCACGACAAUCCUGAGAGUUGUUAGUCCCCAGUCUCUGCCUCGAUUGUAUAACUCCAUGUCCACCUUAGAAAGAAGCAGUGCCGCUGAUUGUAAUACCUGUUUGUUUCAUCCUCUCUGCAAUUCAGCCUACCAUGACUUCCAGUGAGAAUUCUGUACAAUUAUUUGGGUAGGAUCAUUAGUAAAGAGGUCCUAUUUGGUCAUUAACCACAACAGCUAACUCUGCUGCUAGUUAUGGUUUGUAUGAUCUAUUAUAUAUAUAUUUCCCAAGGAACCCUCUCUUAACUAGAACAAACCUUAAAAAAAGACCAGUUAAUCUUGUCAUAAGCUUUUUCAAAAUCCAGUAAAAAGGCUAACAUCUGAUUUUCUUCUAUUAAUUUCAUCUAAAAGCUCAUACAGUAUACUUACAUCAUCUAAAGUGAACCUACCGUUAAUAAGUGCUGUCUGUACUGGAGCAAUUAUUUUCUCAGCAACUUCUACAGCCCCGUUAUUCACUAUUUUAAAAAAAAAUAUAUAAGCAAAACAUCAAAUAAGCAUAUAGAUACGUAUUGUUGAAUAGUGUCAGCUCCAACACCCUUUGGCAAUAAAGUCAAAAUCACAUAAUUAAAUCUCGCAAGGCCUAACCUAACAUGAUAAACUCAUUAAACAUGAACAAUAAAUCAUUAAUGCUGACAAAAUUCNNNNNNNNNNNNNNNNNNNNNNNNNNNNNNNNNNNNNNNNNNNNNNNNNNNNNNNNNAGGAAAACCAUCUGGCCCAGGAGCUUUAUUUCUUUCAUUUGAAAAACUGCCAUUCUAAUCUCCUCUAAUGUUAAUUCCUCUACUAAGCAAGGUCCUAUCUAUAUCAUUAAGAACAACAGGCGUAUCAAUGUCAAUGCAAAUGUUUAAAUUGUUAUUAUCAGCAGGACCAAAUAAGUUUUUAUAAAAAGAGAUUGCAGUGCUGUGCAUACUGUAUGCUUGUAUCUGCUAUGCACAUCAAUUGUUUUAGACAUAGAUUGUUUGUUCCGAGGCAGGGAGGGAGGGAGAGAUAAAUGAUAAACACACAAAUAUGUGCUGGUUUUGGAAUAUGUUGUUGAAAUAUAUUGCCUGCCUCCCUCCAUCAGUUCAGACUCUUGGAUGAGUUGGCUGGAGCAUGAAAUCAAUAUGGUAUCCGAGCCAGGAAGUCUUGAGUUCAAGACCCUGCCAACGCAGUACUAAAAUUAAACGAUUCUGCGACCUACAUCGAUCCCACGUCUAAGGACUAAAAUAACCUAGAUGUGAGGGGGGGUGUUGAAAUAUAUUGCCCGCCUCCCUCCAUCAGUUCGGACUUUUGGAUGAGUUGGUUGGAGCAUGAAUUCAAUAUAUGUCUCUACCUAGUUAGUUGCUGAAAUACGGGUAUGGCAUGCAGACUCACCUGCUUUCUCAUUUUUGCGUGCAGAGUAUGAAUCAAUGUCUCAUGGGCUGGCUUUCAUUCAACAAAGGUCUCCAAUUGUUACAGUAUGCUGAGCUUACCUCUUUUGGCAUAUGCUGCCAUCUUCCUAUAAUUUGCGAAUUGGUAGCAGUAUCUAACCAGUGAAUAUAAUAUGACCACUUUGAUUUCUCGUUACAAAUGCAGGGGAUGAUGGUUUCGUUUGCAAAAAAUGUUGCUAAUUUCAUCAGUAGCAUUGGGAAGGACCAUGUUGUUAUUCUUUCAAGUUUAGACUCUGGCAAGAGAAGAGUAAUUGAUGCAUCCAGGUAUUUGAAAUGUCUUGCUACCCAGAUUCCAUAUUUUGGAUUUGGAUGUUCUUUCAAGAUUGUGCCAUUAACACGUUUCAUCAUGCAGUGAUAUGCUGUAUUACCUUUCAAGUUGCAAUGAGGAUGGUUCUGAUCCAGAAUGUGAGAAACUAGGGUGGAAGAAACUUGAGGAAUAUGAUCCAUCUCAGCGACUGUGGAAAUGUCUUGCUAGUCUAGUUGAGGGCGGUGUUCUUUCAGAAGAUAUGGCUGAGGAUCCUGAAGAGAUGACCGCAAGUGAUUACUAUGCGACCUUGCCAUUUGCAGCUCUAUUCUUUGCCUGCAAGGUAUCUGAUUUUAUUUUAUCUCUAAUAAAGUAUUUUGUCAUUUAAAGUUGCUGUUAUAACAUCUCCCUAUGUUAUGAUAGGCCAAAGGUUUGAAAGUUAGCUGUGUAUUAUGCUACUGUUCAGAAGGGGACAAUAUGCCAGAAUCUUUCCACUUAGCAGAAGCAGUAUGCAAACUUCGAGGUCAAGACCCUGAACAAUUCCACGGUAUAUCUCUAUAUCACCUCAAGCACUUUUCCCCUUUUACUCUGGAGUGAACCCACUAAUCACAAACAUAUAGUUAUUUUAUUCCUUUGUCUCGAAGUGCCUAACAUCUCUUGCAACAACUGCUCUGGUUUACAGUACUUGUUUUUAUGGGUUUACAAUACUCUGUUAGGAAUGCAAUCCUCAGUAUUCUGUGAUUAAAGUGAAUGGUUGGGUUUUCUGUGUAAACGAGUGGUUCUAUGAAUUUACAGGAAAUGGGUCAAAUGGAUGGACUAUUCCCUUGUCAUGGAAAUCAAUUUAUGGACCACCUCCCGAUAUGUCUAUUUUCUAGACUGACUGACCUAGUAAGUCAAUCUGAUAUAUUUUUUUGAAUCUCGCUUUCAGCUAUUUUAAUUCCAAGAGCAAAACUGUUUCUGAAUGAACAACCUCAUUCUGAAAACUAGGGAUAGCAUUAAAGCAUAAUACAAGGACACUCAGUUUAAGGGAAUGACAUGUGCAAAUGUGUGUGUGCCGCCUUGUUUGCUUCUCUGCAGACACGACUAAACUUAGAUCCCUUGAAAGUUAAUCUCGUAUCGAGUAUGGCAGUGUUGCACCCAGUAAUUUGUAAACCAUUUCGCUACAAUUUCAUGCUAUCUGGAUUUUUUGUUCUUUAGCUUUGUUUAUUUUUGUUGUUUUGUAUGAAAUGAUCUUGUUAUGAAUUAUUAUAUUUUCAUUUUAAUGAUAUAAUUCAGCCUUUUCUUAUAUUGGCAUUGUUGUUGAUAGGUCUUCUGCUUUAUAAGAUUAUUUUUUACCCAGAUAUUGUACUUAACAAAGAGUCCUUGGUCAUAGAAUAUACUCAUAUACUAGGGAUGUUCUGUCCGUCUAUCUAAAUAAUGAGUAGGAACUAAUGCCACUUAGAAGAAAUACAUGAUCCUCCCACUUACCGCUCCACUUCAAUCCAAUGGACUUUGUUAAUACGAAUACCGAACCUAGCUUGAUGGAGAUUGGUUGCAACCUCAGAGGCAUGUCGUGAACCAUUACUGGGAGAAUGAUCGCUUAAAUGAACCAUAACGAGCAUCUGUCUCACUCUAACAAGUUUGAUGAGCUCUUGGUAGAUCUGUCCCUAGUAGUAUCUACAAAGCAAGCUGAGAACCAUAAAUUGAUCACUCAAACCUCAUAGUAUUAUGCCAAGUUAGUCAUGUCAUGGAGAAAUAUUUUGUAUUUGAAGAUCUGACCAAGUUUUCCGUUUCCCUUUUGCUGAAAAAUAACAGAAUAAGUUAGCAGGACAUCUUUUUCUUACUUAUUUCUCGAGGUCUAGUAGAAUAAAACUGGUCCACAGGAGAUUAUCAUCUAUUUGGGCAUGUACAAUGGUGCUAUCUUAGGAGUGCCAUGUAGGAUAAAUGCUGAGGUGGAGGAGAGAGAAUUCGUAAGAAAAGGCUUGUCUUCUCUUAUUUAAGAGAUCAUCUCUUAGCACAAUAUGUCUCACCACGCUUUUAGGAACAUCUAGUUAUUGUAGAGGCUGCUAAGAGAUAAUCCACUGUAGACAUGUUUUUAUUGUCAUCUUUAAAUUACAUGCAAGCCUUAAGAUAAAACUGUCUUAUCAACCAUUGUACAUGCCCUUAGUACCACUGGCCACGUGCAAAUUAUUUGAAGUAAUGAGUCGUGCAAAUUGGUAAUAAGUGCUAACCAACAUCAACCACCUAGCAAUAAUAACUCCAAUUUGUUGAUGGAUUUCUUUAAAGCCCUUGUUUCUUAUUAAUACUGUUGUACCAUUAUCAGCUGCCAUGUUGCCAUACCACAUUAUUCCCUGUGACCCAUGGUAUUAAACAAAGGCCAAAGUUGGAUCUAGACAGCAAAGCUGUUGGUCCAUGGUGCAAUGUGAUACACUCCCUGGGUUCCAAAUUACUCGUCCUUUUUUCCUUGUGAAUCACUGAAGCCUACAGUUAAAAGAAAACUUGAGCGGUCUUGCUGAAAUUGUAUCCCAUGGUCGGGUACCUUUACGGUAAAACUAUGCACUACUAUAUAUUUAGUAAGCUUACGCUAAAACUUUAACCCUGACUUCAAUCAGUUGUAUCUUGCAUUUCCGGGCUGGUUCAUGACGUUCUUUUUUUCUCGCGAUUUGACAGGUGAGGUUGCAAUCAUGGACAGCGCUGUAUCGAGGAUGAGGAAGGAUAUUAGCUUCAGGUUUUUGUUUUAGCGAGAAGAUAUUAGCUCUAGGUUGUGUACCAGAAAUCCCCAGGAUGUUGAGUCGCCGACCCUCUUUCGUCAAGCAACAAACAGUAUUCACCCGUUUAGAACUGUUGGAGGCAUCGUGGUACUUGGAACCUGGAAUUUAUGUGUCCUUACAAAGUCGUAUCCGUCUUGGUCAUUCAACUCGCAGCAACUAAUUGCCAUGUUGUAACACCACCAACCUUAAUAAAAUUAUGUGGGAUUCCUGACUCUGAUUUGCGGCUAUUCCUCAUGUCUAAGUGGAAUAGAUUUAUUACUUUUUACUUUUAAAAAUACACCGUCUGCCUUUGUACACUCUGUUGAGAUGGAUUUUUUUUUGUUUAGAAAAAAUUCCAAUCUAUAUUCAUCGAUUGCCAUGGUAGUACAAAGAACACCAAAUCUAAUCAGCAAGCCGUAGUAGACAAUUGAGAAAUUGAGGUGCUGAGGCCACCAUUGCACCAGAACAACAAUUGUUGUCUGAAGUAAAACCAUAGGUCGGAAGGGAUUCAUGAGCACUAACAAAUGUAUGCUAGAUCUGUUAGAGUAAAACGAGAUUGAAUGAAAGUGAAUGGACGAGCAGUCCUCUUUCUAUUGAUUCUCAAGUAUAUAUACAUCUGAAAGAGGUGCGAAGAAGAGGUGUCUGUUCGGAGGCAUCCCUCCAGAACAGGUGCCUGUUGGCAAUAGACACAAAGAGGAGACACGACUGUUCGGGUUGGACAUAUUCCUUGAAUUAAUCUACUAAUUAAUUUCUAACACUCCCCCUUGUACAACACCGCUCCUUGAAUGUUUCAUCGUUGAAAGCUUCUUGCAUAUAGAUCUUCCAUCUUGAGAAAUCUUCCAGAUAAUCUUGAGAGUCUCCCCCAAAAACCCUGUGGGAAAAAUAGGAGGAGAAUAGAGUAGAUAUGUUGCUAAAACUCCUUUAAACCCAGUGGGAAAAAAUAAGGAGAAAAUGAUGCAACAUAUGAUGAUUAUUGUCUCUUGAUAACUCAUAUGAGAAAAACCUUUGAAGAAGGAGAAAACUCAUUGAUAAGUUUAGAGAACAAUUAAUAUGUCUUGAGUACUUCCUUUAAAAACCCUGGUAGGGAAAAUAGAAAGUAUGACAUAUGAUCUUUGAGAAGAUAUUGCCUCACUAAAAACCAUCAUGAGAAACUUUGAGAGAAAACUCAUAAGGGAAAAGAGUGCAAUCGUACAUGCCAUUGAAAACUCCUUUAAAACCCAAUGGGAAAAAUACAAGGAGAAAAUGAUAUGGCUGUUGGAGAACGUCGCAUGGGAAACAAAAAUUUUCCUACGCGCACGAAGACCUAUCAUGGUGAUGUCCAUCUACGAGAGGGAUAUUUGAUCUACGUACCCUUGUAGACCGCACAGCAGAAGCGUUAAGAAACGCGGUUGAUGUAGUGGAACGUCCUCACGUCCCUCGAUCCGCCCCGCGAACCGUCCCGCGAUCAGUCCCACGAUCUAGUGCCGAACGGACGGCACCUCCGCGUUCAGCACACGUACAGCUCGACGAUGAUCUCGGCCUUGUUGAUCCGGCAAGAGAGACGGAGAGGUAGAUGAGUUCUCCGGCAGCGUGACGGCGCUCCGGAGGUUGGUGAUGAUCUUAUCUCAGCAGGGCUCCGCCCGAGCUCCGCAGAAACGCGAUCUAGAGGUAAAACCGUGGAGAUAUGUGGUCGGGCUGCCGUGGCAAAGUUGUCUCAAAUCAGCCCUAAAACCUCCGUAUAUAUAGGGGGGAGAGGGGGGCCUUGCCUUGGGGCUCAAGGAGCCCCAAGGGGGUCGGCCGAGCCAAGGGGGGAGUCCUCCCCUUCCAAACCGAAUCCAACUAGGUUUGGAAGGUGGAGUCCUUCCCCUUUUUCCCACCUCCCCUUUUUUUCUCUUUGAUCUUCUUCCUAUGGCGCAUAGGGCCUUCUUGGGCUGUCCCACCAGCCCACCAAGGGCUGGUGCGCCACCCCCAAGGCCUAUGGGCUUCCCCGAGGUGGGUUGCCCCCCCCGGUGAACACCCGGAACCCAUUCGUCAUUCCCGGUACAAUCCCGGUAACUCCGAAAACCUUCCGGUAAUCAAAUGAGGUCAUCCUAUAUAUCAAUCUUCGUUUUUGGACCAUUCCGGAAACCCUCGUGACGUCCGUGAUCUCAUCCGGGACUCCGAAUAACAUUCGGUAACCAACCAUAUAACUCAAAUACGCAUAAAACAGCGUCUAACCUUAAGUGUGCAGACCCUGCGGGUUCGAGAACUAUGCAGACAUGACCCGAGUGACUCCUCGGUCAAUUUCCAAUAGCGGGACCUGGAUGCCCAUAUUGGAUCCCACAUAUUCUAUGAAGAUCUUAUCGUUUGAACCUCAGUGCCAAGGAUUCAUAUAAUCCCGUAUGUCAUUCCCUUUGUCCUUCGGUAUGUUACUUGCCCGAGAUUCGAUCGUCAGUAUCCGCAUACCUAUUUCAAUCUCGUUUACCGGCAAGUCUCUUUACUCGUUCCGUAAUACAAGAUCCUGCAACUUACACUAAGUCACAUUGCUUGCAAGGCUUGUGUGUGAUGUUGUAUUACCGAGUGGGCCCGGAGAUACCUCUCCGUCACACGGAGUGACAAAUCCCAGUCUCGAUCCAUACUAACUCAACGAACACCUUCGGAGAUACCUGUAGAGCAUCUUUAUAGUCAUCCAAUUACGUUGCGACAUUUGAUACACACAAAGCAUUCCUCCGGUGUCAGUGAGUUAUAUGAUCGCAUGGUCAUAGGAACAAAUACUUGACACGCAGAAAACAGUAGCAACAAAAUGACACGAUCAACAUGCUACGUAUAUUAGUUUGGGUCUUAGUCCAUCACAUGAUUCUCCUAAUGAUGUGAUCCCGUUAUCAAGUGACAACACUUGUCCAUGGUCAGGAAACCUUGACCAUCUUUGAUCAACGAGCUAGUCAACUAGAGGCUUACUAGGGACAGUGUUUUCUCUAUGUAUCCACACAUGCACUGUGUUUCCAAUCAAUACAAUUAUAGCAUGGAUAAUAAACGAUUAUCAUGAACAAAGAAAUAUAAUAAUAACUAAUUUAUUAUUGCCUCUAGGGCAUAUUUCCAACAGUCUCCCACUUGCACUAGAGUCAAUAAUCUAGUUCACAUCACCAUGUGAUUCCAACGAAUGCAACACCCAUAUAGUUAUGGGGUCUGAUCACGUCUUGCUCGUGAAAGAGGUUUUAGUCAACGGUUCUGGAACUUUCAGAUCCGUGCGAUCUUUACAAAUCUUUAUGUCAUCUUAUAGAUGCUGCUACUAUGUGCUAUUCGGAAAUGCUCCAAAUAUCUACUCUACUAUACGAAUCCGUUUCACUACUCAUAGUUAUUCGGACUAGUGUCAAAGCUUGCAUUGACGUAACCCUUUACGACGAACUCUUUAACCACCUCCAUAAUCGAGAAAAAUUCCUUAGUCUAUUUAGUUACCAAGGAUAACUUUGACCGCUGAUCAAUGAUUCAAUCUUGGAUCACUCUGUGUACCUCUUAACAGACUUGCUGCAAUGUACACAUCAGGUGCGGUACUCAGCAUGGCAUACUUUAGAGUCUACGACUAAGGCAUAGAAGACGACCUUCGUCUAUUCUCUUUAUUCUGCCGUGGUCGGGUUUUGAGUCUUACUCAAAUUCACACCUUACAACGCAACCAAGAACUCCUUCUUUGCUGAUCCAUUUUGAACUCCUACAAAAACUUGUCAAGGUAUGCAUCUUGUUGAAACUUCUAUCAAGCGCUUUCGAUCUAUCUCCAUAGAUCUUUGAUGCUCAACGUUCAAGUAGCGCAAUCCAGGUAUUCCUUUGGAAACUCCUUUCAAACAACCUUGUAUGCUUUACAGAAAUUCUACAUUACUUCUGAUCCACAAUAUGUCAACCACAUAUACUUAUCAGAAAUUCUAUAGUGCUCCCACUCACUUCUUUGGAAAUACAAGUUUCUCAUAAACCUUGUACAAACCCAAAAUCUUUGAUCAUAUCAUCAAAGUGUAUAUUCCAACUCCGAGAUGCUUGCACCAGUCCAUUGAAGGAUCGCUGGAGCUUGCAUACUUGCUAGUAUCUUUAGGAUCGACAAAACCUCCUGGUUGUAUCACAUACAAUGUUUGCUCAAGGAAACCGUCGAGGAAACAAUGUUUUGACAUCCUAUGUGCAAUAUUUCAUAAAUAAUGCAUCAACUACUAACAUAAUUCUAACAGACUUUUAGCAUCGCUACGAGUGAGAAAGUCUCAUCAUAGUCAACUGUUUGAUCUUGUGGGAAACAUCUUUGCGACAAGUCGAGCUUUUCUUAAUAGUGACUUAUCACUAUCAUCGUCUGUCUUCCUUUCAAAAAUCCAUCUUUACUCAAUAGUCCUAUGACCAUCAAGUAGUUCUUCCAAAGUCUACACUUUGUUUUCAUACAUGGAUCCUUUCUCGGAUUUCAUGGCCUCGAGCCAUUUGUCGGAAUCCGGGCCCACCAUUGCUUUCUUCAUAACUCGUAGGUUCACUGUUGCUCAACAACAUGAAUUCCAAGACAGCGUUACCGUACCACUCUGCAGUAGUACGUGACCUUGUCAACCUACGAGGCUUGUAGUAACUUGAUCCGAUGCUCAAUGAUCACCAUCAUCAGCUUUCACUUCAAUUGGUGUAGGCGCCACAGGAACAACUUCCCGCGCCCUGCUACACACUGGUUGAAGUGUUGGUUCAAUAACCUCAUCAAGUUCUACCACCCUCCCACUCAAUUCUUUCGAGAGAAACCUUUCCUCGAGAAAGGAUCCGUUUCUAGAAACAAACAUUUUGCUUUCGGAUCUGAGAUAGGAGAUGUACCCAACUGUUUUGGAUAUCCUAUGAAGAUGCAUUUAUCCGCUUUGGGUUCGAGCUGAAACUUUUUCACAUAAGUGUCGAAGCCCCAAACUUUCAAGAAACGACAGUUUAGAUUUCUCUAAACCUCAGUCUAUACUGUGUCAUCUCAACAAAAAUACGCGGUGCCCUAUUUAAAGUGAAUGCGGUUGUCUCUAAUGCAUAACCCAUAAACGAUAGUGGUAAUUCGAUAAGAGACAUGAUAGCAUGCACCAUACCAAAUAGUGCAUGGCUAUGACGUUCAGACACAUCAUCACAAUAUGAUGUUCUAGGUGGCAUGAACUACGAAACAAUUUCCACAUUGUCUUAACUGCGUACCAAAACUCGUAACUCAGAUAUUCAUUUCUAUGAUCAUAUCGUAGACAAUUUAUCCUCUUGUUACGACGAACUUCACUCCGAAACAGAAUUGAACUUUUCAAUAUUUCAGACUUGUGAUUCAUUAAGUAAAUACUCUUGUAUCUACUCAAAUCGUCAUUGAAGUAAGAACAUAAUGACAUCCACUACGUGCCUCAGCACCCAUUGGACUGCAUACAUCAAAAUGUAUCACUUCCAACAAGUUACUAUCUUGUUUCAUCUCAAUGAAAACAAGGCUUUUCUCAUGUGGUAUGAUUCCAUGUCACUAGUGAUUCAAAAUCAAGUGAGUAUAAAGAUCCAUCAGCAUGGAGCCUCUUCAUGCAAUUUAUACCAACAUGACUCAAGCGGCAGUGCCACAAGUAAGUGGUACUAUCAUCAUUACCUCGUAUCUUUUGGCACCAAUAUCAUGAACAUGUGUAACACUACAAUCGAGAUUCAAUAAACCAUUGAAGGUGAUUAUUCAAGCAAAUAGAGUAACCAUUAUUCUCUUUAAAUGAAUAAUCGUAUUGCAAUAAACACGAUCCAAUCAUGUUCAUGCUUAAGGCAAGCACCAAAUAACAAUUACUUAGGUUUAACACCAAUCCCGAUGGUAGAGGGAGCGUGCGACGUUUGAUCAUAUCAACCUUGGAAACACUUCCAACACGUAUCGUCACCUCGCCUUUAGCUAGUCUCCGUUUAUGCCGUAGCUUUCAUUUCGUGUUACUAAUCACUUAGCAACCGAACCGGUAUCCAAUACCCUCGUGCUACUGGGAGUACUAGUAAAGUACACAUCAACAUCAUGUAUAUCAAAUAUACUUCUUUCGACUUUUGCCAGCCUUCUUAUCUACCAAGUAUCUAGAGUUGCUCCGCCUCAGUGACUGUUCCCCUCAUUACAGAAGCACUUAGUCUCGGGUUUGGGUUUAAUGUUGGGUCUCCUCAUUAGUGGAGCAACUGUUUUGCCGUUUCAUGAAGUAUCCCUUCUAGCCCUUGCCUUUCUUGAAACUUAGUGGUUUUACUAACCAUCAACUAUUGAUGCUUCUUCCUGAUUUCUACUUUCGCAGUGUCAAACAUUGCGAAUCGCUCAAGGAUCAUUAUAUCUAUCCUUGAUAUGUUAUAGUUCAUCACGAAGCUCUCACAGCUUGGUGGCAGUGAUUUUGGAGAACCAUCACUAUCUCAUCUGGAAGAUUAACUCCCACUUGAUUCAAGCGAUUGUCGUACUCAGACAAUCUGAGCACACACUCAACGAUUGAGCUUUUCUCCUUUACUUUGUGGACAAAGAAUCUUGUCGGAGGUCUCGUAUCUCUUAACAAGGGCACAAUCAUGAAAUCACAAUUUCAUCUCUUUAGAACAUCACUUAUGUUCCGUGACGUCUCAAAACGUCUUCGGCGCCUUGCUUCUAAUCCAUUAAGUAUUUUGCACUGAACUAUCGUGUAGUCAUCAGAAACGUGUAUGUCGGAUGUUCACAGCAUCCACAGACGACGCUCGAGGUGCAACACACCGAGUGGUGCAUUAAGGACAUAAGCCUUCUGCGCAACAACGAGGACAAUCAUCUGCAAAGUUUGCUACUAUCAACUUUCAACUAAAUUUUCUCUAGGAACAUAUAAAAACAGUAGAGCUAUAGCGCAAGCUACAUCGUAAUUGGCAAAGACCAUUAGACUAUGUUCAUGACAAUUAGUUCAAUUAAUCAUAUUACUUAAGAACUCCCACUCAAAAAGUACAUCUCUCUAGUCAUUUGAGUGGUACAUGAUCGAAAUCCACUAUCUCAAGUCCGAUCAUCACGUGAGUUGAGAAUAGUUUCAGUGGUAAGCAUCUCUAUGCUAAUCAUAUCAACUAUACGAUUCAUGCUCGACCUUUCGGUCUCAUGUGUUCCGAGGCCAUGUAUGCACAUGCUAGGCUCGUCAAGCUUAACCCGAGUGUUCCGCGUGUGCAACUGUUUUGCACCCGUUGUAUGUGAAAGUUGAGUCUAUCACACCCGAUCAUCACGUGGUGUCUCGAAACGAAGAACUGUCGCAACGGUGCACAGUCGGGGAGAACACAAUUUCGUCUUGAAAUUUUAGUGAGAGAUCACCUCAUAAUGCUACCGUCGUUCUAAGCAAGAUAAGGUGCAAAAAAGGAUUAACAUCACAUGCAAUUCAUAAGUGACAUGAUAUGGCCAUCAUCACGUGCUUCUUGAUCUCCAUCACCAAAGCACCGGCACGAUCUUCUUGUCACCGGCGUCACACCAUGAUCUCCAUCAACGUGUUGCCACCGGGGUUGUCGUGCUACUCAUGCUAUUACUACUAAAGCUACAUCCUAGCAAAAUAGUAAACACAUCUGCAAGCACAAACGUUAGUUUAAAGACAACCCUAUGGCUCCUGCCGGUUGCCGUACCAUUGACGUGCAAGUCGAUAUUAUCUAUUACAACAUGAUCAUCUCAUACAUCCAAUAUAUCACAUCACAUCGUUGGCCAUAUCACAUCACAAGCAUACCCUGCAAAAACAAGUUAGACGUCCUCUAAUUUUGUUGUUGCAUGUUUUACGUGGUGACCAUGGGUAUCUAGUAGGAUCGCAUCUUACUUACGCAAACACCACAACGGAGAUAUAUGAAUUGCUAUUUAACCUUAUACAAGGACCUCCUCGGUCAAAUCCGAUUCAACUAAAGUUGGAGAAACUGACACUUGCCAGUCAUCUUUGAGCAACGGGGUUACUCGUAGCGAUGAAACCAGUCUCUCGUAAGCGUACGAGUAAUGUCGGUCCAAGCCGCUUCAAUCCAACAAUACCGCGGAAUCAAGAAAAGACUAAGGAGGGAAGCAAAACGCACAUCACCGCCCACAAAAACUUUUGUGUUCUACUCGAGAAGACAUCUACGCAUGAACCUAGCUCAUGAUGCCACUGUUGGGGAACGUCGCAUGGGAAACAAAAAAUUUCCUACGCGCACGAAGACCUAUCAUGGUGAUGUCCAUCUACGAGAGGGGAUAUUCGAUCUACGUACCCUUGUAGAUCGCACAGCAGAAGCGUUAAGAAACGCGGUUGAUGUAGUGGAACGUCCUCACGUCCCUCGAUCCGCCCCGCGAACCGUCCCGCGAUCAGUCCCACGAUCUAGUGCCGAACGGACGGCACCUCCGCGUUCAGCACACGUACAGCUCGACGAUGAUCUCGGCCUUCUUGAUCCAGCAAGAGAGGCGGAGAGGUAGAUGAGUUCUCCGGCAGCGUGACGGUGUUGGGGAACGUCACAUGGGAAACAAAAAAUUUCCUACGCGCACGAAGACCUAUCAUGGUGAUGUCCAUCUACGAGAGGGGAUGUGUGAUCUACGUACCCUUGUAGACCGUACAGCAGAAGCGUUAGUGAACGCGGUUGAUGUAGUGGAACGUCCUCACGUCCCUCGAUCCGCCCCGCGAACCGUCCCGGGAUCAGUCCCACGAUCUAGUGCCGAACGGACGGCACCUCCGCGUUCAGCACACGUACAGCUCGACGAUGAUCUCGGCCUUCUUGAUCCAGCAAGAGAGACGGAGAGGUAGAUGAGUUCUCCGGCAGCGUGACGGCGCUCCGGAGGUUGGUGAUGAUCUUAUCUCAGCAGGGCUCCGCCCGAGCUCCGCAGAAACGCGAUCUAGAGGUAAAACCGUGGAGAUAUGUGGUCGGGCUGCCGUGGCAAAGUUGUCGCAAAUCAGCCCUAAAACCUCCGUAUAUAUAGGGGGAAGAGGGGGAGCCUUGCCUUGGGGCUCAAGAGGCCCCAAGGGGGUCGGCCGAGCCAAAGGGGGAAGGUCUCCCCUUCCAAACCGAAUCCACCNNNNNNNNNNNNNNNNNNNNNNNNNNNNNNNNNNNNNNNNNNNNNNNNNNNNNNNNNNNNNNNNNNNNNNNNNNNNNNNNNNNNNNNNNNNNNNNNNNNNNNNNNNNNNNNNNNNNNNNNNNNNNNNNNNNNNNNNNNNNNNNNNNNNNNNNNNNNNNNNNNNNNNNNNNNNNNNNNNNNNNNNNNNNNNNNNNNNNNNNNNNNNUUUACUCGUUCCGUAAUACAAGAUCCCGCAACUUACACUAAGUCACAUUGCUUGCAAGGCUUGUGUGUGAUGUUGUAUUACCGAGUGGGCCCCGAGAUACCUCUCCGUCACACGGAGUGACAAAUCCCAGUUUUGAUCCAUACUAACUCAACGGACACCUUCGGAGAUACCUGUAGAGCAUCUUUAUAGCCACCCAGUUACGUUGUGACGUUUGAUACACACAAAGUAUUCCUCCGGUGUCAGUGAGUUAUAUGAUCUCAUGGUCAUAGGAAUAAAUACUUGACACGCAGAAAACAGUAGCAACAAAAUGACACGAUCAACAUGCUACGUAUAUUAGUUUGGGUCUUAGUCCAUCACAUGAUUCUCCUAAUGAUGUGAUCCCGUUAUCAAGUGACAACACUUGCCCAUGGUCAGGAAACCUUGACCAUCUUUGAUCAACGAGCUAGUCAACUAGAGGCUUACUAGGGACAGUGUUUUCUCUAUGUAUCCACACAUGCACUGUGUUUCCAAUCAAUACAAUUAUAGCAUGGAUAAUAAACGAUUAUCAUGAACAAAGAAAUAUAAUAAUAACUAAUUUAUUAUUGCCUCUAGGGCAUAUUUCCAACAAUGGCAUAUAAAGACACUUGUGUUUAUAUUGUCUCAUUAAAAACCUUUUAUGAGAAACCAAUAGGGAAAACUCAUCAAGGGAAAAAGAGUACAAUAUAUGCAAUCUGAUGAUUGUUAAUAGGUUAUAGUUUGGGAGAUUACUCCCCCUGAACUUUGCAAAUAUGAAGGAUGUCUCAUACCAAUUCCAUUGACAUGAACAUGAGAUUCUGUAUAAUCUGUUGGAUUAUAACAGUAGUUUGUUUGCAAAUUAUUUCCUCACUUUUCUAUAAUCCGUGAGGCUAAGUAAUUUCCGAGCAAUGUGAUUUAUGAUAUUGCUCUUCAUAUAACCUAUAUGUAUUGAGUAACACAAGUGGAAGUAUCUUGGUAAAUCAAGUUAUGUGAUUCUGAUGAAUCUCAACCACAUGAUUUUGAGUGUGGUUAACCAUUCUACUAAGUUAUGCAUAUUUUGCAAUGCCUUUAGAUAAAGCAAUUAUGUUAGAAUGAUAACUGGAAAUAACCACUAAAAUCCAUUUAUAUGACUUCCAUGUGAAGGCUAUUCCAGCAAAUUCACUCAUUGAUAUGGCAUCGUUGGGAUCAAAUAAAGAGCCAAUAUCAUUACAUCAUAUCAUGGUCAUAUCUUCUAUUUCCUGAUGGAAAUAUCCAAGAUUUACUGUAAUCUUCAGAUAUAAGAUGAUAGUACUUAUAUCAACCAUAUAUCUUUUGUUUGAGGUUGCACUCCGAAUAAAGAUAGCAAAUAUAGUGUCAGGCCUGACGUAGUUUGCAAGUAUAUGAGUGCUUUGACAUUAGUGAGAUAUAGAACUUCAGGUCCUAGUAUCACUUCAUUAUCACCCCUAGGUAUGAAUGAAUUUGUACCUUAUCAAAGGUAGUAUGACCAUACAUGUAUUUUGUUGAUAUGAUAUAUCCAAAUUGAACUUCUCGUAUAUGUUUGGAUAUAUGUAGACUGAUAUGUAUUCUUGAGAGAAUGCUCAAGUUGUAAACUUAAGCUAAAUUUGGUUGAAUCCAAAUUUUCCGUCUUGAGAUGAUUUUAUGUAUGUUUAGGUCUUGUAGAGACAUUGAUGAUGAAAUCAUCAUAUACACUGAGGUGAUGUAAGGAAAUAAAAUUUUGGUAUUCCUUUAUUAACACAUAAACAAUCAUCAUCCUUUGAGUAAUCCUCUGAAGGAGGAACUCGUCUAGUCGGUAAUACCAUAUGAUUCACGACUAUUUCUAGUCAUAGAGUGACUUCUGAAAUUUUACACAUAUAUGUUGCGAUUUAUUUUGGAUUCGGAAUUGUAAGCCCUUGAGGUACUUCGUUAUAAAUUUCUGAAAUGAGUAACCCAUAUGAGUAUGUAGUCACUUCAUCCAUUAACUACAUGGAUAAUAUUAUUUGUACUGCCAAUGAUAUUUGUUAUAUAAACUUAAUUCCACUCAUACCAAAAGGGUAUGUUACAUCAUAAUUUGAUGUCGGGUCUCUGCGUGAACCCUUUUGCUACAAGCCUCGAUUUCUCACCACCUCAUUGAAUUUGUCUAUGAAUGAGAAGCUUUUAGUAUUCCAUAUGGAAGACACUUAUGAGGAGUAGGUAUUACUGUGGUAAAUACCACUCUUUGCUGAGCGAGUGCUAUUCUUCAUUACUUGCUUCCUUUUAUGUGAACCAAUAUGAAUGCAAGAGGCACUCUAUCAUGGAUUUUGGUUCAGGGCCCAAAAGGUUUUAGCAAUUUUCAGAAGAAAUAUAUGUCGUCAAAUGUAGACUUUUGUUAUAUGAUUCUGGAUGAAUCGGUGAAAUUUGUGGAAAUGUAUUUAUUCCUUUUAACUCCUUGUGAUUUCCUACAACAAUGGAGUCAAGGUGUUUCAAUGUCCCGGCACCAAAACAUUUGUGCACAUCUAUGUGGGGCUUUGGAUGAUGAGCAUCCAGUGAGGUGUCUUUCAACUUGAUGUUGAAUUACAUUUACUGGUUAAGGAUUCGAUUUCCUCUAUUUCCGCGGAAGCAUAUGCGAGAUUAUAUCUCGUGUGGUCAGAUUUCUCCCCCUCUUGCUCUCAUUUUGGGAGAAGAGUGGUUUAUCAGGUACCUCCACUCUUUCUGACACUUUACUGGAGGAAUAUAAUUGAGUACACCUUUGUCAUCAGUAAAUGUAUGUGGCAGAUUUGCAAUGUGUUGCAAAUAUGUGAUUCUAAACUUCUUGUUCAGAUUCUUUGAGUACGUGGAUAUAAGGACUGAAUGUGAAUAACAUUUCUAAUUUAUUUCUUGGCAUUUUUUGUGGUACUAAUCUCCCCCUAAUGCCAAAAAUGUCCUUAUUGCUGAUGCAAUCAGCAUACGGGCUAUGAAUGAUUUUGAUUGACGGAUAAAUUUUUAUUCCUCACAUAGAUCCCUAUUUUUUGGGAGAGCCCAUUGAUGUAUGCCGGAGUGGUGAUAUUGUUAUGUAACCGUAUUAUCGCAGAUAGGAAAUACUUUGUUGAUUUCCACGUAAUUACUACAAGGGGAAAGUAGUAUGAUAUGCAGUUGGUAUGAUUUAGAUCAUACUUACGGUGUGUAAGGUCGUAGUUGUCCAGUAAGAGGCUGGUAAAUUUACAAUUCUUUAAAAUUGGUCAUGUAAUAAAUUUCACUAUCUUUGAUAAGAUAUUGAAUUACACAAUUCUGGGUAUGUACAUAAGGUACCAUUGCUAAUGAAAUGGGUUCAACAACAUUGUCCAUUUGAAUGGGUAUAUCCGUUGUCCAGGAUAAUUAGCUCUUACUUUGAUAAGUUGAGCGAUUAAUUUGGUAAGGUCAUUCAUGGUUGUGUGUGACAAGGGACACACUUGAAAUCAUUUUGUAAAUGUUUCCAUGAGUGCCAUGAAGUAUCUAUAUAAGACAACAUAAUGAUUGAGUAAUCCACAUAUCUUCUGAAUGUGUUCAAGGAAGAAUGAGUGGCUCAUUUAGAAUUGUAAGGUGAGAGUGCCUUAAAUUAAUUUCCCCUAUCACACAUGUGGUGCACAUAAAAAUUUGAUGAUUGGGAAAUUUUGCAACUUGUUAAGUUGUGACCAAUAGAAUUGCCAAUAAUUUUUCUAAUCAACCCCAAAUAGGAUUGUAAGGCUUAAAGCCAAGUAUUUUGUAAGAUUUAGAAAAUUAUUUUGUACGCAACAAAACUGAGUAUGAAUUGAUUCACACAUUCAAAAAUUAUCAAAUAUAAUGCCCAAGAAAUAGGAUAAUGGACAUUGCACUACAUGUAGUAGUACAAGUAUAGGCAAACAAUAUUUUGGGAAUAAUCAGGAUAUUACAUGAGGUAUCCCAUAUUAUUGAAAAAUGAAUUACACAAACAUAUCAUAGGUGCAAACGAAUUGAUCAUUCUUUUCUUGCACUAUGUUUGCGGUUCUCCUUCUGAUGAAGAUUCGAGAACAUCAUUUACCAGAAUAGUUUCUGGUCGUAUGUUUGCAAAUUUUCAAAUAUCCCAAUGAACUUAUUUGCCUUUUAAUAAAUUUGUAGUGUGGUUUGACCAUAUGUUUGAGGGUUUGGUAAUCAUAUGUACGAUAUUUAUGUAACCACACAUUUGACAAAUUUGAGAGUUGUCUUUGUGAUCAUUUGGAAAUGAUCAAUUCCCAAUUAAAAGGUAAUUCUGCCAUUGGUUGUCUUUAGCCUCCACUUUACUUUGAAUUCCUCAUGGUUCUAUUUUGUGACCACUCACUUGCUACUCAAUACUAGCAAAUAUUUGAAAUAAUGGUAUGGCACCCGUUGGGUGAAUAUUAUGAUUUUAAGAAAUAAAUGUUUCUUUACCAUGAAAAUGGUAAUGCCAUCAUAAGAGGAUGUAAAGUGUAUUAUGGGCUUUUCCAUUAGAUUCAAAUACGAAAACUAUCUGAUCACAAAAUCUCAACUUAAACUUGAUUUUAUAACUACCAAAUUGUAAGUUGCAAUAGGCUUGAGGCCUUGAAAAAUUAUUGGGUGAUCAUUCCAAAUGUGCUCAUGGCAUCAUGUUUCUUUUAAGGAAAAUAUUCAAGGUGAAUAAAUAUUCAUCCAUUAUUUUCUUAGUUUGAUAACUAAGUGAAGUUGGUGAUUUAUAAAAUGCAUAUGCCCAUAUUAGCUAUUAAGAUAAUAGCCACGACACAUUUUCCCAAGGUGGAGUUAUAGUGGCAACAAUGCCACAUGUGGAUAUAAUGACUGAUGUCAUGAAUCAUCUUAAAAUAAAUACUCCCACCAAAUCAUGCAUUUGGUGUAUUUGGAAAUGUCAGCCAUGUGUUACUUGAAAAUGCUAAUGCAUUUAUUUAAUUUACUGCUAUGAGAAAGUGGCAUCUAUGAAUAAAUGAUUUGUUUGAGAACAAUCAUGGCCAAGGUGAUCCUUGGUGAACCUAUGUAUAUCCUUCAAUACAACACAUGCGAUGAAAUUAUUGCUAAUGUUUUGGAUGUCAUUCUUGAGGAAGUGUGUGACUUUAGAGUCAUUGCCAAAACGUAUAGACUUUGCAUGCUUAACAUUGAUUAGUCACUAUGAUAGUAUCAUCACAAUGUCAUGUUGACAUUGCAGAAGUCCUUGGGAACACUUGCUAUAAAUUAUAGUAUCCAUGUUGAUGGACGGACGACACUAUAAUUAGAAAUAGUGACAUAGGCUUGACUGCCAUGUAUUUUACCAAUGUAAUAGAAGGUAAUCACAAGUAAAUGCAAAUAUUUACGUAGUUCCCUAUGACGCAUUCAAGCAAAAUGAGGCUUGAUUGGUUGAUAUUAUCACAAAAAUACCAUUUCGGCAUAUAGCAAGUGUGCAAAACAAUAUUUACUAUGAGAGUAAAAUAUUUUAGUAAACAACAACAAUAAAUGCUUCGGAGGAGCAAAUUCUAGUAUGGAUGAUGCCAUAUAGCCAUAUGUGUUGACCUCAAUUUAUAUAAGAUAACACUUUGAAGAUAAUCACCAAUAUGGUGUAGAUCUCGGUGUAAUAGAAAACAUAGUCUGACUUUUGUCAGUAGAUGUUCAUAAUUCUAUUACCUUAUGUUAUGCUAUAUUUAAGAAAAUCACUUUGAAGAUAAUCAUAUGUCAGAAUGACAUGAUAUGUAGACCUUGCAGUAAUAGUGGAUAGUCUGUAAACUUUUACAGUAGAUGCCAAUAUUGCCUUAUGAUAUCUAGAGGUAGUCACAUCUAAUAUUAAUAUUUGGAAGAGAACUUUGAAGGUAAUCAUCUUGUAAACACAGACAAGAUGUAGACCUCAUAGUAGUGAUGAAUAAUCUGCGAAUUGUGCAGUAGAUGUCAUCAAUACCUUGUGAUUCACAAAUAAAAUUUUGGGCUAUGUACACAUUAAUAUUUGGAAGAGCACGUUGAAGAUAGUCAUCUUGUCAAAAAUGGCAAAACGUAGAUCUUAUAGUAGUGAUGGAUAAUCUGCAAAAAUAUGCAAUAGAUGCCAUCAAAUACCUUGUAAUUCACAAAUAAACUUGGAUGCCAUCAUAUUAAGUAUGAGAAUACGCGAUCCUUGUUUUGAAUUACAAUAAGAUUUGCAAAAAUUAAAAUUAAUUGCAAAAAUAGUUGUUCUCCUAAAACGCAUGCCUUAGGAAAUGUUUGCGGCAAAGACAUAUAUAUUGUCUUAAAUACCGAAGGAAUAAAUGCACGCAAAGUAUAUUUUUUUUGCAUUUAGUAUUACUGUGGUAAUACAUAUGGAUGCAAACCUUAAUAAUUUACAUAUUUAUGUAAUAUAUGAAAACCAGAGGGCUUCAAAUGCAGCCAACAUAUUUCUGUAAUUUCACGCACAAAAAGUAUAACGAUUAAUCUGCAAAGUAUUCUAAGCCUGAUGGCUCAAUGGGGAUAUGUAAGGGAUUGUCUUUCUUUGCGUGGAUAAGAAUCAAACUGAUGCGUUUGGGUCGUCACUGGGGAGGAUGCUGCCUCGUGGAUGGCGCGAGGGCUCCGCGGUCAAGCGUGAGCGAGAGGUCAGGUCGUCGUGUUGGACGACGGUCGCGUCUGAGGACGCACCACCGGGACUCGUGUCUUGGUCCGUUGGAGCCGGCUGAUGGCCAUGAUGGGGCUUCGCGUCGUGGGAUAGCGACGGGGCCGAGGGUCGCCGUGCGCUCCGGGAUGGUGGCCGCCGUUUCAUCGACGCCGGUAUUGCCUCCCAUUGUCGGGGUGUCUCGCAUGGAUCGAGUCCUCGCCACGUCGGACGUCAUAUUUUACAAGUAGAAGAAACGCCUUCAUGAUGUGGAUGAAGUGCAAUCGCCUCUUCACGAAAGUGGCCGUUAGUGUCACGCAGCCAUGCUUACCGUCGGCCUCUUUAUGGAUGAUUUGAUGAAGCAAUUCGUGAAGAGGGCAAUAAGCAUUGAUCGUGGAUGCCAACGCACGUGUUUUUUUGUCCGUCUUCCUUGUUCGAUGAUUUCUUCCUGCUUCUGUUUGAGUAGCGAUCGAUCCAUUUCGUCAUCGCUAUGCGCGCAUGAUGGAAGAAGUGAUAAACAAAACACAACUACUAUUGUCAUUAGAUAGUGAUUGAUCACAAUAAGACAAAAUCAGAAAUAAAAAGAAAAACCGGCAAUCCCUAAUCCAGUUUCCUCUUUUACGCAUCCAUGCAUGCCCAUGGAUUCUUGCCGUGGAUGGGCAGCAGCGACAUAAAUUUUUUCUGUGCGGAAGCCUUGUGCGCUGGAUGGAGUCCUCAUUGCGAGUGUAGAUGCGGGUGCCGCCCUGACUGAUGUUGCCAUCAGCGUCAAGACUUGAUGCGGUAGUCCGCCGUGCCGGAGAACGUAGAACGUCGGCAACGCUGGGAAUUACAACGUUUUUUUAUCUCGGCCUAAUCGCUCGGAUAAUGGUGGAUGCAUGCUGAUCGAUUUCUCCUGUACAUGUGCAUGCAAACCGGAGAUCCAAUGGAUUUUUCAUACAUGUGCAUGCAAACCGGAGAUUCAAUGGAUUUUUCUGUUCAGUGUGUUCCCAAAUCGUGGUUAGCAGCAAGUGCCCGCUGCCGCUGCAUGCUUCUUCCCAUUGAUGCCGCUUGCGAUGGAGACCGGCGCCAUGGGCAGUUGUUGUGCGUCGUCGGGUGUGACAAUCUGGCGCUGUUGCCUGCAUGCGGCCUCUGUCGUUCUUCAUUGUAGCCUAUCUCUCUAGCGGAGAGCAAAGUGCAUGAAAGUGAAUGGACGAGCAGUCCUCUUUCUAUUGAUUCUCAAGUAUAUAUACAUCUGAAAGAGGUGCGAAGAAGAGGUGUCUGUUCGGAGGCAUCCCUCCAGAACAGGUGCCUGUUGGCAAUAGACACAAAGAGGAGACACGACUGUUCGGGUUGGACAUAUUCCUUGAAUUAAUCUACUAAUUAAUUUCUAACAAGAUCCACCUAAGACGAACACUAUUCGGAUCCUACAAGUUCUGUCGGAGACACACCUUCCAAUGAUGCUAGAUUCAAGAUGGGAAUGGGCCAGCCUGGACCUGGCCUUGGACCUGGCCCCGCUGCCUCAAAGCCAAUUUCAGGGCCGACCCAAAAUUCAGCUAGAACUGCAUAGUUGAGCCAGAUGCGUCCUUGUUUCAGGAAUGCUUGUUGAGGUAGAGCGUCUUUUCAUUGGGCCGGAUGCGGAAGGGGCCGACCUCCUCGGACGCGCCAUAGCCGACGGAGGACCAGCCAGGCCCGCCGUUGAGCCAGAGGAUGAGCGGCGUGACGGGCCCGUCCGUCGGGGCUGCCUCGAUGAGCCAGUAGAAGAGCGUGUGGCCGCGGGCCUGGUUGACCGUGACGUAGCCCGUGUACUGCGAGAAGUCCACGUUGGACGGCUGCCCUGGGAGCUCCCGGAUCCGGUAGCCCUCCUGGUCGGCCAGCGCUGCGGCGGCUGGCAGUGACAUCGACGCCCACACUAGCAGCGCCGCGAGCCAUCGGCUGGUGGUGGAGUGGAGGAAGCGGGCAGUGGAGCUGAGCUUACAAGCACGCAGCUUGCUUGCACUUGCACAGUAUGCAAACACUCGUGUUGCCGCUGCUGACAAAAGCUUAGCUGUAUGAUACUAGGGUUGCUUGCAUGGAUUUCGGCGGGAGAUUUGAUUUUCUGAUCCUUACGCCAUGACAGCUAGCUGAGGGGCCUCGGCUGGGCUGGAUCCCCGACGAUAAAGAAAUGGGGAGGAGGCGUGUGUGUGAAUGGAGGCGGAAGGAAGAAGAUGAGGCUGGACACAUGGGGCUGGAGCCUUGAAGGGGCAUGUGCGAUGGUGGUGACACUAGCAGUGGCAGUGGCGGGAGGUAGCCGGGCAACGUGAUCAGAUUACUGGGUCAACCCGUGUAGUCCAUUGGGUCGCACGGUGCCGACUCUAGUGACCCAUUUAUGUUUCAGGUCCAACCCACCUGGCCCAUUGGCCUCGACAAAUUGGGUCGGGUCAGUGACCCAGGGGGCCGACCCGACCCAUUCCCAUCUUGAUGCUAGAUGCAUCACUAAAAUAGGCACUAAGUGAGAAAAACCUUGUUCCAUCUUUAUCCACCGUUGUGUUGCCUUCAUAAGUACGUAGGACAUAAAACAGACCUAGAACACCAAAAAAAAAAGUAAGACCUGCCCGUCGGCAAUGGUCAGGGUCCACCGCACCUCCAUCUCCAUGAUCCUAAGGCCACAACAGAUGAAGCAGACCCGGGACGGGGCGUGUUGACGUAUAAUGUGUUGCCCAGUCUCUUUCAUCAGAUCGGUCUUUUGGUUGCAUUGGCUAGAGCAUGCACUUCUACAUGGUAUUAGAGUUAAGAGGUCUUGAAUUCAAAACUCGGCUGACGUAAUUAAAUUGCAUCUCUUCCAUCAGAUCUUAGGUUAGACGGAUUUCGGUCUGAUGCAAGAUUCCGUGCCGUGUUAGUGGGCAGCCGCUUUAUGAGAAAAUAGGCGCCAAAAGUUCGUUCUGCAGCCGAGGCCAUUGCGUAGGAUGCCACAUUCGUUGGCGGGUGACUGGUAAACAUGGCGAUCACACGCCCUUCAAAUUCUAAGCACAUGUCUGCGAUCAGAUUACAGCUGCUGCGGUCCGUCUCCGUGGCUUCCCCUUCUGGCCGUUGACAAGCUGCUGAGCCCAACAGGUCUUUCAGGGUGUGCCGUUAAGCAUAACCACCUGCAUUAUGCUCCACACCACUCUACUGUAGGAACAAUCUAGAACUUUUGAUGUGCACAUGAUAAUUUUUUGCAUGCAUUUAUUUAGCCAGACCCAAUUGAAAGUUUCAAGUACGCGAUGGGGCAAAAAAAGAUGCACGUAAGCAAACACCCCCGAAGUAUAUGCAUUAGGUUUUUCUGCUUUGAAACGUCUAUCUAUAUACUCUGUCGCAAAAAAAAAAACGUCUAUCUAUAUACUGCCUUCAUUUCUAAAUAUAAUCUUUUUAUAGAUUUUACUACGAAUUACAUACUGAUGUAUAUAUACAUACUUUAGUGUGUUGAUUCGUAUGUACUCUCUCUGUAAACUAACAUAAGAGCAUUUAGAUCACUAUUUUAGUGAUCUAAAUGCUCUUAUAUUAGUUUACAGAGGGAGUAGUCUAUAGUAAAAUUCUAUAAAGAUUUAUAUUUAGAAACGGAGGAAGUAUAAUAUAUAGUCUCACGAGGGUGUUUGUUGUGACCCGUAAGAUUUGCGUCAUGAUUUUUCUUUGGCCGCAGUUUGAGAUAACCACACGAUCAUUUCGGCAUGGGAUGGUCUCCUUCGGUUCACCCGUCCAAUCAUACCUGGCCAAAUGGGCCGGCAAGGCAUGGCCCAGCACGGCCCGUUGUAAUCGAGCCUGGCACGGCAUAACCCUACUCGGGCCGUGUCGUGCCGGCCCGUGGGCUGCGCCUCCAGGUCCAAGCACAGUCCGGUUAUCAAACAGUCCGACAUGUUGGCCCGAUUAGCACGCUGGGUCGCAUAUUUUUAGCCUCAUGGGCUCAUUUUUAGGUCCAUUGGGCUGUAUAUAAUAAUAAUAAAAAUUAAACGGACCGUACCGUGUCGGCCCGCGUGCCCAGCCUUCAGGCCCAGACACGGCCCGAGGCGUGCUGGACACGAGCGAUUAAAGCGUGCCGGGCCAGACCCGUAUGGUGUCAGGCCGGCGUGCUAUCAGGGUCGGUCCAUACAUAUUCCGGGCCCUGGGACGAGACGAUAAAAUGAGGCCCUUGUGGACAAAUCAAAUGUUUUUCGGAAGAAAUUUCGUACAUAGCAUAGAUUGAUCGUCCAAAAUACUACAUCAGAAUAAUAUGAAAACAAUAUAGUUCUAUAAAAGAGCGCUCUUCUAAGUUGCAGAAAAGAGACUAUCAUUUCGCUCUUUUAACUAUGAAAACUUGUCAAAACUGAUAGCAACUUGAACAUUUUAUUUAUUUUUUACUUUUUUUUCUCAGAGAUAAACAAUUUUUAGAACACAUGUCACCAAAUAAUUACAGAAAAACUGUCAAUAUAUACAGGGAACAAAAGCAUCUGAGUAUGGGCAUAUGGCUUGAUGUCGAAUUGUCGAUGUAGUUUCCGAGAUCUACAAGGUUGCAAUACUCAUUCCCCGUCCCCCCUUCUCAUCCCUGGAUCAAAUGAAGGUUUGAAAAACAGGCCAACAAAAGAGUAAAAACUAGGAAGAGAAGAAUUGAAGAUGUCAGAUGGAGAGGCGGGUCGUUUAACAGGAAUGAAAAAGAGUACUUCAUUAGGCGAAGAAGGGAGACGUACCAUCUUUGAUGUGGUGAUGCCUCAAACGUCUAUUGAUGGGCAACGUUGAGGAUGCAAUGAGAGGUGAUUGGGGAAGGGGAUAGCACCAUUGGUCUCCAUUAGUGGAUGCAGGGAGCACCACCUCGAAUUUGGAAGUGCACGAGGGGCGGCGUUGUUCUCUGGGAUUGGAGAAUUUGGGGGAGGAGCCGAGGAGGCGAGGUUUUUUCAGGAGCCGAAGAGGCAAGGUGACUGGAGGAGAUCGAUGGAGUGCUGCAGCAGCCUAGCGAACCAGCGAUCGAUUCUUUCCGUCCGGGAGUGCUAGCUACGUGAUGGGCUUGAGCCUUUUUUUCCCUCCUAUUUUUUUGACCUAAAGGAAAAAAAUAUCCUAAUACGUAAAAUGUACUACUACCUAGAAAGGGGCCCCUACGUCCCAGGGCCCCAGGGCGGUAGCCCCGUUGCCCCGACCUAUGGGCCGGCCCUGCGUGCUAUCGGGCGACCCGAUUUACACGGCCCGUUUAGCCAGAUGUGCGUCCAAUUACCUCUUCAAGCUGUCCUUCUGAAUGCAUCAAAUUUGACCCGUCGACCACCGUGUGAUUUACUGAGUUGCCACUGUACUAUCAAAAUAAUCACUAUUCAGUUUACUUGGCUUCUUUGGGAGAUUUGACGAAGUUGCCAUUGUAUCAAAAUUACCAUCAUUCAAUUUACUUUCUUUCGUAAUGUUUUUACCAUGGUGGAAUAUGAUAUAUGAACCUAAGAGAAAAUUGCAAAAUGUGUUAGGCGGGAUGUUCUUUGAGGGUAAUAACAAGGUGUGCUAUUAAUUUCUUUUCCUUUUGUGGAAUCUAUUAACAUUUUUUGUUGAUAGACUUUUCCUUCUUUAUUUAUUCACUAGUACAAAUGCCCGUGCGUUGCACCGGGCAAAAUAAACAUAACGGGAUUCAUGUCAUUCUGCAUCAUUUUUUUAUAUCCGAUUUUACUAAAUGUCUAUGAUAAAGUUAAACGUGCAUAUUUUCUUAUUUUUAAUAAAAGUUAAUGUUUUCAUAAAGAUUGGACCACUUUCUAAGUAUAGUUCAAUUUUUAAGAAACCGGAACAUUUCUUUAAAAAGAGCAAUUUUAAACAUAUUUUGCUCCUGUUCGACUUUGACAAACAUUAUAACUAGCAACUAUGUGGAAGUAUUGUUUCUAUAGACAUGCCUAUAACAGUUUGACUAAAAGGAAAAAUAUAAAUAGGUACAUUCAAGAACAAAGGAACCACAGUGUUCCAAGUUCAAAAAAAAACUUUGAACAGAUGGCAACGAGUAUAUAUACCAAAACAAAAAAAUGAACGACAAUUGCAAACAUAACUCGUUGCAUCCAUCAAGAGUGCUUGUCACGUAAUAUCAUCUCCAGCUUCACACUAAUCUAAGGGAGAAAAGUAUCCAAGGUACAUGAACCACACAAAACCAACCCUAGUUGGAAUGUAAAAUUAUCCCAUCUAGGACUGCAUGGUGUCACCCACAUCUGUUUCCCCUUGCACUUCACUAAUCAUGUACUGGAAUUGAACUAAUCCAUCUGCUAGGAAAUGAGAAAUAGGAUUCAGUAAUGUAUGUCAAAUAACCAUGUUGCACUAUUCAACACGAAAAUAUAGCAUUGAUGUACAAUUCAAACUAACAAUCUCAAACGUAUGGGGGUAACCGUUGGGCGCCGGUUUAUGUAUGUUAAUUUCCGCUAAACCUUUUGUUACCGAGGGAUCUGUUGAAUGGAAUGAAAUCGGGAGCUUUGGUCAUGAAUUCAAAAAAAACAUGUUAUCAAAAGGAAGUUAUGUUGGAAAUAUACCCUAGAGGCAAUAAUAAAUUAGUUAUUAUUAUAUUUCUUUGUUCAUGAUAAUCGUCUAUUAUCCAUGCUAUAAUUGUAUUGAUUGGAAACACAGUGCAUGUGUGGAUACAUAGACAAAACAUUGUCCCUAGUAAGCCUCUAGUUGACUAGCUCGUUGAUCAAAGAUGGUCAAGGUUUCCUGACCAUAGGCAAGUGUUGUCACUUGAUUACGGGAUCACAUCAUUAGGAGAAUCAUGUGACGGACUAGACCCAAACUAAUAGACGUAGCAUGUUGAUCGUGUCAUUUUGUUGCUACUGUUUUCUGCGUGUCAAGUAUUUGUUCCUAUGACCAUGAGAUCAUAUAACUCACUGACACCGGAGGAAUGCUUUAUGUGUAUCAAACGUCGCAACGUAACUGGGUGACUAUAAAGAUGCUCUACAGGUAUCCCCGAAGGUGUUCGUUGAGUUAGUAUGGAUCGAGACUGGGAUUUGUCACUCCGUGUGACGGAGAGGUAUCUCGGGGCCCACUCGGUAAUACAACAUCACACACAAGCCUUGCAAGCAAUGUGACUUAGUGUAAGUUGCGGGAUCUUGUAUUACGGAACGAGUAAAGAGACUUGCCGGUAAACGAGAUUGAAAUAGGUAUGCGGAUACUGACGAUCGAAUCUCGGGCAAGUAACAUACCGAAGGACAAANNNNNNNNNNNNNNNNNNNNNNNNNNNNNNNNNNNNNNNNNNNNNNNNNNNNNNNNNNNNNNNNNNNNNNNNNNNNNNNNNNNNNNNNNNNNNNNNNNNNNNNNNNNNNNNNNNNNNNNNNNNNNNNNNNNNNNNNNNNNNNNNNNNNNNNNNNNNNNNNNNNNNNNNNNNNNNNNNNNNNNNNNNNNNNNNNNNNNNNNNNNNNNNNNNNNNNNNNNNNNNNNNNNNNNNNNNNNNNNNNNNNNNNNNNNNNNNNNNNNNNNNNNNNNNNNNNNNNNNNNNNNNNNNNNNNNNNNNNNNNNNNNNNNNNNNNNNNNNNNNNNNNNNNNNNNNNNNNNNNNNNNNNNNNNNNNNNNNNNNNNNNNNNNNNNNNNNNNNNNNNNNNNNNNNNNNNNNNNNNNNNNNNNNNNNNNNNNNNNNNNNNNNNNNNNNNNNNNNNNNNNNNNNNNNNNNNNNNNNNNNNNNNNNNNNNNNNNNNNNNNNNNNNNGGGAGGACCCCCCCCUUGGCUCGGCCGACCCCCUUGGGGCUCCUUGAGCCCCAAGGCAAGGCCCCCCUCUCCCACCUAUAUAUACGGAGGUUUUAGGGCUGAUUUGAGACAACUUUGCCACGGUAGCCCGACCACAUACCUCCACGGUUUUACCUCUAGAUCGCGUUUCUGCGGAGCUCGGGCGGAGCCCUGCUGAGAUAAGAUCACCACCAACCUCCGGAGCGACGUCACGCUGCCGGAGAACUCAUCUACCUCUCCGUCUCUCUUGCUGGAUCAAGAAGGCCGAGAUCAUCGUCGAGCUGUACGUGUGCUGAACGCGGAGGUGCCGUCCGUUCGGCACUAGAUCAUGGGACGGAUCGCGGGACGGUUCGCGGGGCGGAUCGAGGGACGUGAGGACGUUCCACUACAUCAACCGCGUUUCUUAACGCUUCUGCUGUGCGAUCUACAAGGGUACGUAGAUCGAAUAUCCCCUCUCGUAGAUGGACAUCACCAUGAUAGGUCUUCGUGCGCGUAGGAAAUUUUUUGUUUCCCAUGCGACGUUCCCCAACAGUGGCAUCAUGAGCUAGGUUCAUGCGUAGAUGUCUUCUCGAGUAGAACACAAAAGUUUUUGUGGGCAGUGAUGUGCGUUUUGCUGCCCUCCUUAGUCUUUUCUUGAUUCCGCGGUAUUGUUGGAUUGAAGCGGCUUGGACCGACAUUACUCGUACGCUUACGAGAGACUGGUUUCAUCGCUACGAGUAACCCCUUUGCUCAAAGAUGACUGGCAAGUGUCGGUUUCUCCAACUUUAGUUGAAUCGGAUUUGACCGAGGAGGUCCUUGUAUAAGGUUAAAUAGCAAUUCAUAUAUCUCCGUUGUGGUGUUUGCGUAAGUAAGAUGCGAUCCUACUAGAUACCCAUGGUCACCACGUAAAACAUGCAACAACAAAAUUAGAGGACGUCUAACUUGUUUUUGCAGGGUAUGCUUGUGAUGUGAUAUGGCCAACGAUGUGAUGUGAUAUAUUGGAUGUAUGAGAUGAUCAUGUUGUAAUAGAUAAUAUCGACUUGCACGUCGAUGGUACGGCAACCGGCAGGAGCCAUAGGGUUGUCUUUAAACUAACGUUUGUGCUUGCAGAUGCGUUUACUAUUUUGCUAGGAUGUAUCUUUUGUAGUAAUAGCAUGAGUAGCACGACAACCCCGAUGGCGACACGUUGAUGGAGAUCAUGGUGUGGCGCCGGUGACAAGAAGAUCGUGCCGGUGCUUUGGUGAUGGAGAUCAAGGAGCACGUGAUGAUGGCCAUAUCAUGUCACUUAUGAAUUGCAUGUGAUGUUAAUCCUUUUUUGCACCUUAUCUUGCUUAGAACGACGGUAGCAUUAUGAGGUGAUCUCUCACUAAAAUUUCAAGACGAAAUUGUGUUCUCCCCGACUGUGCACCGUUGCGACAGUUCUUCGUUUCGAGACACCACGUGAUGAUCGGGUGUGAUAGACUCAACGUUCAGAUACAACGGGUGCAAAAUAGUUGCACACACGGAACACUCGGGUUAAGCUUGACGAGCCUAGCAUGUGCAGACAUGGCCUCGGAACACAUGAGACUGAAAGGUCGAGCAUGAAUCGUAUAGUUGAUAUGAUUAGCAUAGAGAUGCUUACCACUAAAACUAUUCUCGACUCACGUGAUGAUCGGACUUGAGAUAGUGGAUUUGGAUCAUGUACCACUCAAAUGACUAGAGAGAUGUACUUUUUGAGUGGGAGUUCUUAAGUAAUAUGAUUAAUUGAACUAAUUGUCAUGAACAUAGUCUAAUGGUCUUUGCCAAUUACGAUGUAGCUUGCGCUAUAGCUCUACUGUUUUUAUAUGUUUCUAGAGAAAAUUUAGUUGAAAGUUGAUAGUAGCAAACUUUGCAGACUGAGUCUAUAAAACCGAGGAUUGUCCUCGUUGCUGCGUAGAAGGCUUAUGUCCUUAAUGCACCACUCGGUGUGCUGCACCUCGAGCGUCGUCUGUAGAUGUUGUGAACAUCCUACAUACACGUUUCUGAUGACUACACGAUAGUUCAGUGCAAAAUACUGAAUGGCUUAGAAGCAAGGCGCCGAAGAUGUUUUGAAACAUCAUGGAACAUAAGAGAUGUUCUAAAGAGAUGAAAUUGUGAUUUCAUGCCUGUGCCCUUGUUAAGAGGUAUGAGACCUCCGACAAGAUUCUUUGUCCACGAAGUAAAGGAGAAAAUCUCAAUCGUUGAGCAUGUGCUCAGAUUAUGUGAGUACGACAAUCGCUUGAAUCAAGUGGGAGUUGAUCUUCCAGAUAAGAUAGUGAUGGUUCUCCAAAGUCACUGCCACCAAGCUGUGAUUGCUUCGUGAUGAACUAUAACAUAUCAAGGAUAGAUACAAUGAUCCUUGAGCAAUUCGCGAUGUUUGACACUGCGAAAGUAGAAAUCAAGAAGGAGCAUCAAUAGUUGAUGGUUAGUAAAACCACUAAGUUUCAAGAAAGGCAAGGGCUAGAAGGGAUACUUCGUGAAACGGCAAAACAAUUGCUGCACUAAUGAAGAUACCCAAGAUUAAACCCAAACCCGAGACUAAAGUGCUUCUGUAAUGAGGGGAACAGUCACUGAGGCGGAGCAACUCUAGAUACUUGGUAGAUAAGAAGGCUGGCAAAAGUCGAAAGAAGUAUAUUUGAUAUACAUGAUGUUGAUGUGUACUUUACUAGUACUCCUAGUAGCACGAGGGUAUUGGAUACCAGUUCGGUUGCUAAGUGAUUAGUAACACGAAAUAAAAGCUAUGGCAUAAACGGAGACUAGCUAAAGGCAUGAUCGGGUGUGAUAGACUCAACGUUCACAUACAACGGGUGCAAAACAGUUGCGCACGCGGAACACUCGGGUUAAGCUUGACGAGCCUAGCAUGUGUAGACGUGGCCUCGGAACACAUGAGACCGAAAGGUCGAUCAUGAAUCAUAUAGAUGAUAUGAUUAGCAUGGGGAUGCUUACCGCUGAAACUAUGCUCAACUCACGUGAUGAUCGGACUUGAGCUAGUGUAGGUGGAUCAUGAACCACUCAAAUGACUAGAGAGAUGUACUUUUUGAGUGGGAGUUUAGCGAGUAAUUUGAUUAAGUUAAACUCUAAUUAUCUUGAACAUAGUCUAAGUCCACUUUGAAUAUAUUUGUGUUGUAGAUCAUGGCUCACGCGACAGUCACCCUGAAUUUUAAUACGUUCCUAGAGAAAGCUAAGUUGAAAGAUGAUGGAAGCAACUUUGUAGACUGGGCUCGUAAUCUUAAGCUAAUCUUACAAGCUCGGAAGAAGGAUUAUGUCCUUAAUGCUGCGCUAGGAGAUGAACCACCCGCUACGGCUGAUCAGGAUGUUGAGAACGCUUGGUUAGCACAUAAGGAGGACUACUCAGUAGUUCAAUGUGCAGUCUUGUAUGGCUUAGAACCAGGACUUCAACGUCGCUUUGAGCGUCAUGGAGCAUUUGAGAUGUUCCAGGAGCUGAAGUUUAUCUUUCAGAAGAACGCCCGGAUCAAGAGGUAUGAGACCUCCGAUAAAUUCUAUGCUUGCAAGAUGGAGGAGAACUCGCCUGUCAGUGAACAUGUGCUCAAAAUGUCUGGGGUACUCAAACCGUCUAGCUGAGCUGGGGAUUGAACUCCCACAAGAAGCUAUCACUGACAGAAUCCUUCAAUCACUGCCGCCAAGCUAUAAAGGCUUUGUGUUGAACUACAACAUGCAAGGGAUGAACAAGUCUCUUGGCGAGUUGUUUGCGAUGCUGAAAGUCGCAGAGUCUGAACUCCGUAAAGAACAUCAAGUGUUGAUGGUGAAUAAGACCACUAGUUUCAAGAGAAACGGCAAAGGCAAGAAGGGUAAUUCAAAGAAGAGCGGCAAGCCUUUUUCCAAUCCGACAAAGAAACCCAAAGCUGGACCUAAGCCUGAAACAGAGUGUUACUAUUGCAAGGGUAUGGGUCACUGGAAGCGCAAUUGCCCCAAGUAUUUGGCUGAUAAGAAGGCGGGCAAAGAAAAAUCAGGUAUAUUUGAUAUACAUUUUAUUGAUGUGUACUUAACCGACUCUCGUAGUAGUGCCUGGGUAUUCGAUGCCGGUUCUGUUGCUCAUAUUUGCAACUCGAAACAGGAACUGCGGAAUAGACGAAGGCUGGCGAAAGAUGAAGUGACGAUGCGCGUAGGAAAUGGUUCCAAGGUUGAUGCAAUCGCCGUCGGCACAGUUUCACUUCGGUUACCAUCAGGAUUAGUUAUGAACUUGAAUCAUUGUUAUUUAGUGCCUGCGUUGAGCAUGAACAUUAUAUCUGGAUCUUGUUUAUUGCGAGACGGUUACUCUUUUAAGUCAGAGAAUAAUGGUUGUUCUAUUUCUAUGAGUAACAUCUUUUAUGGUCAUGCACCCAAUGUGAGAGGAUUGUUCAUAUUGAAUCUUGAUAGUGAUACACACAUACAUAACAUUGAGACCAAAAGAGUUAGAGUUAACAAUGAUAGCGCCAUAUUUUUGUGGCACUACCGCUUAGGUCAUAUUGGUGUAAAGCGCAUGAAGAAACUCCAUGCCGAUGGACUUUUGGAGUCACUUGACUUUGAUUCGCUUGACAUGUGCGAACCAUGCCUCAUGGGCAAGAUGACUAAAACUCCGUUCUCUGGAACAAUGGAGCGUGCAAGUGACUUGUUGGAAAUCAUACAUACCGAUGUGUGUGGUCCGAUGAGCGUAGAGGCACGCGGCGGAUAUCGUUAUUUUCUCACCUUCACUGACGAUUUGAGUAGAUAUGGUUAUGUCUACUUAAUGAAGCACAAGUCUGAAACAUUUGAAAAGUUCAAGCAAUUUCAGAGUGAAGUUGAAAAUCAUCGUAACAAGAAGAUCAACUUCCUACGGUCUGAUCGUGGGGGUGAAUAUCUGAGUUUCGAGUUUGGUGCUCACUUAAGACAAUGUGGAAUUGUUUCACAGUUGACACCGCCUGGAACACCACAACGUAAUGGUGUGUCCGAACGUCGUAAUCGUACUUUAUUAGAGAUGGUGCGAUCUAUGAUGUCUCUUACCGAUUUGCCGUUAUCGUUUUGGGGUUAUGCAUUAGAAAUAGCUGCAUUCACUUUAAAUAGGGCGCCAUCAAAAUCCGUUGAGACGACACCAUACGAAUUGUGGUAUGGCAAAAGGCCAAAGUUUUUCGUUUCUUAAAGUUUGGGGAUGUGAUGCUUAUGUCAAAAAGCUUCAGCCUAAAAAGCUGGAACCCAAAGCGGAAAAGUGCAUCUUCAUAGGUUACCCAAAAGAGACAGUUGGGUACACCUUCUAUCUCAAAUCCGAGGGCAAAGUGUUUGUUGCUAAAAAUGGAGCUUUUCUCGAGAAGGAGUUUCUCUCGAGAGAAUUGAGUGGGAGGAAGAUAGAACUUGAUGAGGUUGUCGAACCUCUCAUCCCUCUGGAUGGUGGCGCAGGGCAAGGGGAAACCUCUAUCAUUGCGACGCUGGUUGAGGAGGAAGUUAAUGAUGAUGAUCAUGAAACUCUGGUUCAAGUUUCUGUCGGACCACGCAGGUCGACGAGACCACGUGCUGCUCCAGAGUGGUACGGUAAUCCCGUCUUGUCAAUCAUGUUGUUAGACAACAAUGAACCUGCAAAUUUGAAGAAGCAAUGGUGGACCCAGAUUCCAACAAAUGGCUAGAAGCCAUGAAGUACGAGAUAGGAUCCAUGUAUGAGAACAAAGUGUGGACUUUGGAAGUACUACCUGAGAGCCGCAAGGCUAUUCAGAACAAAUGGAUCUUUAAGAGGAAGACGGACGCUGACGGCAAUGUGACCGUUUAUAAAGCUCGACUUGUGGCAAAGGGUUUUUCACAAGUUCAAGGAGUUGACUACGAUGAGACAUUCUCACCCGUAGCGAUGCUUAAGUCCGUCAGAAUCAUGUUAGCAAUAGCUGCAUUUUUCGAUUAUGAAAUCUGGCAGAUGGAUGUCAAAACGGCGUUCCUUAACGGUUUCCUUAAUGAAGAGUUGUAUAUGAUGCAACCCGAAAGUUUUGUCGAUCCUAAGAAUGCUAACAAAGUGUGCAAGCUCCGGCGAUCCAUUUAUGGACUGGUGCAAGCAUCUCGGAGUUGGAACAAACGCUUUGAUGAGGUGAUCAAAGCAUUUGGGUUUAUACAAGUGGUUGGAGAAUCUUGUAUUUACAAGAAAGUGAGUGGGAGCUCUGUGGCGUUUCUAAUAUUAUAUGUGGAUGACAUAUUGCUGAUUGGAAACAACGUAGAGUUUUUGGAGAGCAUAAAAGAUUACUUGAAUAAAAGUUUCUCUAUGAAGGACCUAGGAGAAGCUGCUUACAUUCUAGGCAUUAAGAUCUACAGGGAUAGAUCGAAACGCCUGAUAGGACUUUCACAAAGCACAUACCUUGAUAAAGUUUUGAAGAGGUUCAAAAUGGAAUAGUCCAAGAAAGGGUUCUUGCCAGUUUUACAAGGUACGAGAUUGAGUAAGACUCAAUGCCCAACAACUGAUGAGGAUAGAGAGCAUAUGAGCACCGUCCCCUAUGCUUCAGCCAUAGGUUCUAUCAUGUAUGCAAUGCUGUGCACUAGACCGGACGUUAGCUUGGCCAUAAGUAUGGCAGGCAAGUUCCAGAGUAAUCCAGGAGUGGAUCAUUGGACGGUGGUCAAGAAUAUCCUGAAGUACCUGAAAAGGACUAAGGAGAUGUUUCUCGUGUAUGGAGGUGACGAAGAGCUCGCCGUAAAGGGUUACGUCGAUGCAAGCUUUGACACAGAUCCGGACGACUCUAAGUCGCAGACCGGAUACGUAUUUAUUCUUAAUGGGGGUGCGGUAAGCUGGUGCAGUUNNNNNNNNNNNNNNNNNNNNNNNNNNNNNNNNNNNNNNNNNNNNNNNNNNNNNGAGCGUCGUAGCAGAUUUUACAUGUGAAGCGGAGUACAUGGCUGCCUCGGAGGCGGCUAAGGAGGGUGUCUGGAUGAAGCAGUUCAUGACGGAUCUUGGAGUGGUGACAAGUGCACUGAAUCCAAUAACCUUGUUCUGUGACAACACGGGUGCCAUUGCCUUAGCAAAGGAACCACAGUUUCACAAGAAGUCCAGACACAUCAAACGAUGCUUCAACCUCAUCCGCGACUACGUCGAAGGGGAGGACGUGAAUAAAUGCAAAGUGCACACGGAUCUGAAUGUAGCAGACCCGCUGACUAAACCUCUUCCACGGGCAAAGCAUGAUCAACACGAGAACUGUAUGGGUGUUAGAUUUAUUACAAUGUAAUUCGCAUGAUGAUGUGAGGGCUAGAUUAUUGACUCUAGUGCAAGUGGGAGACUGUUGGAAUUAUGCCCCAGAGGCAAUAAUAAAUAUAGUUAUUAUUAUAAUUCCUGUAUCAAGAUAAUCGUUUAUUAUCCAUGCUAUAAUUGUAUUGAAUGAAGACUUAUAUACAUGUGUGGAUACAUAGACAAAACACUGUCCCUAGCAAGCCUCUAGUUGGCUAGCCAGUUGAUCAAAGAGAGUCAGUGUCUUCUGAUUAUGAACAAGGUGUUGUUGCUUGAUAACUGGAUCACGUCAUUAGGAGAAUCACGUGAUGGACUAGACCCAAACUAAUAGACGUAGCAUCUUGAUCGUGUCAUUUUGUUGCUACUGUUUUCUGCGUGUCAAGUAUUUGUUCCUAUGACCAUGCGAUCAUAUAACUCACUGACACCGGAGGAAUACUUUGUGUGUAUCAAACGUCGCAAAGUAACUGGGUGACUAUAAAGAUGCUCUACAGGUAUCUCCGAAGGUGUUCGUUCAGUUAGUAUGGAUCGAGACUGGGAUUUGUCACUCCGUGUGAUGGAGAGGUAUCUCGGGGCCCACUCGGUAAUACAACAUCACACACAAGCCUUGCAAGCAAUGUGACUUAGUGUAAGUUGCGGGAUCUUGUAUUACGGAACGAGUAAAGAGACUUGCCGGUAAACGAGAUUGAAAUAGGUAUGCGGAUACUGACGAUCGAAUCUCGGGCAAGUAACAUACCGAAGGACAAAGGGAAUGACAUACGGGAUUAUAUGAAUCCUUGGCACUGAGGUUCAAACGAUAAGAUCUUCGUAUAAUAUGUAGGAUCCAAUAUGGGCAUCCAGGUCCCGCUAUUGGAUAUUGACCGAGGAGUCUCUCGGGUCAUGUCUACAUAGUUCUCGAACCCGCAGGGUCUGCACACUUAAGGUUUGACGUUGUUUUAUGCGUAUUUGAGUUAUAUGGUUGGUUACCGAAUGUUGUUCGGAGUCCCGGAUGAGAUCACGACGAAUGGGUUCCGGGUGUUCACCGGGGGGGGCAACCCACCUCGGGGAAGCCCAUAGGCCUUGGGGGUGGCGCACCAGCCCUUAGUGGGCUGGUGGGACAGCCCAAGAAGGCCCUAUGCGCCAUAGGAAGAAAAUCAAAGAGUAAAAAAAGAGGAGCUGGGAAAAGGGGGAAGGACUCCUCCUUCCAAACCUAGUUGGACUCGGUUUGGAAGGGGAGGGUUCCCCCCUUAGGCUCGGCCGACCCCCUUGGGAGUCCUUGGACCCCAAGGCAAGGCUCCCCCUCCUCCCCCUAUAUAUACGGAGGUUUUAGGGCUGAUUUGACACAACUUUGUCACGGCAGCCCGACCACAUAUCUCCACGGUUUUACCUCUAGAUCGCGUUUCUGCGGAGCUCGGGCGGAGCCCUCCUGAGAUAAGAUCACCACCAACCUCCGGAGCGCCGUCACGCUGUCGGAGAACUCAUCUACCUCUCCGUCUCUCUUGCUGGAUUAAGAAGGCCGAGAUCAUCGUCGAGCUGUACGUGUGCUGAACGCGGAGGUGCCGUCCGUUCGGCACUAGAUCGUGGGACUGAUCCCGGGACGGUUCGCGGGGCGGAUCGAGGGACGUGAGGACGUUCCACUACAUCAACCGCGUUCACUAACGCUUCUGCUGUACGGUCUACAAGGGUACGUAGAUCACACAUCCCCUCUCGUAGAUGGACAUCACCAUGAUAGGUCUUCGUGCGCGUAGGAAAUUUUUUGUUUCCCAUGUGACGUUCCCCAACACCGUCACGCUGCCGGAGAACUCAUCUACCUCUCCGCCUCUCUUGCUGGAUCAAGAAGGCCGAGAUCAUCGUCGAGCUGUGCGUGUGCUGAACGCGGAGGUGCCGUCCGUUCGGCACUAGAUCGUGGGACUGAUCGCGGGACGGUUCGCGGGGCGGAUCGAGGGACGUGAGGACGUUCCACUACAUCAACCGCGUUUCUUAACGCUUCUGCUGUGCGAUCUACAAGGGUACGUAGAUCGAAUAUCACCUCUCGUAGAUGGACAUCACCAUGAUAGGUCUUCGUGCGUGUAGGAAAUUUUUUGUUUCCCAUGCGACGUUCCCCAACAAGUUAAAGACAAAACAAACAUAACCGAAGCAUGGCAUGAGAGGGAGGGAGCUACCGUCGAGUGGGAAUGGGCCUUCAUGAGGAGGGGCGGAGGGCAGACUCUUCGUGUGAGAGUUCGAAUCACGGGAAGAGCCGGCUACGCUUGGUAAGAAAAAGAAAUCCAAUCAAUAUGACUUACUGAGUGGCACUGCAAUGGAAGUUGGGUUCGAGGUGGUGUAAAAAUUACAGUACCCGAAGUCGUUGUGCUAGUACGUGUAUGGAGAAGUUCAGAGAAGCUCAUGAGCAUUUUUAGUUCAUGAUUAGCAUCUCACAAAGCCAUGAAACUAUAAAGCUCAGAGCAAUUUGUUAAAAUUUAUGUGUCGAGAAUACUACAUGUGCUAUGGGCAACUUAAAGCAAACAUAAUUCAAGUAAUCAACUAAUUUGUGAUCAUCAGGUACCACCUCCCUCGCCCUACCCGCACAAAAUAUUGCAUAAGCAUCAACUGCAUACCUACAGUAAGAAUAACUUCUAGUUACUAAUCAGACUGAAAAAGAAAUAACAUUGUACAAAUACUACAUAUAUCCAACAAAAGAAUUGAGAGGGCAGCACUCACUUGUCGACACCACAAAGUUGCAUAACAUGAGUCCAGGUCGGCGCCGCUCUUGCUCGCCAGGCUGCCGAAGCUGAUGUAGAGCACGAACGCCGGGGCCUGCGCGUCCAGCCAGUCGAGGCAGGAGCGGUCCUGCUAAAGGAGGCUGCUGGACGACGCCGGGGAGAGCUUGUGGAGCGGACCAACGGCGAACACGGGCACGCCAGCGAGGUCGCGUCGGGUGGCCGCCAGGUCGUCGGCCUCCAGCGCGUCGAAGGGGUUGAAGACGAACCCCGCAGAGCUUCGCAUCGCCUCGACCGCCCGCGCAGCAGCUUGCACAUUAGCUCGUGCUCGUGACGGCUGUUGCUGUUGGCGCCCAUCAGGUCCCGGACGCGGUACGGCGGUAGCUCCCUCACCGGCGCGUCCAGCUGCGACUCAGCCCUCACCGGGAGGUAGCCCUUGUGGCAGAGCACCAGGUGGCCACGAAGUUGCGGAAGCAGGCGGCGCUGCCGGUGCGGGGGCACCAGCGUCGGCACGCCCAGCCGCCGCGCCACGCGCACGAGGGCCAGCAGGUGCGCGUCGGCGACCAGGCACGCGACCUGGUCCCUGGCGCCGGGAGCCUCCAGCACGGCGGCCAGGCGCUCCCAGAACGGCGCCUCGCAGGAGCUGUUGACGACGAAGAUGUGCUCCAUGGUGGCCGUCACCGUCUCCAGGGUGCCCGUGGGGAAGCCGUCGGGGACGGGCACAAAGUCGUAGGCCGGGUGGCGGGACGGGUCGGGUGCCGUCCGUCGCCGCCCUUUGCCGUCCGCGCGCUGCCUUGCUCCACCAUGGCCGCUCCGCUCGAAAGAAAGCGUGUGGAUAAGAUAGAAGAAAGGACUGCGGGUUGAAUACUCAGAAGUUGAGGGACUUUUCUAUAAAAGUGACAACGACGCGAUGGACGACUAAGUUCCAUAAGGUAGAUUCCUCUACCUUUCGCAUAGAAAAUUUAACAAAAGCUGAAUCAUUAAAAAAAAUUAUAAUUAAGCAAGAGAUAAUCUGAGGGGCGGUGCCUAUACGAUAUGCAGCUGCUCUUGGUUACAUAUUACACCGGUAUAAAAGAAGCUGAAAGCAACCAAAAUGGAACAGUAGAGAGAAAUGAAGCACCUUCUUCGAUCUGCUGCUGGAGUAGGUAGUAGUCGAGCUCGUCCAUCACAUCCUCUGAGUCAUAAAGCAGCUCUCUGAGAUCAUCCAGUGACUGGGCCAGAGGCUUGUUGUCGAUCCUCCUACCCUCAGAAGCAGCAAGAACCAUCUCCACGUACUUCAUCUCAAGUUUGAGUUUCUCCACAUCUUCAGCAAGCCCGAUUUCCCGAGUCCAGGCUACCAUCUGUUGAGUGAAGAGGCUCCCAAGGAUGCUUUGCACUCAAGAGGAAAGGAGAGGUAUAGCAAACUAAAAGGCAGGCUUUUCGGCAAAUGAAAAGAGUUGAACAAUGCACCAAAAAGCAGCUAACUUUACCAAGUAGCACUGCUAGGAUCCCUUCAACUGAUGCACAGGCCCCUCAUGGCAGCUCGAGACGGGGUCCGCACAGCUGUGGAACUACAUGGAAGCCCUUGCGUCAAGUAUUUGGUCCACGGCUGCAAAAAACUCCUCUUUACCGAUGAAUAUGACGAGCUUAUGGUGUUACAUGACAAGUAUCGUACUACUUAGAAAGUAUUUUCGUGGAAGCUGGCCAAGGAAGCAACAUAUUCAUAUGGUACAGAAUCGCAGAGACUUUUCUUACCCCCGCGUGCUGCGUACCAGCGAGAGGGUGAGCCGCACCAAGGCCAGGGGAGCCCCACGGGCAGGAUGAGGCCACGACAUGAGUCCUCCACCACUCGACGGGAUGCUGCGAUGGAGAUCGACGACGUUGAUGGCUGCGCCAAGGCCACCACCCCACCCGCGCGUGGACCCGGAGCAGAAUCUCCGGCGGGGCAUUUCCUCGAACACACCCAGGGCGCGGAAUUUCCUCGAACACGUCCGGGGCGCGGACGCGCUGAGUAUGUCUGAAGCGAUUUGAUUUUGCAAUGGACACCAGUAGCGGCGGCAGAGGAUGUCUAAAGCGAGGCCUGACGCUGGUGUUAUUACCUUGGCAACGACGUGCGGCGCUGCCCCCUGCGCGAUCUGACGGCCCGCACCGGCCUCCUCCUGCGCCCCUCCGCCCGCGCUGGCCUCCGACGCGGCUGCACCGUCGGCGGUGGCGGAUUCGGGGAAGGAGGGUUUGGCGGGAGGGCGGGGCAUCACCGGAGGCGACGGGGCCGCGACGGAGAAGAGCUCGAGCGGCGCGAUCCUGAGGCGGCCCGCGGCGCCCCGCCGGGUGUAGUCGGGAGUGUGGUGCAUCUCCGCGUCCGCGUCCGCGUCGUCGUCCGGCAGGGAGGGCUGGGCGGCCUCCGACGAGCCCGUGCAGCUGGCGACGUCCGGCAGGGAGGGCGGGGCGGCCUCCGAAGAGCCCGUGCAGCUGGCGACGUCCGGCAGGGAGGGCGGGGCGGCCUCCGAAGAGCCCGUGCAGCUGGCGACGUCCGGCAGGGAGGGCGGGGCGGCCUCCGAAGAGCCCGUGCAGCUGGCGACGUCCGGCAGGGAGGGCGGGGCGGCCUCCAACGAGCCCGUGCAGCUGGCGACGUUUUCUUCACUUAAAACGAACUACGGGUUGAUUAUCAGUAAACGCAGGGGGUUUUCUGUAAAAGUGCAUGACGCACGACAGAAGCAUUAGCUCCUUUAUUAUUAGAAAAAGAUAAGUAAUGUAGCAUUGUUUAAGUAAAGGGAUAACAUCGUAACAUGAUUGUCACCAACCACCUGCAUUAUGAUUGACACUGUCAAGGACGCUUUCGGCUUGAGGGGAUCCAGGUCACAGAACCGUCGGAUUGCCAGAUCCGGAAUUUUCAUACUAUUACGACUGUAGGAUCAUAUGUCACCUUCAUUGGGUAUCAUGAAGUGGACGUGUCAAGCUAUCUCUGGUAAUAUGAGCGUGUCUAUGCACAGAGCAAAACGAACGCGUAGCUUGUUAGGUUUGUGCCGCGUUUUUCUCUUGCCGCAUAUACGGUCUAGAAUAUUCUAUGAUCGAACUAAUCAAAAUUCAAAAGCGGUUGCUAAUAAUUUCGAUCAAACACAUGUGCUCCGUUCCAUCAAGCAAUCCAGCCUCCCGUCGUCCUUCUCCUCUCUCGUAUUGCAUUCACCAGCUGUGACGUCAACCUCAGCAACAACAACGAUGCUAAAUAAAAAAAAAAAAGAUGACUACAGCGCCGACACAUGCAUUGUCGCACCCGCGCCGACGAGCGCGCACAACUCCCAAAGCCAUCACCAAUCGUUGCAUCGCAGCAUGAGGAGCCGUCGGGGCUGCUCGAUAGCAACACCGAGCUCGUCACCACGUCAAACUUCAUUGCAGCUCCGACAAAAGCUUCAUUGCAGCUCCGACGGAGUCCAUUCUAUCCUCACCGCAACUUCACCGACUCCGAUGACGUUCCAUUGCAGCUCACCGCGGCAAAAACCAUCCUGGAUUUAAGCCGGUAGCACCGGCGAGCGUAGUACCGUAGCACGGGUGCGCCCUGCGGGGUCGCUCCCCGACCUGUCUUGCAACACCAACGAGCGUUGCAUCAUAGCUUCGACGCACCAACAAAAAGCGUUGCAUAGUAGCACCACGACAAUAGCCAUCCUAGCUUCACACCGGUAGCACCGGAGAGUGUUGCGCAAUGCCGAUGCGUGAUGUGGCGUCGCUCCACCUCUGGCUUGUACCGCCGGCGAGUGUUGCAUCAAAGCCAUUGGGCUGCGUGAUGAGCGUUGCAUGACAGGAGCGGCUAAACAAAAAACGGCCAUCGGCUGUGCAAGGGAUUGGGAAUCACAAUGUUUGGGUGCGCCAGCUUGCUUGAAGAACGCAUCCAUGGCGGGGAUCCAACAUGAGGAAGAAAGCGAUAAAGAAAGAAGCAGGGGGUUUUGUUCGGGGAAAGGGAAAAAAUGAAGGGCAUGCGUAAGGAACGAGGGGCGGUGGGUGGGCCUCCACGUGACACGUGGUGUGCGUACGAGAAGGUUUGCACAAGACGAGAAUCAUCCGACUUCAAUAAACGUUUUCCAAUUCAAAACCUUAAAACACCAGCAAUUUCCCUUUCUUUUAGGGAGACUUUUGUACUAUGUUGAAAUAUGAGGUGCCUUUUAGGCUCAUCCAAUAUUUUUUGAAAAAUAUUAAGGGACCGUGUGGAUUAUGUGACUAGGUGGUGGGAAUUUUAGUACCACCCUAGAUUUGAAGGAGUUGAACCUCUUUGUAAGGGUUCCUCUUCUAUAUGCUAUUGGAUCUUGAGAAAAGAAUUGGUUCCCGCGCGCUCCUCCUCAGUCCCGCGCGCAUCGUGUUCCGUCAAUGAGCCGAUCCGAGCUCAGAACCAUGAAUGAGCCUAUCCAAUCUUAGAACCAUGUCACUCAUGCGCAUAUGCUUAAUGUUGCCCGUCACAAACGGGGAGUUCUUAGCAUAUGAUUCACGAUCUGAGACAUCAAAUAAUGGGCUAUUGUCGACUCAUACGUUGGGUCCAACCACAUCCCUUCACCCAGCUGCACCUAUAUAUUGGAGGUGUCGGCCAACCCUAGUCGUGACCCCAUCCCGUCCACCGUGUGCAUGGUCCUACAAGAGAGUAGGCCUCCAAAACCCAUGUCCCUUGAGAUCAUGUACGCGACAGGGACAAUUAGGUCUGGGGGCUGAUACGUCUCCAACGCAUCUAUAAUUUUUUUAUUGUUCCAUUCUGAUAUAUUAUCAUUCUGGAAUACUUUUUGGGUAUUUAUUUACCAAUUUAUAUUAUUUUUGAGGACUAACCUAUUGACCCUCUGCCUAGUGCCAUUUGUUGUUUUCUGCAUGUUUUUCAUUUUCUAGAUUUUCAAUACCAAACGAAGUCCAAUUACCCUGAAACUUUUUUUAAGAUUUUUUCAGGACCAAAAGAAGACCAACGAGCACCGGAAGAAGACUGGAGGCCACCCGUGGGCCCCACAAGCCAACACGACCCGACCGGGGGCGCCGUGAUGGCUUGUGGGCCCCUCGACGCCCUCCUGACUCUGUUCUCUGGCUUAUAGAUUCUCAUAUAUCCUAAAAACCCUAGAGCCAGCCCCGAAACACUUCUUACACCACCACAAGUCUAUGUUCCGACGGGAGGCCAUUUGCAGCUCCGUUUCGGCACCCUGUCGAAGGGGGAUCGAUCACGGAGGGCCUCUUCAUCAACAUUGCUGGCCUCAUGAUGAUGUGUGAGUAGUUCACCACAGACCUACGGGUCCAUAGCUAGUACAUAUAUGUCAAUCUCUCUCUCUCUCUCUCUCUCUCUCUCUCUCUCUCUCUCUCUCUCUAAUACAAUGAUCAUCACAUCUUCGCUUUAAUCCACAUGAUGUAAUUCCUUUUGUGCGGUGCGUUUGUUGGGAUCCAAUGAAUUAUGGGUUUAUGUUCAGAUUAUUCAUGAUAGAUAUUUGAGUCUUCUUUAAAUACUAAUACGAUUCUUAUGUGCAUGUUUAUGAUAGCUUCGUAAUUCUCUCUCAUCUAUUGGAAUAGUUGGCCAACUAGAUUGAUAUUUGUUCGAUGAGAGAGGUGCUCGUAGUAGGUUCAACCUGAGGAAUUUCUAUAUCCCAGUGACAGAAGAGGACAAAAUGUGUCUUUGUGUUGCUGCUACUAAGAGUAAAACGACGGGGUUUAUUCAUAUUGCUUGAGUUUAUUUUGUCUACAUCAUGGCAUCGUUCUUCAUGCAUUACUAUGUUUUACUUAAUACUCUAGAUGCAUGUUGGAUAACGGUCGAUGAGUGGAGUAAUAGUAAUAGAUGCACGCAGGAGUCGGCCUAUUUGUUUAUGAACGUGAUACUUAUAUACACACUAUCAUUGCCGUGAGUAUCGUAUAACUAUCCGCUCUUCUAUCAAUUGUCCAAUGAUAAUUUGUUUACCCACCGUAUGCUGUUUUUCAUGAGAGAUGCCAUUAAGAAAAAUUAUGCCCCCAGGUCUAUUCAUAUAUUUACAAAACCUUUAAUACCUUGCUAUUAUUUACUUGUUUUUAUUUUAUUUUUUAAUUUACAAUUAUCUACACACCUCACUUGCUUGCGAAUAACAAGAUCAAGGGGAUUGACAACCCUUUUGCCCGUGUUGGGUGUAAGUUGUUUGUUCUUUCGUGUGCAGCCGUUGAAUACGAUUGUGGUUGCUAUUCUUAUUGGUUCGAUAAACCUUGUUUUCAUAACCGAAUGAAAUACUUAUCCACAUUGUGCUGUGAUAACCCAUUCUUUUUUAUGAAAAACCGAGCGCAGAUCACAAGUACCAGGAAGGAUUUCUGGCCCCAUUGCUGGGGAAUAUCAUUACCAACUACCAAGUAACUUCACACAAAUUUUCAUUCACUUGUUCCUCUUUUUAUUUUCUAGUAUAUCUAGUUUGUCUCAUAAAAAAUCAAAAGUACAAAAAUAUUUACCUUUACUUGCUUUGCUUGUCACUAGUUUGCAUCUUUACUAUCUAGUUUACUUGUCUAGCUAUGCUAUCUUUAUCUUUGUCACAUUAAAACAGAAAGUGAAAUGCAAAGAUUAAGAUAAAUGGAUCCUCACCCACUAGCCAAUUUUUUAAAAGACCCAUUUAUAUUGAAACAAUUGCUAGUGAGAGUGCACUAGAUUAUCUUUACGAGGUCUUGCUUGAAAAUCAUGAAUCCAAAAAUUGUGAAAUUUAUAAAGUGAUUCAUGAUAGUUUCUUGAAUGAAAAUCAUGAUUGUUAUAUUGUUGAAUUUGAAUAUGAUCCUACAUGUAAUCACUAUGAAAGAGGGAAAUAUGGUUAUAGAAAUUUUCAUGUUACUUACGUAACUCUCUUGAUAUUCAAAUUGUUAAUGCUUCAUUCUUCCUACUUGCUUAUGCUAGACACUUCUUGUGAUAAUAAAUUGUUUGUUUAUAAAAUGCCUAAGCAUAGAAAGUAUGUUAGACUUAAAUGUACUUGUCGCCCCAGCUGUGCCUCUUGCUGCAGCGGCUGAAAGCCAUCGUAGCAGCGCCUUCGUGAACGUGCACCGCGCCAUCUUGACCUCCCCUGCACGCGGACAACCGUCUGGUGCGCCACCACACGCUCCCACCGCUCCGGCGCGCGGAACACCAGCGCACGAGCACGCGAACAAGGGUCUCACCAUUUGUAAUCAUGUUCAUAACAAUUUGUUGCCAUUAAAUAGAAGAAAAGACACGGAGGUAAUUAUGUUCAUAACAAUACCAACCCACCUUUCCAUGAAUCCUAGUUUUAACAUAAUUGUUUGGAGGUAGUCCCAUUCAACUGUGUCAUAUGCCUUCAUCAUAUCUAAUUUAAGUGUUCAGUGUUGAUCUUUCUUUGCCUUAUUCCUCUUCAUAAAAUGAAGGCAUUCACAUACAGUUAUAUUAUUGUCAGUAAUUAACCUUUCUGGGAGGAAAGCAGACUGCUCGUCAAAAAUGAUCUCUGAGAGGACUAGCUUGAAACGGUUAGCAAUCACCUUGAAAGUAAUUUUAUAUAGGACAUUACACAAGCUUAUAAGACGGGCUGUGUCAAUGAUGUGGUUUUUUUUUACCUUAGGGAUCAAGACGAGUAAGACGUGUUAUUGAUGCAUUCUGUUGAUUCAGUCCCCUCAACAAUUCACAACACUGCAUUUAUGACUUCAUCGUCACAGACCUCCCAGUGUUACCGAAAGAAAUGAGAUGGGAGUCCAUCUGGCUGAAACACAACGUCCGGGCUGGGCUUUCACGCUGCUUUUCGAGCCGGGUUUGCAAGCAUAUGUUAAAAAACCAGGCCCAGCCCGGCCGACAUAUGAUCAAAGAGAUAAUGAAAUGAAACGAAAUCACUAAUUAACGAAUACUUCUUUCAAAGAUCACUCCAACCUCCUAGGUCGCGAUAAAUGACACAUUGUAUGUGUGUCACUUGUCGUAACCUGAAAAUUUUCUCUUUUCUCUUUUUUCGUAGAUUCUUUUUUUCAAAACAUGUUAUCUCCUAAACUGUGCGUUUAAAUCUCGAACCGUUUUCAUCAUUGAAUUUCCCGCGUCGAGAUCUUCAAAAUUAGAUCCUAUGUUGAUAGAUUUUGAAGAACUUUUCUUUCAAGAAAAAACCGAACAAAAAAAUCAUGCCUCCCGUGAGAGAAAAAAACAAAAUACACAUUUUUUCGUAUUUUUUCCUUUUCAAAAAACACGAGCAUGUCUAUCACAAAGGCAAAACCAUACCUCUCGUUGAAGCAAACCGUGCCACUUGCAAAAAAAAACGCGUUUUCCCAACAAAAAACAAAAAAUAAAUUUUUUUGUUUUCGAAAGGCAUGGCCGUGCCUAUCGCAGAGGCAAAACAUGCCUCACGAAAGCAAAAAACCAUGUUUCUCAUGAAAAAAAAGUGUGUUUUUGAAAAAAUCACAAAAAAUAAAAACUAAUCUAAAAAGCUAAAAACACGUGUAAAAAAAUAAAAAAAUUUGAAAAAGCGCUUAGAAUAUAACACGGACGGCGGCUGAAAACUCGCCAAGCGGGAGAGUGCUUUCUUAAAGGCUCCUUCCGGAGCGCUCGACUAGUGACUCGUAUAUGCCAAGAAGGUAGGUUUGCUGUUAAAUUAGUCUCAAUAAUUGCACCCCCAUCCAUCUAAUUUAAUAAUAGCACAUGACAUGGUACUCCCACUUUGCCAUCCACAUCAUCCAUCUACUUUAGAAUCUUGAUCGGCCCUUUGUAGAAAGAGCCACCAACCCAGCGUGGAUAAAACCAGCUUGAUCAGUAAGGUACAUGUCCCCCUCUCCCAUCUCACCAUGUCACUGACUAGGAUUGGCACAAACAUCAUAGUUCACCAAGGUCCCUGGGAAAAACGGCCUCCAGGAAAAGGAAUUUUUGUUACACAAAUCCUCCAACACUCCAUGCAAGUCUAUCACAUGCAUAGUGUAAUACUGGUACCGAUCGAGAAGAGCAGAUGAAAAAAAUUAAGUACACGUGGCGAUGUCUCUGGCUGCUACGGCGGUCGGCCACGGCCAGAAGAGAACUCAGAAGGUGGCCUUCUUGAGCGAGGUGAUGGUGACCGACGACCCGAGCGGCGAGGACCCGACCUGCACGUCGAAGGAGUCGUAGCGGAGGAAGAUCUCGGCGACGAGGAGGCGCGCGAUGAGCACCACGAAGUCCUUGCCGGCGCACUGCUUGUCCUGCAGCGUCGGCGUCGCCGACUCUGGCCCGUUGGACCACACGACGUACCGGAGCAGCCGCUCGCCGUCCUCGCCCAUGAACCUGUCGGGGACGUACUCCUCGGCGCGCUGGAACACCCGCGGGUCCUUGGUCGCCAUGGGCUGGUACCCGAACAUCAGCUCCCCCUCCCGCACCUCGUACCCGUAGUCGUGGCUCUCCACCACCAUGUCCUUCUUGGCGCGCCCGUACUGCAUCGCCACCGGCGGCUCGAUCCGCAGCGCCUCGUACACGGCCGACUUCACCAGCGGCAUCUCGGCGAGCGCCUGCAUGGUCACCUCGCCGCCGUUGGCGCGCACGGCGGCGCGCACCUCCGUCGCCAGGCGGCCGUGCACCCGGCCGCCUGCGCGGCCCAGCCACUUCACCAGCGACGGGAACAGGAUCUUCAUGCCGCCGAAGGAGUUGAAGCACAUGGCGAAGAGGAUGUUGUGCACCGCCUCCUCCCGCGCGAUGCCCAGCCGCUGGCCCUCGUCGAUAACCGCCUUGCCGGCGUCGCGGAAGAAGUCGGCCAGGCGGCCGUAGUCCUUCUUGACGAGCGCCGGCGGGAGGCGGAAGGUGUGGAGGAGGCCGUCCUCGACGAGGGUGGGCAGGCCGAGGUUGAGCAGCGGGCUGAUCUGGAACAGCACCCACUUGGUGAUCAGCUUGGGCCCUUGGUCGCGGAGCGGCGAGUCGACGGGGUCGCGGCCGAGGAGCGCCUGGCAGAGGAAGCCGAAGGCGGCGGCGUCGUUGUAGUUGCCGAAGUCGGCCUUGCCGACGCGCGCGAGGUCGGUCUCCAUGCGGCCGAAGAGGUCGCCGUAGACCUCGCGGAAGGUGGGGAUGACGUGCUGGCGGCGGUGGGUGAGGAGGUGGAAGAGGAGCGACUUGAGCGGCGCGUGGUUUGCCUCGGCGGGGUCGACGUAGGAGAGCACGCGGUAGCCGCCGGUGAGGUCGGUGGAGGGCAUGAAGGUGCCGGUGAAGAGGUCGGUCUUGUCGACGAGCGAGGUGUCGAAGAGGACCGGGAAGGAGGCGGCGUCGAGGAGCGCCACCACGCGGGGGUCCUUGGCCACGAAGGGGCCGGGGGGCAUGUUGAGGCGCACCACCGUGGAGCGGUGCGCGCGGACGCGGGCGGCGAAGAAGCCGUCGCGCCCGCCGGGCCCGUAGAAGUACUCGAGACGGUCCUUGAGCGCGCCCAGCACCGGCGGGCCGUGCUCGCCCGGCACCUUGCGCAGCGGCAGCCGCCGCUUCGGCGACAGCACCUCGUGCCGGUCCGUCGCGGAGGCGGACGCCCGCGUCUGCCGCCGUCUGGUGCCCGCGCUCGGCGCGGAGAAGGAGAGCUGGUGGACCGCCGUCGCCAUUUGCUGUGAUCCGUGCGAGAGCUACGGAGGGAAGGGAAGUGCUACAGCUCGAGUAGUUGAGCAAAGUCCACGGCGGCUGCUGGUGGUGGUGUGCCGUGUGCAGUGCCGGUACUCGUGGUAGUAUAAUGACUCGGUGCGUGUGUGGGGGCGGCUAUUUAAAAAGCGGCGUUGGAGACGGGCAGUGCGCCUUGACUGCGCGCGUGGUGGGAGUGGGAAACGUGGGCCUUUUCGGACGGUGCGCCGCUCGCGGGGUCACGGCCGGUGGUGUGUCUGAUCGCAGAGCAGCUUCCGCUCACCGACCCCGGCGCGGCCUCGUGCACUUGGAGAAUCGGUAAAAGGUGGCCACUAGUGGCACCAUCUCCGACCACAUUUGACUAAUUUGAUCUUUGAUAGAGUACGUUGUUAGAGUAACUUCAACGUGCCGAUCUAAAUUUGCCAGGCGGACACGAGCGUCCGCUUCUGUACAUGGAUCGGCUUGUUCGUCCAACGCUGAUCGAAUUCAUUUUUUAUCAACGAGAAAAAAACAUAAAAAAUAAUUUAGGACAGUAAAACUGAGCCUAAUCCCAGCCUUCUCACGUCCUUAGCAUUUCUGGCCGUCCGUUUAGCUGAUUUGAUCAUUUCUGGUCGUCAGAUAUGCUGUCCUAAGGGGCAGCUACUCCAGAAGAAAAAUCAAAGCUCACUAGUACACUGGGCCAGACAGCCCAACAUCUGGCCGAGUAUAGACAGCCCACGGUCGUUGCGCUGCCUCCCGUCUCCGUGAAAAAAAGUAUUGAGGAACAGAUUGGGCCAUUGGGGGCGGUCUACGCAGAGGAUGCGGACGGGUGCUCAAUACUGCCGGCUACGCGGGCGGUCUGCGAUGGGAUCCAGCCGACGCGCCGUGUUGAAUCGGUCCAGCUGAGGCAUGCGAGGGAACUAGCGUGAGGGGAUCCAGCAGAUGCGGGUGGCGGCGUCAACGAGGGGCUGAGGCCGUAUCUAUGGGAUUUGCGGCGGGAGGCGGCGCGUGCGAGGCUGGGCGAUUUAAUUUUAUUGUAGUUGCACCAGCCAAUGAGCGACUCCAUGGACAUCUUCGACGGGAGGACCAGAGGGGCGCCUGUAUAUGUUGUGCCUCUUCCGGCUGUCUUCAUUCCUCCUACCUCUGGCAUAUGUGCUUCAUGCCAGGUCAGCGGUAGCGGCAGGUGUACGAGAGGCGAGGGCGACAAGAAAGAGGCCAACGGCAACAGAGCACACCGUGCUCCUACCCCCCGCAGUGUGGGUUCUCUUAACACCAUCCCCUUCUCCUCGUUCAGGAGCUGCGCGUGCAACCCCUCAGAGACGGCACCUUCUAUGCGUCACAGACCCCUCUGUUUCUGCCUCAAACAUCCCCCAGUCGAAUGUUUCAUCUCUGUGCUUCGCUUCUGCAAAUCAAUCAAGCUUGCACGGGAUGACCCAGGUAUCGUCCUACUCCCAAAACCUGUUAGAUUUUCAAUCAUUAUCUAUUAGCCUAACUAGAUGUGUUCCUUUUGCUCGAAUUGAUAUUUAUGUUCAAAAUCCAAAAUCAUUAAUCUAUUUCUUUCUAACAUUUUUUUGGGGAACCAAGCAUAGUAUGAAAUCUUGCUUGUCCAUGUAUAAUCGGAUCUAAUGGUCAAUUAGAUUGAUUCCUUCGGUUGCUUACAAUUGCACUGUUUGUGGUUUGCAUGAUCUUGCUCGCAAGGUGUAAUUCAGCGGAGCUGCAGCCGGUGGAAGUCGACCAGUCAUCUUGGUCUAAGGGAAGUUGAUAUCAAUUGAUGUGUCUGCAAAAAAGGUAAAUAUAUCUAUUCAACAUUGCUUUGCUUUCAUUGAGAUAAAUUAAAUUUCUAGCCAAGCAAAGCAAUCAAAAACAAGAUGAUUAGUGUUAGUUUAAUUAGGCAAUACUAUAUAUAUAUUAUACAGUAAUAAAUGAUUACUCCAUUAAUUUGGUUCCACUUUAAAAGACCGACGCUAGCAAGGGCGUGUACAAUUUUAUUUGAAGAACCUUUCAAGUAUUAUUAGUGUGAAGAUCUUUUUAUUGGACCAAACUACAUGAUUGAUUUACUAACCAGCGAGCAGGUAAUACUAAUUUGGGUAAGGUUCUUUUAUGUGUUGCUUGCAUAUUCAAUAAAAUAAAAUAAAAUGGACAAGUCAACUUCUAAAAUAGUUGGGGUGUCCCUGGGGAAGCAGUACUUGCACCGCAUCCAGGAAAAUGUGGGUAUAUAUGAAAUCACGUGAACUUGCUGUCAUACGUUUCAAAAAGAUUAGAUGCUCUAAAAAUAUUCUAAGGCUUAUACUGAUUGUGUGGUUUGGUUGUGAACUUGCAUUUGGGCAACCACUUCUCAAAUUGGGAUCCUUAAAAUGGGUAAUUUUGCUAACUAGGAUUAUGUCUAAUUUUGUACAGAUUUUAGUUUUACCUGGCACUAAUUUCCCCACUGCAAAUUCAUCAUUUUUGGUAUCAAUUACACAUAAAUGUAUUUGGUGCAUUACCAUAUAAAAUUUAGUUUGCAAAGUAUUAGGUACAUUACCCAAACAUUUGUCCAACCAAGUUGCCUCUGAGAAUGAAAGAGGAAAAUAACAACAGUGUGCAGGAAGCCUAAAUGAAUUUAUGUCAUCGUAUUGUGAAACAUACUUUGUCGAGAAAAGGGGUUGAGAACACACUGUUUAUUGCUCACACAAAGCUGUCAAAUGUCUAAUAUUUGGGUGAUGGUGCGAACGGGGUCUUCUUGCAGGUUUUACUUCUAUCCCACAUAGUCAUAACUUGCCUAUUCACAAACCCCAGCUGCUGCAGAUGAUGCAUGUGUUUGCAAUAAAUAUGUUAACGAUAAACUGAACUAUUGAUUCAGUAACUCUAAUUUUGGUGCAACGAUCUUCAACAAGGAUGCAUUGACACUGAUUCCUUUUUGAGUUUCCGUAAGCAGUGCUUAAUUUGGAUUACGACAAGAGAUCAAUUCUUAAGGUUGUACUGAACCAGCACACUGUAUUUAUUACUGUGGCAGUACUAUAAUCUUUUUAUUAUGCUUUUUAAAGUAAAUUUUAAGUCUGUCUCUUCUCAUAAAAUUUGGGAAUCUAAGGCUCUUCAGUAGGUUUUUUACAAAAAAGGCUUUUCAGAAGCUACUACAUGAAUAUGGUUAGUUGCUCACAUCAUAUGCAUGCUUUUCUUUCUUUAACUUUCAAAUGCUUGUGAAUCAUGUGCAGAAGUAGUGUUACAUGUAACCCUGUAGGCGUUGAACUAGAUACCAAUCAAUUAGUGCUGUUAGGAAGAUAAUAUAGGUUUUGAUCUGUCCAGAGGUGAUGCAAUGCUUCUCUAUUCCCAUUUCAGUACAUAUUAACCUCCAGCACAUGCAUGGAUUUUUGCGCAUAUUGGCUACUUUAUAGCCGUAACUUCUUCUAGUUGAAUUACAUGUAAGUUGUGUCCUCUAUUUAAUAAGUUGUUUGUAUUUUGGCUUGUACAAAUGAUUUACGCAUCCUUGCAACGACUGUUGCAAGACAUGGAAGAAGAACAUAAAUCAAUCUAAGAUGAUUUCAGAAACCAAAGACGUAGUAUAUGUAUAUUACCUUUGAUUUUCAGGAAUAUAAGAAUAAUCAUGUGUGGUUUUCUUUCAAUGUGGAAAUUAUUACGACGAUCCUUCAUCAGAGAUGGACACAUGCAAGAUUUUAUUCUUAUAAAAAGCAUUUCUUGUUUCUAACUUAGAUUCGGCAAAUAUUUGAUUGGAGCUGAUUUGUGUACUACGGUACUCCCAAAAAUCGUAGCUUCCAUCCAGCGGCUUUGGCAGAGUUACGUUUCGUCAAUUCCUGGAUUUAUAGAUGUUGUUGCUUUUCGAAAAAAGGCUUGUUGCUCCUUGAUCAAGGUUAUUAACUUUUAGAUAUGUUCUCGUGUAUGUUCAUGGUAAUCCAGUGGUGAGUAACAAUUUAUUUUUGACCUUUCCAUUUGAAAGUAACAAUAAGAAUAACAUGUCCCAAAAUAGUGUUUUACCUCUUUUGCUUAGAGUACCUCAGGUCUAAGAAAAAACGGAAAUUUUCCUAUUUCAAUAGUUUAUGUUCAGUUAUGCUUACCUUCCAUAUCUUUGUUUAUUUAUAGAAAUACCAUUAAAUACAAUGUCAAAAUAGCUGGGCGCAGCAACGCGCGCCAAUCAUGAUCUAGUUAAGCAUUAAAAGCCGGCCACGAAGGACGGUGGUAGUCCACGCGUUGCGUCCGCAUUACAUUAAAUUAAAAUAAAAAAACUAAAAUUGCGUCCAUGCAGUCCUAGGCGUCGUCGUCUAGCACGCUCCUCCUCCUCCGCCUCCCGUCGCUCCUCCUCCUCCUUCUCCAGCUCCAUGAGCCGCAGGCCUUCGGCGCGCUUCGCGUGCAGGUGCACCGACCUCCAGUGCUCGAGGUAGGUCAGCUCCUACAACGGGGGUCGCGCCGAGCCAGAUGGGCGGCGCGCUAACGAACUCCUCGACGAUGCCGGUCCACUAGUAGACCUGCCGUGGCAGCGCGGGCUCGGGCUUGGGCUUCGGCGGAGGUGGUAUGACGCAGUCGCCGGCGGCCGACAGUGCCAUGGCCUCCGCGAGCUGCCGCUGGUACGCCUCCUCCUCUUCCGCGACGCGUCGAGCUUCUUCCUCGAUGUCGCGGAGGACACCAGCGAGCGCCGCCUGGUAGGCGACCUCAACCUCCGGGUCCUCGUCGCUGAUGACAGGCGGGGGCGACGGUGGGCCUCCUGGCUGCACUUGGCUCUGCUCCUCGUGCUCCACCGCGAACCACACCUCCCAGUUAGGGGAGUCGGUCGCGUAUGUGGGGUCUCGCCGCCGCUUAGUCACCUCCUCCAGAUGCACCCGCGUCGACCGCGGCACAGCCGACACCGGAAUCCUCUCCGGAUUCAGGUGCCAGCCAUGCGGCAGCGUGACAUCCGGGUAAGGGAGUGCGAUGCGGUGCUCCGAGUGCCAUCGCGCUUGGUGCACCGGGACGCUCACGCGCUGGCGAGGCCGGGAAAACGAUGGCGGGGAGUUGGCGCGGGGGNNNNNNNNNNNNNNNNNNNNNNNNNNNNNNNNNNNNNNNNNNNNNNNNNCGGGGCCUUGCCCUUGUUUGGGAAGCCGUCGACCAUGGUGGGCUAAGGUUUCGGUAGCCAGGAGGUGGCGAGAUGGGGACGAGGACGGGUUCUGGAAGUGGCUGGCGGAACCCACCGCAUGCUUGGAAUAAAAAAGGCCGGCCACGGUCGCCGACGCGUGGGACCGAGGAUGGAGGUUGUCAUAAAUUAUGUUGACCGCGGUGGUUGGGGGCGGACACCGAGGGGGCGCGCGCGUCCCUUCGCGUUCGCGCCGACGCAUUUCAGUCCCAAAUUUGGGCUGGAAAUGGGUCGGCGCGUUGGGCCAUCUUUUUUGCUUGCGCUGACCCAAACGGACGACGGCGGACGAAAUGGGUCGCCCCGUUGGAGUUGCUCUUAGAGCAUGAGCCACAUGUCUCAAAUGACCCCUUCUACGCAUGCAGACGCGUCCGGUUAGUGAUCGAACAGGAAAAAAACAAAUUCAAUACGUUUGGUCUGUUCGCGAACCUUCGUUUUCAUCUCAAAUAUAGAACAGAUAUGAGGGCUCGCACACGCGUCCAGACGUGCCCGAUCAGUCUGCCUCAUAGGACGCGGACCCAUCCGUGACCACUUUUCUUCUUUAUUCAUUCUUUUCUUUCUCUCUCUUCCUCUCCGCCAAUCACGUGCAAGUGACCGGAGAAAACGUGAAAUGUGGUUGCGAGUGGCGAAGCUAGAAACUAAAUAUAAAGAGGGUCAAAACAUGUCAUAUAAUGUUAGAGGGGCCAAAUCACCUAAACCUAGCUAAUUUUGUUUGACAAAUGGAAGAUUAAGAGUACAUAUAGGUGUAUUUGUGAGAGCAUAGGGGCCCAAGGCCCCUGCCAGCAUCCCCUGCCUCCGCCACUGAUGGUUGCGCGGACGAACAAAUAGAGGACACACCCGUUCACUAACCGGGCGCAUCUGCAGACGUUUAGGGAGUCAUAUUUACAAUGUUCGGUUGUAAAUGUUCUUAAAGCAUCUUUUAACUCUCACCCGUAAGUUUUAACUCUCACCCAUAAGUUUUCUCCGUACAUGAAGGUGAACGUACAUUUUAAACACUCAACCAAACCAGACGCAAUUCAUACAAACAUGAUUAUCAGAGUUCUAAACCUUUAUAAAGGACCGAAGGACACGCCCCUUAUUCCCAAACCAAUCUAAUAUCAAGUCUCUUUUGUUUGUCACCUCCUUCAAAAAGUAAUAGUUGUUGAGCACAAGCGUGGUCAUGAACUAUGAGUCUUCAUCAACCACCAACCGCAUCAUCCAUUUCCCCAAUCUUUAUGAACUAGUGCAUGUUGGAUGGGAGGACUUGAGGAAGCUGAGCCUUAAUGAUGAACCUCGUCCGGAGGAGGCAACCGACGACGAGGUGAAGGUGUUCUAGAUCAAGGAGGAAGAACUCGCACAAGAAGGAGACGAUGAAUCCAUUCCACAUGAGUAUCCUUCGAACCCUUAUCAGUUCAAAAUCCAAGGAUCUAUUCCGUUAUUUACUCUUGAGCCUCCCCAAAAGGAAUGGGAAAAGGAAUCACCUACCCUCGAAGUAGAAAAAGGAAAAGAUCAAGGAUUUGGAGCAAGUUUCUAAGACUUCUCUGAACACCAUUGUAGAAGGUAUUGAUUUUUUAUUGGUUGACGAGCAAAGACCAAGAGGCAAGGGUCGAUGGUCUAUUACAUAAGACUCGACUCAUGGCUAACACCGUUAAUCAAAAUGUUGCACAACUUACGUCUUUGACCCAGGUUGUAGAUCAUGAGCAAGUUGUGAUUGGGGAGAUGACAUAGCCCUUCAAGAACAUCUUCACCACCUGCAGGGAUACCCAGGAGUGCAUCAAGUGCUAAGUGUCAUAGGGUAAGUCCUCCAAAGUUCAUAUUUGGUUUUCAUACAUGGAUACUAUCUCGGUUUUCAUGGCCUCUAGCCAUUUGUUGGAAUCCGGACCCAUCAUCGCUUUCUCAUAGUUCAAAGGUUCUUCGUUGUCUAAAAACACGACUUUCAAGACAACAUUACUGUACCGCUCACGGGUAGUACGUAUCCUUGUCGACCUAUAAAGUUCGGUAGGAUUUUGAUCUGAAGUUUCGUGAUCAUAAUCAUUAACUUCCUUUCGCAUCACAAAAUCAUUUUUCUGUGUUGCAUGAUGCUUACUACACAACUUUAUUCUUGUAAACGUUGUUGGGCCUCCAAGUGCAGAGCUUUGUAAGACAAUAGCAAACUUCCCUUAAGUGGACGACCUAAGGUUUAUCAAUCCAUGGGAGGUCUAGGAUCCAGAUGGUCUCUCUCAAGCAACCCUAAAAAUCAAAUACAACAAAUCUUUUAUGUCCCCAACACACCCAAUACAAUGUCAAAUUGUAUAAAUGCACUAGUUCGGCGAAGAGAUGGUGAUACAAGAGUAGUAUGGAUAAUAGAAAUAGAUUUUCACAACCGAAUAAAUAAAAACAACGAGGUAACAAGUAGUAAACACAGAGCAAAAGGGUAUAUUAAUGCUUGCAAAUAAGGCCCUGGGUUAAUAAUUUCACUAGUGCAAUCUCUCAACAAUGCUAACAUAGUAGAAUCAUAUGGUCAUCCCUCAACAUGCAACAAAGAAUCACUCCAAAGUUCCUAUUAGCACAGAACAUAAUAAUAAGUUGUUGUAGGCAGCUAACCACCUCAAAGUUAUUCUUUCUGAUCAAUCUUUUGGGCUAUUCCUAUAGGUCUCAUAAACAACCCUAGAGUUCAUAGUAAAAUAACACAUAUGAUACAUAUCAAUCAACCCUAAUGUCACCUAGAUACUCCAAUUUCACCUCUAGUAUCCGUGGGUUAAUUAUUUGACAUGCCUCAAACAAUUUCAGAUUCAUCAUAUUCAAUCCGGCAUAAAGAAGUUCAAAUAGUACCCCAAGAUUUCUAUCGAAGAAAGUAGGAUGAAAACGUGCAAUCACCCCCUAUGUAUAGAUCCCCAAGGUCACUAGAAUCCGCAAGUUGACGCCAUAACAUAUAUCGAGUGAAUUAAUGGAAUACCCCAUUGUCACUACGGGUAUCCACAUGCAAGACAUACAUCAAGUGUUCUCAAGCCCAAAAUAUUCGAUUCAACAUAAAGGGAUCUCAAAGAGAAAGAUUCUAUUCAUCACAACAAGAUAGCAAGGGAAGAACACCAUAUGAUCCAACUAUAUAUAUUAACAAAGCUUGUGAUACAUCAAGAUCAUGCCAUCUCAAGAACACAAGAGAGAGAGAGAGAGAUUAAACACGUAGCUACUGGUAAAUACCCUCAGCCACGAGGGUGAACUACCCCCUCCUCGUCGUGGCCUCCACCGAGAUGAUGAAGAUGGCCACCGAUGAUGAUUUCCCCUCUCCGGCAGGGUACUGGAAAGGCUCCAGAUGUGUUUUUAUUUGAUACAGAGAGUUGCAGUGGCGUAGAAGAAGUUGUCUCCUAAUUUCUGAGGGUUUUUAUAAAUAUAGGAUUUUUCAGCAUUGGAAACAUGCCAAACGGAGCCACAUGGGCCCCACCACACAACAAGGCGCGACUAGGGGGUGGCCGUGCCGUGUUGCCUCGUGGCCCACACGUGGCUCCCCUCUGGUGAUUCUUCACUCCAAUAUUUCUCAUAUGUUCUAGAAAAAAUGAUCAAGAAGUUUUGAGCGAUUCUAAGAACUUUCAUUUUCUACACAAGAAACAACACCAUGGUAAUUGUGUUGUAAACAACGUCAAUCCGGGUCAGUUCUAAUUAAAUCAUUUAAAGUGCAAAAAAACCAUAUAAAAGUAUUGUAAACAUAGGCAAACAUGGAAAGAAUACUUCAUAAAUCAUCGAUACAUUGGAGACGUAUCAAUGCGCUACUCUCCAAUUCAAGAGAUGGUUCGAUAACCUAAUCAAGUUCUACCUUCCCCCCGCUCACUUCUUUUGAGGGAAACUCCUUCUCUAGAAAGGAUCCAUUCUUGGCAACAAAAUUUCUUCACUUCGGAUAUGUGAUAUAAGGUAUACCCAAUUGUCACUUUCGGGUAUCAUAUUAGGACGCACUUCUCUGCUUUGGCUUCGAGAUUAUCAGGCUAAAGCCUCUUGACAUAUAUGUCGCAUCCCCAAACUGUAAGACACGACGACUUGGGUUUCUUGCCAAACCAUGAUUCAUACGAUGACGUCUCAAUGAAUUUAGAUGGUGCCCUAUUUAAAGUGAAUGUGGUUUUAUCUAAUGCAUAACCCCAAAAGAUAGUGGAAAAUUGGAAAGAGACAACAUAGAACACACCAUAUCUAGUAGAGUACGAUUACGAUGCUUGGACACACCAUUACGAUGUGGUGUUCUAGGUGGCGUCAGUUAUGAAACAAUUACACAUUUUCUUCAAUUCAUACCAAACUCGUAACUCAUAUAUUCACCACCAUGAUUAGAUCAUAGAAAUCUUACUUCUUGUUACGAUAUUUUUUUUACUUCACUCUAAAACUCUUUGAACUUUACAAAUAUUUCACACUUGUGUUUCAUCAAGUAAAUAUACCCAUAUCUACUUAAGUUAUUUGUGAAGGUCAGAAAAUAACGAUAUUCACUGCAUGCUUCAACGCUCAUCGGAUCGCAUAUAUUGGUAUAUAUUAUUUACAAUAAUUCGCUUGCCCGCUCAUUGUAUCGGAUGAUGCAUGGUUCACACGUUUCAAUCGAUUCAAAAUUGAGUGAUUCCAGAAGUCCAUCGGCAUGGAGUUUCCUCAUGCGCUUUACAUCAAUAUGACCCAAGCAAUGAUGCCACAAGUAUGCGGUAUUAUCAUUAUUUAUUUUUCUUAUUUUGGCAUCAAUAAUAUGAACAUGUGUAUUACUAUUAUCGAGGUUCAAUAACAAUAAACCAUUCACCAUGGAAGCAUGACCAUAAAAGAUAUUAUCAUAUAAAUAGAACAACCAUUAUUUUUGGAUUUCAAUGCAUACCAUCUCGCAAUAAAAAAAGAUCCAAAUAUAAUGGUCAUGCUUAGCGCAGACACAAAAUAACAAGUAUUAAGGUUUAAAAUUAAUCCCGAAAGUAGACGUAGAGGGAGAGUGCCGACGACGAUCACAUGAACCUUUGAGCCAUUUCCAACGGGCCUCGUCACCUUGGCCUUAGCUAGUCUUUGUUUAUUUUGUAGCUCCUAUUUUGAGUUAAAAUAUUAACAGUUGAACCAGUAUCAAAUACCCAGGGGCUACUACAAGUAGUAGUAAGGUACAUAUCAAUAACAUGUAUAUCAAACAUAUCAUUGUUGGCAUUGCCACCCUUCUUACCUGCCAAAUACUUGGGGAUUUCCACCUCGAGUGGCCAUUCCCCUUGCAAUAUAAACUGAUGGUCUUCUUGACCAUCAACACUUGAUGCUCUUUCUUGAUUUCUACUUCCGUGGUCUUAAGCAUCGCAAAAAUCUCACAGAAUGUCUUGUUCAUCACUUGAAUAUUAUAGUUCAUCACAAAGCCCUUGUAGCUUGGUGGAGGUGACUCAAGAACUCUCUCAACCAAAACUUCCCAAGUAAUGUUUUGUCCUAACUGAUUUAAGAAGAUUGUGUAUUGAUACGUAUCCAACAUAUCUAUAACUUUUUAUUGUUACAUGAUGUUAUAUUAUAAUUCGUGGAUGUUUUAUGAUCAUUUUACAACAACUUUAUAUCAAUUUUUGGGACUAACCUAUUGACAUAGUGCCUAGUGCUAGUUGCUGCUUUUUGCUGUUUCUUUCUUCGCAGAAAAUCAAUAUAAGAUGAAGUCCAAAUGACACAAAACUUUAUGGAGAUUUUUUUGGACUAGAAGGAAACUUGUGAGCCAAGAGGGAGCACGAGAGGAGGCCCACACGACCCACUAGACACCAGGGCACGCCCAGGGUCCCUCGCGUGGCCUUGUGCCUAAUGAGGCCCUCGGGCGUCUCCUCCACCGCCUGUGAGCUCUAGAAAUACCCCAAUAUUCAAAAAAUCCUAGAGGAGUCGACGAAAAAUCGUUUCAGACGCCGCAAGUUCGAGAAGCCACGAAAUCCAAUCUAGAGCUCAUUCCGGAGAGGAACACGAUCACGGAGGGGUUCAUCAUCCUCAUUGGUGCUCCUUCGAUGAUGCGUGAGUAGUUCAUAUCAGACAUACAAGUCCAUAGGAAAUAGCUAGAUGGCUUUCUAUCUCGUUUUGUUUCUCAAUACAACGGUCUCUUGGAGAUCCAUAUGAUGUAACUCUUUCUUUUGUGGUGUGUUUGUUCGGAUCCGAUGAAUUGUGAGUUUAUGAUCAGAUCUAUGAAAUCAUAUUCAUGCUUGAUUAUUAUAGCCUCGUAUUUCUUCUCCGACAUUUGGUUUUUGUCUGGCCAACUUGAUCUUUUAUCUUGCAAUGGGAAGAGGUGCUUUGCGAUGGGUUCGAUCUUGAGGUGCUCAAUCUUAGUGACAGAAAGAGACGUGACACGCAUGUAUCGUUGCUAUAAAGGAUAAAACAGUGGGGUCUAUUCCUACAUGAAUAGAUCUUGUCUACAUCAUGUCAUCGUUCUUAAGGCAUUACUCCAUUUCUCCAUGAACUCAAUACAUUAUAUGCAUGCUGGAUAGCGGUCGAUGUGUGAUGUAAUAGAAGUAGAUGCAGGCGAAGUCGGUCUAAUUAUCUUGGAUGUGAUGCCUAUAUACCUGAUCAUUGUCUUGAAUAUCUUCAUAAUUAUUUUCUCUUCUAUCAAUUUCCCAACAGUAGUUUGUCUACCCACCGUUUGUUAUUUUCUCGAAAGAAGCCACUAGUGAAACCUACGACCCGCGGGUCUACUUCACAUCAUCCAUUUGCAAUAUCUACUUUGCUAUUCACGUUUCUAUUUUAUCUGCUCUUUUAUUUUCAGAUCUAUAUUAUCAAAAAACCCCAAAAUACCUUGCUGCGUUUUAUUUGCUAUCACUCUUAUUUGCAUCUAUCAGUCUAUCCUUACUUUACCCACGAGGAAUUGACAAACCCUCCACGCAUUGGGUUGCGAGGAUUUGCUAUUUGUGUGCAGGUGCCGCUUACAUAGUCUUGUGGAUCUUCCUACUCGACCGAUACCUUGGUUUCAUAACUAAGGGAAAUACUUGUUGUCAUUGUGCUAGAUCGCUCAUUAAUCUUGGAGGGAAACCAACACAAUUAGCGACGAGUUAAGAUUUCUGGCGCCGUUGCCGGGGAAGAUCAAGUCAAGAUCUAUGGGUUCUUAUCCACAAAUUCAUCUCCUUGCAAUUAUAUUAUUUUCCAUUUGCCUCUUGUUUUCGUCUCCCCUACUUCACAAAAAAUGACUUUUAUUUUCCUUCUUUCCGUUUGCCGUUUUCUGUCCGGAUCUCUUGUUUGCUUGUGUUCUUGUUGUCAUCAUCAUGAGUUACUUUGGUAUGACAUAAAUAGAUGAUGGCGGUGUUGGGAAACGUCGCAUGGGAAACAAAAAAAAUUCCUACGCACACGAAGACCUAUCAUGGUGAUGAUCAUCUACGAGGGGGAGAUCGGAUCCACAUACCCUUGUAAAUCACUAAGCGGGAAGUGUUAAGAAACGCGGUUGAUGUAGUGGAACGUCUUCGCGAUCCAGAUCACCGCCGUCCCACGAUCCGUCCCGAUCUAGCACCGAACGGACGGCACCUCUGUGUUCAGAACACGUACAACUUGAUGACGAUCUCCGCCUUGUUGAUCCAGCAAGAGAGACGAAGAGGUAGCUGAAUUCUCCGGCAGCACGAUGGCGUGGCAAUGAUGAUGGUGGAUCUACUCCAGCAGGGCUUCGCCGUGUCGUACCGAUAUAGCUACGAGGUGUCACGAAGUAGUGGAGGGAGAGAGGUUUGCACAAAGGCUUGAGGUGCAAAACCCCUCUCAAAUCUCCACUAUAUAUAGGAGGAACAAGAGGGAGGGUGCCUUGCCUCCUACUCCAACUAGGAGGGAUCGGCCGAGCCAAGGAGGAAGGUCUCCUCCUCCAAUUCGGUUUGGUGGGGAAGUCCUUUCCUUCUGGUCCACCUCCUUCCUUUUUUUCUUUCUUAUUCCAUUAUUUUUGCCUUGGCCGAAAUAGGCUUAUUGGGCUAACUUCACCAGCCCACUAAGGGCUGGUGCGCCACCGAUCGGCCUAUUAGGUCCUCUCCCAGGUGGGUGGCCCCUCCCGGUAAAACCCCGGAACCCAUUCGUCACUCCCGAUAUUUAUCGAUAAUUCCCGAAAUCUUUCCGGAAGCCAAAUGCAACAAUCCUAUAUAUCAAUCUUCGUUUCUGGACCAUUCCGGAGACACUCGUGAUGUCAGGGAUCUCAACCGGGACUCCGAACAACAUUCGGUUACCAACAUCAAUAAUUCAACUAUACCGAAAACGUCACCGAACCUUAAGUGUGCAGACCCUGCGGGUUCGAGAACUAUGUACACAUGACCGAGACACUCUCCGGCCAAUAUCCAAUAGCAGGACCUGGACGUCCAUAUUGGAUCCUACAUAUUCUAUGAAGAUCUUAUCCGUUGAACCUCUAUGUCAAGGAUUCACAUAAUCCCGUAUGUCAUUCCCUUUGUCCUUCGGUAUGUUACUUGCCCGAGAUUCGAUCGUCGAUAUCGCCAUACCUAUUUCAAUAUCGUUACCGGCAAGUCUCUUUACUCAUUCCGUAAUACAAGAUCCCGUGGCUAACUCUCUAGUCACAUUGCUUGCAAGGCUUGUUUGUGAUGUUGUAUUACCAAGUGGGCCCCGAGAUACCUCUCCGUCACACGGAGUGACAAAUCCCAGUCUUGAUCCAUGCUAACUCAACAGACACCUUCGGAGAUGCCUGUAGAGUACCUUUACAAUCACCCAGUAAUGUUGCGACGUUUGAUACACACAAGGCAUUCCUCCGGUGUCAGUGAGUUACAUGAUCUCAUGGUCAUAGGAAUGUAUACUUGACAUGCAGAAAACAAUAGCAUCAAAAUGACACGAUCAUAUGCUACGUUUAUAGUUUGGGUCAUGUCCAUCACAUCAUUCUCCUAAUGAUGUGAUCCUGUCAUCAAGUGACAACACUUGUCUAUGGCUUGGAAACCAUAACCAUCCUUGUCCAAUAGGCUAGUGAACUAGAGGCUCACUAGGGACAUUGUUUUGUCUAUAUAUCCACACAUGCAUUUAUGUUUCUAUUCAAUACAAUUAUAGCAUGGAUAAUAAACGAUUAUCUUGAAAUAGGAAACAUAAUAAUAAAUAUUUUAUUAUUGCCUCUAGGGCAUAUUUCCAAUAGGCAGGACACCUAAAAUUGGACGUUGAUACGUCGCCAACAUAUCUAUAAUUUUUUAUGGUUUCAUGCUAUUAUCUUGUCAAACUUUGGAUGUUUUGUAUGCCUUUUAUAUCUUUUUUGGGACUAACUUAUUAACUCAGUGCCAAGUGCCAGUUCCUGUUUUUUUCCGUGUUUUUGACCCUUUUCAGAGGAGGAUUUUAAACGGAGUCCAAACGGAACGAAACUUCCAAAAAGAUUUUUUCCGAAACAGAAGACGAUCGGGGGACUUGAGAACCAAGGCAGGGGGCCACCAGGGACCCCACAAGCCCCCUAGCCGCGGCCAGGGGGCCCGCACCUCCCAGGCUUGUGGGCUCCUUGGGCCUCCUCUGCCCUAGGUCUUUCGCCUAUAUAUUACCAAAAAUUCCAGAAAAAAUUAGGAGAUCAUCGAAAGUACUUUUCCGCCGCCGCAAGCUUCUGUCUCCGCAAGAUCCCAUCUGGGGCACGUUCUGGUGCCCUGCCGGAGGGGGGAUUCGGAUACGGAGGUCUUCUUCAUCAACACCAUGACCUCUCCUAUGAUGCGUGAGUAGUUCACCAUAGACCUACGGGUCCAUAGCUAGUAACUAGAUGGCUUCUUCUCUCUCUUGGAUCUUCAAUACAAAGUUCUCCAUGAUCUUCAUGGAGAUCUAUCCGAUGUAACUUUCUUUUGCGGUGUGUUUGUCGAGACCCGAUGAAUUGUGGAUUUAUGAUCAGAUUAUCUAUGAAUCUUAUUUGAGUUUCUUCUGAUCUCUUAUAUGCAUGAUUUCAUAUCCUUGUAAUUCUCUUCGAGUUGUGGGUUUCGUUUGGCCAACUUGAUCUAUGAUUCUUGCAAUGGGAGAAGUGCUUGGUUUUGGGUUCAUACCGUGUGGUAACCUCACCCAGUGACAGAAGGGGUAGCGAGGCACGCAUCGUGUUGUUGCCAUCAAGGGUAAAAAGAUGGGGUUUUCCUCAUUGGUUUGAGAUUAUCCCUCUACAUCAUGUCAUCUUGCUUAAGGCGUUACUCUGUUCGUCAUGAACUCAAUACACUAGAUGCAUGCUGGAUAGCGGUUGAUGUGUGGAGUAAUAGUAGUAGAUGCAGAAAGUAUCGGUCUACUUGUCUCGGACGUGAUGCCUAUAUGUAUGAUCAUUGCCUUAGAUAUCGUCAUGACUUUGCGCGGUUCUAUCAAUUGCUCGAUAGUAAUUUGUUCACCCACCGUAAUAUCUGCUAUUUUGAGAGAAGCCUCUAGUGAACACUAUGGCCACCGGGUCUACUUCACACCAUAUUUUCAGCCUUACUCUUUUAGUUCGUUGCACUUUCCGCCUUCAGAUCUCACUUUGCAAUCAAUCUUGAUGGGAUUGACAACCCAUUCAUAGCGUUGGGUGCAAGCUCUUUUGUGUUUGCGCAGGUACUCUGGACUUGACGAGAUUCUCCUACUGGAUUGAUACCUUGGUUCUCAAACUGAGGGAAAUACUUACUGCUCCUGUGCUGCAUCACCCUUUCCUCUUCAAGGGAAAAACCAACGCAAGCAAACUUCCGCGUAGCUCCUGUGCUGCAUCACCCUUUCCUCUUCAAGGGAAAAACCAACGCAAGCAAGUCUCCGUCAACAUGUCAAUUUCUGGCACUUUUGUUUGAGAAGUAGCAGAAGGAUUUCUAGCGCCGUUGCCGGGGAGGAUCAAGUCAAGAACUCAUCCAAGUAAGUGUCGCAAACUCAUCUCUUGCAUUUACUUUUUUGCCUCUCGAUUUCCUCUCCCCCACUUCUGAAAAACAAAAGUUUACAAAAAAAUAUUUGCCCUUUUCUUCGUUUGCCUUUUUCGUUCGCCGUUUUCUCUCGCUUGUUCUUUGUUCGCUUGUGUGCUUGCUUGCUUGCUGAAGUCACCAUGACUGAAAACACCAAACUUUGUGACUUUUCAAAUACUAAUAAUAAUGAUUUUAUUAGUACUCCGAUUGCUCCCGCCACUAGUGCGGAGUCGUACGAAAUCAAUGCCGCUUUGCUGAAUCUUGUUAUGAAAGAGCAAUUCUCUAGCCUUCCUAGUGAAGAUGUUGCAUCCCAUCUUAAUACCUUCAUUGAGCUUUGCGAUAUGCAAAAGAAGAAAGAUGUGGAUAAUGAUGUGAUUAAAUUGAAGCUUUUUCCUUUCUCGUUGCGAGAUCGAGCAAAAACUUGGUUUUCGUCUUUGCCCAAAAAUAGUAUUGAUUCUUGGAAUAUGUGCAAAGAUGCUUAUAUAUCCAAGUAUUUUCCGCCGGCUAAGAAUAUCUCUCUCCGUAAUGAUAUCAUGAAUUUUAAGCAACUUGAUCAUGAACAUGUUGCACAAUCUUGGGAGAGGAUGAAAUUGAUGAUUAGAAAUUUUCCCGCUCAUGGCUUGAGUCAUUGGAUGAUUAUACAAAUCUUCUACGCUGGCUUGAAUUUCGCUUCUAGAAAUAUCUUGGACUCCGCCUCCGGUGGAACGUUCAUGGAAAUCACGUUAGGAGAAGCCACAAAACUCCUAGCGAAUAUCAUGACGAACUACUCUCAGUGGCACACUGAAAGGUCACCUACUAGUAAGAAGUUACACGCUAUAGAAGAAAUUAACUCGUUAAGUGCUAAGAUGGAUGAGUUAAUGAAUUUGUUUGCUAGUAGAAGUGCUCCUUUAGAUCCUAAUGAUAUGCCAUUGUCUUCCCUGAUUGAGAGUAGCAACGCUAGCUUGGACGUUAAUUUUGUUGGUAGGAAUACUUUUGGCAACAACAAUGCUUUUAGAGGAAACUAUGUUCCUAGGCCUUUUCCUAGUAACUCCUCUAAUAACUUUGGCAACUCCCACAACAAUACUCAUGGAAAUUACAAUAGAUUACCCUUUGAUCUAGAGAGUAAUAUCAAAGAGUUUAUCAAUUCACAAAAGAUUUUCAAUGCGUCCAUAGAGGAAAAACUACUUAAAAUUGAUGAUUUGGCUAGGAGCGUUGAUAGAAUGUCUAGAUUGAUGCUUUGAAAGUUAGAUGUGCUCCUCCCAAGAUCAAUAUGGAUGAAACUUUGAAAGCUAUGCGUGUUUCCAUGAGUGAGAGCAAAGAAAGAACCGCCCAAAUUCGUGCUAGACAUGAAUGGCUUAAAGGCGUGUUCUCGUGAUAAGAAUCACGAAGAUCUUAAAGUGCUUGGUGUGACUCCCAUUGAAUCUUUGUUUUGUUGUGUCAAACCUAAUGAUGAUGGGGCUGGAUAUGAAUCCACUUUGGUUGAAAAAUGCCCCAAUGAUUCGGAGUCCAUCUAUCUUGAUGCUAAAAGCAUUGAAAGUGGAGUAGAAGAUAUUAAAACUUUGAGUAGUAAUGAAAUUACUACUUUUAAUUUCAAGGAAUUCAAUUAUGAUAGUUGCUCCUUGAUUGAAUGCAUUUCCUUGAUGCAAUCCAUGCUAAACUCUCCACACGCUUAUAGCCAAAACAAGGCCUUUACCGAUCAUAUCAUCGAAGCUAUGAUAAAAUCUCUUGAAGAGAAACUUGAAUUGGAAGUUUCUAUCCCUAGAAAGCUUCAUGAUGAGUGGGAACCUAUUAUCAAAAUCAAAAUCAAAAACUAUGAAUGCAAUGCCUUGUGUGAUUUGGGUGCUAGUGUUUCCGCGAUUCCAAAGUCUUUAUGUGAUGUUCAGGGUUUUAAUGAGAUUGAGGAGUGUUCUCUUAAUUUGCAUCUUGUGGAUUCUACUGUCAAGAAACCCAUGGUAAGGAUCAAUUAUGUUCUUAUUAUUUCAAAUAGGAACUAUGUAACCGUGGAUUUCAUUCUGCUUGACAUUGAUUGCAAUCCUACAUGCCCUAUCAUUCUUGGUAGACCUUUCCUAAGGACUAUCGGUGCUAUCACCGAUAUGAAGGAAGGGAAUAUUAGAUUUCAAUUUCAUUUAAGGAAGGGCAUGGAGCACUUUCCUAGAAAGAAAAUAAGAUUGCCUUAUGAAUCCAUGAUGAGGGCUACUUAUGGUUUGAGCACCAAAGACGACGAUACGUGAUUCUAUCGCUCAAUACCUGGCUAAGGACGUUAAACAAUAGCGCUUGUUGGGAGGCAAUCCAAUAAAUUUAUCUUUUUUCUUUAUGUUUUCUUGCGUCCUCACCAUCAUAAUUCUGUUAUCAUUGUGUAUUUUGUGUUUUUUGUGUGUUUGAGCCAAGCAAAACCUUUAUGACUAGUCUUGGUGAUGGUUGUUUGAUCCUGCUGGAAAAAGACAGAAACUUUUUGUUCACGAGAUUAUUUUUCAUUUUUAUUCAGAAAGAGCUUUUGAGUUGAUUCUUUUUGCUGCUUGUUGAUAUGCCUUUUUCCCACGCAGUAGUAAGUUUUCAAAAAAAUUGAGGUACCAGAAGUAUACGAAUUAUACAGAUUGAUAUAGACUGGUUUGUUUUUGACAUAUUCUGUUUUGUUGAGUUGGUUGCUUGUUUUGAUGAAACUAUGUAUAGUAUCGGGGGGUACUAGCCAUGGAAAGGUGAGAAUACAGUAAUCUAACACCAAUACAAAUAUAAAUCAUGAUUGAUAUAUUACCUAAAGAGGUGGUAAGUUGUUUUCUUGUGCUAAUGAUAUCACAAGUUUCUGUUUAAGUUUUGUGUUGUGAAGUUUUCAAGUUUUGGGUGAUGUUCUCAUGGACAAAGGGAUAAAGAGUCGAAAGAGCUCAAGCUUGGUGAUGCCCAAGGCAUCCCAAGCCAAAUUCAAGGACACCAAAAAGCCUAAGCUUGGGGAUGCCCCGGGAAGGCAUCCCCUCUUUCGUCUUCAAAUCCAUCGGUAACAUUACUUGGAGCUAUAUUUUUAUUCACCACAUGAUAUGUGUUUUGCUUGGAGCGUCUUGUAUCGUUGGAGUCUUUUCUUUUUGUUGUGUCACAAUCAUCCUUUCCGCACACCUUUUGAGAGAGACAUGCACUCAUCGUGAAUUGCUAGAAUGCUCAUCGUGCUUCACUUAUAUCUUUUGAGCUAGAUAAUUUUGCUGUAUGUGCUUCACUUAGAUCUUUUAGAGCACGGCGGUGCGUGACUUGGUAGUUGGCUUGUGCUAUGAAAGUAGUCCCAAAGGUGAUAGGUACCCAAAGAGGAUACAAAAACCUCCAUCUUCAUGUGCAUUGAGUAGAAAUAGAAGUCUUGAUUCCUCGCACUUAGUUUUGAGACAUGGAAUUGGUAAUAUUAAGAGUUAUGUUAGUAGGGUGUUGUGAAUCUAGAAAUAUGUGACAGCCCGAUGCCGACGUUCCAGAAGAUUCCCCUUUUCUUUCUGUUUCCGUCGUGUGUCUAUUUUUAUUUGUCGCGUCAUGAAUGCACAUAUGGUGAACCGCUAUGUUAGGAAGUCGUAGCAUAAUUGAUCUAUUGAUUGUCAUCCUUUGUGUUGAGGUCGGGAUCGCGUGAUGGUUAACACCUACAAACCCUUCCCCUAGGAGUAUGCGUUUAACACUUUGUUCCGAUUACUAAUAAAAACUUUCGCAACCAGUAUGUGAGUUCUUCAUGACUAAUGUGAGUCCAUGGUAUAGAUGCACUUUCACCUUCCACCAUUGCUAGCCUCUCUAGUGCCGCGCAACUUUAGCCGGUACACAAACCCACCAUAUGCCUUCCUCAAAACAGCCACCAUACCUACCUACUAUGGCAUUUUCAUAGCCAUUCCCAGAUAUAUUGCCAUGCAACUUCCACCGUUCCAUCUCGUGAUUUGUGCCAUCACUAUCAUAUUGCCUUUGCAUGAUCGUAAGAUAGCUAGCGAGAUGUUUCAACGUCGUACGCCAAGAUAGAUCGUUGUACAUCCCGGUACACUGCCGGAGGCAUUUUCUAUAGAGUCAUCAUCAUUCUGAGCUUUGAGCUGUGAGUAAAUAAAAGUGUGAUGAUCAUCAUUAUUAGAGCAUUGUUCCAUGUGAGGAAAUAAAAAAAAGAGGCCAAAGAGCCCAAAUAAAAAAAGAGAAAAAGAGAGGCCCAAGAGCCCAAAUAAAAAAAGGGAGAGAAAACGAGAGAAGGGACAAUGCUACUAUUUUUUUCCACACUUGUGCUUCAUAAUAGCACCAUGUUCUUCAUGAUUGAGAGCCUCUCGUUUCGUGAGCACCAUAUUCUAGUGGGAAUCUUUAUUAUAUAACUUGGCUUGUAUAUUCCAAUGAUGGGCUUCCUCAAAUUUCCCUAGGUCUUCGUGAGCAAGAAAGUUGGAUGCACACCACUAGUUCUCCUUUUGAGCUUUCACAUACUUAUAGGUCUAGUGCUUCCUUUGUAUGGCAAUCCUUACUCAUUCAUAUUGAUAUCUAUUAAUGGGCAUCUCCAUAGCCCUUUGAUACGCCGAGUCAAUGUGAUCAUCUCCUCCUUUUUGUCGCACAACCACCACCACACUCUAUUCCACCUACAGUGCUAUAUCCAUGGCUCACGCUCAUGUAUUGCAUGAUAGUUAUAAAAAGUUUGAGAAAGUAAGGGUGCGAAAACAAUUACUUGGCCAAUACCGGGGUUGUGAAUGAUUUAAAUUAGUUGUGUGAGGAUGAUGGAGCAUAGCCAGACUAUAUGAUUUUGUAGGGAUAACUUUCCUUGGCCUUGUUAUUUUGAAAGUUCAUGAUUACCUUGUUAUUUUGCUUUAAGUAUUAUUGUUUUCAUGUCAAUAGCAAACUAUUGUUUUGAAUCUUACAGAUCUGAACAUUCAUGUCACACGAAACAAGUUACAAAGGACUACUAUGCUAGGUAGCAUUCCACAUCAAAAGUUCAGUCUUUAUCACUUCCCCACUCGAGGACGAGCGGGAGUUAAGCUUGGGGAUGCUUGAUACGUCUCCAACGUAUCUAUAAUUUUUGAUGGUUUCAUGCUAUUAUCUUGUCAAACUUUGGAUGUUUUGUAUGCCUUUUAUAUCUUUUUUGGGACUAACUUAUUAACUCAGUGUCAAGUGCCAGUUCAUGUUUUUUCGUGUUUUUGACCCUUUUGAGAGGCGGAUUUUAAACGGAGUCCAAACGGAACGAAACUUCCAAAAAUAUUUUUUCCGAAACAGAAGACGAUCAGAAGACUUGAGAACCAAGGCAAGGGGCUGAUACGUCUCCAACGUGUCUAUAAUUUUUUAUGGUUUCAUACUAUUAUCUUGUCAAACUUUGGAAGUUUUGUAUGCCUUUUAUAUCUUUUUUGGGACUAACUUAUUAACUCAGUGCCAAGUUCCAGUUCCUAUUUUAUCCAUGUUUUUGACCCUUUUUAGAGGAGGAUUUUAAACAGAGUCCAAACGGAACGAAACUUCCAAAAAGAUUUUUUCCGAAACAGAAGAAGAUCGGGGAGCCUGAGAACCAGGGCAGGGGGCCACCAGGGACCCCACAAGCCCCCUAGCCGCGGCCAGGGGCCCGCGCCUCCCAGGCUUGUGGGCUCCUUGGGCCACCUCUGCUCUAAGUCUUCCGCCUAUAUAUUCCCAAAAAUUCCAGAAAAAAUCAAGAGAUCAUCGAAAGUACUUUUCCGUCGCCGCAAGCUUCUGUCUCCGCAAGAUCCCAUCUGGGGCACGUUCUGGUGCCCUGCCGGAGGGGGGAUUCGGAUACGGAGGGCUUCUUCAUCAACACCAUGACCUCUCCGAUGAUGCGUGAGUAGUUCACCAUAGACCUAUGGGUCCAUGGCUAGUAGCUACAUGACUUGUUCUCUCUCUUGGAUCUUCAAUACAAAGUUCUCCGUGAUCUUCAUGGAGAUCUAUUCGAUGUAAUCUUCUUUUGCGGUGUGUUUGUCGAGAUCCGAUGAAUUGUGGAUUUAUGAUCAGAUUAUCUAUGACUCUUAUUUGAGUUUCUUCUGAUCUCUUAUUUUCAUGAUUUCAUAUCCUUGUAAUUCUCUUCGAAUUGUGGGUUUUGUUUGGCCAGCUUGAUCUAUGAUUCUCGCAAUGGGAGAAGUGCUUGGUUUUGGGUUCAUACCAUGCGGUGACCUNNNNNNNNNNNNNNNNNNNNNNNNNNNNNNNNNNNNNNNNNNNNNNNNNNNNNNNNNNNNNNNNNNNNNNNNNNNNNNNNNNNNNNNNNNNNNNNNNNNNGUCAGUGAGUUAUAUGAUCUCAUGGUCAUAGGAACAAAUACUUGACAGGCAGAAAACAGUAGCAAGAAAAUGACACGAUCAACAUGCUACGUCUAUUAGUUUUGGGUCUAGUCCAUCACAUGAUUCUCCUAAUGAUGUGAUCCCGUUAUCAAGUAACAACACUUGCCUAUGGCCAGGAAACCUUGACCAUCUUUGAUCAACGAGCUAGUCAACUAGAGGCUUACUAGGGACAGUGUUUUGUCUAUGUAUCCACACAAGUAUUGUGUUUCCAAUCAAUACAAUUAUAGCAUGGAUAAUAAAUGAUUAUCAUGAACUAAGAAAUAUAAUAAUAACUAAUUUAUUAUUGCCUCUAGGGCAUAUUUCCAACAUGAAUAUCUCGGAGGUGUCGCUUGUGCGCUACUUGGAUCGGAUUGGAUCACAAUGUGAGUAUGACUAUGCUAACCACGAUCUCUAGACCAUUAACGCAUUUGGUCUACAAGGGUAUGUAGACACACUGCUCUCUCGUUGUUGUGUUUUCCAUGUAAUGUUCGCCAACAGUGGCAUCGUGGGGUAGGUAUAUGCGUAGAUGUUAUUUACAAGAUUAGAACAUAAACUUGUUGUGGGUGUUGAUGUUCAUAUUGCUUACCUCCUUUUUAUUUUGCAUUUGCUGAUAUAGUGGGAUGAAAAAACUCAUACCAACUUUACUUGUCCUCGUGCAAGAGACGAGUUCCACAAUUGACAUGCAAUUUGUAUUGCAUAUGUGGCUAGCGGGUGUCUGUCUCUCCUACUUUAGUUGAAUCUGGUUUGAUAAAGAUGGUCCAUGUAGAAGAUGAAAAGUCAACUUGUAUAUCACCAUUGUCGCUUUGCGUAGGUAAAAAUGGUUCUUAUUAGUUUCCCUAGAAGCCACGUAAAACAUGCAACAAUAAAGUAGAGGAUGUCUAACUUGUUUUUGCACGACAUGUGAUGUGGUGUGGUAUGAUCAUGACAUGUUAUCAUAUAUGUGAUGUAUGAGAUGAUAAUGUUUUGUAAUAGUUCACGAGUUGCAUCUAAAUGAGUACGACAACCGGUAGGAGCCAUAGGGUUUUCUUAAUUUUAUGUAUAAUCUAUGUGUCAAUCAUUAAAUGUCAUGUAAUCGCAUUACUUUAUCGCUAUGAGUUAGCAAUAGUUGGCGGAGACAACUGAUACGUCUCCAACGUAUCGAUAAUUUAUGAAGUAUUCAUGCCAUAUUUAACCAUAUAUACAAUACUUUUAUAUAGUUUUGAUGCACUUUAUAAUUAGAACUAACUCGGACUGACGUUGUAUUCAGCAUAAUUACCGUGGUAGUGGUCUUUUUGUGCAGAAAAUAAAAGUUCUUGGAAUCUUCCAGAAUUUUGGCAAUUUUUCUAGGGCAAAUAAGAAAUACUAGAGCGAGGAACCACCGUAAGGGGGGGCACCUGUUGGUGCCAAACCAACAGGGUGCAUCCACCCCCAUGGGCAUACCCUGAUGGCUUGGGCCACCUCGAGUUCCGUUUGGCGUGAUUCCAAUGCUGAAAAAUUCUAUAUAUAUAGGAACCCCCACAAAUAAAUCUAGAACUUCUACUGCACCACCGCAAGCCUCUGUACCGAAUAAAACUUACCCCGAUCCCUCUUCCAGCACCCUGCAGGAGGGGGCAAUCCUCACCGGAUACCAUCUUCGUCAUCCCCAUGCUGUCCAUGACGAGGAGGGAGUGGUUCACCCUCGGGGCUGAGGGUAUGUACCGGUAGCUAUGUGAUUCAUGUCUCUCUCUCAUGUUCUUCAGAUGCCAUGAUGUUGAUGUAUCACGGGCUUUGUUAAUAUAGUUGGAUCAUAUGGUGUUUGUCCCUUGCUAUAUUGAUGUACGAAUUGAAUUUUAUCUUCGAUAUUUUGUUAUGUCGGAUUGAAUAUUGGAUUUGAGAUCACUUGUUGUAUGUCUUGCAUGUGGAUACCCGUGGUGACAAUGGAGUGUUCUAUUGAUUCACUUGAUAUAUGUUUUGGUACUCAACCUGUGGAUUUUCCGUGGUGACAGUGGGGUAAUCUAUGCAUAUGGGUUGAUACACGUUUUGUCCUAAUUUCUCCGAUAGAAAUCUUGGGGUGAUCUUCGAAGUUAUUUGUGUUGGAUUGAAUAUGAUGAAUCUAAAUUGUUUGAUGCAUGUCGAAUAAUUAACCCACAGAUACUUGAGGUGACAUUGGAGCAUCUAGGUGACAUUAUGGUUGAUUGAUGUGUAUCAUUGGUGUUAUUUUAGUACAAACUCUAAGGUUGUUUGUGACACUUAUAGAAAUAGCUCAAUAGAUUGAUCAGAAAGAAUAGAUUUGAGGUGGUUCUACUAGCUACAACAAUAUCAUCUUAUGUUCUCCGCUACUUCUGAACUUUGGAGUGAUUCUUUGUUGCACGUUGCGGGAUGAUCAUAUGGUUCUAUUAUGUUAGCAUUGUUGAGAGAUUGCACUAGUGGAAAUAUGAACCCUAUGCCUUAUUUCCAAGCAUUUAUACAAUGUUUUGCUCGCUGUUUUCGACUUGCUACCUUGUUGUUCUUAUAAUUUUCAGAUUAUAAAAACCUAUAUCUACUAUUCAUACUACACUUGUAUCACCAUCUCUUAGUUGAACUAGCGCACCUAUACAAUUUGCGAUUGUAUUGGGUGUGUUAGGGACACAAGAGAUUUCUUGUAUUUGAUUGAACGAUUUCCUGAGAGUGACCAUAUUCAUCCUACACCUCCCACAUAUUGAUAACUCUUAGGUCAUCCACUUGAGGAAAAUUUUCUGUUGUCCUACAAAACUCUGUACUUGGAGGCCCAACAACGUCUACAAGUAUAAAGUUGCAUAGUAGACAUCAAGUUCUUUUCUCGCGCUAUUGCUCGAAAGUUGAGUGCUUGAAGGUAUAUAUUUAGACCAUGCAAUUAUAUUUUCUUGUGUAACAUUAGUUUGGUUUAUAAAAGAAAACUACAAAAAAAGGAAUUGAUGUGGCCUCAAGUGCUUCGUCUUUAUAAUGUCUUUCGUCAAAAUGAUGGAUCAGUAAAUUGUGCCAAAUUGUUAGAAGAAGAGUUCAAUAAAAUUCUUAACAUUAAAUACUUGAAUGAUGAUCAUGAUAAUAAUGUUGUUAGUAUGGAUUCUAUGAAUAUCCAUGAUGCUAAUGAUAUGCAAAGACACAAGGUUGGGGAUGCUAUGUUUGAUGAAGAUGAUCUUUUUAGUCCCCCAAGUUUUGAUGAGCAAACUUAUUAUGAUGAUGACAUGCCUCCUAUCUAUGAUUAUUAUGGUAAUGACAUGUAUGCUAUAAACAGUCACGAUAACCAUGAAACUUGUCAUCGUGAUUUUAAUAUUCAAUAUGGUUAUGUAAACCAAGUGUCUCAUGAUAGUUAUUUUUUUGAGUUUGCUCCCACUACUACGAAUGAGGAGAAAAUUGCUUAUGUGGAAAGUAAUAAAUUUUCUAUGCACGUGGAUCAUGAAAAGAAUGCUUUAUGUGAUAGUUAUAUAGUUGAACUCCUUAAUCAUGCUACUAAAAAUUAUUAUGAUCUAGGAACAUAAGCUUUUAGGUAUUGCAAUAAUAUCAAGUUUCCUCCUUAUCUGUUCAAAGUUUUCAAGCCAUGCUUGUUUUGCCUUCCUAUGCAAUUUGAUUCUUGCUACAAUAAAUGGUUUGCUUUAAAAAUCCAUAUGCAUAGGAAGUGGGUUAGACUUAAAUGUGUUUGUAAUGUUAUUCAUGAUGCUCUUUUGCAUGUUUCAAUUAUUACUUUUUAUGUGAGCAUCAUUAAAAUCAUCAUGCCUAGCUAAAUGGUGUUAAAGAACAGCGCUUGUUGGGAGACAGCCCAACAAUUUUCCUUUCUAUUUUUGUGUGUUCACAUGAUUAAGCUACGGUAGUAAUCAUGUUUUUUGUAUUUUAUUUUAAUUAGGUUCCAAGUAAACCUUUGGGAUAGUGUGGAUACUUGUUAGUUUGAUUUUGUGCAAAAAGAGAAACUUUUACGUCGAGUGCAUAAUUUUUGUGAUUUUACUUGAGCAUUAAAAAAUUAUGAAAUUCUUACACAUUUUUUAUAUGAAAAUUAUUUGAGUUGUCCUAUGUUUUCAUAAUUUUCAAAGAUAGGGAAGUAAGGUUUAAGUUCAGAUAUUAGGGACUAUUUUUUUUUGACCAAUGCUGCAUGCAUAGGUUGCUUGUUUUAGUGUUUCCAUAUCUUAUAUUUAGUGAUAUAAAUAAUGGAAAUGAUAGAAUGGAGUAGGUAUUAUGCGAAAACAAUUAUUAAUCUUAUCUUGGUAGUAUCUAAGUGAGUGAUCUAUAUUUGUUACACUAACCCAUCUCACGAAAGUCCGUUAAAUUUUGUGUGAUUGAAAUUUUCAAGUUUUAGGUGAGAUACCGAUAUGAGGACAAUAAGGAGUGGUGAGACCCUAAGCUUGCAGAUUCCCAAAAAAGCCCAAGGUGCUAAAAUUGUGGGUUCCCAUGGUGAUAAUGGGUUGAUACACCUUCUUGACUUUCUCCGAUAGAAAUCUUCGGGCGAUCUUUGAAGUUCUUUGUGUUGGAUUGAAUAUGAUGAAUCUGAAAUUGUUUGAUUCAUGUCAAAUAAUUAACCCACAGAUAAUUGAGGUAACGUUGGAGUAUCUAGGUGACAUUAGGGUUGAUUGAUGUGUAUCAUUGGUGUUAUUUUAGUAUGAACUCUAGGGCUGUUUGUGACACUUAUAGGAAUAGCUCAAUAGAUUGAUGAAAAAUAAUAGCUUUGAGGUGGUUCUAGUACCUACAACAAUUUCAUCUUAUGAUCCCCGCUACUUAUGAACUUUGAAGUGAUUCUUUCUUGCACAUUGAGGGAUGAUCAUUGAUGAUCCACAAGUGUAGGGGGUCUAUCGUAGUCCUUUUGAUAAAUAAGAGUGUCGAACCCAACGAGGAGCACAAGGAUUUGACAAGUGGUUUUCAGCAAGGUAUUCUCUGCAAGCACUGAAAUUAUCGGUAACAGAUAGUUGUGUGGUAAGAUGAUACGUAGCAAGUAGCAAGUAACAACGGUAACAAAGGUGCAGCAAAGUGGCCCAAUCCCUUUUGUAGCAAGGGACAAGCCUGGACAAACUCUUAUAGGAGGUAAAGCGCUCCCGAGGACACACGGGAAUUUUUGUCAAGCUAGUUUUCAUCAUGUUCAUAUGAUUCGCGUUCGCUACUUUGAUAGUUUGAUAUGUGGGUGGACCGGUGCUUGGGUGCUGCCCUUACUUGGACAAACCUCCCACUUAUGAUUAACCCCUCUCGCAAGCAUCCGCAACUACGAAAGAAGAAUUAAGACAAAGUCUAACCAUAGCAUUAAACUAGUGGAUCCAAAUCAGCCCCUUACGAAGCAACGCAUAAACUAGGGUUUAAGCUUCUGUUACUCUAGCAACCCAUCAUAUACUUACUACUUCCCAAUGCCUUCGUCUUGGCCCAAAUAAUGGUGAAGUGUUAUGUAGUCGACGUUCACAUAACACCACUAGAGGAACAACAACAUACAACGCAGCAAAAUAUCGAACGAAUACCAAAUUCACAUGACUAAUUAUAGCAAGACUUAUCCCAUGUCCUUAGGAACAAAAGUGACUACUCACAAAGCAUAAUAAUAUUCAUGACCAGAGAGGUAUUGAAUAGCAUCAAGGAUCUCAACAUAUAAUCUUCCACCGAGUAAUCCAACUAGCAUCAACUACAAAGAGUAAUUAACACAACUAGCAACCUUACAAGUACCAAUCGGAGUCGUGAGACGGAGAUUGGUUACAAGAGAUGAACUAGGGUUUGGAGAUGAGAUGGUGCUGAUGAAGAUGUUGAUGAUGAUGAGUCCCCUCCGAUGAGAGGAGUGUUGGUGAUGACGAUGGCGAUGAUUUCCCCCUCCAAGAUGGAAGUUUCCCCGGCAGGACGGCCCUGCCGGAGCUCUAGAUUGGUUCUGCUCAAGUUCCGCCUCGUGGCGGUGGCGAUUCCUCCUGAAAGCCUCCUCUUGAUUUUUUCUGGAACGGAACCCUCCUUAUAGCAAAAGAGGGGAGCCAAAGGGCCAACAGGGAGCCCACAAGCCCCCUAGGCGCGACUAGGGGGGUAGGCCGUGCCUAGCAAGCUUGUGGCCUCCUGGUGGCUCCCCUCUGGUACUUCUUCGCCAAGUAUUUUUUAUGAAUUCCAAAAUAAAUCCUCGUUGAUUUUCACGGCUUUUGGAGUUGCGCAGAAUAGGCAUCUCAAACUUUCUCCUUUUUAAGGCCAGAAUUCCAGCUGCCGGCAUUCUCCCUCUUCAUGUAAACCUUGCAAAAUAAGAGAGAAAAGGCAUAAGUAUUGUACCGUGAAGUGUAAUAAGAACCCAUAAAGACAUAAAUAUCAACAUGAAAGCAUGAUGCAAAAUGGACUUAUCAAUCAUAUGAUUCUAUUAUGUUAGCAUUGAUGAGAGAUUACACUAGUGAAAGUAUUAACCCUGGACCUUAUUUCCAAGCAUUUAUACAACGUUUGUUCCUUGUUUGCCACUUGCUACCUUGUUGUUUUUAUACUUUCAUAUUACAGAGACCCAUCUCUUUGUUGGAACUAUGCCCUAGAGGCAAUAAUAAAUUAGUUAUUAUUAUAUUUCUUUGUUCAUGAUAAUCGUUUAUUAUCCAUGUUAUAAUUGUAUUGAUUGGAAACACAAGUAAAUGUGUGGAUACAUAGACAAAACACUGUCCCUAGUAAGCCUCUAGUUGACUAGCUCGUUGAUCAAAGAUGGUUAAGGUUUCCUAACUAUAGACAAGUGUUGUCACUUGAUAACGGGAUCACAUCAUUAGGAGAAUGAUGUGAUGGACAAGACCCAAACUAUAAACGUAGCGUAUGAUCGUGUCAGUUUAUUGCUACUGUUUUCUGCAUGUCAAUGUAUCUGUUCCUAUGACCAUGAAAUCAUCCAACUCCCGGACACCAUAGGAAUACCUUGUGGGUUAUCAAACGUCGCAACAUAACUGGGUGACUAUAAAGGUUCUCUACAGGUAUCUCCAAAGGUGUCUGUUGGGUUGGCAUGGAUCAAGAUUGGGAUUUGUCACUCCGUGUAAUUGAGAGGUAUCUCGGGGCCCACUCGGUAAUACAACAUCACAACAUGCCUUGUAAGCAAUGUGACUAAGAAGUUAGUUACGGGAUCUUCUAUUACGGAACGAGUAAAGAUACUUGCCGGUAACGAGAUUGAACUAGGUAUGGAAAUGUCGACGAUCGAAUCUCGGGCAAGUAACAUACCGAAGGACAAAGGGAACAACAUACGGGAUUAACUGAAUCCUUGACAUAGAGGUUCAACCGAUAGAGAUCUUCGUAGAAUAUAUGGGAGACAAUAUGGACAUCCAGGUCCCGCUAUUGGUUAUUGACCAGAGAGUGUCUCAGGUCAUGUCUGCAUAGUUCUCGAACCCGCGGGGUCUGCACGCUUCAGGUUUAGUGACGUUUCAAUAUAGUUGAGUUAUAUGUAUUGGUGACCGAAGUUUUGUUUGGAGUCCCAGAUGAGAUGCCGGACGUCACAAUGAGUUACGAAAUGGUCCGGAAACGAAGAUUGAUAUAUAGGAAGUUGGUAUUUGGAUUCUGGAAGGUUUUCGGGCUUUGCCGACAGUGUACCGGAAGUGACGAAUGGGUACGGGGGCCCACUGGGUGGGCCCACCACGCCCCAAGGGGUCCACGUGGGUUUAUUGGAUCUGCAAUAAGGCAUAAUGGGCUGACAAAGUCAUUCAAGGAAAGGCCAUGAGGAAAAAGUGGAAAAUCCAAAAGAGGUGGGAAAUUAAGGAAGGAGUCCUAAUCCAAGUGGGAUUGAAGGAGGACUCCUCCCUCCUCCACUUCGGCCGACCCAAGGGCUCCUCCCUUGUGGCGCAAGGCCUGCCACCUACCUCCUCCUAUAUAUACUAGAGGUUUAGGGCUAUUUGAGACACAACUUUGCCACGUGCUGCCCUCUCCUCUAGUUCGUAGUUCUUCCUCUAGAUCGGUUUUCUGCCGAGCUCAGGCGGAGCCCUGCAGGAAUAGAUCACCACCACCACCCAAGACCGUCACGCUGCCGGGGAACUCAUCUACAUCCCCGUCUCUCUUGUUGGAUCAAGAAGGCAGAGAUCUUCAUCGAGCUGUACGUGUGCGGAACACGGAGGUGUCGUCCGUUCGACACUUGAUCGGGACAGAUCGUGAGACGGUUCAUGGGACGGAUUGUGAAGACGUACCAGUACAUCAACCACGUUUAUUAACGCUUCCGCUUAGCAAUCUACAAGGGUAUGUGGAUCUGAUCUCCCUCUCGUAGAUGAUGAUCACCAUGAUAGGUCUUCGUGUGCAUAGGAAUUUUUUUGUUUCCCAUGCAACGUUCCCCGACACUCUUCGCCGAACUAGUGCACCUAUACAAUUUUCCAUUGUAUUGGGUGUGUUGGGUACAUAAGAGAUUUCUUGUAUUUGACUGCAGGGUUGCUUGAGAGAGACCAUAUUCAUCCUACACCUCCGACGGAUUGACAAAACUUAGGUCAUCCACUUGAGGGAAAUUUGUUGUUUUCAUACGAAACUCUACACUUGGAGGCCCAACAACAUCUAAAAUAAUAAAGUUGCAUAAUAGACAUCAACAACCACAUGACGAAACCUUCGAGAUGAUGGAGAUCAUGGUGUCAUGCCGGUGAUGAUAGGGAUCAUGCCAGUGCUUUGGAGAUGGAGAUCGAAAGCACAAGAAGACAAAGGCCAUAUCAUCUCACAUAUUACUUACAUGAGAUGUUUUUCUUUUAUUAUGCAUCUUAUUUUGAUUAGAAUGGUGGUAGCAUUAUAAUAUGAUCAAUCACACUUAAUAUCAAGGUAAAAGUGUUUCCCUUAGUAUGGACCAUUGCAAAAGUUUGUCGUUUCGAAGUACCUCGUGAUGCCCGGUGUGAUAGACUCUGGUUUUACGCAUGCAUAAAUACUUUGCUUAACUUGAUGAUCCUAAAAUGUACACACAUGGUAUCAGAACAUAGAGAACCAAAAGGUUAAAGAUGGGUCAUAUGAAUGAUAUGAUCAUUAUGUUGAUGUUCAGAAACCACUCCAUCUCACGUGAUGAUCGGACUUGGUUUAGUGGAUUUCUAUCAUGUAUCACUUAGCAACUUGAGGGAUGUUGAUUUAAGAGGGAGUUCAUCACUAGUUUGAUUAAUCGAAUUAAUUAUCUUGAACAUAGUCUAAAAAAUACUUUACAAAAAUGAUGUAGAUUAAUGGCUCGUGUUGUAGUUGCGCUCAAUUUUAGUGCGUUCCUAGAGAAACAAAAGUUGAAAGACGAUGGAAGCAACUUUGCAGUGUGGCUCCGUAAUGAGUGGAUUGUCCCCACUCCCGCACAGAAGACUUCUAAUAUUGAUGCACCACUAGGUGUGCCCCCGUCCCCUAUGUCCUCACACGCUAUGAACAUCUGGCAGACACGUAAUUAUGACUACUAGAUAGUUUAGUGCGCCAUACUUUACGGCUUAGAACCAAGGCUCCAAAAACAUUUUGAGCACCACGGAGGAUAUGAGAUGCUUGAGGAACCGAAAAUGAUGUUUUAGACUCACGCCCGUGUGGAUAGGGAUGAAGCCUCACACAAAUUCUUUGGCUAUAAUAUGGAGGAAAACAACUCUCUUAGUGAGCACGUACUCAAAAUGUCUGGGUACGUGACUCCUCGCUAAUUGCGUUGGUUUCCCUCCAAGCUUAAUGGGUGAUGUAGCACAUCGACGACAAGUAUUUCCUUGAGUUAUGAAACCAAGGUAUCAAUCUAGUAGGAAGAUCCUCAAGACUAUGUAAGCAACACGUGUAGACAAAUAGCAAAUCUUCGCAACCAACGCGUGAAGGGGUUGUCGAUCCCUCGUGGGUAAAGUAAGGAUAGAUUGAUAGAUGCAAAUAAGAGUGAUAGAAAAUAAAACACAACAAGGUAUUUUUGGGUUUUUUGAUAAUAUAGAUAUGAAAAUAAAAGAGAAAAUAAAAUAGAAACGCAAAUAGAAAAAUAGAGAUUGCAUAUAGAUGAUGUGAAAUAGACCCGGGGGUCGUAGGUUUCACUAGUGGCUUCUCUCGAGAAAAUAGCAAACAGUGGUAGACAAAUUACUAUUGGGAAAUUGAUAGAAAGGCAAAUAAUUAUGACCAUAUUCAAGACAAUGAUCAUGUAUAUAGGCAUCACGCCCAAGACAAGUAGACCGACUUUUUCCUGCGCCUACUUCUAUGACUCCACACAUCAACCGCUAUCGAGCAUGCAUCUAGUGUAUCAAGUUCAUGGAGAAACGGAGUAAUGCCUUAAGAAUUAUGACAUGAUGUAGACAAGAUAUAUUAAUGUAGGAAUAGACCCCAUCCUUUUAUCCUUGAUAACAAUGACACAUGCGUGUCAUGUCUCUUUCUGUCACUGAGAUUGAGCACCGCAAGAUCGAACCUAUCACAGAGCACCUCUUCCCAUUGCAAGAUAAAAGAUCAAGUUGGCUAGACAAAAACCAAAUAUCGGAGAAUAAAUACGAGGCUAUAAUAAUGAAUCAUGAAUAUGAUUUCAUAGAUCUGAUUGUAAACUCAAAAUUCAUCAGAUCCCAACAAACACACCGCAAAAGAAAGAGUUACAUCAUAUGGAUCUCCAAGAGACCAUUGUAUUGACAAACAAAAUGAGAGUGAAAGCCAUCUAGCCACUGCCCGAACACCCGUAGGUAUGAUAGGAACUACUCAUGCAUCAUAAGAGGAGCACCAAUGAAAAUUUCAAUACUCAAACAUAUCAACAAGCAACCAAGUCUUUCAAAAUAUCAGCGCUAAAGAACGUUAUCCCUAGCCCAUCAUGCUCUAUCAUUGAUCCAUUCAUGCAACACACCCAAAUAUUAACUAUAUCCAAUGCUCAAGUAUCAUAAUGGUGUACCUUAGUUGGUGCUUUAUAAGAGAAGAUGCAGACUCAAAGUAAAAUAAAAAAUGCAUAAAGUAAAUAGAUAGGCCCUUCACAGAGGGAAGCAUGUAUUUGUAGAGGUGCCAGAGCUCAAAGUGAAAAACUUAGAGAUAAUUAUUUUUGGGUGGUAUGCUUUUCAUUCAACAAACACAACUAAGAGUUUCCAAUACCCUCCAUUUUAAAUAAAUUAUAGGUGGUUCCCAAAGGAAAAAUAUAGUCUAAUCCUUUUACCACCAUUCUUUCACAUUCCACGGCUAGCCGUAUCCACGGGUACCAUCCAUAUCAGCACUUUCCAAGGAAUUUAUAAUUUGACAACUUAAUAUAAUUCUUUUUGCAUUUUGGGAGUGGGCAUCCCUAUUACCGCCAUAUUCUCGUGCAAUUAUAAGUGAAUAAACACUCAUCUUGAGAAGAACUUAUUUAACGCGAAGAUAUCGGCCAUCCCUCGCCACUUCAUGAGCGGUACGGGCACACAAAACAGAGAUAUAUUUUGAACAUUAGAGUUGGCACUUGCAAAUUUACUUGGGACAGUGUUGAAAUACCAUAUAUAGGUAGUCAUGGUGGACUCAUUUGGAACAACCUUGGGUCUAAGAUUUGGAUUUACAAGCAGUAUUCCCGCUUAGUACAAGUGAAGGCUAGCAAAUAGAUUGAGAAGCGCCCAACCUAGGAACGAAAAUCAUCAUAAUUGGACAUUAAAUAUAACUAACACCGAAUAAUGCAACACAAGUAGGAUACAAUUUCAUACCAUAAUUAUUGACUUCAUGUGCGUGCAUAGGGAAUUACAAACUUUAACACCAAUAUAGUUACUAAAGUAUAAUUACUCAUCAACAUAACUCACAUAUCACUAUCUUCAUAUCGCAAAACUAUUGCAAAGAAUCAAGUUUAACAUCCAAUGAUCUUCUUCAAAGUUUUUAUUAUGUCUUUCCUGGAUAUUCAUCACUUUAGGACGAAAUUUUUAAAGAAAAUUAACAUUGCAAAUAACAAGCUCUCAAACAAAUAUAAGUGAAGAACGAGAGCACAAGUUUCUCUAAAAAUUUCAACUCUCAAAAUAAUAUAAGUGAAGCAAGAGAGAAUUUCUUCAAAAUUUCUGCUACCCUCAAAAUAAUCUAAGUGAAGCAUGACAGCAAAUUUCUUCAAAAUAACAGCACCACCGUGCUCAAAAAGAUAUAAUGAAGAACUUGAGCAAUUCCAUGGCUCAAAAAAAUUAAGUGAAGCAUAACGAUCGAUUCUAACAAAUCAUAGCAUAAUUUAGCUCUCUGUAAUGUGUGUGUACAACAAGGUUUAUUAUGAAAAACUAAACAACAAAGUAAGCAGAGACACAAAUGAGACAAGACACUCCAAGCAAAACUCAUGAUAUGUGACGAAUAAAAAUAUAGCUCGAAGUAAAAUUACCGAUGGUUGUUAGAAGAAAGAGGGGAUGCCUUCCGGGGCAUCCCCAAGCUUAGUUGCUUGGUACUCCUUAGAUAUUACCUUGAGGUGCCAUGGGGCACCCCCAAGCUUAGGAUUUUAUCACUCCUUAUUCCUUCAUCCAUUGUCAUCUCACUCAAAAUUUGAAAACUUCAAACACACAAAACUCAAUGAAAUUUUCAUGAGAUCCGUUAGUAUAAGAAAAACAAACUUUACUUUAGGUACUUUUUAAAACCUAUUCCAAUUUUGUUUUUGCAUUAUACCUACGUUUUCUAACUUUACCAUGGCUUAUACCCUCCGAAACAAACCAUAGAAUCACGAAAACAAGCACAUAACGCAAACAAAAUAGAAUCUGUCAAAAACAGAACAGUCUGUAAAGACUUGAAUUUUACUCAUACUUUUGUAACUCCACAAAUUCUGAAAAAUUGGAAACAUAGGGAAUUUUUAUAUAAAUCUUGUGUAAAAAAUUCAGACACUUUUGACGUUGUGUGAUUUUCAGAAUUUUUUCUAUUGGAUGCAAAAGUUUCUGUUUUUUAACAGGAUUAAAGCAACUCAGACCCCACAUAAUCCCAAAGGAUUUACUUGGCACAAACACUAAAAAAUAUAAUAGUAGCAUAAUUUUUCAAACCCUCAAGAACAGAAAGCAAAAGGGAAAAACAAAUUCUAUUCACUAGGUUGCCUCCGAACAAGCGUUAUCAUUUUACGCCCCUAGCUAGGCAUAUAACAUAGAUUCAAGUAUUACUACCUUUAGUUUUCGUGGAUGCAUCCUUAUUAGUAUAUUUCUCAAAAAUAACAUGAAACACAUUAUCCAUAAAAUUUUAGCAUUAUCAAGUUGCCCAUCUAUGUAUCCCCUUUGAUUACCGGCAACAAUCCAAGAAUAUUGUUGAUUAACAUUGUUGAAAACUUUUUGGGUCAUAUCUAAAACAGGAAUCUCCUUUUUAAGAUUACCAUCAAAUAUUUGAUUAUUAGCGAGAAAAUAUCUCAAAACAUAAUCACUAUUAUAGAGAAUUUCAUUUACUAUCGGCUUUUCAUGGUUCAUACCAUAAAAGUCAAAGAUUUCCCAAGCUUCCCGAACUAUAUGAUCAAAUUCAUUCACAAGAACAAGGGUGGCUAUCUUCUUAGCUCUAGGAUCUUCUAUAACGGGUAGUUUAUAAAAAAUAUUUGCAAAGUAGAAUGAGUACAGAUAAAUCUAUUCUCAAGUUCCAGAACUAGUGUUGACAUAGCUUCCGCAUAAGUUUUGGUUCUUUUGAGUAAACGAGUAUUAUCACAAGUCAAAGUUCCAACACAAUUAAAUAAUUCUUGGAUAGCUUCUUUUCCCAUAACAUUCCCUUGUUCCAAAAUAAAGGUUUUAUCAUCCAUAUUACCAGGACGUCUUCUACUUCUCAAACAACAGUGCCAGAAAUUGACACGUUGAUGGAAACUUGCUUGCGUUGGUUUUUCCCUUGAAGAGGAAAGGGUGAUGCAGCACAGGAGCAGUAAGUAUUUCCCUCAGUUUGAGAACCAAGGUAUCAAUCCAGUAGGAGACUCUCGUCAAGUCCAGAGUACCUGCGCAAACACAAAAGAGCUUGCACCCAACGCUAUAAAGGGGUUGUCAAUCCCUUCAAGAUUGAUUGCAAAGUGAGAUCUAAAGGCGGAAAGUGCAACGAAGUAAAAGAGUAAGGCUGAAAAUAUGUUGUGAAGUAGACACGGGGGCCAUAGUGUUUAGUAGAGGCUUCUCUCAAAAUAGCACAUAUUAUGGUGGGUGAACAAAUUACUAUCGAGCAAUUGAUAGAACCACGCAAAGUCAUGACGAUAUCUAAGGCAAUGAUCAUACAUAUAGGCAUNNNNNNNNNNNNNNNNNNNNNNNNNNNNNNNNNNNNNNNNNNNNNNNNNNNNNNNNNNNNNNNNNNNNNNNNNNNNNNNNNNNNNNNNNNNNNNNNNNNNCCUCUAGAUCGCGUUUCUGCGGAGCUCGGGCGGAGCCCUGCUGAGAUUAGAUCACCACCAAUCUCCGGAGCGCCGUCACGCUGCCGGAGAACUCAUCUACCUCUCUGUCUCUCUUGCUGGACCAAGAAGGCCGAGAUCAUCGUCGAGCUGUACGUGUGCUGAACGCGGAGGUGCCGUCCGUUCGGCACUGGAUCGUGGGACGGAUCGCGGGACGGUUCGUAGGACGGUUCGCGGGGCGGAUCGAGGGACGUGAGGACGUUCCACUACAUCAACCGCGUUCACUAACGCUUCUGCUGUGCGAUCUACAAGGGUACGCAGAUCGGAAAUCCCCUCUCGUAGAUGGACAUCACCAUGAUAGGACUUCAUGCGCGUAGGAAUUUUUUUGUUUCCCAUGCGUCGUUCCCCAACAAUUCACACGUAUGUGUUGGUGAAAUCUCCUCCUUGUUGAUAUAGAAAACAAGGGAGAAGAUUAUCUUCGAUGAAGUGGUGGUGGUGGCAGCAGAACUCUCACACGAUUCAUCAAGCACAACUGAAAUGAGAAGUGGAGGGAGAGAGAGGGAGCCACCAUGGUGAAGGGAUGGGGCUGCCCCUGUGCAUCCUCUCCUUUAUAUAGGGGUACACAGACGGUUGGUCACCACUAUCCCAUCCUCCAAGGGAGGGGCUGAUACGUCUCCAUCGUAUCUACUUUUCAGAGCUCUUUUGCCCUUGUUUUGGACUCUAUUUGCAUGAUUUGAAUGGAACUAACCCGGACUAACGCUGUUUUCAGCAGAAUUGCCAUGGUGUUGUUUUUUUGCAGAAAUAAAAGUUCUCGGAAUAUCCUGAAAAUUUACAGAGAUAUUUUCUGGAAUAAAAGAAAAAUACCUGCGCAAAGAUCCACCGGAGGGGGCGUGUGUCAGUGGGCCACAAGCCCACAUGCCGCGGCCACCCCCUAUGGUCGCGCCCUGCAGGCUUGUGGGGCCCACAUGGCACCACCGCCCCCAAUCUCAGCUCUAUAUCUUCCGUUUCGCCUAGAAAAAAAAUCAAAGAGAAGGUUUCAUCGCGUUUUGCGAUACGGAGGCGCCACCACAUCCAGUUCUUCAUCUGGAGGGCAGAUCUGGAGUCCGUUUCGGGCUCCGGAGAGGGGAAAUCGUCGCAAUCGUCAUCAUCAACCUUUCUCCAUUAACAAUUCCAUGAUGCUCUUCAUCGUUCGUGAGUAAUCUCAUCGUAGGCUUGCUAGACGGUGAUGAGUUGGAUGAGAUCUAUCAUGUAAUCGAGUUAGUUCUUGACGGGGAUUGAUCCCUAGUAUCCACUAUGUUCUAGAUUGAUGUUGCUACUACUUGGCUAUGCUUAAUGCUUGUCACUAGGGCCCGAGUGCCAUGAUUUCAGAUCUGGUCCUAUUAUGUUGUCGCCAAUAUAUGUGUGUUUUAGAUCCUAUCUUGCAAGUUGUAGUCACCUACUAUGUGUUAUGUGUUGGAGAAUGUCGCAUGGGAAACAAAAAAUUUCCUACGCGCACGAAGACCUAUCAUGGUGAUGUCCAUCUACGAGAGGGGAUUUCCGAUCUACGUACCCUUGUAUAUCGCACAGCAGGAAGCGUUAAGAAACGCGGUUGAUGUAGUGGAACGUCCUCACGUCCCUCGAUCCGCCCCCCGAACCGUCCCACAAACCAUCUCGCGAUCCGUCCCACGAUCCGCUCCGAUCUAGUGCCGAAUGGACGGGACCUCCACGUUCAGCACACGUACAGCUCGACGGUGAUCUCGGCCUUCUUGGUCCAGCAAGAGAGACGGAUAGGUAGAUGAGUUUUCCGGCAGCGUGACGGUGCUCCGGAGGUUGGUGGUGAUCUAUCCGAGCAGGGCUCUGCCCGAGCUCCGCAGAAAUACGAUCUAGAGGGAAAACCGUGGAGGUAUGUGGUCGGGCUGCCGUGGCAAAGUUGUCUCAAAUCAGCCCUAAUACCUCAGUAUAUAUAGGAGUGAGGGGGAGGGACCUGCCUUGAGGCUCAAGAGAGCCCCAAGGGAUCGGCCGAAGCAAGGGGGGAAGUCCUCCCCUUCCAAUCCUAGUCCAACUAGGAUUGGAAGGUGGAGUCCUUCUCCACUUUCCCACUUCCCCUUUUUUUCUUUUUCUUUUGAUUCCUGCGCAUAGGGCCUCUAGGGCUGUCCCACCAGCCCACUAAGGGCUGGUGCGGUACCCCUAAGGCCUAUAGGCUUCCCCCGGGUGGGCUGCCCCCCGGUGAACAUCCGGAACCUAACCAUAUAACUCAAAUACGUGUGUGAUCUCAUCCGGGACUCCGAACAACAUUCGGUAACCAACCAUAUAACUCAAAUACGCAUAAAACAUCGCCGAACCAUAAGCAUGCAGACCCUGAGGGUUCGAGAACUAUGUAGACAUGACCCGAGAGACUCCUCGGUCAAUAUCCAAUAGCGGGACCUGGAUGCCCAUAUUGGAUCCUACAUAUUCUCCGAAGAUCUUAUCGCUUGAACCUCAGUGUCAAGGAUUCAUAUAAUCCCGCAUGUCAUUCCCAUUGUCCUUCGGUAUGUUACUUUCCCGAGAUUCGAUCGUCGGUAUCCGCAUACCUAUUUCAAUCUCGUUUAUCGGCAGGUCUCUUUACUCGUUCUGUAAUACAAGAUCCCGUGACAUACACUAAGUCACAUUGCUUGCAAGGCUUGUGUGUGAUAUUGUAUUACCGAGUGGGCCCUGAGAUACCUCUCCGUCACACGGAGUGACAAAUCCCAGUAUUGAUCCAUACUAAGUCAACGGACACCUUUGGAGAUACCUGUAGAGCAUCUUUAUAGUCACCCAGUUACGUUGUGACGUUUGAUACACAUAAGGCAUUCCUCCGGUGCCAGUGAGUUAUAUGAUCUCAUGGUCAUAGGAAUAAAUACUUGUCACACAGAAAAACAGUAGCAACAAAAUGACACGAUCGACAUGCUACGUUCAUUAGUUUGGGUCUAGUCCAUCACAUGAUUCUCCUAAUGAUGUGAUCCUGUUAUCAAGUGACAACACUUGCCUAUGGCCAGGAAACCUUGACCAUCUUUGAUCAACAAGCUAGUCAACUAGAGGCUUACUAGGGAGAGUGUUUUGUCUAUGUAUCCACACAAGUAUUGUGUUUCCAAUCAAUACAAUUAUAGCAUGGAUAAUAAACGAUUAUCAUGAACAAAGAAAUAUAAUAAUAACUAAUUUAUUAUUGCCUCUAGGGCAUAUUUCCAACAUUAUGACCCGGCAACCCCGGAGUGACAAUAGCCGGAACCACUCCCGGAGAUGACCAUAGUAUGAGGAGUUCAUGUAUUCACCGCGUGUUAAUGUGUUGGUCUGGUUCUUUAUUAAAAGGAGAACCUUAAUAUCCCCGUAGUUUCCAUUAGGACCCCGCUGCCACGGGAGGGAUGGACAAUAGAUGUCAUGCAAGUUCUUUUCCCUAAGCACGUAUGACUACAUACGGAAUACAUGCCUACAUUAGAUCGAUGAACGGGAGCUAGUUACAUAUCUCUCCGUGUUAUAGCUGUUACAUGAUGAAUCACAUCCGUCACACUCAUCCAUCACCGAUCCACUGCCUACGAGUCUUUUACUACUGGUCCUCGCUACGUUACUUUGCCUAGGCUUGUCCCUUGCUACCAAAGGGAUUGGGACACUUUGAUGUUGUUGUCACUACUGCUGUAACUUGUUACUCUGCUGCUGCUGCUACUGUUGUUCCUUACUACUCCGCUGUUACUUGUUGCAAGACUUUGUUGGAGCCGUAGCUGGGGAAGCAUUCUUCUCAAGAAUAAUCCCCCGUCCACGUGCUGGCGCCAUUGAUACAACAGUUAGGAAUAGUGUGCCGUAUCAAUAGAUCGUUUCUGGCACCGUUGCUAUCAUACUACCUUGCUACUGAUACUUUGUUUGCAGACACUAAUCUUUCAGGUGUGGUUGAAUCUGACACAUUCAGCUGCUAAUACUUGAGAAUAUUUUUUAGCUUCCCAUCUUGGCGAAUCAAUAAAUUUGGGUUGAAUACUCUACCCUCGAAAACUGUUGCGAUCCCAUACGCUUAUGGGACAUCAAGGGUUUUUCUGGCGCCGUUGCCAGGGAAGCACAGCUAUAUUCUCUGAGUCACUUGGGAUUGAUGUUUGUUGAUCACUAUGAGGAAUCCGAAAGAUACAAGAACGAAAAUCUUGCCUUCCACUACGAGGAGAGGUAAAGAACUGUCAUCUAGCUUUGCACUUGAUUCACCUUCAGUUAUGAGUAAGUUUGCGACUUCGCCUCCUGAUACGUCUCCGUCGUAUCUAUAAUAUUUGAUUGUUUCAUGCCAAUAUUCUACAACUUUCAUAUACUUUUGACAACUUUUUAUACUAUUUUUGGGACUAACAUAUUGAUCCAGUGCCCAGUGCCAGUUCCUAUUUGUUGCAUGUUUUUUGUUUUGCAGAAUAUCCAUACCAAACGAAUUCCAAACGUAAUAAAAACUUACAGGGAUUUUUUUGGAAUAUUUAUGAUUUUUGGGAAGAAGAAUCAACGCGAGGCGAUUCACGGAGUGCCCACAAGCCCUGUGGUCGCGGCGAGGGGGUGGGCCCGCGCCAGGGAGGCUUGUGGCCACUCCUUAAGGCGGUUGGAGCCCUUCUUUCGCCGCAAGAAAUAUAAUAUCCGGAAGAAAAUCGUGUAAACAUUUCAGCCCAAUCGGAGUUAUGAAUCUCCGGGAAUUUAAGAAACAGUGAAACGCAGAAUCUGGGAGCGCAGAAACAGAAGGACACAUACAGAGAGAUCCAAUCUCGAAGGGGCUCUUGCCCCUCCGCCACCAUGGAGACCAUGGACCAGAGGGGAAACCCUUCUCCCAUCUAGGGAGGAGGUCAAGGAAGAAGAAGAAGGAGGGGGGCUCUCUCCCCCUCUCUCCCGGUGGCGCCAGAACGCCGCCCGGGACAUCAUCGUGUGACGACGAUUUACACCAACACCUCUGUCAUCUUCACCAACAUCUCCAUCAUCUUCCCCAUCUAUAUUCAGCGGUUCACUCUCCCGCAACCCUAUGUACCCUCUACUUGAACUUGGUGCGUUAUGCUACAUAUUAUUAUCCAAUGAUGUGUUGCUAUCCUAUGAUGUCUGAGUAGAUUAUCGUUGUCCUAUCGGUGAUUGAUGAAUUGCUAUGAUUGGUUUAAUUUGCUUGUGGUUAUGUUACUGUCCUUUGGUGCCCAUCAUAUGAUCGCGCACGUGGAUCACACCAUAGGGUUAGUUGAAUGUUGAUAGGACUAUAUAUUGGUAGGCUAGAGUGACAGAAGCUUCAAACCUAGCAUAGAAAUUGAUGCAUAUGGGAUUGAAGGGGGACCAAUAUAUCUUAUUGCGAUGGUUGGGUUUUACCUUAAUGAACGUUAGUAGUUGCGGACGCUUGCUAAUAGUUCCAAUCAUAAGUGCAUAGAAUUCCAAGUAAGGGAUGACAUGCUAGCAGAGGCCUCUCCCACAUGAUACUUGCUAUCGAUCUAGUAACGUUGUCAAUUGCUUAGGGACAAUUCCGCAACUCCUACCACCACCUUUUCACACUCGUUAGACACUCAUAGUUGUUUCUUUAUCUAACUAGCCCCUAGUUUUAUUUACGUGUUCUUUCCUUUCUUGCAAGCCUAUCCUAUCACUCCUACAAAGUACUUCUAGUUUCAUACUUGUUCUAGGUAAAGCGAACGUAAAGUGUGCGUAGAGUUAUAUCGGUGGUCGAUAGAACUUGAGGGAAUAUUUGUCCUACCUUUAGCUCCUCGUUGGGUUCGACACUCUUACUUAUCGAGAAAGGCUACAAUUGAUCCCCUAUACUUGUGGGUUAUCAAGACCUUUUUCUGGCGCCGUUGCCGGGGAGCAAUAGCGUGGGGUGAAUAUUAUCGUGUGUGCUUGUUUGCUUUAUCACUAAGUAGAUUUAUUUGCUGUUCUAAGUUGUUCUCUAUCUUUAGUUAUGGAUUUGGAACACGAAAUACCAAAAAAAUUAGGUGUAUUUGCUACUCAUGGAGAUGGGGAACCUCCUAAAACCCUCGAGGCUCGUUAUGUGGAAAAUAUUAUGCACUUCUUUAAUAAUCCUGAGAAAGCCCCAUUCAAUUAUAUAAUGGGAUACACGUUGGAUCAACGUGAAUACUUUAGGGAUUAUCCCUUGGCUCAAAAAGGGAAACUUUUAUGGGAUCAAAUCCAUUUGUUGAAAUGGUAUGCUUGGGAACUAUGCAAGAGAUAUGGUGUUACUUGUUGCUCUAGGAUGAAGGCUCCACACCUUCCCUUUUCUUGUGAAUUUAAUGAUCAUAGAACCUUGGCUUCUUAUGCUAAUGGUAUAUAUGAUUACUAUGAUGUGGAUCAAAUAGAAGAGUUUGUUGCUUUUAUGGGUGCUUAUGAAAUUGAGGCUGUGUUUAAAAGGUGUGAUGAUAAUGAUGAUGCUCCUUACCGAUCUGAAAAUUUGGCUAUGCUUCGUUAUUGUUAUACUAAUUAUGAAUAUAAUUCCCGUAUUGAACGAUUUAAGGAGAAAUCCUAUGCUGCCCAAGAAGAGACUAUUAUUUUGCAGGAAACUAUGGAAGAAGAAAAUGCUGAAAUUGUGAGCUCAUUAGAUGAAAAAGAUGAAGAGGAGAGUGAAGAACAAAAGGAGGAAGAGNNNNNNNNNNNNNNNNNNNNNNNNNNNNNNNNNNNNNNNNNNNNNNNNNNNCUAGCUACCCGUGUCACCUUCUAAUGAGAGUAACUCUUCUACUCAUACAUUAUUUAAUUUCCCUUCGUUCUUACUGAAGGAUGAAUGCUAUGAUCCCUUGGAUUCGUUUGAAAUAUCCCUUUUUGAUGAACUUGAUGCUUGCUAUGCUUGUGGCCAUGAUGCCAAUAUGAAUGAUGCUUAUGAAGAUGAGCUAGCUAUAGUUCCUUAUGUUACACAUGAUGAUUUUGAUGAAUAUAAUAUGCAUGUGCUUGCUGCUCCUACUUGCAAUUAUUAUGAGAGAGGAACUACAUCUCCACCUCUCUAUGUUUCCAAUACGAUAAAAUUGCAAGAAACUGCUUAUGCUAUGUAUUGGCCUUUACUUGAUGUGCAUGAAUUGUUGUUUUAUGACAUGCCAAUGCAUAGGAAGAGAGUUAGACUUCGUCAUUGCUUGAUAUAUGUUACCUUGUGCUCACUACUAAAUUUCAAAUCAUUGCUAAUUAAAAUUGGCUUUGAUAUACCUUGGGAUCCGGGUGGAUCCAUUACUUGAGCACUUUAUGCCUAGCUUAAUGGCUUUAAAGAAAGCGCUGCCUGGGAGACAACCCGGAAGUUUUAGAGAUUCAUUUAUUUUUGUUGAGUGCUUUUAUUUAGUUAAAAACAAAAAAAAUAUAGAGGGGAACUUAAAAACUUUUUCAAAAAGAGAAGCGAUUGAAAGGUGAUGCAUUGCGGAAAUGAGGGUCGACCUUGAACACUUGUGUUCAUGCUCAUGGAAACAAUGUAGAAUUUUUCAUGGAAGUUUCUCAAAAAAAUAUUUAUCCCCUUGUACAAUUCCUUUGUGUUUUUAAAAAUAAUGUGCCAAGUAAAGCCUUUACGAUUAGUUUGGGAGAUAGUUGUUUGAUCACGCUGAGAAAAGACAAAAACUUUCUGCUCACGAAAUUAAUUUUCAUUUUUAUUCUGGAAGAGAUUUUGAGUUGAUUAUUUUAGCUGCUGAUGGAUAUGCAAAUUUUCUAGACGUUCGUAAUUUUUCAGAUUUUUUGAGAUAUCAGAAGUAUACGGAAUAUACAGAUUGCUACAGACUGUUCUGUUUUGACAGAUUCUGUUUUCUAUGCAUUGUUCUCUUAUUUUGAUAAAUCUAUGGGUAGUAUCGGGGGGGAUGAACCAUGGUGAAGUUGGAUUACAAUAGAUAUAAUGCUUAUAUGAAUUUAGAAUGAGUUCACAAAAGUACUCGAAGUGGUGAUUUAUUUUAUUAUACUAACGGAUCUCAUGAAGUUUUGUUGAGUUUUGUGUGAUUGAAGUUUUCAAGUUUUGGGUGAGAGCACGAUGGAUGAAGGAAUAAGGAGAGGCAAGAGCCUAAGCUUGGGGAUGCCCGAGGCACCCCAAGGUAAUAUUCAAGGAAAACUCAAGCGUCUAAGCUUGGGGAUGCCCCGGAAGGCAUCCCCUAUUUCGUCUACAAUCUAUCGGUAAUUUUACUCGGAGCUAUAUUUUAAUUCGUCACAUGAUAUGUGCAAAUGCUUGGAGCGUCUUUUGUGUUUAUUUUUCCUUUUUCUUUUAUGCACCAUGCUGGUAUGAGAUAGUCCUUGGUUGGCUUUAUAGAAUUCUUCUUGUGCUUCACUUAUAUCUUUUGAAGUUUGGAUUGCAUGUNNNNNNNNNNNNNNNNNNNNNNNNNNNNNNNNNNNNNNNNNNNNNNNNNCCUACACAUAGAAAACCGCCAAUAUGUAGAAUGCUCUUUUGCUUCACUUAUAUUUCUUAGAGCGGGGCAUAUCUUUUGUAGAAAGAAUUAAACUCUCAUGCUUCACUUAUACCUAUUUAGAGAGUUAACAGGAGUUGGCCAUUCACAUGGUUAGUCAUAAAAUCCUACAUAAAACUUGUAGAUCACUGAAUAUGAUAUGUUUGAUUCCUUGCAAUAGUUUUGCGACAUGAAUAUGUGAUAUUAGAGUCAUGCUAGUGAGUAAUUGUGUAUUCGUAGAAAUACUUGUGUUAAGGUUCGUGAUUCCCAUAGCAUGCACGUAUGGUGAACUGUUAUGUGAUGAAGUCGGAGCAUGAUUUAUUUAUUGAUUGUCAUCCUCUGUGUGGAGGUCGGGAUCACGCGAUGGUUAACUCCUACCAACCUUUCCCCUAGGAGCAUGCGUGUAGUACCUUGUUUCGAUGACUAAUAGACUUUUGCAAUAAGUAUGUCAGUUCUUUAUGACUAAUGUUGAGUCCAUGGAUUAUACAUACUCUCACCCUUCCAACAUUGCUAGCCUCUCUAGUACCGCGCAACUUUCGCCGAUGCAUUACACCCACCAUAUAGCCUUCCUCAAAACAGCCACCAUACCCACCUAUUAUGGCAUUUUCAUAGCCAUUCCGAGAUAUAUUGCCAUGCAACUACCACCUUUCCGUCUCAUGACAUGUGCCACCACUUCCAUAUUGCCAUUGCAUGAUCGUAAGAUAGCUAGCAUGAUGUUCCAUGGCUUGUCCAUUUUUUUUAUGUCAUUGCUAUGCUAGAUCAUUGUCACGGUACACUACCAAAGGCAUUUCAUAUAGAUUCAUCAUUGCACUAAGUAUUGAGUUGUAAGUGUGAUGAUCAUCAUUAAUAGAGCAUUGUCCCAUGUGAGGAAAUAAAAGAGGCCAGUGAAGCCCAUUUAUAAAAAAGAGGCCAAAGAUGCCCACCAAAAUUAAAAAACAUAUAAAAAAAGAGGCCAAAGAGCCCACAAAUAAAAAUGAGAGAAAAGAGAGAAGGGACAUACAAAGUUCUCCAUGACCUUCAUGGAAAUAUAUCCGAUGUAACUUUCUUUUGCAGUGUGUUUGUCGAGAUCCGAUGAAUUGUGGAUUUAUGAUCAGAUUACCUAUGAAGAUUAUUUGAGUCUCCUCUGAUCUCUUAUAUGCAUGAUUUCGUAUCCUUGUAAUUCUCUUUGAGUUAUGUGUUUUGUUUUGCCAACUUGAUCUAUAAUUCUUGCAAUAGGAGAAGUGCUUGGUUUUGGGUUCAUACCGUGCGGUGUCCUCACCCAGCGACAGAAAGGGUAGCAAGGCACGCAUCGUGUUGUUGCCCUCAAGGGUAAAAAGAUGGGGUUUAUAUCAUAUUGCAUGAAUUUAUCCCUCUACAUCAUGUCAUCUUGCUUAAGGCGUUACUCUGUUUGUUAUGAACUUAAUACACUAGAUGCAUGCUGGAUAGCGGUCGAUGUGUGGAGUAAUAGUAGUAGAUGCAGAAAGUAUCGGUCUACUUGUCUCGGAUGUGAUGCCUAUAUGUAUGAUCAUUUCCUUAGAUAUCUUCAUGACUUUGCGUGAUUCUAUCAAUUGCUCGACAGUAAUUCGUUCACCCACCGUAAUACUUGCUAUCAUGAGAGAAGCCUCUAGUGAACACUAUGGCCCCGGGGUCUACUUCACAUCCUAUAUUCAGAUCUACGAAAAUACCAGCAAUACUUUGCUGCACUUUUCACCUUCAGAUCCCACCUUGCAAAUAAUCGUGAAGGGAUUGACAACCCCUUUUUCGCGUUGGGUGCAAGUUUGUUUGUUUUUGCGCAGGUACAUUGGUCCCUCAUCUUGAUACUCCUACUGGAUUGAUACCUUGGUUCUCAAACUGAGGGAAAUACUUAUCGCUACUUUGCUGCAUCACCCUUUCCUCUUCAAGGGAAAAACCAACGCAAGCUCAAGAGGUAGCAAGAAGGAUUUUUGGGGCCGUUGCCGGGGAGUAUUCAAAGUGAAGCAUACCAAAUAACUAUCGCAAACUCAUCUCUUGCAUUUACUUUAUUUGCCUUUUGCCUCUCGUUUUCCUCUCCCCCACUUCUGAAACGUUAUUUCCGAAAAUACCAAAAAUAUUUUCCUUUUUAUUCGAUCUUCUUCCAUUCGCCUUUUUGUUGCUAUGUUUGCUUGUGUUGCCAUGUGCCUUCUAUUUGCUUGCAUCUUCGCUUGCUAAAACUCUAUUGAUAUGGAUCCUCAUCCACUUGAUAAUCUUUUCAAAAUACCAAAUUAUGAUGAACAAUUUGCUAGUGAGUUGAGUGCACUUGACUAUCUCUAUCGAGUUUUGUUUGAAAAUCAUGAAUCUGAAAAUUUUGAUGAAGUGUUGAAAGAAGAAAAUUAUAAAGUGGUUCAUGAUAUCUGCUUGAAUGAAAAACAUGAUUGCCAUGUUGUUAGUAUGAAUUCUCUAAAUAUCAAUGAUGCUAAUAAUAUGCAAAACCACAAGCUUGGGGAUGGUAUGCUUGAUGAAGAUGAUAUUUUUUGUUUCCCAAGUUUUGGUGAUGACCCUUAUGCUAUAAUUGAUCAUGAAAAGAAUGCUUUGUGUGAUAGUUAUAUUGUAAGACUCCUUCAUGAUGUUACUGAAAAUUACUAUGAGAGAGGAACAUAUGCUUUUACAUAUUGCAAUUAUAUCAAGCUUCCUCUCUAUGUGUUCAACGUUUUGAAGUUAUGCUUGUUUUUGCUUCCUAUGCUAGUUAAUUCUUGUUCCCAUAAUAUGUUUGCUCCCAAAAUCCCUAUGCAUAGGAAGUGGGUUAGACUUAAACGUGUUUUUUCCAUUCAUGAUGCUCUUUUGCAUAUCUCAACUACUACUUUUUAUGUGAGCAUCAUUGAAAUCGUUAAGCCUAGCUAGGGGCGUUAAACGAUAGCGCUUGUUGCGAGGCAACCCAAUGAAUAAAUUUGUUUUUGCUUUUCACUUUCUGUUUUGUUGUGUCCACACCAUCAUAAUUCUGUUAUGAUUGUGUUUUAUUAUGUUUUUAGUGUUUGUGCCAAGUAGAACCUUUAUGAUUAGUUUUGGUGAUAGUUAUUUAAUCAUGCUGAAAAAGACAAAAACUGCGUGCUCACGAAAUUAUUUUUAUUUCCUAUCCAGAAAGAGCUUUUGAGUUGAUUCUUUUUUCUGUUGAUUGAUAUGUAAAUUUCCAUAAUUUUCAUAAUUCUUUAGAAUUUUUGGGAUAACAGAGGUAUACGAAAUAUACAGAUUUCUACAGACUGUUCUGUUUUUGACAGAUUCUGUUUUUGUUGUGUUGAUGGCUUAUUUUGAUGAAACUAUGGUUAGUAUCGGGAGGUACUAGCCAUGGAUAAGUGAGAAUACAGUAAUAUAACAUCAAUUUAAAUGGAAAUCAAGUUUACUACAGUACCUAAAGAGUUGGUGGUUUGUUUUCUUAUGCUAAUGAUAUCACGAGUUUCUGUUUAAGUUUUGUGUUGUGAAGUUUUCAAGUUUUGGGUGAUGUUCUUGUGGACAAUGGAAUAAAGAGUGGAAAGAGAUUAAGCUUGGGGAUUCCCAAGACAUCCCAAGCCAAAUUCAAGGACACCAAAAAGCGUAAGCUUGGGGAUGCCUCGGGAAGGCAUCCCCUCUUUCGUCUUCAAUCCAUCGGUAACGUUACUUGGAGCUAUAUUUUUAUUCACCACAUGAUAUGUGUUUUGCUUGGAGCGUCUUGUAUCGUUGGAGUCUUUUCUUUUUGUUGUGUCACAAUCAUCCUUGCUGCACACCUUUUGAGAGAGACUUGCACUCAUCGUGAUUUUGCUAGAAUGCUCAUCGUGCUUCACUUGAGUGGGACAUGCACUCAUCAUGAAUUUGAAUUUGUUAGAAUGCUCAAUGAGCUUCACUUAUAUCUUUUGAGCUAGGCAAUUUAGCUUGCAUGUGCUUCACUUAUAUCUUUUGAGCUAGAUAAUUUUGCUCUAGUGCUUCACUUAAAUCUUUGUAGAGAACGGCGGUGUCAUAUUUUGAAGAAAUAAAAACUCUCGAUCUUCACUUAUAUCUUUUUGAGAGUGCUCUCUCUAAGUAACUUGGUAAUUGGCGUGUGCUAUGAAAUUAGUCCUAAAUAUGAUAGGCAUCCAAAGAGGAUAUGAUAAAAACUUUCAUAUUCAUGUGCACUGAUUAGUAAGAGAAGUUUGAUUCCUCACAAUUAGUUUUGAGAUAUAGAUACGUUAAUAUUAGAGUCAUGUUAGUAGGGUGUUCUGAAUCUAGAAAUACUUGUGUUGAGGUUAGUGAUUCCCGUAGCAUGCAUGUAUGGUGAACCGCUAUGUUAGGAAUUCGGAGCAUAAUUGAUUUAUUGAUUGUCAUCCUUUGUGUGGCGGUCGGGAUCGCGAGAUGGUUAACACCUACCAACCCUUCCCCUAGGAGUAUGCGUUUAGCACUUUGUUUUGAUUACUAAUAAAACUUUCGCAAUAAGUAUAUGAGUUCUUCAUGACUAAUGUGAGUCCAUGGUAUAGAUGCACUCUCACCUUCCACCAUUGAUAGCCUCUCUAGUGCCGCGCAAAUUUCGCCGGUGCACAAACCCACCAUAUACCUUCCUCAAAACAGCCACCAUAACUACCUAUUAUGGCAUUUUCAUAGCCAUUCCGAGAUAUAUUGCCAGGCAACUCCCACCAUUCCGUCUCAUGACAUGUGCCGUCACUUUCAUAUUGCCAUUGCAUGAUCGUAAGAUAGCUAGUGAGAUGUUUCAAUGUCAUAUCUAUGCUAGAUCGUUGCACAUCCUGGGACAUUGUCGGAGGCAUUUCAUAUAGAGUCAUCAUCGUUCUAAGUAUUGAGUUGUAAGUAAAUAAAAGUGUGAUGAUCAUCAUUAUUAGAGCAUUGGCCCAUGUGAGGAAAUAAAAAAAAGAGGUCAAAGAAGCCCACCAAAAAAAAUGAAAAAAAGAGGCCAAAGAGCCCAAACAAAAAAUGAUGAGAGAAAAAAAAGAAGGGACAAUGCUACUAUCUUUUUCCACACUUGUGCUUCAAAAUAGCACCAUGUUCUUCAUAAUAGAGAGUCUCUUGUUUUGUCACUUCCAUAUACUAGUGGGAAUUUUCAUUAUAUAACUUGGCUUGUAUAUUCCAAUGAUGGGCUUCCUCAAAAUUGCCCUAGGUCUUCGUGAGCAAACAAGUUGGGUGCACACCCACUAGUUUUCUUUUUGAGCUUUCAUACACUUUUAGCUCUAGUGCAUCCGUUGCAUGGCAAUCCCUACUCAUUCACAUUGAUAUCUAUUGAUGGGCAUCUCCAUAGCCCAUUGAUACGCCGAGUCAACGUGACCAUCUCCUCCUUUUGCCUCACAACCACCACCAUACUCUAUUCCACCUAUAGUUCUAUAUCCAUGGCUAACGCUCAUGUAUUGCGUGAGAGUUGAAAAGGUUUGAUAAAGUAAGAGUGUGAAAACAAUUACUUGGCCAAUACCGGGGUUGUGCAUGAUUUAAAUACAUUGUGUGGGGAUGAUGGAGCAUAGCCAGACUAUAUGAUUUUGUAGGGAUAACUUUCUUUGCCUUUGUUAUUUCAAAAGUUCAUGAUUACUUUGCUAGUAUGCUUGAAGUAUUAUUGUUUUCAUGUCAAUAGUAAACUAUUGUUUUGAAUCUUAUGGAUCUGAACAUUCAUGCCACAAGAAAGAAGUUACAAAGAACAAAUAUGUUAGGUAGCAUUCCACAUCAAAAAUUCGGUCUUUAUCACUUCCCUACUCGAGGACGAGCAGGAGUUAAGCUUGGGGAUGCUUGAUACGUCUCCAACGUAUUUAUAAUUUUUGAUGGUUCCAUGCUAUUAUCUUGUCAACUUUGGAUGUUUUAUAUGCAUGAAAAUGCUAUUUUAUAUCUUUUUUGGGACUAACCUAUUAACUCAGUGCCUCAUGCCAGUUUCUGUUUUUUCCGUGUUUUGACCAUUUUCAGAAAAGAAUAUUAAACGGAGUCCAAACGGAAUAAAACUUGUGCGAUGAUUUUUUCCAUAAUAGAAGAUACGCAGGGAACUUGAGAACCAAGGCACGAGACCUCGUGGGAGGUCACAAGCCCCCUAGUCACGCCCUAGGGGGGCCGCGCCUCGCAGGCUUGUGGGCCCCACGUGGCUCCUUUGCCCUACCUCUUUUAACUAUAAAUUCUCUAAAAUCCCGAAACCAAAGAAGAGAGCCACGAAAAUACUUUUCCGCCGCCGCAAGCUUCUGUCUCCGCAAGAUCCCAUAUGGGGACCGUUCUGGUGCCCUGCGGGAGGAGGAUUCGGACACGGAGGGCUUCUUCAUCAACACCAUUGCCUCUCCGAUGAUGAGUGAGUAGUUCACCACAGACCUUCGGGUCCAUAGCUACUAGAUAGAUGGCUUCUUCUCUCUCUUUGAUCUUCAAUACAAAGUUCUCCAUGAUCUUCAUGGAAAUAUAUCCGAUGUAACUUUCUUUUGCGGUGUGUUUGUCGAGAUCCGAUAUAUUGUGGAUUUAUGAUCAGAUUAUCUAUGAAUAUUAUGUGAGUCUCCUCUGAUCUCUUAUAUGCAUGAUUUCGUAUCCUUGUAAUUCUCUUCGAGUUAUGUGUUUCGUUUUGCCAACUUGAUCUAUAAUUCUUGCAAUAGGAGAAGUGCUUGGUUUUGGGUUCAUACCCUGCGGUGUCCUCACCCAGUGACAGAAAGGGUAGCAACGCACGCAUCUUGUUGUUGCCAUCAAGGGUAAAAAGAUGGGGUUUAUAUCAUAUUGCAUGAAUUUAUCCCUCUACAUCAUGUCAUCUUGCGUAAGGCGUUACUCCGUUUGUUAUGAACUUAAUACACUAGAUGCAUGCUGGAUAGCGGUUGAUGUGUGGAGUAAUAGUAGUAGAUGCAGACAGUAUCGUUCUACUUGUCUCGGAUGUGAUGCCUAUAUGUAUGACCAUUUCCUUAGAUAUCGUCAUGACUUUGCGCGAUUCUAUCAAUUGCUCGACAGUAAUUCGUUCACCCACCGUAAUACUCGCUAUCAUGAGAGAAGCCUCUAGUGAACACUAUGGCCCCGGGGUCUANNNNNNNNNNNNNNNNNNNNNNNNNNNNNNNNNNNNNNNNNNNNNNNNNNNNNNNNNNNNNNNNNNNNNNNNNNNNNNNNNNNNNNNNNNNNNNNNNNNNUAAUCAGUGCACAUGAAUAUGAAAGUUUUUAUCAUAUCCUCUUUGGAUGCCUAUCAUAUUUAGGACUAAUUUCAUAGCACACGCCAAUUACCAAGUUACUUAGAGAGAGCACUCUCAAAAAGAUAUAAGUGAAGAUCGAGAGUUUUUAUUUCUUCAAAAUAUGACACCGCCGUUCUCUACAAAGAUUUAAGUGAAGCACUAGAGCAAAAUUAUCUAGCUCAAAAGAUAUAAGUGAAGCACAUGCAAGCUAAAUUGCCUAGCUCAAAAGAUAUAAGUGAAGCUCAUUGAGCAUUCUAACAAAUUCACGUUGAGUGCAUGUCCCUCUCAAAAAUGAGUGCAGCAAGGAUGAUUGUGACAAAACAAAAAGCAAAGACUCCUAUAAUACACGACGCUCCAAGAAAAACACAUAUCAUGUGGUGAAUAAAAAUAUAGCUCCAAGUAAUGUUANNNNNNNNNNNNNCGCAUCCCCAAGCUUACGCUUUUUGGUGUCCUUGAAUUUGGCUUGGGAUGUCUUGGGAAUCCCCAAGCUUAAUCUCUUUCCACUCUUUAUUCCAUUGUCCACAAGAACAUCACCCAAAACUUGAAAACUUCACAACACAAAACUUAAACAGAAACUCGUGAUAUCAUUAGCAUAAGAAAACAAACCACCAACUCUUUAGGUACUGUAGUAAACUUGAUUUCCAUUUAAAUUGAUGUUAUAUUACUGUAUUCUCACUUCUCCAAGGCUAGUACCCCCCGAUACUAACCAUAGUUUCAUCAAAAUAAGCUAUCAACACAACAAAAACAGAAUCUGUCAAAAACAGAACAGUCUAUAGCAAUCUGUAUAUUUCGUAUACCUCUGUUAUCCCAAAAAUUCUGAACAAUUAUGAAAAUUAUGGAAAUUUACAUAUCAAUCAACAGAAAAAAGAAUCAACUCAAAAGCUCUUUCUGAAUAGGAAAUAAAAAUAAUUUCGUGAGCACGCAGUUUUUGUCUUUUUCAGCAUGAUUAAAUAACUAUCACCAAAACUAAUCAUAAAGGUUCUACUUGGCACAAACACUAAAAACAUAAUAAAACACAAUCAUAACAGAAUUAUGAUGGUGUGGACACAACAAAACAGAAAGUGAAAAGCAAAAACAAAUUUAUUCAUUGGGUUGCCUCGCAACAAGCGCUAUCGUUUAACGCCCCUAGCUAGGCUUAACGAUUUCAAUGAUGCUCAAACCAUAAGUAGUAGUUGAGAUAUGCAAAAGAGCAUCAUGAAUGGCAAAAAACACGUUUAACUCUAACCCACUUCCUGUGCAUAGGGAUUUUGUGAGCAAACAAUUUAUGGGAACAAGAGUUAACUAGCAUAGGAAGCAAAAACAAGCAUAACUUCAAAACGUUGAACACGUAGAGAGGAAGCUUGAUAUUAUUGCAAUAUGUAAAAGCAUAUGUUCCUCUCUCAUAGUAAUUUCAGUAACAUCAUGAAGGAGUCAUACAAUAUAACUAUCACACAAAGCAUUCUUUUCAUGAUCAAUUUUAGCAUAAGGGUCAUCACCAAAACUUGGGAAACAAAAAAUAUCAUCUUCAUCAAGCAUACCAUCNNNNNNNNNNNNNNNNNNNNNNNNNNNNNNNNNNNNNNNNNNNNNNNNNNNNNNNNNNNNNNNNNNNNNNNNNNNNNNNNNNNNNNNNNNNNNNNNNNNNGUUAAGGCGGUACUCUCUUCUUAUGGACUUAAUACACUAGAUGCAUGUUGGAUAGCGGUCGACGUGUGGAGUAAUAGUAGUAGAUGCAGAAAGUAUCGGUCUACUUGUUUUGGACGUGAUGCCUAUAGAUAUAAUCAUUGCAUAGAUAUCGUCACAAUUUUGCGCGGUUCUAUCAAUUGCUCGACAGUAAUUUGUUCACCCGCCGUCUGCUUGCUUUCAUGAGAGAAGCCACUAGUAAACACUACGGCCCCGGGGUCUAUUCACAUCCAUCGUUUACACCUCUGCUUUUACUUUGCUUUGUUACUUUGGUGCUUUCAGUUCUCACUUGGCAAACAAUCUAUAAGGGAUUGACAACCGCUUCAUAGCGUUGGGAGCAAGCUUUUGUGUUUGUGCAGGAUCUUGAGAUACUCCUCCACUGGAUUGAUACCUUGGUUCUCAAACUGAGGGAAAUACUUACCACCGCUACUCUACAUCACCCUUUCCGCUUCGAGGGAACACCAACGCAAGGCUCCAAGGCCACGGGGGAAAUCCUUUGCAUACUUUCCUAGGAAGUCCCUUAAGGCGUAGCCGCAGCUGAAGAAUUCCUAGUGCCGUUGCUGAGGAGUAUCAAGCAACACUCCUAUUUUUGGCGCCGUUUGAAGGUCUUUUGUUGCAGUAGCAGAAGUAUUUCUGGCGCUGUUGCCGGGGAGGAGAAAUCAAGAUCUAUCCAAGUAGGUCUCACAAACUCAUCUCUUGCAUUUACUUUUGUUGCNNNNNNNNNNAUAGCCGCAGCUGAAGAACUCCUGGUGCCGUUGCUGAGGAGUAGCAAGCAACACUCCUAUUUCUGGCGCCGUUGGAAGGUCUUUUGUAGCAGUAGCAGAAGUAUUUCUGGCGCCAUUGCCGGGGAGGAGAAAUCAAGAUUUAUCCAAGUAGGUCUCACAAACUCAUCUCUUGCAUUUACUUUUGUUGCCAGUUGCCUCUUGUUUUCCUCUCCCUCACUUCACAUUUGCCGUUUUCAUUUGCCUUUCUCCUUUGCCGUUUUCUUUUGCCUUUUUCCUUUUUCGUUCGCCCUUUUUCUCUCGCUUGCUUUCUGUUUUCUUGUGUGCCAUGUGCCUUCAAUAUGCUUGCAUCUUCGUUUGUUAAUCUCUUUAAGAGACCCACUUAUGUGGAACAAAUUGCUAGUGAGUUGAGGGCACUUGACUAUCUUUAUGAAGUUUUGCGUGAGAUGCGUGGAUCUGAAAAUUGUGAGGAAGAAAUUUAUGAAGUGAUUCACGAGGUCUCCUUGGAUGAAAAGCAUGAUUGCAAUGGUUUCACUAUAAAUUCUAUUAGUGACAAUCAUGCUAAAAUUAUGCAAAACCCUAAGCUUGGGUAUGCUAGGUUUGCUAUGUCCACUACUUGUUGCAAUAAUCAUGAUUGGGGUGAUGAUNNNNNNNNNNNNNNNNNNNNNNNNNNNNNNNNNNNNNNNNNNNNNNNNNNNNNNNNNNNNNNNNNNNNNNNNNNNNNNNNNNNNNNNNNNNNNNNNNNNNCCUUUUCUCUCUUAUUUUGCAAGGUUUACAUGAAGAGGGAGAAUACCGACAACUGGAAUUCUGGUCUGAAAGUGGAGCAAAGUUGACAUACCUAUCCUGCGCAACUCCAACCGCCGUGAAAAACAACGGGGAUUUUUUCCCAAUUUAUCAAAAAUACUGGGCCGAAGAAGUGCCAGAGGGGCACCAGGGGGUGCCUACAAGCCUGCACGGCGCGACCACCCCCAGGCCGCGCCAUGGGGGCUUGUGGGCAGCCCACUGGCCCACUGGCCCCCCUCUUUUGCUAUAUGGAGGGUUUUGUCCAGGAAAAAAUCAAGGAGGAGCUUUUUCGUGGUUUCGCCGCCGCCACGAGGCGGAACUUGAGCAGAACCGAUCUAGAGCUCCGGCACGACGAUCCUGCCGGGGAAACUUCCCUCCCGGAGGGGGAAAUUGUCGCCAUCGUCAUCACCAACACUCCUCUCAUCGGAGGGGAUUCGUCACCAUCAACAUCUUCAUCAGCACCAUCUCAUGUCCAAACCCUAGUUCAUUUCUUGUAACCAAUCUCUGUCUCGCGACUCCGAUUGGUACUUGUAAGGUUGCUAGUAGUGUUGCUUACUCUUUGUAGUUGAUGCUAGUUGGAUUAUUUGGUGGAAGAGUUUAUGUUCAGAUCCUUGAUGCUACUCAUUACCUCUCUGGUCAUGAAUAUGGUUAUGCUUUGUGAGUAGUUACUUUUGUUCCUGAGGACAUGGGAUAAGUCAUGCUAAUAGUAGUCAUGUGAAUUUGGUAUUCGUUCGGUAAUUUGAUUUGUUGUAUGUUGUUUUUCCUCUAGUGGUGUUAUGUGAACGUCGACUACAUAACACUUCACCAUUAUUUGGGCCUAGAGGAAGGCAUUGGGAAGUAGUAAGUAGAUGAUGGGUUGCUAGAGUGACAGAAGCUUAAACCCUAGUUUACGCAUUGCUUCAUAAGGGGCUUAUUUGGAUCCACUAGUUUAAUGCUAUGGUUAGACUUUGUCUUAAUUUUUCUUUCGUAGUUGCAGAUGCUUGCGAGAGGGGUUAAUCAUAAGUGGGAUGAUUGUCCAAGUAAGGGCAGUACCCAAGCGCGGGUCCACCCACUUAACAAACUAUCAAAGUAACGAAUGCGAAUCAUAUGAACAUGAUGAAACUAGCAUGACAGAAAUUCCCGUGUNNNNNNNNNNNNNNNNNNNNNNNNNNNNNNNNNNNNNNNNNNNNNNNNNNNNNNNNNNNNNNNNNNNNNNNNNNNNNNNNNNNNNNNNNNNNNNNNNNNNCGCCCGCCCCUGCGCCAGCCCCGGCCGCCCCUGCGCCCCGCCCCGGCCUGAGCCGCCCACCUCGCCGCUGCAGCAGUUCCCCGACGCCCCGAUGAGCUCCUGUUCCAAUCCUUCUCCACCUCCACACUUCUACCAUGGUGCCCUCGCGAGCUCCAGUGUACAUAUUCUUCCUGGUUUUGCUAGAUAAGUAGAACAAAAUUAUUGGCAGAGAGGCAAUUGAUACAUGCCCUGUGUAUGUGAGUUUCUAGCCAACUGAAUUUUUUUCAGGCAAGUCAUAACAGAUUUUGCUUCAGGUUUCAUGGUUUCAGGUUUCAGGUUUCAUGACAGAUUUUGCCCUGUGCAAUUGAUACAUGCCCUGUGCAAUUAGUUGUUUCAGGUUUUUCCCUGUGCAAUUGAUACCGAUUUUGCUUCAGGUUCCAUGAUUUCAGGUUUCAGGUUUCAUAACAGAUUUCAUGGCAGAUUUUGCUGCUAAGAAAUCAGUUACAAAUAGAGGCUAGUAAAUAGAUUUUGCAUGAUAUGCUUACCUUGUAUUUUUCUUCAGAUUGCUGCUAAAAAAUAAGUUAGCAUGUAAUAAUUUGGUUUCAAAUUUUCAUGAUAUGCUUACCUUGUAUUUUGCUUCAGAUUGUCAUGAUCUUCCAAAGUUGCUAUUAUUUCACUUUACAUUUUAUCUCCAUUGUCAAAUGUUUUACUCAUGAAUUAUGAUGUAUCUUUGUUUUACUUUUCUAUGUCCUAUUUGAUUCGAACAAUUGUUGUGAUUUGCUCAAACAUUGUUGUAAUAAUUUGAAUGAUUAUUGUUUUAUUCGGUGGUGUAAUAAUAACUAGAAUGAUUAUUGUUUUAUGUCAAAUGUGAUUGAAUUUGUGAUAUGUCAUAUGAUGAAAUGUGAUGAAAUGUGUGAUAUAUGAAAUGACAGUUUUAAGGGUUGGGGUUGGGACAAAGACUAGAACCCUCAAACCCAACCCUUAUAACGGAAUAUUCCGUUAUAAGGGUUGGGUUUGAGGGUUCUAGUCUUUGCCCUUGUUUUUCAACCCUUAAAAGUGUCAAAAAUGGCCAAUUCUCAACCCUUAAAACUGGUUUUAGAUUUAAGGGUUUGAGGGUUCUACUAGAGAUGCUCUAAGCCAGGCAAUUGUAAGCACAACAUCUAGUGACUAAAUGACACAUAUCUGGAGGGUCGCCCCAGGGAAACUCUGGAUACAGGCCGUCAUCCUUAGUACAGACAUACUGAUUGGGUCGGAUUCGGCAAGAAUCUCAUCUUUUGUUGUAUCUAAAGCAACUAUUUCCCUUGCAGUGAGUUGUAACUCUACCAUGAUCUGAACUGCACCAGAUGAUGCUUUGUUGUCCAAUUACUGCAAUUCUAAGCACAAAAUCUAGUAACUAAAUGACACACGUAUGGAGGGUCGCACUAGACUGAUUUCAGUAUACACAAAAUGGCAGCGAACUUCCUUUUGCUGUUUGACAUUUAGCUGAAGAGUUUGUAUCUAUCUAUCUAUCUGUUCAUGUUCAGUGUAGAACUGUGCACAAAGCUCCUCGGGGUCAAAGGACAAAGGCCAAGAAGCGCUAACCUCUUCAUAUGGCACAGCAUUGGCAGCAAGAUCUUUGAGAGAAAACCCGCCAAGCUGGAGCCUUUGGGAUCCAAAGAGGCCCACCGCUGCAAGCGUGGUGAGCACAGCUAUCCGUCUGUUGAGACCCCUGUCUGGAACAGGUGGGUCUACAGCAGCCUCCUGGGGCGUGCUGCUGCUUGGCUGAGCCUUCUCUUCACCCAGCUCAGCUUUCACCUGCUGUUCGUCCUGUGGAAGCAAACGGGAGCANNNNNNNNNNNNNNNNNNNNNNNNNNNNNNNNNNNNNNNNNNNNNNNNNNNNNNNNNNNNNNNNNNNNNNNNNNNNNNNNNNNNNNNNNNNNNNNNNNNNUUAUACCUACCAACCCUCCCCCUAGGAGUAUGCGUUGAAUGCUUUGUUUCGAUUACUAAUAAAACUUUUGCAACAAGUAUAUGAGUUCUUCAUGACUAAUGUUGAGUCCAUGGUUUAGAUGCACUUUCACCUUCCACCAUCACUAUCUUCUUGGUGCCGUGCAACUUUCGCCGGUGCACAAUACCCACCAUUAGCCUCCCUCAAAACAGCCACCAUACCUACCUACUAUGGCUUUUUCAAAUUUAUUCUGAUAUAUAUUGCCAUGCAACUACCACCAUGACAUGUGCCACCACGUCUACAUUGCCAUUGCAUGAUCGUAAGAUAGCUAGCAUGAUGUUUCCAUUGAUGUCUAUGCCAUGCUAGAUCAUUGCCACGGUACACUACCGAAGGCAUUCCAUAUAGAGUCAUAGUUGCUCUAAGUUUUGAGUUGAAAGUGUGAUGAUCAUCAUUAAUGGAGCAUUGUCCCAUGUGAGGAAAUAAAAGAGGCCAAAGAAGCCCACACACACACACAAAAAAAGAGUCCAAAGAGCCCACCAAAUAAAAAAAUGAGAGAAAAAGAGAGAAGGGACAAUGCUACCACUUUUUCCACACUUGUGCAUAUUAAGCACCAUGAUCUUCAUGAUUGAGAGUCUCUCGUUUUGUCACCANNNNNNNNNNCAAAAAAAAGAGGCCAAAGAGCCCACCAAAAUAAAAAAAUGAGAGAAAAAGAGAGAAGGGACAAUGCUACCACUUUNNNNNNNNNNUCAUAUAGCUAGUGGGAAAUUUUCAUUAUAUAACUUGGCUUGUAUAUUCCAAUGAUAGGCUUCCUCAAAAUUGCCUUAGGUCUUCGUGAGCAAGCAAGUUGGAUGCACACCUACUAGUUUUAUUUAAGAGCUUUCACAUACUCGUAGCUCUAGUGCAUCAUUAGUAUGGCAAUCCGUACUCAUUCACAUUGAUAUCUAUUGAUGAGCAUCUCCACAGCUCAUUGAUAUGCCUAGNNNNNNNNNNCCAUAUAGCUAGUGGGAAUUUUUCAUUAUAUAACUUGGCUUGUAUAUUCCAAUGAUAGGCCUCCUCAACAUUGCCUUAGGUCUUCGUGAGCAAGCAAGUUGGAUGCACACCCACUAGUUUUCUUUAAGAGCUUUCACAUACUCGUAGCUCUAGUGCAUCAUUUGUAUGGCAAUCCCUACUCAUUCCCAUUGAUAUCUAUUGAUGAGCAUCUCCACAGCUCAUUGAUAUGCCUAGUUAAUGUGACUAUCUUCUCCUUUUUGUCUUGCAACCUCCACCACAUUCCACACCAUCUAUAGUGGUAUAACCAUGGCUCACGCUCAUGUAUUGCGUGAGAGUUGAAAAGGUUUGAGAAAGUAAAGGUGUGNNNNNNNNNNGUAUGCUUUUGUAGGGAUAACUUUCUUAUGGCCUUGUUAUUUUGAAAGUUCAUGAUUACUUUGCUAGUUUGCUUGAAUUAUUAUUGUUUCCACGUCAAUAGCAAACUAUUGUUUUGAAUCUAAUGGAUCUGAACAUUCACUUCACAUAAGAGGAAUUACAAAGGACACCUAUGCUAGGUAGCAUGAAAGCAUCAAAAAUUCAUUCUUAUCACUUCCCUACUCGAGGACGAGCAGGAGUUAAGCUUGGGGAUGCNNNNNNNNNNNNNNNNNNNNNNNNNNNNNNNNNNNNNNNNNNNNNNNNNNNNNNNNNNNNNNNNNNNNNNNNNNNNNNNNNNNNNNNNNNNNNNNNNNNNCCGAUGAAUUGUCGAUUCGUGAUCAGAUUCUCUAUGAUAUAUAUUUGAGUCUUUGCUGAUUUCUUAUAUGCAUGAUUUGAUAUCCUUGUAAGUCUCUCCGAGUCUUGGGUUUUGUUUGGCCAACUAGAUCUAUGAUUCUUGCAAUGGGAGAAGUGCUUGGUUUUGGGUUCUACCAUGUGGUGACGUUUCCCAGGGAAAGUAGGGGCAGCAAGGCACACAUCAAGUAGUUGCCAUCAAGGGUAAAAAGAUGGGGUUUUUAUCAUUGGUUUGAGAUUAUCCNNNNNNNNNNUGAGUCUUGGGUUUUGUUUGGCCAACUAGAUCUAUGAUUCUCGCAAUGGGAGAAGUGCUUGGUUUUGGGUUCUACCAUGUGGUGACCAUUCCCAGUGACAGUAGGGGAAGCAAGGCACACAUCAAGUAGUUGUCAUCAAGGGUAAAAAGAUGGGGUUUUUAUCAUUGGUUUGAGAUUAUCCCUCUACAUCAUGUCAUCUUGCUUAAGGCGUUACUCUAUUCUUAUGGACUUAAUACACUAGAUGCAUGCUGUUGGGGAUAUUCCCUGCUGUUGUGACCCGCAAAUAUGGGUCGGGUUACUGUUAAGGCGAUUCAUCCUUUAAGGCUAGUUGGGCCUCAGCNNNNNNNNNNNNNNNNNNNNNNNNNNNNNNNNNNNNNNNNNNNNNNNNNNNNNNNNNNNNNNNNNNNNNNNNNNNNNNNNNNNNNNNNNNNNNNNNNNNNAGUAGCGGUGGUAAGUAUUUCCCUCAGUUUGAGAACCAAGGUAUCAAUCCAGUGGAGGAGUAUCUCAAGAUCCUGCACAAACACAAAAGCUUGCUCCCAACGCUAUGAAGCGGUUGUCAAUCCCUUAUAGAUUGUUUGCCAAGUGAGAACUGAAAGCACCAAAGUAACAAAGCAAAGUAAAAGCGGAGGUGUAAACGAUGGAUGUGAAUAGACCCCGGGGCCGUAGUGUUUACUAGUGGCUUCUCUCAUGAAAGCAAGCAGACGGCGGGUGAACAAAUUACUGUCGAGCAAUUGAUAGAACCGCGCAAAAUUGUGACGAUAUCUAUGCAAUGAUUAUAUCUAUAGGCAUCACGUCCAAAACAAGUAGACCGAUACUUUCUACAUCUACUACUAUUACUCCACACGUCGACCGCUAUCCAACAUGCAUCUAGUGUAUUAAGUCCAUAAGAAGAGAGUACCGCCUUAACCAAGAUGACAUGAUGUAGAGGGAUAAUCUCAAACCAAUGAUAAAAACCCCAUCUUUUUACCCUUGAUGGCAACUACUUGAUGUGUGCCUUGCUGCCCCUACUUUCCCUGGGAAACGUCACCACAUGGUAGAACCCAAAACCAAGCACUUCUCCCAUUGCAAGAAUCAUNNNNNNNNNNACAAAGACUCAAAUAUAUAUCAUAGAUAAUCUGAUCACAAAUCCACAAUUCAUCGGAUCUCGACAAACACACCGCCAAAGAAGAUUACAUCGGAUAGAUCUCCAUGAAGAUCAUGGAGAACUUUGUAUUGAAGAUCCAAGAGAGAGAANNNNNNNNNNAGAUCUAGUUGGCCAAACAAAACCCAAGACUCGGAGAGACUUACAAGGAUAUCAAAUCAUGCAUAUAAGAAAUCAGCAAAGACUCAAAUAUAUAUCAUAGAGAAUCUGAUCACGAAUCGACAAUUCAUCGGAUCUCGACAAACACACCGCCAAAGAAGAUUACAUCGNNNNNNNNNNACUACGGACCCGUAGGUCUGAAGUGAACUACUCACGAGUCAUUGGAGGGGCGAUGAUGAUGAUGAAGAAGCCCUCCAACUCCAAAGUCCCCUCCGGCAGAGCGCCGGGAAGGGUCUCCAGAUGAGAUCUCGCGGAAACGGAAGCUUGCGGCGGCGGAAAAGUAUUUUCGAGGCUCCCCUGAUUUUUNNNNNNNNNNNNNNNNNNNNNNNNNNNNNNNNNNNNNNNNNNNNNNNNNNNNNNNNNNNNNNNNNNNNNNNNNNNNNNNNNNNNNNNNNNNNNNNNNNNNUGAAUGCGUAACUUUUUUGGCACACUAGUUUAAUGCCUAGAUUUAGUUCACACUAGUUUAAUGCCUAAAGGAAUUUUGUUCAUAUUAUGUAGGAUGUUUCAGCCGGAUAAAUAUCCGGGACUUGAUGAGUUCUACGAGCAGAAGCAUCGUGCGGUGCUAGUUGAAAGAGGAGAAGUAAUUAUGAUGGUCUUGAUGAUUAUUUUUCUAUAUUCCAUGAUUUUCAUAUUGUGACAAAUUAUGCGAUUGUUGGUUUAGGUUCCUCCAGUACUUUGUUUGAGGGGGCACAACCCGAAUGAAUCUCUGUUAUAUGACCCUCGGUACGAGCCUUAUUUUAGAAGAAUGGAUCUUCUUCAGUUUGUGCUCAACUUUAAAGGCACACCACCAUGGUUGAACGCCAUGGUACUUACCGCCCUUACAGACCGUUGGAGGCCGGAGACGCACUCUUUUCACCUUCCUCUUGGUGAGAUGACAAUAACUCUAGAGGAUAUUGGUAUGAUCACCGGGCUUCCUAUCGAGGGCAGGGCUCUUACAGGGAAGGUUAGGUCCGAUGGAUGGCGACAAAGGGUUGCACCAUUGAUACGCCCAUUUUGCAUCAUGCUUUCAUGUUGAUAUUUAUUGCUUUAUGGGCUGNNNNNNNNNNNNNNNNNNNNNNNNNNNNNNNNNNNNNNNNNNNNNNNNNNNNNNNNNNNNNNNNNNNNNNNNNNNNNNNNNNNNNNNNNNNNNNNNNNNNGGUAUUUCUUUAUGUGGCGCCAUGGGCCCCUUGGGCUGACUCCACCAGCCCACUAAGGACUUGUGGCGCCACCCAAGUGCCUUGUGCUCACUCCCGGGUGGGUGGGCCCCUCCCGGUGAACUCCCGGAACCCAUUCGUCACUCCCGGUACACUACCAGAAUUGCCUGAAACUUUCCGGUGACCAAAUGAAACCAUCCUAUAUAUCAAUCUUCGUUUCCGGACUAUUCAGGAAACCCUCGUGACGUCUGUGAUCUCAUCCGGGACUCCGAACAACAUUCGGUAACCACACAUAUAACUCAACUAUACUAAAACAUCAUCGAACCUUAAGUGUGCAGACCCUCCGGGUUCUAGAACUAUGUAGACACGCCCCGAGGCACUCCUCGGUCAAUAUCCAAUAGCGGGACCUGGAUGCCCAUAUUGGAUCCUACAUAUUCUCCGAAGAUCUUAUCGGUUGAACCUCAGUGUCAAGGAUUCAUAUAAUCCCGUAUGUCAUUCCCUUUGUCCUUCACUAUGUUACUUGCCCGAGAUUUGAUCGUCGGUAUCCACAUACCUAUUUCAAUCUCGUUACCGGCAAGUCUCUUUACUUGUUCUAUAAUACAAGAUCCCGUGACUUACACUUAGUCACAUUGCUUACAAGGCUUGUGUGUGAUGUUGUAUUACCGAGUGGGCCCCGAGAUACCUCUCCGUCACAUGGAGUGAAAAAUCCCAGUCUUGAUCCAUACUAACUCAACGGACACCUUCAGAGACACUUGUAGAGCACCUUUAUAGUCACCCAGUUACGUUGUGACGUUUGAUGCACACAAGGUAUUCCUCCGGUGCCACUGAGUUAUAUGACCUCACGUUCAUAGGAACAAAUACUCGACGCACAGAAAACAGUAACAAUAAAACGACACGAUCAAUAUGCUACCUUCAUAGUUUGGGUCUAGUCCAUCACUUGCAUAUAGCCAGGAAGCCUUGACUAUCAUUGAUCAACUGGCUAGCCAACUAGAGGCUUGCUAGGGACAUUGUUUUGUCUAUGUAUNNNNNNNNNNNNNNNNNNNNNNNNNNNNNNNNNNNNNNNNNNNNNNNNNNNNNNNNNNNNNNNNNNNNNNNNNNNNNNNNNNNNNNNNNNNNNNNNNNNNUGUCUUGUUUUUUUUUUUCUUUUUUAGGGAGGUAAACGGCUUGUAUUUUGAAAUAAAAAAAGGUACAUAAUACUACUUCCUCUAUCUUAAAAUAACUGUUUUAAUUUUAUACUAUCUUUAGUAUAAAAUUAUAUUAAAUUUAAGAUAUUUAUUUUAGAACAGAGGGAGUACUACUGAAUUCAUAUUGUUGUCAAAAGUCAGAGCCCAUGAUAUGCUGUGAUAACAAGCUUAAAUUAAAAUAUUGCAUGCAUGAAAUAAUACAUUGGGAUCUGCCCACCACGUGUCAAGCGGGUCCGCGGAGAAUUGUCCAGACCGCGCGCCACCUGUUCCGUCGACCCCAGCAGGUCCUGGCAGCUGCCGGCCUGUACAUAUUUCCUAUCCGCGCAGGCACAGCCUAGCACAAAUCAAACCCCAAGCCCGAGGCCAUCCAUCCAUCCCUGCGCAGAGCUCGAUCCGCACAGUGCGAGGCUUGAGAUUUUUCCAGGUCUCGGCGAUUCGGGGGAAGAUGGCGCCGUCGUUCCUCGCGAUGAAGACGGGCGCGGCGUCCGGCGCGUCGGAGGCGGCGCAGGCGCUGCUCGAGUCGGACCUGCGGGAGCUGGGCAUGGCCGCGCGGAAGCUCGCCAACCACGCCAUCGUCCUCGGCGGCGGCCUCGGCNNNNNNNNNNNNNNNNNNNNNNNNNNNNNNNNNNNNNNNNNNNNNNNNNNNNNNNNNNNNNNNNNNNNNNNNNNNNNNNNNNNNNNNNNNNNNNNNNNNNAGCCUCCACCGAUCAGUAAAUGCAGUGAUUGCCGCAGCGUUCAGGUUGGGCAUUGACCGGCUCACAAGCUGAAUGAAUGGAAGGAGUCGUGUCAUCUCGAUGUAUGGUGUGUACUGCUCAUCAUACGACAUGACAGUCAAUGCCCCGUGAGACCGAAUCUUCAAGGGCAUAAGCUUCAGCAAACAUAGAGUGAUAUGAUUAUGGUUUGAUCUUUUCAAAUAAAUACAUGUUUUUUGAAGAUGAUAGUAUGUUGUAUUUACCAUCAGCAGCUCCGACAUCAAGUAGGCCCGGUGUUCAACGUCAUAGGCAUCAUUCAAAAGCCACACCAUCUCACAUAUUACAAAAAAAAUCAAGUAACUUCUCAUAUAUAUUCAUCUACUCAUAUAUGAAUAGUCAUCUACUCAUCUAAAUAUUACAAAAAACAACUAACUUCUCAUAUAGGAAUAAUCAUCCACUCAUCUACGAAUAGGAAUAGGAAUAGUCAUCUACUCAUCCUACUCAUAUAGGAAUAGUCAUCUACUCAUCUACAUAUAGGAAUAGGAAUAGUCAUCUACUCAUCCUACUCAUAUAGAAAUAGUCAUCUACUCAUUUACAUAUUACAAAAAAAUACAACUAACUUCUCAUAUAGGAAUAAGCAUCUACUCAUCCACAUAUAGGAAUAUGAAUAGUCAUCUAGUCAUCCUACUCAUAUAGGAAUAGUCAUCUACUCAUCUACAUAUAGGAAUAGGAAUAGUCAUCUACUCAUCCUACUCAUAUAGGAAUAGUCAUCUACUCAUCUACAUAUAGGAAUAGGAAUAGUCAUCUACUCAUCCUACUCAUAUAGGAAUAGUCAUCUACUCAUCUACAUAUAGAAAUAGGAAUAGUCAUCUACUCAUCCUACUCAUAUAGGAAUAGACAUCUACUCAUCUACAUAUAGGAAUAGGAAUAGUCAUCUACUCAUCCUACUCAUAUAGGAAUAGUCAUCUACUCAUCUACAUAUAGGAAUAGGAAUAGUCAUCUACUCAUCCUACUCAUAUAGGAAUAGUCAUCUACUCAUCUACAUAUAGGAAUAUGAAUAGUCAUCUACUUAUCUACUCAUCUACGUAUUACAAAAAAUACAACUAACUUCAAAACCACACCAUCUACUCAUAUAGGAAUAGUCAUCUAUGGAUCGUACAUGAUCAUCUACUCAUCUACUUAUCUAGGAAUCAUAAAAUACAACUAACUUCUCAUAUAUAUUUCAAAUCCAAGCAAAACAUGGCUCUCAUCCAAACUAACACAAAUCUGAAAAAUUUACAAUAUUAUUUGGAUAGAAAGAUGGGAAAUAGAAAAGAUUACCUUCUAAACCAAUUUAGGGUAUAAAUCUACGAAAAAAGUCCACAGAUCUGAAGGAUUUAAAAUAGAUGCUUGAGAGGAGGAGAUGAGGCAGCCGUCGCCACGCUCUGUGAGGAAGAAAACGAGUGCGGUGGGGGUUGGGAGAGGGCCGUCCCGCGACUGGAUAAGUAAGGGUGUGGUGCCUAAGCCCUCGACGUCACACUGCCGUAAGUGCAACGACUGAGGCUUAGGCGUCACACUACUUGGUGCGGUGGGGUCGGACGUCGGGGUGGACAGGGAUGUGGCCUAGUCCGGCCUCGGCCAUGUGUAGGAGGAGCUGGCAUCUCUUGGACGCGAGCGCCGGGUCAAAUCGGGGCCUCGGCCGGCCGACCAGCGACGCCACCCGCGCACGCGGCUGAGACCCAGCCCGGCGUCGCGAUCACACGCACGAUCAUUCUGUCGCUUGCCGAUGGCCCUGCCACCCCAUGCAUGCAUGGGACGCGUGCUUGCUCGCGUACGUGACAAUCUGGCCUUUGCUUUGUCCGAUUACCCGUCCCUAACCAUCAUACUGUCACAGUUCAUACUUCAUACUGUCACAGUUCAUACUGUCACGCGGUGACCCAGACAAGCAAUCAUGGACAAUGGUUGGUCGUAUUUAUUUUAUGUUUACUGGGAGGACGUAGAAUUAGGUGCUGGCUGCGAUCAAGAGGGAGGGAACCAACAACAUUUGUAGAUCUUGGCAUACAUGAUGAUGAUGCUGGUCUCCAGCGAAUACAGCCAAUUAUUUGUCGUGUGUCAUGUGAGGCGCGCGCAUCACAUCACACCACGCCAGCUUCUUCUGCUAGCUGUGGAGGGAAGAAGAAUGUGGCGUAGAUGGUUUUGUUUAGCAGUUUAUAGGCUCUGCAUUGUCCCUUGCUCGGUACUGUUGCCCAUGGGACUUUCUAUUCCGGAAUACUUGCGGCUCCGUGCAUGCAUACAAUAGUUCGGACAGCGGACCUACUAUUUUUUGCACGAGCACUGAAUGACAGAAACACUUUAGCCUCGUGAAAAUGCAUGCGAUAGGGCGCCAAGGUUUCGUCAACUUGUCACACCAUGCACGCUCAUGGCAUGACGACCACAAAAGGCGUUGGAUCGGCCGGCGAAAGGCUCGGGCAAAGGUUUGCUCCUGGCUUGGACCGCAUGCUGGAUGAAACGGCCGCUUCCGCUCGCCGUCCGUUCGUUCGUCCCAUAAAGGUUUUUGCACAAAGCUGAGACACACCACCGGUUGCUGCUUGCCACCAUACCCUGCAACGGCAUCGCAAAGAUCGCCAGCAUCUGCAUCGGUAUCUGCAAAUAUUCUCUCGUGCUCUUCCGUCCAUCCAUUCAUCAGUCAUUUCAUUUCGCUGGACGGACGCAACGUGUUCCGGAGCUGAUCUGAAUGUAGAGGGCCUAUGAACAGAAGGAACCACAGUCCCAACAGCAGAUUGUGGGUUGUACGUACAAGUCUGAUGAUGGGAAGCACUCACUCGUCGGUGUCGAACUUGACCUGAAUCAAGACUCAACAGCUCGAGACAGAAGCAGCUUCAGCUGGCCUGAAGCCAUGGAGCCAUCGAAAACCACCAAAGGCUGGAAAAAAACACUCAAGUUACCCUUGACCGUAGCCUUUCUCUCGAACUCCGACGCUCUCAAAGAAAAGUUGAAGCAAGCUAGCUAGGGAGCUUUACCGAAAGGCUCUCCCUCGCCUGCUUUCGCAUCUCGUUGGGCCACUGCUGGAUUCCCCUAGGUUUCUGUAGCCACAACUCACAACUGAACAAAUGUUCAUAAAAAAACAGAGACAAAACAGUCAUGCCCAUUUGCCCAAAUUUGCCCAUAAGAAACACUCGUAAAACGCUGGCACGCAAAACUCUUUUACAUUUCGUGUAAAAACAGUUCUGCGAAUAUUCUAUUUUACGGGUUAACUACGAGGCAUCUGCUCGGCCGCAGUCCAUUUCGGCCCGUAAACAGAAAACCAUAAAUUAGCCAAUUUAAUGACGAUUCCAACGAUUGAGUUUAUGUUCAAAUAAUAAAAUAUAGUUCGCACGUAAAUAAAAGCAUACUCCCUCUGUUCCUAAAUAUAGGUCUUUUUAGAGAUUGUAUUAGUGGACUACAUACGAAGCAAAAUGAGUGAAUCUACGUUUUAAAAUAUGUCUAUGUACAUCCGUAUGUAGUCCUCUAAUGAAAUAUCUAAAACUAUUUAUAUUUAGAAACGGAGGGAGUAGUCUUCUACGACAAACGCAGAAGAACUUCAUGCAAAAGCAACAACCACGUCCAUCAUCAUCUUGGUCGCUUCUCAUCCGUCGUCAUGAUCUUCACUCCGCACCACCGCCAUCGAUGACAUCGCCGCGAACAAUGUCAUCACCGGUACUUGUUUCAACUGCGGCACGGAAAGCAUAGCAGGGCGCACUGAAAGCAUCUGCGACACUGGUUCCAACUCUUAAUGGGAAAACAUCACCGGCACCAAAACACCCACCGAUCGUCGCUACCAUCCUCUCUUCAAGAUGUCUCUCCUUGCCAUAUCAUGUCAUUCUUUGACGAUGUCGUCCAUGUCAUCGCGGUUCAAUGUCAUGAUCUUGUCGGAGGGGAUUGCGCGUGCGUGACAUCCACGAUGACAGGGAAGGUUGUGAGGCUUCCAUGGCGACGAAGAAUGACCGGGGAAGAUGAACCAGAGCGGACGAAGGCGGGGCAAUGGCAGCGAAGGGGGUGGGAAGCGGAAACAUCCGCGCGAAAAUUUCCCUCGUGCCAAAUCUCGCUACGGAUAGGGGGUGAGGUCGGAUUGGCCUCCCAUCCCAUAAAUCUAAAGGUUGAAGACGAACUAUUGUCACACCCCGUAAAUAUUUACAGGUCGCGGUCCUAUACAGGUCUGAUCGGACAACUUUUUUCACGUGGACCCGUAUUUUAUUGGUCAGGACAUUAUACAGGGUUGCUGUAGAUGUUCUAAGGCAGCCAAAAGUGAGCACACACGUCCCUUAUGAACUGUUGCCUCGUGUCAUGGGUGAUGACAAGCUUCCACAGCGUAUUGGUAGUAUAUACAUGAACCAGGUUUGUUUUUAGAAAAGAUAUGAACCAGGUUAAGGCAGUGACUGUGGCUUUGUCCGUGCCUUUUCGUGUGCUCCUUCCAUGCCCCAUACCACGGCACGCCAUGGCGCACUGCCAGGCGCCAAGCCCAUCGAUCUCCGGCACACGACGCAGGCACGCCCACCACGCACCGGGCAGAGGCGGACUGACACACCCCCACCGGCACGAGCGCUGGUGACCAGUGACACCGAAGCCUCUUUUGGUGCGGCGAGGGAGCAGCCGGCUCGCCGGGUACCUGGCGCUGCGUCGUGAUCUACCUACCACCACUGUAAACCUGCACCUCUCUCUGUAUCUCCGUCCCUCUACGCAAUAAAUGGCGGGUACGCCAGCGCCUCCGGCAUUCAUGGCCGGAGCACGCCUCCCCAUUUAUCACGGCCAGGUCAGGCGAUGAUGUCCUUGGACGAUUCAAACAUUUUCCCAAGGCAGCGGCGCGAGUUCUUCAAAGUUCAAAAACCUGCAGGCUUCGGUGUUCCUGGUCGCUUGACCUGUCUGACAGAGAGAGAUGGCUGGAUCAUAUGGUAAUGGCGGCAUGGACGUUGGUGUUAACGAAAAGAACAGUCUUUACCUGGUCUCGUGCCGCGAGAUUCCCUUCAUUCCUCUCGUUGUUAGCGCCUAAUCAGCCCGGCUCGCGCCCAGUUGGGCUAAUCUAAUGCCGCUUUUGGCUUGUCGCGUGAUCCGGACAGACGGGCCUCUGGAUCACUAGUAACUCUACAAAAUGAGCAACUCCGGACGAGUCAUCUCGUUGGGUAUAGCACACUGUAAAAAUCUCGGCGUUCCUACUGAAUUCCCGGGAAACUGAUGCGUUUGGAAACUGCUUCAGUUUUAUGUGAGGUGGUUGGCAGGGCCAGGUCGAGGCAUACCGAACACGUGAACGGCCCUAGCACUCUACGUGAGCUUCACUCUUGCUGUGACCGAUCCUGAUGGCGAUUAUACCAAAAAAGAAAGAGUAUUUUUAAGUCAGUAGGGUGGACGGCAGUCGAGUCUUGCAGAGAGGGGUUGCUGAAACUGUAGUUUAGGAGAAAGCCAGCACUGUUGGUUGAAUAAACAAAUUAACAAAGCGGGGUGGGGUGAUGGAGGAUACGUGCUUUUGAGGCAAGCUGAGCAGGAGAGCAGGGUGGCGGUGGCACUCGCUCAAAGAAAACAAAAUUCGCCAUCCUGCCUCCUUCUCCCUCCGUCCUCACUCCUAAAAUCGGAAUCAUUUAACUCCGCACCUAAUACAGACGCCAGAAUACCAGGGGUACGCCAUUAUUGCGACCGAGCAAGCUCCCCGUUCUCCUGCUCCUUGUACGCGAGCCGAGCCGAGCCGAGCCGAGCAUCCAUCCAUCACUCCCCAAAUGCCUUAGCAGAGAGUGGCUUCGAGGAUUGUCGCCAUGAUGCAGGGGAGCAGGAAAGCCAAGGGANNNNNNNNNNNNNNNNNNNNNNNNNNNNNNNNNNNNNNNNNNNNNNNNNNNNNNNNNNNNNNNNNNNNNNNNNNNNNNNNNNNNNNNNNNNNNNNNNNNNUAUCAUCAGGCAUAGUAUGAAGCAUAGAAUCUCUAGCAGUAGUAUCACAAGCAUCAUCAAGCACAGGCGACAUAUCAAGAUUUCUAGCAGGAGGUGAUGUCGCAAACUUACUCAUAACUGAAGGUGAAUCAAGUGCAGAGCUAGAUGGCAAUUCCUUACCUCCCCUCGUAGUUAAGGGCAAGACGUUAUUCUUCGGAUCCUUCAGAUUCUUCAUAGUGAUCAGCAGAUAUAAAUCCCAAGUAACUUAGAGAAUAUAGCAAUACCUCCCCGGCAACGGCGCCAGAAAAAUGUUGACGUCAGCUGUGCUUCCCCGGCAAUGGCGCCAGAAAAGUGUUGAUCCUGCAAUCUCUAGUGUUAGCUAGACGAAUGCUUAUGACAACGAACCUUCUCCUGCAACGGCACCAGAAGAAUGCUGCUAGCACUCCCCGGCAAUGAGACUGGAAGAAUGUUGUUGAUGGCCCACCAGCGCGUGGGUUCGCAGCAGUUUUCGAUGGUAGAGUAUUCGACCCAAUUUGUUGAUCGCCUAAAGGAGGUGAGAGAAUACUCUCGAGUAUUAGCAGCUGAAUUUAUCAGAUUCAACAACACCUGAAAGAUUAGUAUCUGCAAGCACAGUAGUAACGACAAAGUAAUAUGAUAACAACGGUGUCAGAAACGAUCUGUUGACGACAGACUAUUCCUAACAAUUGUAUCAAUGGCGCCUUCGUUGCCGCGUUGACGGAAGUUGUCAAUUGUCGUCAACGGUAGGUGAACCAACAGUGUAGCAGGUAGCAGCAGUGUAACGAGCAGUAGCAGCGGCAAGGAACAACAGUAGUGACAGCAGUAGCAAGUAGCAAUAGUAGCAAGCGACAGUAGUAGCAACAGUAGCAGCAGAGAAAAACAAGUAACAACCCUAGUGAUAGCAGUAGCAGCAGCAGAGCAAACAAGUAACAGCAGUAGCAACAGUAGUAGCAGCAGCAGCAGAGCAAGACAAGUAACAGCAGUAGCAACAGUAGGACAAACUCGUAGGCAAUGGGUCGGUGAUUUGUUUGGAUGAUAUUCAUCAUGCAACAACUAUAACACAGAGAGAUAUGUGGCUAGCUCCCGUUCGUCAAUGUGAUGUAGGCAUGCAUUCCGUGUGUCGUCAUACGUGCUUAGGGAAAAGAACUUGCAUGACAUCUAUUGUCCAUCCCUCCCGUGGCAGCGGGGUCCAAAAGGAAACUACGGGAUAUUAAGGUUCUCCUUUUAAUAAAGAACCGGACCAACGCAUUAGCACUUGGUGAACACAUGAACUCCUCAAACUAUGGUCAUCACCGGGAAUGGUUCCGGUUAUUAUCACUCCGGGGUUGCCGGAUCAUAACACAUAGUAGGUAACUACAACUUGCAAGAUCGGAUCUAAAACACACAUAUAUUGGUGACAACAUAAUAAUUUCAGAUCUGAAAUCAUGGCACUCGGGCCCUAGUGACAAGCAUUAAGCAUGGCAAAGUAGUAGCAACAUCAAUCUUAGAACAUAGUGGAUACUAGGGAUCAAUCCCCAUCAAAACUAACUCGAUUACAUGAUAGAUCUCAUCCUACUCAUCACCGCCCAGCGAUCCUACGAAUAGAUUACUCACGAACGACGAAGAGCUUCAUGGACUUGGAGAGGGAAGGAGGUUGAUGAUGACGAUGGCGACGAUUUCCCCUCUCCGGAGCCCAAGACAGACUCCAGAUCUGCCCUCCAGAUGAAGAACAGGAGGUGGCGGCGCCUCCGUAUCGAAAACGCAACGAAAACUUCUCUUUUUAUUUUUUCUGGGACGAAAGGCAACUUAUAGAGCUGGAGUUGGGGGCGGCAGGUGCCUGUGGUCCCCACAAGCCUGCCUACCGCCACCAGGGGGAUGGUGGCGGAGCAGGGGCUUGUGGCCCACUGGCCCACCCCGUGAGGUGGAACUUGGCGCAGAUAUUUUUGAUAGUUUCCAAAACUGCUCCCCGUAAAUUUUUAGGACGUUUGGAGAACUUUGAUUUCUGCACAAAAAUAACACCAAGGCAAUUCUGCUGAAAANNNNNNNNNNNNNNNNNNNNNNNNNNNNNNNNNNNNNNNNNNNNNNNNNNNNNNNNNNNNNNNNNNNNNNNNNNNNNNNNNNNNNNNNNNNNNNNNNNNNUUGUGUGCAUCAAACGUCACAACGUAACUGGGUGACUAUAAAGGUGCUCUACAAGUGUCUCUGAAGGUGUCCGUUGAGUUAGUAUGGAUCAAGACUGGGAUUUUUCACUCCAUGUGACGGAGAGGUAUCUCGGGGCCCACUCGGUAAUACAACAUCACACACAAGCCUUGUAAGCAAUGUGACUAAGUGUAAGUCACGGGAUCUUGUAUUAUAGAACAAGUAAAGAGACUUGCCGGUAACGAGAUUGAAAUAGGUAUGUGGAUACCGACGAUCAAAUCUCGGGCAAGUAACAUAGUGAAGGACAAAGGGAAUGACAUACGGGAUUAUAUGAAUCCUUGACACUGAGGUUCAACCGAUAAGAUCUUUGGAGAAUAUGUAGGAUCCAAUACGGGCAUCCAGGUCCCGCUAUUGGAUAUUGACCGAGGAGUNNNNNNNNNNAUGCCUACAUAGUUCUCGAACCCGCAGGGUCUGCUCACUUAAGGUUUGAUGAUGUUUUAGUAUAGGUGAGUUAUAUGUGUGGUUACCGAAUGUUGUUCGAAGUCCCGGAUGAGAUUACGGACGUCACGAGGGUUUCCGGAAUGGUCCGGAAACGAAGAUUGCUAUAUAGGAUGGUUUCAUUUGGUCACCGGAAAGUUUCGGGCAAUUCCGGUAGUGUACCGGGAGUGACGAAUGGGUUCCGGGAGUUCACCGGGAGGGGCCCACCCACCCGGGAGUGAGCACAAGGCACUAGGGUGGUGCCACAAGUCCUUAGUGCGCUGGUGGAGUCAGCCCAAGGACCCCAUGGCGCCACAUAAAGAAAUACCAAAAGAAAAGAAAAAGAAAAAGAAAAAGGGAAAGAGGGAGGUGGGAAGGAAGAGGAGGACUCCUCCUUCCUCAAACCGAAUUGGAGGAGGAGUCCUCCUCCUCCUAGCGUCGGCGCACCCUUGAGGGCCUUGUCCCUCAAGGAAAGCCCCUCCCCCUCCCUCCUAUAUAUAGUAGUGUUUUAGGGCUGAUUUGAGACAACUUUUGCCACGUGCAACUCAACCNNNNNNNNNNGUGUCUACAUAGUUCUAGAACCCGGAGGGUCUGCACACUUAAGGUUCGAUGAUGUUUUAGUAUAGUUGAGUUAUAUGUGUGGUUACCGAAUGUUGUUCGGAGUCCCGGAUGAGAUCACAGACGUCACGAGGGUUUCCUGAAUAGUCCGGAAACGAAGAUUGAUAUAUAGGAUGGUUUCAUUUGGUCACCGGAAAGUUUCAGGCAAUUCUGGUAGUGUACCGGGAGUGACGAAUGGGUUCCGGGAGUUCACCGGGAGGGGCCCACCCACCCGGGAGUGAGCACAAGGCACUUGGGUGGCGCCACAAGUCCUUAGUGGGCUGGUGGAGUCAGCCCAAGGGGCCCAUGGCGCCACAUAAAGAAAUACCNNNNNNNNNNNNNNNNNNNNNNNNNNNNNNNNNNNNNNNNNNNNNNNNNNNNNNNNNNNNNNNNNNNNNNNNNNNNNNNNNNNNNNNNNNNNNNNNNNNNGCCGAGCGCGUGCGGGAGACCCCACAAACAAACCUCUUUUUUAUCCCUCGCUCUUCUCUCUCUCUCUCUCUCUGUCUCUCUGGGUCGAGCUCUGUAGUUUGCACAGCGCAGGUCGAGUUGGGUAUAUGUACAAGCAACUGAGCCGGUGGGGUCGACGGGACGGAACAGGUGGCGAUCCACCUGGACAGUUCCCGGGCGACGUCCGCUGGCCCGGCGACACGUGGGGCGUUAUUGCGUGCAUGCAUGCAUGCAUUAUUACCGCGUAUCGAGUUUCUUCUUCAGAUGAAGCGUCAUAGAGUUUGACUUUGUGACCUCCGGAUGUACGCCCGGCGACCCAGGAUCAGUACGAGUACAAAAUGUAGCAUAGAAGCAACAGGCAUUUUUUUUAAAGGAGGAUGUACUCCCGAUCUCAUGGUGCAUACGGUCACUCUAUUAAUUUUUCAUAAAAAAUUAUAAAUUAAUAUAUGAGUAAGGCUCGAGGCAUCAUCUUGGCAACAAUUGCCGCUACUCUUAACCCUUGAUGCAGGGAUGCAGAAUGUUCGAACCUAAUACCAAACAAACAUCACACCAAACCUAACAUCUAAUACCGGAUGCCUCACCCCAGCCACAUACCGGGACUGGGUCACACACCGGUCUGGCUCUCUCACCGAGGCAGCCACCAUCGUCUUCCACCGAUCCAUCUUUAGAGCAGAUACUGAUGCACAAACCUUGCAAGCCUGCCGCCGACGCCACCAUGGCGCGAGACAGCACAAUCACCCUGCGCUCGAUCAUCAAGCCGCAUCCAUCAAAAAUAUCCACCAUGCCGCCAAUACCUGUCGUCAUCGAUGCGGUAAAUACAACGUCACACCAACUCGCAACCUUCACACCAUCGCCACUACUAGAACUACGAGGAGCCCAUCACCCAUAACAACUCUCCCCUGAACACGAGGUCCUCCCAAGACGGCGCCUCCAUGAAGGAUACGACGUGUGGGACGCCGCUGUCGCCCAAUUCGGAUGAAUUUUAGACUUUCGUCCGGCAGAGAUUCGGGGGUGGAUAGGACAGACCUCGGCUUCGCCUCCAUGGAGGGUAACGGCUUCGAGUGACGUCAUCGAUGUCGGGCCGAACAAGCCGGCCAAAGUUUCCUCCAGUCCCAUCCUAUACUACCAAACCUCCAUCUGCUCCAGAUCCGACAAUGAGCCAAACCGCAACCUGCACAGAUGAAAGAGCCAUGGGGCUCAACCCGCAAGGAAGAAGGAUCGAGAAGAACCCAUCGUAGAUCUCCACAUGAAGAAUCCAACGGUCCGACGUGGCCAGCGACGACCACCACCACCCCGCGUCGUCCGACGACGUCCAAACACAGGAAUGCAGAUGGAUUCGAUCUGGAUUCGGUGGCACCCGCGACCACCGGUCAUGCCCAACACAGUCACAACCUCGCCACAAACAGGCCGUCGCCGCCAUGCCGCGCACGACGUCGCCGGGUGACCCGCCCUCCGCGCCACCGGACUCCACGCUUGCCCGACGCUCCUCUCGAUCCCGUUGUCCCACGCCAACCAAGACGGAAAGGGUAGGGAGAAGCCCCGCCGCAGCCCUGCCGGCCAAGCUUCGCCCAACGGCGCUGCGAACGGCGACGGGGAGCGGGAGAAGUGGAGGAGGGACAAGAACGACAGCUAGGAUUUCCCUGGGCUCGCCCGCGGGGGCGACGUGAGGGGCGAGGCGAGGGUCUUAUUUGACUCAAGAUUUAAGAAACACGCAAAAUGGGAGUGACCUUAGUUAGCAACCAUUACAAGCCAGGGAUUACGAUUCACUAACUAUUUACGAAAAUUUAUAUUAUAAUGACAUCUCCAAACGCGGACCCUUAGAGCAUCUUCAAUGGGUGAUAUAUUAUAGACACAAAAACAACGAUUUUUUGCAUACUUGUCGUUAAAAGAACUUCUCGAAUAGAUGUGUAGAUGAAAAAAAUAUCUGCAGCUUCCGAAGAUGUAAAUUACAACACUUCGCGUUGCAAAUAUACAUCUUCACUCAGAGUAGAUGUAAAAAAUGACGGCCAAGCGCCAACUGCCCAACCGCUUUCAUUUUCCUUUCGUUCGCCCGCCAGUUGCCCGCCCACCGCCCGCCCAUCGGGCCAUGGCCGACUCUCACGACCCCGUCGCCUCCUUCGCCCACCACGUUGGGGCCUUCAUCGGCGUGAUCACCACCCCCUAAUCCCGCUUCCGUCUCCUUGCCGCCGCCCCGGUUUUCCCCCACCCCGGUUGAUCGCUGUCGUGGCUGCAGCCCCACUGCCAGAUUCGGUCGCUCCAUCGGCCCCGCCUCCGGUCCCGCAGCUGCCUGCCUCCAAAUCUGGUGAAUUGGUCGCUUCUCCGUCGUCGAAUCGCCGCCGCACUGUCGUAUGAUUUGAGAUCCCAUCGCCGCCUCCGGGUUCGGGGCACCCACCGUCCCUACGUCGCUCCUCCUCCUCUCUCCGCAUCGAAUGGCUGCCCCUCUCCUGCUGCAUCAUUGCUGCUUCGCAGCCCGAUAUCGCGUCAUCGUCUUUUCGAUUCACCACCCCGGUCGCUGCCCCGGCGCCGCCGCCCCGAAUCGCGUCACGCCACCGCCAUCCCCAAUACUGCCGCCCCGCUUAAGCCGCCGUCGACUAAUUUUUAAAUCUCUAGUUUGCAUCUUCUAUUGGAGUUGCUCUUUUACAUCUCCGUUUUGUAUCAACUAUUGGAGUUGGCCCUUUUUUGGAGAUGUAAUUUUUUACAUCUCCCGUAUUACAUCUCUAAAUUUGCAUCUUCUAUUAGAGAUGCUCAUAAUACACCCACGAGCAUGCGAACAACUCAUUCAAAACGGGCAUGUAUUUUCGUGUGUCCGAUUUCCUCCAAGCCGGAAGCAAACCAUUGAGGCUUUAUGGAGUUCAGACCUCCAAAAUAUAGGAUCCGACAUCACCGACCGAUACGUAGCCCGCACAUCUGGAGAGUUCUAUACUGUUUCGACAUCACCCCUCCUCUUUUUUCGUCUCCGCACUGAAUCACCUUAGACAUCCAUCUUUACCGCGCUUUUCACUUUCACGCCACAUGGAUCCAUACUUAAAGCUGCCAGAGACGACAAAGGUGGAGGAUCCACAGAAGGUGGUCGCGUGAAGAUCAACUCGGCGACAUAGCAAGCUCGUCGUCUUAAAUCCAAGGCAAAGAAUGGACCGGAUGACGAAAAGAAGGGCGAUGGGGGAGGCAGGUGGUGCCUGGGAUAGGGUACCGGGGUCAUGCGGUACCUGGCACACGGGGAGCCUCCGUCGUCGCUAUCAUCAAGGCUAAUGUUGCUUGGUGGCAUAAAAGUAGGGAGGGCGAGUUCUUGUGCGACGCGUGGUUGGCCACUAGCCUCGAUCCAAUCCAUGACAUGGAGAAAAAGGGCAUGACAUUUUGGACCAACAUUCAUACAUGCUACCAUAAACACAAGCGUUUCAUGCUUUAUUCCAACGAGGUGAUCCGUAACCAUGAAUCAAAAUUCCUCAACCAUCGUUGGUUCAUCAUUCAAGAGGUCGUGUCGAAGUAUUGUCACCACUUGGCACAUCUCAUCUCACAAUGGUCUAAUGAUGCACAAACCUGUGAACAAGUAAGUUUAUUUUGUCCAAUAUGCAUGAUUGUUUAUCACUAACCAGAUGUGCAUGAUUUUUUAUCAUUAGCCGGAUAUGCAUAGCGAUCUGCUUCGAAGAUGUCCUAAAAGACCUAACCCUUUUUACACAUGAAGCAGUAGAAAGAGGAGGAGGAGACCCGCUAGUAAUGAGCGGAGCAAUGUGUGCUAGGGUUUCUAGAAAGAUAUAAUCAUUGUAUAUAUUCGGUCGGACCCAUGGUCAAAACUAAAAUAAGAAUGAAGUCUCGAAAACUUUUAUUUGAUAAUGUAGUUAUCCGAAAGGAAGAAGAUGUAUCUGUUUUUUUCUUCUGGAAAUGUUUUAGUUGGAAGAGCAAAAAUGGACCGUAGGUUUUUCUUGUACUCACACGUCCGAUCCAGAAUUACUAAAAACACAAGUAUUUUAAGGAGAGAAACAACGUGGCUGCCAUAUCCACCACACACACGCAGUGUACCAAAAAUAUCUCAUUGGCCACCCAUAUCUGGCAGCCGUACACAUCAUCUUAAUAAACGGAUUACUCUCAGAAUCGUGGUCGACAUGGGCUCCGGAUCAAUGCGUGACCACCCACCGCCGGGGACCAUCAGAUUAACCCAAGAUCCAGCACAAACCACCCGUGCUAAUCCUGAUUAGGCUCUCCGUCGACCACAAAUAUCAAGCGUACGAAGGCAUCCAUCUCUAUCGGCUUCCACGUUUUCCUGCCGGAUCGCCAUGGUCGAUUAUCUUAUUGGCCCUGUUCAUCCGGUGGGGCCCCGUGACUCAGACGGCACGCGAGCUGUCACGUCGGGAAGUCGGCAGAAGGGUCCGCCACUUGAACGCCGCCACGUGGGAACGACUGGGGACGUGUUGGAGCACGUACGUCGCCCUUGCUGUCCUCUGACCGGACGAACCUAUCCGAAGCUUCACAAAGACCGCAUAGCCUUCGUCCAUGUCGUAAUAGCAAUUUCAACGGGGUGAUUUAUUUCAUCGGUUAUCCUCCGUUUGGCUUCGUGUCCAUGGAUCUAUUGUCAAAAUGUGUCCGUUUCGCGUUCGCAUCAAACUAUUUUUGUCUAAAUUUAGGAUUGAAAUGUGUCGACGUGGACACGAAGCGGACGCACGCGCGUCUUCGGUGUCCGCCCCAUCUACACCCGCCGGUCGUCCAAUUACGUGUGGUCAACUUAAUUAAUGAUGGCCACCCUCCGUGGCUCACACAUCAGCUACCGCGGGCGGUCUUUUUUAAUCCGAGCGUGCGGAGGGGUUCGGCCUCAUCUCGCCACCUCUCUACUUCCACGUCGGCGACCAAACCCUAGCCAGCAGCCAUGGCCGGCUACGCCCAAAGCAAGGGCAAGCCCCCGUCGUCUAUCCCCGCGCGCUGCGCCUGAAGGAGGUCGCCUACCUCCAGCAUAAGAGGGCGCUCCGUGUGGCGAAGGAGCGCGCCGUGAUGCGCCACCGCCGCCACUAGCACUCCCCGCACCGGCAUAGCCCGCCCCGCACCGGCACAACCCGACCUCACCGACCCCGACACCGCCGACGAGGACGCCUAGGGUAAUGCAGUUUAGUUUUUCUAAUGUUUAAUUAUAAUGUAAUGAGGACGCGUGGACUCUCGCCGGCCUUCAUGACCAGCUUUAAUGUUUAAUUUAUGUUUGUUUUUAUUUUUGGAAAUGUCUGGAUUUUUUUAGGCGUCGUCACAAAAUGGGUCGGACGAGCGUUGGGCGCAUGCGUCGACCCAAACGCAGAAGCGGACGUUGGUGUUCGCAAGGCCGACCCAAAUGGACAAAAAACGAACAAAAGUGCCGGCCGACCAGUCGGUCGGUUGGAGUUGUUCUAAGAGCAUCUACAACCGGGCGUUGCAAAUCCGAACCCUCAAACGUCCGUGGACGCGUUCAGGCGCGUUCACGGACACGUCAAGCUUCAAAUAAUACAUUUUACAACCGGACAUCUUAUUUUAGGAUCUACAAAUCAAUACAAAAACAUGUAAGAUAUGAAACCUACGUAAUAUGUAGAACCUAUUGUUGGGGAACGUUGCAUGGGAAACAAAAAAAAUUCUACACACACAUAAGAUCUAUCCAUGGUGAUGACCAUCUACGAGAGGAGAGAUCGGAUCCACAUACCCUUGUAAAUCGCUAAGCGGGAAGCGUUAAGAAACGCGGUUGAUGUAGUCGAACGUCUUUGCGAUCCAAAUUGCAAGCCGUCCCGCGAUCCAAUCACGAUGUAGCACCGAACGGACGACACCAUCGCGUUCAGCACAUGUGUAGCUCGAUGAUGAUCUCCACCUUCUUGAUCCAGCAAGAGAGACGAAGAGGUAUCUGAAUUCUCCGGCAGCACGACGACGUGACGGUGAUGAUGGUGGAGCUACUCCGGUAGGGCUUCGUCGUUGUGACAGCCCGAGACCGACGCUCCAGAAGAUUCGCCUUUUAUUCCGUUGCCGCCGUACGAUUAGAUUGUCUGUCGCAUUCAUCAUCACAUCAUCUGCAUGGCAUCGGCACUCCGUUGCCGCCAGUUUUCAAAACUUGCAUCCGUUAUUAGUUGCUGGUUCUCUCCGUUUUCGUCGUUGAUCGUUUUGAGCCCAACAACACACGCGCGCGCCCGCGACAUCGUUUAAAUAUUGUUUUCAAAAGUGCAUUUAAGAUAUUCUCGGAUUGGGUUGAAACUUGGCGUGCGGUUUUACUCUAGUGUCGGUAGGCCGUCUGCCAAACUUCGUCGCAAUCGGGGUCCGUUUGAUACCCGAACAGUCUACCGUAGCGGCAAUGUCUUUGGUUAAUUUAUCGGACGUUUUUCGGUUUUAAAACUCGUGUCAUGAGCUGCUCAUUUCCCUCUCAUCUUAGCCAAAAAAACCGCUACACAGCCCACCAUAGCCCACCUAGUGCUUAGGCAUCACCGGAGCCGUCCGAUCUCGAUCGGAGGGUCGAAGACCGGACUAAAAAUCCCCUCAAACCCUAGCCAAUGCUAUAAAUAGCAAGCCCCUUACAAAUUAGUCUCUCUCCCUCUCCUCCUCCUCAAAAUCCGUGGCCCACCGCUCCUUCCACGCUACUUGGCUGACCGUCGCAACAACUGCCCUCGCCAACCCCACGCCGCAACCUCACCCUCCACCACCAGCCACCGUCGUGGCCCUCGCGACCCAGAUCGAGCCCACCAGGGCCCGACGUGCCCCGCACGCCCUGCUCGCUCGGGGAGAGGAGCAGUCCGAGCGCAACUCCCUCCUCCCGUGGCGCUCUGCACAGCUCGCCGGCCCCAAGUGUCGCGCCGCCGCCUCCCGCCGAACACCAUGCGGCCAGCAGUCGCCAACCGCGUCCCGCCGGCCCUGCUCGCAUUCCCGCCGCCAGUUCCUGUCGCCGGGUGCUGCACCGCACAGCCCCGAGCUCCCGAUCCAACCGGGAUCUGGAUCCCGCUCGGCAGGACGAGGCAACUGUCGUGCCAGGCCGCCCCUUCGCCUCGGGCCUUGCCCAGCCCACGAACCGGCCUAGCCACGGGGCCUCCUCUCCAGUCGCCACGACCCAGUCGAGUCGAGCCAGUGUGUGGGCCGCCUCUCGCGCUGCCUUGGGCCGCCUCCCUUUCGGCAUGCCCAGCCUCUUCCGACAUGGGCCUUGGCCUCCUAAGGUGAGAUAGCACCCGAGCCCUCUAUCUUGCGCCCCCGUGCGCAUUUUAGUAUAUUGCGCCCAUGACUGUUUCGGCCCAAUAGUUAGUUUCGGCCCGUAGUUUUUUUAUUACGGCGAAUUUAGUAAUUUUUAGAAAAAGCAUACUUUUCAAACGCCCGUAGCUUUUAAUCCAUGCAUCGGAUCACAACAAGUUGGAUAUGUAACUUGGCUAGAAUUUCGUGUAAAUCAAUAUUUUCCAACUCUCAUGCAUUUUUAAAACUGUUUAGAGUGCUAUUUGCAUCGGUUUGCGCGUCGACAUGAUAGAAAUGGUUUAGGUCAUAGUUAAUUAACCGUAGCUCAGUUGGAGAUGAGCCAUAUAUGUAAAUAGAUUAGAACAACGAGCAGAAUCACUUGAACCACUUUGUUUUGCUGUUUAACAAACAUAAAGUAUGGUUAGGACAUAUCUGGACAUAUUACAAAGUUAACACGUGGGGUCGUUUCGGAAAUGCUAUAUGUCGUAUCCAGCCUCAUUUAAAAUGCCUAGAUAGGUAGAUUAAUUUGUGCUUCACCCCCUUGCCAUGUUAAGAACAUUUUAGUAUUGCCAUGUAAAUAAAUGGGAGUGAACUAAAUAAUUAAAUGUGGAUUUCGCUUCACUUAAUGUGUAGUGUUGGAUUGUGUGAAUUGUCAUGCCAUGCCUUGCAUAUUUGAAACUGUUCAUGCAUCAUGUGUUGUGCAUCAUGCGAUGCAUGUGCCGUGGUGAAUAUCGUGUGUUGAUUCUUUUCUGGUUUGCUUUGUCUCGAUAGAGUUCCGCAAGCGUUUCGGAAUGUGAUGAUCCGUUCGACUACGUCGGUUCAUCUGCUUCACGGAGUCAUUCUUGUUCUAAGCAGAAUCUCAGGCAAGAUGACCAUUUCCCUAGAUAUCAUUAUUAUCAUUGCCAUGCUAGUUGUCUCGUUUCUCUCCUUAUGUCGCACUGCCUACCACUUGUUAAAUGUCAGCCUCCCAACAUUGCCAUGAAAACCUUCAACAUUUCUAUAACCUAGCAAACCACUGAUUGGCUAUGUUUCUGCUUGUUUAACCAUUGGACAUCGUUGCUAGUUGCAGGCGCAACUGCUUCCAUGUGCAAAGCUGGAUUCCUUGUUAUAUGACCAUAUUAAUGCUAUUUAAAUUAAUGCACCUAUAUAAUUGGUAAAAGGUGGAAGGCUCGACCUUUCUAGCCUGGUGUUUUGUUUCACCUUUGCCGCCUUAGUUUCGGCUAUUGGUGUUAUGUUCCAUAAAUUAGCGCUCCUAACAUGCUUGGGGUUGUUAUGGGGACCCCCUAGAUUCUCGUUUUGGGAUAAAGCUCGUCUGGCAAGGCCCAACAUUAGUACUAUAUUUUUCCAACAUAAUAAUCCCGCUAAUACUUAAAACAUAGGGAGUUAACGCUACACGAGGAGUAAUUCAACAUAAUACGGGGGGCAAUGCUGAUGGUGUUGGUCCCAAACAGAGCAGUUUAUUAACGCUAUCCGGGGCAACUCGGCGUUUGGCAUGGUAACCAUCGCUCAUCCGGUGUGCCCUGAGAACGAGAUACGCGGCUCCUAUCGGGAUUGUCGGAGCGUCGGGCGGCCUUGCUAGACUUGUUUUACCUUUCUCGAGCGUCUUGUGCGAGGGAUUCCGAGGAUGCUUUGGGUUAUCUCGAGCUUGAGGUUUUCCAAUAGGAACCCGAGGAGAUCACGAGUCUCCCUGAUCGAGGUCAUUCCGUCGCAGCGUGUGGUAGUUUGUGAUGGACUAGUUGGAGCACCCGUGCAGGGUUAAAUCUUUCGGAAAGCAAGAGUUUCUUCUUCUUCUUCUUCGUCGUCGAUCUAGGAUGGGUUCCAGGACGAUGAUACGUCCCAAACGUAUCUAUAAUUUUUGUUUGUUCCAUGAUCUUUUGGAUGACAUUGUUAUAUGUUUUGCUACACUUUCAUACCUUUUUACACAUAUUUGGAAUAACCUACUAACUUAGUGCACCCAGUGCCAGUUUCUGUCUGCUGAUGUCUUUUUUGUAGGGACUUUUACCCCAAUUUACCGAGUCCCAAAAAUCCCGAGAAAAAUAUAUAAAAAUCAGCGUGACGGAAUCUUGGGGAGCACCAAAGGCGGGCCAGAGGGGAGCCACGCGUCGCCCAGGCGGCCUCCUUGCGCGGCCUACCCCCUGGCCGCGCCCACAGGCCGCCUGGGUGGGGCCCACCUCCUCUGGUGCCCUACCUUGGCUCCUAUUUUUACCCCCAUGGAGGAAACACUGAUUCUGGAACCCUUUUCUCCAGAAGCAAUUCCAAUCUCCGCCGUCAUCGCCAACAAGUUUCAGGGGACCAGAAUUCCUGUGCCGGCACCGUGCCGGGACGGGGAAGUGCCCCCGGAUUCAUCUCCAUCGACGUUACUUCCUCCCUCCAUGAAGCGGGGGUAGUUCCUCCUCCGGGCUGAGGUCUUAUACAGUAGCUAUGUGGUUAAUUAUCUCUCCCAUGAUGUGAUCUUGAUUGUGAUCAUGGCUAUGUUAAUCUAGGGUGAUCCCAUGAUAUUUCCCCUUCUUCUAUGUAUUGGAUUGAUGUACUCACUUGAUCUUAUCUAGUAUAAUCCCCAAGACCAUGGUGACAGUGGUCUAUUGGACAUGGAUUAGAAGAAUAUUUUCAUGAGUGAUUUCCUCUUUUGUGAAUUGAUUGAAGAUUGAGAGUCUCUUGGUGCUUGUCUUUGACUAUCCUUGAGAUACGUUGUGGUGAUUGUGGUGCUCUCUUUGGAUGGCCGCGGUGACAUUGGGAAAUCCAUAGAGAGAACUACGAACUCUGAGGUGUGCUUUUGUAGCUCUACAUAAUUCUCGUCCUCUCUUGAUCACAAAGGAAUGACUUCCGAGUACGUCUCCACUGCAUGCUUAGUGGAAAUAUCAUGUGAUUAGACUAUGUUAAUAUUGUUGGGAGUUGCCACUAGUGAAAGUAUGAAGCCUAGGCCCUGUUUCUCACCAGUGUUACACCGUUUAUGCUCACUUUUGUCACUUGCUACCUUGCUGUCAUUUUGAUUUCAGAUUUAUAUUACCCUGCUUUGCCACACCUAUCACCCAUAUUUUACCAUCUCUUCGCCGAACUAGUGCACCUAUACAACUGACAAUUUUAUUAGGUGUGUUGGGGACACAAGAGACUUCUUGUAUCUUAAUUGCAGGGCUGCUUGAGAGAGACCAUCUUCAACCUCUACUUCCCCGAGUUCGAUAAACCUUAGGUCACCCACUUGAGGGAAAUUGUUCUUGUCCUACAAACCUCUGCGCUUGGAGGCCCAACAUAGUCUACAAGAAUAGAAGCGUGCGUAGACAUCAGACGACAGCCUGGGAUAGCAAGGAUGGACGUCGUUCUUUUAUCCUUUGUUCUUGCCCGUAGUCGGACCCUGCUCUUCUUGAUGAUGACUGGAUAUUUUUGUAUUGAUGUGAUCUUGAUGUAGCUUGUGGCGAGUGUAAGACAACUCUUUAUACUCAUCUUUUCAGUACAUGUACUUGUAACGAUACCCAUUCUUGCGAAACAACGAGAUGCGUUUCUAUCCCUGUCGAGGCCCUGGCGCCAAAAUAAGGAUAGGACCGCAUCUUGGGCAUUACAAGUUGGUAUCAAAAUAGUACCGACCUAGGAGCCCCCUUGAUUGAUCGAACUUGGCCGAGUCGAGUCUAGUGAAAAACUACUUUGAGUCUAGUUAUAUAUCAGGGAGUAGGAUUCUUUUUUCUCCUCUUCUAUGCUCUGGUGAGGAAUCUUGACAUAAUAAUUUUAAUUCUACUUCUCUUGUCACUAAAAAAAUUUUAGGAUCACGCGGAUAUUUUUGGAAUCUAUAUGAUGUCGAUGUGACGGAGUUCUGUAUUGCUGCCUCCUGUUGUGUUGAUUUUAUUCCGGGGAGUUAAGCUCGAGGGGAUUCUUGAGCACAUCGUGAUAAUUCAGAUUUGUUAGUAUCUCAGGACGAAGGAUGUUCGAAAUUGCUUCAAUACUAGUAGUGGCAAGAUAACCCCGGCAUCCCCAGUACUGGUGUAGAGAGUUCGGGGGUACUGCCAUACUUAGUAUCGUUGUGAUUAUGAGGGUUUGAGAUAGAUGAGUUUCCGAGAUCUCUGGUUAUGUGUUGACGGAUGUGAUACACUGGACGGGUAGUGUUAUUGCUAGGAGUUGAGUGAUGAAUUUUACUCCUUGUAUCCGUGGACCCGAUUGCAUGACCAGAAAAUUUUGGGAGUUCUUAGGUGGGAAUUCAAAUAGUUACUUAUAGGAUAAUCUUCCAACAGAUGCAUGAGUGUGGUUGGGGUUCGACAUCUAGUGGAUUCGUUUGUUGACGGUCGUCUUACAACGAUUCUCGUUGUGUCUUAAAGAGUCCUUGUAGCUUGCUAUGACUCGGGGACGCUUCGUAUGUCGUGUGCACUGCCUUUUACAUGAUGGAUACUGUAGGAUCGAGCCCAUGCAAAUCUAUCUACGAAAAUGUCGGAUAUAAUCUAUGUCAUGAAUUUGUUCCAGCUUGUGUCAUAAGCCUCAUCCUUUGUUUUGUUGGAGUAUGGUAAUUCGAGUUGCUUCGAUGUCAAGUGGUGAAUUCAUAUCUUUCCUAAGUGGUGUUUUCAUAUUUUUAUGGGAAUGCAAAUUCUUUUGCUCAAUCAAGUUGUCUUAUCAAUUCUUUGCAACGGAGUUGUCAUGGCAAUUCAUUUCCAAAUGGUGUGCUUCUCUUCGAGUCAAUUCUAUCAUUUUCAAGAUUUGCAAGAUCAAUCUCUCAUUUCUUUCCGGAGUUCAUCUCAUCUGUCCCAAGUUGUCUUUGUUUUUCCCCGCCCUCCAGCCCUUUUUCUUCAAUGUUUCAAUUAUCAUCCAAAUAUCUUCCUUUCAUUAUUUCUUUUGCUAUCUUUUCUUUUCUUUUGUUCCCGGUGAGUCUGGGUGAAGAUUCUCAGGAGUUUCGAGUUCAUCAUUUAUAUGUUUUUGUUUUCUUCUCCCGUGGAGAAAAUCAAGUUUUGGUGUCAUCAUAUCCUUUUCAUCCUUUAAAUUCUUCCCAUGUUGAAAAUUCUUAUCAAGCCUCUCUUGUUAUACAUAUAUCUCGUUUCUACCCGGAGGGCCGAAGAUAUCUCAGAGUCUCUUGUCUUCAAUCCUUCUAAUUAAUUCGAGGUGCUAACCUCAUCAGGAUUUUACUUGUACCGGCACAAUCAAUAUUUCUUAGCAAUCCAUUCAUCCAGUGUUUUCUUUCAAUGGGCCCAUAACCCACAGGUUCUUUCCCAGGAUCUUAUCUGAUUCUUGUAAUCUUUUCCUGAAGAUAUCUAAUUCUUUUUAAAUAUGACGUAAGAAUGAAUUCCAUUAGUCAUAUUCCUUCCUCAAGGUCAAUCUGAAUUAUUUCAUCAUUGGCUCAACUUUUCAUAUUCUUAUUCCGGAGUGUCUUAGUUAUUCUUCCUGGUGUUCUCCUCAUCAUUUUCAGCUUGGAAGACCGAAGGAGUGUUUCUAUCAAAUCUUGUCCAUUCUUUUGAAGAUUGUCAUCUUAGCUCGUGCUAUCUUCUCAAUUGUUGUCAAUCAUGAGAAAUUAUCCAUAUAUAUCUGGUGCAUUUCAAUGCUGUUUUCAUUUCUCAAUCCUCCGAAGGUCAUCAUUUAAGAAGAUUUCUUCAUUCUUAGCUUUCAGCUUUCACUCUCAAGUUCUUCUCAAUUGUUGUCUCUUCGUUCGUAUCUCAGUUAUUCUGGUGUCUUGUUCAAGUUUUCUCUCAGGUGGAUCAUGAUCUCUUCGCUAUCUUGUAUCUCCAUUCAUUCUUGGUAUCAUUAUUCAUUUGUGAAUUCUUACCGGUGUUUCUUCCAAGAUUUCUUCUAGUUCAUGCUCAUAUCUCUUCGUGAAGCUUCAUCUAAGUCAUGACACGGCCUGAAUCCUAUUCUUUUCAUCCUUCAUAUCUUUGUAUCAUUCUUUUGUAUACGGAGGUUCGUCAUGGUGGUUCUUCAAGAUUUCAUUCGUUCUCAAUGAGUUAUUCAAGAUUCUUGUUGGAGAACCUCAAGUAUUCUUUCUCUUGCAUUUGAAAGUGCAAUUCUUCCUCCUUUUUCCUUUGAGGUGGUGUUAUAGCUUUCUUGAUUCAUGAGGAGUCCCUUCGAGAAUUGUUUCAGGAAUGGGAUAUUUAAACCCACCAAUUCUAUGAUCAUGAGAUACUUUUAACCCAUGGUUUCUUCAUUGAGUUAUCUUGGAUUAGAUUUCACCUAAAGCUUUCCUAAGGAUUGUUUCUAUUAUGGUGAUUAUUGUCGUUCCAAGUUCUCAACAUAUUCUCUUGGUGUAAGAAGUUUUGCCUUUCUUGUUGCAUCCAAGCAAUCUUUGUUUUUAUUAGUGUCUGGUUGUCACCUCAUUAUUUUGAAAUGGUUUCCAUAAGCCCACAACAAGCUUGUUCUUUUCGUUGUUGGUUUUCCAACAACUCCGUUCAAUUAUUUUGCAAGGAGGCUUGCCAAAUUCAAUUGUGGUAGUAGUUGUCAUUUUGUUCUCCAUUCUUUCCUCUCAAUGAUCUAGUUUCUAUUCUCUUGUCCGGAGAUGUUGUGAUGUUGCUCUUGUUAUUCAAACAUCUCAGGUUGUCAAGAUCAUGUUCUUUCCUUGCUUGUCAAUUUAGUUGGUUUGUUGUGAAUCUUGCCAACAUAUUUCCAUCUUAAAAAAAAUUUGUCCUCAAUUUCCUACCAAAGUGCUACCGACAUUUUGUGUGAAUUCUUGUUGGUUUUCUCAUAUCAUUCUUCAUCUCUGUCUAACCUUCAAGGGUCGUUGGUUUGACUCGUUUGUCAAAGAAGCGACUAAGUUUUACCUCUUGCUCUUCUCUUCCUCUCCCCCCUUUCAUUCUUAGAUCUCGGGGUGAGAUCUCUUACUAGUGUAGGAGAGUUGUGACAGCCGAGACCGAUGCUCCAGAAGAUUCGCCUUUUAUUCCGUUGCCGCCGUGCGAUGAGAUUGUCUGUCGCAUUCAUCAUCGCAUCAUGCACAUCAUCUGCAUGGCAUCGGCACUCCGUUGCCGCCAGUUUUCAAACCUUGCAUCUGUUAUUAGUUGUCGGUUCUCUUCGUUUUAGUCAUUGACCGUUUUGAGCCCAACCACACACGCACGCGCCCACGACAUUGUUUAAAAAUUGUUUUUCAAAGUGCGUUGAAGAUAUUGUCUGAUUGGGUUGAAACUUGGCGUGCGGUCUUAUUCGAGUGUAGGUAGGUCACGUGCCAAACUUCGUCGCAAUUGGAGUCCGUUUGAUACCCGAACGGUCGACCGUAGUGCACCGUAUUUGGUUAAUUUAUCAGACGUUUUUCAGUUUUAAAACUCGUGUCACGAGCUGCUCAUUUCCCUCUCAUCUUAGCCCCAAACCCGGCUACACAGCCCACCAUAGCCCACCUAGUGCCUAGGCAUCGUCGUAGCCGUCCGAUCUCGAUCGGAUGGUCAAAGACCGGACUAAAAAUCCCCUCAAACCCUAGCCACUACUAUAAAUAGCAAGCCCCUUCCAAAUUAGUCUCCCCCCUCUCCUUCUCCUCAGAAUACAUGCCCCGCCGCUCCUUCCAUGCCACUUGGCAGUGAUACGUCUCAAACGUAUCUAUAAUUUUUGAUGGUUUUACGCUGUUAUCUUGUCAUCUUUGGAUGUUUUAUGUACCUUUUAUAUCUUUUUUUGGACUAACUUAUUAAUUCAGUGCCAAGUGUCACUUCGUGUUUUUUUCUGUGUUUUUGGCUCUUUUCAGAUCUGAUUUUGGAACAGAGUCCAAAUGGAAUAAAAUCCCCGAAAUGAUUUUUUUCCAAAUGGAAGAAGAUCAGGGGGGCUAUGGGCCAAGCCAGGAGGGCUCCUGGGAUCCCACAAGCCCCCACUCCGACACCAGGGGGAGGCGGCGGUGGCAGGGCUUGUGGCCUCCCUGGCCGCCCCCUGACCUAGAUCUUUGGCCUAUAUAUUCCCUAAAAUACAGCAAAAAAUCAGGGGAGCCUCGAAAAUACUUUUCCGCCGCCGCAAGCUUCCGUUUCCGCGAGAUCUCAUCUGGAGACCCUUCCCGGCGCUCUGCCGGAGGGGACUUUGGAGUUGGAGGGCUUCUUCAUCAUCAUCAUCGCCCCUCCAAUGACUCGUGAGUAGUUCACUUCAGACCUACGGGUCCGUAGUUAGUAGCUAGAUGGCUUCUUCUCUCUCUUGGAUCUUCAAUACAAAGUUCUCCAUGAUCUUCAUGGAGAUCUAUCCGAUGUAAUCUUCUUUUGCGGUGUGUUUGUCGAGAUCCAAUGAAUUGUGGAUUUAUGAUCAGAUUAUCUAUGAAUCUUAUUUGAGUUUCUUCUGAUCUCUCAUAUGCAUGAUUUCAUAUCCUUGUAAUUCUCUUCGAGUUGUGGGUUUUGCUUGGCCAACUAGAUCUAUGAUUCUUGCAAUGGGAGAAGUGCUUGGUUUUGGGUUCAUACCGUGCGGUGACCUCACCCAAUGACAAAAGGGGUAGCGAGACACGCAUCGUGUUGUUGCCAUCAAGGGUAAAAAGAUGGGGUUUUCAUCAUUGGUUUGAGUUUAUCCCUCUACAUCAUGUCAUCUUUCUUAAGGCGUUACUCUGUUCGUCAUGAACUCAAUACACUAGAUGCAUGCUGGAUAGCAGUCGAUGUGUGGAGUAAUAGUAGUAGAUGCAAAAAGUAUCGGUCUACUUGUCUCAGACGUGAUGCCUAUAUGUAUGAUCAUUGCCUUAGAUAUCGUCAUGACUUUGCGCGGUUCUACCAAUUGCUCGACACUAGUUUGUUCACCCACCAUAAUAUUUUCUAUUUUGAGAGAAGCCUCUAGUGAACACUAUGGCCCCCGGGUCUACUUCACACCAUAUUUUCAGCCUUACACUUUUUCUUCGUUGCACUUUCCGCCUUCAGAUCUCACUUUGCAAUCAAUCUUGAAGGGAUUGACAACCCCUUUAUAGUGUUGGGUGCAAGCUCUUUUGUGUUUGUGCAGGUACUCUGGACUUGACGAGAUUCUCCUACUGGAUUGAUACCUUGGUUCUCAAACUGAGGGAAAUACUUACUGCUCCUGUGCUGCAUCACCCUUUCCUCUUCAAGGAAAAAACCAACGCAAGCAAGUCUCCGUCAACGUGUCAAAUUCUGGCGUUGUUGUUUGAGAAGUAGCGGGCAGCAGCUGCAGAGGCUGCUAGGAAUGUGAUACGUCUCCAACGUAUCUAUAAUUUUUGAUGGUUUCAUGUUAUUAUCUUAUCAAACUUUGGAUGUUUUGUAUGCCUUAUAUAUAUAUAUUUUUGGGACUAACUUAUUAACUCAGUGCCAAGUGCCAGAUCCUGUUUUUUCCAUGUUUUUGACCCCUUUCAGAGGAGGAUUUUGAACGGAGUCCAAACGGAACGAACCUGCCAAAAAGAUUUUUUCCGAAACAGAAAAAGAUCGGGAAGCCUGAGAAUCAGGACAGGGGCCCUGCAGGGACCACACAAGCCCCCUAGCCGCGACCAGGGGGGCCCGCACCUCCUAGGCUUGUGGGCUCCCUGGGCAACUGACGUCAGCUGUGCUUCCCCGACAAUGGCGCCAGAAAAGUGCUGAUCCUGCAAUCUCUAGUGUUAGCUAGACGAAUGCUUAUGACAAUGAACCUUCUCCUGCGACGGCACCAGAAGAAUGCUGCUAGCACUCCCCGACAAUGAGACUGGAAGAAUGUUGUUGAUGGCCCACCAAUGCGUGGGUUCNNNNNNNNNNNNNNNNNNNNNNNNNNNNNNNNNNNNNNNNNNNNNNNNNNNNNNNNNNNNNNNNNNNNNNNNNNNNNNNNNNNNNNNNNNNNNNNNNNNNNNNNNNNNNNNNNNNNNNNNNNNNNNNNNNNNNNNNNNNNNNNNNNNNNNNNNNNNNNNNNNNNNNNNNNNNNNNNNNNNNNNNNNNNGUCAGAUUCAACCACACCUGAAAGAUUAAUAUCUGCAAGCACAGUAGUAACAUCAAAGUAAUAUGAUAACAACGGUGUUAGAAACGAUCUGUUGACGGUAGACUAUUCCUAACAAUUGUAUCAAUGGCACCUUCGUUGCCGCGUUGACGAAAGUUGUCAAUUCCCGUCAACGGUAGGUGAACCAACAGUGUAGCAGGUAGCAGCAGUGUAACGAGCAAUAGCAGCGGCAAGGAACAGCAGUAGUGACAGCAGUAGCAAGUAGCAACAGUAGUAGCAACAGUAGCAGCAGAGCAAAACAAGUAACAAUAGUAGUGACAGCAGUAGCAGCAGCAGAGCAAAACAAGUAACAACAGUAGCAACAGUAGUAGCAGCAGCAGCAGAGCAAGACAAGUAACAGCNNNNNNNNNNNNNNNNNNNNNNNNNNNNNNNNNNNNNNNNNNNNNNNNNNNNNNNNNNNNNNNNNNNNNNNNNNNNNNNNNNNNNNNNNNNNNNNNNNNNGAGGGUGGGUGCACGAGCUUUCUGACUCGCCUCCCCCUGUCGCGACCAUAUGAGCCGACGAAACCUGCAUUAAGGGUGGGUGCACAAGUUUCCUGACUCGCCCCCUCCUGUCGCGACCAUAUGAGCCGACAAAAUUACUCGUGUUAUGAUUUGACCUUGGAAAUUUUAUUUUCACAGAUAAUGUGCUCAAGGUUUUCAUCCUUGGCGGAUUGAGAAUUUCAGGCGAUUCUGAUAAGGAUUAACAAAAUAUUUUAAACCGCCUCAAAGGUGGUAUAAGGGUUUCUUGCAGAAGAUGUCAUCAAAAGAUAGUACUGACUAUUACAUGGCUCUUGGGCCAAAUUCAAGGAAAAUCUAUCCCGCUAAGUCCUGGCGUGAGCUCUGACCAGCUUCGAUUUGUAAAUCGCCCAAGACCCAAUUGCAUUUGGACAAAGAGGCGAAAUCGUCUUCGUCGGUCAAGAUUGAUGCCAGGUCUGUCUCCCAGUCAAAGGGAUUCUUGGGUCGCCGAGGGAUAAGGUUGGUCACCACGAAGGUUGGCGGGUUGAUUUUCUUAUUCUUGUCAUCGUAAGCCGCCUGAUAUUUUGUCAAGUCAAGGCUGGCGGCAAGUUGAGUCGCGACCAGUCGAGAAUCCUUGACAACCUUCUGGUAGUCUUCUUCCACGAACUCCGAGCCGUCAUCUUUAAGCUGAGGGAAGCCGGCAGCUACUUCUUCCAAAUUAAUUUCUGGAGCAUACGCCAGGCAGCGACUCAGAGCCAUCAAGACACCCUUCCGGGCGGCUGAUCGGGUUAACUCACCGAUCUGGGGAGGCAGUGUGGAUAGAUAUCCAAGCACCUUCUUGAUGGAAGUUAUGGGCUCCUUUGCACCUAUCACAGCUUUGACGGUCAGCACACUGCCUGUGUACAGUUGUUCCGUCAGUGUAUAGAUCGCCUUCAGCAUCAACACGCUGUCGUCUUGCAGAUUGGCGACUCUCGAGCCUGUGAUUAAAUAACCGGUAAGAUAAACAUUAAGGAAUUUUCCCAAGGAAGAGGAUAGGAUUGGAGAAUUAGGUAAAGCUUACCAAAGAUGGCUUGUGUCAUGUUGGAAAUAUGGCGCUUUAAGCCGGAUAGCUCCUGCUGCACAGUUGCCAGCUUUGCUUCUGCUUUUUCGGCUCUUGUCAAAACUGCGCAGUGGUCGGCCUGAGUUCUUUCUAACUCGGCUUUGAGCUUUUCCAGUUCAACCAGAGCCAAUCUAUAUUUUUCUUCCGACUGAGUUCGGGCAUCUUGUUGGUCAGCCAAGUUUUUCCUUAAGUCGCCCAGGGCUAGUUCGGUCUGGGCAAGGCUUUCCUGUUCAAAAUUUAGAACAAAGACAAGUCUCAGAAUUAUUGCAAGGCAAUACCCCUGACACUUGGGGGCUAAUGUAUAAUUUCUCAAAGGAAAUUAUACAGAAAUCAAGACCCGGCUCAUCAUUUUACUGAUGACCCGGCCCCUGGGGGUUACUGGUCGCAACGCUUUUUAAAAAAAGACCCGGCUCAUCAUUUUACUGAUGACCCGGCCCUUGGGGGUUACUGGGAAUAAUACAGAGUAUAAAGUUUACCUCAUGCUUGUUAUUUAACAUCUUUAGCAGAUUCUUUUCCAUCUCGUAACUUGCUUCCAGGCGACUUGCGAAGCCAGAACAGAGCUCUUUAAACUCCAGACCUGCAUAGUCAGAAAGCUUCGCCUUGGAAGGCCCAGACUCGGGUAUUGAUGGAGAAGGGGAUGCUAUAUGUUUGGAGAGGAUUGUCUCUGCCGGCUUGGAGAAACCAAAACCAGUGAUGACCACAGCAUCUGGGUCAUCAGCUGUCGCCAUUACGACCGGUGAUCUAGGGACAUCUGUUGAUCCUUUGGGCGACUCAGGAGGGUUUGCUUGAAUUGACGGCUCGUUUUGACUCGGAUCUCCUUGAGUCGGAGUAGCUUUCCUUGGAGGUUCAGAAGUGGCGUCUGGGAUUGAUCCACUGGUCUUCCUCUUUUUGGCUUGCGCCCUUAUGAAAGAGAUAGGCGUGUCAAAAAAUUAAAAAGAGUAUUAUUCUCAAGGGUCAGGACAAGGAACUUACCCCGGGACUCGGAUCAUUGGUGGAAGGGUCGACAUCACUGAGUCGCCAGAAGAGGGGGGAGAAUCCUGCAGAAUUUGUACAUCAAUAAUACUGGCGGGUUAUGACUGUGAUCCAAAGCAGCACGAACGAUGGUUGCUCAAAUAAGGAAAGGAGGUACCUCGCUUGGUUUUCUUUUGUUCCUUGUUGGCAGGCCAGGUGUCAGGUCGCCAGAAUGACUUCGCGUUUUCUGUUUCGAGGCGUGCUGCGUUUUCUUCAGUAAGAAAUUUGGGUCCAAAUGGGCAUUUGGAUGUGAGAGAGGUACUUUCCCACAUAUUCGCCGGGCCGGCUUAGGUGGAGAAGGAGAUGAAUCGGAGGAGACGGAAAUUACCUCGACAGAGUCUUCCUGGCUCUCGUUAUCUUCAUUCUAUUAUAAGAGGAGCGAGAGAUAAAUAAAAGUUAAAAGGUGAUAAGUGGCGAGUGAAAAUGAGGACGGAUUGGUACCUCUGAGAGUGCGUCGCCAGCUUGAGAUUCGUCGACUUCAGAUGGCUCGGCCGGAGCCGAUUUGCCUUUGCCUUUGUUUUUCUUGGAAGGCGGCUUAGCACUCUUCAUGGCUUGUUUCUUAGGUCUCCUAGACCAGAACUUGUCGCCUUUCUGGAAGAGGAUAUGGCAUGAAGUCAUGAUGACAGUAAAACAGAUGAAAUAAAAAUUGAGGGCGAGUUAGCUUUGGUUACCUUGGGUGCCGGGUUAAUCUUGCAGAAGGGCUUAAGGCCGAUUUGGCCGCAUUUCGCUGCAGGUUCGCCGGUCAGUUUCCUGAUGAUGGUGACGAUGUCUUUUUCUGUUAAUGCUGUGUGGAAGUAGCAUUGGGGAUGAUCCAGAGUACCGUCAAACUCGCACAUCAGGCCGUCUCGGCGGCUCAGAGGAAGGAUUCGCCAUUCGACCCAGCAGCGAAUCAAGUCAACCCCGGUGAGACCGUUGUUCGUCAAGGAUCUCAGUUCGGACAGAAUUGGGACGAAUUCCGACUCUUCCUCUUCGGUGAGCUUGUCGGGGAGCUUGAAGUUGACUGGAAGGCGGCUUGGCCUGUAACCAUGAAGUUUGUUUUCGCCGGCAGGGGAUGUUUCCUUGCAGUAGAACCAAGAUUCACCCCAGCCUUUGGGAUGGCUAGGCAUAGUGAGUGCAGGGAACGGACUGUCCCUGCGACGUUGGACGUUGACCCCGCCGAGUUCCAAACUGGGGCCAUUGUGGAAUUCCGUCUGGCGAUUCAAGUGGAAAAAGUACCAAAACAGAGGGACGGAAGGCUCGAUCCGCAAAUAAGCUUCGCAAAGGACUUGGAAUUGACUUAGGUUGGUUAUGGAAUUGGGUCCCAAAUCCUGGAGUCGGACGUUCAUAAAAUUCAGGGCGUCUCUAAGGAAUUUAGAUCCGGGCGGUUUAAAACCCCGUUCUAAGUGUUCCACAAAAACUACAAUCUCCCCUUCCUUGGGGCUGGGUAGGUCUUCUCCUAACCCGGUGCGGCAUCCAAUGACGUCUUGAGGAUCCAAGCAGCCCGCUUUCACGUAAUUCGCCAAAACAGCAUCGUCAAUUUUGGUGGGUAGCCAAUCACUCUUGAAAACGGCACCCAUGCUACAAAUAGGCAAGAAAAUGGUAUUACAUGUCUCGAACAUAUAUUGUGUGAGUCGGGACUAGCUUCUGCCUAACCCGCCGGAUCGGGAGGCCGGGUUGGGCUGAUGUGGCGACCUAUCGGAGCAGGGCUAUACUUAGAAGCGACACUACUGUGGGUGGUAGAAUUUAUUCUUUCCGAAACGCUAAGGGAAGGACGAGGUUUCCGAACAGCUUUUUGCAAACAGUGAAAGAGGAAUGGAUCUAUUCAACAGAUAUAAAGGCUUACGGACAUGGCUAAAACAUGAACGAUGUGUGGUCAGGAUGGUGCCUCAUGUUCAAAAAGACUAGUCUAUUUAGAAAUUUCGCAAGGGCACAGAUGGAUAGCAUUGCUCGAAGCACUGGGUGCCCUAAUGGCGCUCGGGCUAAAUCAGUUCGACAGCUAAGAUGGUGACGAGCAUAGAGCUUCGGAACUAUGGCAAUGGUGGCAGCAAGAACAGAAAAUAAAUCUACCCUUAAGAAGGGGGAACCGUGGCCUAACCUGAAGAUCUUGGUCGAAGAGGAUCGGCGAGGAUGGAGGCUGUUGGAGAAUGAGCGGAGCCUGGCGACGGUGACGACGUGCGGGCGGCGCUGGAGCUCCUCGAACGGCGCCGGAGCUCUUUGAACGGCAGCGGUGUGUGGGCAGCGCCGGGGCUCCUCGAACGGCGACGGCUUGCGGGCGGCGCUGGAGCUCCUCGAACAGCAGCGGCUUGCGGGCAGCGUCGGAGUUCUUCGGACGGGGGUGGAGUUCGCGGCCGGCGGCGAAGCCUUCGGGAUGCGGAGCGUUUUCUUCUCGCUGAGAUGAUGGUGGAGGGAUUGAUGGGACUGGUAGGUGGCCGGUGUCAGCCCUGUCCCUUCCGCCUAUUUAUCAGGACGGGCGCGGAGAUCGAGGCUCUAUGAGCGGGAACCGUCGAGGAAGGAAAGAUUCGCUAUGAUGGCGCCCGAAAAUUUCGGGAUAAUGACGCACCAAAAGAUCCGUUGAGAUUGUGUUGGAGUUCCCGAAAAUCGAGGGCUAAGGAGAGUACUGAUGGGAAAUGCGUUGGCGGCUCAGAGACUUUUUCCGGUACCAAUUGGCGAGUUAAGAUUUCUGGUGCAAGGAGGAACACAGAAGAGUGAAUCGCCUUCGACUAAAAUGGAGGCAUUGGCAUGAAGAUUCAAGUCAAUUUGGGGCCUAAUGUUGGGGAUAUUCCCUGCUGUUGUGACCCGCCAAAUAUGGGCUGGGUUACUGUUAAGGCGAUUCAUCCUUUAAGGCUAGUUGGGCCUCAGCCCGGGCGGUUCGAAGUUGCAGGAUGGUUAUGAUUUAUGGAAGGACUCUGGGUUUGACAAGACGGCGACUUAGAGACCGCGGUGGUCAUGAUUUGUAAAAAGGAAGGGACUCUUGUAAACCCUAAGGCUUCGACCUAUAUAUAAAGGCGAGUCUGGAGGGGGAGAGGUAGGUUAGAAAUUAUCGAGUGCUAGGUUAGGGCGAGUUACGCCUUCCUUGUAAUCGAAUCCACAUCAAUACACACAAAACAGGACGUAGGCUAUUACCUCUUCUCGAGGGGCCGAACCUGGGUAAAUCGCCGUGUCCCUCCCGCUUAACCCCUUUGAGUCGCCACCAAGGUGCGAUGGCUCCAGUACUAAGUCCUUUCACUAGGACAUCUGCCGUGACAAAACCACGACACAUGCUGGAUAGCGGUCGACGUGUGGAGUAAUAGUAGUAGAUGUAGAAAGUAUCGGUCUACUUGUUUUGGACGUGAUGCCUAUAGAUAUAAUCAUUGCAUAGAUAUCGUCACAACUUUGCGCGGUUCUAUCAAUUGCUCGACAGUAAUUUGUUCACCCGCCAUCUACUUGCUUUCAUGAGAGAAGCCACUAGUAAACACUACGGCCCCCAGGUCUAUUCACAUCCAUCGUUUACACCUCCGCUUUUACUUUGCUUUGUUACUUUGGUGCUUUCAGUUCUCACUUGGCAAACAAUCUAUAAUGGAUUGACAACCCCUUCAUAGCGUUGGGAGCAAGCUUUUGUGUUUGUGCAGGAUCUUGAGAUACUCCUCCACUGGAUUGAUACCUUGGUUCUCAAACUAAGGGAAAUACUUACCACCGCUACGCUACAUCACCCUUUCCGCUUCGAGGGAACACCAACGCAAGGCUCCAAGGCCACGGGGGAAAUCCUUUGCAUACUUUCCUAGGAAGUCCCUUAAGGCGUAGCCGCAGCUGAAGAAUUCCUAGUGCCGUUGCUGAGGAGUAUCAAGCAACACUCCUAUUUUUGGCGCCGUUUGAAGGUCUUUUGUUGCAGUAGCAGAAGUAUUUCUGGCGCUGUUGCCGGGGAGGAGAAAUCAAGAUCUAUCCAAGUAGGUCUCACAAACUCAUCUCUUGCAUUUACUUUUGUUGCCAGUUGCCUCUUGUUUUCCUCUCCCUCACUUCACAUUUGCCGUUUUCAUUUGCCUUUCUCCUUUGCCGUUUUCUUUUGCCUUUUUCCUUUUUCGUUCGCCCUUUUUCUCUCGCUUGCUUUCUGUUUUCUUGUGUGCCAUGUGCCUUCAAUAUGCUUGCAUCUUCGUUUGUUAAUCUCUUUAAGAGACCCACUUAUGUGGAACAAAUUGCUAGUGAGUUGAGGGCACUUGACUAUCUUUAUGAAGUUUUGCGUGAGAUGCGUGGAUCUGAAAAUUGUGAGGAAGAAAUUUAUGAAGUGAUUCACGAGGUCUCCUUGGAUGAAAAGCAUGAUUGCAAUGGUUUCACUAUAAAUUCUAUUAGUGACAAUCAUGCUAAAAUUAUGCAAAACCCUAAGCUUGGGUAUGCUAGGUUUGCUAUGUCCACUACUUGUUGCAAUAAUCAUGAUUGGGGUGAUGAUCUUUCUUAUGAUCUUGAAAAUUUGUUCAAACCACAUGAUGAAUAUGAUAUUUGCGACAAUAUUGAGAGUGGGAUUGGAGAAGUCAUGACUUUAUUUGAUGAUAAUCCCACUAUUUUUGAAGAGCAUCAACUUUGCAUGCAUGUGGAUCAUGAAAAGAAUAUCCUUUGUGAUAGUUACAUUGUUGAACUCGAAUAUGAUCCCACAUGUAAUUGCUAUGAGAGAGGAAAAUAUUGUGGUAGAAACUUUCAUGUUACCAAAUUACCUCUCGUUAUAUGGAGAUUGCUAUUGUCUCUUUCUUCUUCCUUGCAUAUGGCAACUAUUGGUAGUCUUGACAAUCUGUUUUCCUAUAAAAUGCCUAUGUAUAGGAAGUAUGUUAGACUUAGAUGUGAUUUUCACAUGCUUUAGGAUGCUCUCGUUGUGCUUCAAUUCUUGUCUUUUGUGAGAGCAUAAUUCAAUGCCUAGCUAAGGGCGUUAAACAAAAGCGCUUGUUGGGAGGCAACCCAAUGAAUCUAUCCUUUUUCUUUCUGUUUUGUGUUUUCCACACUUUCAUAAUUCUGUUAUGAUUGUGUUUUUUGUGUUUCAUUUUGCGUUUGUGCCAAGCAAAACCGUUUUAAUUAGUCUUGCGGAUGAUCGUUUGGUCAUGCUGGAAAAGACAAAAACUUUCUGCUCACGAAAAGAAUUUUCAUUUUUUUCUGUAAGAGCUUUUGAGUUGAUUCUUUUUGCUGCUGAUUUAUACGCAAAUUCUUCAGACUGUCGUAAGUUUUCAGAAUUUUUGGAGUACCAGAGGUAUACGAAAUAUACAAAUUCCUACAGACUGGUCUGCUGUUAACAGAUUCUAUUUUUGUUGUGUUGGUUGCUUAUUUUGAUGAAACUAUGGAUAGUAUCGGGGGGUAUUAGCCAUGGAAGAUUGAAAAUACAGUAAUCCAACAUCAGCACAAGUAGAAUUUAAGUUUUCUACAGUUCCUAAGGAAGUGGUGGUUUGCUUUCUUGUACUAACGUUAUCCCGAGUUUCUGUUUAAGUUUCGUGUUGUGAAGUUUUCAAGUUUUGGGUGAAGUUCCUAUGGACAAAGAGAUAAAGAGUGGCAAGAGCUCAAGCUUGGGGAUGCCCAAGGCACCCCAAGAGAUUCAAGGAUGCCGUAAAAUCCUAAGCUUGGGGAUGCCCCGGGAAGGCAUCCCCUCUCUCAUCUUCAAUCCAUCGGUAACGUUACUUGGGGCUAUAUUUUUAUUCACCACAUGUUAUGUGUUUUUGCUUGGAGCAUCUUGUAUCGUAGGAGUCUUUUAUUUUUUUGUGUCACGAUCAUCCUUGUUGCACACCUAGAGAGAGAGACAUGCACUCACCGUGAUUUUGUCGAGCUUCACUUAUAUCUUUUGGUAGACAAUUUAGCUCACAUGUGCUUCACUUAUAUAUUUUGAGCUAGAUACUUUUGCUCUAUGUGCUUCACUUAUAUCUUUUAGAGCGCAGCGGUGCGUGGCUUGGUAGUUGAUCUAUGCUUUGAAAGUAGUCUCAAAAGGGGUAGUUAUCCAAAGGGAUACGAAAACUUCCACCUUCAUGUGCAUUGAAUAAUUAGAGAAGUUUGAUUCAUCUCAAUUAGUUUUGAGUUGUGGUUAUGGUAAUAUUGAAGUCAUGCUAGUAAGGUGUUGUGGAUCUAGAAAUACUUGUGUUGAAGUUAGUGAUUCCCGUAGCAUGCACGUAUGGUGAACCGCUAUGUGAUGAAAUCUGAGCAUGAUUAGUCUAUUGAUUGUCAUCCUUUGCGUGGCGGUCGGGAUCGCGCGAUGGUUUAUACCUACCAACCCUCCCCCUAGGAGUAUGCGUUGAAUGCUUUGUUUCGAUUACUAAUAAAACUUUUGCAACAAGUAUAUGAGUUCUUCAUGACUAAUGUUGAGUCCAUGGUUUAGAUGCACUUUCACCUUCCACCAUCACUAUCUUCUUAGUACCGUGCAACUUUGGCCGGUGCACAACACCCACCAUUAGCCUCCCUCAAAACAGCCACCAUACCUACCUACUAUGGCUUUUUCAAAUUUAUUCUGAUAUAUAUUGCCAUGCAACUACCACCAUGACAUGUGCCACCACGUCUACAUUGCCAUUGCAUGAUCGUAAGAUAGCUAGCAUGAUGUUUCCAUUGAUGUCUAUGCCAUGCUAGAUCAUUGCCACGGUACACUACCGAAGGCAUUCCAUAUAGAGUCAUAGUUGCUCUAAGUUUUGAGUUGAAAGUGUGAUGAUCAUCAUUAAUGGAGCAUUGUCCCAUGUGAGGAAAUAAAAGAGGCCAAAGAAGCCCACACACACACACAAAAAAAGAGUCCAAAGAGCCCACCAAAUAAAAAAAUGAGAGAAAAAGAGAGAAGGGACAAUGCUACCACUUUUUCCACACUUGUGCAUAUUAAGCACCAUGAUCUUCAUGAUUGAGAGUCUCUCGUUUUGUCACCAUCAUAUAGCUAGUGGGAAAUUUUCAUUAUAUAACUUGGCUUGUAUAUUCCAAUGAUAGGCUUCCUCAAAAUUGCCUUAGGUCUUCGUGAGCAAGCAAGUUGGAUGCACACCUACUAGUUUUAUUUAAGAGCUUUCACAUACUCGUAGCUCUAGUGCAUCAUUAGUAUGGCAAUCCGUACUCAUUCACAUUGAUAUCUAUUGAUGAGCAUCUCCACAGCUCAUUGAUAUGCCUAGUUAAUGUGACUAUCUUCUCCUUUUUGUCUUGCAACCUCCACCACAUUCCACACCAUCUAUAGUGGUAUAACCAUGGCUCACGCUCAUGUAUUGCGUGAGAGUUGAAAAGGUUUGAGAAAGUAAAGGUGUGAAACAAUUACUUGGCCAAUACCGAGGUUGUGCAUGAUUUAAAUUCGUUGUGCAAUGAUGAUAGAGCAUAGCCAGACUAUAUGAUUUUGUAGGGAUAACUUUCUUUUGGCCUUGUUAUUUUGAAAGUUCAUGAUUACCUUGCUAGUUUGCUUUAAUUAUUAUUGUUUCCACAUCAAUAGCAAACUAUUGUUUAGAAUCUAAUGGAUCUGAACAUUCACGUCACAUAAGAGGAAUUACAAAGGACAUCUAUGCUAGGUAGCAUGAAAGCAUCAAAAAUUCAUUCUUUAUCACUUCCCUACUCGAGGACGAGCAGGAGUUAAGCUUGGGGAUGCUUGAUACGUCUCAAACGUAUCUAUAAUUUUUUAUGGUUUCACGCUGUUAUCUUGCCAUCUUUGGAUGUUUGAUGUACCUUUUCUAUCUUUUCUGGGACUAACUUAUUAAUUCAGUGCCAAGUGCCAGUUCCUGUUUUUUCUGUGUUUUUGACUCUUGUCAGAUCUGAUUUUGGAACGGAUUCCAAACGGAAUAAAAACCCCGAAAUGAUUUUUCCCCGAAGGGAAGAAGAUGAGGGGGGCUCUGGGCCAAGCUAGGUGGGCUCCAGGGAGCCCACAAGCUCCCACCACGCCACUAGGGGGGGAGGCGGCAGUGUGAGGGCUUGUGGCCGCCCAAGCCACCCCCUGACCUAGAUCCUUGGCCUAUAUAUUCCCAAAUAUUCAGCAAAAAAUCAGGGGAGCCUCGAAAAUACUUUUCCGCCGCCGCAAGCUUCCAUUUCCGCGAGAUCUCAUCUGGAGACCCUUCCCGGCACCCUACCGGAGGGGACUUUGGAGUUGGAGGGCUUCUUCAUCAUCAUCAUCGCCCCUCUAAUGACUCGUGAGUAGUUCACUUCAGACCUACAGGUCCGUAGUUAGUAGCUAGAUGGCUUAUUCUCUCUCUUGGAUCUUCAAUACAAAGUUCUCCAUGAUCUUCAUGGAGAUCUAUCCGAUGUAAUCUUCUUUGGCGGUGUGUUUGUCGAGAUCCGAUGAAUUGUGGAUUUGUGAUCAGAUUAUCUAUGAUAUAUAUUUGAGUCUUUGUUGAUUUCUUAUAUGCAUGAUUUGAUAUCCUUGUAAGUCUCUCCGAGUCUUGGGUUUUGUUUGGCCAACUAGAUCUAUGAUUCUUGCAAUGGGAGAAGUGCUUGGUUUUGGGUUCUACCAUGUGGUGACGUUUCCCAGGGAAAGUAGGGGCAGCAAGGCACACAUCAAGUAGUUGCCAUCAAGGGUAAAAAGAUGGGGUUUUUAUCAUUGGUUUGAGAUUAUCCCUCUACAUCAUGUCAUCUUGGUUAAGGCGGUACUCUCUUCUUAUGGACUUAAUACACUAGAUGCAUGCUGUUGGGGAUAUUCCCUGCUGUUGUGACCCGCAAAUAUGGGUCGGGUUACUGUUAAGGCGAUUCAUCCUUUAAGGCUAGUUGGGCCUCAGCCCGGGCGGUUCGAAGUUGCAGGAUGGUUAUGAUUUAUGGAAGGACUCUGGGUUUGACAAGACGGCGACUUAGAGACCGCGGUGGUCAUGAUUUGUAAAAAGGAAGGGACUCUUGUAAACCCUAAGGCUUCGACCUAUAUAUAAAGGCGAGUCUGGAGGGGGAGAGGUAGGUUAGAAAUUAUCGAGUGCUAGGUUAGGGCGAGUUACGCCUUCCUUGUAAUCGAAUCCACAUCAAUACACACAAAACAGGACGUAGGCUAUUACCUCUUCUCGAGGGGCCGAACCUGGGUAAAUCGCCGUGUCUCUCCCGCUUAACCCCUUUGAGUCGCCACCAAGGUGCGAUGGCUCCAGUACUAAGUCCUUUCACGAGGACAUCUGCCGUGACAAAACCACGACACAUGCUGGAUAGCGGUCGACGUGUGGAGUAAUAGUAGUAGAUGUAGAAAGUAUCGGUCUACUUGUUUUGGACGUGAUGCCUAUAGAUAUAAUCAUUGCAUAGAUAUCGUCACAACUUUGCGCGGUUCUAUCAAUUGCUCGACAGUAAUUUGUUCACCCGCCGUCUGCUUGCUUUCAUGAGAGAAGCCACUAGUAAACACUACGGCCCCGGGGUCUAUUCACAUCCAUCGUUUACACCUCUGCUUUUACUUUGCUUUGUUACUUUGGUGCUUUCAGUUCUCACUUGGCAAACAAUCUAUAAGGGAUUGACAACCGCUUCAUAGCGUUGGGAGCAAGCUUUUGUGUUUGUGCAGGAUCUUGAGAUACUCCUCCACUGGAUUGAUACCUUGGUUCUCAAACUGAGGGAAAUACUUACCACCGCUACUCUACAUCACCCUUUCCGCUUCGAGGGAACACCAACGCAAGGCUCCAAGGCCACGGGGGAAAUCCUUUGCAUACUUUCCUAGGAAGUCCCUUAAGGCAUAGCCGCAGCUGAAGAACUCCUGGUGCCGUUGCUGAGGAGUAGCAAGCAACACUCCUAUUUCUGGCGCCGUUGGAAGGUCUUUUGUAGCAGUAGCAGAAGUAUUUCUGGCGCCAUUGCCGGGGAGGAGAAAUCAAGAUUUAUCCAAGUAGGUCUCACAAACUCAUCUCUUGCAUUUACUUUUGUUGCCACUUGCCUCUCGUUUUCGUCUCCCUCACUUCACAUUUGCCGUUUUCAUUUGCCUUUCUACUUUGCCGUUUUCUUUUGCCUUUUGCCUUUUUUGUUCGCCCUUUUUCUCUCGCUUGCUUUGUGUUCGCUUGUGUGUCAUGUGCCUUCAAUAUGCUUGCAUCUUCUUUUGUUAAUCUCUUUAAGAGACCCACUUAUGUGGAACGAAUUGCUAGUGAGUUGAGGGCACUUGACUAUCUUUAUGGAGUUUUGUGUGAGAUGCGUGAUUCUGAAAAUUGUGAGGAAGAAAUUUAUGAAGUGAUUCACGAGGUCUCCUUGGAUGAAAAGCAUGAUUGCAAUGGUUUCACUAUGAAUUAUAUUAGUGACAGUCAUGCUAAAAUUAUGCAAAACCCUAAGCUUGGGGAUGCUAGUUUUGCUAUGUCCACUACUUGUUGCAAUAAUCAUGAUUGGGGUGAUGAUCUUUCUUAUGAUCUUGAAAAUUUGUUCAAACCUCAUGAUGAAUAUGAUAUUUGCGACAAUAUUGAAAGUGGGAUUGGAGAAGUCAUGACUUUAUUUGAUGAUAAUCCCACUAUUUUUGAAGAGCAUCAACUUUGCAUGCAUGUGGAUCAUGAAAAGAAUAUCCUUUGUGAUAGUUACAUUGUUGAACUCGAAUAUGAUCCCACAUGUAAUUGCUAUGAGAGAGGAAAAUAUUGUGGUAGAAACUUUCAUGUUACCAAAUUACCUCUCGUUAUAUGGAGAUUGCUAUUGUCUCUUACUUCUUCCUUGCAUAUGGCAACUAUUGGUUGUCUUGACAAUCUGUUCUCUUGAGCUUGCGUUGGUUUUCCCUUGAAGAGGAAAUUUUGAUGCAGCACAGGAGCAGUAAGUAUUUCCCUCAGUUUGAGAACCAAGGUAUCAAUCCAGUAGGAGAAUCUCGUCAACUCCAGAGUACGUGCACAAACACAAAAGAGCUUGCACCCAACGCUAUAAAGGGGUUGUCAAUCCCUUCAAGAUUGAUUGCAAAGUGAGAUCGGAAGGCGGAAAGUGCAACGAAGAAAAAGAGUAAGGCUAAAAAUAUGGUGUGAAGUAGACCCGGGGCCAUAGUGUUCACUAGAGGCUUCUCUCAAAAUAGCAAAUAUUACGGUGGGUGAAUAAAUUACUGUCGAGCAAUUGAUAGAACCGCGCAAAGUCAUGACGAUAUCUAAGGCAAUGAUCCUACAUAUAGGCAUCACGUCCGAGACAAGUAGACCGAUACUUUCUGCAUCUACUACUAUUACUCCACACAUCGACCGCUAUCCAGCAUGCAUCUAGUGUAUUGAGUUCAUGACGAACAGAGUAGCGCCUUAAGCAAGAUGACAUGAUAUAGAGGGAUAAUCUCAAACCAAUGAUGAAACCCCCAUCUUUUUACCCUUGAUGGCAACAACACGACGCGUGCCUCGCUACCCCUUCUGUCACUGGGUGAGGUGACCUCACGGUAUGAACCCAGAACCAAGCACUUCUCCCAUUGCAACAAUCAUAGAUCAAGUUGGCCAAACAAAACCCACGACUCGAAGAGAAUUACAAGGAUAUGAAAUCAUGCAUAUAAGAGACCAGAAGAAACUCAAAUAAGAUUCAUAGAUAAUCUGAUCAUAAAUCCACAAUUCAUCGGAUCUCGACAAACACACUGCAAAAGAAGAUUACAUCGGAUAGAUCUCCAUGAGGAUCAUGGAGAACUUUGUAUUGAAGAUCCAAGAGAGAGAAGAAGCCAUCUAGCUACUAGCUAUGGAUCCAUAGGUCUAUGGUGAACUACUCACGCAUCAUCGGAGAGGUCAUGGUGUUGAUGAAGAAGCCCUCCGUAUCCGAAUCCCCCCUCCGGCAGGGCACCAGAACGUUCCCAGAUGGGAUCUUGCGGAGACAGAAGCUUACAGCGGCGGAAAAGUACUUUCGAUGAUCUCCUGAUUUUUUCUGGAAUUUUUGGGAAUAUAUAGGAGAAUGACCUAAGGCAGAGGUGGCCCAGGGAGCCCACAAGCCUGGGAGGCCCCCCCCUCGGUGGCCGCGGCUAGGGGGCUUGUGGGGUACCUGGUGGCCCCCUGCCUUGGUUCUCAAGUUCCCCUAUCUUCUUAUGUUUCGAAAAAAAAAUUUGGAAGUUUCGUUCCAUUUGGACUCCGUUUAAAAUCCUCCCCUGAAAAGGGUCAAAAACACGGAAAAAGCAGGAACUGACACUUGGCACUGAGUUAAUAAGUUAGUCCCAAAAAAGAUAUAAAAGGCAUACAAAACAUCCAAAGUUUGACACGAUAAUAGCAUGAAACCAUCAAAAAUUAUAGAUACGUUGGAGACGUAUUAGUUAUCAAAUGUCGCAACAUAACUGGGUGACUAUAAAGGUGCUUUGCAGGUAUCUCCAAAGGUGUCUGUUGGGUUGGCAUGGAUCUAGACUCGGAUUUGUCACUCCGUGUGACGGAGAGGCAUCUCAGGGCCCACUCGGUAAUACAACAUCACAACAAGCCUUGCAAGCAAUGUGACUAAGGAGUUAGUUACGGGAUCUUGUAUUACAGAACAAGUAAACAGACUUGCUAGUCGAGAUUUAACUAGGUAUGGAGAUACCGACGAUUGAAUCUCGGGCAAGUAACAUAUCGAAGGACAAAGGGAACAUCAUACGAGAUUAACUGAAUCCUUGACAUAGAGGUUCAACCGAUAGAUAUCUUCAUAGAAUAUGUGGGAGCCAAUAUGGACAUCCAAGUCCCGCUAUUGGUUAUUGACUGGAGAGUGUCUCGGGUCAUGUAUGCAUAGUUCUCGAGCCCGCAGGGUCUGCACACUUAAGGUUCGGUGACGUUUCCAUAUAGUUGACCUAUAGGUGUUGGUGACCGAAGGUUGGUCGGAGUCCCGGAUGAGAUCCCGGACGUCACAAGGAGCUCCGGAAUGGACUGUGGGUAAAGAUUGAUAUAUAGGAAGUCCUGUUUUGGUCACCGGAAAAGUUUCGGGCUCAUCGGUAGUGUACCGGGAGUGCCGGGAGGGGUGCCGGGGACCAUUGGGAGGGGUGUCACACCCCAAGGGGCCUCAUGGGCUGUGGGAAGAGAUAAACCAGCCCCUAGUGGGCUGGAAUAAUUUCCCACUAAGGCCCAUAAGGUUCGAGAAGGAAAAAAUACAAGGUGGAAAGAGUUUCCAAUUGGGAAGGAGGAAUGCUACUCCAAACAGGAUUGGAGGAAUCCUCCUCUCCUCCUUGCGCAAGGGGAAAAAGGCAGCCCUAGGGCGCAGCCCUCUCCCUCCUCUCCUCCUAUAUAAACUAAGGGUUUCGAGGGUUUUAGAGACAAUAGAAAACAGCCACGUGGUGCCCUCUCCCUCUAGAUCUGUUUCUCCUCUAGUUUCAGCGGUGCUUAGGCGACGCCCUGCUGGAAUAGCAGCAGCGGCACCACCACCACCACCACCACGCCGUGCUGGAAAACUCAUCUACCUCUCCGCCCCCUCUUGCUGGAUCAAGAAGGUGGAGAUCGACACCGAGCUAUACGUGUGCUGAACGCGGAGGUGUCGUCCGUUUGGCACUAGAUCGGGAAGGAUCGUGGUGGGAUCGCGGGACGGAUCAUGAUGAGAUCGCGGGACGGGCUGCGAUUUGGAUUGCGAAGAUGUUCCACUACAUCAACCGUGUUAUAUACGCUUCCGCUUAUCGGUCUACAAGGGUAUGUAGAUUCACUCUCCCCUCUCGUAGAUGAUCAUCACCAUGGAUAGGUAUUGCGUGUGCGUAGUAAAAAAAAUUGUUUUCCAUGCAACGUUCCCCAACAUUGGUUUGAUUUGUGUUCGCUACUUUGAUAAUUUGAUAUGUGGGUGGACUGGUUCUUAGGUGUUGUUCUUACUUGAACAAAUAUCCUACUUAUGAUUUACCCCCUCGCAAGAAUCCGCAACUACGAGAAAAGUAUUAAGAUAAAAUCUAACCAUAGCAUUAAACAAUUGGGUCCAAAUCGGUCCCUUAUGAAGUAGCGCAUAAACUAGGGUUUAAGCUUCUGUCACUGUAGGAACUGAUGUCUACUAUGCAACCUUCUCCUUGUAGACGUUGUUGGGCCUCCAAGCGUAGAGGUUUGUAGGACACUAGCAAUUUUCCCUCAAGUGGGUGACCUAAGGUUUAUCAAUCCGCGGGAGGCGUAGGAUGAAGAUGGUCUCUCUCAAGCAACCCUGCAACCAAAUAACAAAGAGUCUCUUGUGUCCCAAACACACCCAAUACAAUGGUAAAUUGUAUAGGUGCACUAGUUCGGCGAAGAGAUGGUGAAAUAAGUGCAAUAUGGAUGGUAGAUAUAGGUUUUUGUAAUCUGAAAUUACAAAAACAACAAGGUAACAAAUGGUAAAAGUGAGCACGAACGGUAUUGCAAUGCGUGGAAACAAGGCCUAGGGUUCAUACUUUCACUAGUGAAGUUCUCUCAACAAUGAUAACAUGAUUGGAUCAUAUAACUAGCCCUCAACAUGCAACAAAGAGUCACUCCAAAGUCACUAAUAGCGGGGAACAAACGAAGAGAUUAUUGUCGGGUACGAAACCACCACAAAGUUAUUCUUUCUGAUCGAUCUAUCAUAGAGUUCGUACUAGAAUAACACCUUAAGAUACAUAUCAACCAAGACCCUAAUGUCACCUAGAUACUCCAUUGUCACCUCAAGUAUCCGUGGGUAUGAUUAUACGAUAUGCAUCACACAAUCUCAGAAUCAUCUAUUCAACCAACACAUAGAACUUCAAAGAGUGCCCCAAAGUUUCUACCAGAGAGUCAAAACGUGUGCCAACCCCUGUGCAUAGGUUCCCAAUGUCACAAACCCGAAAGUUGAUCACCAAAACAUACAUCAAGUACUCACAUGAAUCCAUGUGUGCCAACCCAUAUGCAUAGGUUCCCAAUUGUCACAAACCCGCAAGUUGAUCACAGCAGAUAGACACGUGCAAGACAUACAUCAAGUGUUCUCAAAGACUCAAUCCGAUAAGAUAACUCCAAAGGGUAAACUCAAUUCAUUACAAGAAGGAGAGGGGGAAGAACAUCAUAAGAUCCAACUAUAGUAGCAAAGCCCAUGGUACAUCGAGAUCAAGACAUCUCAAGAACACAAGAGAGAGAGAUCAAACACAUAGCUACUGGUACAUACCCUCAGCCCCGAGGGAGAACUACUCCCUCCUCGUCAUGGAGAUCGCCGGGAUGAUGAAGAUGGCCACCGGAGAUGGAUUCCCCUCCGGCAGGGUGCCGGAACGGGCUCCAGAUUGGUAUUUGGUGGCUACAGAGGCUUGCGACGGCGGAACUCCCGAUCUAGGUUUCUUUCUGGGGGUUUCUGAAUUUAUAGGAAUUUAUGGUGGUGGAAUUGCGUUAGUUGGGCCCACGAGGAGGUCACAAGCCUACGCGCCACCACCGAGGGGGGUGGCGGCGUGAGGGCUUGUGACUCCCUCGUGGCCCAUCUGGCCUUCUCCCAAAGCUUCGGGGGUCUCUUUUGGUCCAAAAAAAUCAUCGUAAAGUUUCAUUCCAUUUGGACUCCGUUUGAAAAUGGGCCAAAAACACGAAAAAAACAGAAACUGUCACUUGGCACUGAGUUAAUAGGUUAGUCCCAAAAAAUAUAUAAAAUAACAUAUUCAUGCAUAUAAAACAUCCAAAGUUGACAAGAUAAUAGCAUGGAACCAUCAAAAAUUAUAGAUACGUUGGAGACGUAUCAGGAACCCAUCACCUAAUAACUACUCCACAAUGCAUUCCCUUAGGCACAAAUAUGGUGAAGUGUCAUUUAGUCGACGUUCACAGGACACCACUAAGGGAAUCACAACAUACAUAUCAUCAAAAUAUCAAACACAUAUCAAGUUCACAUGAUUACUUGCAACAAGAUUUCUCUUGUGGCCUCAAAAACAAAAGUAACUACUCACGAGUGAUAAACAUGCUCAAGAUCAAAGGGGUAUUAAAUAGCAUAAUGGAUCUAAACAUAUAGUCUUCCACCAACUAAACCAUAUAGUAAUCAACUUCAAGAUGUAAUCAACACUACUAGUCCCCCACGAGUACUAAUCUAAGGUUCCGGUACAAAGAUUGAACACAAGAGAUGAACUAGGGUUUAAGAGGAGAUGGAGUUGUUGAAGAUUGUCCUCCCAAAGAUGAAUGGGUUGUUGGUGAUGACGAUGGCUUCGAUUUUCCCCUCCGGAAGGGAAGAUCCCCCGGCGAAAUCGCUCCACCGGAGGACAAAAGUGCUCCUGCCCAAGUUCCACCUCGAGAUGGCGGCGUUCCGUCCAGAAAGUCCUUUCUUUACUUUUUUCUUGGUCAAAAUGACUUAUAUACCAGAAGAGGGGCACCAGAGGUGGGCCGAGGAGGGCAAAACCCACCAGGGCACGCCUGGGGGGCCGUGGCGCACCUAGGUGGGUUGUGCACACCUGAUGGCCUCCUCUGGUACUUAUUUGCUCUAAUAUUCCUUAAAUAAUCCAUAAAAAAUCUCCGUGAAAUUUUAGCUUAUUUGGAGAUGUGCACAAUAGGUGGGUUGACGUAGCUUUUUCCAGGUCGAGAAUUCCAUCUACCGACAAUCUCCCUCUUUGUGUAAACCUUGCAUAUUAUGAGAGAAAGGGCAUUAAAAUUACUCCAUAAAGCAUUAUUAUGCAUAAAACAUUAUAAAUAACAGUAACAAAACAUGAUGCAAAAUGUACGUAUGAGAACCUCUGGCCAUCGGUGAUGGUGUCCUAGAUUAGGGGGUGCUAGCCAUGACAGUUCCCGGACAUAUGGGUGAGGCCGAGGACAACCAAAACAACCAAAUGGUUGGACACAUUCAUCGGGUCCCAUGAGAAUCAAGAUGAAUUCUUUCGAAGACUUGGCUCACGCCUCUCCCAUUGAUCCACCUUGUAUAGGUGCAAAGACUGCCAUGUAGGCGAAAAAAAUCUGAUGUGGCAAGGUAAUUAAGAGUAGAGAGAUGAGUGUUGUAACCCGAGGAAGAAACAAUGUCAAGCAUGUGAACAUAGGCAAAACACUUAAAUGAAAGAAACCCACCAAUACAUGAAGAACUUUAGUUGCUAAAUCAUUAAAUGAAGGAGCUUAGCCAACAACAAGUUAAGCACAUAUGCAUUGAGGGCUUUAGUUGUUAAAUUCCUUAAUAUGCUUAGCAUCUUAUCUUAGCAUCAAUGCAUUGGAAGUAGCCUAAUACUCCAAUACUUAGAGAUGAUCUUCGGCACAUUUAUCCUUAGAUAUAACCGACCUAUGUGAAACCCUAGGCACCUCGGGUAUCUAUAUAAGCCAAGGGGUGAGGAUUGUAGACACUAACUCAUACACACACGAUAUCAUGUUGGAUCAACCUUUAUCUUGUACCCCCUCAAUUAAUAGAAUCAACAAAUGACGUAUGGUAUUAUAUUUUCGAGAGAACCUGGGCCUAGGUGAAACAUGUAUCCAUGUUACCAUCAGGCGAAGGAUACUAGUUUGGGUACCCCAACCCGAGAUCUGCUGGAUUUCACUCGAUCAGUCGACGAGAGUAAAUAGAGAUCUGGAAAGAGAGGGGAUUUGGGGUGGUAAUUUUCUACUCACAUCAUAAAACAUAAAUUUUGACGAGUUAUUUUAAGUUUGUUCCUAGAGUACCAAAAACAAUCAAGUGUGUGGGGUAAUACAUGCUCGCUUUUUUCAAAAUGAUGUGCUACCGUUUAACAAUAUCUUACAUCUAAUGAAUCAAGUUCGUUUCAUAUUCGUGAAAUUUACUAUUCAUUUGUUGAUUCAAUUGUGCAACAUUUACAAGUUACAGUUCUUGUUCAUAUGCUUGAUACAUCGACUUCAUGUUGUGCUUGGUCUUUGCCACCGCCACGACAUGUUUCUUAUAUCUCUGAUGCUGCAUUGUUAGCCUCUCUCGACAAGAGCCUGUGUGUGGGAUGAUAUAUGUGAAUCUCUUGCGCGUUGCAUGGCUGAUUAUUUGGCAUGCGAGGAGAAUAUUUACUCAAUCAUUUUUGCCUUGGAUUGCCUUUUUAUGAUGCAGCACCACACCUCGUGUUGUGUUUUUUUCACGACACACGUCCUCGUGAAAGAACUAAGUUGUGACGACAUCGUUAUUAGGUGAAAACUGGACGGGGUUGAUCAGAAGCGAGAGUCAUGAGUUUGCCCUGGUUCGGCCCCUCACGAUGGAGGUAAUAGGAUACUCCUGCUUGAUUGCUAUUGAUGGCGGUGGUCUCGAUUACAAGGGCACUAUUUCGUUGUCUCUGUCUCAAGAGCUAUCAAAACAUAUGUCUUGAGACCUAUCAAAACAUCUGUCUAAAAACUUGUCUUCUAAGACCCGUCCCUCUGAUGACCGAGGGACUCCCUUUAUGUAAUAUCCGAGUCCCUGGGGUUACAAGAGAUUUCGCGUUAUACCCGUAGUCGGAGUCCUACUCUAAGUCCUCUGAGUCAUAUGUAUCUUCUAAGUCGGGAGGUCUCCAUCUUGUAUUUGGACUCCUUAUGGAUGAAACUUCGCAUAGGUCUAGAUCAUGUAGCAAGCAGGGUCCUAUAGCACGCUAAGUCAUGUCCUUAUAGCCAACUUGUCUCGAGAGACUUAUCUCCUGGUCGACCUAACUCUAGACCUAACUUAUCUCCAAAGAUGACUUAUGUCGAGGCCGACUUAAAUCCAAACAUUCCUUAACUAUAGAGAUGACUUAACUCCCGAAAUGACUUAUGUCUAGGUCGGGUCUUUAGGCACCUACUGACUCUCUUCGUCUUGUUGGCCUUUCUACCCAUUAAUAAUAUUUAGUGAGCUUGGUGGUAGUUAGAAUCAAGUCUACAGCGGAUGGUUUCACUCAUGUGGUUUUCAAGCAUGUUCAGUGGUAGUUUAAUGUGACAUCUCAUGUUUUAGCUACUAAAUCAUGUAUGAGCUUUACUGGUCUUUCUGUUUUACAUUCUACUUCCCAUUGCAUCCACAAGACUAAUUGUAAUGUUGUUGCUUGAUCAAUAAAAUGACGGUGUUCCCUCUCUAAUUAUUUUUUAAAAGAGUAGGAAACUAGGUAAGCAAGGGCCCAACAAACGUACCUGAGGCUGCUGGCCCAUCCUAUUCCCCAAAAACAACACAAAGCCCCAACCCCUUCCCUAAAAAAGGCCCCAACCUCUCCCCUCAAACCAAAAAAAAGAAAAAAAAAAGGCCCCUACCUCUUCGGCCGCCCCUGAUGAUCGGUCGGCCGCCAGCCGCCGCCUGGGCGGCGUCAUCGAACCUUCUCCUUUUUCCUUCCCUUUGCCGGAAACCCUCUCGUCCGGCGGCAAAAUCGACAAAUCUGACCCGUGAGGUGAAAAAAUUCACAAAUUGGACCGUGUUUUAAAAAAAUCGCUAAACUGACCCUUUUAUGUGACGCCCGACACAUAGGCGCCAAACUACACUAUGUGACGCAUUAGCCGUAGGCGCCACACCCCCGUCCACGCUGGCGUCCGACCCGAUCGCACCCCUAGCAGUGUGACGCCUAAGUAUGAGGCGUUGCACUUGUGGUAGUGUGGCGCCGAGGGAUUAGGCGCCACACUCUCACUUAUCCAGCCACGGGCUGGCCCUCCCCCACCCCCUCCUCAUUCACCCCCAUCGCUAGAGAGAGUUCUCCCUCGAGUUCCCCUCUCCCCUACCUCAAAUCCAUCUCCAAAUCAAGCAGUUCUGAAGCUUUGUUCUGGGCAUUUCGUCUCCAAUCCCUCCCUUAAGUUAAUCCCCCCCGAUCCCCUCCCUCUCAUCCAAAAAAAAUCUCAUUUGCUCACUUUUUUGCAAAUGUGAGGAAACCUUAAUUCUACAUGAAAUUUGGGAUGUAUAUGAUAUUGUUGCACUUGUUUGUAUGUAAGGAUAAGUGGUAUGAUAGGGUAAGGAUUAGGGUUGCUUGGAUGUUAGGAUUAUGGUUGUGUUGGGGUUAGGGGUAAGAUGGGGUUAGGAUUAUGGUUGUUUGGAUAUUAGGAUUAGGUAUUUUUAUUAUGCAUAUUUUGUAGUGUUUUGAUGAUUGCUUAUACAAAAUAUUGUAUGUUGUGUUGUUUAGGGAUAGGAAGAACAUGUGUUUAUGUUCAUCACGUGGACAAAGAUGCCUUUUUAAAAGGCAAUAUUGAUUCGGACCCGGAUGAGCUUGACAUGUUGUUUGAUUGUUGUCCUAGCUAUGCUGAGUUGUUGGAACAAGUCUGAAAGGAUUUGAAUUGGAUGGACCCAAGUGAUGUUGUUGAGUUUGAUGGUAGGCAUAAUGUGGGAUUAGGAAUGCACAUUCAUUGGAAGACCAUGCGUGUCAACUCCGAGCAACGUUGUCUUGGAUACAAGGAUACGGUGGCUGAAUCACUAGACAAGGCUCUAGAGUUAUUUGCCAUAAAAGAUGAUCCUAACUUGCACUUGGAUUUGAACCGGGUUGCCUCUCUGACUGUUGAUGCUAGUCCUCCACGCAUCAACGAAGAGGCCAACAUUAAACCUUUUUUGACCCAACAAUCAAGGACAACAUUGACCUAGAAUUCAAACAUCCAACAUGAACCAUUGCUAGAGGAGAAUAAUGAGCAUGAUGAUGAUGAGAAUGAUGAUAUUAUUCUCCAUGACAACAGCCUUGGUGAUUUGGACAAAUAUAAUUUGCAAGACACAAUGGACCAUUCUAUUCCAUACUCACGUGGCUAUGCAUCGAAGUCGGACAAUGACAGUCCCGAUGAAGAAGUUAAUGAGGAAGGGUUCAUGGCAAAGGAGUUGAAGCUUUCACGAAGGUAUUAGGGCGGGAUCACCGGACACCAUUGUUCGAGGGUCUUAGUCUUGCGUAUGAAACCAUGGUUGAUGGAGGCGAAGGCAUAUUGUUUGGAGUUAGGCCACCUUCUCACCGGGACAAACAUGGGAAGAAUAUUAUUUUUCCGGGGUCAAAGUUCGAAACAUUCCUGGAACUGAAGAUGUGGUUGGAUGAAUAUUUGGUUAUGCGUUAUCAUCCACACAAAGUUGUUCAUUCGAACAUGAAGUUGCGUUACACGGUUGCAUGUGAGGAUUCAGGAUGUCCAUGGAUUGUCCGUGGAAGACCUUGGAAAGGAGGGCCCAAAUGGAACAUUGUGAGUUGUAUGCCUCACCUGCGCCGAGGCAAGAGGGUUGAUAGCAAGCUUUCAUCGCAAAACCAUAGACAACUCACCUCCGAGUUCAUAUCUUACAGGCUUUCGAACUCCAUUUCCUCUCUUCCUACAGUGAGCAUAAAAAGCGUACAAGAUCUUGUGAAAUCCCUCUUUCACUACCAUGAGAAAUACGGGAAGGCAUGGAAAGCAAAGCAAUCCACAUUCAAGAUGUUGUAUGGUGAUUGGGAACAAGCAUACAACCGACUACCUAGGUUGUUGGGAGCUAUUGUCGCCACUAACCCCGACAUGGUUCAUGUGGUCGAGCCGUAUGGGGAGAAAACAAGGAUUCACAAUGGAAAGACGGUCCGCGUAUUUGGUCGUGCAUUUUGGGCAUUUCAGUAAUGUCUGAGGGCUUUUCAGCACUGUCGGUUGGUCAUCUCCAUCGAUGGCACGUUCUUGACCGGGCAAUUCAAGAGCACUGUGUUGGUUGCAAUAGGAAAUGAUGCCAAUAACCGGUUGUUCCCUUUGGCUUUUGCUUUGGUUGAGGUGGAGAAAAAUGUUAACUGGGAAUGGUUCUUGCUAAUUUUGAGAACCAAGGUACUACCGUUUGAAAGGGAAAUCUGUAUCAUAUCGGAUCGCCAUCCAGGAAUACUUAACGCGGUUGACAUCGUCAUUCCCGGGCAUGCUCCUGUGCACCAUUGAUGGUGCAUGAGGCAUUUAUGUGCAAACUUCUACCGGGCAUGUGGUAGCAAGGAGUUGAUUGAUAAUCUUCAAGAUUGUUGUCAAGCUUUUUCUGACAAACGAUUUGCAAGAUUGUAGAAUGCUUUGGUUGCAAACAAUAAACUUGAUGCAGGGGGUCUUGAGUUUCUCAACAGGCACAUUCAACUUAGGCCAAAGUGGGCACGAGCUUAUGAUGGAGAUGGCCGAAGAUAUGAUCAAAUGAAAAGAAACAUGGCAGAACGCUUCAAUAGGGUGUUGAAGGGUGUUCGUGCUUUUCGGUGACGGCAAUAGUUCAAUACACAUUCGACAAGUUGAGAUCAUACUUUCUAAAGUACUCAAGUGAAAUGGAUGAUCAGAUUGCGGGAGAGAACAAGAAAAAGUAAAAGUACAAGUUCCCACCAAAGUUAAUAAAUGGAUGGAAUUUCAAUCAUGGAAAGGCUGACUCCCAAACAACUACUUUGUACAACAACGAUGAUUGGACGUACCAUGUGAAUGAGCCCGGAGGAAUGACAAACGGUGGCCAGCAACACGGAAACAGGGCGUUCAAGGUAUCUUUAUCGUUGUGUGAUUGCUCUUGCAGGAGGCCAAGGUUGAUUCAUCUCGCAUGCUCGCACUUUUACACGGCAGCUCGCACUGGGAAUGUGGACGUCAACCAUCUGCUAACCACGAGGGAGUCCGGGUUCUCUAUCAUGACCAUGAAGCAUACAUGGGCUCCUAGAUUUGAACCAUACUUUGACCGAUCACAAUGGCCGGAGUAUCGUGAGCUUCAACUAUGGCCCGACCCGGAAUGAAAGCUGGUAAAAUGGGGAAGAUGACAAACAAAUCGUUUUUGAGGAGACAUGGAUGGAUGGGUCCAUGAUGGUGGCCGAGAAAUGGGGGACAACCAAUUCCAAGAGCCUACUCAGAGAUCACAUUGUCGAGAGUGUGGUGUAACAGGGCACAACACAAGAAGGUGUACUAACCCUAAGUAGUAGCCAACAAGGUCCUAGCCAAGCAAGUAGUAGCCAACAAGGUCCUAGCCAAGCAAGUACAAUCCAACAACGUCCUAGCCUAGCAAGUGGCAGCCAAUAAGUUCCUAGUCAACAUGUUCCUAGCCAACAUGUUCCUAGCCGGCAUGGACUUACUAGAGGACGUGCUCAUGGGAUAGUGCGUGCUGGUGCUAGAGGCAGAGGUGGGAGAGCUCGUGGACUUACUAGGAUUCGUAUGUGUGGAUACCUACGAGGACCAUUUCCGUAUGUCAUAGUAUUGACUUAUCUUUUUCAUGUUGUUUUUAAUGCUCCCUUCUAUGUUAACCAUGUACUAUCGUUAUUUUACUAACUAUUAUGUUGCUAUUUUUUUGUAGGUAUGGUGGCAUCUCAACCCAACAAGGCAAGAACAGAGUGGGUGGAGGACAAGGAUGCAGUCGGUGAGGACCAGGGGUCGUGGGAGAGGGAUGCAAAGAAGUUGAGAGAGGAGGACGCAGCCAAAGCGAAGAGGAAGAAGGAGAGGAGAGGGAAGCGGCGAGGAAGGAGGAGCUGGAAAUAACGCUUGACUACUACAACUACCAUAAGCGGAUUAAGGAUGAGCACAAGAACAGGAUGCAGAAACAUCAAAGGGAUUUCGUAGCAAACUAUAAGAAGUUAACCGCACAGAAUGCAUCAAAGAGAGAGCGGGAGCAUCAAUGCUUCACGGAGAUGGUAAUGAAAGAGGCUUCAAAAAUGCGUAAAAGGGAAGAGGAAGGAGAAAGGAAGAAGAAGAAGGGAAAUGCACCUUGCUCGACACAAUAGAGCAUGCUACUUAUUUUCGUCAUGCGGCUUUCAUCUUUGAACCUAUUGUGUUGUUGAACCUUGUCCACUUGCACGCUUUGUUAUUUGGAACUUCUCUACUAUGAAACUCCUCUAUUAUGAAACUAUUUUAUGGAACUCAUGUAUGUUUUGCUGGGAUAAUUUAUGAUUUGCUAUGCUGGAUUAUUUAUGAUGUCUUAUUAUGUGAUAAAUUAUGAUGUGGCUGUGAUAAUUUGUGACAUGGCUGUGACAAACUACACUGCAGUUUGAGUGUGUGGCGCCUUACACCUAGGCGUCACACAUGCCAAAUGGUACGGCGCCCUUCUCUUAGGUGUCACACAUGGGAAACAUAGUAGUAACACAUACUGCCAACUUUGUGUGGCGCCAUAUACCUAGGUGUUGCACAUGUGUGGCGCCCUUCACAUAGGCGUUACACAUGCAAAAUUUCACAAAAUGACAACUUUAGAUUAACAUAUAGCUUUCUAACAGAGAUUAACAAAAAAAUUCCAUUCGAACCACACAGUGACAACAAAUCAUAAGCUUAAUAUAAUUUCCAUUAGAACCAAAAGCUUGAUUUCAUGGUAAUACAAGUUCAUCAACGAGUUAAACCAAAGACAAACAUUGCUACUAGUUCAACAACUUAAAAGGUUUAUGUCUCUAGAAUAGCCUUGGUUUCAUCAGCUUGUUUAUUGAUCUCUUUGCACUAUGACACACGAAAAUGACAUGUAAGGCAAGUAAAGAUGUGUAGUAGUGUUCAGAGAUAACAUAGGGAGCACACUUACCACAAAGUUGAGCACUCGAGCAAAAGGCGUUUGAUAACCUUAGUGAAUUAGCUUGUUGUAUUCUCCAUGGGAAAGUUCAUCGAAUGAAGUGGGACCUUCCAAUAUGUCCUCCUGAAAAGCCGGCGGACAAAUCUCCACUCGAGUAUUCUCCUGAAACCAUCUGACGUAGUUGUUGAACGCAAGUGAACAAUGCUCCCACACCUGGGUUCCCGGCGUACUCCUAGCUUCCUCCACACUUUGCUCAAACAUAGUGACAUACUUCUUAUGAUGCUUAUUCCAAUCCUUGAUCUUUCGUUGCCUCCUCCUAUGCAACCUGCCUUUUACAUACCUCAUUAUUAGCUCACUCAAUACUUAGCUCAAACAUAGUUCUUUAUUGUAUUUGUGCAUGCUUUGCUACCUGUGAAGUUAUGCUUCUGUGUCCACCCACUCCGGCGGGUGACCCUGAAACAACCCAAAUUGAUGCAACAAACUAUGCGGGAGAUGAAACUGAACGACCCAAUUGCAUAUUAGGGGACAACACAUUAGCCAAAGUUAUUUUUCCUGCAAGUAUAUUGGAUUGAGCUGGAACGUGUGUGCAUCACCAAAGCUUGCCCCGGCACCAUAUGGCUGCCAUUCCACCUACAACACAACAAAAAAAGGCACCAUUCAUUUUUUCCUUUCAUUUAGGGAGUUAGCUCAGUGAUGUUUACCUGCUCGGCGGUAAGCGAGUCCAUCUCAUUGGUGUAUUGCUUGUACAAGAUAUUCACAUCGCUCGUCACCUCCGAUACUGUGUCCCACUUGUAAGCCCAGGUGGGAAGCCGUACAGGGUUGUCAUGGUCAUCCCAGGCCUUGAACGUUACCUCUCUAGGGCAUCCAACAGGAAGGCGUUUCUAGCUCCAUACCAAAAGUAGGAGCAUAGACCCAACAAUUCCGCCGUCUCUUGUGGACCUAUGACAAGCUUCGUCCAACUACAAAUAAAUACAAACAUGGAUGAGUUAAGCGCAAAGGUAUAAUCCAAACAAAAACUUACUAUGAACAAUUUAUUACCUGUCGGUACAGGUAGGCCAAUGCGGCCGACCCCCAGCUGAACUUGUUGUCGAAAACCGUCAACGCCUUCAGCCACAUCCAUUGAGGAUUCUUGCCACUACCGUCAGCGAAUAUAGUCCUAGAGAUAACAUACCACAUGUACACACGAUCAUAAGUCUGGAUCACUUCGUCAUUGGCGUCCUCAGGACAAUGAGCAAAGUUGGCUGCAAUCCAAGUGAAAGGAGCGCCAGCCGGGACUCUAUCAUUCUUCCCUCCAUCUUCUGCCUCCGGCUCUGGAGGUGACAUACCAAUAAGGGCCUCCGUUUGUUGUCGGCAUCCCUCAGAAUCAGUGCUCAUACAAAGAGGUUUCCCCUCGAUUGGAAGUGCAGUUAUCAUGGAAACAUCUUGAAGAUUCACGGUCAUCUCUCCGGUCCGUAGGUGAAAACUAUGGGUCUCCGGGUUUUUUCACUGUUUUGACCCGAGGGGGUAAGUUAAUCACGGAAAACUCGUUUGGAAAGAAUUUCACGUUUUGACCCUUUUCUUGAAACGCCGUAGACCGUGGCGUUGCAGCCCUAUGGAGAAACGCCAUUCUACUGUGGCGUUGCAGCCCUUCUGUGAAACGCCUGUGUAAUGUGGCGUUUCUGGCCUGAGGUGAAACGUCAGGUACCAUGGUGUUUCUUGGCUUUAUAUUCUGCCACCCCGACCCCCUCGCCACCAACCACCAUUUCUCCUCUUCUCUUGUUCUUCCUUUGACGAAAAAGCUCUCCCUUGUGCUCAAGAUCCCCCCCUUCGAUCUCCCUCCUCCCUCAACCUUUUAGUUGGUUCUUUGAGGCAAAUCAAAGAGGCCGGUAAGCUCCUCCAAUCCCUCCAAUUAGUUUUUGCAAUGACUUUUUAUUUGUGUAGAUUUUUUUUGCACUAGGUGUUCCAUUUAUGUUGCAUUGUAUUGGUUGGUUUAUUAUUAUUGAUAAGAUGGUUAUGCCUAAUUUGGUUGGACAAGGGUUAGGGUUAGUGUUAGGUUUUGUGUUGUGCCCAAUUUGGAUGGAUAAGGUUUAGGGUUAGGGUUUGUGUUAAUGCCUAAUUUGGAUGGACAAUGGUUAGGGUAAUGUUUUGUUAGUUGUUUUGUUAUACUUAGAAUUGGUAAUUUUGUCCCCUUUUUUAGAUCGACAAUAUUGUGAAUAUUCAUUAUGUUGACAAAGAGGCAUUCGUGAAUAUUGAUAUUGUUGACAAAUAUGAGGAAGUGUUGACAUUUCUUGAUAGUUCUACUUAUGAAGAGGUUGUGGCAGAAAAUCGGAUAAGAUUGAAGUGGGUUGAUCCAAGUGAUCAAGUAGAAUUAUUAGGAAGAUAUGAUGUUGGGUCGGCACACAAGUGUUGAAUGAAGACAAUGCCUAUCAAGUCCAAUUUGCAUUGGGUUGCAUACAAGGAGGUUGUUGCAUCCUCGAUAGACAAGUCACUCAAAGUGUUUGCUAGUACGGUGGUCAAUGCUCCUCUUCAUGUUGACUUGAACCAGCCCUUAGUAGAUGAUUUGAGCCCGUAUAAUGGUGCGGCACCUAUUAUUGAGCAUAAAGUAGAAGUGUCGGUCAAUGAGUAUCCCCAAUAUGAGUUUGGAGGUAGUGCACCGAUUAAAGAUGAUGGUCAUGACUCCGACGAAGAGUGUGAGAGGCAACACAACAUUGUUGGUGACGUAGAGGCUCAAGUAAGGCAUGAUGACACGGAUCCUGACAUUGUUUAUCAGCGUGCUUGUGUGGAUGAGUCGGAUGAUGAAGGCCCGGUGAAUGAGUUGGAUGAGGAUGGUAUCACUGAGAAAGAAGCGGAGUGGUAUACAAAAAUCACCGAUAGGGAUCACAAAGUUCCCUUGUUUUGUGAUGUUAGCCUUGCAGAUAAGGCUUUAGUCAACGGUGGCAUGAGAAAGAAAAUUGAUGCUAGAAUGUUCCCAAGUAGCACACCCAACUCGAUUUGUACGUCUUACCUAAAGAAAGGUUUGAUGUUCGAGGACAUUCUAGAAUUGAAGAUGUGGUUGUGUGAGUAUGCCGUCAAACACUACAUGCCUUUCAGAGUUGUGCACUCGGACUGCCACAAGCGAUACACCGUGAAAUGCGAGGUAGAAAAUGCAAAUGGAAAGUCAAUGCAAGACUCAUGAAAGAUGGUUUGUGGAAGAUAAGUAGUUGCAUUGCAACUCACCAAUGCACACCGCCGACAGAUGAAGCACCAGAGACACACCAUCAGUUAACCUCAGAAUUCAUCGGUUAUAAAUACCAGAAACAUAUAGCUGAGGAUCCAACCAUUAAAGUGAAGUUGUUGAUGAGUUGGGUUUUCGAGAGAUUUGGAUAUAAGGUCAAGUACGGGAAGACAUGGAAGGCCAAACAGGUCGCUUUAGAAUGUUGUAUGGUGGAUGGGAAGAGGCGUACAACAUGCUACCCCGGUUGCUGGGCGCGAUGGACUAUAGAAACCCCGGAAUGUACCACUAUGUCCAAGAUAUUGAAGGAGUGUUCAGUCGUGCCUUUUGGACGUUUGGCCCAUGCAUUGCAGCUUUUGAGAAUUGUCGUCCGGUUUUGUCUAUAGAUGGAACAUUCCUGACUGUCAAAUACAAGGGCACACUAAUGAUAGCAAUGGCACAUGAUGCUAAUGAUCAGGUGUUGCCUGUGGCAUUUGCUUUGGUGUCAGUGGAGAACCAAGACAACUGGGAAUGGUUCAUGAGACUUGUGAGAAGCACGGUGAUUCCUCCCAAUAGGGAGGUAUGCAUCAUAUCUCUUCGACACCAAGGCAUAUUGAAGGUCGUGGAUGUUCACAUUCCAGGGCAUGCGAGACUUCACCAUCGAUGGUGCAUGAGGCACUUCGUUGCAAACUUUUACAGGGCUUGUAAGAACAAAGAUCUGGCGAAGGAUCUUAACUCUGCAUGUGUGGCCUUCUCCGUUGAGUCGUUCACGAAACGAUUGAACAAAAUAUAUGAGAAGGCAAAUGAAGGUGGAAAAGAAUUCCUACAAAGGAAUAUAGAUGAGAGACAUAAGUGGUCACGGGCACGUGACAAAGGAGGCAUGAGAUAUGGCGACAUGACAAGCAAUCUUGUUGAGUGCUUCAACUUUGUCUUGAAGGGGGCAUGUCAGUUGCCGGUCACGGCAAUAGCUGAAUAUACCUUUUACAAGCUCAAUGAGUAUUUUUUGAAGCACUCCGAAGAAAUUGACAAGUUGGUUGGUGAGAGUGAGAAGCCUCCCAAUGAUAUCUAUCCGAAGAAGGUUGCCGAGUGGCUAGAGUUUCAAAAAGAGAAGUCAGCCAUGCAGCGACCACUUGUUUCGAUAACGCUGAAAUGAAAUACCAAGUGGAUGAGCCAGGCGGUACAACGAGAGAUGGGCAAUCAUAUGGUGGUCGCUCAUUUAUGGUUUCCCUUCGGACGCGGCAUUGCACUUGUGAGCGGCCUAGUAAGUACCACUGGACAUGCUCGCACAUGAUGACGGCAUGUCGCAUGAGGAAUUUGCCCUUCUCUGAUGGUGUAGUUGUGAGGUUGCAUGAAUUCAACUUGCAAACUCAUCAGUUAACAUGGGCGUCGAGAUUCCACCCUUUUCUUGACCCAUCACAGUGGCCAGAGCACACGGCCCUAAUAUUAGGCCGGAUCCAGAGAUGAUGGUUCAACCGAAGGGUAGAAGGAGAACAAAACGAUACAGGAAUGAUAUGGAUGACCUGAUGAGCACCAGACAGUUUGGUAGUGGACAUUUCAUGGAGCCACGUGAUAGGAACCAAUGCGGUGAUUGCAAUGAAACGGCACAUAAUAAGAGGACUUGCAAAAGAAACAAUGCAUCUACUAGUGAUGUGGGGGGCAGAGGUGGUUCAAGUGCUGGCGGUGGUACACGUGGUGGUUCAAGUGGUGGCCUUGCUAUGGGCCGAGGAUCCGGCGGUGGUAGACGUGGUGGUUCAAGUGGUAGCCUUGCUAUGGGACGAGGAUCCGACGGUGGUAGACGUGGUGGCCUUGCUAUGGGACGAGGAUCCGGCGAUGGUAGACGUGGUGGCCUUCCUGUGGGCCGAGGAUCCGACAGUGGUGGUAGACGUGGUGGUUCAAGUACUCGUGGAGGUUUUAUGGGUAGAGGUUCGGGUGGUGGUAGAGGAAUGUUCGGUUACCUACGAGGACCAUUUCCGUAAGUUUACUACAUUUCAUUAUUAUUGUCAUGUUGUACAUUUUUUGUUGUCACAUAUUUGACUUAUUUAUCAUGUUGUUUUUCAUGCUCCUUUGUAUGUUAUUGUACUAACUGUGAGCCUUGAUGUUUUUAUGUAGGUAUGGCGGCGUCUCAACCCAACAAGGGGAAAAUGGAGUGGGGCAGAGAAGGAUGCAGCCAGUGAGGAGCAACGGUUGAUGGAGAGGGCUGCAAAGAAGUUGAGAGAGCAGGACGCAGCCGAAGCAAAGAAGAUGGAGAGGGAGCGCCAGUACGAAGAGAAUGAAGCAAAGAGGAAGGAGGACCUCAAUAUGUUCCUUGAGCAUCGUGCUUAUGAUAAAAAGAUGAAGGAGCAUCACAAGAAGGUGAUGGAGCAACAUCACAAAGAAUGGGCAGCUAAAUUUAAGAUUGCUAUGGCAGAGGGUGCAACAAAGAGAGAGCAGGAGAAUGAACUCUUCAUGGAGAGGGUGCUGGAAGAGGCUUCAAAAUGCGCAAAAGGGAAGACGAAGAGGAAGAAGAGAGGAAGAAGAAAAAGGGGAAGCGGCCUUGCUCGACACAAUAGAGCCGGAGGCUUCUAUUCUCAUGCGCGCUUUCAUGUUUGAACCCUAUGUGUUGAACCUUGUUCGCUUGCGCGCUAUCUGACUAUGAAAUCCACUAUUAUGUACUUUAAGAACCCUAUGUGUUGAACCUUGUUUGCUUGUGAUGUUUGUACUUUAUAUGGGCUAUGUGAUGUGUGUAUUCUUUGUUCUUAGUUGCAUAUGUGAUCUGUAUGUUGUCUGUGUGAAGGUGCUAAAUGUGGUCUGUAUGUUGUCUGUGUGAAGAUGCUAAAUUUGCAAAAUCAUGUAUGUGAAACGCCAGCCCUAGUGGCGUUUCAGCCUGUCCCUGCAACGCCAGCCUUAGUGGCAGCGUUGGCAUCCUGCAUAGAAACGCCAGUUGUUAUGGCAUUGCAGCCUCUACAAGAAAUGCCAGCCUCAAUAGCGUUCCCUUAGUCCAGUACCACACUUUCCAUGUCUUCUGCAGCGUUGGCAUCCUGCAUAGAAACACCAGCUAUGAUGGCGUUGCAGCCUCUACAAGAAACGCCAGCCUCUGUGGCAUUCCCUUAGUCCAGUACCACUAUUUCCAUGUCUUCGGCAGCGUUGGCAUCCUGCAUAGAAACGCCAGCUAUGAUGGUGUUGCAGCCUCUACAAGAAACGCUAGCCUCUGUGGCGUUCCCUUAGUCCAGUACCACUAUUUCCAUGUCUUCGGCAGCCAUGAAUACUUCAAACUUCAAACUUCAAAACCCAAGUUAGAAUGACAUGACAAGUUGAUACUUCAAACUUCAUAACCCAAGUUAGCAUGACAAGACAAGUUGAUACUUCAAACUUCAUAACCCAAGUUCUUAAUUCAAACAUCAAAGUACUUAAAAUUCCAUAAGCCAAGUUGAUACUUCAAACUACUUAAAACUACAUAACCUAAGUUCCUACUUCAAACUUCAAAGUACAUAAAACUCCAUAAGACAAGUUCAAUACUAGCAUGACAUGACACUAAUAGUUCAUAACCAUCUUGCCCUUAGUGACGUAGCCCUCUGGAGUAUUCUGCCAACCAGGACGUCGGACGUUCCUUGAGCUAGCUCGACGCGUUUCUUCCGUCGCCUGAGUGGGUUGACUUGGCUGCGGAGCAUCUUCCAUCUACGAAUCCCCAAACUCGAUGAAGUCCGGAUCCGCGGCCUCGUUGUCUGACUCCUCUUCUUCUUCAAACUCCUCAACAUGUGCUCGGCUAGAAGAAGCACGUGCUCGACUCGAAGACGGACGAGCGGAAGAGGCCCGUGGACGGCUGGCACACGGACGAGCGGAAGACUGCACAUCCAUCGUGUACUGCGCACGUGCCCUCACAUCGUUGGACGAAACACCAUGGCAAGAAAGUAAAGCCGCUAGUGUGCGACACCGAUUGGUGACCUUCUGCGCAAGGAAAACAUAAUGACAUGUUAAUAUGCUAACAAAGCUACGACAACUAAAACAAAGGUUAACAAGGCAUCUAACCUGUAGAGUAGUUCUAACAAACUCGUCUGUUUGUGAAGAUGGGGCACGGCCAAGGGCCACGUUACUAUCGUUGAUACAUCUCCAUAGCUCCGUGCCCUGGAUAAAACAUAUGUGACAUACCACCCACGAAUAAAUGACACUUGUUCAUAUUUUAAAGAAUAAACAUACCACUCGGUCAUGAAGAGGGCCAUAGUCAAGAUGCGCUCCAACUGUCUCCCUAAUAGAAUUGUUGAAUGCAGCAUCAGCAGCCUCACUCGGCAGUAAGUCCAAACAAUCGGAACGAGUCCAGGCUGCCUUAUGGAUAACUCUAUACUCUGUAUGCAUCCACUCCAAAUGCCUUAAAUAUGCCGCCUCGUCAGUGUCGGGUGUUUGAUCAUUUUCAACUCGAGCAUGUUCGUGAGCAUUCCACAUGGCCACCCAAAUCAUGUGGUGCUCCUCCCAAUUGAUGACACUCUUACUGGUUUGAUGGUUUGUCCUACAAAGCAAUAGUUCAGUACUACAUCAGUUCCAUUUUUUCGUGUUAGACAUUGAUCAACAGGAUAAACACGUGAUACAAAAUACUCACUUGUAUAGUUGCACACUUGUCUCGACGUAAUCCGGCGGGGUGCGUUGUUGUACCCCGAACUGCUUUGAAACAUGAUGAGGAAGAUGUCACUCCACCGCAAAGAAGCAUAUCAUGGGGCACCACACACGCCAAAGAUGCUAGUCACGAAGGCACAUGUUGCUCAGAGGAAACUGCCUAAGUACCGUGUACAGCCUCCAAUUCACCUACAUAACGACAAUUCACUCGACCAUCCAUGAAAAAUUUCCAGACAAUUUGCGAAAGCAUUUACCUGUUCAUAAUUCAACAUGUCUAGCUCGCUUAUGUAUGCCAUAUACCGCCCCAUAGCUGCAAUACUGGUCCAUUGGACAUUAGCCCAUCUGUGUGUGAUAGUGGGGUACCGCUCCUCAUCUCCGUCAAACGGGUACAUCCAAUGUUCUUCCAGAGGAAGGCUGAGGUUACAACCAACACGCAUACGCUCCCACAUCCAAACCUGUAGGGCCCAAACAAAACCUCCAAGAGUGGACGUCGGCUUACUCCUCAUACAUGCUCCAUCCAACUACAAAUUUAAUAAAAUGAAAAUGCAUCAUAUACCCAUUUAAUAUAAUGAAAAUGCAUCAUAUACCCAUUGAAUAAAACAAAAAUGCAUGAUUAAACCGUACCUGAUGGUACAAGAAGGCUAGUGCUGCCGAACCCCAACUCCACUUAACAUCCCACUCACGAAGAGGAUCCAAAAACAUCCACGAGGUUGUGUCCCUCGUGCCAUCCGAAAACACCACUUGGGUCAAAAGAUUCUAGAGGUAAGCCCUAGCGAACCUCUCCACAACAAGCGGACUAGCAUCCCUUGGGCACUUGCGAAAAUAUCUCUGUAUCCAAGAGAACAACACACCGGAUGGCCUAGGAUCCUUCGAGGCUUCAUUAGUCCAUGGCUCGGGUUCAACACCAACCAAUGCUUGAUGACCCACAAGUAUAGGGGAUCAAUCGUAGUCCUUCCGAUAAGUAAUAGUGUCGAACCCAACAAGGAGGAGAAGGCUCUCAUAAACGGAUUUCAGCAAGGUAAUAACUGCAAGCACUGAAAGUAGCGGUAACAAGUGAUGGUGUAGCGAGGUGAAACGUAGCAAGCGAAAAGUAACAAGUAACAAGUAGUAGCAACGGUGCAGCAAGUGGCCCAAUCCCUUUUGUAGCAAGGGACAAGCCUGAACAAAGUCUUAUAGGAGGAAAAGCGCUCCCAAGGACACACGGGAAUUUCUGUCAUGCUAGUUUCAUCAUGUUCAUAUGAUUCGCGUUCGUUACUUUGACAGUUUGAUAUGUGGGUGGACCGGCGCUUGGGUACUGCCCUUAAUUGGACAAGCAUCCCACUUAUGAUUAACCUCUCUUGCAAGCAUCCGCAACUACAAAAGAAGAAUUAAGACAAAUUCUAACCAUAGCAUUAAACUAGUGGAUGCAAAUCAGCCCCUCACGAAGCAACGCAUAGACUCGGGUUUAAGCUUCUGUCACUCCAGCAACCCAUCAUCUACUACUACUCCCCAAUGCCUUCCUCUAGGCCCAAAUAUGGUGAAGUGUUAUGUAGUCGACAUUCACAUAACACCACUAGAGGAAAAGACAACAUACAGCAUAUCAAAAUACCGAACGAAUAUCAAAUUCACAUGACUAUUAUCAGCAUGACUUAUCCCAUCUCCUCGGGAACAAAAGUAACUACUCACAAAGCAUAAUCAUAAUCAUGAUCAGAGGUGUAAUGAAUAGCAUCAAGGAUCUGAACAUAAACUCUUCCACCAAGUAAUCCAACUAGCAUCAACUACAAAGAGUAAUCAACACUACUAGUAACCUUACAAGUACCAAUCGGAGUCGUGAGACAGAGAUUGGUUACAAGAGAUGAACUAGGGAUUGGAGAGGAGAUGGUGCUGAUGAAGAUGUUGAUGAAGAUGCCUCCCCUCCGACGAGAGGAGUGUUGGUGAUGACGAUGGCGACGAUUUCCCCCUCCGGGAGGGAAGUUUCCCCGGCAGGAUCGUCCUAUCGGAGCUCUAGAUUGGAUCUGCUCAAGUUCCGCCUCGUGGCGGCGGCGAAACCACGAAAAAGCUCCCGAAUGGUUUUUUCUGGACCAAAACCCUUCAUAUAGCAAAAGAGGGGGGCUAGUGGGCCAUCAGGGAGCCCACAAGCCCCCACUCCGCCACCAGGGGGUGGUGGCGGUGGCAGGGCUUGUGGAGCCCUGGUGGCCCCCUCCGGUAGUUCUUUCGCCCAGUAUUUUUUAUAUAAUCCCAAAAAAAUCCACGUAACUUUUCAGGGCAUUUGGAGAUGUGCAGAAUAGUGGACUAAGAUUUGCUCCUUUUCCAGUCCAGAAUUCCAGCUGCCUGAAUUCUCCCUCUUCAAAUAAACCUUGCAAAAUAAGAGAAAAAAGGCAUAAAUAUGGUACCACAAAGUAAUAUAACAGCCCAUAAAGCAAUAAAUAUCAACAUGAAAGCAUGAUGCAAAAUGGACGUAUCAACUCCCCCAAGCUUAGACCUCGCUUGUCCUCAAGCGAAAACCAAGUUCCAUAAACAUGCCCACAUGUUUGGGGACGAAGGUGUCGAUAAAACAUAAUACGAACAUGAGGGCAUCAUGAUCACACAUAGAACAACAAUAGAUGAUAAAGAUUCUUAUGGGAAAGUAAUAAUUCCUUCACAAAGCAAAGCAUGAAGCAAUAACCUUACCGAGAAGUAACCAACAAUAAUCCAUAGUCACUGAAGCAAUUGCAAUUUAUCACAACAUCAGAAAGAGUCAAAUAAGAGCUUGUUAGGCAAAUCCACAUACUCAAUCAUCUCUUUUGUUUUCCACAAUUGUUACAACUCACGUGGUACUCAUGGUGUCGAAGUUUCAGCUGGACACAGAGGAAGAUAGGGGCUUAUAGUUUUGCCUCCUAACGGUUUACCUCAAGGGUAAAGUCAACAAUAAUAAAGCAUGAGUACUCAACUCCAAGUUGAUAUAUGAAUAUAGAUCUUUCCCAAACAUGUGACGGUAGCCAAGACAAAGGCAAAAAUAGGGAAUUGGUGAAGAUCACCAUGACUCUUACAAGGGCAAAAAGUAAAGGUACAAGAUAGGCCCUUCGUAGAGGGAAACAGAGGUUGUCAUGCGCUUUUGAGGUUUGAAUGCGUGUCCUCUUAGUGCGGAGGAACGUCACUUUAUAUUGCCUCCCGUGAUAAAGAACUUCAUUAUGCAGUCUGUUGCUUUUAUGCCUUCCUCAUCACAGGUUCGUACAAAGCUUAUUUUCCACACACUAAUAGAUCAUACAUAUUAGAGAGCAAUUUUUAUUGCUUGCACCGAUGACAACUUACUUGAAGGAUCUUAUUCAAUCCAUAGGUAGGUAUGGUGGACUCUAAUGGCAAAACUGGGUUGAAGGUUUAUGGAUGCACAAGCAGUAUCUCUACUUGGUGCGGGAGUUUUGGCUAAUAUGAGGUGGAAGCAAUCGUCACAUGCUAAGGGAUCUCUAAUCAUAUAACAUUGUUUGGAACCAAGCAAACACAAUUCAUUAUGUUGUCUUCCUUGUCCAACAUCUACUCCUAAGCAUGUAAUAGUUUGGUGAGUGCUCACAAUUGUAAAAAGUGUCUAAGAUGAUAUAUUUAUAUGUGAACCUCUCUUUCCUUAUUACUUCUUAUUAAUUGCACCAAUGACUGAGGUCUAUGUUGAUUUAUUCUCAACAAGUUUCAAUCAUCAUACGUGUCAUAUGUGAAGCUAUCACUUUUCAUAAGAUCGUCUCAUGAUCUUUCAUGCUAUCGUUCUUUUCAUACUAUUGAUCAUGGCACAAAGCAAAGACCUUGACUAAGAUACUCUUUAUUAUAUAGCUCGCAAGCUCGAAUACAACGAGGGAGAGAGACAAAAGCAAAAGACUCAAACUAAACACUAAAGACUUAUUCCUCUAAGAGAAGAAAUAAAAACUGAAACGGAAAGAACUAAAACAAAGGUAAAAGCAAAAGAUAUAAAGGUGAUACGAUACCAGGGCAACUCCCCCAAGCUUGGCAGAAGCCAAGAGGAUUGCCCAUACCAAUGCUUAGUUGUCUUCCUUUGGUGGUGAUGGUGGUGUUGUUGGAGUAGUCUGAUCCUCCGUCUUCCAAGGCAUAGGUGCUCCAUCAUGGCAGGAUGAACGAGUCGCCAGAAUCCUCAAAUCUGCAGCCAAACUUAUUGAUUUAAAUAUGUACUCAUACUCACAAUUUUGAUUCUACAGGUCAUAGAUCUGGCCUUGAAGUUGAUCAACCCUGUCAUAGAGCCUGGAGAGGUGUUUCCCAAUAUCAAUGGCAUCCAUCUUGUGAUUGCUAGUGAACUCCGUGAUCAUCAUGUGGUUGGCGUUGAGUCCACGCUCCACCAUCUAUUGGCACUUGAAGACUUGUUGAUCCAUUGCUUCGAGCCUCGUCUCCAUGCUUCCGGUCUUCUUAGGCCCCUCAACAUCACAGAUGUGCAACAUCCCCUUGCUCAACUUGAUAGAUUGAGGGUGUUUCAGCACUUCCGUGAGGUAGGGAUUGAUGACCUUCUCAAAGAUCUUGUCCUUAGGAGCGUUUGGGGAAGUCAUGAUGAUCUAGAUCUGUCACGGAAACAGGCUCGAAACAAAAACAGAGGAAAACUGUGAGAUACGGAGAUCAAAACCUUCGGGCGAGUAUAUAUUGAUUUUUUUUCUGGACCAGAAGGAGUGCUCCGCAAGAAAACGGAGUCCGGGAGGCACACGAGGUGCCCACAAGCUUGCCCUCCGCCACCAGGGGGGUAGGGGUGGUGGCAGGGCUUGUGGCCGCCUCGUGCGCUCUCCGGAGUGCUUUUCAUUUUUCUAAUUUUCCAAAAAUUCCAAAACGGGGGGAAUUUCCUAUUGGAAAAGCAUCGGAGUCCAAUUUCUUACCGAAACAGAUACAUCUUCGUUUUCAGGGUCUCAAACAGGCUGAUAAACAUCCCUUAUGUACUCCUCUGGAGUUAUGACAUUGAUGAUAUUGGUCUCAACAUUUAUGGGAGUACCAGAGAUGUAAUGCUUGAUUCUUUGCCCAUUAACCACUCUAGGAAAAUUUCCUUCCGUGUUAUUGAUUUUAAUGGCACCCGAACGAUAUACUUCCUCGAUAACAUAGGGACCUUCCCAUUUAGAGAGAAGCUUGCCUGCAAAGAAUCUCAAACGAGAAUUGUAUAGCAAGACAUAAUCACCUACAUUGAACUCUCGUUUCUGUAUUCGUUUGUCGUGCCAUCUCUUAACCUUUUCCUUGAACAACUUGGCGUUCUCAUAUGCCUGGCCCCUCCAUUCAUCUAAUGAGCUGAUAUCAAAUAACCGCUUCUCACCGGCAAUUUUGAAAUCGAAGUUGAGCUCUUCGAUUGCCCAAUAAGCUUUAUGUUCCGGCUCAAGAGGUAAAUGACAGGCCUUACCGUAAACCAUUUUAUACGGCGACAUGCCCAUGGGAUUCUUAUAAGCAGUCCUAUAAGCCCAUAGUGCAUCGUCAAGUUUGCUAGACCAGUUCUUUCGAGAUCUAUUGACGGUCUUUUGUAGGAUCAACUUGAUCUCCCUAUUACUCAACUCCACUUGACCACUAGACUGAGGAUGAUAAGGAGAUGCAACUCUAUGGUUGACAUCAUACUUAGCUAGCAUCUUGCGGAAAACACCAUGAAUGAAGUGUCAACCGCCAUCAGUCAUCAAGUAUCUAGGGACUCCAAAUCUUGGGAAUAUGACUUCUUGAAGCAUCUUAAUAGAGGUGUGGUGAUCAGCAUUUUUAGUGGUGAUAGCUUCUACCCACUUAGUAACGUAAUCCACAGCAACUAAGAUGUGAGUGUACCCAUUGGAACUCGAGAAGGGUCCCAUAUAAUCAAAGCCCCAGACAUCAAAUGGUUCAAUGACAAGUGAAUAGUUCAUUGGCAUUUCCCGACGCUUACUGAUAUUCCCUAUUCUUUGGCAUUCGUCACAAGACAAGACAAACUUACGGGCAUCCUUGAAGAGAGUGGGCCAAUAGAAACCUGAUUGCAAUACCUUAUGAGUAGUUCUAUCUCCAGCAUGGUGUCCUCCAUAGGCUUCGGAAUGACACUUCUGCAAGAUCUGUCCCUGUUCAUGUUCAGGCACACAACGUCUAAUAACACCAUCUACUCCUUCCUUAUAAAGGUGAGGAUCAUCCCAAAAGUAGUGUCUCAAAUCAAAGAAGAAUUUCUUCUUUUGCUGAUAGGUGAAACUGGGUGGUAUGUAUUUGGCUACAAUAUAGUUUGCAUAAUCGGCAUACCACGGUGCACUAUGUGAAGUGCGGAUGACAUUUAAUUGCUCAUCAGGAAAGCUGUCAUCAAUAGGUAGUGGGUCAUCAAGGACAUUCUCUAGCCUAGACAAGUUAUCUGCUACAGGGUUAUCAGCACCCUUUCGGUCAACGACGUGCAAAUCAAAUUUCUGUAGCAGGAGAACCCAUCUGAUCAGCCUAGGUUUAGCGUCCUUCUUCUCCAUAAGGUACUUAAUAGCAGCAUGGUCAGAGUGAAUAGUGACUUUGGAGUCAACUAUGUAAGAUCUGAACUUUUCACAUGCAAACACGACUGCUAAAAAUUCCUUCUCCGUAGUGGCGUAGUUUCUUUGGGCACUGUCUAGAGUUUUACUAGUGUAGUGAAUAACAUUCAACUUCUUGUCAACUCUUUGUCCUAGAACAGCACCAACAGCAUAAUCACUAGCAUCACACAUGAUUUCAAAGGGCAAGUUCCAGUCAGGUGGUUGAACAAUAGGUGCGGUUAUCAAAGCCUUCUUAAGUAUUUCAAAGGCUUCCUCACAAUCCUCAUCAAAAACAAAAGGAACAUCCAAUAGCAGCACGGUGCUUCCUCAGAGUUCUUAGUAACUUCUUCUCUUCGUGCUCUGAGAGGAGAGCACUAAUAAUGACAGGAUAUAUCUCCUUCUCAUCAAGAUAGGCAUACUUAAGAGUAUCAGGCAACUGUUUAAGCUCGAACACAGGAUCACCCUUUGGCGGGGGAGGAUCCCCAAGCAGUUCAACAGGCAGAUUAUUCUUGCGAAUAGGAUAUUGUUCUAAGAGAAUUUUAUCUAUCUCAUCUCUCUCCUCCAUAUGCAUAUCAUUUUCAUGCUCAAGCAGAUAUUGCUCUAAAGGAUCCGUAGGAGGUACGGCAAUAGAGGCAAGAGCAACAAUUUCAUCCCUUCCAGACGACUCUUUUUCAUGGGGUUGUCUUCCAAACUUAGAGAAUUUAAAUUCAUGAGACACACCCUCGAAACUAACUGUGACGGUCUGCUUAAUGCAAUCAAUGUGAGCAUUGACAGUGUUGAGAAAGGGUCUACCAAAUAUGAUGGGACAAAAGCUAUCUUGUGCAGUACCAAGGACGAGGAAAUCAGUAGGAUACUUCGUCUUACCACACAGGACUUCUACGUCUCUCACAAUUCCCUCAGGGCAGAUAAUGUCUCUAUUAGCUAGUGUAAUAGUGACAUCAAUGGGUUCUAACUCAGCAGGUGCAAUCUCAUCUUUGAUUUCAUCAUAUAGAGAACGGGUAUUGCACUAACACUAGCUCCCAUAUCACAUAAACCAUGGUAACAGUGAUCUCCUAUCUUGACAGAAACAACGGGCAGGCCAACUAUAGGUCCGUAUUUGUCUUCCGCGUGAGGUUUAGGAAUUCUAGCGGAGUCCUCACAGAAUUUGAUAACAUGCCCAUCUAUGUCUUCGGCUAAAAGAUAUUUGAUAAUAGCAACACUAGGUUCAACUCUAAUCUCCUCAGGGGGGUGCAAGUGGUCUAAUGUAACCCCUACGUGUCACGGUUGGAGCUUUAGAAUACUCCUUUAUCCUAGAAGGGUAUGGUGGUUUCUAAGUGUAAGCACAAGGAACAACAGGAUCACUAAAAGCAAUGACUUUCUCCUCAACUAGAUUGGUUUUGGCUAUGUUGCUUUCUAUAGGAGGAUGAUAUUUAAACCAUUUCUCUUUGGGAAGAUCAACAUGAGCAGCAAAAGAUUCACAUAGAGAAGCUACUAUCUCAGAGUCAAGUCCAUACUUAGCGCUAAAAUCUCUAAAAGUGUUUGUCUCAACAAAAUAUUUAACGCAAUCAAACUGGAAAUUCAUACCUGACACCUUACCUUCCUCCAGCUCCCAAUCUUCAGAGUUGCGUUUGAUUCUCUCCAAUAAAUUCCACUUGUGGUCAAUAUCCUUCUUCAUAAAAGAACUGGUACAAGAAGUGUCAAGCAUGGUACGAUCUUCAUGAGAAAGCCGAGCAUAAAAGUUUUGAGUGAUGAUUUCUCUCGAGAGCUCAUGAUUGGGGCAUGAAUAUAGCAUUGAUUUGAGCCUCCCCCAAGCUUGAGCUAUGCUUUCCCUGUCACGAGGCCAAAAGUUAUAAAUAAAGUUCCGAUCACGAUGUACUAAAUGCAUAGGAUAGAACUUUUGAUGAAAUUCCAAUUUCAACCGACUGUAGCCCCAUGAUCCAGUAUCAUCACAUAGCCUAUACCAUGUCGACGCCUUAUCCUUCAAAGAUAAAGGAAAGACUUUCUUCUUUACCUCAUCCUCGGGCAAACAUGAAAGCUUAAAUAAACCACAAACUUCGUCUACAUAGAUCAGAUGCAAGUCUGGAUGUGAAGAUCCAUCUCCUGUGAAAGGAUUAGCCAGCAGUUUCUCAAGCAUACCCGAAGGAAUUUCAUAAAAGAUAUUUUCAGUAGGUACCGCAGGUUGAGGAACAACUCCUCGUGCUUUCGUUCAUGGUGAAGAUACCCCGAACAAACUCCUCAAAGGAACAGUUUCAAUAGUGACAAGUGACAAUAAAUUUCAGCACAGUAUAUAAAUGUUUCCUUACCAAUUUCCACUUACCAAAGGCGCUUCACUCCCCGGCAACGGUGCCAGAAAAGAGUCUUGAUGACCCACAAGUAUAGGGGAUCAAUCGUAGUCCUUUCGAUAAGUAAGAGUGUCGAACCCAACGAGGAGCAGAAGGCUCUGAUAAACGGAUUUCAGCAAGGUAAUAACUGCAAGCACUGAAAGUAGCGGUAACAAGUGAUGGUGUAGCGAGGUGAAACGUAGCAAGCGAAAAGUAACAAGUAACAAGUAGUAGCAACGGUGCAGCAAGUGGCCCAAUCCCUUUUGUAGCAAGGGACAAGCCUGAACAAAGUCUUAUAGGAGGAAAAGCGCUCCCAAGGACACGCGGGAAUUUCUGUCAUGCUAGUUUCAUCAUGUUCAUAUGAUUCGCGUUCGUUACUUUGACAGUUUGAUAUGUGGGUGGACCGGCGCUUGGGUACUGCCCUUAAUUGGACAAGCAUCCCACUUAUGAUUAACCUCUCUUGCAAGCAUCCGCAACUACAAAAGAAGAAUUAAGACAAAUUCUAACCAUAGCAUUAAACUAGUGGAUGCAAAUCAGCCCCUCACGAAGCAACGCAUAGACUCGGGUUUAAGCUUCUGUCACUCCAGCAACCCAUCAUCUACUACUACUCCCCAAUGCCUUCCUCUAGGCCCAAAUAUGGUGAAGUGUUAUGUAGUCGACAUUCACAUAACACCACUAGAGGAAAAGACAACAUACAGCAUAUCAAAAUACCGAACGAAUAUCAAAUUCACAUGACUAUUAUCAGCAUGACUUAUCCCAUCUCCUCGGGAACAAAAGUAACUACUCACAAAGCAUAAUCAUAAUCAUGAUCAGAGGUGUAAUGAAUAGCAUCAAGGAUCUGAACAUAAACUCUUCCACCAAGUAAUCCAACUAGCAUCAACUACAAAGAGUAAUCAACACUACUAGUAACCUUACAAGUACCAAUCGGAGUCGUGAGACAGAGAUUGGUUACAAGAGAUGAACUAGGGAUUGGAGAGGAGAUGGUGCUGAUGAAGAUGUUGAUGAAGAUGCCUCCCCUCCGACGAGAGGAGUGUUGGUGAUGACGAUGGCGACGAUUUCCCCCUCCGGGAGGGAAGUUUCCCCGGCAGGAUCGUCCUAUCGGAGCUCUAGAUUGGAUCUGCUCAAGUUCCGCCUCGUGGCGGCGGCGAAACCACGAAAAAGCUCCCGAAUGGUUUUUUCUGGACCAAAACCCUUCAUAUAGCAAAAGAGGGGGGCUAGUGGGCCAUCAGGGAGCCCACAAGCCCCCACUCCGCCACCAGGGGGUGGUGGCGGUGGCAGGGCUUGUGGAGCCCUGGUGGCCCCCUCCGGUAGUUCUUUCGCCCAGUAUUUUUUAUAUAAUCCCAAAAAAAUCCACGUAACUUUUCAGGGCAUUUGGAGAUGUGCAGAAUAGUGGACUAAGAUUUGCUCCUUUUCCAGUCCAGAAUUCCAGCUGCCUGAAUUCUCCCUCUUCAAAUAAACCUUGCAAAAUAAGAGAAAAAAGGCAUAAAUAUGGUACCACAAAGUAAUAUAACAGCCCAUAAAGCAAUAAAUAUCAACAUGAAAGCAUGAUGCAAAAUGGGCGUAUCAAUGGUGCAACCCUUUGUCGCCAUCCAUCGGACCUAACCUUCCCUGUAAGAGCCCUGCCCUCGAUAGGAAGCCCGGUGAUCAUACCAAUAUCCUCUAGAGUUAUUGUCAUCUCACCAAGAGGAAGGUGAAAAGAGUGCGUCUCCGGCCUCCAACGGUCUGUAAGGGCGGUAAGUACCAUGGCGUUCAACCAUGGUGGUGUGCCUUUAAAGUUGAGCACAAACUGAAGAAGAUCCAUUCUUCUAAAAUAAGGCUCGUACCGAGGGUCAUAUAACAGAGAUUCAUUCGGGUUGUGCCCCCUCAAACAAAGUACUGGAGGAACCUAAACCAACAAUCGCAUAAUUUGUCACAAUAUGAAAAUCAUGGAAUAUAGAAAAAUAAUCAUCAAGACCAUCAUAAUUACUUCUCCUCUUUCAACUAGCACCGCACGAUGCUUCUGCUCGUAGAACUCAUCAAGUCCCGGAUAUUUAUCCGGCUGAAACAUCCUACAUAAUAUGAACAAAAUUCCUUUAGGCAUUAAACUAGUGUGAACUAAAUCUAGGCAUUAAACUAGUGUGCCAAAAAAGUUACGCAUUCACACUAAUAUGAACUAAAUCUAGGCAUUCACCUAGUGCCACUAAUAUGAACUAAAUCUAGGCAUUCACCUAGUGCCACUAAUAUGAACUAAAUCUAGGCAUUCACCUAGUGCCACUAAUAUGAACUAAAUCUAGGCAUUCACCUAGUGCCACUAAUAUGAACUAAAUCUAGGCAUUCACCUAGUGCCACUAAUAUGAACUAAAUCUAGGCAUUCACCUAGUGCCACUAAUAUGAACUAAACCUAGGCAUUCAUCUAGUGCCAAUAAUAUGAAGUACAACUAGGUUCACCUACAGCCACCAUAAACUACACCUAGAACCACCAUAAACUACACCUAUAAACCAUCACAAAAUAUAUUUUACUUCAAAACAUACGUUACACCUAGUGCAAAAAAGAUCUACACAAAUACAAAGUCAUUGCAAAAACUAAUUGGAGGGAUUGGAGGAGCUUACCGGCCUCUUCGAUUUGCCCCAAAGAACCAACAAAACGGUUGAGGGAGGAGGGAGAUCGAAGGGGGGAUCUGGAGGCCGAGGGUAUCUUUUUUCGUCAAAGAAACGAACCCGAGAAGAGGAGAAAGGGGGUUGGUGGCCGACGGGGUCGGGCUGGCAAAUUAUAAAGCCAAGAAACGCCAGGGUGCAUGGCGUUUCAUCUCAGACCCGCAAUGCCACAAUGGCUGGCGUUUCACACGACUAGAAACGCCACAGUGGACAUGCGUUUUGUGCAUGGCCAGAAACGCCACAAUAGAGUGGCGUUUCUCCAUAGGGCUGCAACGCCACGGUCUAUGGCGUUUCAAAAGGGUCAAAACGUGAAAUUGUUUCCAAACGAGUUCGUUCCGUGAUUAACUUACCCCCCUCGGGUCAAAACAGUGAAUUUUUUUUGGCACAUAAUGCCUCCCACCCCCUCUUUCUACUAAAUACCUAGGGUUUGGCCCUCCUCGUGCUUCCUCAUGCUCCUUUCAUCCCCUCCCAUCCUGGCUGGUGGCUAGUCGUGUUCUCACUGGUGCCAGUCUCCACACUACACCUGCAAGAUCUAGUUGCUCCGUCAUUCUGGUCGCUUGCCUCGACCCCACCCCCCUUGGACACUCCCCAUCCUCUCCCAUGGGAUGCUCCCCAGUUUCUUCAUCAAUGGCAUCACCAGCAGGCAAGGUACUACCAUCUUCCCCCCAUACAUUAGUGGAGAAUCCAGCAUUCAUAUAUUAGUAGAUUAUGAAUUACAAUUUUGUAGAUGGAUGGACGGAACUGUUGGUUUUGGCUGUUAUUUGUAGUAUAUUAUGUAAUAUAUGUUAGCAAGUAUAUGGAUAAGUUUAAAUGUUUAAUUGCUCAUUUUGAAUUUUGAGAUUUUAUAUAUUUAGAUGUAUAAUGAUUAUUAAUUUUACCUCUUAUCUAUUUUCUAUAUGCCUACAAUAGAAUAUUUUGGUAUAUUACAAAGCUAGGUGCAUGGAAUUAUGGUAUAAUAAAUAAAAAAAUUAGAUAUAAGUUGGCAAGUUUCUGUUUAAUCUGCAAUCCAAGUGAAAGGAGCGCCAGCCGGGACUCUAUCAUUCUUCCCUCCAUCUUCUGCCUCCGGCUCUGGAGGUGACAUACCAAUAAGGGCCUCCAUUUGUUGUUGGCAUCCCUCAAAAUCAGUGCUCAUACAAAGAGGUUUCCCCUCGAUUGGAAGUGCAGUUAUCAUGAAAACAUCUUGAAGAUUCACGGUCAUCUCUCCGUCCGUAGGUGAAAACUAUGGGUCUCCAGCCUCCACCGAUCAGUAAAUGCAGUGAUUGCCGCAGCGUUCAGGUUGGGCAUUGACCGGCUCACAAGCUGAAUGAAUGGAAGGAGUCGUGUCAUCUCGAUGUAUGGUGUGUACUGCUCAUCAUACGACAUGACAGUCAAUGCCCCGUGAGACCGAAUCUUCAAGGGCAUAAGCUUCAGCAAACAUAGAGUGAUAUGAUUAUGGUUUGAUCUUUUCAAAUAAAUACAUGUUUUUUGAAGAUGAUAGUAUGUUGUAUUUACCAUCAGCAGCUCCGACAUCAAGUAGGCCCGGUGUUCAACGUCAUAGGCAUCAUUCAAAAGCCACACCAUCUCACAUAUUACAAAAAAAAUCAAGUAACUUCUCAUAUAUAUUCAUCUACUCAUAUAUGAAUAGUCAUCUACUCAUCUAAAUAUUACAAAAAACAACUAACUUCUCAUAUAGGAAUAAUCAUCCACUCAUCUACGAAUAGGAAUAGGAAUAGUCAUCUACUCAUCCUACUCAUAUAGGAAUAGUCAUCUACUCAUCUACAUAUAGGAAUAGGAAUAGUCAUCUACUCAUCCUACUCAUAUAGGAAUAGUCAUCUACUCAUCUACAUAUAGGAAUAGGAAUAGUCAUCUACUCAUCCUACUCAUAUAGAAAUAGUCAUCUACUCAUUUACAUAUUACAAAAAAAUACAACUAACUUCUCAUAUAGGAAUAAGCAUCUACUCAUCCACAUAUAGGAAUAUGAAUAGUCAUCUAGUCAUCCUACUCAUAUAGGAAUAGUCAUCUACUCAUCUACAUAUAGGAAUAGGAAUAGUCAUCUACUCAUCCUACUCAUAUAGGAAUAGUCAUCUACUCAUCUACAUAUAGAAAUAGGAAUAGUCAUCUACUCAUCCUACUCAUAUAGGAAUAGACAUCUACUCAUCUACAUAUAGGAAUAGGAAUAGUCAUCUACUCAUCCUACUCAUAUAGAAAUAGUCAUCUACUCAUUUACAUAUUACAAAAAAAUACAACUAACUUCUCAUAUAGGAAUAAGCAUCUACUCAUCCACAUAUAGGAAUAUGAAUAGUCAUCUAGUCAUCCUACUCAUAUAGGAAUAGUCAUCUACUCAUCUACAUAUAGGAAUAGGAAUAGUCAUCUACUCAUCCUACUCAUAUAGGAAUAGUCAUCUACUCAUCUACAUAUAGGAAUAUGAAUAGUCAUCUACUUAUCUACUCAUCUACGUAUUACAAAAAAUACAACUAACUUCAAAACCACACCAUCUACUCAUAUAGGAAUAGUCAUCUAUGGAUCGUACAUGAUCAUCUACUCAUCUACUUAUCUAGGAAUCAUAAAAUACAACUAACUUCUCAUAUAUAUUUCAAAUCCAAGCAAAACAUGGCUCUCAUCCAAACUAACACAAAUCUGAAAAAUUUACAAUAUUAUUUGGAUAGAAAGAUGGGAAAUAGAAAAGAUUACCUUCUAAACCAAUUUAGGGUAUAAAUCUACGAAAAAAGUCCACAGAUCUGAAGGAUUUAAAAUAGAUGCUUGAGAGGAGGAGAUGAGGCAGCCGUCGCCACGCUCUGUGAGGAAGAAAACGAGUGCGGUGGGGGUUGGGAGAGGGCCGUCCCGCGACUGGAUAAGUAAGGGUGUGGUGCCUAAGCCCUCGACGUCACACUGCCGUAAGUGCAACGACUGAGGCUUAGGCGUCACACUACUUGGUGCGGUGGGGUCGGACGUCGGGGUGGACAGGGAUGUGGCCUAGUCCGGCCUCGGCCAUGUGUAGGAGGAGCUGGCAUCUCUUGGACGCGAGCGCCGGGUCAAAUCGGGGCCUCGGCCGGCCGACCAGCGACGCCACCCGCGCACGCGGCUGAGACCCAGCCCGGCGUCGCGAUCACACGCACGAUCAUUCUGUCGCUUGCCGAUGGCCCUGCCACCCCAUGCAUGCAUGGGACGCGUGCUUGCUCGCGUACGUGACAAUCUGGCCUUUGCUUUGUCCGAUUACCCGUCCCUAACCAUCAUACUGUCACAGUUCAUACUUCAUACUGUCACAGUUCAUACUGUCACGCGGUGACCCAGACAAGCAAUCAUGGACAAUGGUUGGUCGUAUUUAUUUUAUGUUUACUGGGAGGACGUAGAAUUAGGUGCUGGCUGCGAUCAAGAGGGAGGGAACCAACAACAUUUGUAGAUCUUGGCAUACAUGAUGAUGAUGCUGGUCUCCAGCGAAUACAGCCAAUUAUUUGUCGUGUGUCAUGUGAGGCGCGCGCAUCACAUCACACCACGCCAGCUUCUUCUGCUAGCUGUGGAGGGAAGAAGAAUGUGGCGUAGAUGGUUUUGUUUAGCAGUUUAUAGGCUCUGCAUUGUCCCUUGCUCGGUACUGUUGCCCAUGGGACUUUCUAUUCCGGAAUACUUGCGGCUCCGUGCAUGCAUACAAUAGUUCGGACAGCGGACCUACUAUUUUUUGCACGAGCACUGAAUGACAGAAACACUUUAGCCUCGUGAAAAUGCAUGCGAUAGGGCGCCAAGGUUUCGUCAACUUGUCACACCAUGCACGCUCAUGGCAUGACGACCACAAAAGGCGUUGGAUCGGCCGGCGAAAGGCUCGGGCAAAGGUUUGCUCCUGGCUUGGACCGCAUGCUGGAUGAAACGGCCGCUUCCGCUCGCCGUCCGUUCGUUCGUCCCAUAAAGGUUUUUGCACAAAGCUGAGACACACCACCGGUUGCUGCUUGCCACCAUACCCUGCAACGGCAUCGCAAAGAUCGCCAGCAUCUGCAUCGGUAUCUGCAAAUAUUCUCUCGUGCUCUUCCGUCCAUCCAUUCAUCAGUCAUUUCAUUUCGCUGGACGGACGCAACGUGUUCCGGAGCUGAUCUGAAUGUAGAGGGCCUAUGAACAGAAGGAACCACAGUCCCAACAGCAGAUUGUGGGUUGUACGUACAAGUCUGAUGAUGGGAAGCACUCACUCGUCGGUGUCGAACUUGACCUGAAUCAAGACUCAACAGCUCGAGACAGAAGCAGCUUCAGCUGGCCUGAAGCCAUGGAGCCAUCGAAAACCACCAAAGGCUGGAAAAAAACACUCAAGUUACCCUUGACCGUAGCCUUUCUCUCGAACUCCGACGCUCUCAAAGAAAAGUUGAAGCAAGCUAGCUAGGGAGCUUUACCGAAAGGCUCUCCCUCGCCUGCUUUCGCAUCUCGUUGGGCCACUGCUGGAUUCCCCUAGGUUUCUGUAGCCACAACUCACAACUGAACAAAUGUUCAUAAAAAAACAGAGACAAAACAGUCAUGCCCAUUUGCCCAAAUUUGCCCAUAAGAAACACUCGUAAAACGCUGGCACGCAAAACUCUUUUACAUUUCGUGUAAAAACAGUUCUGCGAAUAUUCUAUUUUACGGGUUAACUACGAGGCAUCUGCUCGGCCGCAGUCCAUUUCGGCCCGUAAACAGAAAACCAUAAAUUAGCCAAUUUAAUGACGAUUCCAACGAUUGAGUUUAUGUUCAAAUAAUAAAAUAUAGUUCGCACGUAAAUAAAAGCAUACUCCCUCUGUUCCUAAAUAUAGGUCUUUUUAGAGAUUGUAUUAGUGGACUACAUACGAAGCAAAAUGAGUGAAUCUACGUUUUAAAAUAUGUCUAUGUACAUCCGUAUGUAGUCCUCUAAUGAAAUAUCUAAAACUAUUUAUAUUUAGAAACGGAGGGAGUAGUCUUCUACGACAAACGCAGAAGAACUUCAUGCAAAAGCAACAACCACGUCCAUCAUCAUCUUGGUCGCUUCUCAUCCGUCGUCAUGAUCUUCACUCCGCACCACCGCCAUCGAUGACAUCGCCGCGAACAAUGUCAUCACCGGUACUUGUUUCAACUGCGGCACGGAAAGCAUAGCAGGGCGCACUGAAAGCAUCUGCGACACUGGUUCCAACUCUUAAUGGGAAAACAUCACCGGCACCAAAACACCCACCGAUCGUCGCUACCAUCCUCUCUUCAAGAUGUCUCUCCUUGCCAUAUCAUGUCAUUCUUUGACGAUGUCGUCCAUGUCAUCGCGGUUCAAUGUCAUGAUCUUGUCGGAGGGGAUUGCGCGUGCGUGACAUCCACGAUGACAGGGAAGGUUGUGAGGCUUCCAUGGCGACGAAGAAUGACCGGGGAAGAUGAACCAGAGCGGACGAAGGCGGGGCAAUGGCAGCGAAGGGGGUGGGAAGCGGAAACAUCCGCGCGAAAAUUUCCCUCGUGCCAAAUCUCGCUACGGAUAGGGGGUGAGGUCGGAUUGGCCUCCCAUCCCAUAAAUCUAAAGGUUGAAGACGAACUAUUGUCACACCCCGUAAAUAUUUACAGGUCGCGGUCCUAUACAGGUCUGAUCGGACAACUUUUUUCACGUGGACCCGUAUUUUAUUGGUCAGGACAUUAUACAGGGUUGCUGUAGAUGUUCUAAGGCAGCCAAAAGUGAGCACACACGUCCCUUAUGAACUGUUGCCUCGUGUCAUGGGUGAUGACAAGCUUCCACAGCGUAUUGGUAGUAUAUACAUGAACCAGGUUUGUUUUUAGAAAAGAUAUGAACCAGGUUAAGGCAGUGACUGUGGCUUUGUCCGUGCCUUUUCGUGUGCUCCUUCCAUGCCCCAUACCACGGCACGCCAUGGCGCACUGCCAGGCGCCAAGCCCAUCGAUCUCCGGCACACGACGCAGGCACGCCCACCACGCACCGGGCAGAGGCGGACUGACACACCCCCACCGGCACGAGCGCUGGUGACCAGUGACACCGAAGCCUCUUUUGGUGCGGCGAGGGAGCAGCCGGCUCGCCGGGUACCUGGCGCUGCGUCGUGAUCUACCUACCACCACUGUAAACCUGCACCUCUCUCUGUAUCUCCGUCCCUCUACGCAAUAAAUGGCGGGUACGCCAGCGCCUCCGGCAUUCAUGGCCGGAGCACGCCUCCCCAUUUAUCACGGCCAGGUCAGGCGAUGAUGUCCUUGGACGAUUCAAACAUUUUCCCAAGGCAGCGGCGCGAGUUCUUCAAAGUUCAAAAACCUGCAGGCUUCGGUGUUCCUGGUCGCUUGACCUGUCUGACAGAGAGAGAUGGCUGGAUCAUAUGGUAAUGGCGGCAUGGACGUUGGUGUUAACGAAAAGAACAGUCUUUACCUGGUCUCGUGCCGCGAGAUUCCCUUCAUUCCUCUCGUUGUUAGCGCCUAAUCAGCCCGGCUCGCGCCCAGUUGGGCUAAUCUAAUGCCGCUUUUGGCUUGUCGCGUGAUCCGGACAGACGGGCCUCUGGAUCACUAGUAACUCUACAAAAUGAGCAACUCCGGACGAGUCAUCUCGUUGGGUAUAGCACACUGUAAAAAUCUCGGCGUUCCUACUGAAUUCCCGGGAAACUGAUGCGUUUGGAAACUGCUUCAGUUUUAUGUGAGGUGGUUGGCAGGGCCAGGUCGAGGCAUACCGAACACGUGAACGGCCCUAGCACUCUACGUGAGCUUCACUCUUGCUGUGACCGAUCCUGAUGGCGAUUAUACCAAAAAAGAAAGAGUAUUUUUAAGUCAGUAGGGUGGACGGCAGUCGAGUCUUGCAGAGAGGGGUUGCUGAAACUGUAGUUUAGGAGAAAGCCAGCACUGUUGGUUGAAUAAACAAAUUAACAAAGCGGGGUGGGGUGAUGGAGGAUACGUGCUUUUGAGGCAAGCUGAGCAGGAGAGCAGGGUGGCGGUGGCACUCGCUCAAAGAAAACAAAAUUCGCCAUCCUGCCUCCUUCUCCCUCCGUCCUCACUCCUAAAAUCGGAAUCAUUUAACUCCGCACCUAAUACAGACGCCAGAAUACCAGGGGUACGCCAUUAUUGCGACCGAGCAAGCUCCCCGUUCUCCUGCUCCUUGUACGCGAGCCGAGCCGAGCCGAGCCGAGCAUCCAUCCAUCACUCCCCAAAUGCCUUAGCAGAGAGUGGCUUCGAGGAUUGUCGCCAUGAUGCAGGGGAGCAGGAAAGCCNNNNNNNNNNNNNNNNNNNNNNNNNNNNNNNNNNNNNNNNNNNNNNNNNNNNNNNNNAAGAGGGAGGAUCAGCAGCAGCACAGCCCCAAGGGCCAAGCAUGGCAAGCGACUGAUCCUCCUUGUCGUCUCUUCCGCCGGGCGAUUGCAUUUGGCGUUCCCUGAUCUUCAAUUUUUGUUUGUGCUUGUGCUCGGCAGGUUCUGCACCACGGGGCUCCCCAGCGACGUCGUGAUCGAGGUGGGCGACAUGACCUUCCAUCUCCACAAGGUUGGUGCUGAUUCUUGUCUCUACUCUGCCAUGAAAUUCCCGCUUUUCCCCAUCCCUCGUCCUGGUGGAAACAGUUCCAGUAACUCGCAUUUUUGUUUGUCUUGCUCACCGUCCGCUGCCAAUCUUGCACUGUCACUGUCUCGAGCUUGGGAUUUCACCGCGGUUCUUGAUCUUGAGACUAAACUGACCUGCGGCUGAGGUUUCGUUUGAUGCCUUGCUUGCAGUUCCCGCUAAUGUCCAAGAGCAAGAAGAUCCACGACCUGAUUAUGAACAAGGAAUCGAGCCUGGCGAGGCAGGCGGGGGGGGGGGGGGAUGAGGAGGAGGAAGAUGGGGCAGGGGAGAUCAGGGAGGAGGAGGUGGUGCUGGAGGCAGACGAGGAGGCCGACGCGCACCGCAUCCGCCUCCCGGACUUCCCCGGCGGCGCCGAGGCGUUCGAGCUGGCCGCCAAGUUCUGCUACGGCGUCAAGCUCGACCUCACGCCGGCCACCGCCGCGCCGCUCCGCUGCGCCGCCGAGCGCCUCGGCAUGUCCGACGACCACGCCGAGGACAACCUCGUCUCCCGCGCCGACCGCUUCAUGUCGCACACCGUGCUCAGGAACCCCAGGGACGCCAUCCGCGCGCUCAGGUCCUGCGAGGGUCUUCUCCCCCUCGCCGACGACCUCGGCCUGGUGUCCCGCUGCGUGGACGCCAUUGCGGCCAAGGCCGCCGCGUCCACGCCCACCGCGCUCUUCGGCUGGCCCAUCAACGACGCGGGAGCCGGCGACCGCCCCCGCCACAAGAAAAAUGCCGGCGCCGGGGCCACGUCCACGCUGUUCGACGACCUCGCCGGCUUGUCCCUGUCCACGUUCACCCGUGUCAUUGCCGCCAUGAGGGAGCGGGGCGUCGGCCCUGAGGUCCUGGAGGGGGCUCUCAUCGCCUACGCCAAGCGGUCGAUCCCUGGGCUUUCACGCUCUGACCGGCACGCCGGCGGUGGUGCCGCCGCCGCGGCUGCCGCGCCACGGUCGGCGGACGGCGACCAGAAGGCGCUACUCGAGACCGUCAUUGUCAACCUCCCGGAGGAGACCAUCAAGAGCAGUGCCCACACCGGCACGGCAGUGGGCGCCACCACCGCGCGCGUCCUGUUCGGCCUGCUGCGCACGGCAAACAUUCUGCAGGCAUCAGAGGCUUCCCGUGACAUGCUGGAGCGGCGCGUGGCCUCCAGGUUGCCCGACGCGGCCGUCGACGACCUGCUCAUCCCGAGCUACUCGUACCUCGUGGAGACGCUCUACGACGUGGACUGUGUGGAGCGCAUCGUGCGGCACUUCCUCGAGGGCCGAGGCGGCGGUGUCGAGGAGGUCGACGAGGAGUGCAGCGAGGCGGAGACGCCGGGCAGAGAGGCUAGCAGACGAGCCAUGCUGGCCGUGGGCAGGCUGAUGGACGCCUACCUUGGGGAGAUCGCCACGGACGCCAACCUGAAGACAGACAAGUUCUGCGACCUCGCAUGGGCAUUGCCGGACGGCGCCCGCGUCUACGACGACGGCCUUUACCGUGCCGUCGACAUCUACAUCAAGGUUUCUGCCGAGCACAUUUCGAAUGCCAUCUUGAUCGAUGCUUGCGGCGCAAUGCCGGUGCUCAGAAGCCGCUGCUGUUCUUUGUGCAGGCACAUCCAGCGCUGAGGGAAGAGGAGAAGGAGAAGGUGAGCGGCGUGGUGGACGGGCGCAAGCUGACGCUGGAGGCGUGCACGCAUGCCGCGCAGAACGAGCGUCUGCCGCUGCGGACGGUGGUGCAGGUGCUCUUCUUCGAGCAGCUCCAGCUGCGCCGGGCCAUCGCCCGGACGAUGGUGGCGAAUGAAGGCGGUGCAGCAGUCCAAGGAGAGGAAGAAGGCGACAGCGAUGGUGGUCGGACAUGGCGGGUGGCGACCAGGGGAAACCAAAUGCUCAGGCUGGACAUGGACAGCAUGCGGAACCGGGUGCAGGAGCUAGAGCGGGAGUGCACCACCAUGAGGAAAGCCAUUCAGAAGAUAGACCGCCGAGGCGGCGCCGCUGGGGAUAGGGGCGCGGCACCGGCUGCGGAGGGCAGGUGGGGUUCAAUGGUGACCAAGAGGUUCGGAUGCAAGUUCCCGGCGCAGGUCUGCCAGUCACAGCCGCGGUCGGUGGUGGCGCGGCCUCGCCGGGCACGGAUUGAGCAGAGCCCCUGAUACCUCCUCCUUCCCCACUGCACAUGAUAGCUUUCCUCAGCUUCCCUGUUUUGUUCUCUUGAUUCUUUGCUUCGAUUUGUGAAAAUACGAGGGGUUUUCCUAGGAGGAAUUGUGAGCUUCAUCAUGUUUGAUCGAUCAAAUUUCGCUGUAGCAGUGCACAAUCGUUCCAUGUGUCAUCUAUAGCUGGCUAAUGCAUCAUGUCACAUUUUGGCUAAACAAAUUGCCUCAUUGUUCUCACCACUUAUACAAGACAAAAAGCCUUUGCCAAAAUUAACAGGAUUCGUCGAGACACUAAACUAGAGUAAGAGAGAAAUGGAUGCCAAUGGCAGGCUGUCUCACCAGUAGUCCCCGCAGGAGCAGGCGCCGUCCUUGAAAUGGUGGAACCGCUUGUUGUCCCUGACGAUGAUCUCGCGGCCGGUCACCUUGGCGAUGAGCUUGACGGCGCUGUGGCAGUCCCCACAGAUGCGGAGGUUCUUCAUGACCCGCAGCGGUGUGCCGGGCGGCGUGCUCACCAGCCCGAACGCGAUGGCCAGGCGCUCGCUGUGGUACAUGAGCGCGCGCUCCUUGGCGGCCUCGUCAAUGUCGUGCAGCACGAAUCGGGUGUCCGGCACGUACCCCGCCGCGCGUAUCUGCUCAUGCAGCUCGCGCACCUUCUCGUACGCCUCCUUCCGCUUCGCCUGCGCCGCGUCCGCGGGCUUCCCCGGUGCCGGCCUCGACGCUCCCUCGAGGACGCGCCGCGCGUCGGCGGGUGCGCCGAGCUUGCAGUACAGAGUGGCGAUCCUGAGCACGAUGGGCGUGGCGAUCCCGGAGUGCCGGGACGUGGACUUGGAGAGCAGGCGAUGGCCUCGUCUGAGGGAGGCCAGCGAGAGCGCGUCGACGUAGCACUGGAGGACCGCGGCCUGCUCUUCGGGCGCGAGUUGGCCUGACGCGCCGGUGCCGCCUCUCCGACUAAGCAUUUCGUCGAGCAGGUUAACUGCCCCCUCGAGGUCGGGUUCUUGGCAGACCCUCCGGAGCUGGUCGCGGUCCAGGCGGCACUUAGUGCUACUGGUCGAUACGAUAUCCGCAAUAGAAGCGGCGUCGGCGGUCGCGUAGCGGAGCAGCGGGCGGCUACGAACGCGGCUGUAGCAGCGGGUCUUCGACGUCGUUGCGGCCGGUUGGAGAAGGCCUCCUAGAGUAGCACGGUCGCCGAGGAUGGCGGAGGUGAGUAAGGGGGAUGGGUGAGACGCCGCCGGUGCCGCGAGUCCUGGGGAUAAUAGCAUAUCUGCCGGCGACGCGGGUAAGAGGAGGAACUGGGGGAGUGCCUGGUAUGCGAGGUAACCGAAUGCAGAGUGCGAGGGAGGACGACGAAGAGGUCACGGUUUGUGGACGAGAUGUCAAUUCGUGUUGGGCCGGUAAGCUUAAGCCCAUACAUACAUAGGCUUUUAUAGUUUUAAGCUACACAGGAGGCAAGUCCUUCCCCACAUGCUAUUUAGCGCUUCAGGCGGUAGUUAUAGUUCAUUUCGCAAACUAGUGCAUUUUGCUCAAGAAAUAAAAAAAGCAAACUAGCGCACAGUAGUCGUACGUAAUGCGCUGCCCAUGUACAGAGUUGCUUCUUUGUCUUUUCAAACAUGUCACAGGAAGAUUCAUGAAAUUUCCAACAGUUCUUGGGAGCUUCUAAAAGUUAUGAAUGGUUUUUAUCUUGGUUUUCUGUUUGAUUUUCUGUUAGGUUGUUUCCUGAUCCUUUUUUUAGUUUUUCUUUUCUUUUUUUGUUUCGUGAAUUCCUUUUUCAAAUGUGUGAACUUUUUCAAAUAUGCAAACUUUUUUUUCAAAUUACAUUUCUUUGAAAUUCACAACCAAUCAAAAUUCUUUAAAAAAAUCAAGGUUGGUAGUUUUUAAAAUUCAUAAACAUUUUAUUGAGUUUGUUAACAUUUUUAAACUUGCAUUUUUCCAAAUUCAUGAACCUUUUUUCAAAACCCCUGCUUUCUUUUUUGAAUAUACGUAAGUUUUCAAACGCAUGAAUGAAUGCAAAUUCACGAUUUUUUUAAACUGUGAACUUUUUCCGACUACCAAAUUUUCCAGAUUCAUGAACCUUUUUUCUAUAUACAAGAUAUUUUUUCAAAUAAACAUUCAUGUACUUGGAGAAAUAUUAAUGCAAUUCAACAAAUGUUCAUGAAAUUCAUAUAAAGUUCUUGAGAUUCAAAAGUGUUCGUUAAGUUAAAAUAAACUUCAUGGACUUCAGAUAAUGUUGAUGAAAAUUGAAUAUUUUUCCAUGGAAUUCAAAUAAGGUUCAUGGAAUUCAAUAAAAGUUCAUGGAAUUCAAUAAAAGUUCGCGGAAUUAAAAAAUGUUCAUGGAAUUCACACAAAUCAUAAAUUCAAAAACAAUUCACGGAAUUUCAAAUUAUUCUUAAAGUUCAUGGAAAUCAUUUUUAUGAAAUUUAAAUAAUGUUCAAGAAAUUCGCAAACAUUUUCCUGGAAUCCAAAUAAAGUUCAUGAAAUUGAAAUAAUGUUCAUGAAAUUCGAAUAAAGUUCAUUGACUCAAAUAAUGUAUAUGUAACUAAAAUAUUUGUUCAUCAAAUUAAAAAAAAUCAUGCAAUUCAAAUAAAGUGCAUGAAAUCCAGUAUAAGUUUAGUGAAUUCAAAAUUUAUGAAGUCACAAAAAGUUCAUGGAAUUCCAAAAAGUUCAAGGAAUUUACAUUUUGUUUCAUCCAAUCAAAAUGUUCAUAAAAUUAAAAUAAUCUACACAAAAUUCAAAUAAAUGUUGAAGAAAUUCCAAUGAACUUCAUGGAAUCCAAAAAUGGUUCACGAUAUUCGAGUGAAAUUCACGAAAUGUAGAAAAAUGCACUCCCUCUAUCCCACAAUAUAAGAUUGUUUUUGAAGCUAACAUAGCUUGAAGAAUGAUCUUAUGUUGUGGGAUGGAGAGUAGUACUUCGUACUAAAACAACAUCCAUGGAAUUCAAAUGGUGUUCAUGAAAUUCAAUUAAUGUUUGUGACAUUCAAUUAAGUUAAUAUAAUUCAGUACAACUUCUCAUUAUGCAGUUUUCUUAUUCCUGUAUAGAUCUGUGAAGGUUGUUUAUGUUGAGUUUUUUUAGUAGAUAAUAUUCAUUUUAAAUAAUGGUGUUCUAUGUAUCCUUCCAUCAUUUUUAAUCUUUCUUUACCGGUUCAUCUAAUAUCCUUUUUUCUAAUUAUUAUUCUAAUGGCAUGUGUCAAGAAUAAAACUACUAACUCCACUUCCAAGAUGUAAUUUUUUAUAGUUCUUAUUAGGCUUAAUACCCAAUGAACAAAGUAGUUUAGUGUUUCUUUAUUUCUUCUUGUUUUACAUGAAGGAUCUGUUCCUAUGGCUAUUGUUACUCCAAUUAGGGUUCCUUUGAUUCAAAGCAAUUUCGUAGGAUUUUUGGAGGGUUAGAAUCCAUAGGAUUUUUUCCUACGUUUGUCAUUUGAUUCACAUGAUUGGGUCCUAUAGGAUUUUUUCCUAUGGAACCAAAUGUAUUAUAUUUCAAUGUAAAUCUAGCAUGAAAUCCAACUUCCUUUUCCAAUUCCUUUCUUUUUUCACUUGCACCAAACACUCUAUGUGAAUCCUAUAGGAUCCAAGUGUACAUGCCACUCAAAAGCUAUAUUUUCUAUAUCGCCGCGUUUUGAAAAUCCUAUAAAUCAAAGAUGACCUUAUUCUCAAUAUUUUUGAAGUUCUAUAUUCCUUUUUUCAUGUAUUUUUUUGAAUGCGGAACGUAAUGGAACUCGUGUUCACAAUGAUCAAACGGAGGGAAGAAAAAUGAACGAACGAAACAAAUAUAAUUGAAAACGGAUAAUGGAGAGCUGGUUUAGUGACCUUCGAGGAAUACAGUCUAGAAGAUAAGCUAGAGACCGUCCGGCAACAAUUUUGCUCCCAACUCCAUUGUCGGAGCGAGCGGAGCGUACCCGAACUCCCCUAAUUUGUGGGGCUGAAGUGGUGGAGCGGAGCGGCGCAUAGUUAAUUUUUUUGGAGCAACCCUUCUGUCACUCAUUGUUUCAGCAAAAUCCGAAUCGAGUCAAAAUUACAUAAAAUGCCACCGCCAAGUGAAAAACGCAAACUUGUAUGCUCCCAUUUAUGUCGCCUCUCUCUCUCUCUAUCGCACUCGAGAGGGUUGUAUUUGCCUCCAAUCGGUUGGCAGCCUAUGCUUUCCUGGAGCGGGGCCAACCGAACGCUCCAUGACCGCUCAACUUGCUCGCUAGAGUGCUUCCAGCGCCGAGAGGAGCGGAGCGGGCAAUUUCGUUGGAGUGGUGUGUCGGCAAACAUGCCCCUAGUAGGCACUAAAGGGGAGCUCUCAUAUCCUUCGGCUUAAACAUUGAUGCAGAACAUAUAUAUCUCGCUCACAAUAUGUAGACCUUCGGUCUCGCUUGAAGCGUCCACCGUCCCUCACUCUGUAGCUACUAAGUGAGCCUCUUCGCUUUCUUUUUUUCGGUUUUCUUUGUUUCUUCAUUUGUUUCCUUUAUUAAUUUUUCAUUUUUUCUUUGUUUUUUCAACGGGUCUCUUCUUUCUUUCAUGAUUUCACUUGUUUUUCUUUUCUUUGCUUUGCUUUCUCCUUGUUUUGCCUUGUGUCUUUCUCGUACUUCACUGGUCUUUGCCUUUUAUUGUUUCUUUAUUUGUUUUCAUCAUUUCUUUUGUUUUCUUUGCAUCUUUCUUGGUUUUCGUCAUUUUUCUUUGUUUUCUUGUGUCUUUCUUGGUGUUCACCAACCUCUUUGAUUUUCUUUUUUAGUUUCUUCAUCUUUCUUUGUUUAUUUCUUGAUUUUCAUCGAUUUUGUUGAUUUUUCUUUCUCUGUUUCAAUUCAUUUGCAAUUGGUUAUUGAUCAGAGAGUGUCUCGGUCAUGUCCACAUAGUUUCUGAACUCGCGGGGUCUGCACACUUAUAGUUUAACGACGUUUCGGUAGAGUGGAAUUAUGUAUGUUGGUGACCGAAUGUUGUUCGGAGUCCCGGAUGAGAUCCCGGACGUCACGAGGAGUUCCGGAAUAGUUUGGAGACAAAGAUUGGUAUAUAGGAAGGAUACAUUUGGCUUUCGGAAGGAUUUCGGGCAUUACCAGUAAAGUACCGGGAGUGACGAAUGGGUCCCGGGGUUUCACCGGGAGGGGCCACCCACCUGGAGAGGGACCAAAUAGGCCCAAGGGUGGUGCACCAGUCCCUGGUGGGCUGGGCAGCUAGCCCAAGUGGUCCUAUUCGGCCGAAGUGGAAAAAGAGAGAGAGGUGGGGAAAACCUACUAGGAGGAGGACUCCUCCUCCACCAAACCGAAUUGAAGGAGGACUCCUCCCCCCCUUGGUGCGCCGGCUGAACCCCUAGGGUUUUCCCUAGGGCGCCACCCCUCCCUCCCUCCUAUAUAUAGUGGAGGGUAGAGAGGCUAGCCGCACCUCAAGCCACGGCACAACCCUUCUCCCUCCACUACUUCGUGACACCCCGUAGGCUAUUCUGAUAGUGCACGACUGUAACGCCCAAGAUGCGGUCCUAUCCUUAUUUUGAUGUGAGGGCCUCGACAAGGAUUUAAACGCAUCUCGUCGUUUCGCAAGAAUGGAUAUCGUUACAAGUACAUAUACUGAAAAGAUGAGUAAAGAGUUGGCUUACACUCGCCACAAGCUACAUCAAAAUCACAUCAAUACAACAAUAUCCAGUCAUCAUGAAGAAGAGCAGGGUCCGACUACGGACGAAAACAAACGAUAAAAGAACAACGUCCAUCCUUGCUAUCACAAGCUGUCGGCCUGGAACCCAUCCUAGAUCAAAGAAGAAGAAGAAGAAGAAACUCCAAAUGAACAAUAAUCGCGCUCACGUCUUAAUAUCCUUUACGUGUAACUUCAACUGGUGUUGUAGUAACCUGUGACCACAUGGACUCAGCAAUCUCAUUUCCAAAUGUAUCAAUACUAGCACAGCUUAAUGGGUGCUCUAUGGUUAAGUGGUGAGGCUGCAGCAAGCGACUAAGCAUUUAUUUGAGGUGGCUAACUUAUGAGUACAAGAAUAAAAGAGGGGGGUGAUCUACGCAUAGAAGACGUGAACUACUGAUGAUCAAAAGGAUGAUCCUGAACACCUACUUACGUCAGACAUAACCCCACCGUAUCCUCGAUCGGAGAAGGAGCUCACGAAAGAGACCGUCACGGUUACGCACUCAAUUGGUAAGUUUUAAUUAAGUCAACUUCAAGUUAUCUAGAACCGGAUGUUAAAAAAGUUUCCAUGUUGCCACAUAACUGCGGACACGGCUUUCCGAAAGAUUUAACCCUGCAGGGGUGCUCCAACUAGUCCAUCAUAAACUACCACACGCUGCGACGGAAUGACCUCGAUCAGGGAGACCCAUGAUCUCCUCGGGUUCCUAUUGGAAAAACUCAACCUCGAGAUAACCCAAAGCAUCCUUGGAAUCCCUCGCACAAGAUGCUCGAGAAAGGUAAAACAAGUCCAGCAAGGCCGCCCGACGUGCCAACAAUCCCGAUAGGAGCCGCGUAUCUCGUUCUCAGAGCACACCGGAUGAGCGUUGGUUACCACGCCAAACGUCGAGUUGCCCCGGGUAGCGUUAAUAAGCUGCUCUUUUUGGGACCAACACCAUCAACACUGCCCCCCUAUAUUAUGUUGAAUUACUCCUCGUGUAGUGCUAACUCCCUAUGUUUUCAGUAUUAGCAGGAUUAUUAUGUUGGCAAAUAUAGUACCAAUGUUGGGCCUUGCCAGACAAGCUUGAUCCCAAAACAAGAAUCUAAGGGGUCUCCAUAACAACCCCAAGCAUGUUAGGAGCGCUAAGUUAUGAAACAUAACACCGGUAGCCGAAACUAAGGCGACAAAGGUGGAAUAAAACACCAGGCUAGAAAGGCCGAGCCUUCCACUGUUUACCAAGUAUAUAGGUGUAUUAAUUUAAAUAUCAUUAAUAUGGUGAUAUAAUAAGGAAUCCAUGUUUGCACAUGGAAGCAGCUACACCUGCAACUAGCAAUGCUAUCCAAUGAUUAAACAAGCAGUAACAUAGCCAAUCAGUGGUUUGCUAGGUUGUAGAAAGGUUGAAGGUUUUUAUGGCAAUGUUGGGAGGCUGACAUUUAACAGGUGGUAGGCAGCGCGACAUAACGAAAGAAUCGAGACAACUAGCAUGACAAUGAUAGUAAUUGUAUCUAGGGAAAUGUUCAUCUUGCGUGAGUUCCCGCUUGAAAAAAGAAUGACUCCGUGAAGCAGACGAACCGACGUAGUCGAACGGAUCAUCACAUUUCGACACGCUUGCAGAACUCUAUCGAGACGAAGCAAACCGGAAAAGAAUCAACACACGAUAUUCACCACGACACAUGAACGAUAUGAUGCACAACACAUGAUGCAUGAGCAGUUUCAAAUAUGCAAGGCAUGGCAUGGCAAUUCACACAAUCAAACACUACACAUUAAGUGAAGCUCAAUAUGCAACGAGUUGCAUAUUGACGGAACUCCACAUUUAAUUAUUUAGUUCACUCCCAUUUAUUUACACGACAAUUUUAAAAUGUUUUUAACAUGGAAAGGGGGUGAAGCACAAAUUAAUCUACUUAGGCAUUUUAAAUGAGGCCGGAAACGACAUAUAGCAUUUCCGAAACGACCCCACGUAUUAACUUUGUAAUCUGUACAUAUCUGUCCUAACCACAUUUUAUGUUUGUUAAACAGCAAAACAAAGUGGUUCACGUGACUCUACUCGUCGUUCUAGUCCAUUUACAUAUAUGGCUCAUAUCCAACGGAACUACAGUUAAUUAACUACGACCUAAACCAUUUCUAUCACAUCAACACGCAAACCGAUGCAACAAACAUUCUAAACAUUUUUAAAAAUGCAUGAGGGUUGGAAAAUAUUAACCUACGAGAAAUUCUAGCCAAGUUACAUAUAAAAACUUGCUGUGAUCCGACGCACGAAUUAAAAGUUGCGUGCAUUUGAAAAAUAUGCUUUUUCUAAAAAUUACUAAAUUCAUCGUAAUAAAGAAAAACCUACGGGCCGAAACUAACUAUUGGGCCGAAACAGGCAUGGACGCAAUAUACUAAAAUGCGCACGGGGCGCAAGAUAGAGGGCUCGGGUGCUGGCUCACCUUAGCAUCCCAUGGCGGAAGAGGCUGGGCAGGCCGAAAGGGAGACGACCCAAGGCAGCGCGAGAGGCAGCCCACACACUCGCUCGGCUCGACUAGGCCAUGGCGAUUGGAGAGGAGGCCCCGCGGCUAGGCCGGUUCGUGGGUUGGGCGAGGCCCGAGGCGAAGGGGCGGCCUGGCACGGUAGUUGCCUCGUCCUCCCUGGCGGGAUCCAGAUCCCGAUUGGAUCGGGAGCUCGGGGCUGUGCGGUGCAGCACCUAGCGACGGGAACUACCGGCUGCUGGCGGCGCGUUGUCCGGCGGGAGGCGGCGCCGCGGCACUUGGGGCCAGCGAGCUGCGCUGAGAGUCGCGGGAGGAGGGAGCUGCGCUCGUGCUGCUCCUCUCCCCGAGCGAGCAGGGCGUGCGGGCCAGUUCGGGCCCUGAUGGGCUCGAUCUGGGUCGCGAGGGCCACGACGGUGGCUAGUGGUGGAGGGACAGGUUACAGCGUGGGGUUGGCGAGGGCAGCUGCUACGACGGUCAGGUGGCGGCGGGGUUGUUGCGUGAUGUCAGCCGUGCUUCCCUGGCAACGACGCCAAGAAUAGUCGUGUCGAGGGCAUCAGGAAUCCUUCUGCUGCGGCUACGCCUUAAGGGACUUCCUAGGCAAAUAUGCAAAGGAUUUCCCCCGUGGCCUUGGAGCCUUGCGUUGGUGUUCACUCGAAGCGGAAAGGGUGAUGUAGCACAGCGAUGGUAAGUAUUUCCCUCAGUUUGAGAACCAAGGUAUCAAUCUAGUGGAGGAGUAUCACAAGAUCCUGCACAAACACAAAAGCUUGCUCCCAACGCUAUGAAGGGGUUGUCAAUCCCUUAUAAAUUGUUUGCCAAGUGAGAACUGAAAGCAACAAAGUAACAAAGCAAAGUAAAAGCGGAGGUGUAGACGAUGGAUGUGAAUAGACCCGGGGGGCGUAGUGUUUACUAGUGGCUUCUCUCAUGAAAGCAAGUAGACGGUGGGUGAACAAAUUACUGUCGAGCAAUUGAUAGAACCGCGCAAAGUCGUGACGAUAUCUAUGGCAAUGAUUAUAUCUAUAGGCAUCACGUCCAAAACAAGUAGACCGAUACUUUCUGCAUCUACUACUAUUACUCCACACGUCGACCGCUAUCGAGCAUGCAUCUAGUGUAUUAAGUCCAAAAGAACAGAGUAACGCCUUAAGCAAGAUGACAUGAUGUAGAUGGACAAUCUCAUAUCAACGACAGAGCCCAUCUUGUUACCCUUGAUGGCAACUACUUAAUGUGUGCCUUGCUGCCCCUACUGUCACUGGGAAAGGUCAGCACAUGGUAGAACCCAAAACCAAGCACUUCUCCCAUUGCAAGAAUCAUAGAUCUAGUUGGCCAAACAAAACCCAAGACUCGGAGAGACUUACAAGGAUAUCAAAUCAUGCAUAUAAGAAAUCAGCAAAGACUCAAAUAUAUAUCAUAGAGAAUCUGAUCACGAAUCGACAAUUCAUCGGAUCUCGACAAACACACCGCCAAAGAAGAUUACAUCGGAUAGAUCUCCAUGAAGAUCAUGGAGAACUUUGUAUUGAAGAUCCAAGAGAGAGAAGAAGCCAUCUAGCUACUAACUACGGACCCGUAGGUCUGAAGUGAACUACUCACGAGUCAUUGGAGGGGCGAUGAUGAUGAUGAAGAAGCCCUCCAACUCCAAAGUCCCCUCCGGCAGGGCGCCGGGAAGGGUCUCUAGAUGAGAUCUCGCGGAAACGGAAGCUUGCGGCGGCGGAAAAGUAUUUUCGAGGCUCCCCUGAUUUUUUGCUGUAUUUUAGGGAAUAUAUAGGCCAAAGAUCUAGGUCAGGGGGCGGCCAGGGAGGCCACAAGCCCUGCCACCGCCGCCUCCCCCUGGUGUCGGAGUGGGGGCUUGUGGGAUCCCAGGAGCCCUCCUGGCUUGGCCCAUAGCCCCCCUGAUCUUCUUCCAUUUGGAAAAAAAUCAUUUCGGGGAUUUUAUUCCAUUUGGACUCUGUUCCAAAAUCAGAUCUGAAAAGAGCCAAAAACACAGAAAAAAACACGAAGUGACACUUGGCACUGAAUUAAUAAGUUAGUCCAAAAAAAGAUAUAAAAGGUACAUAAAACAUCCAAAGAUGACAAGAUAACAGCGUAAAACCAUCAAAAAUUAUAGAUACGUUUGAGACGUAUCACUGCCAAGUGGCAUGGAAGGAGCGGCGGGGCAUGUAUUCUGAGGAGAAGGAGAGGGGGGAGACUAAUUUGGAAGGGGCUUGCUAUUUAUAGUAGUGGCUAGGGUUUGAGGGGAUUUUUAGUCCGGUCUUUGACCAUCCGAUCGAGAUCGGACGGCUACGACGAUGCCUAGGCACUAGGUGGGCUAUGGUGGGCUGUGUAGCCGGGUUUGGGGCUAAGAUGAGAGGGAAAUGAGCAGCUCGUGACACGAGUUUUAAAACUGAAAAACGUCUGAUAAAUUAACCAAAUACGGUGCACUACGGUCGACCGUUCGGGUAUCAAACGGACUCCAAUUGCGACGAAGUUUGGCACGUGACCUACCUACACUCGAAUAAGACCGCACGCCAAGUUUCAACCCAAUCAGACAAUAUCUUCAACGCACUUUGAAAAACAAUUUUUAAACAAUGUCGUGGGCGCGUGCGUGUGUGGUUGGGCUCAAAACGGUCAAUGACUAAAACGAAGAGAACCGACAACUAAUAACAGAUGCAAGGUUUGAAAACUGGCGGCAACGGAGUGCCGAUGCCAUGCAGAUGAUGUGCAUGAUGCGAUGAUGAAUGCGACAGACAAUCUCAUCGCACGGCGGCAACGGAAUAAAAGGCGAAUCUUCUGGAGCAUCGGUCUCGGCUGUCACAACUCUCCUACACUAGUAAGAGAUCUCACCCCGAGAUCUAAGAAUGAAAGGGGGGAGAGGAAGAGAAGAGCAAGAGGUAAAACUUAGUCGCUUCUUUGACAAACGAGUCAAACCAACGACCCUUGAAGGUUAGACAGAGAUGAAGAAUGAUAUGAGAAAACCAACAAGAAUUCACACAAAAUGUCGGUAGCACUUUGGUAGGAAAUUGAGGACAAAUUUUUUUUAAGAUGGAAAUAUGUUGGCAAGAUUCACAACAAACCAACUAAAUUGACAAGCAAGGAAAGAACAUGAUCUUGACAACCUGAGAUGUUUGAAUAACAAGAGCAACAUCACAACAUCUCCGGACAAGAGAAUAGAAACUAGAUCAUUGAGAGGAAAGAAUGGAGAACAAAAUGACAACUACUACCACAAUUGAAUUUGGCAAGCCUCCUUGCAAAAUAAUUGAACGGAGUUGUUGGAAAACCAACAACGAAAAGAACAAGCUUGUUGUGGGCUUAUGGAAACCAUUUCAAAAUAAUGAGGUGACAACCAGACACUAAUAAAAACAAAGAUUGCUUGGAUGCAACAAGAAAGGCAAAACUUCUUACACCAAGAGAAUAUGUUGAGAACUUGGAACGACAAUAAUCACCAUAAUAGAAACAAUCCUUAGGAAAGCUUUAGGUGAAAUCUAAUCCAAGAUAACUCAAUGAAGAAACCAUGGGUUAAAAGUAUCUCAUGAUCAUAGAAUUGGUGGGUUUAAAUAUCCCAUUCCUGAAACAAUUCUCGAAGGGACUCCUCAUGAAUCAAGAAAGCUAUAACACCACCUCAAAGGAAAAAGGAGGAAGAAUUGCACUUUCAAAUGCAAGAGAAAGAAUACUUGAGGUUCUCCAACAAGAAUCUUGAAUAACUCAUUGAGAACGAAUGAAAUCUUGAAGAACCACCAUGACGAACCUCCGUAUACAAAAGAAUGAUACAAAGAUAUGAAGGAUGAAAAGAAUAGGAUUCAGGCCGUGUCAUGACUUAGAUGAAGCUUCACGAAGAGAUAUGAGCAUGAACUAGAAGAAAUCUUGGAAGAAACACCGGUAAGAAUUCACAAAUGAAUAAUGAUACCAAGAAUGAAUGGAGAUACAAGAUAGCGAAGAGAUCAUGAUCCACCUGAGAGAAAACUUGAACAAGACACCAGAAUAACUGAGAUACGAACGAAGAGACAACAAUUGAGAAGAACUUGAGAGUGAAAGCUGAAAGCUAAGAAUGAAGAAAUCUUCUUAAAUGAUGACCUUCGGAGGAUUGAGAAAUGAAAACAGCAUUGAAAUGCACCAGAUAUAUAUGGAUAAUUUCUCAUGAUUGACAACAAUUGAGAAGAUAGCACGAGCUAAGAUGACAAUCUUCAAAAGAAUGGACAAGAUUUGAUAGAAACACUCCUUCGGUCUUCCAAGCUGAAAAUGAUGAGGAGAACACCAGGAAGAAUAACUAAGACACUCCGGAAUAAGAAUAUGAAAAGUUGAGCCAAUGAUGAAAUAAUUCAGAUUGACCUUGAGGAAGGAAUAUGACUAAUGGAAUUCAUUCUUACGUCAUAUUUAAAAAGAAUUAGAUAUCUUCAGGAAAAGAUUACAAGAAUCAGAUAAGAUCCUGGGAAAGAACCUGUGGGUUAUGGGCCCAUUGAAAGAAAACACUGGAUGAAUGGAUUGCUAAGAAAUAUUGAUUGUGCCGGUACAAGUAAAAUCCUGAUGAGGUUAGCACCUCGAAUUAAUUAGAAGGAUUGAAGACAAGAGACUCUGAGAUAUCUUCGGCCCUCCGGGUAGAAACGAGAUAUAUGUAUAACAAGAGAGGCUUGAUAAGAAUUUUCAACAUGGGAAGAAUUUAAAGGAUGAAAAGGAUAUGAUGACACCAAAACUUGAUUUUCUCCACGGGAGAAGAAAACAAAAACAUAUAAAUGAUGAACUCGAAACUCCUGAGAAUCUUCACCCAGACUCACCGGGAACAAAAGAAAAGAAAAGAUAGCAAAAGAAAUAAUGAAAGGAAGAUAUUUGGAUGAUAAUUGAAACAUUGAAGAAAAAGGGCUGGAGGGCGGGGAAAAACAAAGACAACUUGGGACAGAUGAGAUGAACUCCGGAAAGAAAUGAGAGAUUGAUCUUGCAAAUCUUGAAAAUGAUAGAAUUGACUCGAAGAGAAGCACACCAUUUGGAAAUGAAUUGCCAUGACAACUCCGUUGCAAAGAAUUGAUAAGACAACUUGAUUGAGCAAAAGAAUUUGCAUUCCCAUAAAAAUAUGAAAACACCACUUAGGAAAGAUAUGAAUUCACCACUUGACAUCGAAGCAACUCGAAUUACCAUACUCCAACAAAACAAAGGAUGAGGCUUAUGACACAAGCUGGAACAAAUUCAUGACAUAGAUUAUAUCCGACAUUUUCGUAGAUAGAUUUGCAUGGGCUCGAUCCUACAGUAUCCAUCAUGUAAAAGGCAGUGCACACGACAUACGAAGCGUCCCCGAGUCAUAGCAAGCUACAAGGACUCUUUAAGACACAACGAGAAUCGUUGUAAGACGACCGUCAACAAACGAAUCCACUAGAUGUCGAACCCCAACCACACUCAUGCAUCUGUUGGAAGAUUAUCCUAUAAGUAACUAUUUGAAUUCCCACCUAAGAACUCCCAAAAUUUUCUGGUCAUGCAAUCGGGUCCACGGAUACAAGGAGUAAAAUUCAUCACUCAACUCCUAGCAAUAACACUACCCGUCCAGUGUAUCACAUCCGUCAACACAUAACCAGAGAUCUCGGAAACUCAUCUAUCUCAAACCCUCAUAAUCACAACGAUACUAAGUAUGGCAGUACCCCCGAACUCUCUACACCAGUACUGGGGAUGCCGGGGUUAUCUUGCCACUACUAGUAUUGAAGCAAUUUCGAACAUCCUUCGUCCUGAGAUACUAACAAAUCUGAAUUAUCACGAUGUGCUCAAGAAUCCCCUCGAGCUUAACUCCCCGGAAUAAAAUCAACACAACAGGAGGCAGCAAUACAGAACUCCGUCACAUCGACAUCAUAUAGAUUCCAAAAAUAUCCGCGUGAUCCUAAAAUUUUUUUAGUGACAAGAGAAGUAGAAUUAAAAUUAUUAUGUCAAGAUUCCUCACCAGAGCAUAGAAGAGGAGAAAAAAGAAUCCUACUCCCUGAUAUAUAACUAGACUCAAAGUAGUUUUUCACUAGACUCGACUCGGCCAAGUUCGAUCAAUCAAGGGGGCUCCUAGGUCGGUACUAUUUUGAUACCAACUUGUAAUGCCCAAGAUGCGGUCCUAUCCUUAUUUUGGCGCCAGGGCCUCGACAGGGAUAGAAACGCAUCUCGUUGUUUCGCAAGAAUGGGUAUCGUUACAAGUACAUGUACUGAAAAGAUGAGUAUAAAGAGUUGUCUUACACUCGCCACAAGCUACAUCAAGAUCACAUCAAUACAAAAAUAUCCAGUCAUCAUCAAGAAGAGCAGGGUCCGACUACGGGCAAGAACAAAGGAUAAAAGAACGACGUCCAUCCUUGCUAUCCCAGGCUGUCGUCUGAUGUCUACGCACGCUUCUAUUCUUGUAGACUAUGUUGGGCCUCCAAGCGCAGAGGUUUGUAGGACAAGAACAAUUUCCCUCAAGUGGGUGACCUAAGGUUUAUCGAACUCGGGGAAGUAGAGGUUGAAGAUGGUCUCUCUCAAGCAGCCCUGCAAUUAAGAUACAAGAAGUCUCUUGUGUCCCCAACACACCUAAUAAAAUUGUCAGUUGUAUAGGUGCACUAGUUCGGCGAAGAGAUGGUAAAAUAUGGGUGAUAGGUGUGGCAAAGCAGGGUAAUAUAAAUCUGAAAUCAAAAUGACAGCAAGGUAGCAAGUGACAAAAGUGAGCAUAAACGGUGUAACACUGGUGAGAAACAGGGCCUAGGCUUCAUACUUUCACUAGUGGCAACUCCCAACAAUAUUAACAUAGUCUAAUCACAUGAUAUUUCCACUAAGCAUGCAGUGGAGACGUACUCGGAAGUCAUUCCUUUGUGAUCAAGAGAGGACGAGAAUUAUGUAGAGCUACAAAAGCACACCUCAGAGUUCGUAGUUCUCUCUAUGGAUUUCCCAAUGUCACCGCGGCCAUCCAAAGAGAGCACCACAAUCACCACAACGUAUCUCAAGGAUAGUCAAAGACAAGCACCAAGAGACUCUCAAUCUUCAAUCAAUUCACAAAAGAGGAAAUCACUCAUGAAAAUAUUCUUCUAAUCCAUGUCCAAUAGACCACUGUCACCAUGGUCUUGGGGAUUAUACUAGAUAAGAUCAAGUGAGUACAUCAAUCCAAUACAUAGAAGAAGGGGAAAUAUCAUGGGAUCACCCUAGAUUAACAUAGCCAUGAUCACAAUCAAGAUCACAUCAUGGGAGAGAUAAUUAACCACAUAGCUACUGUAUAAGACCUCAGCCCGGAGGAGGAACUACCCCCGCUUCAUGGAGGGAGGAAGUAACGUCGAUGGAGAUGAAUCCGGGGGCACUUCCCCGUCCCGGCACGGUGCCGGCACAGGAAUUCUGGUCCCCUGAAACUUGUUGGCGAUGACGGCGGAGAUUGGAAUUGCUUCUGGAGAAAAGGGUUCCAGAAUCAGUGUUUCCUCCAUGGGGGUAAAAAUAGGAGCCAAGGUAGGGCACCAGAGGAGGUGGGCCCCACCCAGGCGGCCUGUGGGCGCGGCCAGGGGGUAGGCCGCGCAAGGAGGCCGCCUGGGCGACGCGUGGCUCCCCUCUGGCCCGCCUUUGGUGCUCCCCAAGAUUCCGUCACGCUGAUUUUUAUAUAUUUUUCUCGGGAUUUUUGGGACUCGGUAAAUUGGGGUAAAAGUCCCUACAAAAAAGACAUCAGCAGACAGAAACUGGCACUGGGUGCACUAAGUUAGUAGGUUAUUCCAAAUAUGUGUAAAAAGGUAUGAAAGUGUAGCAAAACAUAUAACAAUGUCAUCCAAAAGAUCAUGGAACAAACAAAAAUUAUAGAUACGUUUGGGACGUAUCAUCGUCCUGGAACCCAUCCUAGAUCGACGACGAAGAAGAAGAAGAAGAAACUCUUGCUUUCCGAAAGAUUUAACCCUGCACGGGUGCUCCAACUAGUCCAUCACAAACUACCACACGCUGCGACGGAAUGACCUCGAUCAGGGAGACUCGUGAUCUCCUCGGGUUCCUAUUGGAAAACCUCAAGCUCGAGAUAACCCAAAGCAUCCUCGGAAUCCCUCGCACAAGACGCUCGAGAAAGGUAAAACAAGUCUAGCAAGGCCGCCCGACGCUCCGACAAUCCCGAUAGGAGCCGCGUAUCUCGUUCUCAGGGCACACCGGAUGAGCGAUGGUUACCAUGCCAAACGCCGAGUUGCCCCGGAUAGCGUUAAUAAACUGCUCUGUUUGGGACCAACACCAUCAGCAUUGCCCCCCGUAUUAUGUUGAAUUACUCCUCGUGUAGCGUUAACUCCCUAUGUUUUAAGUAUUAGCGGGAUUAUUAUGUUGGAAAAAUAUAGUACUAAUGUUGGGCCUUGCCAGACGAGCUUUAUCCCAAAACGAGAAUCUAGGGGGUCCCCAUAACAACCCCAAGCAUGUUAGGAGCGCUAAUUUAUGGAACAUAACACCAAUAGCCGAAACUAAGGCGGCAAAGGUGAAACAAAACACCAGGCUAGAAAGGUCGAGCCUUCCACCUUUUACCAAUUAUAUAGGUGCAUUAAUUUAAAUAGCAUUAAUAUGGUCAUAUAACAAGGAAUCCAGCUUUGCACAUGGAAGCAGUUGCGCCUGCAACUAGCAACGAUGUCCAAUGGUUAAACAAGCAGAAACAUAGCCAAUCAGUGGUUUGCUAGGUUAUAGAAAUGUUGAAGGUUUUCAUGGCAAUGUUGGGAGGCUGACAUUUAACAAGUGGUAGGCAGUGCGACAUAAGGAGAGAAACGAGACAACUAGCAUGGCAAUGAUAAUAAUGAUAUCUAGGGAAAUGGUCAUCUUGCCUGAGAUUCUGCUUAGAACAAGAAUGACUCCGUGAAGCAGAUGAACCGACGUAGUCGAACGGAUCAUCACAUUCCGAAACGCUUGCGGAACUCUAUCGAGACAAAGCAAACCAGAAAAGAAUCAACACACGAUAUUCACCACGGCACAUGCAUCGCAUGAUGCACAACACAUGAUGCAUGAACAGUUUCAAAUAUGCAAGGCAUGGCAUGACAAUUCACACAAUCCAACACUACACAUUAAGUGAAGCGAAAUCCACAUUUAAUUAUUUAGUUCACUCCCAUUUAUUUACAUGGCAAUACUAAAAUGUUCUUAACAUGGCAAGGGGGUGAAGCACAAAUUAAUCUACCUAUCUAGGCAUUUUAAAUGAGGCUGGAUACGACAUAUAGCAUUUCCGAAACGACCCCACGUGUUAACUUUGUAAUAUGUCCAGAUAUGUCCUAACCAUACUUUAUGUUUGUUAAACAGCAAAACAAAGUGGUUCAAGUGAUUCUGCUCGUUGUUCUAAUCUAUUUACAUAUAUGGCUCAUCUCCAACUGAGCUACGGUUAAUUAACUAUGACCUAAACCAUUUCUAUCAUGUCGACGCGCAAACCGAUGCAAAUAGCACUCUAAACAGUUUUAAAAAUGCAUGAGAGUUGGAAAAUAUUGAUUUACACGAAAUUCUAGCCAAGUUACAUAUCCAACUUGUUGUGAUCCGAUGCAUGGAUUAAAAGCUACGGGCGUUUGAAAAGUAUGCUUUUUCUAAAAAUUACUAAAUUCGCCGUAAUAAAAAAACUACGGGCCGAAACUAACUAUUGGGCCGAAACAGUCAUGGGCGCAAUAUACUAAAAUGCGCACGGGGGCGCAAGAUAGAGGGCUCGGGUGCUAUCUCACCUUAGGAGGCCAAGGCCCAUGUCGGAAGAGGCUGGGCAUGCCGAAAGGGAGGCGGCCCAAGGCAGCGCGAGAGGCGGCCCACACACUGGCUCGACUCGACUGGGUCGUGGCGACUGGAGAGGAGGCCCCGUGGCUAGGCCGGUUCGUGGGCUGGGCAAGGCCCGAGGCGAAGGGGCGGCCUGGCACGACAGUUGCCUCGUCCUGCCGAGCGGGAUCCAGAUCCCGGUUGGAUCGGGAGCUCGGGGCUGUGCGGUGCAGCACCCGGCGACAGGAACUGGCGGCGGGAAUGCGAGCAGGGCCGGCGGGACGCGGUUGGCGACUGCUGGCCGCAUGGUGUUCGGCGGGAGGCGGCGGCGCGACACUUGGGGCCGGCGAGCUGUGCAGAGCGCCACGGGAGGAGGGAGUUGCGCUCGGACUGCUCCUCUCCCCGAGCGAGCAGGGCGUGCGGGGCACGUCGGGCCCUGGUGGGCUCGAUCUGGGUCGCGAGGGCCACGACGGUGGCUGGUGGUGGAGGGUGAGGUUGCGGCGUGGGGUUGGCGAGGGCAGUUGUUGCGACGGUCAGCCAAGUAGCGUGGAAGGAGCGGUGGGCCACGGAUUUUGAGGAGGAGGAGAGGGAGAGAGACUAAUUUGUAAGGGGCUUGCUAUUUAUAGCAUUGGCUAGGGUUUGAGGGGAUUUUUAGUCCGGUCUUCGACCCUCCGAUCGAGAUCGGACGGCUCCGGUGAUGCCUAAGCACUAGGUGGGCUAUGGUGGGCUGUGUAGCGGUUUUUUUGGCUAAGAUGAGAGGGAAAUGAGCAGCUCAUGACACGAGUUUUAAAACCGAAAAACGUCCGAUAAAUUAACCAAAGACAUUGCCGCUACGGUAGACUGUUCGGGUAUCAAACGGACCCCGAUUGCGACGAAGUUUGGCAGACGGCCUACCGACACUAGAGUAAAACCGCACGCCAAGUUUCAACCCAAUCCGAGAAUAUCUUAAAUGCACUUUUGAAAACAAUAUUUAAACGAUGUCGCGGGCGCGCGCGUGUGUUGUUGGGCUCAAAACGAUCAACGACGAAAACGGAGAGAACCAGCAACUAAUAACGGAUGCAAGUUUUGAAAACUGGCGGCAACGGAGUGCCGAUGCCAUGCAGAUGAUGUGAUGAUGAAUGCGACAGACAAUCUAAUCGUACGGCGGCAACGGAAUAAAAGGCGAAUCUUCUGGAGCGUCGGUCUCGGGCUGUCACAACGACGAAGCCCUACCGGAGUAGCUCCACCAUCAUCACCGUCACGUCGUCGUGCUGCCGGAGAAUUCAGAUACCUCUUCGUCUCUCUUGCUGGAUCAAGAAGGUGGAGAUCAUCAUCGAGCUACACAUGUGCUGAACGCGAUGGUGUCGUCCGUUCGGUGCUACAUCGUGAUUGGAUCGCGGGACGGCUUGCAAUUUGGAUCGCAAAGACGUUCGACUACAUCAACCGCGUUUCUUAACGCUUCCCGCUUAGCGAUUUACAAGGGUAUGUGGAUCCGAUCUCUCCUCUCGUAGAUGGUCAUCACCAUGGAUAGAUCUUAUGUGUGUGUAGAAUUUUUUUUGUUUCCCAUGCAACGUUCCCCAACAAUAGGUUCUACAUAUUACGUAGGUUUCAUAUCUUACAUGUUUUUGUAUUGAUUUGUAGAUCCUAAAAUAAGAUGUCCGGUUGUAAAAUGUAUUAUUUGAAGCUUGACGUGUCCGUGAACGCGCCUGAACGCGUCCACGGACGUUUGAGGGUUCGGAUUUGCAACGCCCGGUUGUAGAUGCUCUUAGAACAACUCCAACCGACCGACUGGUCGGCCGGCACUUUUGUUCGUUUUUUGUCCAUUUGGGUCGGCCUUGCGAACACCAACGUCCGCUUCUGCGUUUGGGUCGACGCAUGCGCCCAACGCUCGUCCGACCCAUUUUGUGACGACGCCUAAAAAAAUCCAGACAUUUCCAAAAAUAAAAACAAACAUAAAUUAAACAUUAAAGCUGGUCAUGAAGGCCGGCGAGAGUCCACGCGUCCUCAUUACAUUAUAAUUAAACAUUAGAAAAACUAAACUGCAUUACCCUAGGCGUCCUCGUCGGCGGUGUCGGGGUCGGUGAGGUCGGGUUGUGCCGGUGCGGGGCGGGCUAUGCCGGUGCGGGGAGUGCUAGUGGCGGCGGUGGCGCAUCACGGCGCGCUCCUUCGCCACACGGAGCGCCCUCUUAUGCUGGAGGUAGGCGACCUCCUUCAGGCGCAGCGCGCGGGGAUAGACGACGGGGGCUUGCCCUUGCUUUGGGCGUAGCCGGCCAUGGCUGCUGGCUAGGGUUUGGUCGCCGACGUGGAAGUAGAGAGGUGGCGAGAUGAGGCCGAACCCCUCCGCACGCUCGGAUUAAAAAAGACCGCCCGCGGUAGCUGAUGUGUGAGCCACGGAGGGUGGCCAUCAUUAAUUAAGUUGACCACACGUAAUUGGACGACCGGCGGGGGUAGAUGGGGCGGACACCGAAGACGCGCGUGCGUCCGCUUCGUGUCCACGUCGACACAUUUCAAUCCUAAAUUUAGACAAAAAUAGUUUGAUGCGAACGCGAAACGGACACAUUUUGACAAUAGAUCCAUGGACACGAAGCCAAACGGAGGAUAACCGAUGAAAUAAAUCACCCCGUUGAAAUUGCUAUUACGACAUGGACGAAGGCUAUGCGGUCUUUGUGAAGCUUCGGAUAGGUUCGUCCGGUCAGAGGACAGCAAGGGCGACGUACGUGCUCCAACACGUCCCCAGUCGUUCCCACGUGGCGGCGUUCAAGUGGCGGACCCUUCUGCCGACUUCCCGACGUGACAGCUCGCGUGCCGUCUGAGUCACGGGGCCCCACCGGAUGAACAGGGCCAAUAAGAUAAUCGACCAUGGCGAUCCGGCAGGAAAACGUGGAAGCCGAUAGAGAUGGAUGCCUUCGUACGCUUGAUAUUUGUGGUCGACGGAGAGCCUAAUCAGGAUUAGCACGGGUGGUUUGUGCUGGAUCUUGGGUUAAUCUGAUGGUCCCCGGCGGUGGGUGGUCACGCAUUGAUCCGGAGCCCAUGUCGACCACGAUUCUGAGAGUAAUCCGUUUAUUAAGAUGAUGUGUACGGCUGCCAGAUAUGGGUGGCCAAUGAGAUAUUUUUGGUACACUGCGUGUGUGUGGUGGAUAUGGCAGCCACGUUGUUUCUCUCCUUAAAAUACUUGUGUUUUUAGUAAUUCUGGAUCGGACGUGUGAGUACAAGAAAAACCUACGGUCCAUUUUUGCUCUUCCAACUAAAACAUUUCCAGAAGAAAAAAACAGAUACAUCUUCUUCCUUUCGGAUAACUACAUUAUCAAAUAAAAGUUUUCGAGACUUCAUUCUUAUUUUAGUUUUGACCAUGGGUCCGACCGAAUAUAUACAAUGAUUAUAUCUUUCUAGAAACCCUAGCACACAUUGCUCCGCUCAUUACUAGCGGGUCUCCUCCUCCUCUUUCUACUGCUUCAUGUGUAAAAAGGGUUAGGUCUUUUAGGACAUCUUCGAAGCAGAUCGCUAUGCAUAUCCGGCUAAUGAUAAAAAAUCAUGCACAUCUGGUUAGUGAUAAACAAUCAUGCAUAUUGGACAAAAUAAACUUACUUGUUCACAGGUUUGUGCAUCAUUAGACCAUUGUGAGAUGAGAUGUGCCAAGUGGUGACAAUACUUCGACACGACCUCUUGAAUGAUGAACCAACGAUGGUUGAGGAAUUUUGAUUCAUGGUUACGGAUCACCUCGUUGGAAUAAAGCAUGAAACGCUUGUGUUUAUGGUAGCAUGUAUGAAUGUUGGUCCAAAAUGUCAUGCCCUUUUUCUCCAUGUCAUGGAUUGGAUCGAGGCUAGUGGCCAACCACGCGUCGCACAAGAACUCGCCCUCCCUACUUUUAUGCCACCAAGCAACAUUAGCCUUGAUGAUAGCGACGACGGAGGCUCCCCGUGUGCCAGGUACCGCAUGACCCCGGUACCCUAUCCCAGGCACCACCUGCCUCCCCCAUCGCCCUUCUUUUCGUCAUCCGGUCCAUUCUUUGCCUUGGAUUUAAGACGACGAGCUUGCUAUGUCGCCGAGUUGAUCUUCACGCGACCACCUUCUGUGGAUCCUCCACCUUUGUCGUCUCUGGCAGCUUUAAGUAUGGAUCCAUGUGGCGUGAAAGUGAAAAGCGCGGUAAAGAUGGAUGUCUAAGGUGAUUCAGUGCGGAGACGAAAAAAGAGGAGGGGUGAUGUCGAAACAGUAUAGAACUCUCCAGAUGUGCGGGCUACGUAUCGGUCGGUGAUGUCGGAUCCUAUAUUUUGGAGGUCUGAACUCCAUAAAGCCUCAAUGGUUUGCUUCCGGCUUGGAGGAAAUCGGACACACGAAAAUACAUGCCCGUUUUGAAUGAGUUGUUCGCAUGCUCGUGGGUGUAUUAUGAGCAUCUCUAAUAGAAGAUGCAAAUUUAGAGAUGUAAUACGGGAGAUGUAAAAAAUUACAUCUCCAAAAAAGGGCCAACUCCAAUAGUUGAUACAAAACGGAGAUGUAAAAGAGCAACUCCAAUAGAAGAUGCAAACUAGAGAUUUAAAAAUUAGUCGACGGCGGCUUAAGCGGGGCGGCAGUAUUGGGGAUGGCGGUGGCGUGACGCGAUUCGGGGCGGCGGCGCCGGGGCAGCGACCGGGGUGGUGAAUCGAAAAGACGAUGACGCGAUAUCGGGCUGCGAAGCAGCAAUGAUGCAGCAGGAGAGGGGCAGCCAUUCGAUGCGGAGAGAGGAGGAGGAGCGACGUAGGGACGGUGGGUGCCCCGAACCCGGAGGCGGCGAUGGGAUCUCAAAUCAUACGACAGUGCGGCGGCGAUUCGACGACGGAGAAGCGACCAAUUCACCAGAUUUGGAGGCAGGCAGCUGCGGGACCGGAGGCGGGGCCGAUGGAGCGACCGAAUCUGGCAGUGGGGCUGCAGCCACGACAGCGAUCAACCGGGGUGGGGGAAAACCGGGGCGGCGGCAAGGAGACGGAAGCGGGAUUAGGGGGUGGUGAUCACGCCGAUGAAGGCCCCAACGUGGUGGGCGAAGGAGGCGACGGGGUCGUGAGAGUCGGCCAUGGCCCGAUGGGCGGGCGGUGGGCGGGCAACUGGCGGGCGAACGAAAGGAAAAUGAAAGCGGUUGGGCAGUUGGCGCUUGGCCGUCAUUUUUUACAUCUACUCUGAGUGAAGAUGUAUAUUUGCAACGCGAAGUGUUGUAAUUUACAUCUUCGGAAGCUGCAGAUAUUUUUUUCAUCUACACAUCUAUUCGAGAAGUUCUUUUAACGACAAGUAUGCAAAAAAUCGUUGUUUUUGUGUCUAUAAUAUAUCACCCAUUGAAGAUGCUCUAAGGGUCCGCGUUUGGAGAUGUCAUUAUAAUAUAAAUUUUCGUAAAUAGUUAGUGAAUCGUAAUCCCUGGCUUGUAAUGGUUGCUAACUAAGGUCACUCCCAUUUUGCGUGUUUCUUAAAUCUUGAGUCAAAUAAGACCCUCGCCUCGCCCCUCACGUCGCCCCCGCGGGCGAGCCCAGGGAAAUCCUAGCUGUCGUUCUUGUCCCUCCUCCACUUCUCCCGCUCCCCGUCGCCGUUCGCAGCGCCGUUGGGCGAAGCUUGGCCGGCAGGGCUGCGGCGGGGCUUCUCCCUACCCUUUCCGUCUUGGUUGGCGUGGGACAACGGGAUCGAGAGGAGCGUCGGGCAAGCGUGGAGUCCGGUGGCGCGGAGGGCGGGUCACCCGGCGACGUCGUGCGCGGCAUGGCGGCGACGGCCUGUUUGUGGCGAGGUUGUGACUGUGUUGGGCAUGACCGGUGGUCGCGGGUGCCACCGAAUCCAGAUCGAAUCCAUCUGCAUUCCUGUGUUUGGACGUCGUCGGACGACGCGGGGUGGUGGUGGUCGUCGCUGGCCACGUCGGACCGUUGGAUUCUUCAUGUGGAGAUCUACGAUGGGUUCUUCUCGAUCCUUCUUCCUUGCGGGUUGAGCCCCAUGGCUCUUUCAUCUGUGCAGGUUGCGGUUUGGCUCAUUGUCGGAUCUGGAGCAGAUGGAGGUUUGGUAGUAUAGGAUGGGACUGGAGGAAACUUUGGCCGGCUUGUUCGGCCCGACAUCGAUGACGUCACUCGAAGCCGUUACCCUCCAUGGAGGCGAAGCCGAGGUCUGUCCUAUCCACCCCCGAAUCUCUGCCGGACGAAAGUCUAAAAUUCAUCCGAAUUGGGCGACAGCGGCGUCCCACACGUCGUAUCCUUCAUGGAGGCGCCGUCUUGGGAGGACCUCGUGUUCAGGGGAGAGUUGUUAUGGGUGAUGGGCUCCUCGUAGUUCUAGUAGUGGCGAUGGUGUGAAGGUUGCGAGUUGGUGUGACGUUGUAUUUACCGCAUCGAUGACGACAGGUAUUGGCGGCAUGGUGGAUAUUUUUGAUGGAUGCGGCUUGAUGAUCGAGCGCAGGGUGAUUGUGCUGUCUCGCGCCAUGGUGGCGUCGGCGGCAGGCUUGCAAGGUUUGUGCAUCAGUAUCUGCUCUAAAGAUGGAUCGGUGGAAGACGAUGGUGGCUGCCUCGGUGAGAGAGCCAGACCGGUGUGUGACCCAGUCCCGGUAUGUGGCUGGGGUGAGGCAUCCGGUAUUAGAUGUUAGGUUUGGUGUGAUGUUUGUUUGGUAUUAGGUUCGAACAUUCUGCAUCCCUGCAUCAAGGGUUAAGAGUAGCGGCAAUUGUUGCCAAGAUGAUGCCUCGAGCCUUACUCAUAUAUUAAUUUAUAAUUUUUUAUGAAAAAUUAAUAGAGUGACCGUAUGCACCAUGAGAUCGGGAGUACAUCCUCCUUUAAAAAAAAUGCCUGUUGCUUCUAUGCUACAUUUUGUACUCGUACUGAUCCUGGGUCGCCGGGCGUACAUCCGGAGGUCACAAAGUCAAACUCUAUGACGCUUCAUCUGAAGAAGAAACUCGAUACGCGGUAAUAAUGCAUGCAUGCAUGCACGCAAUAACGCCCCACGUGUCGCCGGGCCAGCGGACGUCGCCCGGGAACUGUCCAGGUGGAUCGCCACCUGUUCCGUCCCGUCGACCCCACCGGCUCAGUUGCUUGUACAUAUACCCAACUCGACCUGCGCUGUGCAAACUACAGAGCUCGACCCAGAGAGACAGAGAGAGAGAGAGAGAGAAGAGCGAGGGAUAAAAAAGAGGUUUGUUUGUGGGGUCUCCCGCACGCGCUCGGCGAUGGCGAACUCGUUCCUCUCGAUGAAGACGGGCCCGGCGGCCGGCGCGUCGGAGGCGUCGCAGGCGCUGCUCGAGUCGGACCUGCGGGAGCUGACCAUGGCGGCGCGGAAGCUCGCCAACCACGCCAUCGUCCUCGGCGGCGGCCUCGGCUUCAUCGGCACCUUUCUCCAGUGGCUCGCCUUCGCCGCCGCCGUGUCAGUGCCUAUCUACCAGCCACCCUNNNNNNNNNNNNNNNNNNNNNNNNNNNNNNGCCUUUCCCCCCGCCCCCCCCCCCCCCCCCCCCCCUUCUCUUGCUAAUUUUUCUUCCCUCGGUUGUCACAGAGCUAUGCAUUCGUCUGAACCUCGCUGUUUAUCUUCUUCUACUGCAGAUAUCUCUUGGUGCUGGACAAGACGAACUGGAAGACCAACAUGCUGACGGGUCUCUUGGUCCCAUACAUUUUCUUCACCAUGCCUUCUCUGCUCUUCUCCUUUAUAAGGUGAUUAUAGUCCGCGAAUUCCCUACUGCAACGUCCCUUCAGGUUUUAAAUUCUCAUGUGCGACUGUUUUUCAGUGAGCUGUGUGUGUGACUGUUGUUCUUCUAGUGAGCUGUGUGGCUGUUGUUUUUUCUAGUGAGCCGUGGGACUGUUGCAUGAGUUGCUAUGGAUUACUAACAGUCUGUCAAUUUGAAUGACAUGAGCUCGCAAAAUCAAAACAUUGCAUACAUAUUUUUUUAAAAUAGAUUAUUUUUGUUUUGUUUACAGUGGUGAACGUCCAACCUGUAGUGCUGGUGGUUUGUUAGCGUUCUGCGGUCCACAGUCCCUUUCCAGUAGUAAUAGUUUGCUUUGGUUUUGUAUACCGUAGUUUCCUUUUGUGUCGGCACUAGAUGCUGGUCUGGACUUUACUCCGUUAACAAUGAUACUGAACUCUGGCCUUAUGGUUGUACUGUUGAAAAUACUACUGCAUAUAUCAAGGUAUGGUAUUGUCGGAAACUGUUUCACAUAAUAGGCCAAGGGUCUGAAGAUCGAUUUUCUUUAAAACAAAGUUAUCUCACGACUGAGAAUAAAUCUGAGAACUUUUUUUUUAGAUUAUAAAUCUGAAAACUUUAUAGAGGGAUGAUAAAGUGAACUAACUACUAAGAUGCAUCCGCCUAUUGCUCCUGAGUCCUGACCGCAAAACUCAAGCCAGUACCAUUUUCAUGAUGCUAUAUCGUUUGUUGAACUGUUACAGUUUUAUAUUCCUUAAAAAAAAACUGAUACAGCUUUACAGCAUUACAUACAUACAUACAUAUAUACGAAACAAAUUCGUGAUUGCUGAACAUCAAAAUUGCAGGGGGGAGAUUGGUAGCUGGAUCGCGUUCGUUGUUGUGGUCCUACGGCUGUUCUUUCCGCGCCACUUCCCUGGUACUAUAAUUUUGCACUCUGUUUUCUUUCAUGUAUUCAGUAAUCUGUCCUUUAAAAGUUGUUUUACAUAAAUCUCACAUUGGGAAUGGGUAUUCUCAUCAUGUUGUCAGAUUGGCUAGAGCUGCCUGGCUCUCUGAUCCUGCUCACGGCGGUCGCCCCCAGCAUCUUCGCAGACACCUUCAGGGGCUCGUGGCUCAUCAUCGGCGUCGCCGUAUGCCUGGUCAUCGGGUGCUACCUGCUCCACGAGCACAUCAAGGCGUCAGGAGGCCUCAAGGAGGCCUUCCAGAAGGCCAAUGGCUGGUCCAACACCAUCGGCAUUCUCUUGCUCUUCAUCUACCCGGUCUGGGCCAUCGUGAUGUGGUUCCUGUAGGCUUGUGCCUGCAGUUCCUCGGUCGCUGUUUCAGCGCUCAUCGUGCAGCGAUUGAUAAAGUGAUUUGGCGUCGAUGAACCCAUGCGAGCUUGUACCUGUUGAAUGUUUGAUGAACUGUCUCGGCGAUGUUUCCAUUUGGUGCCACUGCUUAAUUUGUUUCCUUGAUCUGUGCGUACAUAACAUCAAUAAAAACGUCUGCUCUGUUGAUCGCUGGGUGGAUUGAAGUGAUGAGCUGCCGGCAAGUUCUUCUCAUGCAUGUUCGUAUGAUGGUUGCGUACAACCGAUGUGUUAUGAUCUUAUUAAUUACUCUAAUCACUCCGAUAUAUACUUCUUCAGUUUCUAUUUCUUUAAGUUUUGUUAAAAGAAUACAUACAAAUGUAUAUAGAUAUAUCUUAAAGUGUAGAUUUAUUCAUUUUAUUUCGUAAGUAAUUUUUUAGUGAAACUUUUAAAAAAAUUAUAUUUAAAAACAAAGAAAGUAGUUCAUAAACUCGACUAAUCAUUUUUUUUACUUUGAUGAGGAGAAUUGGAGGGUUACAUUGAGGUCGCCCUCCUUAAGAGCCACCCAAUCUUAUUUCGUCUGUCUUAAAAUAUAAGGCAUUUUUGCAGUUCAAAUAUCAGCGUACAAUCUUUGAGAAGAAGGAAUUUCUGUCUGAACAUAAGUAUAACUGAUCGAACUUUCAGAAUAAUUUUCACGAAGCACGUUCUCAUACAUAAAUUUAUUUCGACAAACACUUCUAUAACAUUACCUCCGUACUGUAAAAAGUCAGAGCCCAUGAUAUGCUGUGAUAACAAGCUUAAAUUAAAAUAUUGCAUGCAUGAAAUAAUACAUUGGGAUCUGCCCACCACGUGUCAAGCGGGUCCGCGGAGAAUUGUCCAGACCGCGCGCCACCUGUUCCGUCGACCCCAGCAGGUCCUGGCAGCUGCCGGCCUGUACAUAUUUCCUAUCCGCGCAGGCACAGCCUAGCACAAAUCAAACCCCAAGCCCGAGGCCAUCCAUCCAUCCCUGCGCAGAGCUCGAUCCGCACAGUGCGAGGCUUGAGAUUUUUCCAGGUCUCGGCGAUUCGGGGGAAGAUGGCGCCGUCGUUCCUCGCGAUGAAGACGGGCGCGGCGUCCGGCGCGUCGGAGGCGGCGCAGGCGCUGCUCGAGUCGGACCUGCGGGAGCUGGGCAUGGCCGCGCGGAAGCUCGCCAACCACGCCAUCGUCCUCGGCGGCGGCCUCGGCUUCGGCCGCCACUUCCUCAAGUGGCUCGCCUUCAUCGCCGCCGUGUCAGUAUUUUCCAGCCCCCCUUUCCCUUUUCUUCCAUUUCUAUUUUCCUUGUUGCGGCGAGCUUUGGAUUCUGCAAAGGGGAUCUCCGAUCUCCCUCGCCUUCUGACCAUUUCGGGAGGACCACGGCGCAGUUGGGACGCCUGCGAGAAAACAUCUCGCCAGCAUAUUCCCUUGGAAGUAGAGUAGUAAUUUUUUAGUAAGCUUGAGAGUGUAUUUAACUGCGGUAUCCUAGAGAGAGAUGCCGAACGCGGUUGAUUCGUGCGAAAACCUCGGUGAAAACGGAAGCUUUGGUAGGAAAUGUUCACGGUUAAUUGUGUGGAACUUGCGAAGCAAACAUCCCUGGCAUAUAGACAGAACAGAAGUCAGGACCUUAUCAAAGUGUAUAUGCUGUGAUGCUAAGCUGUUAAUGAUGGUGAUCUAAACGCUCUUAUAUUUCUUUGCGGAGGGAGUACCUGUUAGGGUGAUUCUGCACCCUAUAUGUUGGGUCUCUUCAGUCUCUACUUCCAAGACUGAGAGGGGUUGAAGGAUUUAUGAGUCCACUUAACCUGAGAUUAUCACCCUUCUUAGCAUAUGUCGGUUCUCGCCGGGAUUACGCAUUGUCUGAACUUUGCUGUUCUCUUCUACUACUGCAGGUACCUCUUGGUAUUGGACCGGACAAACUGGAAGACCAACAUGCUGACGGGACUCUUGGUCCCUUACAUUUUCUUCACCCUGCCCGGCGUGCUUUUCUCUCUGAUAAGGUGGUUAUAGUCGCAAUUUCCCUUCUGCAGCAUCAGUUCGUGUUCUGAAUUUAAAUGCAGUUGUAUGUAGCUGUGGAGGACUGUUGCGUUCCUGCGAGUUGACCAAUUUGGAAUAUCUGAAAUUCUGAAGGUCUUGUUGAAUAAUUAAUAAAAUGGCUGUAUACAUCGUCCUGAUGCAGAGGCCGGGGUCCUCCUCCUUUUCGAGAAAAAUCAGAAAUUCUUAACUUACAAACUCAAGAUACUUCAUGUAUCUUUCUCCAAAAAGGAAAAAUACUGCAUUCGUCAAGGUGUCAUGGUGUUCCUUGUUGGUUGAUAUCACAGGCUAAAGGGCCCAAGUGACGGUUUCUUUUAGGAGAAAAAAAAAACGCUUCACUGAGAAUAGAAUAAUAGUAGAACUUUAUAGUUUGUUGAUAAAGUGAAGUAAGGUACAUGCUCAAUAUAGAUUAUUGCUACCUGACUGCAAAGUCGAGCUACCUUUUUCAUGCUCGUUGUCUACCGGUUGGAGGCAGGAUCACUGCCUCACUGGCUGAUACUUCCAUGGUGCUACAUCCUGUGUUGCUUAAUAGUACAGCAUUAGAUGCAGAUAUUCGUAUUAUAUUUGUGAUCAUCAAACAUCAAAAUUGCAGGGGAGAGGUUGGUGCCUGGAUUGCGUUCAUUGUGGUCAUCCUGCGGCUCUUCUUCCCACGUCACUUCCCUGGUAUUAUCUUUCUAUCUAUUCUUUUUCUUAUUGCCGUCCCUAGCAAAUUAUCUCUAUGUAUUGCAUAUCUCAUCCUUAUUGUGCAUUGCAAAGAAAUUUUCCAGCUUAUUGAAAUAGAUUUUCGACAGAAUCAAAAAGACAUACUCCAUAAUGACCUUGGACAUAUAAGAUGCUGGAGAAUUCAUUUCUAGUAGGCACUCCACAAAAAUUCAGUUUUGGAUCCAAUUCGGAAUUUUUGUUGGGAAGUUCAUUCAUUUUGACCUGUAAACGGAGUUGUUAAUGAAUAUGCUGGAAAAAAAAAUCCUAGAUGAAUUCAUUUUGGAUCUAGACUCAUAAUGUUGGGGUUCCGGGUUUGAUUCCCAUUACCGGCUCCAUAGACUAAAUAUAGCAUGAAAGAUCCUAAAAAUCCCUGGGAAGGAAGAACCAUGCUCCAGCCAACAAUCAUAUUGAAUUCAUGCUCCAGCCAAAGGCGGGCAAUAUAUUUCAACACAACUUAUAUAGCAGUGCCAACAAAUAUGUCCUUAUUUUCAUCUAUACUGAAUAAGCCACAAAAAUGUUACAUAAAUCUCACAAUGAUUCUCAUCAUGUGUAUCAGACUGGCUAGAGCUGCCUGGCUCUCUGAUUCUUCUUACGGUGGUCGCCCCCAGCCUCUUCGCGGACCACUUCAGGAACGACCUCGUCGGCGUCUUCAUAUGCCUCGCCAUCGGGUGCUACCUGCUUCAAGAGCACAUCAGGGUGUCAGGAGGCUUCAGGGAGGCCUUCAGGAAGGCCAAUGGCGUAUCCAACACCAUCGGCAUCGUCCUGCUCUUCGUCUACCCAGUCUGGGUCCUGGUGCUGUGGUUCCUGUAGGACAUCUACUGCUAUCAGUGUGGCCAUUGAUUGGUUUGUGCAGUUCUGUUCGAUGUUUGGGGAUUCAUCGUGUAGACCUUUUCGAUGGUGAUUCGGUAUCUGGAGUCGAUGAACUCUG
rnacentral:lncRNA from 1 species